rnacentral:lncRNA from 1 species
AAAAUGGAUGAUCGGCAACAAAAUCGAACUCAUCCUCGACUAAUAAACCCCUCAGUUUAACAAGACCAGCAGAAGCAGCAGCAGCUUCCGUGCCUUCUUCAUUUACCUCAAUAAAUGACUUGUGGAAAAUGCUAGAAACAUAAAGGUUCUGACCAACUUGUGAGUCCACCAUCUCUGUGAGACCACCACCAGAAAAAGGCAACACGACUCACAGUCCCUUCAGAACUUCCGAGGCUUCAAACCCAAAUGACAAUUUGAAUUUUGGGAUACGGAAUUCACCAACUUCGACCUUUUGAUAUGGGAGGUGAUGCUCCAAGAAUCCUGAUUCCGAACUGACUUUCUCUACCAAAGCCAGCAAUCCAUCUUUGGUGUCUGGAAGAAGGAAGUUCAUAGAGAACUUGCGCUUAUCUUCACCUUGCUUAUACGGAAGGCUCAAAAUUUUGAAACCAUCAAAGGAACGUAUAUAUUGCUUCUUCUUGCUACUCAUGAAGGGUACUUGUACUGAGCUCCCAUCUAGGAGGAAAAAGUCAUGGUCCUUUGUAAUUGAUGCAUCAAACUUCUCACUCCAAGCUCCUUUGAAAUACACUGCAUUUGCAAAGAUGAGCCUCGUGGAAGCAUCGACUGAGCCAGGUGGAAGAAUUUCUUCGACAAGGCCACUUGUUUCCUUUUCAGCCCAUUGAUUGACUUCACCGAUUACCUCAACAGCCUUCAGAAAUAUCAAGAAUAAAGAACAUAACAAUUAAUACAUUGUUAAAGAAAUUUACUUGCAGAAGUAGAAGUUCUACAACAUGAAUGAUUUCACCCAGCCAGUUCCUCUUUCUCCUACAACUCAAGGUGUACAAGCAGAUAAAUAAUUGUUUACAGCAUGAAUUCGUUGACAUUACAAUAGAAACUAUUUCUUUGUAAGGUUUAUUCUAAAUGUCAUGGGCCAUGAGUACCAUUUACAGAUAUACUUGAAACAGAAGUUGGUUACAUGCUUAUGAACAUAACCACCACCAAAAAACAAAAGCAAAAGCAAAGCCGUCCCCAAUAAAUUUGGAGUCAGGGAGCUAGAAGCAUUUUUCAUCCAUUCGACAGGGAUUUCUUGGUGACCAAUACUAACAUGAAGACAAGAAUAAAUCGGAUGUUAUCCAUUUGAUAUUUUCAUAAUAUCAAACUAUCACAAUUCUGUAAACAAUUACAGAAUUUACAAUUUUAAAAAAAAAAAAAAAGGAGGAUAAAAAUAAUGCAAAUUUUCUUACAAUGUGAAGCACCACAUGGAUUUACAACCACUGGUGUAUGGCAAGUGUUUUAAAGUUUAAAAUUACAUGUCAUUCUAUUUUGGUAUUUGGGAAGAUGAAAUCUAAGUAAUUAGGAGAAAAUGCCUUCGGCUUGCUUGGGCUUAGUUUAGCAACUUUUGAACGUACAAAGGUCAAGUUUUCAGUUAGAAACAGAAAAAAGUGAAAAUUUUUAAAAAAUGAGAGAUAUAAUCUUCAAUGAUUUAACCUGGGUCAAACCUUACGAGAUCCUAUAGUACAAUUUUGACAUGAAGCAGCCUUCCAAUUGGGUCUAUGGUGAAGGACAAAACCUUUCAGUUGUUUUUUCAUACUUAUGACAUUCCAAUAUGCUGUUAAAUAAAUGAAAUCAAGUUCAAGUUAAUCGCAACUUAAUAACCAAGAUUUAUUGAAUAGCCAAGGUCAAACUCAAUUCCAUUGAAACUUGGAAAAUUCAUACAAUAAACAAAUCGUUCUUUGAGAUAUACUGACUCGGACCAAACAAGUUUGUUAAUGGAAAUCCAAAAUCUAUAUUUAAUUCAAGCUCAAAUUCCUCCAGCUAAACUUGCUUGUGUUUAUUUACAUAGUAACAUGUUUGGGAGUGUUUUUAAACAGUUCAAAUUAUAAAUGGAUAGAAAUGAGCGGUUCCUCAAAAUGUGUAAAUAAACAGAGUGUUCACAAACAAUUUAUAGAAACGAGCAAAAGUAGUUUAACUAAUUGAACUAAAUUCAUUUUUCAUUGGUAAUACUGGACAUCAACUCCAGCUUUCCCCUAACAAAAUUUACAAAAGCACGGAUAAAUCGACCAAUUGCAAUAAGUUCAACAAUCAGUUGGAAGAAACAGCUUUUCCAUUAACCAAACGAAUAAACAUGGAUGAAAUGGACCAAUUGUAAUAAUUUUUGAAAUAUGUUUUGAAAAUUUCAUCACCUAUUUUUCCCAAAUGUAAUCAUAUUAAUUGUGUCAAAGCCAUCAAAUUGAAUUUCAGAAACAUACACAAUAAAGUAUCAAUUGAUUAAAAAAAAAAAAAAAGAAAUUUGACAGCACACAAACCACCUAUAGACACCAAUAAUAAGCAAAAAAGGUUAUAAGGAAACAAUCAAACCUUGAUCAACGAUAAACAGAUUAAUGAGUUCUAUAAUUGAAAAUAGAAAUUAAACUAACCUUAGUUUGAAAAUCAACAGGAUUAGAAGCAGCCUUGUAAAUAUUAUCAACAAUUUCUUUAAAACUGGGCUUCAAGCUGAGACUCUGAUCUAUCCAACCCCCAUUAGCGAAUGACAAGCAAGGCCCACCAAGGGGGCCACCGUCAGCGAAAAUGAGAUUUACAAGCUGAGAGGAGAGUGAGUUGAGUUCAUCAGUGGACUUCGAUUUGAGGAAAUUAAGCAACUGAUUAAGGGUUUGAUCUUUGGAUCCGGCCGCGAUCAGACCCAACACCACGUGAAUCGAGAGCGGCGAGAACACCAAAUUCUUAUCCUUGGCCUCAGUCGAAACCAAGUAAUGUGCAAGCUGAAGUGAUGCUUGUGUUUGGUUCUUGAUGGAUUCUCUUAGGUCCAUUUCUGUCUGCGUCUGCGUGUGGAAGAGGUGAUUGAAUCAAAAUUCGUGCGCGUUUGGACGUUCUGAAAAUCUGCACUGUGUUCACCGACCCAUCAGAGGCAAUUUAUAUGUGCCAUUUGUGAUGGUUGACUCAAGCGUGUCUUUCAAUGUCUACUCAACACGUUAGGAUUCGUUUCUUCGAGAUAAAGAUUACAAAUUGGGGGAAUCCAUUGUUCAUCCAAACGACCUUGAAGAAUACUUCGACGUUGAUGUUUUGAAAUUAAUUUUGUGAAUAGUGAUUAAUUUAUAGGCUGUAGGGUUAAAAUAGAUAUAAUUAUUUACGUGUAAAAUUAUUUUAUCAAAAGAUUGUGUAAGAAAAAUUAGGUUUGAGGAAAAUAUAAUUUUUUUAGUAUCAUAAUCAACCAUCCUAUAAACUUCUCUAGGGUCUAAAAAUUUAUUAGUAUCGUAACCAACCAUCCGAUAAACUUCUCUAGGAAUUUAGACUCUGUUUGUCACCCAUCAUUUGAGAAAUUAAAAAGUUAUGAAUAGUAUUUUUUUGAAAAAUAUGUUGUUAAAAAAUAAAGAAAUUUUAUAAAUUUGUGUGUAUAAUAUUUUAUUGUGUGAAUAUGAGGAGUAGAAUGGUACUCUAACAAACAAUUUUAAAUUUUAAAUGGGGCAAAACAAGUUUCUUUCACCGCGGAUAUUUCUUGCUUGUUUGACUUUCUUUAAUUUAUUUUAUAGAUUGUUACGUGAUCAUUUUCAACAUAUUUACGCAAUAAAAUAUUAUACAUAUACACUAAAACUUUGUCUAUUUUAAUCACACAUUCUCUUAAAAUUACUAUUUAAAAAUCAUUUUUCUGCCAAAACAGUUGUCAAACAGGCUUCAUCUUGUGUGAUUUUUUGAAAAUUACUUUUUUUGAUAUUUAUUUUCAAUAUACAUUCUUUAAAAUUAUUUUCCAUAUUUUUCAAUUUUUAAACUUUUUAACUACACAUUUUCAAGAAAAUCACAUUUCAUAAUCUCUAUCCCACACACACACACACACACACACACAUAUAUAUAUAUAUAUAUAUAUAUUUUUUUUUUUUUGUAAUUUUUUUUCUCUAAAAGCAUCUUCAAUAGCAUAUUGUAUAUGAUUCAUAACUUUUUCUUACUUUUUAACUAUACAACCUCUAAAAAAAUAUAUGUCACUUGAAAAAUCCAUGUCAAACAAACUCUAACAGUGACAUGAUUGAGGGGAAUUCUUCAAAGUAGAAAUGCCAAUUUAAACCGUCAAAAUCGAAAAUUGUGACUAACCGAACCAAAUAGAGCGAAAAAAAUCGAAUCGACGGUGCAAUGGGGCGGAUAUGGUAUUUGAUUUUAAUGAAUCGGUUCGUGACGGUGCGGGUAUGAUAUUUACGCCGUCGAACCGAAACCGAACCGAUAACUCGCUAAAAAAAGCAAAAAAUAAAUAAAUAAAUUGAAUUGAUUAUUGAGCUUUACACUAUAUUUCUAUCUAGCCGAAAACAAAAUUUCCCCAUUACAUCUACUUGACCUAGCAGGCCAGCUCACUUAUCAUUAGCCCAUAAUAAUAGCAUUAGUAUGAAAGUAUAUAAAUGCAAACCCCAUUUUCCACAAACCACAAGCUCACGCACGCUCCACUACCUCUACGGUCCAAGCCGUCGUCACCUCCAAAAAAUUUCCCACACGACUUCAGUUUUAAAGAAAAGACAGGACCUCCCUUCUUAAUCAAGAUUAUUGGAACAAAAAUUUCAUCUCAAUCAUUUUUGUUGUAUCUGUAAACUGAUUGCAUUUUGCAUCCAAUUCCAGGGACGCAUUUUUCAGGAUUUGAUGCAGAAAUUGUUUCAAAUUUUGUCGAAAAGAGGAUAAAUUCAAUCAGUACUGAUUUAGUAUAGACUUGAGCCAAGUCCGAGGCGUGGUCGAAUAUAAUAUAUUGUGUUUUUGUUUUCAUUGAAUUUUUUCAUAAAUUGUUUUAUAUCAAUUUGAUGGAUGAACCUAUAAAAAAUAAUUUAUUUUCGUGGUUAUUAAUCGAACCGAACCUAUUUACGUGAUUAUGGUGCGGUUAUAGUAUGGUCAAAAAAUUGAUCGUGCGAUUAUGAUUUUGGCCGAACCGACCCAUAACUGAACCGUUAUCAACCCUACUUCAAAGCAUGUUCACAAGAACAUGGAGAGGAGCUGUGGGCUUUAGCUCCAGGACUGUACCCAUUUAUUAUUUUUGUAUUAAUUCUGUGCAAAUAGUUUUUUAUUAUCCCUCGACUCCACCUCUAAUAUCAACCCAUGAUGCGCAAAUCUAAAUAUUCUCACACUAUGCAAAAAUCUCUUUUUGGUUGAGACAUUUCUCACUUCUCAGUUGUAGUAUUCAGAUUUAUAUGAAAAAGGAGCUCAACAAUAGUUUAUACUUUUCCUAAAAAUAAGACAAAAUAAUGCAAAAUUUUGGACAAAAAAUGAUGAAUGAAGUAAAAUAACAAGAUGUAUCUCUUCAACGAAUUAUUCUACUCCAACAUGUCUUCCUGAAAAAACAAGGCCUAUGUGGCCCUGUUUGAGAAGUAGAACCCCUCGUAUAUAGUGUUUUCUACCUUGAAAUGCCACUUCUAAAAAUGCACUUACUUGACAGUUGACACCUCCUUAUGAUAUUUUGACUAUGCUUAGGAAGCUCAAUUUAAAAAAAAAAAAAAAAAGCAGCUUCUAAAAUAAAAUUUUUAUUGGUAAAUGUUUAAAAUAAUUAUAUUAUUUAUUAUAAGUUUUUGUAUAGAAAUGUGUGGAGGGUAAGUUGUUCGUCGAUCAUGAUUAACGAGGUAGUUUCGACCCUUCUCUAUCUCUUUCUCAAAACCGUUAAAUUUGAUAUAUUUUUCACUUGUAAAAUUUGUUUUCAUUUUUUUUCCUUUUUUUUUUUUUGUGCAUUUACGCAUUUUACAUAUUGUUUAUCUCAUCAUCUUCAUCUCACAAAAUAUUUACAAGUUCUUGGAGAUUUCAGAGAUCCAACGAAAUGAAAAUUUGGGUUACAAUGUUCGAGAAAAUGAAAUAAUAAUUAAAAGUAUUCUUCCUAAACUAUUAAUAUAGUAUUUUUAUUUUUUUACAUUUGAUUCUACUUAUUCUUGUGGACAUCAUUGAUACGUGUUUUUAGUAGUCAUGGGCGGACCAACUGUUGAGAUUCUCCUCCCUUUUUUUUUUUUAAAGUCAUGUUUGGCAUCGAUUGAAAUUUAAAUUUAAAUCUAAAUCAAAGUUAAUAAUUAAUUUUAAUAACAUAUUUCAUGGAUUCUUGAGCUUCUAAAAUUUUAUCAAAAUUUACUAAAAAUCGGACUUUAGUCCCCACCAAACAAAGAUACAAUCUCAAUAAAUUUGAAUUUUUUCUCUUUUUUAUUGCUCUAUCCUAUUCUCUCCCUAAAGCCUUUUACCAAAAUCUUAACUCUUCUAAUUUUUUAUAAUUUAUUUAUAAUUCCUCUACGAUUGUCACAUUUAAUAUAAAUUUUCACUUUUCAAUCAAAUUUUUAACUAAUUAGAACCUAAAAAUUUGCAUUUUCUCCUAUUCUAUUUGUGUAUAUAGCACGUGUCUAAACUGAUGAUAUAAAAUUGAACUUAUAUCUAACGAAUUGUGCUUAUCUGACUGAUUAUUAGUAUUGAAUAUUGGUUAUUUGCUAUUACUUUCAAUUACUUGAAUUGAUUGUUUGUAUCAAAUACACAAUUUUUUAAAACAUAAAUAUAUAUUUUCUUGUGAUGAGCAAAAUAUUAAUAAAAUUAUUAUUCAAAAUCAAAUAGAUGAAAAUAAUUAGCAAAAUAUUAAUGAAAAAAUAAUUUUGAAAUGUAAAUCUACAUUUUUUCGGGUCAAAUACGAAUCAUUCAAAAAUAAAAAAUAAAGUAAUCGAUUUGUACAAAGUUUGAUUGUGCCACCUAACUCAAUUUCUCUACGUCCGCCUUUGUUAAUAUUAUUAUAUUUUGAUGAUGAUGAUUUGCUCUUCAAAAGAAACUAUUUUAUUUUAAAUCACCUCCAUCAAAUGAACCCAAUGUAUAUAGUCACGUUGCACAUACUUUACAACAGUAUUAUAUAAUUAACAAAAUAUUUAACCUCUUUUCUUUUGAUUGCGUGCUUAAUAAUAUUUUACGGCACCUGCAACAAUUAGUUAUUUUAUUUUAUUUUAUUUUAGUUUUAAUUAGGGUGGAGCUUUUGAAUACAUUUGUUAUGUUUUGUGUUAUAAUAAUGAGAGAAUUAAAUGCUCAUUUAUUGAACGAUCAAUUAGGUAAACUAGGAAGGACAAAAUUAAAAAUAUGGAUACAUAAAUGCCGAUUAUAGCAUAAUUUUUCUAAUAUUCUAGAAAACAUAACAAUCUCUCCUAAACUAAUAUUGGAUUUUGCUUGUUGUAUGUCGGGCUGUACAUCAACAUGUCCAUAAUGCUCCUGUAGCAAUAUAUUGGAUUUCAAUUUCUCGUGUCCAUUGAAAAGGACGAGAUAUUUACUGGAAAGCCCCUGCCUUAUCUGAUAUUUGAAAACCUUCUCUUUGGAAGCCAAAUUUAUGCAACAUUAACCAUCUUUCUCUAGGAAUGUCAAUUUGACUUACCAGCUCGAGCAGCCCAAGAAAAGUCCGAUCAUGCCCAAUUCGCGGAUCGUUAUAAUCCAGCUGAGGCUUGAGCUGAGCUUCAUUUUGGAGUUUCGGCCGAAGCUCAAGCUAGCCAGUGUGGCUUGACGAACCACAUGGGCCAUUUUCGGCUUGUGAGCAAAUUUGUGAAAAAAAGAUAUUUUGGCUGCUGUAGCUGCCUGUGUAUUACAGGCAGCUAGUAGCUACUGUUGCUGUAGCUCCAGCAGCGAAUUUGCUUGUGUAUUGCAGGCAUCAAUACAUAGUAGGAAGUCACGCGGUUGCCUUUUCAAAAAAAAUAAUAAAAAAUAAAAAAUCACGAGCUGUCUCGGUUCGAUUGGAUUCCAUAAGGCCAGAGCCAAAGCUCAGAUUGAGCGUUGAUAUUUUGACCGAACACAAACUCGACUCGACUCGAGCUAAAGAAAGCUUGAACCAUUUUUACUCAAAUCGAACACGAGCUUCAAAUUAGGCUCGCGAGCCAGUUCAACUUAGCUCGUUGACCUCCGUAUCUCUCUCAGCAAAAUCUUCGACAAUCUUCGACAACUGAUGAUGAGUAGAUCGACUAGAGACAAAUCGGCGGUGAGCAGAUCAAACAGGGCAACAACAAUAUUUUUUACUUGUAAGAAAAUGGAUUUAAAUUUCUUUUUGGGUGAAUUUCUUCAUUUGUUGUUUAAGUGUUAAUUUCUGGAGUUCUGUACUUGCCGUUCGUCGGACAUUAAAUGGGUAGAUUUUAGUUUGUACCUGAAAUGGGUGGAUUUUAUACUAUAAACUCGGUGUCUUGUGAAAUGCGUAUAAAAUAAUUUUUUAAUCUUGUGGAACAGGGUAGAUUUAAGUUUUGAGCUCUUCUUUUGUGACUACUAUAUGCAAUUUCAUGUUACAAAAAAUUCUCGGAUCGGCUCAAGUAAAGAAUGCUUGAACUAGUUUUACUGGAGAUGAACCAAAGCUUCGAAUUUCUGCUCACGAGCUGACUUAGCUCAACUCGUUCACAUUCCUAUCUUUUUCUCAACAAAAUCCCUAGAUGACUAAUGACAAUGGAUCGAUUGGAGACAAAUCAAAGGCGAGCUGAUCUAACAGGGUAACGACGAUAUCUUUUACUUGUACUAAAAUGGAUUUAAUUUUUGUUUGGGUGGAUUUCUUCAUUUCUUGUUUAAGUGUUAAUUUCUGGAGUUAUGUACUUUACCGUUCACCAAACAUUAAAUGGGUAGAUUUUAGUUUGUACAUGAAAUAGGUAGAUUUUAUAUUGAGAACUCGAUAUCUUGUGGAAUGCAUCUCAGAAAAUUUUGAAAUCUUGUGGAACUGGAUAGAUUUUAAUUUUGAGCUCUUCUUUUGUGACCACUGCAUGCAAUUUCAUAUUACAGAAAAUCAAGGGAAUUUUAUCUUUACACGAAGUCCCGAAAACCCAACUUUUUUUUUUAAAAUCAAGAUACGAAAGUGAGGGCAGAAAACAUAUCAUGGUUGGAGUGGUGGUGAGAAUUGAUGAUUCUUUAUUGGAAUCCACACUUUUAAAAACUGAUAUUGGAUUUAAUUGUUGCUUCGCCAAGAGACAAACCCUUGUCCCGUUCCUUCUUUAUCACAUGUUUCUACAAAGUCUUAGCUGCCGGAAGAGUGUGAUUUUCUUAUCCAGACAUUUUCUUUUGGAAGCCUCCAAAGUGUAAUUACAGUCUACGAGUGGAGAUUCAAAAUCCAUGCUCCAAAUACUUGAGAUGUCAAUUUCAAGACACCUUGGAUCAAGUUUUCAUGUAGUAUUUUUCAUUAAGCAUAUAACAAGGAUUUUUUUUUUUUUUUUUUUUUAAAAGUGAUAUACACAAAUGGCAUGAAAUUAUAAGGAAAAAAAAAAAUAACAACCACACAUGAAAUCAAACAAUUAAUAUUUUACCCCUCAAACUUAAAUUAAAUAUUGUCCCCAAUGUAAAAUUAAAGACAAAGGAGGAUGAGGACUUUCUUGAGUGAAGACAUCAAUUGGCUUCAUUGCUAUCGGCAUCAUGGUGGGGGCAGUGAUGGAUGUUGGUUCUAGUUUUGCCCCCAAACUUGAGCCUCGACCUACAAGAAGAGAAAAAUGAUUAAGAAAUUAUAAACAAAAAUGUAAACUAAUAUCUAAAUAAUUAAAAAGAAAAAGAGCUUGGGUUGCCUCCCAAGAAGCACUUAUUUAACGUUGUUAGUUUGAAGUUGUCGGAAUGCCUUAGGUUAGGUCACCAAGGGCACUUCUUCUAUAUUCAGCUCGUCCUUUCCAUAGUAUUACUUAUGUUGCUGGACAUUAUUUUAAAAUAUGAACCUAUUCUUGUCCUUCAACUUCACAGCACCAAAAGGAAAUAUGUUGUGGCUAAUGGUCGUGGCCAUCGUGAAUUAAGAUUAUUCACCGUCAACUUCUAGCGGGACUUAUGGACAAGUACUUGUUUCGGAAUUGGCUUUCUUCUCCAUAUAAACUUUUGCACAAGAUAAUUAGUACUGAAGAUCUCUUUGGAUUCAAAAGAGUUGACAGGCUUCACAAGAUCCUUUUUCUAGUUCUCAUUACUCUCAAGUGGCAAAGCUUCACUAGCCAAGAUAAAAUCAACCAAUUUCCUGCUCUCCCUGUAUAACUUUUUGUAGCAGUUAUGUCUAUUCUUGAAGCACUUGUUACAAUAUACUACAGUAAAGUGUCAUCAAACAAUUCCUUUUUACAUUUUUCUCCCACUGAUGCAACAAUUUCUUAACUUGGUAUAUAGUGAACCUGACUUCUUCUUUAUUAACCCAAAGUGUUAGUUGUCCUCUUUGUACAUUAGUAAGUGCUCUACCAGUUGCUAAGAAAGGUUGACUAAGAAUUAAUGGUAUUUCUUGAUCUUCCUCCAUAUCCAACACCAUAAAAUCAAACGGAAAGAUGAACUUCUCAAGUUUAACUAACACAUCUUCCAUAAUUUCCUUAGGAUAUGUAAGAGAUCGAUUAGCAAACUACAAAGCGAUGGUGGUUGAUUUCGUUUAUCCAAGACCCAACUUCUUGUAUAAACAGAGGCAUUAAAUUAAUGCUAGCCCUAGAUCACAUAAUGCUUUGUUAAUGUUAGAAUCGCCAACUGUGCACGGAAUUGUAAAGCUAUUUGGAUCCUUUAGUUUCUAAGGAAGCUUCUUUGACAUUAGUUUUUUUUUUUCAAGAAUUUGGCAUAAUUCUGCAUGUGUGCUAAAAUAUCUACAAUAGAGAAAAUUAUAUGGAUUUUCUUGAAAAUUUCUAGAAAUUUUGCAACCUGUGCAUUAAACUUUUUCUUUAGGAAUUGCUGUGGAUAUGACAGUGGUAUCUUCAAGAUUGGUGGAUUAUCUAGGAAUGAGACUGAAUUAGGCUUAGAAGCCUUCUUUGUUUUCUUGUCCUGCAACCUACUUUUCUUCCUCUUGUCUGGAAUUUGAGUAGAAACUAUAGCCUCUUUAGGCUUACUUUCUCUAAUCUCCUUACCACUUGUAAAUGUGAUAGCAUUGCAAUGUUCCCUUAGAUUUACCUUUGUAUCACUAGGAAACUUUCCUUUAGGUUAAGUAUUCAUUGCAAUAGCUAGUUGACCAAUCUGUAACUCAACAGAUUUCAUAAUGGCCUCCAUGUUGGUUAUAUGAGUCUCAAUGUUGUCAGUCGUGACUCAUCCUUGUUGAAUCUUGCCCUAGUCUCUGAAAUAAAGGCUUUCAAGAUGUCUUUUAAUGAUGGUUUCUCUUAAAAGGAUUGAUUAUUGAACCUAGGAGAAUGCUAGAGCACAUUCCUAUUAUUACCAUAAGUGAGUUUUUAUAUCAAGCAGCCGCUUGGCAGAUUGGUACAGAAGAUUUCCAGUGGGGCGUGAAGAUGCUUCUUUGGUGAAUGAGAGGCUGGGUGCCUCGUAUACCUGCGUAGCGCGGCUCUCACCAGGCUGACCUUUUCGAGUUGGUCAGGGCGAUCCACCAAACUAGUUAGUAGAAGAUUUGACCAAAUGGAGCGUCAGCUUACGCGCUCCAUCGCCUUUGCUAUUAGUUGGGACGACAUGGCGUGGACUCUGUAGGCUCUGGGACUACCACGUGGUUAAUGAUUUGGCAUCUCUCUGGACGCGUAAGAACAAUCCUCUAAGUCCAUGUAUGGAAUAUUUAUAUCGUGUGCGGACUUUUAGUGUUGGACUAGAAGUAGAUUGUUUGUUGGGGCUACCCAUUGGCAUGGAGAAUUGGUGCAAAGGUGAUUUGGCCGAGGUGUAACAAUAAUAGUCCUCCAAGUCCAUGUAUAGAUUAUUCAUAUAAUGCGUGAACUUUUGGUUGAUGAGGUGUAGGCAUAGUUUCUAUUUGGGCAAGUUUUUUGUUGUUGAGAGCUUUGAGAGAAGCUGUUGAGGCAGAAGCGUGGUCCCUGAAUCAUGAUCGCUAAUAAUUGAGUCUGACUCUGCCUUGAAUCUUGACUUGGAUCAAAAGAUUCUUCAUACCGUAUGAAGAAUACGUAGCUAACAAUAUCUCAAAUACGUAGCUAACAUAUAGCUAGAUUUUAAGACGGCAAUUGAUAUACUUAUAGGAAGAGGAUUCAGAUUUUCAGGUCAAUAAUUAUAAUUACGUUUGAUUCAUUGAUAUCUUGUAUCAAAGAAACGAUGUCUUUCUUUUGAGUUAAAACAAAUUAUUUCAGCAAAAAUUUAUUCUACUUCCACAACUUUCUAUGUUUUUCUUGUUGUGUCACUUAAACUUUCUCUAGUCUUGUUUGUAAAGAUUUAUUUUUAUAGGUUUUCAAAAAUAUGUUAUAGAAAUGGUUAGUACCAUCAGUGGUUAUUAAAGUUUGUUAAAAACUUUAAAAUGAUCGUUGAAGUAUUUUUCUAGCUAUAAUGGUAAUUUAUUCUAAUAGUUACAUUAAUAGUUGGCUGGAAACAUUAACCAAAAUCUUGUAUGUCACCAUUAAAUGUCAACUUUGACGCAAACAAUGCUAAUUAUUACAUAAUGCAACGUAUUCCUAAAUUUUGUAGAAAUUAAUGGAAUAAACACUUUUAAAUUUAAAUUUUCAUUUGGGUAAUAUGUUUUAAAAGCUGAAUGUUUCUCCAUCAAAUUUUCAUGAUAAGGAUUGAUUAUAAGGAUUUAAUUUCUUCAAAUUUGCUCUCCCAACUGUCUUCUCUCUUCUGUUACGUUAUCUGCUUCUUUCUUUUUUGCUGUCCUUCCACUGCGUUUUCUAUUUUUUCCCCCUUCUAUUCUCCUAUCUUCAGCUUCUGUUUGCUUUCACAAAGGAUUCUAAUUCCUUUGAAUUUGAUUCCCAUCUAAUUUCAUGUUUCAAGGCCCAUUAAUGUAUUAUUUAUCUCAAAGGCCUCACGUCUUUGAAAUAAUGUAAUAUAGUCCUUGAUAAAAAUUUGUUUGUGUGUCUCAUGUCUUCUUUAAUUCAAUCAAUCACUUCAAUUAUAAUAAAAAUGUGGAAUUUGAUCUCAAAGCUACAGAUUUUAUUCAAUUUCAUAAUUCUUGAUCAAUAUUUUCUCCGAUCCCUAGUUUCUCCUAACAUAAUAAAAAAAUAUAAAUAAUUAACCAUCAAGUUUACAAUACUACUAACUAAAGACACUUUGGCGACUUAGAUAAGUGUAACUUUAAUACUUAUCAAAUACCGCCAAAUUUGAGCAUUUGUUAGUAUUCAAAUAAAUGAUAAUAGAUACUUUACUAUACUCUAAGAAAAAUACUCAACUCGAUAUAUGCAUCUCAAUGUUUCCUCAAAUACCUAUCACAAUCACAAAAUUUAAACAGGUUAAUGAGACACAAGAACCAAAAAUUAUUCUAAAACUCCACAUAUCGUAUAGUGUUCGUGUGUGUGUGUUGAACAUUCUCAUAUCUACUGAUGUUACUCAAAUCAAAUAAUCUAUUUUAAUUUCCAAACUCUCUUUUCCCAGAUAAAAAACUAAGUCCCAAUAAUGUUGAUAUACUCUUUCAUCACUCGUGUUUUUCUAUUUAUUUUUCAAUUCUCCCAAAGACAAAAUAACUAUGAGAUAUGACUUGUUUUCAUCAACCACUCAGUCACCUUCCAAUUUGUAAUCAAUGAGCUGGACUCAGCUGGACAGAGGUAGCAUUUAUAUAGUUGUUUUGGUACUAGCGCAACACACUUUAGUGUGUUUUACUUUUCUUUUUAUUUUAUCCAUUUUUCUAUUUUUUUGUGAGUAGGGUCAACUUACUCAAUACCAGCUUCAUACUAUAGUUUAGGUAAAUUUUUCCCUAUGUGUCAAAACUAGUGCAAUGUCUUUUACGUUUUAGGCUAACAAUAGGAGUUAAAAGAUAAUUAAGUGGUGAUGUUUUUGGUGUCGAAUGGAUCUAAUCAUUCCUAAACUUAUUCUAAAAGGAUUUUCAAUAUGGUUCUAAACGAAUGUUGGUUUAAUAAAUAUGUUCUAAGGUCUUAAAAAAUUCUGAGGUGAUUGACUUGUACAACUCAAUUUUUAAUCAAUUAUAAGUGUAGUCAAGAAUGAGUACGUGCUUGAAUUGUUCAAAAGACAAGUAUAAAAUAAUAGGAUUCAUAAAUAAUUAAAAAUCUGAGUGUCCAAAGGAAUCGAUUUACAUUUUGCUCUUAUUUGAGAAUCAUCAAUUGAUAUAAAUUACUUUGUCCAAGUCAAAUCACACACAAGCAUACAUAAUAAAGCUAAAAAGUUUUUUUUUUUUUUUUUUUUUUUUUUAAAAAAAAUUUUUAUGGGUUUUUUACAACAAAAGCCCCAAACCUUUAAUCACACCCAAAUUAUUCGUGUAGAAUAAAUUAAAAUAGAACCUAGAUUUUCUCCUCGACGUAAUGCUAUAAAGCAGAAAAUAUCAAAAUUAAAUAAAAGAUAGAAAAUUUAGACUUGACUGAUAAUUUUUGCAAGAUGGAGUUAGCCUUGAAACUAGAAGAAUAUUUUCCUUCUCUUUAUCUUCUCUCCUCCUUCAAAGGAAUUUCUCCUUCUUUGUGCCUUUUUUCUACAAAUAAGAUUAAGUAAUUAUAAUCAAGAUUCCAAUAAAAGAGCAACACAUCAACUACUUAAUCCAUCUAUCUCAAUUCGAUUUUGCUAGUGGUACAUUGAGAUGUAACUAAUGGUGUACACUCCACUCACAUAGGUGAGGGACCCAAUCGAAUAAAAUAUCAUUUCUUUCACAUGGAUCCCACACCCAUGUGAGUGGGGUGUACACCAUUCGGUACAACCCAUUAUAUACCACUAGACAAAUAAUAAGUAAUUAUAAUCAAGAUUCCAAUAAAAGAACAACACAUCAACUACUUAAUCCAUCUAUCCCAAUUUAGUAUAACAAAAUUAGAAAAAUUCCAAGAAAAAAAAUCUCAUGUAAUACUAUUGAGUGAAACUUGAACUUUUCAUGAUUUUUAAAAACAUUGAACAUAUUGAUGAUGAAUAAGUUGGUGAUUAUGUGAAUUUGGGUGUCAAAUAUAUGGAGGAGGGAGAGAAUUUUGAAAAUUUGAAGUUAAAACUUAUUAAAGUUAAAAACUAAAAUAAAUAAAAAAAUUAGAUCUCUUAGUUCUUUUUCUAUGUUUGACCACGGUUGACCACGACGAACAACAAACAUUUGGCGACUGUAUGUCAUCGCAGUUGACUGCGGUCAACCGUAUUGUUUAUUUUAAUUUUUUGCAGUGGUAAUAGAAUGACGACCCCAAAAAUAAUAAAAUAUUUAAAACAAAAUUUAUUUUUAGCUAAAUAAUAAUUAAACAUGCCUAAUCCUAAAUGCAAUUGUAUCAUUUAUAUGUCAUGCAGUAAUAGGAUGGCAAUUCAUAUCGCUGGCUCGAGCCACCCGUGGCUCGGCCUGGGCUAAGCCCGAGCCAGCCCGCAGGCAUUAUUUAAAAAAAAAAAAAAAUAGAAGCCCCAAAAAAUGCUGCCUUAAUAGGUAGUCAGUAGCUGGCUGCCUUUUACGACAACCUUAUAUAAAUAAAAAAUAAAAAUAAAAAAAUAAAAAAAAUAGAAGAACCAUAAAAAAAAUGAGCCUACCCUGCUCGAGCCUAAGCCCGGCUAAAAGCUCGUACAUUUUACUUGAGUCAAGUCUGAACCUUGAGUUUUGGCUUAGGAGCCGGCUCGGCUCGUUAGAAAAGUGGUUUACUUCCCAUUAAAUUCUUGGUCUAUAGUCCGAAGCUAGACUUUGGUCAAGUCUUAAUUAUGAUGGCUCAAGUCGAAAUGUUUUGGCCUUGUAAUCCUUCCAAUUUCUAGCUUUGCAUUCUCUUCUUGCUCUCCAAACUUUGAAUUUUUCAUUCUUAUCUCUACCAAGAAUUUCAACAAAUUUAGGUUUCUCUUCUGAUAGCUUUGUUGAAAUGAUAAAUCAUCCUCAUCAACACAGUUGCACUCCUCAUAUUCAGAUGGUUGCUUGCACUGCUCUCUUCUGUCAUGCCACAAUUUUAAAUUUUGGCAGCUCUCUCUUCUUUAAUAUAAUGUCUUUCAAGAACCUUACAUAACUUGAAAUUUGCCUAAUUGCAUCAACGAAUUGUAUGUUGAUGUAAAGCUUCUUCAGCACGUCCAGGAACUUUUCAAAUUGAUGGUCUAGCUCGUGUUACUUCAACCUUUGUGGGAACGGGAUGAGAAGUACAUAUUUUCUGACAGAAACGGCCACCUUAGCAUGUUGGUUAUCUGAAUUCUCUUUCAAAUUUUCAUCAGUUGAUGUUUUAGAUUCAUCUAAUUUCUCUUCUUCAAUAGUUGUUACUUAAUUUAUCUUUGCUAUUGAUAUUUUGAACGUAAUCCCAAGCAGUUGUACCUCGCUUCUUAUUGUGAUUUCUUUGAUCCUCUCCUCCUCUCUCCACUUUGAAAUCCUUACGAAAAAGGAAUGGGAGGCAUAUGUUCUCAUAAUUUUGGAGCUGCCAUCGGUUGCAGGGUAUUUAUUUGUUCAUCUUCAAUAACUCUGAUAGAUAUUACCUACUCCUUUGAAUUAGUUUCUGUAUAGAAAGGUAAAGCUCCUUGUAGCCUUUCAGAGAUAUCAGGGGGCCAGCUGACCUAUUUAAGUUUCCAAUUCUGUUUAAUGGUUGUCGAAUGACUUUGUAAGGUUGUUUCAAUCUUAGCCAUGUAUUGGUUAGUCUUCUGUAUGAGUUUACCCAAUAUAUCCUCCAAAGAAGCUCUCUUUUCUUCUUGUUGGAAACUAGGAGUUGGGGAUCUGCUGAUGCUUAUUUUGGUUGUUGCUUCAGGAGAAGUUAUGAUGAUUACGUGAUCCUCAGUUAUAUGCAUUGCUCUAUUGGUUAUUUUGCUGGUGUUAAUAAUUAUGUGCAAUCCUCUCUCUAUUUUGAUGCAGCCUAGCAUUCCAUAUUGUUGUGAGCUCCCCCAAAUGUACUACAAAAUUGAAAUCCAAAUUUUUUUUUUAUUUUUUAUUUUUUAUUUUUUAUUUUUGGCAUUUGAUGAAUUUUUAAUGGCCAGAUGGCCUAUAACCUUCCUUUCUAAAGAAGAUAUUUGUGCUCAUAGUUUGUAGAUGGCAUCUAUUUCAUGCAUACCUGAUGAAAUCUUGUAUAAAGAUCUUUCGAAAGGCCACAAGGCAUUGUCGGCUGCAAUUGUCUCACAUCCUUAACUUUAUUAGGUGACCUCAAUGUGAUAGAUCCAUUAGCACUGAUGUACGACAUGCUGGGUUCAAUCCGGUCUAGAAGUACAAAACUUGCAAGGAUUUCUUAAUAUCAUGGUUAGGACACUUUCUGAUCAUGUUCUUGCAUCUUUUACAUGCUUCAUGAAAACUCUCUAAAUCUGCCGGUUGAAAUGUCGAGAUCUCAUGACUUUUAGUUACCUUUGACGUUGGAAAGUAUUUUGUGACACACUUAUGUACUAUAUCAUCAUCCUAAUGCUUUCUUCGCCCGGGGAAUCCAACCAUUCUCUUGCUUUAUCACGAAGAGUAUAUAGGAAGAGUCUCAACUAAUUGCUUCAUCGGAUACUCCAUGAAAAUUGUAGUUUUAGUAGAUGUCCAAGAAGCGUGAGAUAUAAUUAUGUAGAUUCCCAUAAUAUUGAAAUAAAACAAAAAAGGUUAAAAGAUAUCACCAACUUUAAUUACAAUAAACAAGAUAAAAGUUACUCCUGGCUUUCGUUGAUUUUUGUCAUACAAUUCCAACAAUAUUUUUCAUUUCCUUCCUUGCGUAUUGUAAAUCUCACGAUAAUUAGUUGAUGGAAUAUGAUAUAUUUUCUUCAAUUUUGCUCUCCUAGCCAUCUUUUCUCUUCCAUCACAUUUUCUAUUUCUUGCUUUUUGUCAUCCUUCCUCGGUGUUUUCUGCAUUUUUCUUUUAUUUGCCUAUAGCCAGCUUCCGUUUACUUUUAAAAAAAAGGAUUCUAAUUCCUUUGAAUUUGAUUCCCAUCUAAUUCUAUGUUUCAAGGCCCAUUUUUUUUUUUUUAUGUAUUAUUUCUCUCCAAGGCUCACUUUUUUUUGAAUAAUGUAAUUUAGUCCUUGAUAAAAAUUCAUUUGUGCAGCACAAAUCCUCUUUAUUUCAAAUCAAGCCCUUCAAUUUCUAAAGUGUUGAAUUUGAUCUCAAAGCUGUAGAUUUCAUUCAUUUUCGUCAUUCUUGACCAAUAUUUAUUCCAAUCCCAAAUUUUCUCGUAACAGAAUCCAAAAAUACAAAAAAUUAAGUAUUAAGUUCACAAUAAUACUAACAAAAGACACUUUAUGUGGCUUAAAUAAGUGUAAAUUUAAUACUUAUUCAUAUCCACCUUCACAUCCACUCCCUUUUCAAUGAAUUUUGUCAUUUUCGGUGUGUCUUCGAGUUCCUAGACCUAAAGAAAAUGCAUGGAUACAAUUAUAGCAUUUAUAUCUUGUUGCCGUAAAUCUGCGUUGACAUAAUCUAUAGCCUCCUCAUAUGAAGUCUUAUUAUCUACUUGUAUUGUGGACAUCAUCUGUUUGGACUGUCCAACCAACAAGUAUGUGAAAAAUCUCAUGAUGACCUUAUAACCUUAUCUAAGUGGUUGUAGCUCCUAGAUCGUGGCGUUAUUAAGGAAUCACAAUGUUUUCAUCAAAGCUAGUAUCACCAUCAAGUUGACUCCAUUACUUUUGACAAUUUUUUCAUCUAUAGGAUCAUAUGAAAGAUCAUAGCUCCUACUCUGGUCAUGAUGUCUUAAUAUUCCUAAAACUGUAGUUUGGUUUUCAUCAAAAAUAGCAUCACCAUUAAGUCGAAUCCAUUACAUCCUCAGUUUCAACAAUUUCUUCAUCUAUAGGAUCACAUGAAUGAUCAUCCCUUCUACUUUUAUCAUGUUGUUUUAGUAUUCCUAAACUGUAGGUUGUUUGUCACCGGGGUUGUGUUUCUAGAAUUGAUAUCGUAGAUUUAUUCUCACUCAUUUCUUUGAAAACAACCUUAUUUUGGUUUGAAAAGACAUAUAUUGAACACAUUAAGUCAUAAAUAUUAGUCUAGAAUUUCAUGUUAAAACUAAAUAGUGACAUUACAAAUAUUACAAAUCAAAGUUUACUUAUAAUUAUUACAUGCAAUAAUAUGAUACAAAUAUUUUAGUGCUAACCUAUUAGUCGAUGCUAAUUUGAGCCACAUUUGCAGCUGUAACACGUUAUUGAUUCUUUAUAUAAAGAUAAGAAUAUAGCCAAUUUAUUCAUUAAUUACAAUCACAAUAUAAAGCAAUUAAUAAAAAACGAAUAAGAAGAUCAAAUACGAUAAUAUAUUCUACAGCUUUCUGUGAAUCAUCCAAUACUUCUACAUUAUUCAAAUAUUGACGAAUUAUUAUAGGUUCCUUAAUACAACAUUUUAGGACAAAUCAUCGCCUCAACAUCUUUAAGAUCAACCAACGCCUAAAAGAAUAAAAAAAUUCAACAACUAAUAGGGAUUAUAAAUUCAGUAAUUUUGAAUAUUUGAAUAGCUAACACAUAUUUGACAAUUUUCGAAGGUAAUCUCAUACUUAUUUGCAUUCAAUUUCCACCAAAGUAAUAGGUUGAAAGGCUCAUUAGUCAAAUCUUGACAUAACCAUUUAAGAAAUCUAUCAAAUUAUUCUAUCGAUUAAAUAGUAAAAUUUAACAACUAAGUUUAAAUAUAAAUAAUAAAUCGUAUGAUCUAACCAGAAAAUUGAGAAGUAAAUAAACAAAUAGUAUCGUCUAAAAAAAUUAAGGGCUUCGAAAAAUCACAACAAAACAAAAAAAUUAUCAAUAAAAUAUAAUAAACAAUUACAAAAAAUAAGAAAUUUUGGAUAAACUUACAUGGAAAUUUCGGCAAAAUUCGAGAAAAAUAUUAGUAGAAGGAAAGGAAAUGGUGUGAGUUUAUUAAAAUUUAAUUGUCUACUCAAUGUGAUGGACAUUCGAUGAUUAUGGUUUCAAAAAAGUUCAAUACUUCAGCCAAUUUGAGAAUUUUUCUUUCACAAUUUUGAUGACUUAUGGUUAUUUAUUAUUUAAUUAAUUGGAAUGGAUAGUUGUCUAAUUGUGUGUUGAAUUUAACUGGGUUGGAUAUAAUAUGAAUGUAUAUUUUGAAUUUGGAUGCUUUACGUUUUAGUUGGGUUGAAUAAAAUUUAAAGUAACUUAUUUUUCAAUUAUUUUUAUUUUUUGUAAUAAUUUGAUAAUUUGAAAUGGUUUGCAAAAAUUGAAAUCUAAACAAAUCUAAUUUGAAACGAUUUGGUUCGAUUCAAAAUAAAAACAUUGAGGGAUCUAUGUGAACCCAAAUCAAUGAUUUCAAAAACUAAUUUUAGUUCGAUUUCAUAGUUUGACGAUUUUGCUAUCUGGCCCUAGUAAUAGCUGUUUUUAUUAAAACAAUGGAUUUUUGUUUAAAGUUUAAAAGUUCUUGUUGAUCAAUAAAAUUUCUUUUUAAGUUAUUUUAAAGAAGCUCAAAUUUUUCAAAAAGCUUUGUAUCCAAGAAAAUUGAAAUAUGUAUUUAAUAAAACUUUUCAAUAAACAAAAUUAUCCUUCAAACUAUCUUAACAUCGAAAUAACAAUGGACUAAUAUAGCCCCCCAGGGCACAUCCGAGUUGGUGGAUCAAUAACUUUGGCGGGCUCGCAACUUCAGCGUGGAGAGUUCGAUUCCUGGUGGGAACCUGUAAUCCAACAAAUGGGCAACUUUGUUGGUGGAUCAAUCACUAUGGAGGAAAGCUCUCUUGAGGCCAAGAGUAAAAAUCGGGUGGGAACCUGUGAUCCAACAAGGGCACAUCCUGCGGUUUACCUCCGCUAGUCACUGAGGGGCCGAUGGCUAGGGGUUCAGGAUUUAGUCUGGCGAAGCUGGGACACCUGGGUAUAAAAAAAAAAAAAAAAAAAAGGAAAAAAAAAAAAACAAUGGACUAAUAUAAUAAAUUUUAUAAUUUAAAGUUUCAUUUUGAAAGGUUAACAAAUAUGUUUCUAUCUUAUUUUUAGUAUUAUUUAUCAUUUUAACUAUGAAAUGUCACAUACAAUCCCCAUUUCAAUUAGUUAAAAUAUAUAAUAAAAUAAAUAAUGUGAUCUACACAAAUAAAUAACUUGAUAUUCAUUUAAAUAAUAAUACUUCGUUAUUUUAGUUAAAAUAAAUUUUAAUAGUUUCAAUGAAUGGAAAUAAAUAUUAUAUACAAAUAAAUUAUUAAAAUUUAGCCACAUAAGUAUGUGGUAAGCACUUUUUAGUUACACUACCAAACAAUCUAUUUAGUACUCACAACAUUUUUCAGAUUGACUAUCAAACGAACAACUUUUUAUUAAAAGCUUUUCUUGAAAAGGCUCUACUAGUAAAAACUCUAUUGAUAAAGUUCUACACACAAUAGUUGUACUUAAUGGACCCUAAAAAGAUUAGAUGCAACAUCAUUCUCCAAUUUGACACAACAACAAAGAUGUUGAUUUUUCAUUAAAUCUUAGUAGAUGGAAUGGCUGGGAUAUAAAAAGCAACAGUGGCUUAUUUAACACAUUUGAAAUUUAUUGACCAAAUAGUAACAGGUGGGAAAGUUUAGUGACCAUUUCGAUAAUUAACCCGACGUUACUCUAAAACAGAGUAUUAUUAUAUAAUUUUUGACCACUUAUAAUAAUGUUUUGUGUUUCUUGAUAGAUCCUUCUAUGACCAGUUUUAGUACUUUUCCAAACUAAAUAUUCUAUGACAUUUGUGGGACAUAGGAAAGAUAAUUGACAAUUGAUAUAUACAAAAUGACAAUUAGAGUUGUUAGGGUGAUCAGUGGUUAAAUGUGAACAUUACGGGAAGUCUAAAAGCUAAAAUAUUUUUUUAUAGAAGUCUUACCAAAUGUUGAACGGCUUAAUUGCAAUUAAAUUACUUGUGAAAGGAGAAUUUGACUCUUCAGGAUCAUAUUCUCAAAAAAUUCUCCACGACUAGGGAAUUAUUUUCAUUUUAAAUAUAACGGAGAGAUGUCUAAUAAAUAAUAUGUCAAGGUUCGGGAAUUUUAUUGUGUGAGAGAUCUUAACUUUGUGAUUCUCGCCUUAUUUUCAUAUAUAGUAAAAUUUUCUUGCAACACUAUUUUGUCUAAGAAUAUUUGAUUAAUUUUCUCACCACCUUUGUAUCUGAAAUUGAAAAAUUCAUAAAAUUGAAAAUUAUCAAACAAUAGAAGGAUUGGUGUGCAAUAAAUAAAUAUUAUUGUUCCGGCAUAAUCCAUUAUUUUUCUUUCCGUAGCAGUAAUAUUAUGAAACUUGUACAAAAUAUUUUUCACAAAGUAAAUCGUUAGUUUUUGGUUCCUUUCAAGAAAAAUAGUAGUUAAUUUUAAUCUAGAAUUAUUUAAUAAAAAAUUAGAAGUAAAUAACUUUGGGGACCAAUUUAGAAAUCUCUAAAAAAUUCCUCUCCAAUUUUAACAUUUUAAGAUUUAAACGGGCCAGUUACCAAAUACGUUCAUUUCUUUAAUAACAAACAAACGUGGAACUGUGGAAGUCAAAUAUAAUAAAAAAUACAUAUCUAAUAAUUAACAUUCAAGGUUGAAUGUCAAAUGUUGAACGAAAUCUUAACAUUUUAUAAGAAUUUAGAGGAAAGAUAAAUUUAAGUCAAAUCUUGGUUGUUAAAAGGGAAAAUUUCAAAUAAUUAAAUCCAUCCUCUAUAUAUCUAAUAAUUUAAGAAUUUAAAUUAAAUUUUAAUAUAUAGUGUCGAAAAAUUAGACAAAAUGUCAUCAAAUAAAGCCUCAUUGUUACUUUUAAAAUUUGUAUAUGUAUAAGAUCUUUAAUAAAAAAAUUAAUCCGAAAAUUGUGAAGAAUUUGGUCAAGUAAAAUGAAGAACCCAUUUUGCAAACUCAUAUAUUGUAAAUGCAUGUUUUAUAAGAACCAGAGGCGGACCCACAUGGUGUCAUGUGAGAUCAAAUGACCUCACAAUUUUAUUUUAUUUUUUUUCCCUGCUGAAAACGUAAUUUCAUGCCAAGUUGGUGAGCCAACCCAAUUAAUUUUCCUAGCCCAAUACUCAAAAAGCCCAAAUCCUAAAUCUAUAUCCAUAUCACAUUGUCCAUAUCCAUUAGUUUGUCCAUAGAUAUAUCAUAUAAUUCACCGAUUUCUUCUUUUUGUUCAUGAUACGUUGUUCUAAAUAAAUUUCAUUUUUAACUCCACAGUUUGAACUGUCUAGAUCCGCACCCGAUAAGCACGUAUAAUGAAGAUUGAGAUGUAAACAAACUGGUGCAAGCCUCAUCCUAACUGUAAAAAAAUUGAAACUUCGACAAGGGAUCCCAACAAGUUGGUCCCACUUCUUUUUCCUAACUUUCCUUGGACGAUAACAAUUAAUAGUGCAACACUAACGAAAAGUUACGGACCAACUUGAAAAAUGAGGCAAUAGGUUGGGGACCAACGGUGAAAUUUUUGCAGAUUUUGACAACUAUAUAUACAGGUCACAAGUGACUCAUCUGAUAUUCCAUAAAUUUCUCAAAGCUAGUUGUCCCCUGCAUUCAUUGUCUCUUUAUUCCACGGAAGGAUGAAGGUAUGCACACACACAGUUGAAAUGCAAGAAAUGGAAAGAGAAACCCUUGAAUCUUCUUAUAUGUAUAUUUACUCUUUCAAUGUUUUUCAUCAUCAGCAAAAGGUGGUCAUUGAGGUCUCGUUAAAUGGCCAUAUCUCUCAAGGCAUCAUUGAGAUGUUGAUGUGCUGCGUAAAUCAAGAGUCGAACGAAGCUACGAAGAUUAGAACGAGGGCCAUGAAGAUUGCAGUAUGCAUCCCAAGUAAGUUAAAUCUUUUUUAUGAGUAACAAAGCCUGUGUUUGAGCAUUUUUAUUUAUUUAUUUAUUUAUUUGGUGAAAAUGAGCUCAAAGACCGGCAAAAAUAGCUUGUUUGGUACUUGAGACUUACAUAAUUAUAUCUAGGACAUCAAACAAGGUUCCUUUUUUUUUUUCCCCCAAUAUUGUCUAGUCAACUUUAUCAGACAUGCAAUAAGAAGACUUCAAUUUAGAUGGUGUUAUUUACGUUAUUCUAUAGGGGUAGAGUCUGCAGCAAUGGAGGGGGAGGAAAGGAACAAGCUAACAGUGAUUGGCGAAGAUAUCGACACGGUGACUCUUGUCAAAUUGCUUAGGAAGAAUGUGUGCUUCGCGAAGAUCGUGAGUGUUGGCCCUACAGAGACUGUCAAAACUGCCGAGGACAAGAAUCAGGCGGCUGUGCAUCCCAUAUGCUAUAAUCAUGUGCCUCAUUAUCAAUUAUUGGAAAUCAGAGAACCCUACUAUACCCCCUCAUGUUUCAACUUUUGAAUGCUUAUUGGUGUUGAAUUUGUCCAAAAAAUUAAUAAUAAUGAAAAAAAAAAUUAUGUUUUGCAAUGGAAAUGAAUAAAGUGACAAAUUUUGUUUGAAAUAAUCUUACAGAUAGAACAUAUUGUAUAAUUAUUGUUUGUUGUGGAAGCUCGCUUCAAGAUGUUCAAACGGUGAUUUUCUAGCUCAGUUUCACAUUAACUUUUUCUACCAAACAACCAAUCUAAACAUCUCUGACUCACAAGCAAUCUAUUUUCCUUAAUUGCUUCUCAAUCUUACCCAUAGAUGACAAGAUAACGGUGUUGAUUUGUAAGUUACAAUGAAACAAGAAAAAUAAUGAAUGAGGCACAAAGAAGAGACCAAAACGAAGGAGGAAGUCACCAGCUUUCACUCUCAAUUGCACACAUUUUUCUCCAAUAGUAGGCAGCCAUGUUCUCUCUUUACACACAAACCACACACUAAAAAAUGCCUAGCUCAAUACACCAUAUAUAUAGAUAUAGGUUAGGUUUUAGUCUGACCAAGAAAGGGGUUAAAUUGACUAAGAUUUAAAAGCCAUCCAAUAGAUAAAUAUAUGGGCCGUGAAUAGCAUUAAUUUCUUAAGCUACUUUCAACAGUCCACGUUGUUUUCGUGUUGAGCCUUUAGACUUGGUUGUUGGUAAUCAAUUCAUCAUUGUCCAAGACCUGUGAAAAUAUAUUCAAACGUUUUACAUCAUCGCCAAAGAUUUAUUGGUUAUGAAAACCCAACAAAUUUUCACCUUGAUACACAAUCAACCUGUAAGCUAUCAAAACCCAAAAUCAAUACUCACAUAAUAAAUGUAACCNNNNNNNNNNNNNNNNNNNNNNNNNNNNNNNNNNNNNNNNNNNNNNNNNNNNNNNNNNNNNNNNNNNNNNNNNNNNNNNNNNNNNNNNNNNNNNNNNNNNNNNNNNNNNNNNNNNNNNNNNNNNNNNNNNNNNNNNNNNNNNNNNNNNNNNNNNNNNNNNNNNNNNNNNNNNNNNNNNNNNNNNNNNNNNNNNNNNNNNNNNNNNNNNNNNNNNNNNNNNNNNNNNNNNNNNNNNNNNNNNNNNNNNNNNNNNNNNNNNNNNNNNNNNNNNNNNNNNNNNNNNNNNNNNNNNNNNNNNNNNNNNNNNNNNNNNNNNNNNNNNNNNNNNNNNNNNNNNNNNNNNNNNNNNNNNNNNNNNNNNNNNNNNNNNNNNNNNNNNNNNNNNNNNNNNNNNNNNNNNNNNNNNNNNNNNNNNNNNNNNNNNNNNNNNNNNNNNNNNNNNNNNNNNNNNNNNNNNNNNNNNNNNNNNNNNNNNNNNNNNNNNNNNNNNNNNNNNNNNNNNNNNNNNNNNNNNNNNNNNNNNNNNNNNNNNNNNNNNNNNNNNNNNNNNNNNNNNNNNNNNNNNNNNNNNNNNNNNNNNNNNNNNNNNNNNNNNNNNNNNNNNNNNNNNNNNNNNNNNNNNNNNNNNNNNNNNNNNNNNNNNNNNNNNNNNNNNNNNNNNNNNNNNNNNNNNNNNNNNNNNNNNNNNNNNNNNNNNNNNNNNNNNNNNNNNNNNNNNNNNNNNNNNNNNNNNNNNNNNNNNNNNNNNNNNNNNNNNNNNNNNNNNNNNNNNNNNNNNNNNNNNNNNNNNNNNNNNNNNNNNNNNNNNNNNNNNNNNNNNNNNNNNNNNNNNNNNNNNNNNNNNNNNNNNNNNNNNNNNNNNNNNNNNNNNNNNNNNNNNNNNNNNNNNNNNNNNNNNNNNNNNNNNNNNNNNNNNNNNNNNNNNNNNNNNNNNNNNNNNNNNNNNNNNNNNNNNNNNNNNNNNNNNNNNNNNNNNNNNNNNNNNNNNNNNNNNNNNNNNNNNNNNNNNNNNNNNNNNNNNNNNNNNNNNNNNNNNNNNNNNNNNNNNNNNNNNNNNNNNNNNNNNNNNNNNNAAUUUUACUACUUUACAACCAACACUAUUCACUAAUCUCCAAUAACCAUGCCAACCAAUAGAGAAAAAAAGGGAAUCCUAAGUGCACAAGGGGCAAAAUUGUCCAGAAUCUCAAUUUUGCCUAAGGGGUAAAAUUGUCCAGAAUCUCAAUUUUGCCUAAGGGGUAAAAUUGUCCAGAAUCUCAAUUUUGCCUAAGGGGUAAAAUUGUCCAGAAUCUCAAUUUUGCCUAAGGGGUAAAAUUGUCCAGAAUCUCAAUUUUGCCUAAAAUAGAAAUCGAACACCACAAGUCUAUCUCGUCAUCUGGAACAAUCUGUUAGAAGAUAACGUUAUCGAAAUCACCUCUACGCUCUCUCACAUGCAUCUGGUUGAGUUUCAUGCGCUGUCCGACCACUUCAUGAGCUGAUCAUGCAGCUGUGCCUCCACCUAUACGUCACGCCAAUAGUUUUCGUUUCACCAACCAAUCAUUGGAUUAGCUCGAAACACAGAAAUAUGUUCAGUAGCCUUGAAGAAACUGGGCAAAUUUGGUUUCUAUUUUGAUUCUAUAGAUUUUCUAGUUAGUUGUUAGUCAGAUUUUUGAGCCACCUUGAAGCUCUAACCAAUUGUUGCAGAAGCUCGCUCCAAUAUCAAAAUUGUUAUUUUUGAGCCCAGUCUCACAUUAUCUUUCUCCAAUUCAAAUGGCACUAACCACAAUCAAUCCAUUUACCACAGUUGCUUCUCAAUCUCACCCAUACAAGAUAAAUAACGGUGUUGAUUUGCAAGCCAAGAAGACAUGAGAAAAAAAAUGAAUAAGGCACAAAGAUGAGACCAAAACGAAGGAGGAAGUCACCGAUUUUUUACUCUCAAUUGUACAUGUUUUUCUUCAACAAUAAGCAGCCAUUUUUUUCUCUCUUUACUCACAAAUCGCACACUAAAAAAUGGCUAGGGAAAUACACCAUAUAUAGUGAUAUAAGUUACGCUUUAGUUGUACCAAGAAAGGGGUUAAAUGUGCCAAGAUCAAAGAGCCAUCCAAUCGGUAAAUAUAUGAGUCGUAAAUAGCAUUAAUUUCUUAAGCUACUUCCAAUGGUCCUUGUUGUUUUCGAGUUGAGCUGCUAUACUUGGAUAUUGGUAAUCAAUUCACCAUUGGUCGAGGUAUAUGAAAAUACAUUCCAACGUUUUAUAUCAUUGUCCGAGAUUUAUUGAGUAUCAAAAUCCAAUAUUGUUGAAAGAUAAUGAGAAAUAGGUAAAAGAGAGAACUCAACAAAUUGCAGAACCUAUAGGUUUUAAUACGUAAUUGUUGUACUCAAAUGGUAUAGGAUGUUUUAUGGUGCUUAAAGAGAUUCGCCAGCAAAUGAUUUGUAGAAUAAACAAGUAUUUAAAAAAAUUAAAUACGUGUGUUUUCUUCCAAGAACUUGAUGAACAUUAAAAACAUUUAAUAUGUAUAAAAAUGGGAGAAAGAAACACUUAAGUGGAUUUUAAGAAUUGAUAUCUUAUGGUUAUAAUUGAAAACACGUAUUAUAGUUUUCCACAAACAGUCCACAAAUUAGUAAAUAACUUUUAUGAAAGUUGUUAAUUUUCAUGAGAGCUGCCAAGAGAUCAAAAUUGGAAAUUAGACUAAUGACUAGUUCUUGUAACCAUGUAUAUGCAUUGUUCAAGGAAUACAUGGCACAAAGAACAUGGGCUUAAAGUUGCCCACCCUCCAAUUUCUUCCCAUUUUGAUCUCAUAUUGAUUUUUCUUUUUCAAUGGUAAUUAUUUUUUCAAUUCUCCCUUCCAAUAUAAUUUUUGAACAAAAUAUAACAAUCCUCCAGCUAUUCAAAAUUAUAUAGAUCACAAAUAUAAAUUAUCAACACUUACACAUAAGUUUAGAUAUCUUUUGAUUUGAAUCUUACUUUAGUAUAAUUCCCACAAAGUAUAAUCAAAAUUUCAGGUAGCAUAAUAGCUUUGAAACAAUUAUUACUUGUGAUGAAAUCGAUAAAAAUAUACGCAUAAGUGCCGUGUUUCAUAGUUCCUCAAACUCGCUUAGAGCUAAUAUGGACUUAUCCUUAUCCUAUUUGUUGAACUUUUAAGAGAGAAACUCUAAUUCUCUAUGAGUUGCCUCAAAGUUCAUUUAGAUGAAGUUCUUUCUGUUUCUUUGUUACUUUUAAAGAUACUUGUACUUUGUAUUGAAUUUCAUUAAGAGCUUAAAGCUUACCCCUCCUUUAAGUAAUAACCAACAUUAUUACAUUUUAGGAUAGGGUUCUCGCAAAUAUAAUAAUGCUGAAACUAUCCACUUAUUGAAUAACUUAUUGUUACCUUUUGAGCCCAUAGUUACUAUUUUGAAAUGACAAAUAAGAUUGCCUUCAUUGGUGGAUCUUUUAAUUUAAGAGUUUUAACCCCAUCCUACUCAAUGUAGAUAUUACCAGAUCUCUAUUAAGAGGUUUAGUAAAACGAUCCACCAAAUUCUCAUUUAAAUUAAUGUAAUUUGGGGAAAGUAUUCCAUUUUUGAUCAAUUUUCUUAUGUAGUCAUGUUUUAGACUUAUAUAUCUAAACUUUCUAUUGUAUACCUCAUUGUAUGCUUUUAUUAAUGUGUCAUGACUAACACACAAAAUAAAUAUCAAAAAAUAUAUUCGUUAUUCCCAAAGACAUCUCAUAUAGAUCUUUUCUUAAGCAACAUAACCCCUUUCUAGGUGUUGGCUAAUAACACUAAUUUAGAUUCCACGAUUGAAUGUGUUAUACAUGUUUGUUUCUUAAACUUUCAAGAAACUACACCGCUUCUAAGAAGAGAAACCCAACUCGAAGUAGAUUUAUUUUAUCGGUGCUAGGUAUCCAACUAAUGUCAGUAAAUCCUUUUAAUACAGUAAAAUAUUUAGAAUAAUGUAGAUCUAUAUUUUUGGUUUCCUUUAAAUAACAAAUAACCCUCCCGAUGACCUCCAAUGUUCCAUCCUUGGAUUAUUAGUAAACCUACGAAGUUUACUAAUUGCAAAUGUUAUAUCAGAUCUUAUGUAUUAAGCUACAUAAUAAGGCUAUCUAUAGCCCUUGCAUACUCUAGUUGAACAAUUGCUCUUCCAUCAUUUUUUUUAUAAGUUUGGAGUUUGUAUCAAGAGGGGUAUUGAACUCUUUUGUCUUCAAGUGAUUAAACUUAUUAAUUACAUUCUCUAUUUAAUGUAAUUGACUUAAAAUUAGCCCUCACUAGUUUUUGUAACCUUAGUACCUAAUAUGGUGUCAAAUUGUCCAAAAUCCUUUAUCUUGAAUGUGAAAAAUAGAAACUUGUUUUUCUUUUAUUUCAUUUAUGUAAUUACUCAAAAUCUACACAUCGUCAACAUAAAAGGCAAAUAAACACAACAAAUUCAUCAUACACUUUGAAAUAUAAACGCUUAACUACACUAUUAUGUGUGAAACCAAACUUUUCAUGCCAUUUCUUUGGUGCUUGUAUUAAACCAUAUAAUGAUUUUACUAACUUGCACAUUUUAUGUUCAUUACUAGAGUGGCCAAAGCCUUUCGGUUGUUCUAUGUUGAUCUCCUCUUCAAGAUCCCCAGUUAGGUUUUUAUAUCCAUUUAAUUUGAUGAACAUUCAAGUUAUAUAUGGAAGCUAAUGUAAAUAAUAUUCUAAUUGAUGUAUUCUAGGUACCUAUGCAUAUUUAUCAAAAUAACCAAUUCUUUUUUUUUUGUCAAUAAUCUUUAGCCACUAAUCUUACUUUAGCGGUAUUAAGAGUACCAUCUACAUUGUAUUUUCUCCUAAACACCCAUUUACAACCAAUAUGUUUAAAUUCAAGUGGUAAAUCGACAAGUUCCUAAGUAUUGUUUGACAUAAGUGAAUCCAUUUUGUCUUUUGUGGCAUCUUUACAAAAUAUAAUAUCAUAAGAAGCCAUAUUUUCUUUACAAGUCUUAGAAUCGGUCUCUACAUGUGGAAUAAAAGGCACUGUCCUAAUAAAAAUUUUAUUAUUUUUCUCUACCAAGUAAAGUGAAAAGAGUUCAGAAACUAUCUCAUUCUGUCUGAAGGUUUUUUCUUUCUAAGUUCUUUUGCUUCUUUUAAACUCACAAGAUUUAUCAACAUCUUUAGAAGAUGUUUCCUAUUGUUUUCCACCUAACACUAGGAAUCUCUUCUUGAGUUUUCUUAAGUCAUUAUCCAAAGAUAAUAAAUUCUCAAAGAAUUCAACUUCAUUUGAUUCGAUUAUUACAUUUGGUCUCCAAAUUUAACAAUAAAUAGGAUUUGCUAUUACUAGCAUAUCCAACAAAGGCAAUUUUGUUGCCUCUUGGUCCCAAUUUGGUCUUUUCUAGGUCUAUGUUCUUAUAAUAAUCAAGACACUCUCACACUUUAGAAUAUUCAAUGUUUCGAUUUUCUUCUUUUCCACAAUUCAUAAGAAGAAAUUUUUGUGAUUUUUAAAGGAAUUCUAUUAUAGAAUCUAUAUGCACAUAACAAAACUUAACCCCACAAGUUAAAUAGCAAAUUAACAUAUGUUAAUAUGGCAUUUAUCAUUUCAACAAAUUUUCUAUUUUUUUUUUCCAAUUUGGUCUUUUUUAGGUCUAUGUUCUUAUAAUAAUCAAGACACUCUCACACUUUAGAAUAUUCAAUGUUUCGAUUUUCUUCUUUUCCACAAUUCAUAAGAAGAAAUUUUUGUGAUUUUUAAAGGAAUUCUAUUAUAGAAUCUAUAUGCACAUAACAAAACUUAACCCCACAAGUUAAAUAGCAAAUUAACAUAUGUUAAUAUGGCAUUUAUCAUUUCAACAAAUUUUCUAUUUUUUUUUCUUUCCAUCGAAUUGUUAUGCCCCUCACAUAGGCACAGAGGCGUUUUCAUGUGCCGAAGCACGUAAGGAAGAGGUGCUCCCAAAAUAUGAUAUCGUCUGAAGCGUCUUCACGUGCCAAGGCAUUGCUUUCGAAAUAUGAGGCCUGAGCCGCAUUGACAAAGGCACUAUGUCUGAGGGGAUAUGUCGGGGAGAAAAGGAUAAGCACCUCUUCAUUGCCAAUUUCAGAGAUCUUCUGGCCAAGAUCUUCUAUGUGUCUUUAGAAAUGAUUGAUGUGAUGUCUCUGCCAUGUGUCAACCCAGAAUCAGUAGAAUUAAUUGCCCACCCACCUAGGAAGCGAUUGGUGGAUGCCUACUAGUGACACCUCGUACCGUUGGAUGAUUUCACGUGUCACGCAUCUAGCGGUGCUCUUAAAAAUCUUAAAAAUCAUCUAUGAAGGUGAUAAAAUACAUAUUUCUCCCAUGUAUAACGUGUCAUUUAAUUCACAUAUUUUCAAAUGGACAAUUUCUAAAUAUGUAAAGUCCUAUUCACACAAUGAUAAAGUUUCUUAGUCAUUUUCGGUUCCACACAAUUUCUAUAUUUAUGUGUAUAUUUUAUAUUGUAAGAUUUAUAUUGUAAGAUAUCAUAUCAUAGUUUAACAUAAGAAAGAAAAACUUGAUUACGAGAACUUCAUGUUAGGCCGAUUACAUUAGUACAAAUAUACCUAAACUGGAUUGAGAACGUUGGAGUGAGAGUGAAUGCUAAGUUCCUAUUCAUGUUGGAAACAUGUAAUAGAUUUAUUAGGGCAAUUGUUUUUCCGAAAGUGAAGACAAUAUCAACAUUUCAUUUACCAACCACUUUGAAGUAGCCUUCAUUACCCAUUUGCAUCCCUUGCUCACCAUUCGAUUCGUGACAAGUCUUGAAAAAUAACUUAUCAUAUGAUACAUGAAUGUUGUUGCACAUGUAUCAUACUUCCAGUCAGGAAUAUUUUAUUUGAUAGCAUUGAUUUCACUCAUAGUAGAUGCAAUGUUAUCAUCAAAUGAGUUUAUUUUGCUCUCAUUCUUGUUUUGUUUUCGAUGCAAACAAUUUUUCGCAUAAAUUUCGGGUUUUCGUCCCAUAAAAAAAUCUCUCUUGGACUUUUUGUGAUCCUUAUUAAAAGAAUUCCUUUCGUUUAUGUUGACCUAUGGUUGAUUGUAACCUUAAGCCUUUGAUUUAUAACAAACAAGUUAAUUUCGUUUACUCAUAAAUUGAAUUCAAGUGAUUAUAGUCUUUCAAAGCAUACAAUGAAAAAUUGAUUGAUGGUGAUUGAAAUAUCAAAAGCUAUUAUAAUAAUCGGACUUCUAAAGGAGGUCAAGAUCGAAGUCACAUACUCAAGAGCUUAAGAGCCAAACUUUGAAAUAGAUCAAUGAUUAGAUUUCUUAGAUAAAGUGCAAAGAUAUUGGUACUUUGAUAUUUAGCAAUGACCAUUUAGGCUCCAAAUCCUUCUAUGUAUUAAAAAUAAUUUUAUGCAUUAAAAGUUAUUUUUGAUAUAAUUUUUGAUUAAAUAUAAAAAUGACUUUUAAAAUGGUAUUCUAACUGGAAAAAUAUCUUUUAUCUUGAAAAGUUAUUUAAAAAUACUUUUCAAAAGUCAAACGCUUUUCAAAACCUUCAAAUUGGAUCAAAUAAGGCCAAAACGUAAAAAUAUCGAAACUGUUAGACAGUUUACAAGCUAGAAGAAGCGAUCAAUCAAAAAUUUUCAAAGGUCCAAAAUUUGACCAUUUUGACCUCUAUAUUUUACUAUACAAAAAGCUAUAUUUAUCAUCCGAACAAGAGACUGUCGAUCGGACAUGUCAUCCGAACAUACAAUUUUGACGUUUUGAACUAUAUAAAUACCUCCAUUUCUUGCAUUCAUUAUAGCAAUGUUGGAGAGCAUUGAAAGUGAAAAAUGACUAAGUAUAUCUCUUGAGCUUACAUCUCAUUUAUUCUAUCAAACAAUUACUUAAAAAUCUUUAAUUUAUUAAACUUUUUAAAAUCAUCUUUUUAUCAAAUCUUUUUCAUCUAAUACUUGAGCUUCAUUUAUUGCUAUUCAAUUGAAGUGUUGAAUUCAUCCUGUGUUUUUUCUUUUCCAUUCACUUGGAUUUCUGGCUUUGGUUUUUUCAUAAAAGUGCAGCCGUGGUAUUCAGAAAAUAGAGAUCUUUUUUAGUGUUUUUACAAGAAAUCUCUAGCCAACCCAACGCGUUUUGAACUAUUUAAAAUUAAAAUAUCUUAAUUUCCAAUUCCAUUGGACUCCUAUUUCUCUCUUAGCACUUAAUUUAUUUAUAUCAUUUAUUAAGAGAGAAGUUUCAAAUUGUAAAAUCAUUUCUUAUCAGAUUUGUGGGUCUUAUUGAAGUCCUAUAAAGCUCAAUAUUAUAUAAAGAACGGAGCUUCUUGUUUGUAAGGCAUCAAAAGUAUUGUAAGGAUUUGGAUUUUACCAUAAGUUAAUCAAAUAUAGUGAAUGGGUCUUGCUCGUAACUGGGAACUUGGUAACGUAGGAUAUAGAUAAUUGUUUUGGAUCAAACCUCUACAUUUAUAUCAUUUGCAUUCUCUCUUUUAUUUUAUUUAUUGCUUUCGUAUUUGUGCAUUUUGUUUGAUUGAUUUAUUCAUUCCCAAUUUGCUUGAAUUUGAAUCAAUUUUUCGAAAACAUUUUGAAAACCAAUUCACUCCUCUCUUGAGCUGUCAAUUUGAUUUGUUGGAUGGUUCGUUCUUUUUCAUGUCAUUGGCUUUCAACAUGACUUCGCAAGAGUUUUCAUUCUUGUCUCUUGCCCUCAAUUCUUCUUCAUUUUGGAGAUGCUUUUGAAUUUGGAGCAAAGAAAAUGAAACGAUGAGGGUUCUAUUUAUAUAUUUCAAUGCAUCUAUCUUAAUAGUUACAUCUUUGUACAAAAAUUCAUUUUGACCAUUAAAUCAUACCUUUUUAUUGGAACAUGGUCUGAUGAUCUAUAUCGCACACUUUAUAAAGGUAAUGACUCUUCGCUAUGCACCAAUAACAUAUGAAGAGUCAUACCUAAUCAUCAUAACUAUUAGAGACUUAUUCCAAUUCAUAUAUUAAUCAUUAAAUAACCCGAUAAUUCCAACAAUCGCAAACACAAACAAAAUAAGUGACUCAACACAAGCAAAAAUAAGAAAAAUUCUAUUUGCGAGAUAAUGAAUCAAGAUAGGUAAAUUUUCCUUUGAACCUCCCUUAGUAAGAAAAUUCAUCAGACUUGCUUGGGUAAUAAGUGAAACAACAUUUCAAACUAUCAACCAUUAUCACAAGUUUAAACAAUAGAGCAAACACAUUAUUUCUUAUAUUAGACUUGAUUCUUCAUUAUAUUCAUUAAUUCGAUCCUAAACUCUCUUGAGUUCUAAGUACUUUGGAGAAUUCGCCUAAGUAAAAUUCAAAAGAACCUACCAAGUUUUCACUUUCAUAUGUUAUGUUCAUUGAGAUAGUUAAUGAUUCAUUUAGUGUAAAUUGAGUUCUUUGACUUCAAUUGGUCAACAUUCAAAGUAAUUACAAAGCAAGUUAAACUAACUAAUUAUCUACAUUCCCUUUUGUGUUUGAGACUUAGUUUGCCCUUUCCUUAUCCUCAACAAUAUUUGUAGACAUCACUUAUUUACAUUAUAAAAAUAAGGAGAAGUUAAACUCCUAAGUGCUUCUUGUCAAGUCAUUCAUAGUUAGUUUAACUUUUAAAUCCAGUGUUCUGAAUAGUGUGUCUAGGCAUGAGACGUGACAAAAACUCCACGCUUAAGACCUAUGUGCUAAUUUUUUGGUCAAUGGAAGCGUUGGCCGCUUUAAGGCAUGCAUUAUCAUUAUUUUUUAAUUAAAUUUUUGAACAAUUUUUAAUAAGCUCAUUUGUCCUACCCUACAUAAAGUUUUCAACUUUUAGGCCAAUAGAUUGAAAGAUCUAACAAGUUGCUCACUUAUUAGUCCACUAAUUUAUAGAGGGCAUCUCCAACGAUUUUGCUACAAACUUUCGAUGUGGGAUAAAAAAUCCUUCGUUUUGGCUACAGUGCAUUAUAUCUUUGAUUUGGUUGUAAUGUAUUGUACCUUCGAUUUGACCGUAAUGUAUUGUACAAUUGUAUAAAUAGUUAUUUAUAUUUUAUUAAGUUAAUUAAUCAUUUUCCUAUCUUUUACUAAUUAAUAAAAAUUUAAAAAUCUCCAAAUAUUUCAGUUAGCACUAUAUAAUAUAUCUUGUUUAUUGUUUGAAAAUAUAUUUGCUUCGUUGAACUCUUAAAACUACAUUUGGUAAUAUAAUUUGUAUAUAUUAUUAAAUUAUUUUUAAAUUGAUUAAAAAUUUAAAAUAAUAUUAAUGUAAGAAAAUACUUUUUUUACGCCUAAGACUCAUCUAGGUAUGCAUCAAUCGAAGUUUGACCUUCACACAUCGUCAUGCAUGACAUUUUUUUGGAACACUGAUUAAAACUAGUUCGUGAGAUCUACAGUAGUUAGGUUAGGUUUUUUUAGGAUAUCUCUUUAAGUUUUAAACUCAUUUCCCUCGAUGUACGAUCUAUUUGCUUUCUAGAUAAUCCUUUUAUAAAUGAAUUGCUAGGUUUUCUCUUGAUUUAACAACAUCAAACGAUAUUGUUCCAUUAGAAACAAAAGGUUGAAUGUCAUUAUAUUUAUACCUAUGAUGUAUGAAUCUUGACUUAACGAUACACGAAGUUUUAUGUUGUAGCUAUUGUUCGGUUAUUUCUAUAUGCAAUAUGGUUAGCAAUUCAAAGGAUUGGUGGGUCGAUAAUGGUGCAACCCAUUAUAUUUGUGUAGAUAAAGCCAUGUUCUCAGAUUAUCAUGAAUCAAAAGGAAAACAAUUGUUCAUGAGGAACUCUACGAGUUCGAGCGUUGAAGGACUUGGAAAGAUCACAUUGAAAAUGACUUCCGGGAAAGAACUAAUCCUCAAUAAUGUUCAUGUACCAGACAUUUGCAAGAAUUGGUUUCGAAGUCUUUACUUAGCAAGAAUGACUUUACAUUUGUAUUUGUAUCGGACAAAUUUGUACUUACCAAAAAUAAUAUGUAUAUUGGUCAAGGUUAUCUUUGUGAAGGAAUGUUGAUGAACGUUCUAACAAUUGUACGAAAAAGUAUUAUAAAUAAAAAUUCUAAUUAUGUUUAUAUGCUUGAAUUGUCUUGUUUAUGGCAUAGUCGAUUAGAACACAUCAAUUACAAAUCUAUGUUCAAACUUGUGAAUGAAAGUUUAGUUCCGAUGCUUAAGAUUGAUCUUAAUCAUAAGUGUGAAGUAUGUGUUGAAACAAAGUUGACCCAAACACAUUUUCAUUCAAGUCAAAAAGUGAUUAAAGUAUUAUUUUCACGAGGACUAGCUAAAUAUCCAAUUCGAUUUUUAAUUAACAUAUAACUAUCUAAAUGCAAUGCUAAGAAACUAGUAUGAAGCAUUUAUGAACUUGAUUAACAACAAGCAAUAGGACUUCGAAUCUCUCUUUAUAUUAUGUUUUAACAACCAUCAAAGAUAUUGACAACAUGCUUAAACUUGAUGAUUAAUGUACUUAUUUUGUUUAGUAAUCUUUCUCGAUGAAUACUAAAUAUAUUCUCAUAUGUGAACCUACAGUAUGUCUAUGAAAAUUGUGAACGUGUGACAAUGCAUUUAAUCACUAUAUAAUAAAAUCAUGCAAGAUAUAUGGUAUGGGUAUAUAUCUCUAUCACAUAUAGAACCCUACAAAGAUUAUCAUGUGUAUAAUACUUAUUCUUUCUCUCAGACAUAAUAAAGAUCAUUAAUCUGUUCAACUAAUGAUCAAUUAAUUGAAGCAUUAAACAUGUAACAUACUGUUCAAGCUUAACAAGAAUUAAUAGUUAGUCUCGAAAUUAAAAUUAAAACAUCAUAGUCAUAGGCUUAUCGUCAUCCUAGUGACUAGGAAUUUAGUCAAGCAUCAUAAAGUUACAAAAACAAAUGCUUGCAUAUUUAGCCCCGUCUCUUAUUUUAAUUGUAGGAAAAAGAAGGGAAAAUGUCUUGAACUCAUGAAUUUCUUCAAUUCUUAAAUAAUAUCCGUGUAUGAAGAAGCCAAAAUCUAAAUUAUAAUCUUCAAUUUUGGGUAGAUGAUUGUGAGUUCUUGUAUCAAGCUUCUUGAUUUCUCUCUAACGAAUGGUCCCCCAAUGUUUGGUUAAAAAUGAGACUAGAUUUUAUUCCAUGUACAAGUGAGUCAAAUUAGGAAACAAAAUUUUUGUUAUCGGACACUACAAUACAAUCGUACGGUGUCAUGUUUCCACUUGCUAGAAUUCAUGUACCUUGUGAUUUUCGGUCAUAAUGCCUUACUUUUCAUUCUUGGUUAAUUUUUGUUUUUGAAUUCCUUCUUCGGCUCAACUUGAUUCCUCUUCUAUUUUCACCAUAAGUUCUUCAACUUUCAGUUCUUCUCAAUUUAACCAAUGUUAUCCACUAUUACCCAUUCUUGGUCUGUCUCAAGUUUUGGAGAUUUACAAUUCAGUCCCCAAACUUUCACAAUUGUUCUUCUUCGUCCUCUUCAACCGACUUUCACUUCUUUUUUAAUCUACAAUCCAAUAUCAGAACUUUUACAUAACAAUCAAUAUUUAACUAAAAUUAAGUGGAAAUUCAAUUAAUGUGACUCCCAACAUCCACUUUUAAAAGCUUCGAUAAAUGUUAAAUUACGCUUAUCAAUAACAAAAAUCAUGGGUUUGAGAAUUUUAAAAUUUCAGGAAUUUUAUAGAUUGUCUUUCAUGAUUCUAACUUAUUAUAUUCUUAAACUCAUUAAUUUAAUUCUAAAAAUUAACUAUUUUUAAAAUGUUAAGGAACAUAUAUUGAACAACACCAGUACUUAAAAAUAAAUGGAAAUCUUAUAUACCGUAGAGUUUAGUAAUCUCCGACGUUUGAUUUCAUUUGAAUACAUCCCAUAAAUACAUGACUCGGUCCAACACGCUAACGUAAAGUAUCGGUAUGGAAUUUUCGACCACUUAUAUAAUUUUUUGGGUGUCUUGUUGAUCAGUUUUACAGCUUUUUCACAUUAUGAAAUUUGUGGGACAGUGUUUUUAGGUUGAUUAAUGUAGUUACAUGUAAACACUAGGGCCUAGGGAAGUCUUAAAAGGCAAAAGCUUGGUUAUAAACGUCUCGUCGAGGGUAGUGGAAUGGCUUAUUAUAAGUAAAAACUUGAUUAUGACUGGAGAAUUUGAACCUCAAAUGCACGUUCUCAAUUAUUUCUGACUUUUGAAUUAUUUUCAUUUUAUUUUAUUUUUAUUUUAUUUUUUUGUGAGUCAGGUGCUCGAGUUUUGAUUGAUUAAUCUUGAGGAGUGGUUCCUCCCGGUUUGGUUCACCACCUGGGUAAAUUCAAAUGCAAUUACAGCGUAUAAACACUUGGGUCAAACAUUCGGGAUGCGGUUUUCAUGUGCGGACAAGACUCCAGAAGGACAACAAAGCGUAUCAUAACUUUGCCUUCACAGGACAUCUACCUUCCAACGUAAAUGUUGACUUCAAGCUAUCGCAUGGAUCCAAACCUCCGAUACUCCAUAGAGAACUCUCCUAUUUUACUACUGUGCCUUGCCCCUGGGGCUAAUUAUUUUCAUUUUAGAUACUUCGUAGAGAACUUUAUUGUUUUACUACUGUGACAUUCCCGUAGGGCUAAUUAUUUUCAUUUUAGAUAUAGCAUAGACAGGUGUAAUAAGCUAUCAUGGGUCCAUUGAGAGCUGGGAUAUUUUUUGAGUACGAGAGAGACAGUGUCAACCUGAAUUUUCCGUUGGUAAAGAUGAUAUCUCUUUACCAACCGAUAUUCCGUGUCUAAUGUAAUCGUUUAACAUUUAGAUCUUCUUCCAAUGGAUAUUCCAUAAGUUAUGUACCGAAUAUUACCAACGGAUUGCAUCUGUUAGUAACUAGAAACAGAUUAUCCGUUGGUAAAAGUAAUUCACUUUUAGCUACAAUAAUCAGUAACAAAUUUUUCGUUGGUAAAAAUGAUAUCUUUUUAUCAACGAAUAUUCCGUGCCUAAUAUAACCGUUUAACAUUUUGAUCUUUCAGCAACGAAUAUUCCGUUGGUAAUUAAAAACGGAUUAUCCGUUGGUAAAAGAAAUUCACUUAUCCCACAUCGGAAGUUUACAACAAUAUCUUUGUAGUUGCCCUCUAUAAAUUUGUAAUCCAAUAAGGAGUUAAACAAUAUUUUAGCUUUUCAAUUCAAUUGGCUAAAAAUUAAAAAAAAUUAUAAUUAUUAAAUAAAUAAUAAUAAUAAUAAUAAUAAUAAUAAUAAAUAAUUAAAUAAAUUAAUUAAUUAAUUUUUUACCAUACGGUUAUUUACAACAUUGAUUUUUACCAAUUGUAAUGGUAGACAUUUACCAACGGAAAGUCGAUUGGUAUUGGUUAAUACUUUUCCCAACGAAAAUUUCAUUGGUAAAAGAUUCACACUUUAAUAACGAAAAAUCCGUUGGUAAAAUGUUUACUAUUUACGUAAGACAUGAUCUAUUGGUAACUAUUAGCGACCCUCAAAUUACCAGCGGAUUUGUGAUUGCAAAUAUUCCGUUGGUGAAAAUUAUUAGCAACGAAUAUUGAGGUUUUAGGAACGAAAAAUCCGUGCUUGAAACUCUAUUUUUUAAUAGUGUAUAUAAUGAGAGAAUCUCUCACAUUGAGAGGUAUCGAGUUUUAUUGAGUAUAUUUGACAUGGUAUCAGAGCGUGCUUAAUUUUAUUUAGGUUAAACUUACAAACUUCUGUUCUCCAGUGAGCGGCAUUGUGCCGCUCGUCCAGUCAAAUUUUCUUGUUUUUGUUUUACUUUUUUAGACCUUCCAUGUCGAUGUAUUCUCGAGCAUCACCAAGCAUGCAAAUCUUUAGCUUGGACUGAGGGAUAUGAAACCCUUGUCCUUACGAUCAUACUUUUUUUUUUAUCAACCCAAUAUGGAGCUCAAUUGUCUAGUCAAGUUUUAGUUGGAGUUAUUUUGGAGAAGAUUUUGUGUUCUAUUGACUGACCAAUUGGAGUAAUACCCAAUUGCUGGUGACGUGAUUAAUGGCGAUGUUGGUUUCGGCUAUCGAAGGUUCAAGUUACAGAUUUAGGAGUUGGCAUCAUCGACGCCAGAUUGUGGUCGAACUGGCGCCGCUUUUGGAAAUAGCUUGGAACACCCAAACAGAGUGGUGAGACACAAAGGCACGGCCGCUUUCACUAUAAAUCACGGGAUGCUUCACACCAUUACGUUCACACACGAAUUUUACCGCCCGAGCAACAAUAUAAGCAUAAUCUUCAACACUGUAACCAACAAAAAUUUUAGAGUUCUUCCAAGACCACUGCCAUUGUCAAUGACUUUCAUACAAGUACCGAGGUAGAUUAAUUCACAGUAGAUUGGGAAAGCUUCACGUACUCCUUCAGAUGUUGUUGAACUCGUUGUGGAUCUGCACUCGCUAAGAAUGGAACAGUGGAGAUGGAGGCUAGCAUCAUGGAUGGUUCCAGCAAGAGAUGAGGCGUCGUUUCUGGUAUCACCACCGUGAAGAACCCUAUUUCCCUUGCCCAUCUCGUCAUGGAAAAGUCUCCCUAUUCUUAUCUUGCAUUCUCUAGAGCCGAAGAAUAUGCUAAACAACAGGAUUGUGGUGUCGAAUAGAGGUUUCGAUGAAGAACAGAGGCAUUGAUGCAGAUCUGUUUAAGGACUUGGGCUAAUUCUAGUGGGCUUCUAUUGUCUUGGGUUAGCUUUGCAAUUAAAUCUUUUGGGCUGUAUGUUACUUGAGGGUGUUUAUUUGAAGUGGGCUUAUUUUUUUAUUUUUUUGUUGUGUGGGCUGAUUUUGGAGUGGGUUGAAUUUAGGUGGAAAUUUGUUUGGCUUGGAUCUGAUUCGAUUGGGACUUCAUGUGGAUUGUGUCUAUUAGUUUUAAGCUUAGUGGGUUUACAUAUAAAUUAAAGAUUGUUGGGCUUCAAAGUUUUAUAAGGCCUACUAUCAUUUGGGGUUAUUGGCUUUAAGUGAUUGGGUUGUAAACUGUGGAAGCAUGGGAACUUAAGGAGUUGAUGUCUGCUAGUUUUGAAUUGUGUGGAAAAUUCUCUAAUAUGUAGCUCAUGAUUUUCACAAAGGCGCUGCUAAAAAACAAGGCUUUUCGUUUUUUGAUUGAAGAGACAGAGACAUAGGAGUGCAGAGGAUUGAGUUCUUUGGUUGCUCGGAUAAUGAGCUAAAGUUUUGGAUUCUUGGUGGAGGAUUAUCUUUGAAGUUUUUAGUAUUGGCUGUUUUGUGGAAUUUCUUUGAACUACAGCACCUUGGCCAGCAAUAUAUUGCUGAAAUUUUGGCUAGUGUAUUGGCGUUAGAACUUUUGUCGGAGCAUGAAUUAUGUGUUCAAUCGAGUUUUCCCGACAAAUAGAGCUCAUUGUGUAUCGGCACACUUCAUGAAUUUCUUUUGGAAAUUUUUCUUAGGGUAUGAGCUUUUUGGAGUGGUUUUGGAGUAGUUCUUAAUUAUUUCUACACUAUUUGUUAUUCUUGGUUUCUAGUCGUUACUAAUUUUUGUAGAUGGUUGCUCUGAUUUGGGCUUCUUCUUCGUGGGCACAAGUAUUGUCGUUGUCAUCAGUUCAUGAUUGCAAAUUGAUACUUUUACCAACAUCAAUUUGAGGGUGAUGUCAAUGAGAUUGAAUAAGAUUAUAGAGAUUUUCAAAGAUUACGACUUGAAGUCUAUUUUAUCAUUAUAAUUAUAUUAUAUAUAGAUAGAUUAUUUUUACCAUAUUUAAAUUAUAAGUUACUAUUAUUUAAUAUUGUAAUAGAUGCUACAAUAUUUAGUGGUGAUUUUGAUCCUAUAUAAUGAGAGAAUCUCUCACUUUGAGAGGCAUCGAUUCUUAUUGUCUGACCUCUCCUAUGUUCAUACAUUUAUCUUUUGCUAUUCAAUAAAUUAUGCCACCAUGCGUGGAUUUAAUUUUUAAGAAAAAUAAAAGAUGACGCCUGAAUACUGAUACGAUUUCGGCACAAUAAUAGUGAUUCUUCAAUGAAAAUAAUAUUUUGAAACUUCUUGAAUAUAUUUAUUUUAUGUUUUGUAAAGUAAAUAUGAGUUUUUGUCUCUUUCAAGAAAAUAUUGGUGGUGUUUCAAAUAAGGAAAUAAUAUUAUGUUUUUAUUUACUUAAAAAAUGAUAAUAAUUUUUUAGACCAACAUAGAGAUAUCUAAAUAUUGUACUUCCUUAACAUUUUUUAAGAUUACUAAGGUUGAAAUGUGAAUUUCAAAUGUUGAUGAAAUCUUUAAAUAUAGAAUUUAUGAUUGAUUUGAUCGAAGUUCUGGUUGUUAAAAAGAUAUAUAUAUAUAUAUAUAUAUAUAUAUAUUAUUUUAAACUUUUAGAUAAAAUAAUCUAACAUUGUAUUUCCGUAACUAAAAUUUUCAAUUUACGUCUCUCUUUGCUUAUUUAUAAAAUUUGUUCGUGUAUAAGAUCUUCAGUGAACUAUAAAUUUACUUGCACAUUGGUGGCGGAUAAUCUACUUUUGUGGCUGUUGGAUAAGUAAAGCCACUAUUUUUUACCACAAAAGGAUAACUUUGCAAUUUCUUAAUUGUUAAGCUAAGUACAUGCAUGCAAUGGAACUUGACAAAUUCAAGUUUUCUUUCUCCAACAAGUGGCAGCCGAAAUGCUUGAAAAAUUCCAACCACUUGACAGGCCAAAUGUGUAGAGAAUUCUAGCAAAUGAAGGUGGUAGAACUUUGAGUCUUUGAAGCAGUUAAAGGUGGUAAAACUUCUAGCAAUAUCCAACCCACUUACAGCCAAGUUUAGCCAUUAUUUUUGACAAUUGAAGGCGGUUCCUACAAAUGACCAGCCAAGUUGCAGAUAAUUUUCUUGAAUUUUCAAACAAUUAUGGUGACCAAAAAUCUUUAUAAAUAUGGGUAAGACUUUGAGAGAAAAGUGUGUGGUAUGGAGAAGAAAAAUUGAGAGGAAUUAAAAGUAGAGAGUAGAGGGAAAAUUGUGAGUGGAACGAUAAAAUUAUAGAGAGAAAAUUGUGAGUUUUUCUCCCAAGUAUUUCCUACUUGUUUUCUCUUAUUACAAGAGAGACUAAUUAUUGUUAUUGUGUUGUAAUUCUCCUACUAUAAUGAAAUCUUCAUAUACUUGCACGUAGACAUAGUCUAAAUUAGGUGAACCACGUAAAUACUUAUGUCUAUUUUAGCUGCAUUUUCUCAAUUCUAUUAUUUGUCACCCAAACUCGACCCACAUUUUUCCUAAUAGUGGGUACAAAGGUUUCCAUGGUAUUGACUUUUAUAAUGGCUUAAUAGCACAAAACAUUCCUGUGUUUAUCUAUAGUAUGCAAUAUGUCCCCACAUUUCAAUUUUUUGCAUUUUCACCCCAAUUUUCAUGUUUCAUUGCGAAAAACAUUAUUUUUACCAAUUUUUAAUGUAAAAUGACCAAUAUACCCUCCUAUUUAAAUAAAACAAAAAUAAAAGAAAAUAAAGAUGAAAUUGCAACUACAGGCCCAAAUUUUUCAAAAGGCUUAAUAGCACAAAAUGUCCUUACUUUUUUCUCACACCCUAUCCCACCCCAUGCCAACCUAACCCAACCCAGCCCAACCCAAUCCACUCAUUCUUUUGAAGAUUCAAGGAACUGUCGGACUCUAUCUCAUCAACUUUCACCUAAUUGCCACCUAAAACACUAGAACUCAUAUUACAAAUAGCUGUCAUCAACACCCAAACACUUUCUUAUAAACAAAUUGAACAAACAACAAAUUUAUAUGGUUAAAUCAACAAAAAAUGCAGCUUAUCGCAUGAGCAACACGCUGCCUUUUUUCGUCAAUUUCGACACAGGUAAUGGUUCCCACUGUCGCGAACCAUCCAUUCCGACUUCGCCACAUCUUGCCACACUGCUACAACAAUAGGUUACCAUCAAUUUCAUCUAUUAUGCCCCAGAAUAUGUGCCCAUUUAUUGCCCAAUAAGAAAUUGAAAGAUGUUGCUAUAGAUUUUGAUUUUGUGCACCUGUUCAAGUUUUAAGUCCAUGAAGAGAGGUGCUUUAAUGAAUAUAGUUGACUGGUAUGUUGGAAAUGAGAUGGGUCUUGUCGGAACAGGUGGUACCGCCAGUAUUUACAUUCACGAGUUGGGUAUUUUGGCUUGCAAUUCUGACAAAAUCUAUUGGCAUGAAGGUUGGAUGUUGGGUGGUAUGUGUAGAGGGGAGUGAGACCUUUCUAGUGGUAUGGAGUUCCAGUGGUUUAGGCGAUGGUCAGUUGACAUUUUUUGGUUUCUAAGGUGGUGACCCCAUUCAAAUUUUAGGGCUUAGUGAUGGUUUUUUCAAAUUUGUUCCUUUAAUUGUACUCCUUCACCGGUAAAAUAUGUCGUAGAAAUGACAAUGGAGAAUUGAAAUUUCGAGGAUUUUGGCAGCGAUGGCGGUGGUAAAGGAGGUGGAGGAAAAGAAAAGAAGAGAAAAAGAAUUUUAUUUUUUUUUCCAAAAUUUUUUAUUUGGACUCAUUUAUACUUUUUAAAAAGUUGAGGAGCAAGAUUACAAUUUGUUCUUUAUUUGUCGUUUCUUCUCUUUUUGGUUUUAUUUAAAUAUGAGGGUAUAUUGGUCAUUUACAUUAAAAAUUGUGAAAAUGAUGUUCUGCAAUGAAACGUGAAAAUAAGUGUGUAAUGCAAAAAAUUGAAACGUACGGACGUUUUGCAUACUACAAGCGAAACAUAAGAAUGAUUUGUGCUAUAAAGCCUUUCAUAAUUUCUUUAUGACUUUGGUAGAGGGCCUAGAGGUGUAAUUGGUCUAGUCUUCAAUCUGUUCACAUCUAAAAUCAAACGACAAAAUCAGACAUCAUAGGCCUACAAAUAUAGAUAAAUCACACCUUUGGUCUUGAACCAUUUUUCGAAUCUUGAACAAAAUUUACAAGCACCAAAAUAUCCAUUUAUGCUGCACCAAAAUCAAGUCAAGGAAGAAUCUAUUUUGCAAAUCUAUAAACAUAAUUUUUCACUACACAUGCCAACGAGUUGGUCAAGUUUUUUUCUUCUUGAUCUUGCUAUUAAAUAAAAAAUUUGUUGGAGUCAUCUAGUGGGAUUAAGCUCUUGUUUGACAACCUUUAAAGCAAACGCUUUUUUUCUUAAACUAAAUUUUUAAAAUAAAAUAUUCGGUACAUAAAUCUAAAUUUUUUCCUACUUUUGAUUAUAUAUUCCUCAAAAAAUCACUAUUCAAAACCUUGCUUUCUCCAAAAUACUCAUUUUAAUGAUUGUUAAACGGGGGCUAAUAUUGCGACACUAAUGAAAGGUUGAGGAAAUAUUUGCUCCUAUUCAUAGGCUGGUGACUAACAUGCAACUAACACAAUAGAUUGGGGCUGCUAACUUACAACUUUCACAAUAGGUUGGAAAGGAAGGGAGAAAUUUUUGAAUUUUUCCACAAGUAUAUAUAGGACGCAAGUCACUCAUAUUUUAUUAGAAUUAAUUGUAGGCAUUGUAUGUAAUUGCACAAUAGCUUCUUUUCUUUUCAAUUCAUUAGUCGGCCAGCUGUGUUUUCUUUCUUUCAUUUUUGGUGCCAAGCUCCAUUCAUUUUCAAUUGAUUGAACGAUCAACAGAGUUUCAAUUCAUUUUCUCUCUGUAAAUUGAAUAUGGUAUCAGAGCAAAAUCAUUUCCACGCUCUUCUCUCAUCAUCACAGAUUUAAUCUGUUGCUGGAUCUCGUCUUCAUAUAUAUAUAUAUAUAUAUAUAAAUUAAUCUGUUGUUCGAUCUAAUCUCUACAUAGAGUUAUUACAAUCCGGAAAUUGGUUUGAUUCAAGGUCAUCAAUGAACAAUCGGCCAUUGAUGAACCUUCAAGUCCUUACUCCUUACUUCAUUCAAUGAGUAAUUUCCAGAUCUCCUCCAGAUCUGCACCGAAUGAAGAUAAAAUGCUUAAUUCACAACAACCUGUGAUUGGAAGUUUAAUUCAGAGUUUGAAUCCUGCUCAAUAUCAACAAUUGAUGACGAUAUUGUCCACUCAUCUGGCAUCAAGCUCAAACACAGCAGCUUCUGAUUAUCAGGGCAACAAAAUUACAUCAUAUAAUGCAGGUCUAUGCCAUUUCAUAUCCGUUAAUCCAGUCUUGUAUUCCAAAGAAAUUUGGAUAGUGUAUUCGGGAGCCACUAAGCAUGUGUGUUUUAUUGCUGCCUCAUUCAUGAACAUGAGGAUUAUUGAUGGUUCAAAUGUGACUUUACCCAAUCACACACAAAUUCUAGUUAGAUUGUGUGGGAAUAUCAGGCUGAGUCCAAAUAUUUUGCUGCAUGAUGUGUUAUUUGUACCACAAUUCAAGCUAAACUUACUGUCAGUUAGUCCGUUAACUGCUGAAUUACAAGUUUCAUCAAGUUUCUCUCAUGAUAGCUUCAUUAUUCAAGAUGCCAAAACCAAGAAGAUGACUGGUAGGGGUGGUCAAAUGCAAAAUUUGUAUGUUCUAGAUACCAGAAUUCUGAAUUCCAUUUCUAAUGUAUUUGUUAAUACUAUGUCUAUCCAUGUAUGGCACAACAGACUUAGGCAUCUUUCAUUCAAAAGGCUAGACUGGUUGAAGGAACAAUUAUUGUGUGAUGUUACAAAAUUUCGGAGACAUAUGCCUUGUUAUGUUUGUCCACUUGCUAAACAGUGGAGAUUGCCUUUUGAAUCGAAUAAUAGACUGUCAAAUAAUCCCUUUGAUCUCAUUUAUUGUGAUGUGUGGGGACCUUACCAUGUUACUUCACACUCAGGAUACAAUUAUUUCUUGAUAUUGGUGGAUGAUUGUUCAAGGUUUACAUGGGUCUAUUUGUUGAAGCACAAAUCAGAUACCAAGAUUGUUAUUUCCAGAUUUUUCAACAUGAUUGAUACCCAAUUCAAUGCUAAAAUAAAGACAUUCAGAUUUGACAAUGCUUAUGAAUUAGCCUUUAUAGUUUAUUUUGCUGAAAAUGGAAUAAUGCAUCAGUUUUGUUGUGUGGAAAGACCACAACCCACACAACAAAACUCCGUCGUUGAGCGCAAACAUCAACAUUUGUUAAAUGUGGCUAGGUCUCUGUACUUCUAAUGACGAAUCCCCAUCAGUUUCUGGUCUAAAUGUGUUUUGACAGCCACAUUCUUGAUAAAUAGAACUCCAUCUUCUGUGUUGAAGCACAAAAUGCCAAAUGAAGUUCUAUAUGGAAGACCUGCAGAUGAUUCCUCACUUAGAGUUUUUAGAUGUCUAGCUUUUGCAUCCACUCUAACUACGCAAAGAAACAAAUUCCAGCCACGAGCUAGGCUAUGUGUGUUCUUGGGAUAUCCAUCUAGAGUUAAAGGUUACAAACUCUAUGAUGUUGAGUCAAAACAUUUCUUUGUAUCACGUGAUGUUGUGUUUCAAGAAAAAAUCUUUCCUUUUCAUACAGUUAUGGCAAAUGAUCAACUGAUAGAUCCGUUCCCUGACUUAGUCUUACCAAAUCCUUUUUUACACCUUCAUCAAGACUCACAUGCAUCCUCAACUCAGUAUAACUUACCGCCUAUUCCUUCAGCUAAAAGUCAUAAUUUGCAUCAAGAGUUAUUCCCUACUUCACCAUCCCUUGAUACAAUGUCUGCACCUGAUAGUCCUGAUAAAAAUGGUAUUCCACAUACUAACAUUAGUCACACAUGUCAACGUACUACUGUCACUAAUUUGAGACGUUCACAAAGAGUUGCUAGACCACCACAAUACCUUAGAGAUUUUCAUUGCAACUCCUUUCUCAACAAGAUCAACUCCCAUCUUCAUUCACUCAAUCAUAUUAGCCAAUUUAUUUCCUAUAAUCAUUUAUCCCAAAACCACCGGCAAUUUGUAUUGAACGUAUACUCUCAAUUUGAGCCUCAACUCUUUCACCAGGUGGUUAAAUAUCCACAAUGGCGUGAAGCCAUGAAAGCUGAAUUGGAGGCUAUGGAAGCCAAUCACACUUGGUCAGUAGUUCCUUUACCAGUUGGUAAACAUGUUGUUGGAUGCAGGUGGAUCUUCAGGGUAAAACAUAAUUCUGAUGGGUCUAUUAAAAGGCACAAAGCAAGUCUUAUAGCUAAAGGUUAUACACAAAAAGAGGGCCUUGAGUACUUUGACACUUUUUUCCCAGUAGCAAAGAUUGUCACUGUCAAAGUAUUGUUAGCUCUUGCAGCCUCUCAAUGGUGGCACUUGUUCCAAAUGGAUGUAUAAUGCCUUCUUGAACAGUGAUACGUUCGAUAAAGUUUACAUGGAUCUCCUGCCUAGUUAUGAGGUUCUCAAUGCUGUCAAACAAGGGGAGAAACUGGUUUGCAAAUUGCAAAAGUUAAUUUAUGGCCUCAAGCAAGCGUCAAGGCAGUGGAAUUCUAAAUUCACCCAAGCACUGGUCCAUUGUGGUUUUAAUCAAUCAAAGGCUGAUUAUUCCCUAUUCACUAAAGGUUCUGGGAAUGACUUUGUGGCAUUUCUUGUAUAUAUAGAUGACAUUGUCACCACUGGACCAAACAUUCAAGUCAUUGAUUCUUUAAAGAAGUUCUUAAAUUCUCAGUUCAAACUCAAGGAUUUAGGGAAGUUGAAGUACUUCUUGGGCAUAGAAGUGGCUCGUUCUAACUCUGAGAUUGUCAUAUCACAAAGAAAUUAUGCCAUAGAUUUGCUUGAGGAUUCAGGUUACCUGGACUGCAAAUUAACAAAUACUCCUAUGGAUCCAAAGGUUUCCUUAAGUAUUCAUGACGGAGACCUUCUGCCCGAUGCAUUUUCUUAUCGCAGGUUGAUUGGAAAACGGAUUUACCUGACAAUAUCACGACCAGAUAUUACUUUUGUUGUCUACAAACUGAGCCAAUUUUUGUCAUAGCCUCCACUAUCUCAUCUCAAGGUAGCUCACCAUCUUCUUCGAUAUUUAAAGGGUAGUCCAGGUCUGGGACUAUUCUUUCUGUUCACGAAAUAUUUUCUUUCGAUUUAAAUCACCACAAGUGUACGGUUAUUCAACAAGUAAUAAAGUGGAUUAAUUGAGUCCGAAUAUCAUCCCACAGAGAUUGAUUAGUUUAAUUUUACCUAACUUGGCCUUAACCGAAAUUGAUUUGUCAAACGUGAAUUGUAGUAACUUAAAUUAACCUUACUUGGACUAAAUAUGCAAAUAUGUAUGAUUUGAAUGAACUAAAAUGCAAAGUGAAUGUGUUGAUUGCAAGUUGGUGUACUCAAUCAAUGAAUAUAAAAGCGUACUAGGCUCAUGAAUCCCCAAGCAAUGCUCAAUUUAACCUUAAUUCAACACUUUGACAACACGAUGACAUUUUGAAGAAUCAAUAUUCCUAAAUCUAUCCAACACUCUCUUUCGAGAUGAAUUGAACCUAUUCUCAUACACCACCAGCCUAUAUCUCUAUGACGGAUGCAAAUAUAUGAGAAUGCAUGUAGUUUUGUGAAUACUUAGAGAUUCACACAAAGCAUAGGGGUAUAUUUCUAUCCCCCUAUCAAAUCCUACGAUGAUUUAUACCUUAUCGAAUUUAUUCCUCUUCUUUCGAGUAGAUGAAACAAACCACUAAAACUCACACAAUUACGAGCCCAUAAUCAUGGAAGCAAUUAAAUGCAUAUAAAUCAUUCAAAACAAUCAAUACGUGUUUUAGUGUCAAAAUAUGGAACAAAGAAUUAAAUAUCACAUUAUAAGAUUCACUGAUCUCCUAGUAUAGAUUUUUCUAGCCUAACAUGACGGGAAGAAAAACAUAACAACAAGAAUCAAGAAAAGAGAUCACCCAAUCGCCCUUUGAUUUGAAAUCUUGAAUCUUGAAUCUUGGAAUGAAUCCUCUCGUUCUUGCCUUCUUUUUGCUCUUCAAAUCCUCCCAAAAUAAUGUAUAAUACGUGGUGUCUGUUUUUGGACGUUCCUAGUGCUUUAAAAGACUCCCAAGAUUUGUUUCCAUAAGAGUUUUAAUCAGAAAAUGAAACCAGAAAAUUUUCGACGCGAUUGGCCUGGGCAACAUUUUCUUCUCGGUAAUAAGAAAAACAUAUGGGGCGAUCACCCGAUUUUUAUAACUGGGCUGUCGCACAGGCAAAAUUUCUUCCAUAUGUUGCAUUUUAGCCCUCGAAAUCGAUUUUUGAUUCUUUUAGGCCCUUUCUCUUGCAAUUUCAACUCUUUGACUUUCAUUUGCAUCCAAUUGAACCCGCAACAUCUUUAAUCUUCAUUUUGUGAUCCGAAUCAACUAUUAAAAUGUUGCAAUUUAGUCCUCAUACUUUGAAUUUUCUUCCUUUUUGGCUCUUUUUCAUUUCUUUUCUCUUGAAUUUCAUCACAUUCAUCAAUAUAGUCCUACAAAACAUAAUUACAUAGAAUUAAGUCAUAAUUCAAACUCUUUGAUCAUAAUUAAGUCAUGUUUAUGAACUAAAUAAGUGUGUAAAAACACACUUAUCACUUUCCUUCAUCAUCUGACCCACAUUCACUUCUCAAGCUUUAGGCCUUUUCAGAUGCAGGCUGGGGAACUUGUCUUGACACAAGAAAAUCAACUACUAGUUUUUGUAUUUUCCUUGGAGACUCGUUAAUAUCUUGGAAAGCUAAGGCGACGGUCCACUGUUUCUCGAUCUUCAGCUGAAGCAGAAUAUAGGGCUCUAGCUACCACCAUCAGUAAAGUCAUCUGGAUCAACCAAUUGCUCAAGGAUUUUCAGACAUGCGCUAUCUCUCCAGGUGCCUUAUUUUGUGAUAACCAAGCUGCCAUUCAAAUAGCCACAAAUCCAAUUUUUCAUGAACGAACAAAACACAUCAAAUUUGAAUUUUCUUCCUUUUUGGCUCUUUUUCAUUUCUUUUCUCUUGAAUUUCAUCACAUUCAUCAAUAUAGUCCUACAAAACAUAAUUACAUAGAAUUAAGUCAUAAUUCAAACUCUUUGAUCAUAAUUAAGUCAUGUUUAUGAACUAAAUAAGUGUGUAAAAACACACUUAUCACUUUCCUUCAUCAUCUGACCCACAUUCACUUCUCAAGCUUUGGGCCUUUUUAGAUGCAGGCUAGGGAACUUGUCUUGACACAAGAAAAUCAACUACUAGUUUUUGCAUUUUCCUUGGAGACUCUUUAAUAUCUUGGAAAGCUAAGCGACGGUCCACUGUUUCUCGAUCUUCAGCUGAAGCAGAAUAUAGGGCUCUAGCUACCACCAUCAGUAAAGUCAUCUGGAUCAACCAAUUGCUCAAGGAUUUUCAGACAUGCGCUAUCUCUCCAGGUGCCUUAUUUUGUGAUAACCAAGCUGCCAUUCAAAUAGCCACAAAUCCAAUUUUUCAUGAACGAACAAAACACAUCGAAAUCGAUUGCCACUUUAUUCGGGGUAAAGUUGCAGCUGGAAUUAUUAAGCUCCUUCCAAUCCGAUCUCAACAUCAACUAGCUGACGCAUUUACUAAGCCACUUUUUGCAUCUGUCCUUCUCCCUUUAAUGUCCAAGAUGUCUGUAAAGAACAUUUAUCAUACAUCUUGAGGGGGAGUAUUAGAAUUAAUUGGAGGCAUUAUAUAACAUUUAUCAUACAUCUUGAGGGGGAGUAUUAGAAUUAAUUGUAGGCAUUAUAUGUAAUUGCACUCAUCUUAGUUUCUUUUCAGUUCGUUAGUUAGCUAGCUUUGUCCAGCUAUGUUUACUUUCUUUCAUUUUUGGGCACCAAGCUCCAUUGCUAUUUAUGUAUCUUAGUUGAUUGAACGACCAAUAGAGUUUCAAUUCAUUUUCUCUUUGUAAAUCUAAUAUAUUUUCUACAUUGAAUCAUAAAUUUCACGAAAGAAAUUGUCUCCUGUAUCCACCGGCUACAGUCAAGCCCAGGAUGAUGGUAUGUACACACACAGUUGACAUGCAAGAAAUGGAAAUCUAAAAAAGCCCAAGGACCUUCUUAUAUGUAUAUUUGCUCUCCCAAUAUUGUUCCUUAUCAGAAAAAGGUAGUCAUUGAGACCCCCCCUCCCCGAAUGGCCAAAACUCUAAUGGUCAAGGAGGCAUCAUUGAAAUGUUGUUGAAUCAUCUGUUGUGUGGACGAAGAGUCCAACCAAGCUAUGAGGAUUAGAAUAAAGGCCAAGAAGAUCGUGGUGAGCAUCUCGGGUAAGUUAAAUCUUUAUAUGACUAAUAUAAAUCUUUUCUUUGGUAUUGUGUACUAUACAUCAGUAUGUCUAGGAUACGAAACAAGAUUUUAGUUUUUUUAUUUUCCUUUCUUCAAUACUUUCUAGAAUAAUGCUAUCUAUGUAUGACCACUAGUGGAUGUGAUGCAUUUUCACUCACAAAUUGGAUAGAACGGCAAACAAUUUCACUGAUAUUAGGAUCCAUUAAGACUUAAAGUUGCAUUUUAAAAGGUCAAACUUGGUAAGAGAGGUAACCCAAGUCUUUAUAUGUUGGUCUAUAUUUCAUCAAUUUUUGAUGUGUAAUUUAUUCUUUAACAUAUAUCCGAAAGAAGGUGGUUUGUUUGAACAAACCAAUCUGAAAAUUUAUGUACUCUUUUAUGGGUCUUAGUCAAAUCAAAUUGCUUUUCAGAGUUUAAUAGACUCUGAUACCAUAUUAAGAUUUAGAGUUCUAUCUUAAAAUGUCGACUCUAGUUAGAAGAGUAGCUCAAGUUUUUAUAUGUUGGCCUAUUUUUCUACUAUUAUUCGAUGUGGAUAAGGAUCUUGAAGCUGCAAAAAACAUUUUAUAUUUAACAUUCUUUUCAUCUUCGAUGGACGUUGGAUUUACCAUUAUAAUCUUCCCUACUCUCAUGAACAUUAUUUCUAGGAGUUGAGUCGAUGUCAAUGGAGGGAAGCGGGAACAUUCUAACAGUGAUUGGUGAAGAAAUCGACUCGGUGAGUCUUGUCCAAUGCCUAUGGAAGAAGGUGUGUUUUGCUAAUGUAGUGAGCGUACCAAACUGAGAGGGUUGAAACUAAGCAACCGAAACUUGAGAACACGAAUCCGGCUACCUGUGUGUGUGCCUCUUCGAUGCUGUAAUCACUCGCCUCACUGGAAAAUAUUGGAAAUCAGGGAACCCACAUCUUACUGCUUCAACUUUUGAAUGCUUCUUAUGUUAAGUUGUCAAACAAGAAAAAAAAUGAAUCUUUUGUUGUGAAGAAAAUUAAGCAACAUUAAUUCACAAUAGAUUUUGUUGCAAAUUCUGUUUGAGAUAAUGUUACAAGUGGAACAUUGUAGUAUAAUUUCAAGAGAUCAGAAGUAUAAGUUGAGAGAAAACUUUGAUUUCAUUUCUUGGAUUGGAUAGAUAGCAUUACUCUUAUUGAAUGUGUUGGGCUGUGAUGCCAUUUGAUCAAUCCAACUAAUAGGCAGUGAUGAAAUAAGGCCCAAUAUGGAAUCAAUAGAUGAUCCAUUUAUUAAAACCUAGAAGGCCCAAUUAAACCGAGCCCAAUAUCCAGCCCUUUUAACCCUAGUCGUUCUUGGACCGUUGGAUUAACCCACUCAAUCUAACGGUGGAUUGGUUUACUAUAUAUACAUCCCUUAUCCCUUGUUUGGGAGAGAGACGGUCAUUUUUCUUGUUCUCUUUUUCUCUGUGUAUUCUGAAACCUUCAAUGACUUUCGUCUUUGUGACCUUUUCUUCUUCUCUGUGUGAGAACUUCUGUUGAUUAUCUUUGUGAUAAUCAUGUCAUUGUGUUAGUCUCCUUUGUGAGAGUAAACUGUUGGAAGUGGUCUGUCCAUUUUCGGUUCCAGUGAAGCGACUUGGUGUUUUGGGGUUGUAAGGGCUCGUGUGUUGAGUUCAGUGCCUCUGUGGUGGUUAGAAAAGGGCGUAUGGUCUGAGCCUAUGAAUAGAUCUAAACCUUGAUCCAGUGGCUUAGGUUUUCUGUAAAUCUGCUGCGUGUGUGUGUGUGUGUGUGUGUGUGUGUGUGUGUGUGUGUGUGUGUAUAUAUAUUCUGAUUUGUAUAGUUUGAACAGAUUCUGGAUUAAUAGUGGUAUCAGAGCUUUCUUUGUCCGUUCUUGAGUCUUCGAUUGAAGGUUUGAACACUGGAAAAUUAAUUUCCAAGUGUUCAACUGUAGAUCGCAAAACCCUAGGUUUUGAUUUGAGAGGACCUUGUGGUCUGUGGAGUUGAUUCAUUACUGGACUAUGAAAUGCGAGGGAAUUCUGUGUCUCCUCGCCUUGAUCUAUGAAAGAACCUGAAAUAUGAGUCCCUGUGGGUUUCGUUCUUGAGCUGGAACCCUAACUUCGAAAUUGAUUGGAAGGACUUGAAGCUGUUAUGGCUUGACUUGAAUUUUGGUGACCUGCAGAGCACUUAUCCCCCACUGCGAUAACCUGUUUUGAUUUCAGCUGGUGGUUAAUUGUUUAACCACCUUUCGGUUUGCACUUUCUUGAACCCUACACGACAGCACACACUCUUAAUUAUACUUUUAUGAGUAUAUGCCUCUAUGUGACUAUGUUGAUAUGUUCAUUUCCUGUAUACUGUAACUUGUUACAUUAGUUAGUGAUAUCUUGUUAUAUUUGCCUGUGAUCAUUAAAGUGUGGGUGAUUCAAAUUGAGCCUUGACCUGAGAACUUGAUUCUCACGGAAUCCUAGUGAAUUUGAUCAACCCUAGGUCCUGUAGAUACUGUUUUUGAUACUGAGAUAUGGUUUUUUGCCUACAUUAUUAUAUUCUCUGGUUCUUGUGGUGUUUACAUUAGUAUGCUUACUGAUCCUGUUAUUGAUUGAAAUUAUUUGUGAUUAAAAUAAUUGUGGCUCAUUUAUUUGAUUGCAUAUUUUUUGUGACCUAAAACAUAAAUUUUUGUGAAGGUCAAAUUCAACAGUUUUUUCAAAAGUUGAUCAUUUGUCUUGUUUUAAUUUUUUGGAAAACCCUGUGUGUUAGUUUUUCACAAUAAAACAUGACAAAAUCUUUUGAACUUGGUGUUUUUGAUGGAAAAGGGAAUUUUCCCAUUUGGCAACAAAAAAUGCGAGGUGUUUUAGUUCAGUAAAAAGUUUCUAAAGCAAUAACAGAUGAAUUUCCUGAUACCAUGACAGAUGAUCAAAAGGAAGAAUCUGAUGAACUUGCUUAUACCUCCAUUAUUUUGCAUUUGUCUGAUCAAGUUUUAAGAAAAGUAGGUAAACAUGAUACUGCUAAGGCUCUAUGGGAUGAAUUAGGGAAACUUUAUCUACCUAAGUCUUUGCCUAAUAAGUUGUUUCUAUUAGAGAAAUUUUUCAGCUUUAGGAUAGAUCCAACUAGAGACUUAGAAGAUAGCUUAAACAUUUUUAAUAAGUUAGUUCAAGACAUUAUCAAUACAAGUGAGAAAGUUUCUGAUGAGUAUAAGGCUGUAGUACUACUUAAUGCUAUACCUGAAGCCUACAAAGAGGUUAAAGCCGCCAUUAAGUAUGGUAGAGAUACUCUUACACCUGAUAUUGUCAUAGACUCUUUAAGGAGUAAGGAACUUGAACUUAAGUCUAAGAGAGGUAAUAGUGGCCAUGAAAACUUGUUUGCUAGAGGCAGGACUUUAAGUAGGUCUAGUAGUACUCAUGAAAGCCAUAAUAAUCAGGGAAACAACAAUAGGAGGAAGUUUAAAAGUAGAGGCAAGUCUAAGUCAAGGACUAGGACUUAAAAGUGUUAUGGGUGUGGGAAAACUGGACAUUUCAUUAAAGACUGUUAUAAAAAUAAAAAUGAACAGAAACUGAAGGGUGUUGAUGAAGGUAAUGUGGUAGAAUCUGAAGGUUCUGCCACAGUUGAUGUAUAUGCUGUGACUGAAAAUUUACCUAGCUCUGCAAAUGUGGUUGAUGAGAAUCAGAACCAAGAAUGGAUCUCGGAUUCUGGUUGUACCUUCCAUAUGACCUUUAAGAAGGUAUAUUUAGACAAUUUUAAGAAAAUUGAUGGAGGAAAAGUGGUUAUGGGCAAUAAUGUAGCCUUCAGAGUUGAGGGAGUUGGGAAUGUCACUUUGAAAUUCGAUAAUGGAUACAUUCACCCUUUUGAAAGGGUCAGGUAUGUUCCUGAAUUAAAUAGGAAUCUGAUUUCCAUGGGAUAUCUUGAUGAUAUGGGAUUGCAAGAAAAAAUAGGAGAUGGCUUCUUAAAAGUGAUAAAAGGAUCACUUGUUAUUUUGAAAGGUGUUAAAAAAAAUGGGAUUUAUGUGACCAGAGCUAGUACAGUGUCUGAUCACAUAGGUGAGUCUUCUAGUGUAGAAGCUGAUGCUACCUUAAAGUGGCACAAGAGAUUGGCCCAUGUAGGUGAAAAGGGCCUACACAUCCUUUAUAAGAAAGGAGUGUUUGGAAAAGACUCUAUAUCUAAGGUGUCCUUUUGUGAAAACUGCACCUUAGGUAAGCAGCAUAGGCUGCAUUUUAACACAGGAAAACAUAGAACCACUUCUAUCCUUGAGUAUAUACAUACUGAUUUGUGGGGACCUUCAUCCACUAUUACUCAAGGAGGAAAUAGAUAUUUCUUGUCCUUAAUUGAUGACUAUUCUAGGAAGGUUUGGAUUUAUUUGAUGAAACACAAAUCUGAAACCUUUGAGAAAUUCAGAACUUGGAAGAUUCUAGUUGAAAAUGAGAUUGGAAAGAAAAUUAAGAUCCUUAGGACGGACAAUGGCCUUGAGUUUUGCAAUGCUGAAUUUGAUCAAUUGUGCAAAGAAUCUGGUAUUAAAAGGCAUAAAACAGUACCUUAUACACCUCAGCAGAAUGGAGUGGCUGAGAGGAUGAAUAGAACCUUGCUAGAUAAGGUUAGGUGCAUGUUGAUAGGCUCAGGUGUCCCUAAGGUGUUAUGGGGUGAAGCUGUAAUGACAGCUUCAUAUAUUGUUAAUAGAAUCCCCUCAAGUGCUCUAGGUGAUAAAACCCCAGAAGAGCUAUGGACAUGACAUGUUCCUGAUUAUUCUCAUUUAAGAAUUUUUGGUUGUGCAGCCUAUACCCAUCAGAGUAUAGGAAAACUUGAACCUAGGGCCCAGAAAUGUGUUUUCUUGGGAUAUCCCGAUGGGGUUAAAGGUUAUAGGCUUUAGAGUAAAGAGGUAAAAGGUUUUAAAAUCAUCACCAGCAGAGAUGUGACCUUUGAUGAGUAAAAAUGCCUUGUUUAGAAAAUAAAGAGCCAAAGGGUUUAUCUGGUGAUGAAAGGGGUGAUAAUACCAAGCUGCAGGUGGAGCUUGGCUUACCUACUGAACCUAUUGGUGAUGAACAGGUGGAUGAAGAAGCUGAAAUAGCUUCUGGUCCUCUAGAAAAUGAAGAGGAAGAUGUUCAAGAAAAUCUGGAAAGUCAGCCUGAUGAAUUAGGAGAUUACCAGUUGGCUAGAGAUUGGACUAGGAGAGAAGUUAGAGAGCCUGUUAGGUAUGGGGAUUACCUUUCACUUGCUAUUUUGUCCUAUCAAGACUUAGUGUUUAAAGAACCAAAAUCUUAUGAAGAGGCAAUGAGCAGCAAGCAAUCUGAGAAAUGGCAUGCUGCUAUGAUAGAUGAGAUAGACUCCUUAAUGAAAAAUGAGACUUGGACUUUAGUCCCUAAACCUGUAGGUAAGACCCUUGUUGAUUGCAAGUGGAUCUUUAGCGCUACGGAGGGAAAUUCUGAAAAGAUGCCCAUAAGAUUUAAAGCUAGACUUGUAGCGAAAGGAUUUACACAAAAAGAGGGCAUAGACUAUAAUGAGAUAUUUUCACCUGUGAUAAAGUACACAACCAUUAGAGUUAUGCUUGCUCUUGUUGCUCAUUAUGAUCUUGAACUUGAGCAAAUGGACGUGAAAACUGCUUUCUUGCAUGGUGACCUUGAUGAAGUGAUUUAUAUGAGGCAGCCACCUGGUUUUAUUGAGGAAACUAAUUCUGAUCAUGUGUGUUUGUUAAAAAGAUCAUUAUAUGGUUUAAAGCAAUCUCCACGACAAUGGUACAAAAGGUUUGAUAAUUUUGUAUCCGCUAUUAGUUUCAAAAGAAGUGAAUAUGAUCAUUGUCUUUAUUUUAAAAGAAAUGAUGAAAAUGCUAUUGUUGCUUUUAUACUUCUUUAUGUGGAUGAUAUGUUGCUGAUUGGUCAGAAUAUGCAUGUUAUUAAUUAGAUAAAACGGUCUUUAAGUGUUGAAUUUGAAAUGAAAGACCUAGGACAUGCAAAGAGAAUUCUAUGAAUGGAAAUCACUAGGAAAAGGCAUCAUAGGUUACUGUACUUGAAGCAAACUGCAUAUAUUGAAAAAAUGUUGAUUAAGUUUGCCAUGCAUAACUCUAAAUCUGUUUCACUUCCAUUGGCCAGUCAUUUUAAACUUAGUAAGGAGCAAUGUCCCGUAGAUGAAUCUGACAUUAGACAAAUGGAAAAUGUACCCUAUGCUAAUGCCGUAGGUUCUGUUAUGUACACUAUGGUAUGUACUAGGCCGAUGUAGCUCAUUCCAUUAGCACACUUAGUAGAUUUAUGGCCAAUCCAGGACCUGACCAUUGGGUUGCUUUAAAAUGGCUGUUGAGAUACUUGAAAGGAUCUUCACAUGUUGGAUUGAUUUUUAGUGCCUGUAAUGAAGGUGUUGUACUUAAGGGUUUUGUAGAUUCAGAUUUUGCCGGAGAUAGAGACAAUAGGAAAUCUACUACUUCUUAUAUGUUUACUUUGUGUAAUACAUGUAUUAGUUGGAAAUCUCAACUUCAACCUAUUGUUGCUUUAUCUACUACUGAAGCUGAGUAUGUUGCUACAACUGAAGCAAUAAAAGAAGGCUUAUGGCUUAAGGGUUUGUUAUCCGAAAUAAAUGAAUUAAGUAACCCUGUUGUUUUAUAUUCAGAUAGUCAAAGUGCAAUUCACCUAUGUAAAGACCCUAUUUUUCAUGAAAGAACCAAACACAUUGAUAUUAAGUUGCAUUUUAUUAGAGAUGUUGUUUCUAAAUAACUAAUUUUACUUGAGAAAAUUGCAACCCAGUUUAAUCCAGCUGAUGUAGGUACUAAGGUAAUACCUUUAAACAAGUUUAAGUCUUGUUUACAAAUUUUGAACAUUGAUGUUGGUUAAGUGUUUUGUUCUGUACAGGUGCUAAGGUUGAUGCUUGUUGAGAAUACGGGGAAGCUGUCUUUUUGAGAAGGACAUUUAAAUUGUGUUUUACAUUUAUUAGGCUUCUUGUAUGAUCACUGGCAUCAAGGUGAAGAUUUGUUGGGCUGUGAUGCCAUUUGAUCAGUCCAACUAAUAGGCAGUGAUGAAAUAAGGCCCAAUAUGGAAUCAAUAGAUGGUCCAUUUAUUAAAACCUAGAAGGCCCAAUUAAAUCGAGCCCAAUAUCCAGCCCUUUUAACCCUAGUCGUUCUUGGACCGUUGGAUUAACCCACUCAAUCUAACGGUGGAUUGGUUUACUAUAUAUACAUUAUUUAUCCUCUUGUUUGGGAGAGAGACGGUCAUUUUUCUUGUUCUCUGUGUAUUCUGGAACCUUCAAUGACUUUCGUCUUUGUGACAUUUUCUUCUUCUCUGUGUGAGAACUUCUGUUGAUUAUCUUUGUGAUAAUCAUGUCAUUGUGUUAGUCUCCUUUGUGUGAGUAAACUGUUGGAAGUGGUUUGUCCAUUUUCGGUUCCAGUGAAACGACUUGGUGCUUUGGGGUUGUGAGGGCUCGUGUGUUGAGUUCGGUGCCUAUGUGAUGGUUAGAAAAGGGCGUAUGGUCUGAGCCUAUGAAUAGAUCUAAACCUUGAUCCAAUGGCUUAGGUUUUCUGUAAAUCUGCUGCGUAUAUAUAUAUAUAUAUAUAUAUAUUCUGAUUUGUAUAGUUUGAACAAAUUCUGGAUUAAUAGAAUGGAGGUUUGCAAGAGUAUAUAUUGUAAUUUUAGCUUCCAUGAAGAGCCGUAGAAAGCUCAUUUUCUAGUUGUCAGAUGUCUCCGGUGAUUGAGUGUUAUUGGACUGAACUGAUAGAUUCAUGUUUGAACUGGACUCAUUGAGUCUUAUUUGAUUUGUGUUUAUGCAUCGAAAAGACAAAAAAAGAUUUUUAUCUUUUUAUAAGAAUUGUAUCUUUCUGAUAAAACUUAGUCACGAAACUUUAGUUAUAGGACCACAAAAACUCUUGUACCUCGAGAUAUUUUUAGUUUAUUUUGAACAUAAACAAGUAGCUCUCAUUCUAUCAAAUCGUCGAGAACGUACAAAGAAAUAAGUGAAGCAAUCAAAAUCAACCCAUUGAUGAGAAAUUGCAUGAUUAGCGAGACAAUGGGCCACAAAUUGAUUCCAUAAUCGUAUCCCAAGAAAAUGCGAGUUGCAAGCGAUAUUAUAAUAAAAGGGUAAAAUGGUCAUUUAAUCAUGAUUAAUUAUUCGAUGUCCGACAGGUAUAAACAAGUAGCUCUCAUUCUAUCAAAUCGUCGAGAACGUACAAAGAAAUAAGUGAAGCAAUCAAAAUCAACCCAUUGAUGAGAAAUUGCAUGAUUAGCGAGACAAUGGGCCACAAAUUGAUUCCAUAAUCGUAUCCCAAGAAAAUGCGAGUUGCAAGCGAUAUUAUAAUAAAAGGGUAAAAUGGUCAUUUAAUCAUGAUUAAUUAUUCGAUGUCCGACAGGUAUACUCGUCGUCCAAUACACAUAAAGAGAUCGCUUUUUAUUGUUUGAUUCCUCAACUUGAUUCUUGAUUUGGCUUUCAGGUUUCCACUCAUUAAUGGCUGUUCAUACUUCUGGAGAAUACCAAAGAAGAUAUGGGGUUGAAAGCUGGAAGAUUGAAUAUCAAUAUUUAAAGAAAAAAAUUGGAGCAGCUUCUAAAGAAUUCAGAUCUAAUCACACUUCAAGUGUGAUUCCACAAUCCUUUAUCUGAUUAAUUCAACAUGUUAUAAAACGAAUUUAACCAUAUAUUCUUGGAUCAAAACUUAUUAAGAAAAAAAAUUUAUUGCACAUGUUUUUACUUAUUGUCUAACAUUAGUCUUAUAUUUUCACUUUGGAUUUGUGAACACAUCUUUUCAGUUCAGUGUUUAUGAGUUAAGUUUGUAUCUAAUAACGCUAAAAGAUAAGGUUCUUUAAUACAUUUAUCAUUGUUCAUGUACUAUAAGAAGCCUCCUUGUGUAUAAAGAAAUAUACAACUUUAUUAUGGAUCUUUCCUAUAUUUUAUGUAUUUUAUAUAUUAAGUUUUAAUUGGAUAUUUAAAGAAAGUUCACCUUGACCUGCUAUUUAGAGUGCACACUAAGCAGUGGUCUAUCGGUUGUUGAAUUUUGGAAACUGAUCGCUUAGACUCUAUUGCACCGAAUUACAUAUUCCGAGGGGACAACUAUUUAUUGUUCUUCAAGCUACCAUUUUCAGGCUAAUUUUCAUUGUUGAUUCUUAAAGUUAUCUUAUAAUGUGUGGACAUUUGAAAUAGAUUAUUUAUCUUUAGCUUCAUCUUUUGUGUAUAUUACAAUUUUCCUAACAAUCUUAAAUUCAUUUUGGAUAAAACCUCUUUGCCAGGGCCACAUGUGCCCUGGUAUUGGCGCCCCCUAUAGGUGGGGUGCCUUGGUAAUGCCUCACAUUUCACCAAGCCAACUUUGACUCAAGUCGUGCUUCUAAAGUUCAUAUUUGGUGUUGGUACAAGAUUUGAUGUGUUCUCUAAACUUGGCUCAUUCAUUGAAGCCCCACCUAUAGGGGCGCCAAUACCAAGACACAUGUGGCUCUGGUAACCAAGCAUGGUUCAUUGAUUUUAUACAUAUUGGGUAUGCCUCACAUUUCACCAAGCCAACUUUGACUCAAGUCAUGCUUCUAAAGUUUGUAUUCGAUUUUGGUACAGGAUUUGAUGGGGUCUCUACACUGGGCUCAGUCUGGGUUGCUGGACACAGUAAAUUGGUACUUUCAUUUGAAAGGGGCUAAUCUCAUUUCUCACACACAUUGUGCUCGUUUUCCUUUCUUUAGACAUUUUUUAUGUGUUCUAAAGAAAUCUGAGUGAUUUCUUCAAACAUUUUACUGAAUUUGUUCUUGAUUUUCAUUCUAAAAUGAAAGCCAUAUCUACUUUGAUAGAUGCUCAAUGGGCGAAUAAUGUUGGAGCACAUGAACAUUCGGAUCCAUUAGUGGACGAAAAAUUCUUGUGUUAGAAUUUCUUUAAUUUUUUACACAUUUAUUUCAAUCUUUUAGGGUUAAAACAUAUAUUUAGGACUAACAAGUUGCAUCAGAGUCAGAACCUUAAUUUUGAUAUGGUUUCUGGCUUUAAAAUGGAAACCUAGUCCGUUCUUUUUGAAAAAUCUUUGUACCAUACUAGCUGUCGAUCUAGAAUUUUUUGUGGAAACCAACUUAUUUCCAAAUCCCUGUGACUUGAUGUAUCUUCGAUUCAACAUUUGGCUGAAUUUUUUGAUGAACUCUUUUGGGUUUCUAGUGAUUCUUGAUGGCUCGUUUGUAUUCCUUGUUGGGUUGUGAUGACUUUACACAGUUUCUGGCAAUUCUCGGUGACUCCUUAUUUUAUGUUGAGUUGAGGUGACUCAUUCAAUCUACUACCGAUUCUUUGUGUUUCAGUUGGCAUUCUGGGAUAAGUUUUAGUAGAGCAAAGUUUAAAUAUAGAAAUUAAUUUGUUUUAUAAUGAAGACACAAACUGAACAUUAGACAAUUUAAAAGUUCUAAUGACACAGGAAGGAUGUUAGAACUAUUAGGUAGAGAAGAGGGUGAUAGAUUGUGCUAGCCAUGAAUAUGAUGUAUAUUAAGAGCUUUGUGGGAAACAUUGACAAGAUGGUACCAAAGGAUGGUUUGGCUUCGAAGUGUUGGAGAUUAGCCUCAAAGCUUAUUUGUUUCUUAUGGGGCUUAUCGAAGGUAAUAGGUAUAUCGCGAGCACUAACAACAGAUGAUAUGUCCUUAUGGUCACCAGGUAGGCCAUCAAGAAUUUUUAGAGUCAGAUCUUCAUAGUGGAUGGGAUAGUCCUUGAUAGCAAGUUCGACAAUCUUGCUUUUCUAAGAUUCUAGAAACUCGAUAAUAGUUAAAGAUCCUAUAGUAANNNNNNNNNNNNNNNNNNNNNNNNNNNNNNNNNNNNNNNNNNNNNNNNNNNNNNNNNNNNNNNNNNNNNNNNNNNNNNNNNNNNNNNNNNNNNNNNNNNNNNNNNNNNNNNNNNNNNNNNNNNNNNNNNNNNNNNNNNNNNNNNNNNNNNNNNNNNNNNNNNNNNNNNNNNNNNNNNNNNNNNNNNNNNNNNNNNNNNNNNNNNNNNNNNNNNNNNNNNNNNNNNNNNNNNNNNNNNNNNNNNNNNNNNNNNNNNNNNNNNNNNNNNNNNNNNNNNNNNNNNNNNNNNNNNNNNNNNNNNNNNNNNNNNNNNNNNNNNNNNNNNNNNNNNNNNNNNNNNNNNNNNNNNNNNNNNNNNNNNNNNNNNNNNNNNNNNNNNNNNNNNNNNNNNNNNNNNNNNNNNNNNNNNNNNNNNNNNNNNNNNNNNNNNNNNNNNNNNNNNNNNNNNNNNNNNNNNNNNNNNNNNNNNNNNNNNNNNNNNNNNNNNNNNNNNNNNNNNNNNNNNNNNNNNNNNNNNNNNNNNNNNNNNNNNNNNNNNNNNNNNNNNNNNNNNNNNNNNNNNNNNNNNNNNNNNNNNNNNNNNNNNNNNNNNNNNNNNNNNNNNNNNNNNNNNNNNNNNNNNNNNNNNNNNNNNNNNNNNNNNNNNNNNNNNNNNNNNNNNNNNNNNNNNNNNNNNNNNNNNNNNNNNNNNNNNNNNNNNNNNNNNNNNNNNNNNNNNNNNNNNNNNNNNNNNNNNNNNNNNNNNNNNNNNNNNNNNNNNNNNNNNNNNNNNNNNNNNNNNNNNNNNNNNNNNNNNNNNNNNNNNNNNNNNNNNNNNNNNNNNNNNNNNNNNNNNNNNNNNNNNNNNNNNNNNNNNNNNNNNNNNNNNNNNNNNNNNNNNNNNNNNNNNNNNNNNNNNNNNNNNNNNNNNNNNNNNNNNNNNNNNNNNNNNNNNNNNNNNNNNNNNNNNNNNNNNNNNNNNNNNNNNNNNNNNNNNNNNNNNNNNNNNNNNNNNNNNNNNNNNNNNNNNNNNNNNNNNNNNNNNNNNNNNNNNNNNNNNNNNNNNNNNNNNNNNNNNNNNNNNNNNNNNNNNNNNNNNNNNNNNNNNNNNNNNNNNNNNNNNNNNNNNNNNNNNNNNNNNNNNNNNNNNNNNNNNNNNNNNNNNNNNNNNNNNNNNNNNNNNNNNNNNNNNNNNNNNNNNNNNNNNNNNNNNNNNNNNNNNNNNNNNNNNNNNNNNNNNNNNNNNNNNNNNNNNNNNNNNNNNNNNNNNNNNNNNNNNNNNNNNNNNNNNNNNNNNNNNNNNNNNNNNNNNNNNNNNNNNNNNNNNNNNNNNNNNNNNNNNNNNNNNNNNNNNNNNNNNNNCAGGUAUAUAUAUAUAUAUAUAUAUAUAUAUAUAUAUAUAUAUAUAUAUAUAUUGAUGAUAAGUCAGAAGAAUAUAAAUUAACCCCCUGCAAAUAGGGCUAGUUUUUGAUUGGCAUGAUUGCAGUGGCGGAUCUAGGUGGUGGUGAGAUCCGUUGGAAGCCAUUUUUUUUGGUUGACAAUAGAUUAAGGUUUUAGAUUAUGUUACUGAUAAUUCUUUCUUCUUCUGAAUUUUCCUUCUAGUUGAAGUGGUUAUAUAUUUACAUUUUGCAAGUCCUGGUUUCGAUUCUCUUCCCAACCAAUUCAUUGUGCAAUUUUUUUAGUUUACAACAACUAUCAAAAUUAAUGCAAUAGGAAAGAGUUGGAUGAGAUUCAAACCUUGAAACCCUAUUAUAACCAUUGAAAGCCUGACCACUGUGGCAUCUAUUGGUUUUGGCACUUAAUUCAAUAAAGUAAUAUAUAUUAUAUUUAUUGGGUUUAAGAUUCCAAAUCAUGUUCUUCCUUUAAAUUAUACGAUACUUGACAACAAUGUCAUUUGGUGAAUAUACGAUUUAUUCUUAUAACAGAAUUAUAUAUGUUCAAUAUGAACAAAUUUUAGGCAUUGUUUUAUUGUCAUUUUUUUUUCAAAAUACAUUUUUAUCUAUCUUAUUUUUAACCAUAUAUUUUUCAAUAAAAAAUAAUAUUACACGCAAAUUCAAAAUAUUUUUCUUAUUUUUUACCUCACUUUCUCCAUGAAAUCAUUAUUUCAAAAUGCAUUUUUUGUUUAAAAAAAAAAAAGACAUCAAACGGGCUCUUAAUACUUUAUUGCAGCUGACGGUCGACAAUCAACGACUAUCCGUGCUGACUCAAAAUCCUAGAUUCGCCACUGCAUGAUUGGAUGUAAUUAUUGUAGUUUCAAUUAUUUAAGUCCGAUUGGAUCCUUUUGAUAGCUUCAGUAAAAGUUUUGAGCUUUAUUACAUUAUUAAUAAAAUUUCUUAGACCACUUUGAAAAUAGUCCAAAAUAGAACUUGCAGUUUAGUGAAAUUAGGGAACAAAGUCCUAAACUUACUUGAAGGGUUAAGGGGAUGCCCAUGGCAUAAGUGAAUGCCCUCGUCGUCCAAUACACAUAAAGAGAUCGCUUUUUAUUGUUUGAUUCCUCAACUUGAUUCUUGAUUUGGCUUUCAGGUUUCCACUCAUUAAUUGCUGUUCAUACUUCUGGAGAAUACCAAAGAAGAUAUGGGGUUGAAGCUUGAAGAUUGAAUAUCAAUAUUUAAAGAAAAGAAUUGGAGCAGCUUCUAAAGAAUUCAGAUCUAAUCACACUUCAACUAUGAUUCCACAAUCCUUUAUAUGAUUAAUUCAACAUGUUAUAACACGAAUUUAAGUAUAUAUUCUUGGGUCAAAACUUAUUAAGAAAAAAAAUUUAUUGCACAUGUUUUUACUUAUUGUCUAACAUUAGUCUUAUCUUUUCACUUUGGAUUUGUGAACACAUCUUUUCAGUUCAGUGUUUAUGAGUUAAGUUUGUAUCUAAUAACGCUAAAAAAUAGGGUUCUUUAAUACAUUAACAUUGUUCAUGUAAUAUAAAAAGCCUCCUUGUGUAUAAAGAAAUAUACAACUCUAUUAUGGAUCUUUCCUAUAUUUUAUGUACUUUAUAUAUUCAGUUUUAAUUGGAUAUUUAAAGAAAGUUCACCUUGACCUGCUAUUUAGAGUGCACACUAAGCAAUGGUCUAUCGGUUGUCGAAUUUUGGAGAUUGAUCGCUUAGACUCUGUUGCACUGGAUUACAUAUCUCGAGGGGGCAACUAUUUAUGGUACUUCAAACUAACAUUUUUAAGCUAAUUUUCAUUGUUGAUUCCUAAAGUUAUCUUAUAAUGUGUGGGCACAUGAAAUAAAUGACUUAUCUUUAGUUUCAUCUUUCGUGCAUAUUACAACUUUCCUAACAAUCUUAAAUUCAUUUUGGAUAAAACCUCUUUACCAGGGCCACAUGUGCCCUGGUAUUGAUACGCCCUAUAGGUGGGGCCUCGAUAGGUGCCCCACCUAUAGGGGGCGCCAACCAUGGCACAUGCGGCCCUGGUAACCAAGCACGGUUCAUUGAUUUUAUACAUAUUGGAUAUGCCUCACAUUUCACCAAGCCAACAUUGACUUAAGUCGUGCUUCUAAAGUUCGUAUUCAAUUUUGGUACAAGAUUUGAUGGGGUCUAUACACUUGGCUCAUUCAUUGAGGCCCCACCUAUAGUGGGUGCCAAUAUCAGGGCACAUGUGGCCCUGGUAACCAAGCACGGUUCAUUGACUUUGUACAUAUUGGAUCUGCCUCACAUUUCACCAAGUCAACUUUGACUCAAGUCGUGCUUCUAAAGUUUGUAUUCGAUUUUGGUACAAGAUUUGAUGUGGUCUCUACACUUGGCUCAUUCUGGGUUGCUGGACAGAGAGUAAAUUGGUUCUUUCAUCUAAAAGGGGCUAAUCUCAUUUCUCACACACAGAGUGCUCUUUUUCCUUUCUUUAGACAUUUUUUAUGUGUUCUAAAGAAAUUUAAGUGAUUUCUUGAAACAUUUUACUGAAUUUGUUCUUGAUUUUCAUUCUAAUAUGAAAGCCAUAUCUACUUUGGUAGAUGCUCAAUGGGUGAAUAAUGUUAGAGCACAUGAACAUUCGGAUCAAUUAGUGGAUGAAAAUUCUUGUGUUCGAAUUUCUUUAAUUUUUUACACAUUUAUUUCAAUCUUUUAGGGUUAAAACAUAUAUUUAGGACUAACAAGUGGCAUCAGAGUGAGAAACUUAAUUUUGAUAUGGUUUCUGGCUUUAAAAUGGAAACCUAAUUUGUUCUUUUUGAAAAAUCUUUGUACUAUACUAGCUCUCGAUCUAGAAUUUUUUGUGGAAACCAACUUAUUUCCAAAUCUCUAUGACUUGAUGUAUCUUCAAUUCAACGUUUGGUUGAAUUUUUUGAUGAACUCGUUUUGGUUUCUAGCGAUUCUUGAUGGCUCGUUCGUAUUCGUUGUUGGGGUGUGAUGACUUUACGCAGUUUCUAGCAAUUCUCGGUGACUCCUUAUUAUUUGUUGAGUUGAGGUGCCUCAUUCAAUCUACUACUGACUCUUGGUGUUUUACUUGGCAUUCUGGGGUAAAUUUUAGUAGAGCAGAGUUUAAAUAUAGAAACUAAUUUGUUUUGUAUUGAAGACACAAACUGAACAUUAGACAAUUUAAAAGUUCUAAUGACACAGGAAAAGAUGUUAGAACUAUUAGGUAGAGAAGAGGAUGGUGGAUUGUGCUAGCCAUGAAUAUGAUGUAUAUUAAGAGCUUUGUGGGGAACAUUGGCAGAGAUGGUACCAGAGGAUGGUUUGGCUUCGAAGUGUUGGAGAUUAGCCUCAAAGCUUAUUUGUUUCUUAUGGAGCUUAUUGAAGGUAAUGGGUAUAUCGCGAGCACUAACAACAGAUGAGAUGUCCUUAUGGUCACCGAGUAGGCCUUCAAGAAUUUUUAGUGUCAGAUUUUCAUAGUGGAUGGGAUAGUCCUUGAUAGCAAGUUCGACAAUCUUGAUUUUCUAAGAUUCUAGAAACUCGAUAAUAGUUAAAGAUCCUAUAGUAACGUUGGGAAGUCGACUUUUUCAUUGUAUAAUGCAACCUCCUGAGGGUUUGUCAUAUAUUGCAAAAAUAUUGUUCCACACAUUAUGAGAUGUUUUGAAAGAAGCGAUGUAUGGUAUAAUAGUGGAAGAACGGAUCCGAUAAUUGCAUUUAAUAGUAGUUGGUUAUGUUCGAUACCAUAAGCAAAUGAUUGAUUUAGUAAGUAUUGACAUUUUUUAUAAUAUGUAGCUCAUAUGGAGUAAAACACAUGUACACUAGAAAAGCACGUUGACGCCAACGUGGAGCAAGGGGAGCGCACCUAACAGAAUGGUACAAGGAUAUUUUUGGAUUUCUAUAAUAUCUUGUACGGGCUAGGUUAGUAUAUAUAUUAUAACUCUAUUAUUUUCAUAUUGUGAAAAUUAUAGCCGCUUCACUCUCGUAGAUGUAGGCUACUGUCAAACCACUCUCUCUAUUGAAUUUGUACUAUUCAUCAUUAUCAUUAUUGUCGUACAUAACACAACACCAUUGAUAUAAGCUAGUCAUAAACCCAUGAGAUCAUACCUUAUGAGUAUUGUAUUAUAUUGCAAUUUCUAUGAGGACUAAUUUCCUACGAGCAAGAUACUCUAGUGUCUAGCGCUUCGACCUUCUUCCUCCCGCUCGAAUAAGCCCUAGUUUCGCUUGAAUGAUCAAUGACGACACUUCUACAAUGUCAUCUAGUCAUCUUGUCCUACUCUUGUGCCGUAUAUUUCCUCAUUGUUCCCAAUCACGACCUAAGUGCCUCUAUAGCUCUACCCACUUCACACGCUCAGUUCUCACCCUAUGAAAACCCAUGACAAAGAUCAUAUUCCAAAGCCAAUUCAAAAACUAAAUAUCACCCCUUGAUCUUGAUUCCAUUAUUCUACAGUCUUUUGCCACAAUCCUUAAACGUCCACUUUGAUUCUAAUCCAUGUGUGAGGAGUUUGAUGGCCUAUUAGGUAAUGAAUUUAAAAGACCUCCUCUCCCUUCUAAUUCCAAAUUAUUUUCAUUUGUAAAUGGGCUUUUCAUGUUAAACGGAAACCUAAUGGUUACAUUCAUUGUGCAUGACGAAUGUUUUUCAUCAACGCUCGUGGUAGACUACAAUGAGAAUUUUAACCUAGUUGUCAAUUCCACCACCAUCCAUCUCAUUUUAAUCUUACCUUGGCACAGCAUUGGUCUCUACGUUGUUCAAUGUUAGUAAUACAUUUCUUCGGGAUUCACUAAUGAAAAUUAUUUACAUGUCUCAUCUUCAACAAUUUGUCGAUAUAGAAACUUCCAUUAUGAUUGUCCAUUUCAUAAAGGUAUCUGUAAUCUCAAACAAGCUCAUCGAGCUUAGUACAAUGAAUUACGAAACUUCUUGCUUGCCAGUGGGAUUACCAAUUCCAAAUCUAACACGUACGUCUAUAUUCAACUGCAACUCCAACCAGUGUUGAAUCUUAGUUUUGGUUUAUGCUAAAGACAUCAUUGUCACGAGAAACUCAAGUUUUUAAUAUCUUUGUUACUCAUUUGGUACCAUUUUUUCUAGAGAUGUCAAAAAUCCUAACCGAACCUAAUCCCCAUAGGGACAUAUCCCAAAGUGGACAAGAGUUUCUGGCUUUAAUCGAGUUUGCAUCCAUUUAUAUUUUAACAAUAUUAAUAAAAAAAAAUGCCCAAUUUGUAUUAUAAAAAUUUUUUAAAAAAAUGAAUAAAUAAAUUUACCUAUCAUGCAAUCCAAUCUAACAUCGCGUUCCAUUCAAGAAAAAAGAAAAAGAAGGAGAAAAAAUAGAAAAUUGAUUAAAAAAAGCAAAAUAAAAUAUAACGGUGCUAUAAAGUGGAUCCCACUUUAUUGUCAUCCCUAGAUUUGGAUACUUUUUUCCUGGGGAUAUAAGUUAUUUUUCUCUACAAGGCCUUUUUCUCUCACAACAUUAGUUUGUAUCUCAGUAAUCUUCUGCACAACAUAAGUUGCAUGAGUGUGAGUCAGUGUCAAUUUCUAUGUACAUGACAACUACCUUGAGCUUAAUUGAUGUCACUACUUUUCAUGAUGCUUUUAAAUAUAGGCAAGUUCUUGGCAACUUGCAAUAUUCUUUACUCACUCGCCAGGGCAUUGUUAUUUAGUAAACCAUCUGUAUCAAUAUAUCGCUGAUCCAUUUCUCACACUUGGAUCGCUGUUAAACUUAUGUUUCUCGACUUUUUUGGCACUUUGGGCUCUUUCUUUGUCGCCAUUCUCCUGUCUUGUUACAUGCCUUCUCUAAAUCUGAUUGAGAAGAAAAUGGUAAUGAUUCCACAUCCAUCCAUGCCAAUCUAGUGAUUCUUGAAUGGAACCUAAUUGUUGCUCAUUUUUUUUUAUUGAAAUCGACUAUCAUAUGGCUUAAAUAUUUAGUACUUGAAUUCAGCGAACCAAUUUCCACCAAUCGAGUAAUCUAAUUUCAUACUAUUAGCACCACAUACUUAAUGACCUAACACUAUUUCUCACCUCGAAUGGAAUACAUUAAGAUUCAUGUGCACUUUGUUCAUGACAAGAUUUAGACCGGUGAACUCUGGAUUUCUUGUGUUGUCUUGUCCAAUCAAUUUGUUAAUGUUCAAACUAAACAUUAAUCAUAUGCGUCCGCAUCUACUCCUAUCUGAUAUAGGUGUCACUAAUAAGACUGCUUUCUUGUGCGGGGCAUAUUAUAGAUAUUAAAGUAAUUAGAGAUAGCAUAGUACGAUAAUUAGAGCUUGAUCUUGUGAAAUAAUAUUAAAGUAGUUAUAGAUAGUGUUACACAAUAGUUAGAACUUGUCAUUACUCAACGUGCAUCAUAUAUUUCUGUUACAGAAUGUAUACAUAUAUAUAGCACAUACCAGGAGAUAUUCUAGACUAUGCACUAAUUUAGGCUAUGAUUGAGAUUGACCCUCAUUGUAUGUGGAGUCAGAUGACAAACUAUACUUCCCUAUAAUUAUUGAAUAAUGUUAUUUAAUAUUAGUAGAAUUAGAGUGCCAGUCUAAGUUGACAUACUUGAUAAGUUCAAUUAAAUUAAUAUUGUGGUAUUGCAUUUAAAUGAAUUUAUUGUUUAGUGUCAUGAAAUUAGGGUGGCAACAGUUCGGUUCAGGUUCGGUUUGGCCAAAACCAUCACCGAAUCACCAAUUUUUUUGUCAUACCAUAACCACGUAAGUUGGUUCGGUUCGGCUUAGUUAGGACGAUUAAGAACAACGAAAAUAAAUUAUUUUUUAUAAGUUCAGCUAUCAAAUUGGAAAAAAAAAUUAUGAAAAAAAAGGUCAAUGAAAACAAAAACACAAUACCAAGUCAAUUUAACAAACAAUAUCCCAAUUUCCAAAGGCAAAAUCCGAAUUUAACAAACAAUAUCCAUAAAUGUUUAAUAUUUGUGUAGUAGGGUGUAGGGUUAUUGGGUUCAGUUAGUUGGACUUAAUGGGUUGGUAAUGGGCCAAAAAUUUGAACUGAACAGAAUCAUAGAAAGACUAAUGGAAAGCCUAAUUGUCCAAUUAGUUUUUUUUUAACAGGUAAUCGGUUCGGAGUUGGACGACGGUGUAAAUAUCAUACUCGUCCCGCUCCAAAUCGGGGCAUUAAAAUCAAAUACCAUAUCCACCCCAUUGCGCCAUUGGUUCGGUUAAUCGCGAUUUUCGAUUUUGAUAGUUCGAAUUGCCAUCCUUACAUGAAAUUGCAUCUCAACUAAAGUUUAACACUAAUGGUGCUAAAGUGCAUUACUCAUAAUUAUUAUAUGAGUAAUGCCAUUUAGCACUAUUAGUUAAGCACUGUUUAGGUGGCAUGCAAUAAUCAUUAAUUGAAAGACUGCCUUAAAAGUAGAAAAAUGAGUCACAUUUAAAAUGUUCUAUCACUUGCAUGCCAUCUAAGUUGGUGCUAUGUAACAUUAUUCUUAUUACUUUUCUUGAUUGACAACUUGCACCAAUAGUCAUCUUGCAACUUAUUGAUAUACUAAAAUCAAUGUGAGAUAGAGUUUAUGUAUUUGAGUUGGAGUCGAUCAAGUUUUUAUAGAACCUAAAUAAUCUUCAAAUGAAUCAUAGUUACUCAAGUUGUUUCUUACCGCUCUAAGCAUCAAUCCAAACACAUUCUUAUGUCAAUCAAUAUGUCAAUUUUUACAUGAAUCAAUUCAUCCUUUGCUGUUAGAGUUACUUUAGUUAGCUACUUUAGCAGAGAUGAUCAAGUUAUACAAAAGCUCAUUAGAAACAUCAAAGUUAGAUAUAAACUGUAAGGCUUAAUUACAGUUUUGUGUACUGUUACAGAAACAUUCAAAGUUUUUCGAGUAAUAUAGAUCAUUUCACUAAUCCUUUUUAUUUUUAUUUUUUUUAUAUACCAUUGUAUGAUUAAAUAAAAUUAGUAUAAAACAUCAAUACUUCAUCUACAAUGUACAUAGUUUAUCAACAAUGUUAAUAGCAUUGAGUUUAUAUUUCAUCAUAAUUCUCCAGACCAAUUAGAAAUAUUAGGAAGUUUCUAGUAUUUGAUCUUGUCUUCCCAUUUCUUUUAAUCAAUACAUAUAAUUAAUCAAGCAACCAAAAUAAAAUUUUUAACACCAUAAUACCAAUAUAAAAGUUACAAAUCUAGAAUAAAUCACUAUUACUCAUAGGAGUCACUUUGUAGAGCCCAUAUAGAAAACCUUGAAGGCAUGUCAAUUAAUACAUGUACUAUGCUGUUUCAAUUAUAAGUUAAUGUACCUCAUUUUCUUUCUUACACCAUAUAAAUACUUUAUCAACUAGGCCAACACUCAUCAUAAUUUAGCAAAUAAGACUUAGAAAAUGCACCGUUUUUUAUCCAUAACUCUUCGACUUAAAUCUAAGAUGAUAUCGUCAUGCCAUUAUAGAAGCAAAGAGAAUCUGACCUAUAUAAUUAUUAAUAGGGUAAGGAUGCUUUAGCAGAUUUCGUCUAAUCUGCAAUUUAGGAAAAAUUGCAUCAUACAACCAUUUGUUAAGGGGAUGCCCAUGGCAUAAGUGAAUGCCCUAGUCGUCCAAUACACAUAAAGAGAUCGCUUUUAAUUGUUUGAUUUCUCAACUUGAUUCUUGAUUUGGCUUUCAGGUUUCCACUCAUUAAUUGAUGUUCAUACUUCUGGAGAAUACCAAAGAAGAUAGGGGUUGAAAGCUUGAAGAUUGAAUAUCCAUAUUUAAAGAAAAGAAUUGGAGCAGCUUCUAAAGAAUUCAGAUCUAAUCACACUUCAACUGUGAUUCCACAAUCCUUUAUAUGAUUAAUUCAACAUGUUAUAAUACGAAUUUAACUAUAUAUUAUUGGGUCAAAACUUAUUAAGAACAAAAUUUAUUGCCUAUGUUUUUACUUAUUGUCUAACAUUAUUCUUAUCUUUACUUUGGCUUUGUGAACAUACAUUUUCAGUUCAGUGGUUAUGAGUUAACUUUGUAUCUAAUAACGCUAAAAGAUAAGGUUCUUUAAUACAUUAACAUUGUUCAUGUACCAUAAAAAGCCUCCUUGUGCAUAAAGAAAUAUACAACUCUAUUAUGGGUCUUUCCUAUAUUUUAUGUACUUUAUAUAAUAAGUACUUAGAGUGGGAGAAGAAGAUUGAGUUGAUAUUCGAUUGUCACAAUUACUCGGGGCAGAAAAAGGUGAAAAUUGCGGUUCUUGAGUUUUUCAACUAUGCAAUAACUUGAUGGGAUCAAGUGGCGACGACGAGGUGGAGGAUUGGGGCACAACCUUUAAAUACUUGGGAGGAGUUGAAGAUGUUAAUGCGAAAAUAGUUUGUACCUAAUCACUAUUACCGGAAGCUUCAUCAAUGGUUACAAAAUCUAUAUCAAGGCACUAGGAGCAUAGAGGAUUACCAUAAGGAGAUGGAGAUGCUUAUGAUUAGGGCGAACGUGGAAGAGGAUAGGGAAGCCACUAUGGCACGAUUUUUGAGGGGGUUGAAUAGGGACAUUGCCAAUGAAGUGGAAUUGCAACAUUAGGUGGAGAUUGAAGACAUGCUACAUGUGGCAUGAAGGUGGAAAAGCAAUUGAAGCGAAAGGGGACAGCAAGGUACUAAGGUGGAUUUUCGAUUUCUAAUCCUUCUUGGAAGCCGAGGUAGGAAAAUAAUAAAGGAGAUGGAGCUAAUAGAAGAGAAAGACCGGAGGCAUCGAGAGGAAAGGAGGAAGGAGCUAGCAAGACUACACCAAAGGUAGAAUCCCAGCCUUCAAGGAAUCUGGAGUCAAGUGUUUUCGUUGCUUGGGAGUUGGACACAUUGCUUCACAAUGUCCAAAUAAAAGAACCAUGAUUUUGCAAGACAGCGAGGAAGUGGAGAUCGAGAGUGAAGGUGAUUAUGAAGACAUGCCGGAGUUGGAGGACAUUGACGAGGAAAACACCACAGAGUAUGCAGUUGGGGAGUUGUUGGUCACAAGGCGAGCACUUAGUGCUCAAAUCAAGGCGGUUGACUUGGAGCAGCAGUGGAAAAAUAUAUUCCACACAUGGUGUCACGUCAACGGGAAGGUAUGCAGUGUAAUAACUGAUGGUGGAAGUUGUACAAACGUAGCUAGCACUAAUGUAGUGGGAAAAUUGGGAUUAACACUAUUAAAAUAUCCUAAACCCUAUAGGUUGCGAUGGUUAAAUUAAUGUGGGGAGGUUGAUGUGACAAAAAAGGUGUUGAUUAAUUUUUCCAUUGGGAAGUAUUAUGAUGAGGUGUUAUGUGAUGUUGUACCUAAGCACGCGGGGCAUAUUUUGUUGGGGCGACCUUGGUAAUAUGAUAGGAAAACAAUGCAUGAUGGGUAUAAAAAUAAAUAUAGUUUUGUGAAAGAGGGAAAGUCUAUCACUCUUGCACCAUUAAGUGUAUGACGACCAAAUCAAAUUGAAAAAUGAGGAAGAAAAGAGAGUGAGAGAGUUAGAGAAAAAGAGAGAAAAUAGUAAGAUUGCCGAUGAGGAAGAAAAAAGAGUGGGGCCACAUGAGAGAAAGAAAGAGAGUUUUCCGAGAGGAGAGAAAAGCCAAAAGUGAAUUUCUUUGCAAAAGGGAGUGAAAUGAAAAAGGCAAUAGUGGAGAGACAAUCAAUGAUUCUUUUGGUAUUUACUCCUCAAUUUUGAGGAGUCUAACACAUCCCUCCCUAGUUUGACUACUUCUUUAUUGCAGGAACUUGUCGAUGUGUUUCCGGAAGAUGUGCCUAGUGGAUUACCACCCAUUAGGGGGAUCGAACAUUAAAUUGAUUUCAUACCUGGAGCUGUCAUUCCAAACCGACCAGUUUAUCGAAGUAAUCCAAAGGAGACAAAGGAGUUUCAAAGGUAAGUGGAGGAGUUGAUGAGCAAGGGUUAUGUAAGGGAGAGCAUGAGUCCAUGUGCCGUACCUGUAUUGUUGGUGCCAAAGAAAGAUGGAACUUGGAGGAUGUGCGUGGAUUGCCGAUCUAUCAAUAACAUUACGGUAAAGUAUGGUCACCCAAUUCCUAGGUUAGAUGACAAGUUAGAUGAAUUAUAUAGUGCUUGCAUCUUUUCUAAAAUUGACCUUAAGAGCGGGUAUCAUGAAAUUCGUAUGCGGGAGGGUGAUGAAUGGAAAACAACAUUUAAAACGAAAUAUGAGUUGUAUGAAUGGCUAGUUAUACCCUUUGGACUCACAAAUGCACCAAGCACGUUUAUGCGAUUAAUGAAUCAUGUUUUGCAUGCUUUCAUUGAAAAAUUUGUUGUAGUUUAAUUUGAUGACAUUCUAAUCUAUAGCAAGGACCUAGUAGAGCAUUUAGAACAUCUUAAAUGUGUGCUUGUGGUUUUAAGAAAUGAACGACUUUAUGCUAAUUUCAAGAAGUACACAUUUUGCAUGGAUAGAAUCAUAUUUCUAGGAUUUGUGGUGAGUGCUAAUGGGGUUGAAGUUGAUGAAGAAAAUGUAAAAGCUAUUAAGGAUUGGCCAACACCUAAAAACAUAACCGAGGUUAGGAGUUUUCAUGGGUUAGCUAGUUUUUAUAGGCGAUUUGUUAGGGAUUUUAGCACACUUGCCACACCACUUACAAAAAUUGUCAAAAAGAGUGUUGGGUUUCAAUGGGGUGUAGAAUAAGAAUAUGCAUUUAACACCAUCAAAGAAUUUUUAUGUAAAGCACCUGUUUUAGCGCUUCCUAAUUUUGACAAAACUUUCGAGAUUGUGUGUGAUGCAUUAGGAAUAGGUAUUAGAGCUGUUUUGACGCAGGAAAAGAGGUCGAUAGCAUACUUUAGCGAGAAACUAAGUGGGGCAGCUCUUAACUAUCCUACUUAUGGCAGGAGCUUUAUUCUCUAGUUCGAGCCUUGGAGACAUGGCAACACUACCUAUGGCCAAAGGAGUUUGUUAUUCACAUUGACCAUGAAUCAUUGAAACAUUUGCGAGGUCAAGGUGAUUUGAACAAACGACAUGCACAUUGGAUGGAAUUCAUAGAGACUUUUCCAUAUGUCAUUCGAUAAAAACAAGGUAAGGAAAACAUAGUAGCCGUUGCAUUGUCGCGAAGGUAUGUGCUUCUCACUUCUUUAACUGCAAAAUUACUUGGUUUUGAGUAUGUUAAGGACAUGUGUAAAAACGAUCUUGAUUUUUCUAACAUCUAUAAUUCAUGUACUGAGAGGGCUAUUGACAAGUUCUUUAAAUAUGAGGGAUAUUUGUUUUGAGAAAAUAAAUUAUGUGUUCCUAAUUGCUCAAUGCGUGAAUUGUUGGUUAGGGAGGCACAUAGUGGGGGUUUAAUAGGUCACUUUGGGUUAGCAAAGAGUUUAGACAUGUUAAAUGAACACUUUUAUUGGCCUAAAAUGAAGAUUGACAUAGAACGAUUUUGUAGUCGUUGCAUAACUUUUAAAAAGACUAAAUCAAAAGUUUUAUCCCAUAGACUUUAUACACCUUUAUCGAUACCUAGCGAACCUUGGGUUGACAUUUCAAUGGAUUUUGUGUUAGGUUUGCCUAGGACUAAAAAGAGGCGUGAUUCAAUUUUUGUUUUUGGUGAAUAGGUUUAGUAAAAUGGUACACUUUAUACCAUGUCACAAAAUCGAAGAUGUCACUAACAUUGCAGGAGUUGUUUUUCAAAGAAUUAGUGUGUUUGCAUGGUGUUCCCAAAAGUAUUGUGUCCGAUAGGGAUGUUAAGUUUCUUAGUCACUUUUGGCGGGUCUUGUGGAAUAAGUUAGGCACGAAAUUAUUGUUUUCUACAACUCGUCACCUAUAAAUCGAUGGUCAAACUGAAGUAGUGAAUAGAACAAUGACACAACUAUUGCGCACUGUGGUUAAUAAAAAUCUAAAGAAUUGGAAAGAAUGUUUGCCUUUCAUUGAGUUUGCAUAUAAUAGAGCCACGUAUUCUACUACGUCGUUUUCACCAUUUGAAAUUGUUUAUGGUUUUAAUCCUUUAACAUCUAUGGAUUUAGGACCUUUGCGUGUGAAUGAACGAGGUAGUUUGGAUCGAAAAAAGAAAGCCUAAUUGGUAAAGACACUCCGUGAAAAGGUAAGGGAGCAAAUAGAGAAGAAGAACAAUCAACGAACAACACAAGCAAACAAAGGCCGAAAAUAUGCCACUUUCGAACCGGGAGAUUGGGUUUGGGUGCAUUUCACGAAAAAGCGAUUCCCAGAGCAAAGAAAAUCAAAGUUAUUGCCACGAGGAGAUGGAUCGUUCCAAGUGAUUGAGAAGAUCAACGACAACGCUUAUAAGAUAGAUCUUCCAGGUGAGUAUAGUGUUUCUGCAACUUGCAAUGUUUCUGACUUAUCUCUUUUCGAUGCAGGUACAGAUUUGAGGUCAAAUCCUUUCGAAGAGAGAGGGGAUGAUGUGAUCCAGAAAGCACAAGUACCAAAGUCAAGUUUAGAGUCGAGCCCGAGGAAAGAUCUGUUGAUAGUCGAGGGGACGAUGACGCGAUCGAGGGCCAAGCACGUGAAAGAGGCGAUGGGAUUGCUCGUCAAAACAACGGUUGAUGAAACAAUGUUCGGGAUACAAAAUGGAGUAAGUUUCAUGUUUGGGACGAAGGCCGAAGACUAUUGGAUCAACGUGUUUAAAGUUGAAGAAAAUGGAGCUGGAGUAUUAAACCAUGCGGCCGUAUAGGUCUAAAGUCCUGCAGUCGCAUACACUCAGUAGAAGUCCCAAAGUCGCGGACCAAUUGCACUAUGCGACCGCAUGCUCUAAAGCUAUGCGGCUGCACCGAGGCGAAUUUUUUCAAAUUUCGCAUUUUCCUUAUUUUAAUAGAAUUUCAUUAUUAGUAGAUUUUUAGCUAUUGUGGACGAAUUUUGCAUUAUUCUUAGAUUUUUUCCUAGUUUACUUAGGUUCUCUAAAAUAGUAUAAAUACUUUAUUCCUUAUUGUAAAACAUUACAACUCUCAUAUUAUUGAAUAUUAUUCGUGAGGCAUUAAUUGCUUUCUCUAGUUUUUCAUUGAACAGCUUGUGAACUUACCAAGAUUAAUCUUGUGGUAUUCAAAUUAAUCGGGUGAGAUUCAUUUAAAUUUCGUAAUCAAAAGGUCCGCAUAUUGUCGGAGAUUCGGAUUGCUUGGUUCCAAUUUAUUGGGUUUAAUAAAAAAUCUUGUCUUUGGCUUUCUUGGGUUUGAUUCUCAAUUUGUUAUGGGUUUGGUAGCGAUCGCGCUACACGGGUUCGCAUCAGAUUUCUUCGAACAUUUUACUGAAUUUGUUCUUGAUUUUCAUUCUAAAAUGAAAGUCAUAUCUACUUUGAUAGAUGCUCAAUGGAAGAAUAAUGUUGGAGCACGUGAACAUUCAGAUCCAUUAGUGGAUGAAAAUUCUUAUGUUAGAAUUUCUUUAAUUUUUUACACAUUUAUUUCAAUAUUUUAGGGUUAAAACAUAUAUUUAGGACUAACAAGUGGCAUCAGAGUCGGAACCUUAAAUUUUAUAUGGUUUCUGGCUUUAAAAUGGAAACCUACUUUGUUCUUUUUGAAAAAUCUUUGUACUAUACCAGUUCUUGAUCUACAAUAUUUUUAUUUUUAUUUUUAUUUUUUGGAAACCAACUUAUUUCCAAGUCUCUGUGACAAAUAUGUAUCUUCGAUUCAACAUUUGGUUGAAUUUUUUGAUGAACUCGUUUUGGUUUCUAGCGAUUCUUGAUGGCUCGUUCGUAUUCCUUGUUGGGGUGUGAUGACUUUACGCAGUUUCUGGCAAUCCUCGGUGACUCAUUAUUUGUUGAGUUGAGGUGACUCAUUCAAUCUACUACUGAUUCUUGGUGUUUCAGUUGGCAUUCUGGGAUAAAUUUUAUUAGAGCAGAGUUUAAAUAUAGAAAUUAAUUUGUUUUGUAUUGAAGACGCAAACUGAACAUUAGACAAUUUAAAAGUUCAAUGACACAGGAAAGGAUGUUAGGACUAUUAGGUAGAGAAGAGGGUGGUGGAUUGUUCUAGCCAUGAAUAUGAUGUAUAUUAAGAGCUUUGUGGGGAACAUUGGCAGAGAUGGUACCAGAGGUUGGUUUGGCUUCAAAGUGUCGGAGCUUAUUUGUUUCAUAUAGAGCUUAUCGAAGGUAAUGGGAUAUCGCGAGCACUAACAACAGAUGAGAUGUCCUUAUGGUCACUACGUAGGCCUUCGAGAAUUUUUAGAGUCAGAUCUUCAUGGUGGAUGGGAUAGUCCUUGACAGCAAGUUUGACAAUCAUGCUUUUCUAAGAUUGUAGAAACUCGAUAAUAGUUAUAGAUCCUAUAGUAAGUUUGGGAAGUCGACUUCUUCAUUGUAUAACGCAUCCUCCUGAGGGUUCGUCAUAUAUUGCAAAAAUAUUGUUCCACACAUUAUGAGAUCUUUGAAAAGAAGCGAUGCAUGGAAUAAUAGUGGAAGAUCGGAUCCGAGAAUUGCACUUAAUAGUAGUUGGUUUUGUCCGAUACCUUAAGCAAAUGAUCGAUUUAGUAAAUCAUUGGCAUUGUUUAUAAUAUGUAGCUCAUAGAGUAAAGCACAUGUAUGCUAGAAAGCAGGUUGAUGCCGACGUGGAGCAAGGGGAGCACACCUAAGAGAAUGGUACUAGUAUAUUUUUGGAUUUUUACAAUAUCUUGUACGAGCUACGUUAGUAAAUACGUCGUAACUCUAUUAUUUUCACAUUGUGAAAAUUAUAGCUGCUUCACUCUCGUAGAUGUAAGCUAUUGUCAAACCACAUAAAUCUCUCUCUCUCUCUCUCUCUCUAUUGAAUUUGUACUAUUCAUCAUUAUCAUUAUUGUCGCACAUAACACAACACUAUUGAUAUAAGCUGGUCGUAAACCCAUGAGAUCAUACCUUAUGAGUAGGGUAUUAAAUUGUGAUUUCUAUAAGGACUAAUUUCCUACGUGCAAGAUACUCCAACGUCCAGAGCUUCGGCCUUCUUCCUCCUGCUCGAGUGAGCCCUUCUUUCGUUUAAAUGAUCAAUGGCGACACUUCUACAAUGUCAUCUAGUCAUCUUGUCCUACUCUCUCGCCUUCUCAUUGAUCCCGAUCAUGACCUAACUGCCUCUACCUCCACCUUACACGCUUAGUUCUCGCCCUAUGAAAACCCAUGACGAAGAUCAUAUUCCAAAACUAAAUCUUAGCCCUUGAUCUUGAUUCCAUUAUUCUACACUCUUUAGCCACAAGCCUUAAACAUCCACUUUGGUUCUAAUCCAUGUGUGAGGAUUUUGAUGGCCUAUUAGGUGAUGCAUUUAGAAGAUAGCCUCUCCGUUCCAAUUCCAAAUUAUUUUCAUUUGUAAAUGGGCUUUUUGUGUUAAACGGAAACCUAAUGUUUACAUUCAUCAUGCCCGACCAAUGGUUUUCAUCAACGGUCACGGUAGACUACAAUGAGAAUUUUAGCCUAGUUGUCAAUCCCACCACCAUCCGUCUCAUCCUUAAUCUUGCAUUGGUACGGCAUUCGUCUUUACGUUGUUCAAUGUUAGUAAUGCAUUUCCUCGGGAUGCACUAAUGAAAACUAUUUACAUGUCUCAUCUUCAAGAAUUUGUCAAUAUAGAAACUUCCAUUAUGAUUGUCCAAUUGCCAGUGGGUUUACCAAUUCCAAAUCUAACACGUAAGUCUAUAUUCAAUUGCAACUCUAACCAGUGUCGAAUCUUAGUUCUGGUUUAUGCUAACGACAUCAUUGUCACGAGAAACUCAAGUUUUAAUAUCUUUGUUACUCAUUUGGCACCAUUUUUUUCUAGAGAUGUCAAAAAUCCUAACUGAACUAGUCCCCAUAGCGACAUAUCCCAAAGAGAACGAGAAUUUCUGGCUUUAAUCGAGUUUGCAUUCAUUUAUAUUUUAACAAUAUUAAUAAAAAAUUGCCCAAUUUCUAUUAUAAAAAUUUUAAAAAAUGAAUAAAUAAAUUUACCUAUAUAAAAAAAAUGAAUAAAUGAAAAAUGAAUAAAUAGAAAAUUGAUUAAAAUAAAAUAGAAUGGCACUGUAAAGUGGAUCCCGCUUUAUUGUCAUCCCCAGAUUUGGAUACUUUAUACUUGUUUCUUGGGGAUUAAGUUAUUUUUCUCUACAAGGCCUUUUUCUCUCACAACAUUAGUUUGUAUUUCAAUAAUCUUCUACACAACAUAAUUUGCAUAAGUACGAGUCAGUGUCUAUUUCUAUGUACAUGACAACUACCUUUAGCUUGAUUGAUGUCACUACUCUUCAUGAUGCUUCUAAAUAUAGGCAAGUUCUUGGCAACUUGCAAUAUUCUUUACUCACUCGCCAGGACAUUGUUAUUCAGUUAACCAUCUGUACCAAUAUAUCACCGAUCCAUUUCUUACCCUUGGAUGGCCGUUAAGCUUAUGUUUCUCGACUUUUUUGGCACUCUGCACUUUGGGCUCUUUCUUCAUCGCCAUUUUCUUGGCUUGUUGCAUGCCUUCUCUAAAUCUGAUUGAGAAGAAAAUGGUAAUGAUCCCACAUCCAUCCGUGCCGAUCUAGUGAUUCUUGAAUGGAACCUAAUUGUUGCUUUUUUUUUUUUUUUUUUUUUUAAAUCAAGUAUCAUAUGGCUUAAAUAUUUAGUACUUGAAUUCAGCGAAUCAAUUUCCACCAAUCGAGUAAUCUAAUUUCAUACUAUUAGCACCACAUACUUGAUGACCUAACACUAUUUCUCAGCUCGAAUGAAAUACAUGAAGGCUAUGUUUGAUUGGUUCAAAUUCCAUGGAAAAUGGAAUUCUAAUUCCACUUUCUUCCAAUUUUGGUUGUUUGAUAGGUUUUGAAUUCCAUGGAAUUUGGUUUCUUGAUUUUCUUGGAACUUGAAAUUUUCUUGAUUUUCCUUGAAAACCAAUUCCCACCAACAUGGUGGGAACUGGCUUUCUAGUUCCCUGUUACGUAUUUUUUUUUAUUUUAUAUAUAUUUUUUAAGGUAAUGGAAACAAAUUCUAAGAAAUAUUGCACAAAAAUAUUUCAUUUUAAUUGGCAAUUUUUAUGUAAAACAAAGUCAAACGAACACCAAAAGAUAGAUGAUUUUCUUGAUCUUUUUAUUUUUAUUUUUUUUGUUGGCAAUGGAAACAAAUUUCAUUCCCAAUACCAGUAAAAUCUAUCCUUUUAAUUGAUAAUUUUCAUGUAAAAUAAAGCCAAAUGAACACCAAAAAUACUUUUAUUUUAAUAUUUUUCACAAGAAAAAUUAUACCAAUCAAAUACAAUAAUUUACAAUUCUCAAGAAAAUAAUUUAUAGGCAAUUCAAUUAUCUAGAAUUCGUUUUCAAUUUAAUUCAAUUCCAUCUUUGCAAUCUUGUGAAAUAAUAUUAGAGUAGUUAUAGAUAGUGUUACACAAUAGUUAGAACUUGUCAUUACUGAACGUGUAUCAUAUAUUUCUGUUACAGAAUGUAUACAUAUAUAUAGCACAUACAAGGAGAUAUUCUAGUCUAUGCACUAAUUUUAGGCUAUGAUUGAGAUUGACCCACAAUAUAUGUGGAGUCAGAUGACGAACUAUAGUUCCUUAUAAUUAUUAAAUAAUGCUGUUUAGCAUUUGUGGAAUUAGAGUACCAGAUCAAAGUUGACAUACUUGAUAGGUUCAAUUAAAUUAAUCAUGUGACAUUGCAUUUAAGUGGAUUUAUCGUUUAAUGUCUUGAAAUUGCAUCUAAUAUGAUGUUUAACACUUAUGGUGCUACAGUGUAUUACACAUAAUUAUUACAUGAGUAAUGCAAUUUAACACUAUUAGUUAAGCACCAUUUAGGUGGCAUGCAAAGACCAUCUUAAAAGGAGGGAAAUGAGCCACAUUUAAUUUCUUCUAUCACUUGCAUGCCAUCUAAGUUAAUGCUAUGUAAAAUAUAUUACAUUUUAUUUUUGACUGACAACUUGCACCCAUAGUCAUCUCUUAACUUAUUGAUAUACUAAAAUCAAUGUGAGCUAGAGUUUAUGAAUUUGAGUUGGAGUCGAUCAAGUUUUUAUGGAACCUGAAUAAUCUUCAAAUGAAUCAUAAUAACUCAGGUUGUUUCUUACCGCUCUAAGCGUUAAUCUAAGCACAAUCUUAUGUCAAUCGAUUAGUCAAUUUUUACAUGUAUCAAGUCAUCCUUUGCAGUUAGAGAUACUUUAGUUAGCUAUGAUGCCCGGUCAUUGCAUAAACUAAAACAAAGCAUUAAAAGCCUAACAUAUUAAGAAGGAAAUGAAUUUUAUAAAAAAAUGAAAAAAAAAAAAUAAAAAUAAAAAUCCAACUAUUCGAUUUUCCCACUAUAAUAUUACUUAGUCCUUGUGGGGGUGGUCCAUCGUUUUUGUGGUGAAAAUAAGGUCCAACAUUUUAACUUUCCGUCGAAGUUAACUUUUAGACCAACUCAAUAGAAAUUUAGGAGUGAUUGUUGGAAUUGCCAGAAUUUCAGAAAAUUAAAGAAUAAUUUCACUAAUUAAAGUUUGAAAUGUUUUGGAGUGAAUAUAGUUAGUUCGAUCUCAGGAGGAGAGAAUUUGUUCCUAUUCUAGACCAAAAGAUCAAGCCACUUGCCUGCUCAACGUCAUUUUAGUCAGAGUACUGACCUAAAGUUUGUGCCAUCGUGUCCAAGAUGUUGUACUCCUGAUUGGUUGUUGAGAUCGGCCAUACAGGUCAUCAUGGCUCCUAGGUUGCAGCUGUGGCUUAGGCAAUGAUUACUUGAUUUUCGUGAUCAUUGCUAGCUUAUGAUUAAUUGAAAAUAAGGUGCUAACGUCGCAGAUGUCACAUGUCUUUCUAGGAGAGGUGGAUUGAUAGGUGAGGACCGAUUGUCAAUAAUUGUGAAUCACAAUGUUUCUUCAAAUUACGAUAGCCAUUUCUCGAAAUGUGCUCAUACUUCGAGAAUCUAACCUAUCAGUAGUAUAGAAAUCGUAUUUUAACCUAUUUUUUACUUUACGUGCAAAAUAUUUUAUUGUGUGGAUGUAUGAUCAAAAAUGUGUAUGAAAAAUAAAGAGAUUUAACACAGAGAGUCGAAUAGGGGCUAAGAUCUCAAUCUCGCCUGCACGCAAUAUAUGUAUAAGCUAAAAUAUAGUCAUAAAAGACAUUAUUAUACCUAUAUGUACUUGUUCUAAGUUAUUUGUAUGAAUGUUAGAAUUGAAAUAAGAAAAAUGUCCGUCUCAUUACAAUAAUUUGUUCUAUUAAAUACUCUUACCGUUUCAUAAAGAUAAACUUAUUUUUCAUUCUCGCACAUGUUAAGAAAAUAUAAUUUUCGCUUAUUUUUUCUGGUACAACCAAUGUUUGAAAAAUCGAACUUGUCCAAUCAGUUCAAUUGGGAAUCAGGAUCGAAAUCGGUCCAAUUAGGCUUAUAAAACCCCCAAUUAAAAACCCGUCCCAAAGUCAAGUAAAUCGUUUAAUUUUUGGAAAAAUCGUGGCCCUUUGUCUAUUUAACCGAUUCAAUCUAUGUAAAUAUACAUUUUUUGAAAUUUUUAAACGUAUGUGUGCAUACAAGUUUCGUAAAAUGUAUAUUUUUAAUUCUAAAAAAUCACGGUUAGAUCUCGGUUCAACUUUUUGACCUUGGUUAGAUCUCGGUUCAACUUAAAAAUCCUUUUCUUGUCCGAGUCGAUGAUCGGGUCAUUUUUUAAAAACAUUGGAUACGACCCCAUGUUAAUAAUCAUUUAAAUAGGAAUAGUUCAUAUUCAUUAAUAACAAAUUAUAUGAAAUCAUGGUAUAUUAAAAAAAUUAAAAAUCAACUAUACUCUCAACAAAGAAAAUAACCUAUAAUUUGGAACAUAUGAAAAAGGAAAGCUAAGAUACUUUUCAAGAAAUAGAGAGAUCAAACUUGCCCUUAUUUAAAGCAAUUUCUCAAUAAAUUUUACUUUUUAAUGACACAUUCUCUACAAAAUUAUUAUUACAAAACAAUAUUUUUUACAAAUAUGGAAUCAAACAGAUCCUAACAUCAACAGUUCUAUAUGUACAGGCUCAGUAAUAUAAAUACUUUUGCAAACAACACGGGGCGACAUUUGAUUGGAAGUUGCCAAAAAAAAAAAGAUCAUAUAGUGUAGCACCUAUAAAAGAUGUGCAUUAUUCUCUCGAUUGUGUUACAUGUACAUAAUUGAUUUACAUAAUGAUUUCCAUAGACAUAACGUAAUGAGAUAUGAUUAUGUCAGAAUUUAAUUAUUUUUUAAUUACAUAUUCUCUUAAUAAAAUAAUUUUAUAAGUAAAUAUAAAAUAUUUUCUUACCUUUUAAUCACAUUUUUCAAAAAAAAAAAAAUCACUAUCAUAAAAUAUCUUUUUUUUUUUUCAAAAAAUGGGGCUCAAAUAUAGUUCACCAUCAUCUUUUAUGUUAGUUGCAUAUUAACAUAACUUACAUUCAUAUUUUGUAACAUGAUUAAAUUGUAAAAGCUUUUCCAAAGGGCAAGCUAAAAUUCAGAGAAAAAAAAUGCGCACACAAAAAGGGAAAAAAAAAUACCAAUAAAGCGUAUCUUCGGUACUCCAAAAAAAAAAAAAUGCGCACACGAAAAAAAAAAAAAAAUUACUAAUAAAGCGUAUCUUCGGUACUCCAAGAUCUCAAUUUUGAUCGAGACUUGAACAAUUCAGAAAAUUUCAAUACAUUCUUUAAUUUUGUAGAACACUAUUCAGUAUUUGGUGUUGUUAAAAAUUAUAUUUUUAAUAGAUUUUGAUAAAAAAUUAAUGAAAUAUAUAAUUGAAUUUAUCAUUAAUUGUUGAAUUUAAUUUAAAUUUUUUUUUAUCAACUUUUAAAGGUGAAUACUGAAAAGAAAUUAUAAAUAACAGUGCACAAAAUUUUGUCCUUUAAAUGGCCCCCUUAACAUAUAUUUUCACCAUUUGCAUGAUCAGUCAGUCAGAAGUUCAAUUAUUCUUCACUUGUUCGAGUCUCUGAGUUCUGACCACUUCACAAUGAGAAAACGAUACAAAAGACAGAACCCAUUACCUCAAUUAUUAUUUCACUUGUUAUUUGCAAAUCGGCAACGGAAGAAAGGCCAGAGACUGAACUAAUAUCAAUACCUGCCACCCCACGUGCGUCGACGCCGGAGAUACAGACGCCGUCCUGUCAAAGGUCGCCGAGGAAGGAAUCCAGCACAGCCAAGUCAUGGACUCCAACUUCGUUCAUUUCGCCGAGGUUUUUGAGCCCCAUUGGGACACCCAUGAAGAGGUUUUUGACUAAUAUGAAGGGGUAUUUGGAGGAGGUGGGGCAUUUGACGAAGCUGAAACUUCAAGAUGCUUGGCUUCCCAUUACAGAAUCACGAAAUGGGAAUGCCAAUUAUGCAGCUUUUCAUAAUCUGAAUGCUGGUGUGGUUCCAGGGAGAACGUUGGUGGGAAAUGCAGCUUUUAUUUUUUAUUUUUUUUAAAUAUCAAAUUGGUAUGAACGUUGGUGGAAAUAUCAGCUAGACGUGAAGAAGAGAAUAACUUACACCAUUCGGACACUGGGAGAAACACGUGUCAAAAAAAAAAAAAAAAAACUAAAUUUUAUGUGACAUACCCAUACUUCUUAUAUUCAUAUGUCGAGUAAAGUAUACAUCUUUCCAUCUUAUAGUCCCUUUCAAACACAUUGCAUGAAGGAAAUUGAAUAAAUUUACUAUGGUACGUAAGUUCGGAGAAUUUUUAGCUUUCAAUAAUCCCUACUUUACUUGGUCCUCAUCCAAAUACAAAAGGUGUCAAACUUGGGUUUUCCAAGUUUCCCUCAUCAUCUUAUUGCCAACUUUUCAUCAACAUUGGAAUAUUAUUUUCAUGUGUUAGGAGAACACAAAUUUAAAUAAACGCACUCCGUAACUGAAUUAGACUUGCAUUGUACAUAAUGACAGAAUUAUGAUAUAUUUAACAUCGCGCACCCAGACACACACAUGAACUGCCGGUAAGUAUUAUAAAGCAUGCAAUAGUACGAUCAUUUAGCUUAGACAAAAGAAAAUUGUAUUAUAAUUAAGGAGGGUAUCAUGACGAAAUUAAGUUCAAUUUGAUUCAAAUUCUUUAAAACUCAGUUUUAAACAUAUUCUCUCGAUAAAAUAAUUUUGUAUGUAAACUCAUAAAUUUUAAUCUACUUUUUAAUUACACACUCUUCAAAAAUAUCAUUUUUGAAAAAUUUAUUCUCAAAAAAUCUAAACUUGAAGAAUGUUUAAUUUAAAAUAAAGAAGUAAUUGUACUUGAUCCCCAUCCUAUUCUUUGUGAAGUAAGUUGGUACUCAUUCUUUGAGAACGAGACGUUGUCCUCGUCCUUCCACUCAAAUUGCCCAUAAUAAUAAUAAUAAUAAUAAUAAUAAUAAUAAUAAUAAUAAUAAUAAUAAACUUGUCAUCUUUGUUUCUGCAACUUCCAUAGAUUUGAUUUGUCAAUAUAUAGAAUCAUUUGUCAUCUUAAUGCUUUCUAUAAUUGCUUCUACUUUUUUUUUUUUUUUUGGGUUACUACGAUUUGACAAUAUAAUGACUAAAAUUUAAUUUAUUGAUCAUUUCUAUUCCAACUUAACAUACUUUAAAAGUAUAAUUACUAUAUGCGUUGUUCAGAAUAUAGUAGAAAUUCUUGUGUACUUCACGAGUUUCCUAGUAUAGUUAGACCUUUUUGUAUAUACUCAUGUUUAAAAAAAGGUUGAACCCCAACCUUAAGGGCCCCCACCAACCCUGCCCUGGGCCAUCGUGGAGGAGAUAAAUCGCAGGAUGUGCCUCCCAGGAGCCAGGGUGGAGAGCACAUGGAUAGGCCAAGGCUGUUAACCCAUAUGAUAACUCCCGCUUGCAACAAAGCCAAUUCCACCUUGCGGGGAAUCGAACUCUGCACACUGCCGCUCUAAGUCCUAUUCGCCCUCCCCUUUGCCACUGGGAGAUAUGCCCUGGGGGCGUAUAUACUCAUAUUUAAUUAUAUGUUUGGCAAACAAUAUUAGAUAAUAUAAAAUAAUUUGAAAUGUAAGAUAAAAAAAAACUAAAAUUUUAAUCUUUAACAAUUUCCUUCAUUACCUAGAUAACUUAUUGACAGCUGAAAAUUGAAAUUCCAAACUCUAGUUGCAUGUACCAUACACCAUGUCAUAUAAACAUAAAUAGCACAGUGAAUAAAAUUUUAUCUUUCUUCUUCAAUAAUGUUGUCCAUUUCACCGAACAAGUCCGAAGACAUUUUCCAGGAUCAUAAUAUCUUUGUCUUUGGAGCAUAUUUUAUGGAUCUCUAUUUCCUGUCUGAACUCUUUUCAUCUUUUAAAAUCAAGAAUUAUUUUUUUUUUUUUUUUUGAGGGUUUUUAAUUUGUUUCUGCAACUUCCAUGAAUUUCAUAGGUCCUUGUACUGUUGUACAUAAUAGUAUAAAUUAAUACCAUUUAUUAUCUUCUGGGAGUAAGUUAUGCUCGAAUAUAUACUGUGCAUAUUUAAUUUGACUGACUACCAUAAUGAACAAUUUCGUUUUUCCCAUUUCUUAUCCUACAGAACGCUAAAAAGGUUCAAUAUAUGCAUGUUUCGGUAUAUUAAUAAAUGAUCAGAUAAUUACUAUUUGACUAAGCAUAGAUGUUCAUUUAUAGGUUUCCUGUUAUCACAAUUCGUUACCUAUUAUCACCUUAUAGUCUUCACUAAAACUUGAUCAUUUUUCUUUUGCAUAUAGUUGUAAAUCUUGAAAUUCGUGAAUUUGUUCAUUUAUAGGUUUCCUGUCCAUCGUCGUUACACUAAGAAUUACUACGACAAAAGACGUAACUAAGAUACAUAAAUUUGUUAAUAUAUAUACACGCCCAAAAAGUUUAAAAUGUUAAAGAGUUGCCAUAUUUAUUUAUUAUUAGUGCCUUAAUGUUUAAGAAAAAUGAAUUGGACAGAGUUGAAGUAUCAAUUUUCUUGUACAUUGACAUCGUAGUUUGGCCAUACGUUCGCAAGCCUCUAGACGAUUUUGGUUAUUCAAGUACCGGCGAACUCUCUUGGUCUAACUUCAAGCCAUACUGAGAUUGAGGCUUGACAAAGUUGAGGAAUCGAUCAAUAAAAUCAUGGUUGGGCUUCGUUGUCAACUCAAGAUCGGUGUAAUUAGGUUGACGAUUCGACCAGUAGACUCAUGGCUAGACGCAGUUGUCAACUCAACAUUCAUAUUCGGUGCAGUGUGGCCGGUGCCGUUAGCCUUUGGUGGUUCAUUUGUCACUUGUAAAGAUUUCAAAAUUUCUCUUUCAAGGUGAAACAUCUUUCUGAGUGUACAACCAAAUCCAGAAACGAGCACAACCCACUUUUUACAAGUUUAUCUUCACAGCAAUAAUACACACAAUCUCCCUUUUAAAUUACAGACAGUGGAAAUCCCUACAUGUUGUGUUGAAUAUAUUGUCAAUUUUCUCAUGUAGUGGAGACCUUAUCAAACAUAUCAUGACAAGCUACAUUUCACCACAAGUUCUCAUAAAAAUAUCCUGGUGACAUAAAUACAGUGUUUUAGAUAACUUCACACAAUUUUAAAUUUAUGGCUAAAUUUUAUUGCAAUUCCAUUUGAAUUUUAGAUUUCUAUCUUAAGAGAUUAAUUUUAUCAAAAGGAGUAAAAGAUCUUAUCUAGUUAUUAUUGAUAUUUUUAAGCUUUGAAACGUUACUCUUAUAUACCAUGACUUUCAAACUAUGAUAUUUGUUUCACAAAACUGAUCUUACAAUGAGAUAAUUACUCAUUUAGCCAUUGUUUGAACUCCAUUCUUUUAAAAAUUCAUAUUUCAAAAUUCAUUUUCAACUACAUAUUCUUCAAUAUAAUAAUAAUACGCGCAAAUCCAAUAAUUUUCCUUAAUUUGUUUGACAAAACUGAUCUUACAAUGAGAUAAAUACUCAUUUGGCCAUUGUUUGAGCUCCAUCUUCUAAAAAUUUAUUUUCAACCACAUAUUCUUCAAUAAAAUAAUAAUACACACAAAUCCAAAACUUUUCCUUAAUUUUUAACAAGACAUUCCCAUCAAUUUACUAUUUAAAAUAGAUUAUUUUCCCUAAAAUGGGCUCAAACAAGGGCUUAAGCUUUAAAAAAAUUGAAUUGUUUGUUUAAACCUCUUUUUUCUUUGAACUCCAGUAUAUCGAGUUUAGAACUUCAUAUUAAGCCCUUGUUUGAGCCUCAUUCUUUAAAAAAAUGUAUUUUUCAACAGUGUUUUGAUAUCAUUUUAACCACACGUUCUUCAAUAAAAUAAUAUUAUACUAAAUCAAAAAAAUUUUGUUUUUUUUUUUUAACCUCACCUUUCCUAUCAAUACACUAUUCAAAAAUUCAUUUUUCCCUCAAAAUGGAGCUCAAACAAGGGCUAAAUUGUCAAUUUUAUUAAAAAGAGUUACUAAAAUUCUCAUAUACUAUUACACCAAAUUUUGUAACUAUAUCCUUUUUUUUAUAUAUAAAUUAAAGUUAUUUAAAUAGUGAUAUCGUUGUGCUGUCCUUGUAAUGACCAUAGUAAUGACGUUAAGACCAUCGUUAUUAAUACAAAAUAAGAAUCCUUUAUCUUAAAACAUUAGCCCUAUUUAUAAUAAAAAGUUUAACUAUAGAAUUUUCAUUUUCCCUUAUUAUUUUUAUGGUUUCACAUAGAUAAUAUGUGUAAAUUAAAUACUCUUUGCUCUCAUAUCUGAGACAUUUUCAUGAUAUUUUAACUUGCACAUUGUCGUCAUUUUUAUACACAUUUGUUUACACAUCUCUAUGUGUCUAAAAUCUCUUCAUUGAUUAAAAAAAAUAUCGUUAAAAUUAAUGCACCAAAAUCUGUCAAGUCACAUGAGUGUAAAUCAAGAUGUCAACUUUGAUAUACUUACGAUAUGAUUGUAAGAAUAAACUCAAGUUGACAAAAAUAUUAAACGUGUUGAGUUCGUAUGCAGUCCGACUCAAUUGAUGAUUGCUACUACUUGGACAAAACAACACGGCAAAUAUACCAUGAUUACUCAUAGUAUUCAUGUAUACACCAUUCCUUACAUUGAUUGGGAGACAUUUCUAAAUUAGGGCAAGCAUAAUUUAAAUAUUAGGAUGCGUUUCCAAAUUAGGACAAGCAUAAUUUAAAUAUUGGACAUUCAUAUAAUAUUAAAAAUUUUAAGAAUGUGAAAAAGGUGGGGAUUGAAAAAGUAAAAUUACAUGGACAAGUACCCAAUUUCACUCUCUUUUUAUCAACUCUCUCCUUUUUUUUUCAAUUUUAAUUUUUAAAUAUCAAAUUGGUAUGAACAUUGGUGGAAAUAUUAGUUAGACGUGUAGAAGAGAAUAACUUAUCAAAUCGGUAGGAACGUUGGUGGAAAUAUCAGCUAGACGUGCAGGAGAGAAUAACUUACCCCAUUCGGAGACAGGGAGAAACACGUGUCAAGAAAAAAAUAAAAAAAAACUAAAUUUUAUGUGAGCUAGCCAUACUUCUCAUGAUCAUUUGUCGAGAAAGGUAUACAUCUUUCCAUCUUAUAGUCCCUUUCAAACUCAUUGUAUGAAGGAAAUUGAGUAAAUUUCCUAUGGUACGUAAGUUCGGAGAAUUUUUAGCUUUCAAUAAUCCCUACUUUACUUGGUCCUCAUCCAAAUACAAAAGGUGACAAACUUGGGUUUUUCCAAGUUCCCCUCAUCAUUAUCUUACGGCCAACUUUUCAUCACCAUAUAUAUAUAUAUAUAUAUAUAUAUAUAUAUAUAUAUAUAUAUAUAAAGUAGUAUGAUCAUUUAGCUUAGACAAAAGAAAUUUGUAUUAUAAUUAAGGAGGGUAUCAUAACGAAAUUAAGUUCGAUUUGGUACAAAUUCUUUAAAAUUCAUUUUUAACCAUAUUCUCUCUAUAAAAUAAUUUUGUAUGUAAAUUCAUAAUUUUUUUCUACCUUUUAAUCACACAUUCUUCAAAAAUAUCAUUUUCGAAAAAUUUAUUCUCAAAAAAUCUAAAUUUGAAGAAUGUUUAAUUUAAAAUAAAGAAGUAAUUGUACUUCAUCCCCAACCUAUUCUUUGUUAAGCAUAAUAUAUAUAUAUAUUAUUAAACUAGCCUAUCAAGAAUAAUUUGGCUCCUUCCAAACUGGAGGGAUAAAACAACAAUAAUGUGUUUCUCGUAAAAGGAGUGCUACUUGGGCAGGAAGUUGUCCAAGAAGAAAAAUUCUUCUCGUAUAUGAAGUUACUGGAAAUGGACCACUGGGAAAACGACAAGUGUCAUCCAGCUGGCUCAGAUUGCGAAAACAAUCGUUUAUAUUCAAAAUGGCAUAAUAAUAAUUGAAAAUGGGUCCAUGAUUAUGAGCAUGAAGUUUUACAAACUAAAUGAAGGGUCUUCAAUAAAGGUUUUACAAACUUAAAAACUAUUAGGAAUAUAUUUCAAUAGCUUGUGAAAUUACAAUAAGUUUCCCUAAGAAAAAGGUAAUCUGUAUAAUAUGUAAUAAAUUUUAAAUUAUACAGAAAUUGUCUUUUUAACUUUUUCUGUAUCCACCUUUCUGAUUCUAUAUAAACGGGCAGACCUCCAUUUCUCAGCGACUCAAUUAUCAACACAGAAUACGAAGGCAUUGAGAGAGAGAGAGAGAGAGAGAGAGGAUGGAGAAGAUUAUUGCAUUCUUUGUGCCUGUUUUUACCUUUCCGUUUACUGUAUUUUUAUAUGUAAUUUCACUGAAAAUGAAAAGAAAACAUUCAGAGAGGAAAACUAAGCUCCCUCCAGGCUCCAUGGGGUCGCCUUAUAUUGGAGAAACUCUUCAGCUCUACUCCCAAGAUCCAAAUAUCUUUUUUUCUGACAAAGUAAAAAGGUUUCUUGCUUUCAUUCUCAAUUACUUACCGUCCAAUUCUGUCUAAUACUAAAUACCUGACAUUCCCUGAUAGAAUUUUUCUAACAAUAAUUCUAAACGGGGCAGGCACCCUGCUGGCUGCCAAUAGGGGGACACUUGUCCCCCCGGACAAACAGGGCCCUGUUUGCCAAGCAAAUCUCUUUUUCUAAACUGUAUGUUCUUAUGCAGGUAUGGAGAAAUCUUCAAGACUCAUGUACUUGGUUGCCCUUGUAUAAUGUUGGCCAGCCCAGAAGCAGCCCGAAUCGUGCUAGUCACUCAGGCACAUUUGUUCAAGCCGACGUAUCCAAAGAGCAAGGAAAACUUCAUCGGCCAGUCUGCGCUGUUUUUUCACCAGGGAGAGUACCAUAUGCGGCUUAGGAAGCUCGUCCUUGGCGCGUUAUACCCGGACGCAAUCCAAAACCUAGUGGCAGAUAUUGAAGCCAUAGCAGUGUCUGCAAUGGAUUCGUGGGCCGGUGGCCGUGUCAUCAACAUUUUCCAUGAGAUGAAAAAUGUUCGUCUCUUUGAAUUCAUGCUAACACCCAUUUAAAAAAAUUGUGCACCUAUCACUUCUUUAAUGAAAAAUGUCGUUGGCAUGCACACGGGAAGCGUUGAAAACCUAGAUUUAAAUGAACAAAUCUGUCUCUUUUAAGAUUUUACAUGAGAAAGCUAAUUUGUCAUUUACCAUUGAUUACCUGCAGUUCUCAUUUGAAGUAGGUAUACUCUCCAUUUUUGGUCAUUUGGAGUCCCAUUAUAAAGAAGAAUUAAAGAAGAACUAUAGCAUACUCGAUAGAGGGUACAAUUCUUUUCCAACAAACUUGCCUGGAACUCCAUACCAAAAGGCAAGGAAGGUAAAAUAGCGAUAAUUAUACUUUGUUACAUGGCACUAUAAACGAGAUUUAACUUCUUCAUUUUUUAUUUUUAUUUUUGUGUCUACCGGCUUAAUACACACGGGUUGAAAAUGGACUCUUAUUUUGACUAAUCAUAUUUACCAUUUUAAUGUAUGAAGGCAAGGAAGAGGUUGGGUGAAAUAUUAAGUAACAUUAUGAGAGAAAGAAAGGAAAAGAGGUUUACGGAGAAGGACCUGUUGAGUUGUCUGCUAGUUUCGAAAGAUGAGAAUGGUGUAACUCUAAAUGAGGAUCAGAUUGCUGACAACAUCAUCGGAGUACUUUUCGCAGCACAAGACACGACUGCGAGUGCCAUGACAUGGAUUCUCAAGUACCUUCAUGACUACCCAAAAAUUCUCGAGGCCGUCAAGGUAAAAUCUAGAAGGCAUUUUGCAGUUGUUCUGGAAGACUGGAUUAAUACAAGGUUCUCUAAGAAAAACGUAGCUCUAUUUUCUAUUUGUGGGGUCAAAUCAAUACAUUCUAAGAUUCUCGUGUCUCUAGAUCAUUCUCAUUUCUUGACCUUAUUCUUAAAUUUGCUUUGUAAACGUCGUAGAUAAUAUGUUUCUGAUUUGCAUGCAGGCUGAACAGAAGGCAAUAUACAAAUCAAAUCGAAAUGAAAAUAGUCAUUUAACAUGGAAUCAAACAAGAAAUAUGCCAUUUACUUACAAGGUAUUUGACUACCAUAAAUAAUAUAUUUGGUAUAUUUCGUUUAAAUUAGGUCGGUAAUGUUAACACCAAAUUCAUUUUUUUUUACAAAAUCAUUUACAAGUAGUAUCAUUCACUUUCAUUCUCUACGUCUAACUUGCUUCCAUCAUCCUCACGUAAUAUUUUGACCUGUACUCUUUUUAGGUGAUUUUAGAGAGUUUAAGAAUGGCAAGCAUUAUAUCAUUCACAUUUCGAGAGGCAGUGACAGAUGUGGAAUAUAAAGGUAAGCUUUCUUGUAAGGGAAAUGUACCCUUUUCGAGGGUGUCCUAAGCCUGGUAAUAUUACCAAAUAAUCCACUAAAUUUUGCUAUUUAUACGCUGGCGUUCACACGCCCCUCACAUGAGGUAGGGGCCCAUGCCCAAUAAAAGAAGCGUGAGCCCCCCUUGUGUGAGUGACGUGUACAUCGGCGUGCCCAUGGACAGGUUGCACAAUUGUAAUCCACUUUUUUGAAAUAAAUGUUUUUGGGUCACUGAAACUUUGGUAUGAUUUUGGUGCCAGGGCACCUAAUUCCGAAGGGAUGGAAGGUCAUGCCUUUAUUCAGGAAUAUUCACCACAAUCCUGAUUUCUUUGUUGAUCCUCAGAAGUUUUUUCCUUCCAGAUUUGAGGUACGAGUUAAUAUUAUUCUUUUAAUGGUUGACAUUAAGUGCAUAUUUAGCCCCUAUCUUACAAUCAUUAUCCUAAUUUUCUUUUUCUACGUGCUGAUUUUAACCACACAUUCACACAAUAAAAUAUUCUGCACGUAAAUUCAAAAUUUUUUCAUACUUUUUAACCACAUAUCUUCUAAAAAUUCACUAUUCAAAAGUUUAGUUUUGCCAAAUAAUGGCCGUCAAGUAGGGCCUUAGUGCUUGUUUGAUACUUUUCAACUUAUCAAACUUUUUGCUACAAAUUGGAUCCACAACUUUUUAUCAAUUUUUUUCAUCAAAAGUUUUGUUAAACAAUCCCAUGGUACUUAGAACUAAAUCUAACAAUAGUUUCUUAGGGCAUAUGAAAAUAGAUUAAAUAUUAAUGCCAACCAAUUAAACUUCAUUUUCACCAAAUAUUGACCUAAAUAAAAAAUUGAGUUCGACUAAAAAUUUAAUGACCACCAUGACUUUUAAUCCGAUGAAAGUAUGGUACGACAAAUCUUUUUUUCCUCAAAAUAUAAAGAUUAAAGAGACUUAUUAAGGAGAAAAAAAUUGUAGGAUGAAGCAACGAAUAUUAAUUUAUGGUUUCUUGUAGGAUGUGUUGAAACCCAAUACGUUUAUGCCAUUUAGCAGUGGAGUACAUGCCUGCCCCGGUAACGAACUUGCGAAGCUAGAGAUGCUCGUUAUGAUCCACCAUCUAAGUUCUCAGUUCAGGUACUUUAUCAAACUACAACAAGUAUUUUUGGAAAUGCGUUUUUUAGAUAAAUUAAAUCAUAAAUAACCAAUUCUAGUUUAUACUACUCGGUUCCUCGUAUGUUCAGUUGAAUUCACCAAACAUGUCAUAUAUGUAUUUUUUACUCCAUAUAUCACAAGUUUUGAUUAAAAUAAUAUUAUCUUUUUCUUUCCCCCUCAAUUCUGUCUUAUACUAUUAAGUUUAUCUUACUAACUACGAGACGACGUUGGUGAGUGGUCUGUGAUAUUAGGUAUUAUUUGACAAUUGUGUUUGCAGGUAUGAAGUGGUGGGAUGCCAAAGUGGGAUUGAACAUGCGCCAUUCCCCAUCCCUUUCCAUGGACUCCCUGCCAGAUUUUGGAAACAAGAACCAACCAAUUAAGUAGGACAUACCAAGACAAUUGUUUCUUAACCAAUUUUCACUUUUCCUCUCUGUUCCCAUAAUCCAAUUUCCUCUCCAAACUAAUAUGGGGAUGGCUUUUUUUCCUCAAAAUGAAUUAAUAUAGGUUCAUAAUCAAUGAACUAAUAAUCAAUGAAGAAUUGUAUUCAUAUAUCUCAUCGGUUAAAUAUAGAAAAAUACGUACUAUUUUUAUUGUAGGGUUGGUAUUGAAAUUGACUUGAUUCAAUUGAAUUAUCUUGUUUCUUGGCUUUGUUGACUUGAAAAAUCAUUUUAUUUUCUUGACUGUUAUUGAAAAUCAAUUAUUACUUUUUCUCGAGAAAUUUGCUUGAAAGAGAUCAUAUGUAGCGAGAAAAUGGAAAAUAGUCACUUUUUAUUUUCAUUAAAAUCAUGGGUAGAAGUUAAGGCUUCGAUUGUAAGUGAGCAGUCUUUGAGAGGCACAGUCUGAAAUUAAUUAAAUAAAAAAAGAAGAGAGAAAGAGAAAAAGGAAAAGGAUUACGUCAACAAUUUUUAUUAAUUCCAUUCUUUCAUUUCAAUUCCAACAUCUCUGCCCUUAUGUUUUUGUUUAUGAUAUUUGUGAUGCCACUGGUAGUUUACUUAAUGAAAUGUUGAACUAUUGCAAUGUUUAAAAUUGUUUAUCAUUUUUUUUUUUAUAAACUAGUCGAGUACAAUUCAAUCAUUUGGUCAAAAUGAUCGAUUUAAGUUCCUAGUUGGUUCUAUAUUGGAGGAAUCGAGUUUGGGAACUUCUAAUUUAUGUAGAAUUAAAUUAUCACGCAAUUUGCAUCCGCUUUUCACAAAUUUUCCCUCGAGUAAUGCAAUUCAACAUUACUGAUAGCAAGCACUAAUUUAAGAGGCAACUUCAUAACAUUAAAUAAUUGAUUCAAAUAAAUGUAAUGUCAUAUGAUUCAUAUAAUUAAAUCUAUUAAAUGUGACCAUCUAAAUUGGUAUUUCAGCAUAGUUGGUGCUUGAUAACAUUAUUCGAUGUGAAAUGUGAUGUUGGGUGAUAUUUGUUGAUACCACGUUUUUGAAUGUUUCAUAAAGUUCUAGUUGUGAUGAGAGGCCAUAGCCAGAUGGUAAGUAUAUGAUUGGUCAAGUGAAGGUGGGUUUGGUCCAUAAGAGCAAUCUCUAAAAGAAUACUACUGCUUUUGUCGACUACAUUUGACGCUACAUUUCACAAUACGUAGUGAAUUAUUUCAUUUCAUAACAUAUUUUAGUGGAAUUGUAUUUUUUUAUGAAUGAGAGCUCUCUUAAUGAAUAAUGAUAUAUGACGGGUAUAUUUAAAUCAGUCUAAAUAACAAUGUAUGAUAUUUAAAAAUAAGCUCAAUAUAUGACAAUAUUAAAAAUGAGAAUGAAAAAUAUAGUCGUUAUGAGUCUCACACAAGAGAUAGAAAGUCAAAUAUAAUGGCUUGAUGUGAUGGAUAACGGUCAUAUUUUUCAUUUUAAUAAGCAAAUAAUGAGAAACAAACGGGGCUUAUUAUUGAACUUAUCAUGCAUGGCUACAGAAAUUAAUUUUAAAACAUCAACUAGAAUAUAUAGCAUUACCUUUCUUAAAAUAUUAUUUAACUAUGUAAGUCAUCGUUACUAUAAUUUUUUUUUUUUUUUUCAAUUAGUGCUAUGUUGACAUAUUUUAAUGUAUCAUAUUAUCGAAAAAUUAGCUUAAAUGGUCUUAAGCCUAUGCUCAUCUUGCAUUUCUUGGUCCCAAAACUUUAAACCUUGACAAUCAAGUCACAAACCUAUGCUUUUUGGCAUAGUUAAUCCUUUUAGAAGGUUUCCGUUUAAAAUGGCAGUUAAUUUUGUGUGUAGAUUGUAAUUUUCUUAUUUUAUUUUUAUCUGAAGGGGCAUAUUUUUCCAAUCAAUAACAACUUAAGUAAAAAAAUGAAAUUUAAAAAGAAAAAAAUUUUAAAGAAAAAAAUAUAAUAAUAUUCUUCUUCCACCCACCCUAUAUUUCGUACGUACAUAGACAUAGGAACAGGAAGUAUGACGAGCAGAGUAAUGAUUCGCCUGUACAAGCCACAUGAAAAAUGUCAUUUCAAUAAUAAUAAAAAUGUUGACAUGCCACGAGUAGCUCAAAUUCUCCCACUUAAUUAAUUAUAUGUAGGUCAAAGAUCUAUAUAAUUUGAUCACAAAUUAACAAUUUAAUUAGUCACUUAUUAUUUUUUUAUCACAAAUUAAAAAUUUUAUGUAAUUAAUUAUUUUACGAUCAUAAUUCAAAAAAUUUAUAAGUCACAAAUUAAAAAAUGUAUAAGUCACGAUUUAUUUAUUGAUCACAAAUCACAAAUAUUAGAAGUCACAACUAUUAUACAGUCACAAAUUAUCAAAUUAUCGGUCACCAAUUAACAAAUUUUUAAGUUACAUUAUUUUUUGGUCACAAUUUAUAUUUUUUAUUGGUCACAUUGUUUAUUGGUCACAAUUUAGCCAAUUUAAUGGUCACAAUCAACAAAAUUUGUGACCACCACUAACACUUGUGAUCACCAUCUCACCACUUCUUUGAGCACUACCACCACUACCAUCGUCCACAAAACCACCACCUCCACCUCAAACAAAUCAACCGAUCGUAGAAAAUACAACCGCAUCGUCGACACCAUAUCCACCACCAAGAAAAAAAUUAUUACAUUAAUCGCCACCGUCACGACCAUAGACCGGACCCAAAUUUCCUAAAUCUCCUGUCAUCCACCACCACCUGCACUACCUAGAUUGUGACUACUAUCACCAAUGCUAAGUUGUGACUACCAAAAACUAUCGCUACUUUACCACCACUUCACCACCACUGUGACAGUACUACAAAAUAAAUCCAAAAUCAGAGCCGUAAUGGAGGUGAAAACCACUGCCACAACCACCACCAAAGCCAACAUCACAAUCGCCACAUCCAUAGUAUCAUAGUAGCAUCACCGCCACCGCCACCCAAAGCAUCACAAUUUUCAUUUACCUCUACACUUACAUAUUGUAUAUAGGAGUACCAAAUAGUACACCAUAAAAUACAUGUCUUUAAAAUAGUUAUGAUUAAUUGUCAUAAUUGUAAUAUACAAAUUCUUAUAUUUAUAUUUGAAUAUGAGAUUUACAAAUACUAUCAAGAUAGAUACAAUUAUAUAUUAUAUACGGGAGUACCAAAUAGUACAAAAACUAAGAUAAGAUUAAAAAUGAUUGAAUCUUUACAAAGAUAUGAAUACGGUGUUAAAAAUUUUAUUUUACACUAUAUUAUUUGUCAUCAUUAAUUAUGAAAGUUGGAAAUCAUAAUAAUGAAAACAUAGAUAAUAAUGAUGAGAUCUGUGAACAAAUUGAAUCACAAGGAAAUUUCUCAAGAGAAAUUUUAAUAUUUGACAAAAAAUUGGCUAAAAUAUGUAAGACAAAACUUACAAUAGAACCUAAAGAAAUCUUUUCUCAAUCAGGUUUCUUAGAAAAAUUUAUGAACAGAAAUAUACAUGUAUAUUAUAGUGUAUCUCAGCAGGAUUUUGGAUUCUUUCAUCAAUCAAACUCAUUGAAAUGGGUUGAUCAAUUUAUUUGAAUAAAACUUUAUGUUUUAACCAUGCCUUCAUACACUUUUAUUUCUAUAUACAAACUCAUGUACGGAUCUUUAAAGAAUCAAUGGGACUAAGAAGUACCUCCAGACAGGAGGCCAUUAGGGAAGAAGCCACACCCACAGUAUCAUAGUAGCAUCACCGCCACCACCACACCCAAAGCAUCACAGUUUUCAUUUACCUCUACACCAUAACCACACCGUUUUCCCUCUCUAUGGUAGCGUAAAAUGCAGAGGAAAUUUUAUAUUGCUGUGAAUUAAGAUGCCUACUUUUACAGUUAUUGCCUUGGAGAAUUUGUUGGAUCCUCGAGUCCGAGAUUCCUGCAAAAGCCCCCCAAGCCUAACCAGGGAGUGUCAAACAAUGAUGGCGAAGCAACUGAACGGAUAGAGGACUCGAGCACGAAUCUGAGAGUUGGUGGCUCCAGGAAUAUAUAUAUCGCUAACUCUAUACCUGACGCCGGGACCCACUAUGAUUUAGAGAAUUCUUCCUCGAAUUCGUCCUCGCCUUCGCCGUAUGUCAUCAAUUAAAAGAGAUCUAAACCCCGAAAAGGACGGAAAUGAUUUGAAUUUAGAGGACAGUUGGUGGGCGAUUUUGUAAAUGAAGGUGAGAUAUAGAGAGAGAAUGAAAAGGGAUGAAGACAACUAUGGAAGUGAAAUAUAGAGAAAGAAAAUGAAAGUGAUGAAUGAAGAUAAAUUUAGGGUUUGGUAGGAUGAAUAUGUAUAUUUAAUUUUGUAAUAUAAUUAUUAAUAUUUAAACUAUAGUAAUUAAUUAAUAAAAUAUUUGAUUUUUCAAAUAGUAAACUUUACCUAUGAUUCAUGAAAUGAGAUCUCUAAAUCUAUUAGAUUGUGUAAUUUCCACUAAAAUAUGGAAAAAUUAGGCCUUAUACAGCCCCAAUGCAAAGAAGUUGAAAAAUACUUCCUCCAAGUUGAAAAUUUGAAAUUUACGUCAUUCCAUAUAAUUUUCUUUGCGGGUCAAAGGGUAAAAUUAUUUGACAAGACCUUCUCUAUUUUUGGCGAUUAGGAUUCAAUUUUCAGCUUCACUUCGUAGUUCUGCGAUUUUGGGUGAACUAUGUUCAAUAAUUGUUUUCCCCCCUUAUAAAAUUGAAGUGUCAAUUUUAAGCUUCACUUCAUAACUCUGCAAUUUUGGGUGAAUUAUGUUCUAUAUAUAUAUAUAUAUAUAUUUGCCAUUAUAUAAUCAAAUAUAUGGUGUUGCAUUAAAGUGUCAAAUUCAAGUUUAAUAUUUAUGAUUAAUUAGCUAGCAAAUCAUCUGAAUAUAUGUUAAGUAGCAUGUCGGUUUCAUUGAAGUGUCGAAUAUAAAUGAAUUUACGUAGCAUGUUAAUUUCACACAUUUUUAGUGUUUGUCAUCUUUUUUGAGUCUAUGUCACUUUUUUAUAUAACUUUUUUGGAUCUAUGUAACUUUAAUUUAAUUUGUGUCCCUUUUUUUUAUUUAAAUUUCUGUCACUUUUUUGAAUUUUUUCAUUUUUUUUAGUAAUUAUCAUUUUCUUUCAAAUUUUGUCAUUUUUUUAGUGUUUGUCACUUUUUUCUAUCGUCUUGGAAAUUUAUAGCACUUUAUUUUUAGUAACAAACAUCACUUUUUAAUAAAAGUGACAUUGAUGUAAUUUUUUAAUCAAAAAGUUAUACUAAAAUUUUAAAAGUGACAUUGUGUCACUUUUUAAUUUUACACAGUAUUUUUUUAGUUCCAAAAAACGUUUCAUAUGAUUUUUCAAAACACACCUAAUUUUAAGGGUAUUUUUGUAAGUUGCCCAUAAAAUAUUGUCCAUCUCAAACCUUAAAUCCAUUUGCAAUUUCUUAUCUUCUUUCUAUAAGGAAUUUUUAAAUGAAUGUGUGAGCUUAAAUUAUUGUGUAUUAAAUUAAAAGCUAUCAAAUUCGAUUAAACCCAAUUAAAAUGAUCUAAUAAGUUCUGGUAUUUUGGGUUUUAAUGCAUCCAAUUAAAGUGUGAGUAUUUUAUGUAUAGAGACUGGACCCAAGUUCCUAAUUCUAUGAUGGGCUAAAUUAAGUCAAAUGGCGUCAAUAUAUAUAAAUACACUUAUGAUCUCCAGAUCACAUGUGCAUUGCUCAUUCUGUUGUGCCUCCCAUCACCAGAUAGAACUAAGGGCUACGUGUUGAUUUAGAAUACUAAACCGCAAGAUUCAACUAUUGCAUUAACCAUGUCUCAUCAAAUCAUGGAAUAUGACUGCGAAAUUUUGUCAUUGGGUUGCGCAUUGUGGAUAUUAUAGAAAGACUGAUCAAGUUUUUUGUGACAAUAAAUCAGCAGUGCUGUAUUCCAAUAACAGGAGCUCGAUGAAGUCGAAACACGGAGAGAUCAAGUUCCUGACUAUUAAAAAAAGAGUUUAGAAUGGACAAGUGUCAAUAGAGCAUAUCAGGACAAACUCCACGGUUGUAGAUUCACUUACUAAAUGAUUGAUACCCAAGGUCUCAUGCACAUUGCUUAUAUGGGUGUAAUUUGAAGCUUGUAUUUUUUGCUUUUUAUAUUGGACACAUGUUUGGAUAUAGUUUGUGGUUAAAGUUAUUUUCAGUUUUAAAAUUUUGGUUUACUAUCUCUGAACUUGCUUGAAAGGAUCUCACUAAGGUGUUAAGGUGGACCAAUUUAAAAUAGACGUGUUACAGAUCACUUUACAUGUAAUUUUCAUGCUACACAUCUAUGCUUGAUCUAUUUCAUUCAAUUAUAUCGAUAUGUGUAACCAUUGAUGAGUUUAGUUAUGAUGAAAGUUGCAAAAGCCGCUUUGAUCCUAUAUUAAUAUGAUUGAUGGAUAGGAUUGUUUAAAGAUGCAUUCAGUAAUGAUAGCAAAAUUCUGAGUACUGAUAAGAUUAUGUUUAAUGCACAAUUAUAAGAUGACACAUAGCCCAAAUAGGAGAUUGUAAGGAAUUUUUUUAAACAAUCUUGUGAGCUUAUAUUUGUAAAUUAUUGUGUAUUAAAUUAAAGGUUGUCAAAUUUGGUCAAACCUAGUUAAAUUAAUCUAAUAAAUUUUCAGUGUUUUAGGCUUUAAUGCAUCCAAUUAAAGUAUAGGUAUUUUAUGUGUAGAGAUCGAGCCCAGGUUUCUAAUUUUAUGAUGGGCUAAAUUAGGUCUAAGGGCGUCAAUAUAUAUAAAUACGGUUAUGUUACCUAAAUCACACGUGCAUUGGUCAUUCUGUUCUGCCUCCCAUCACCAGAGAGAAUUAAGGGCUGCAUUUUGAUUUGAAAAACUAAACCGUGAGAUUCAACUAUUGCAUUAACUAUGUCUGAUUCAGAAAUGCUUCUACUUUGAUUCUUAAAUUUCUCAAUGAUCCAACAUGAAAGAUCCGAUGAUUUUUUGGCAACAAUUUUUCCUACACUUUCUACUCUCUUCGUGAAUUUCGUUCUCAUCUAUCUUAAAUUUGGUUGUCUAUCUUCAACAACGUAGAUGUUUCCUAUAUUAUUACGAAUAAUUCUCCUCAAACAGGACCAUAAGCAAACUGCCAAUAGGGAGGACAUGUGUCCCUCUUGAAAAAAUAGGGCCAUGUGGCCCUAUUUAUAUAGCACGCCCCGUUAUGAAUAAUUCUAUAGGUUUAACAAUGUUACCUUUAAUAGUGUGCUAUUUAUUGGUCGAUAAUUUGUGGUUUUUAUUUGUCAAAUACAAGUAUUUCCAUUACUUUUUUGAUUUGGAAUAAAAUUGCAUUUUUUAUGUCAUAAAAGUAUUACAUAUCUUGCACUAUCUUUUUCGGUAGAAAUUUAUACAUAAAGGCCCUAAAUUUCGUUUGAUAAUUUUGUUAACAUUUUAAAGAUUUGGUAUAAUUUUUUUUUUUUUAAUCAGUGAAUGGAGCAUAUGACUUCUGAUUUAUUCUUAUAUUAACAUAAAACAAUGAUGGUAGUGUCCUUAAUUUGAAGAAACUUGCAAUUUUAUUUUACUCUUUGCACGAAUACCACUGUAAGACGAAUUUCGUGUCUUAAAAUACAAAAAACGUUACAAUUUUUUAUUUUUGAGAAAUACAAGUGAUGUUGACCUUCUUGUGAUUGCAUAAUUGUAGAAAUCCACAUAUUAAUGAUCUAAAUAUUUGAAAACGAGGAGUCACGUGCUUGAAUCCUGGUUUUCGAGAAUUUGUUGAAAAUUUAAUUUGUUGAUACUUGAUUUAAUCGGUACUUAAGUUACGGGGAUGAACUUGGACUUGAAUUUGAUUCGGUUUGAAGAAGACUUUGAUCUUCUUGAACUUGACGUGGACCUGUUCGAUUAGAAGAAAAUUUUGAUCUUCCUGGGAUUCACGAGAUUUAGGUUUGAGAGGAUUUCUUCUCUUUCUCCGACUUUGAAAUUUCUUCAACACUUCAUGAUUGUCUUCUCUGCUUUCACUUCUUGUUCCUUUCUUAUAGACAAUUGAUUCUAUUUAUAGGAGAAAAUUUGUGCUGAUUUUGGUAAUCACUCAAUUAUAUUCAAUUAAAAAUGAAUAAUUGAGCAAUUAUAAUUUUUAAUUAUUUGUUUAUUUAUUUAAAAGUGAUAUAGGCCUUUGAGUUUAUGGAUCUUAGUAGACUUUAAUAUAAUUGGGCUAAUGAUUUAAAUCGACUCAAUUCAUUUCCUUUAUUUUUUUUAAUUUUUAUGUCUAUAAAUGACCCCUCAAGAUUUAUUUAUUUGUUAUUAAAUUAAUAAAUCUUGAUUUUUGAUUUUGUUUUUCAAUUUUGGAUUUGGUUUUUACUCAAACUUCCCAUUAAUAAAUUAUUACAAACGAAAAAUUUGAGAAUAAUAUAUGAAUUUGAUAAAAAAAAAAAAAAUUAUCCUUCAAAUUUGAGACUAAGAAUUUUUUAUGUUAUUUGAUUAUUUAUUUUAUACAAUCUAAAAAAAUUGAAUUUGAACAGGCUUUUUGUGCUUUAUGGUAAAUUGGGUUUAAGUGAAGUCCGAUAUCUGCUUAUUUAUAUGAAUGAAUUAUGAGAUUUGAAAACAAGUCUGUUAAGCCCCUGUUUGAUUAACAUUAAAUUAAAUUACAUUACAUUCCAUUUUUCUCUCUCCUUUUUUCAACUAUACAAUCUUCUAUAAAAUAAUAUUACACGUAAAUCGAAAACUUUACCUUCUUUUUCAACCACUCAUUUUUCUAAAAAAUACUAUUCCUCCCAUUACCAUUUUCAGGUAAUGGGGGCCAAACAGGGUGUAAAUCUUGCAAACGAAGGUAAAUAAUUCUCUCUCUUUGUGUGUGUGUUUUUUAUUCAUAUUUUCUUUUCUUAGUUUCCGCCACCCAAGGAGACAAAGAAUUGGUUUCUUGGAAUUGGUGCAAUGGAAUUAGUAAAUUGCACCAAUUCCAAUUGUUUCCUCGGUUUUUGCCAAUGGCAUAAACCUUUAUGUAUUUAUUUGUUUGUUUCUUUGUUUCUUUCUCUCUUUUUUUCUCGUUAUUUUAUUUUAUUUUGGAUUUUCGUCGACGGCGGAAAACAAAACAAAGCAAAUUCUAUCUUAAACCAAUUUGGAAACAAAUUCCAAUGGAAUUGUUGGAACUUUCACCAAUUCCAAUUUGGAAUUAAUCGAUAGAAAUCUAACAAUUUUUUUUUAACUAAUAUUUCUUGGUUUUUAUGUUGGACCUCCUUUUUUUUGCCAAUCGUAGAUCUUUGGUUUUCACGGAAACCAAAGUGACCAAUUGGUUUCUACCGUGCAUUUAAUUAUUUUUUUUGACACAUGACACUUUUUUUUUUAUUAAUUUCUUCUUCCUUUCUCUUUCUUCUUGUUGACUAUUCUAGUGAGGUUGUUCUAACAAAAUUGAAACUAACAUUCUUUAUUUUUUUAUGUAGGUAUUCAAAUUUUUGGAGCAAAUCAAGGAUUUUGAGGUUUGAGAUUUUCUUUGUAUAGAGGUUAAAUUUUGUGCCACAAUUAUUUUGUAAGUUUAGAAAAUAUAUGCUUAUAGAAAGACUCAAAAUUGCAAGCAUUUUCGCGCACAUUGAGAACCAAAGACUGGUACUUUUCAGCAUCCAGUGUACUUUUUUUUAGACUAAUGACAUGUUCCUUCAACUGUCCAAGACACUUUAUGUUUGGGACCAAGGACUGACAUUUUUGACUGUCCAUGGCACUUUGUAUUAAAGAUCAUGGACUUGUUCCUUCGACCGUCCAAGACGCUUUAUGUUUGGGACCAAGUACUGGCUCCUUUGACUAUCCAAGACACUUUGAGUUAAGGACCCAUUACACGUUCCUUCGACCGUUCAAAGCACUUUGUAUUUGGGACCAAGGAUUGACUUCUUUAACUAUCCAAGGCACUUUAUGUUAAGGACCAAGGACUGGCUCCUUCGAUUGUCCAAGACACUUUGUGUACUGGUCAUUUACAUAUUUGGGAAACUCAUAAUUUUAGACGACAAUCGAAUUUAAAAGAUCUAUUCUCCCAUUUUUUACUAAUUUGUUUAGGCAUGGCUGGACCAAGUUCUAGCGAUAAAGUAUACUCUAACAUACAUGAAAUUGUUGAGCUUAAAAAUUAAGACAAAAGUUAGCUACGGUUCAAAGAUACUGAUGCGAAGUACCACGCCCAGACUGGCCUAUAAGGUGAACUUAAAUUUAGCGUCCAUAUGUCAACGAUAGGUCAUUCUCCUGACCCUCUGGGGCUAUUGACGGAGUUGUAUAUGUCUACUAUUAGUGAAUGUCAUGAUAGUUUGGAUACUGGCAAGUCCAAUCGCUUUAGCAAUCAUCUUCCCUUUCUGUGUCCUUCUCCUUAUCAUUCCUAGAGCAUGGAUAGAGCAUGGAGUGCAACCCAAAGACCGUAAUUUGUGAGAGGAUUGACAAUAAAAAAAUACGAUGGGGAAGGGCACUGACCAGUCGAUGAGAGAUUUUGUUUCUUCCAAAAUUUCGAGAGGGGUCUUUAUGGAUCCAAAAACUUCUGCUUAAGAGGAAUCUUUGCGAGUUAGCUUUCGCAGUCGAUUCUGCUACAAAAGAUUACCAUCGCUUAAACUCUAUCUAUAGUGUUCUGUGAGGUUGGUGUCUAGAGACCAACACCUUUUGUGACUGCCAAUGGUAAAAUUGGCAUUUCUAUUUGGGACAUCUGCAAGAUAAGUGGGCUUUCGAUCUUGACCGUACCUCUUUAAUGUUUUCAUAUUGAUAGCCAAUGUGAAUGAAUCUAAUUGGGUUACUUAUAAAAAUUGGAUUAAUUUUUGGUUUCAAGAGAAUGGUUGUGUCCAGAAUCCUCGACAACACAAAAAUUAUAAGAAUGCUAUAAAUUUAAAUCCAUUCAAGAGGUGUCAUCAAAGAGUAUCAAAGGAAAUACGAAGACCCACAGUGGUAGACAAGCCGAGAGAUAUUUCUUGUUCGGAUCUGCAUCAUUGGAGUAAUUUGUCAGUAUCUCUGUCUAUAGAAAAAGAAAAGAAAUUAGAGAUAACAUCUUAUCUCUCAUGUGGCUUUGUCGUUUUGUUCUUUCAUCUGGGGUCAAAUAUAUAAGAGUUGGGACUUUUAAAGCAUUUUCUAGGAUAAUAGGCGGGUAUACUUACAGUAUGGUUCUAUCCAUAUUAGCAAGGAUUUGUAGAGGACUUACACGAACAUCGAACCAUCAGACAAACCCAGACUUUCGCUCGAUUUCACAUUCAUUUCCUGGACAUUUUCUUUAAGCUUGGGCUACAAUUUAUUUUGUCAGAGGUGUUUAUGAUCAUGUGGAAAAGAGUUAUUCUAGUCCUACAAUCUGAAGAUAUGUUGACACUCUGAAUACUUUCUAGUCUUAGGAAAAAAAUGUUAUUGAUUGUUGGGACCUUAUUUGUGGAAUGAUGGACGCUAAUGACUUUUGCUAGAAUCCAUUACACUUAUCGUCUCAUCUUGAUGUACAUGUGGAUGACCAACUGAGGUCAGCAAAUACUUCAAAAUUCAUGAUGAGUAUUCAUUUUGAAUUUGUUUCUUAUCGCCGAGGAAAUUCACCUUUCAUUCUUAAGGCGUAUAAUCCUCACAGGUUUGCGAGACAACUUGACUUUAGACAGAAACUUCCCUGUUCACCAAGAAAGUUGGACACUGUCCCUAAUGUAGGCAAAUGUAUAGCGUUUGGUUGUCAUUGACUUGAACGAAAACUGGGUGUGUAUUUCACAUUCCAUAGUAUGUGAGGGAUACUCAUCAAAAUGUUGAUGUUGAGUACGAGGCUUGGUGGAAUAGCCAAGUAUUGCCAAUGUUGACUGGGGUCCAAGUACAGGUUUUAUUUUCUAGCGAGAGCUGUGACUUCGUUCUUGGCCUAACUCCGAACAAGGUCAUAGCUAGAGGGUUAAACCCUCCAAAUGUUGUUCCUGAAGAGACUUCUUGAAAGAGGAAACCAAACCAUCAAAAUGAAAGAGGUAUUAAGAGAAUUAAAAUUAUAGUUUCCUCAGCAAAGAUUGUUGUCACCUCUAAGCGUACUGAUAAGGUGCCAGAAGCGAUUUUGAUUCCAGAUCACAGUGGUCCUAAGGUACCGAGAAAAACUUUAACCCUAGAAGAUGAAAGUUCUAGAUUUAACUUUAAAAAAUUUUCAUUGAUAGGCUCGAUUUGUAGUACAUCUUUGUCGACGAUUUUGUAAGCUUCAUUAUUGAAUGUAUGAGUAACAAGAAACAGACCAUCCUAUAUAGGCUGAAACUUGCUUCCUAUUUUUCUUGUAAUUAUGAUAAGCUUGCGUACGGAAAGUACCAGAUCUCCAACUUGAAAUGAUCUUAGUCACACUUUUUUGUUGAAAAAUUUUACCAUUCGAGUUUGAUAGCACUCUAAGAGCAUUUCCACUUCUAAGCAAUUUUCAUCCAAAACUUCUAACUCUUCCAAUUGAAGGCGGGUAUUUUCUAUUGUUGUCAAACCUUCUUGGAUGGAAAUUAGAAGUGACAGGCUUUAACACUUCAAAUUAUGUAUAACUUCCACUCCAUACACUACAGCGUAAGGGGUGGCUUGUGUUGGAGUCCAACAAGUAGUUUGAUAAGCCCAUAAGACUUCACCAAUUCUCACAUGCCAAUCUCUUUUUGAUUUGGAGACAACCGUUUUUAGUAGACUACAUAAUAUUUUGUUAAACGCCUCUGCCAAUCCAUUAGCUGCUGCAUUGUAUGUGGAUAAGUUGUAUUGUUUAAACCCAAACUUUGCACAUAAAUUGUUUAUGUGGCUAUUGCAGAAUGGCUUGCCAUUAUUAGUUAUAAUGUUUCAUGGGAUCCCAUAUCGAUAAAUGAUCUGGAUACAGAUAUCUGCAACAUUUUCUUUCUUUACUUCCUUCAAUGUUAAGACUUCAGCCCACUCCAAGAAGUAGUCAGUCCCUGUGAGAACGUAUACAUGCUUGAUUGAAGACUUUGGAGUUAUAGGUCUAAUUACAUCAAGACCCAUGCAUCAAACAAUCAUGAAGCUUCUAUUGGAUGUAAAGGUUCCAGAAGUUGAUGGAUGAAAUUCUCAUGGACUUGGCAAGUUUUACAUUUUUUUGACAUAAUCCAUGGAGUCUUGUACCAUAGUUCGCCAGUAAUACCCUAUCCUCUUUAUUAGGAAAUGGAGUUUAGGACCAGAGUGAUAAGCACCACAAAUUCCCGAGUAGGCUUCUUACGACAUGUGUUGCUUCAUCAUUACUUAAGCAUCGAAUGAAAACUCCAUCAAAUGAUCAUCGAUAUAGAGUUCCCUUAUAAAAGACGAAGCGGGAAGCACGCCUCUUGAUUUUCAUUUUUUACUGUGGAUUAUCUGGUAGCUUUUGAUGUUGAAGAAAAUCGAUUAUUGAGUGUCUCCAAUCUUCUCUUUCCUCAUCUUCAACUACUUCAACACUUUUGUUCUCUUCCAAAUUGCUAGGUAGCAAUGAUGGAAGCACCCAUCUUUGAGCAAUUGUUAUGAAGUGGGAGAAAUCUUCAUCUGACCCAGUUAAAAUAGUGGCCAAAUUAGCUAAGGCAUCAACUUCCCUAUUUUUACUUUUCGGGAUGAAUUUGAUUUUUACCAAAUCAAAUUGUCUCAUAAGCAUUGACGCAUUUUCAUGGGUUCAAGUCUAAAUUACGGACUUCAUACUCAGCUAAAAGUUUGUUGAUUAUCAAUUUAAAAUCUCCAAAGACUUUCAGCUGGUAGAUAUUCAUAUCUAACGUUGUCUCGAAGUUAAGGAUAAGGACUUGAUAUUCCACCAUGUUGUUUGAACAUUUCUCUAUUAAGGCAAAAGAGUAGGGCAUGACGAGAUCAUGAAGAGUGACAAAGACUACUCCUGCUUCAACACCAUAACUUUUGUCUACCCCAUCGAAGUAUAGCCUCCAUAAUGGUAUGACUUUGGGGAAUAAGACUUCUUCAUCGGAAAGGUCUUCCUGAAGUUCCCAUUCGGCUGGAAUUGGAUGGAUAGUAAGGAAAUCUGCCAAAACUUGUUCUUUAAUGGCCUUUUGUGGAAUGAAUUUGAUAUCGAACUCAAAUAACAGCAUUGUCUAUUUUUCAAUUCGUCCAGAAAGAAUUAGCCUGGACAUUAUGUACUUCAAUAGAUCAAUCUUCGAAACAAGAUUAAUUUCGUGUGAUAACAUAUAAUACCUCAACUUUUAGCUACGAAGAUUAACGUAAGAGAUAUUUUUUCAAUAGGUGAAUACUUUAUUUCGGCGCCUACCAGUGUCUAGCUUAAGUAAUAGAGUGCUUGCUCUUUUCCUUCAUUUUUGAUUUGGAUAAGAAGUACUCCUAGAGAAUAUUCUUGUGAUACAACAUAAAGAUUCAGUGGCUUCCCAAAACUAUGAGUACCAGUGAACGAGAUAAAUAUUAUUUAAUGCUUUGAAAAGCAUUUCGACAAGCAUCGUCCCACUCAAAUGGUACAUCUUUCUUUACCAAUUUGUUGAAUGGAUGACAAUGUCCAGCAAGGUUAGAGACGAAUCUUCGAAUGUAUACAAUUUUCCAUGAAGACUUUUCAACUCACGUAUAUUUCUUAGCGUUGAAAUGUUGAUUAUAGUGUCAAUUUUUGAUUGAUCUAUUUCAAUGCCCUGGUAUCGAAUAACGAAGCUGAGAAAUUUUUUAGAGGUGACACCAAAUGCACAUUUCAAUGAAUUCAUCUUCAGUUGAUAUCUUCGAAUUUUUUUGAAAACAUCCCAUAAAUCUUGUAAAUGAUCGUCACGUCGUUUUGUUUUAACAACAAGAUCAUCUACAUAGCAUUCCAUGUUCUUAUGCAACAUUUUAUCGAAGAAAUUUUGCAUUGCUCACUGGUAGGUUGCCCCCGCAUUUUUUAAUUCAAAAGGCAUAACUUUGUAAUAAUAUAAGCCUUAAGGAAUACGAAAUGAUAUAAGUUCCUCAUCUUUCGGAUUCAUCCGUAUCUGGUUGUAUCCAAAAAAUUCGUCCAUAAAGGACAAACUUUAUACUUGAUAGUUGCAUCCACCAUCAACUCCGUUAUUCGAAGUGAAAAACAAUCUUUCGGAUAUGCUUGAUUCAAAUCCCAAAAGUCAGUGCAAAUUUGUAAUUGCCCAUUUUUCUUCUUGACAGGAAUAAUGUUUGCGAUCCACAUUAGGUAUUUCAUUUCACGUAUAAAUCCAGCUUCAAUAAGUUUGUUGACUUCUACUUCAAUUUGUGGAUUAGUUCUGGUUGAAAUCUUCUUUGUAGUUGCUAGAUCGGUCAAACUCCAUGUCUUACUGUAAGGUAAUGCACUGCAACCUUAGGAUCUAACCCCGACAAAUUCUUGUAAGACCAUGCAAACACAUCUUUGUAUUCCUAAAGCAAACGAAUGUACUUAGAUUCCUCUUUUUGACUGAGGAGGGUACUUACAAAUACUGGUUUUGGGUCUUUUUUGGUCCCCAAGUUCAAUUGUUUCAAGUUAUCCACAGUAGCUUGUCUUUGGUCUUCAAAUGUGGGUGGGGCUGGGUUAAGUUCAUCAUUUGUGGUAGGACUUUCAGGCUCGGAUUCUGAGUUAGAGCUUCUUCAAAAACUAUGUGACUGACAGAGUCUUCUUUCUUAUCUUCAUUGCCCUUUAAGGAUAGGCGAACUUUUUGAUGUCUUCUUGACUGUUGAGAUUUCGAACUUGGAUCAGAAGUUUUAAUUCCAAGUCGAGAAAAAGCAUAUUAUCUUUAGGAUGACAUCUAGGGAGCUUGUACAUUCCUAUCAAUUUGGGUGGAAGAAGAAGGACCUUCACUUUACCUUUAGAAGAUAGAGGCUUUACCUUUUAUGUCGACUACUGGGGAUGGUUCUCCUUUUAAUCUUUUAAACACCGAAACUCUAGCUUUCUCAUUUUCAACACUGAAGGUCUCGACUAUUCUGAUUUUUCUUCUGCAACUUUGUAAUUUUGAAUCAUGAUGGGGUUUGAGGAAACCUUCACGAUCUUAAUCUUUCUAGGUAGAUUGAGAUCAUAUCCCAAACCAUACCUAGGUCGAGACACCAGGUCUCUAUUAGAAUUAGAAGGUACACACCCUCCUGAAAUGCCAGCAUCAAGGUCACCUAAUUUUCGAGGCUCUUAUUUUCUAAACUUGACAUUUUCAAACAACUUUUUGACUUGAGAAUUGUAACAUCCUUUGAAUUUCUGUUUUGAUUCAAGAGCUGCUUCUUGUUUGGACGAGCUAGAAGCACCAAGCUUUGAUAUGUCUGGAAUGGAUGUCGAAGCUUCUGAUAUAGGUUUGUGUUCUCCCAAAACCACCGUAAGUUGAUGGGGUAGAAGCAAUUUCGAAAUACUAACUAUUGUAAGAGUUAUCUCUUUUCUCAAUAUCUCAAUAUCGGUGGAUUCUAUUUGAGGUUUUUUACCUCUAGAGAAUCCUUCAGAUGUAAAUUUUGACUUAUCUUUGGUAAGUUGAUGAGAUUGAGCAGCACUAGAUGUAUCAUGAUCAUCUAUAUCUUCAUUGAUUUUGAAUCCAAACAUGGUCAACCCUACAGAGUUACACUCUUCAUCUUCAUUGUAAAAUUUGGUAUCAGCAAAGAGAUUCUUCUUCUAGAAAGGUUUGGACUCAGCUACCACACGUUUGAUUUCUCUGUCCCUACUAUAUUUGAAGCAUGGUGCCAAGUCAAAGGUAUUACUCUAAUUUUAUGCAGUCAAACACGUCCAAGGAAUAACUUGUAUGAUGUUUUAGCAUCAAUGACAUAGAAGAGAGUUGAGGAGAUUAACUCUCCUAUUUGCAGCUUUAGGUGAAUCAUGCCAAUGGCUCCUGACUUUUUUGAUUGAAUCCUUGAAUCAUGAUUUUCCUUCUAGAUAGAUAACCAACAUUAAUUCCAAAAUUUUUCAUUAUUUUGACCGACAUAAUAUUUACAGUAGAUCCACAAUCGAUUAUUAUGCUACUUAUCCUACAUUGUCGAAUAUAAUCACUAAUAUACAGUAGUCUAUUAUGUAAACGAAAACCCAAUUGUAAAUCAUUAUCAUCGAAUGUUAUGGCAACCAUACAAUCUUGUUGGAUUAUGCAUCCAAUAUGUUCUGAGACUUUGCCUUCAUAUUCUUCCCAAUCGAUUAAUGCCAUGAACAAAGCCAUUCGAUCAUCGAAAUGAAGACUAAUAGACUCUGCUAAACUCGUGUUGACUGGGCUAUUGUUGAGUCGUGAGAUAGUAUUAUUCUAUUUUGAAUCCAAACAUGGUCAACCCUGCAGAGUUACACUCUUCAUCUCAUUUUUUUUUAUCCACAUUGAUAACAUUGGAGGUAAAACAUUACUUGUCAAAGAAACCCUUGGGAAAAUAAUCUCCCAAGGUUGGUAAUCUAGGAGGAAUAUGUGAAGUAGCUUCUAACAUCAUUGAUUUAGUAAAUACUCUUGGCUUAGCUUUAGACCUUCUUCUUUGGUUGUUCCUUGGUCUUGAUUUUUUGUUAUAAACACUAGAAUUUGGGAGUUGUGGAGCCUUUUAACAACGUCUUUUCACAAGAGUCCAUGGCCUUGAUCUUCUUCUAGUGCUUCUUAUUUAUUAGGUUGAAUUUUUGUACCCAAUUUUCCCAUCUUUGGUCCUGUAAGAGGCGUAGGAGGUGACAUUUUAUUCGUUUUGUUUAACAUUCUUUAUUUCUCUUUCUUGCUUAUAAAGGUAGACCAGCCAUCACCGAUCUUGUCUUCAGACUCCAAGCAGAAUCCCAAACAUCUAAGUCACUUGUCAUAAUUUCGUAAAAGGUUGGACGAUUGGAUGCACUUGGUCCAUCUAUCCCCGGAUAGAUGUAAUUAAUAUUGAUUUCUCCGUCUACCUCAAAUUCUACUGGGAUGGCUCCUUUUGAAAGUUGAGGUCCAAACUCUUCAAUCGAGGAUUUACAGGCAUCGUGUACAUUAGGUGUCUUCCCUAUAAUGAAAAUUGGAUCAAAUGAUCCAGACAAAACCAUCGAGCAGACGGUUGUUGGAUUCUCUUCGAUAUCAAGUUUGAUCUUAUUUUCUUUAUCCAGGCGAACAAUAAAAUCUUUCAAGACGGAAGCAUUUUUCCAUUGGGUAGUUAAUGAUUCCAUAAAAUUUAUAGUAUUUAGGAUGAUUGAACUUACAAGCUUUCUAGGGUCUUUUUGGUACUGAAAGUUUGAUUAUCUUCUAUUCAAGAAGUUGAUCUAGGAAUUUAGAAUCUGAGAAUGGGUACUUCUUUCCUUCAUGUUCUUUCAAAGUCACGUGACCUCCACUUUGGACUUGUGCUUUGCUAGGUCUAAACUCUGGCUUCAGUUUUAGGUUCGAGCUUAACCCCUUGAAGGCUAUCUUUGCUGGAACAGUAGAAAUCACCACAGCUUCUUUGGAUUUACUUUCCUUGAUGUCCUUCUUUAUUUCCUUCUUAGAAUCUUUCUUGUCAAGUGGAUCACUUGAUAAGUAACUCCCAUGCCUUGCAAUUUAGAGCUUCAAGUCAUGAAUACGUGUCACCAAUUCUUCGAAUGAGUGAGGCAUAUUUGCUUGGAGAUUAUAGAGUAAUCCCCAAUGCAUGUUUUGGUCGCACAUAUACAUGGAAGAUGCUUCACUUAUUCAUUCUUUAUAAUUAAGAAUGAGGUUCAUCCAGCGUUCGAUGUACUCUACAAUAGUUUCUUCCUUGCUCUGCUUCAUUCGACCAAGUUCUGGAAGGCUGGCAGUUCGUUGGGUGUUGUAGAAGCGUGUUAGAAAUUCUCGAUCGAGUUGAUCCCAACUAUCAAUUGACCCAGUUGGUAAAUCUGUGGGCCAUUCAAACGUGUCACCUUUAAGAGAACAUACAAAUUGCUUCACCAUGGUGUCAUUGUAUGCGCUUAUAUUGUUGUGUGUCUCAAUGAAAUGAGCAACAUGCUAUUUUUGGUUGUUCUUUCUAUCAAAGCAUUGAAAUUUUGAAGGUUGCUAACUGAGUGGCAUCUUUAUUUCGUCGAUUUGACAACUAUAGAGCUUGGCAUAUACCUUUGAAGAUUGCAAUGAACCAUCAUACUGAGUACGAAUGAUGUCUGCAAUCAUAUGUUGAAGUUGUUGAAUGGAUAGAGAGCCAACAGAGAGUUGAGUGGUAUCACACAAAAUGUUUGGACCAAUUGGCGCACUUGGACUUCUAACUUUUUGGCCUUGGAAAAUCCUGAAUUUUUAUGAUCUUUUUUAAUCGGCAGAUUUUGCAACUCUAGCCCAUGCAUGAGCGCAGCAAUCUAUACAUCUUUAUCUUCUAGUGACUUUGUUAAUUUUUCAAUGGCUAAAGUCAUUUGUUGAAUUCAAUCAUCUGAGCCUGAUGCCGUUUCUAUGACCAUCACUAGCUCAAGUGAUUCUUCAAAUGAAGAAUCAUCUUCUACCUUUGCUGAGAAGUGGCAUGAGAGGAUCCAAAGAAUGAUCUAUCAUUGGAGAUGGAGCCCGAACGAGAGCUUUUCGCCGAACUCAUAGUCUUUUUUGUUGAAUGAGAGUUUGAAUUUUUAAAGGCAAUUUUAAUUUUGCCUUUGUUGGAAAAUUUCAUCAGUGAUGGGACCAGUUGAGUUUUCCCAGUUUUGUUUGGGCCUUGAUCGCGUGGAAGAGUUUGGGAAGUGUCUCUUCAAGAUGAGUUAUAGUUGGUUUUGCCUUUUCGCUUACCAUUGCUGAUAUAGUGACUGAAAGUUGAAGAUUCUGAUAUCAAAAGAUGAGAGGACAAGAAGGUCCCACCGAGUAUGCUAAGAAAUUUAUACGAUGAAUUUUAUGUAUUGAAAUACAGAAAUCCUUACAAAUUGCAUUUUUUAGAAAUACAAGUGAUUUUGACCUUCUUGUGAUUGAAAAAUGGCGAAAAUCCUCUUAUUAAUGAUCUGAAUAUUUUGAAGACGAGGUGUCACAUGACUUGAAUUCUGGUCUUCGAAAAUAUGUUGAAAUUUUGAUUUGUUGAUACUUGACUUAUCCAGCACUUGAGUUUUGGGACUUGGACUCGUGCUUGAAUUUGAUUUGAUUUAACGAAGACUUUGGUCUUCUUGAAUUUGGCGUGGACCUGUUAGAUUCGAAGAAGGUUUUGAUCUUUUUGGGAUUUACCGAAUUUAGGUUUGAGAGGAUUUCUUCUCCUCCUUCGACUUUGAAAUUUUUUCAGCACUUCAUAAUUGCCUUCUUUGCUUUCACUUAUUGUUCUUUUCUUAUGGACGAUUGGUCCUAUUUAUUGGAGAAAAUUUGAGCUAAUUUUGGUAGUCACUCAAUUAUAUUUAGUUAAAAAUGAAUAAUUGAGUAAUUAUGAUUUUUAUUUGUUUACUUAUUUAAACGUGAGAUGGGCUUUCGGGUUUAUGGACCUUAGUCGACUUUAAUUUAAUUGAACUAAUAAUUUAAAUCGACCCAACCCAUUUUCUUUAUUAUUAUUAUUAUUUUUUAUGCCUAUAAAUGCCCCCUCAAGAUUAAUUUAUUUAUUAUGAAAUAAAUAAAUUAAUAAAUCUUGAUUUUUGAUUUUAUUUUUUUUUCAAUUUUGGAUUUGAUUUUAACUCAAACUUCCCAUUAGUAAAUUAUUAUAAAUGAAAAAAUCGAGAUAAAAUGGGAAUUUGAUAAAAAAAAAAAAAAAAUUAUCCUUCAAAUUUGAGAAUAAGAAUUUUUUUUAUGUUAUUUGAUUUUUUUAUUUAUUUUAUACAAUCUAAAAAAUUUUGAAUUUGAAUAGGCCAUUUGCGCUUUAUGGUAAAUUAGGCUUAAGUGAAAUAUGAUAUCUGUCUAUUUAUAUGAAUAAACUAUGAGAUUUGGAAACAAGUCUGUUAAAUCUUGCAAACAAAGGCAAAUAAUUCUUUUUUUCUUUUUUCUUUUUUUAACUCUCUCUCUCUCUCUCUCUAUUUUUUCCCUUAUUUUCUCUCUUUUUUCUCAUAUUUUCUUUUCUCGGUUUCCGCCACCCAAGGAGACAAAGAAUUUGAUGCGAACCCCGUAGCAAUGGAAACUACGAAACCCACAACGAGAUUGAUGCGGAACCCAAGAACGCCAAUACUAACCCGAUUUUGAAUCUUGAACCUCAAGAAUUGAACCAAGAAAUCCUAGAUUAGCGAAAAAACUAAAACCCCUUGAUUACAAUUAAAAGAACCCACAAUCCGAUUGUUUAGAAUGACAUAAGAAACUAAAUCUUGAUAAGUUCCAAGAUUGUUCAAGAAGAACAAGAAAUUGAAAGAACAAUUCUCUCUCUAUAAUAUUAAGCAAAAGUCAAAAGUUCUUACAAUGAAAAAUAUUCUCCUAUUUAUACUAAUGAAUAAAAACGUCCAAAACCAUCAAAUUAUGGUAAUAAUUUGAUUUCAUAAGAAUUCUAUUGAAACUAGGAAAUUCGGCCAAAAUUAGAAAAUUCGCCAAUUUUUUGGCUUGUGCGGCCGCAUGGUGUAUUUCCAUGCGGUCGCAUGGUUCAACAAGAAUUGGUCUUUUGGUUUUCGGUAUGCAUGUGUGCGCCACAUAUUGUUUUGCCUGUGCGGCCGCACAUACUUGUUUUCAGUCUCCGCUUUCGUUGCUUGAUAACAAAUUGAUCCAAGUUGAUUCGGCCUUCGACCCGAACAUGAAAGUUGCUCCAUCUGGAGUCCUGAACAUGGUUCCAUCAAUGGUUUCUUGAACAAGCAAUCCCAUCGUUUGUUUCACUUGCUUUGCCCUUGAUCGCGUCAUUGGUCCGCCAUCGACUAUCAACGGGUCUCAUCUCGCACUUGCCUUCGUUGGGCUCGACUCCUGGAUCAUAUCAUUCCCUCCCUCUUCAAAAGGAUUCGUCUUCGAAUUUGAACCUGCAUCAAACAGAGAGAGAUCAGAUACAUUAAAAGUAGCUGAAACAUUAUACUCACUAGGUAAAAUCACUUUGUAUGCAUUGUCAUUGAUCCUCUCAAUGAUUUGAAACGGUCCAUCGCCUCGUGGUUGCAAUUUUGACUUCCUCUGUUUUGGAAAACGUUCUUUUCUGAAAUGCACCCAGACCCAAUCUCCAGGCUCAAAUGUAACGCGUCUUCUUUCUUUAUUUGCUUUUGAUGCAAUCAGCUUUCCUUUCUCUUUGAUCUGCAUUCUGACCUUUUCAUGGAGUGUUUUCACCAUCUUGGCUUUUCGUUUCCCAUCCAAGCUACCUCGUUCAUGCACAGGUAAAGGCAUUAAAUCCAUAGGUGUUAGUAAAUUAAAACCAUAAACAAUUUCAAAAGUAGAAAACGAAGUAGUAGAAUGUGUAGCUCGAUUAUAUGCAAACUCUAUAAACGGUAAACACUCUUCCCAUGAUUUCAGAUUUUUAUUGAUUACUGUCCUAAGUAGUUGAGUCAUAGUUCGAUUAACUACCUCAGUUUGUCCAUCUGUUUGUGGGUGACAAGUUGUAGAAAAUAAUAACUUAGUUCCUAACUUACUCCACAGAACACGCCAAAAAAUUACUCAAAAACUUCACGUCCUUAUCAGACACUAUACUUUUAGGUACUCCAUGUAAACGUACUAUUUCCCUAAAGAAUAAGUCUACAAUAUUAGUAGUAUCGUCAGUUUUAUGACAUGGUAUGAAGUACGCCAUCUUACUAAACCUAUCGACCACUACAAAUAUUGAAUCCCGACUCCUUUUUGUCCUAGGCAAACUUAACACAAAGUCCAUAGAUAUGUCUACCCAAGGUUCACUAGGUACAGGCAAAGGAGUAUACAAACCGUGGGAUUGAACCUUAGACUUAGCCUUUUUAAAAGUUAUGCACUUUCCACAUAUUUGUUCUACUCCAUGUCGCAUUUUAGGCCAAUAAAAAUGUUCCCCUAACAUGUCUAAAGUCUUUUGAACCCCGAAGUGUCCCAUUAAACCACCCCCAUAUGCUUCCCUUACCAAUAAUUCACGCAAAGAACAAUUAGGAAUGCACAACUUAUCUUCCCUAAACAAAUAUCAUUCAUCCCUAUAGAAUUUAUCAAAUGCACCUUUGUCACAUGAAGCAUAAAAACUAGAAAAAUCACAAUUAGAUUCAUACAUGCGCUUAAUAUGCUCGAAACCAAGUAAUUUAGUACUUAAUGAAUUUAAAAGCACGUACCGUCGAGACAACACAUCAGCAGCUAUAUUUUCGUUACCUUGUUUUUACUUGAUGACGUAGGAAAAUGUCUCGAUAAACUCCACCCAUCUCGCAUGUCUUUUGUUCAACUUACCUUGACCUCGCAAAUGCUUUAAAGAUUCAUGACCGAUGUAUAUCACGAAUUCCUUUGACCAUAAGUAGUGCUGCCAAGUCUCCAAUGCUCGAACAACUGAAUACAGCUCCUUGUCAUAUGUCGGAUAAUUCAAUGUUGCCCCACUCAACUUUUCGCUGAAGCAAGCAAUAGGUCUCCUUUCCUGCAUUAACACUGCUCCCAUACCUAUUCCUGAUGCAUCACACUCAACCUCGAAUGUUUUAUCAAAAUUUGGUAAUGCCAAAACAGGUGCUUUACAUAGCUUAUCCCUAAUUGUGUUAAAUGCAAUUUCUUGAGAUUCUCCCCAAUGGAAACCUAUACUCUUCUUUACUAUUUCAAUCAACGAUGUGGUGAUGGUGCUAAAAUUUGUUACAAAUCGCCUAUAAAAACUAGCCAAUCCAUGAAAACUCCUAAUUUCAAUUAUAGUCUUAGGUGUUGGCCAUUCUUUAAUAGCUUUUAUCUUUUCUUCAUCGACUUCCACCCCGUUAGCACUAACCACAAAUCCUAAGAAAACAACUCUAUCCAUGCAAAAUGUGCACUUUUUGAAAUUAGCAUAUAGUUGUUCCUUUCACAACACAACAAGCACACAAUUUAAAUGUUCUAAAUGCUCAUUUAGGUUCUUGCUAUAGAUUAAGAUGUCAUCAAACUAAAUUACAGCAAAUUUCCCAAUAAAAGCAUGCAAAACAUGGUUCAUUAAAUGCAUAAAAGUGAUCGGUGCAUUAGUGAGUCCAAAUGGCAUAACUAACCAUUCAUACAAUCCAUACUUAGUCUUAAACGCCGUUUUCCAUUCAUCACCCUCUCGCAUGCGAAUUUGAUGAUACCCACUCUUAAGAUCAAUCUUACUAAAAAUGCAAGCACCAUACAACUCAUCAAACAUAUUAUCUAGCCUAGGUAUUGGGUGACGAUACUUUACCGUGAUAUUGUUGAUAGCUCGGUAAUCCACGCACAUUCUCCAAAUCCCGUCCUUCUUAGGCACCAACAAGACAGGUACAGCACAUGGACUCAUGCUCUCCCUGACAUAACCUUUGCUCAUCAACUCCUCCACUUGAUUUUGAAGCUCCUUCGUCUCCUCGGGAUUGCUUCGGUAAGCUGGUCGAUUCAGUAUGACAGCUCUGGGUACAAAGUCAAUCUGGUACUCAAUGCCUCUGAUUGGUGGCAAUCUACUUGGCAUCUCCUCAGGGAACACAUCGUCGAACUCCUGCAAUAAAGACUUAACCAAACUAGGGAGGGAUGUGUUAGAAUCCUCAAAAUUGAGGAGGGAUUCCUUGUACACUAACAAUAUCAUUUGCCUAUUAUCACUCAUAGCCUUUUUCAACUCACUCUCUUUUGCAUAAAAGUUGACCUUUGGCUUUUCUCUCCGCUCAGCUGACUCUUUUUCUCUCCUCUCAUCUGACUCCUUUUCUCUCCGCUCAUGUGGCUUCUCUCUCUUUUCUCCACUCUCAGCCACCUCACUAUUUUCUCUCUUAUUGAUGGUUUCACUAUUGCCUCUCCUUUUUCCUGACUCUCUUAUUCUCUCGUCUUCCUCACUUUUCAGCUUGAUUUAAUCUCCAUACACUUGUGCCGAUGUUAAUGGCGCAAGAGUAAUAGUCUUCCCAUCCUUGACAAAGCUAUAACGAUUCCUAUAUCCAUCAUGUGUGACCCUUCUAUCAUAUUGCCAUGGUCUUCCUAACAAGAUAUGACCCACAUGCAUAGGCACCACAUCACAUACUACUUUGUCACUAUAACUCCCAAUUGAGAAAUUAAUUAAAACUCUUUUAUUCACGCUAACUUCCCCACUUUUAUUCAACCAUUGCAACUUAUAAGGCCUAGGUUGUCUUAACAAUGCUAGUCCUAUUUUCUCAACUAAAAUUGUGCUAGCUAUAUUCGUGCAACUCCCACCAUCAAUAAUCAUACUAUAUACCUUAUCGUUGACGUAACAACAUGUGUGGAAUAUAUUUUCUCGCUGCUGCUCCGAAUUAUCCACUUUGACUUGAGUGUUAAGAGCUCUCCUUGACACCAACGAUUCCCCAAUAGCAAACUCCAAUUUUUCUUCUUCUUCAACGUCCUCCAAUGCAGGCAUGUCCUCAAACUCUCCUUCACUUUCACUCACCACCUCUCCAUUAUCCAACAACACCAUUACCCGUUUAUUUGGGUAUUGAGAAGCAAUGUGCCCUAACCCCAAGCAUCUGAAACACUUGAUGUCUCAAUUCCUUGAUGGUUGUGAAUUUGUUUUGGGUGCUGUUUUGCUAGCACUUUCUUCUUUCCCUUUCUGCCACUCAUUCCUACCUUUAGGUACAGCUUUAUCACUUUUGUUGUUGUUGUUCCACCCUGGCUUCCAAGAUGGAUUAACACUCAAAGUUCCUAACGGCUGCCUAGCUAUCCCUUUUCUCUUCAAUUGUCUCUCUACCUUCAUAGCCACAUGCAACAUGUCUUCCAACUCCACAUAAUGUUGCAACUCCACUACAUUGGCAAUUUCCCUAUUCAACCCAUUCAAGAAUCAUGCCACGGUAGCCUCCCGAUCCUCCACCACAUUGGCCCUAAUCAUGAGUAUUUCCAUCUCCAUAUGAUAGCCCUCUACACUUUUCGAUCCUUGAUAUAGACUUUACAGUUUUUGAUGGAUCUGUUAGUAAUAGUGGCUAGGAACAAACCUCUUUCUCAUCAAUGACUUCAAUUCCUCCCAAGUGUUGAUUGCUCUUCCCCCACUCCUACGUUGUGAAGUAAUCACUUGAUCCCACCAUGACAUUGCAUAGUCACUGAACUCCAAAACUGCUAACUUCACAUUUUUCUCCUCCGAGUAGUUAUAACACUCGAAGAUCAUUUCAACCUUCCUUUCCCACUCCAGGUAUGCCUCGGGAUCACUCCUUCCUUUGAAUGAAGAAACUGUCAUUUUUAUAUUUCCCAAAUUUCCAUCAAAUUCCUCCCCGCGAUCAUUCCGACCCCGUCUGUCGAACCUAUUGCCUCUAUUCCUCAUCCUUCCCAUAUCAACACCGUGAAAUUCAUCUUCGCCCAUGUCACUCCAAUAUCCAUACUACUCUCGCCUUUCCCUCCUAGGCUCCCAUCUAUGCGGUCUUGUGGCAUUGGAUACAUCCACUCGAUGCCCCCGACUAAGAUUAGCCACCGAUGUAUCUAAUCUAUUCAUCCAAGCCUCCUGCUUCUCCAACCUAUCUCUCACAUCUCCAAAUGCUCUCUCAAACCUCUGCACCAAAUCCUCCGAUGCAUUGCUAUUAUUGCCUUGUCGGCUUGAAUUUGAUUCUGCCAUUUCUGACAUCCUAACACUAAAAUUUUUUAUUUUACUGCCUCACCAAAAGUCACUCGAAAACACACAAGGGCUUUUACCCUCUAUUAAGCUCACCUCCCUGCCUUUAGCCACUCAGUUCUUUCAACAAUUGCCUCUAGGAACAAUCAAUGAACUCAAUCAAUCAAUCAAUUCGUGUAGAAUUCCCCAAACCGGAUGUGACUCAAUAAUUGUAAUAAAGGACUCAAAGAAAACUUUUAAAAUUUGACUUGAAUUGAAGGAAUGUAAUGAUUCAAUGUGUCCAAGUAAUUUAGAAACGAUAUUGAAUAAUAAAAGUUGGUAUUUGAAGGAUCAAUAAUAUUUAAUAAUUUUUUUUUAUAUCCAAAAAUCAAUAACAAAACCAACAAAGAAAAUGAAAACUGAUUUGGGCAAAAAUUGAGCCCAGAAACGGAAUUUGAAGAUUUUUGAUGAAACUUUUGGAUCAAAGGAUCAAGAAAACCUUUUGGACACAAGAACACAAGGAAUUGAAAAAAAAUAGAAAACAAAGGAUAUAGCCUGAUUAAAUUGGAGCCAAAGCUCUGAUACCAACUGAUACGAACCCCGUAGCAAUGAAAACUACGAAACCCACAACGAGAUUGAUACGGAACCCAAGAAUGCCAAUACUAACCCGGUUUUGGAUCUUAACCCCAAGAAUUGAACCAAGAAACCCUAGAUUAGCGAAGAACCUAAAACCCCUUGAUUACAAUUAAAAGAACCCACAAUCCGAUUGUUUAGAACGCCACAGGAAAUUGAAUCUUGAUAAGUUCCAAGAUUGUUCAAGAAGAAAAAGAAAUUGAAAGAACAAUUCUCUCUCUAUAAUAUUAAGCAAAAGUCAGAAGUUCUUACAAUGAAAAAUAUUAUUUUAUUUAUACUAAUGAAUAAAAACGUCCAAAACCAUCAAAUUAUGGUAAUAAUUUGAUUUCAUAAGAAUUCUAUCAAAACUAGGAAAUUCGGCCAAAAUUAAAAAAUUCACCAAUUUUUUGGCUUGUUGGCCGCAUGGUGUAUUUCCAUGCGGUCGCAUGGUUCAACAAGAAUUGGCCUUUUGGUUUUCGGUAUGCAUGUGUGCGGCCACAUGUUGUUUUGCCUGUGCAGCCGCACAGACUUGUUUUCAACCUCCGCUUUCGUCGCUUGGUAACAAAUUGACCCAAGUUGAUUCGGCCUUCGAUCAGAACAUGAAAGUUACUCCAUUUUGAGUCCUGAACAUGGUUCCAUCAAUGUUUUCUUGAACGAGCAAUCCCAUCACUUGUUUCACUUGCUUUGCCCUUGAUCGCGUCAUUAGUCAGCCAUCGACUAUCAACGGGUCUCGUCUCGCACUUGCCUUCGUCGGGCUCGACUCCUAGAUCAUAUCAGAAUUGGUUUCUUGGAAUUGAUACAGUGAAAUUGGUGAAUUGCAUCAAUUCCAACUGUUUCCUUGGUAUUUGCCAAUGGCAGAAACCUUUAUAUAUUUAUUUUUAUUUAUUUAUUUAUAUUUUUUCGUUUCUUUCUCUUUUUUCUUCUCGUUAUUUUUUUUUAAUUUUGGAUUUCCAUCGAUGGUAGAAAAUAAAACAAAUUUUGUUUGAACCCAAUUUGAAACUGGUAAAAACCAAUUCCAAUGGAAUUAUUGGAACUUUCACCAAUUCCAAUUCGGAAUUGGUCGAAAAACCAAAAAUAUAUUUGGUUUUAUGGAAAACCAAAGUGACCAAUUGGUUUCUACCGAGCAUUUAAUUGUUUUUGCUCCUUUUUUUUAUUCGUUUCAUCUUCCUUUCUCUUUCUUCUUGUUAACUAUUUUAGUGAGGCUAUUUUAACAAAAUUGAAACUAACAUUUUUCAUUUUUUUAUGCAAGGAUUCAAAUAUUUGGUGCAAAUGAAGGAUUUUGAGGUUCGAGAUUUUCUUUGUGUGGAGGUUAAAUUUUGUUCCGCAAUUAAUUUUUAAGUUCAGGAAAUAUAUGCUUAUAGACAGACUCAAAAUUACAAACCUUUUAGGGCACAUUGAGGACCAAAGACUGCUACUAUUCACCAUCCAAUGCACUUUUUGUUGGAAACCAAUGACAUGUUCAUUCGAUCGUCUUGACCAAGGACUCGCUCCUUUGACUAUCUAAUGCACUUUGUGUUUGGGACCAAGGACUGGUUGAUUCGAUUGUCCAAGGCACUUUGUGCUUGGGACCAAAAACUGGCUCCUUCGACUCUCCAAGACACUUUGUAAUAAGGACCAAUGACCUGUUUCUUCGACCGUCCAAGGUACUUUGUGUUUGGAACCAAGGACUGGCUCCUUCGACUAUCCAAUGCACUUGUGUUAAGGACCAAGGACAUGUUCCUUCGAUCGCCCAAACACUUCGUGUUUGAAGCCAAGGACUGGUUUCUUCAACUGUCCAAGACACUUUGUAGUAAGGACUAAUAACCUAUUUCUUCGAUGGUCCAAGGCACUUUGUGUUUGGAACCAAAGACUGGCUCCUUCGACUGUCCAAUGCACUUGUGUUAAGGACCAAGGACAUGUUCCUUCGACCGUUCAAACACUUUGUGUUUGAAGCUAAGGACUGGUUUCUUCAACUGUCCAAGACACUUUGUGUUAAGGACCAAGGAUUAGCUCAUUCGACUGUUCAAGACACUUUGUGUUGAGGCCAUUUACAUAUUUGGGAGGCUCGUAAUUUUAGACUAUAAACAAAUUUAAAAGAUCUACUCCUCCUUUUUAUUGCUAAUUUUUCAGGCAUGGUUGUAACAAGUUCUAAUGAUAAAGUAUACUUUGUUAUACAUGAAAUUUUUUAUCUUAAAAAUCUAGGCAAAAGUUAUCUACAUUACAAAGAUACUGAUGUGAAGUACCACGCCAGACUAGUCUACAAGGUGGACUUAAAUUUAGCAUCCAUAAGUCAACGAUAGAUCCUUCUCCCAACCUUCUAGAGCCAUUGUCAGAGUUGUAUAUGCCCACCAUUAGUGAAUAUCACGAGAGUUUGGAUACUGGCAAAUCCAACAACUCUAGCAAUCAUCUUUCCUUUCUGUAUCCUUUGCCUCAUCAUUUUCGAAGUAUGGAGUGCAUCCGAAAGGCCGUAAUUUGUGAGAGGAUUGACAAUAAAGAAAUACGAUGGGGAAGCACACUGACCAGUCGAGGAGAGAUUUUUUUUUCCAAAAUUUUAGGAGUGGUCUUUAUGAGUCCAAAAACUUCUACUAAAGAAGAAUCUCGCGAGUUAGCUUCCGCAGUCAAUUCUGCUACAAAAGAUUACCAUCGCCCAAACUCUAUCUAUAGAGCUCUUUGCGAGGUUUGGUGUCCAGAGACCAACACUUUUGUGAUUGCCAAUGUUGAAAUUGGCAUUUCUCCUUGGGACAUCGGCGAGAUAAGUGGGCUACCAUAGGUCAUUACUAUGAGGAUGUAGUCCCAAGCGUUUCAGAGUUGACGGGUCAUUUUUCCAAGUCUUAUCUGUACCUCUUUAAUGUUUUCGUAUUGGUCGCCAAUGCGAAUGAAUCUGAUUGGUUACUCAUGAAAAUUGGAUUGAUUUUUCAUUUCGCGAGAAUUGUUAUGUCCAUAAUCCUCGACAACACAAAAAUUAUAAGAAUGCUAUGAAUUUAAAUCCAUUCAAGAGGCGUCAUGACAGAGCAUCGAAGGAAAAAUGGAGGCCCGUGGUGGUAGUUAAACCGAGAGAUAUUUCUUGUAGGGAUCUACGUCAUUGGAGUAAUUUGCUAGUAUUUUUGCCUCUUGAAGAAGAGGAAUUAGAGUAUCACUUUAUCUCUCCCUGUGGGUUUGUCGCUUCGUUCUUCUAUCUAGAAACGAAUGUAUAAGAGUUGGGAAUUUUAAAGCAUCUUCUAGGAUGGAAGGUGAGUACAUUUAUAGCCUGGUUCCAUUAUAUUAGCGAGCAUUUAUAGAGGAAUUACACGAACAUCUAAUCAUUAGACAAACUCAUACCUUGGCUCGAUUUCAUAUUCAUUUCUUGGACAUUUUCUUUAUGCUUGGGCUGCAACUUAUUUUCUCCAAGGUGUUUAUACCAUAUGGACAAAAGUUAUUCACGUCUACAAUCCGAAGAUAUGCUAGCACUCUAAAUGCUAUUCAAUCUUAGGAGAAAAAUGUUGUUGAUUGUUGAGACAUUAUUCGUAGAACGAUGGAUGCCAAUGACUUUUGUUGGAAUCCAUUACCCUCAUCGUCUCAUCCUAAUGUGCGUGUGGAUGACCAAUCAAGGUCUGCAGAUACUUCAGAAUUCAUGAUGAGUAUUCGAUUUGGAUUUUUUUCUUAUCGCCGAGGAAAUUCACCAAGAAAGUUGGACAUUCCUCCAAUGGCGACAUGUAUCUCGUUUGGUUGUCUUUGACUCGGAUGAAAAGUGGGCUUGUAUUUCACAUUCCAGAGUACGUGAGGGAUACUCAUCAAAAUGUUGAUGUUGAGUACUAUGCUUGGUAGAAUAGCCUAGAGUUGCCAAUCUUGAUCAAGAUCCAAGUACAGGUCUUAUCUUCUAGCAGAGGAAUAAAAUAAAAGUGAAGAAAAUAUGUGGAAAGAUUAGCAGGGGAAUUGAAUUGAUUAAAGUAAAGAAAUUGAAGAGAGGUUCGCAGAGGAAUUAAUAUUUUAUUAAAGACGAUAUGUGGAGAAAAUACAAGAAUUCAGCAAUUAAACUUCACCUAAACUAAAUGAAAAGCUACAUGUUUAUACGGAUACACCAAACCCUAGAAAUAUCAUAGAGAUAGAAAUAACAUAAAAAAUAAUGUGGAAUAAAGUAAAUAAUAUUUUUCCAACAAAAUCACGUGAAAAAUAAGGAAUCUAUAUUUCCAAUAAAAUCACGUGAAAAUAAGGAAACAAUAUUUUUCAAAAAAUCGAGCCUAAUUUGGGGUGCAAAAUCUAAUAAUAUAAAGAAUAAUGACAAUGUCCUUAAUUUUAAGAAGUUUACAAUUUUAUUUUAUUUUAUUUUUUUGCACGGAUGCCACUUUUUUUUUUUUUUUUUUUUUUUUUCCUUUUCCACGGAAAGUUAAUUCAUUAAUGAAAUUAAAACUUAAAAAAUAUGAUAUUUGGUAGUUUUCUUGGUUAUGGUUGGUACUCCUCCAGCCAGCCUUACACAGAAAACAUAAAAUUCUCAAUAAAAUCAUUUUCAAUUUAGUUUGACCUAUCCCACUUGAUAAAAAAGUUGUUUAGCUUAUUUCACUGCAAGUCAUUUUCUAGCAAGUUGGUGCUUAAUUUUAACUUUUUAUCCAAACAUGUUUAUUCUCACAAUCUAACUUAUUCAUUGGACAAGAUAUACGGUAGAUGACUUUACCCAAGUAGUUUCAAUCUUGCUGAUUGCUACUUGUGCUUUUAAUCACACUCAUGCUAAACGCUGACUCAUAAGCAACAAGUGCUUGCCAUGCUCGUAUCCAUGUGCUAUAGGGAUAUAUCAGGGUAAAGUCAAAUGUUUACUUAGUGAUCUGCCGUAUAUCAAGUCCAAUGAACAAGUUAGAUUGUAAGAAUAUACGUAUUUGGUUAAAAAAUUAAAAUUAAUUAUCGACUUACAAGUAAACUACUUGCAAUGAAAUAAGCUAAACAACUUUUAAUUAAGUGAGAUAGACCAAACCAAAUUGAACAGGUUUUAAUUGAAAUUUUUAAAAUUUCUAUGUGUAAGUCUGGCCGGUGGAAAGCCAACCAUUUUAGUCCAGUUAUGUUUUCUCUAAAGUAUGUGGCUUGCUUCAAAAGAAAAAAUAAAAGUGCCAUUCGUUAAAAAAAAAAAGAAAAAAGAAAAAAAGAAAAAGAAAAACUGCAAGUUUCUUCAAAGGGUAAUUGGUGCAAAACGUCCAUACCUUUCAAGAUUAUUGUGGAAAACGUCCAUAACUUUUAUUUUUUGGCAUUUUGUCUAUAAUUUCAACCUUCCGUUGCGCUGAAGAUCCUUUUCAUUGUUUUGGAAUGUAAAAUGACAAUUAUACCUUCUUAUUUAAAACAAAAAAAAAAUAAAAAAAGAGGAAAAUUUAGAAUAAGUUGCAACCCUACCCCUAAACUUUUAAAAAAGUGCAAAUGAGUCCCCAAUACUUAAAAUAUUGAAAAUAACAAAAAAAAAAACACUUUCUCUUCUCUUCCUCCUCGGUCCCCUGCCUCCUUUCAAGCCAAAAAAUUCCGGCCAACCACUGGAUCUCCAUACCAUCGGAAAGCCCUCACUCCCCUCUACACAUACUACCCAAUAGUCUUCCAUUAAUUUCAUUCUAAUGGCACAAAUUUUCCUUCGCGCUGGUUAGGUUUCAUUUCUCAGUUUCUGAAUGAAUAACCAUGUCCAGCGACAAUAGGGAAGACGCAUAUGCUCAUUGGAUGCUCCAUGAGGUGUAGGUACCUCAGGUGGUGGUUCGUGAUCAUGGGUCCCACCACCAGCAUAAAAAAAAUCGCCUGAAAAUUGCACAGCGACUGUGUUCGAAGCUCACCCGACUGGGUUUGAUUGUGUGCAUUAAAGGAUGUUUGAGGACCAUGGACAGGGACGUUUUAUUGUAUAGAAUCGAUCUGGAGGUUGUGUAGGGCAUGGGUGUCGUCGGAAAGAUUCCAGCCAUUGUUUGUUGCGUGAGUAACCUGUUUUGGCUUGAAUUUUCAGGCAAAUUAAUUGGAGUUAUGGCCGGAUCUUGGGUGGGUUGCGAAGAGGGAAGUGAGGGCUGUAAGAUGGGAUAUUAGUCCGGCAAAAAUGGUGGUUGUGUAGGGCAUGGGUAUCAUCGGAAUUGAAGAUUCCAACCACUGUUUGUUGCGUGGGUAACCUAUUUUGGCUUGAAUUUUUGGCCAAAUUGAUUGGAGUUAUGGCUGGAUCUUGGGUAGGUUACGAAGAGUGAAGUGUGGGCUUCAAGAUGGUAUAUUGGACUUGUGCCCAAGAUGGCCAGAGGGUGGAGUUUUGGUGGUCCAUAAGUGGUGGUUCUAAAAUUUUAGUUGUGAUGGAUUAAGGGAGUAUUGGAGACUCAAUUGCACUUUUUUAAAAAUUUAGGGAUAGGGUUGCAAUUUGUUCUAAAUUUCUCUCUCUCUCUCUCUCUCUCUCUCUCUCUCUCUCUCUUUUGGUUUUUUUGUUUUAAAUAAGAGGGUAUAAUUGCCAUUUUACGUUCCAAAACAGUGAAAAGAACUUUCAGCGCAACGAAAGGUUGAAAUAAGGGCAAAAAAGCCAAAAAAAAUGAAAGGUAUGGACAUUUUUCACAAUAAUCUCGAAAGAUAGUCAAUUACCCUUUCUUAAAAGUAAGGACACUGUCAUCAUUGUUUCUAUGUUAAUAAAAGACUCUAAAUCCAAAGUCCUAUAUCUCGUUCACUAAUAAAAAAUAAUAAUUAUUAUACCAGAUCUCUAAGAUGUAAACACAAUUAUCAUCGAAAUUUUGGGACCUUUAUGUAUUAAUUUCUUUUGUACAAUUCCUAUGGGAAAAUGAUAACUGCACAAUAUACAAUAUGAGGUCUAUAUGAUAUAAAAAAUGCACCUUUAUUCCAAAUCAAAAAGGACAACUAAGGAAAUGCUUCUGUUUGACAAUUAGAAACAAAGAGCCUAUUGACCUACAGAAUAGCACAAUUGUUUCCUGUUUUAUCAGAGUUAUAAAAAUUACAUGUUUUUAUGAAUUGAUAGUAAGAUAGUGACAAUAAUAAAAUAAGCAAGACCAAAAUAAGAACACUAACUUUAUGUGGAAACCCAAGUAGGAAAAAACCAUAGGUAGAGGAGGAAAAAUCUACUAUAAUCAAUGGUAGUUGUGUUUACAACAAGAUCUCAAUGCUCUCAACUAAGAUCUAAAACUCUCAAGAUAUCGCAUGAAUGUUAUGAGAAUAAUACGAACCAUAACUUUAUUUAUAUAUAUAUAUAUAUAUAUAGAAACACAUCAAAACGCAAAAUGAGCCUGGGCUGGAUAACCCUAUCGCUUGAGCAACAGGUGAGCGAUAACCCCACCGCUCGAGAGCUAGGUAGGAAAUCUCUAUAGAAAAUAUAUAGGUGCCACUCAAGCAGGCAACUAACGGAAGGUAGCAAAAAUGCAGCGACUUUUCUUCCCAGUCUAUAAUUUUGAUUUCUUCAAGAUCACUUCAAUUAGGGCUCCAAUACCACUAGAAUUUGGGUCACAUUACUACAAAUCUACAUGCACACCUUGAACAAAAUUCAAAAAACACAUUUUCAAAGUGAACAACACUCUUCCUUUUCCAAACAAGCCCUAAUGGGCUAGAUCAAUAAUAAACACCAACUAAGUUUAAGCAUUGCUCAACUUAACACUGAGAAGUGGUUUUGUCAUAAUAUCAGGAGGAUUAUCCUUGGUAUCAACCUUGCUCACUACAAUAUCACCUAGAGCAAUCACUUUACGCAAAAAAUGAGACCUCACAUCAAUAUGUUUAUUCCUCUUGAAACAUCUGAUCCUUAGUUAGAAAAAACACUCUGACUAUCACAAUACACUGUAAAAAUCUGCAAGUCUUCAUUGAUUUCACCAAUCAAUCCUCUUAACUACAUAGCCUCCUUAUAUGCCUCUGUAAUGACCACAUACCGGCCUCUAUUUUAAACAAAACUAUUGUAUUCUACAAAAUAGCUUUUCAACUGAUAACACAAUAUCCAAUGGUGAACACAUACCCUGUAAGUGAUCUCAUCUUAUCAAGAUUCCCUACAUAAUUUAAGGGCCUGUUUGGGAGCGAUUUUUUCACCCAAAAAGUUGAUUUUUUGACCGUUAUUUCACUAUUUCAUCCAUCAUAUUUGACUUCUUCUCUCACAGGUGGACCCCACUUUUAUCCUAACGGUCAAAAAAUCAAUUCUCAAAAUCACUCCCAAACAGGCUUUAAAUCAACAUAUCCAAUGACUCCAUCUACAUAUCUACCAAAAUGCACGCAAACAUUAGUAGAGACGUUUAGGUAUUUGAAUAUCCAUUGCAUUGUUUUCAAAUGUUCCUUGUUAGAAUUUUCCAUGUACCUACUAAUUGCAUUGAUUGCAUGUGCCAAUUUUGGUUUUGUACAAAUAAUAGUAUACAUAAGUGAACCAACUACUCUGGAAUAAGUAACUUGAGACAUAUAUCGAUGUUUUUAUCUAAUUGAGGACACAAUGCAGAUAAUAAUUUAAAGCGGACAGUUAACGGAAUACUAAUAGCCUUAACAUUCAGCAUAUUGAACAUUUGAAGCAUUUUUUUAAUGUAUCAUUUCUGACUCAAAUAUAAUCUGUUAGCCUUUUUAACCCUCAAAAUUUUCAUGCCAAGAAUUUUCUUUGUUGCACCUAAAUCUUUCAUCUCAAACUGCUUACUAAGUUGAACUUUCACCUUUCUGACCUCUACUUUGUCUUUGGCUGUAAUGAGCAUGUCAUCAACAUAUAAUAGCAAAUAUGUGAUGAUCUACCAUCUUCCUUUCUAAAGUACACACAACUAUCAUAAUUACUAUUAAUAAAACUAUGAGAAUUCAUGAAUGAACCGAACCUUUUAUACCACUACCUUGGUGACUGCUUUAAUCCAUACAAAAACUUUUUCAAUAAGCAUACAUUGUCUUCCUUUCCAGAAACUAUAAAACUCUCUAGUUGUUAAAUGUAAAUGUUCUCCUCAAAUUCUCCAUGCAAGAAUGCUGUCUUGACAUUUUUUUCUACUCAAACUCCAAAACAUUCUUGGCCACUAUACAAAGUAAAGUCCGAAUUGAGCUUUGUUUUACAAUCGAUAAAAACACAUCUGUCAAAUCAACAUUUGAAAUCUGACUAUAACGCUUUGCUACCUAUCUGGCCUUAUACUUAGUAUCUUCAAUCCCUAAUGUCCCUUCCUUUUUUUGAACACCCACUUGCGGUGAACAAAUCUUUUUUCUAUAGGUAGUUUCACCAAGUCUUAAGUAUUGUUUUUAUUCAAUGAUUCUAUCUCCUCCUAUAUACCAAUCAACAAUUCGCUAGAAUUACUGCAACUGACUACUUUGAAUAUGUAAAAGGUUUCUCAUUAGAGUCAAUAUCUUCAGCCACAUUCAAUGCAUAAGCUACCAAAUCUACCUCUCCAUACCUUAAUGGAGGUCUAAUCUAUCUGCGAGAUCUAUCCUUAACAAUUGAAUACUAUGGUGUUAACAUUGAUGUAGGCAAAGUAUGUAACAUAUUACUAUCUGUCAAUUAUGGACUAAAUUGCUUUGUAGUAGAUUGUUUUGAAACAUCUGAUUGUUCCUAUGGACCAAUUUCCAACCCCAUUUGAGUUGAAUGAUUCUAUUCAUCUGUUUUAUUAGAAUCCCCACGAGGUGGACCAUGAAACGUAGUAAGUUUAUCAAAUGCUACAUCUGUAUUAAUUACCACCUUUCUUGUUUCAAGACACAACAAUUUAUACCCCUUCAUACCUAAUUUAUACCCAAAAAUGAUAUACUUUCUAGAUCUAGGCUCCAACUUCCCAUUAUCCACAUGAACAUAAGGAAAAUACCCAAAAAUGUUCAAAUCAGAAUAACAAGAAUGUUUACCGGACCAUCUUUUUCAAUGACAGUUGAGGAUGAGCGAAUAAUAAGAAAACAAGUUGUGGCAGUAGCAUCAGCCCAAAAAGUCUUAAGCAACCAUCAGAAUUUGAAAGCAUACAACAAACAUUUUUCCAUCAAAGUUCUACUCAUCUAGUCUACUACACCAUUCUAUUGAGUUCAUCUGAACAAAACUCCAACCUAUUAUCUGUGAGUAAAUGUUUAACCUACAUUCCAGUCUGCUUUUCUAUCAUUAUUUUCCACUCUUUGAAUUUUCCCAAAUAUAUUACUCUUCUGUUUCAAGAAGAGUACACAAACUUUCUCGGAGAAAUCAUUAAUCACUGUCAACAGAUAAUAAGUACCUCUUCUUGAAGGCACCAUAGCCGGUCCCCAAAGAUUUGAAUGGAUAUAUUCAAGUAUUCCCUUCGUGUUGUGUCUUCCUAUAGUGAAUCUGAUUCUUCUCUAUUUACCAAAGACACAAAACUUAUAAAAUUUCAUCUUACCGGUCUUUUACCCAUCAUGAAGUCCCCUCCUACUCAAUUAUGCCAUACCAUUCUUACUUAUAUACCUAAGUCAUAUAUGCCAAAAUUUAUCAAUUUCCUCAUCAGUCAAAGAAAAAGUAAAAAUUGUUAUAUUUCCUGUAAUUGUAAAACCCUACAAAAUGUACAACCAUGUAGAGUUUUUUUAUCCUUUUAUGAUAGUAAGAGAACCUUGACAUACUUUCAAAAGUCUACAUUCACCAGUGUAUUUAUGACAUUUUGAGUCAAGUGAAUUCAAAGAUAUGAGAUUUCCUUCAGUUCUGGAACGUGCUUGAUUUCUGUAAAUAUUCUGAUAGCACCAACAAAUAUUCUAAUUUUGACUAUAUAAAUUCUAUCAAUUUGGCAAGGCAAGUUGCUUUCCAUAAUCACUAUAUCUCUCGGAACUCUUUUAGAUAUAGUAAACCAAUUCUAUUGGGACACAUAUAGAAAGUAGAUAUCGAGUCAAGAACCCAUUCCUCACAAAGUUGUAAAUCUAUUCAAAAAUCACAAGAUGUCCUCCUUUAUUUUGCCCAUUUUCCACAACAUCAGCCUUAGCAGUGUUAACAGGUUGUUUUCCCUUUUUAGUAGCACCAGCAUCAUUAUUUCUGUUUUCAACGAAUAACAAUCAACUUUGAUAUGUCCAUUCUUCUUACAGUAAUGACAUACUUUCUUUGGAUGUCUAAAUUUCGAUCUGCCCCUCAUAUUUUUACUAAGAUUCCUAUCUUGAUUAUUCACAAUAACAAUCAGGCCUUCAACCUAACUCCCAAAUCCUCUAGAAAGAUGUCUCUUCUUCUCUAUAGAUAGUAAAGUAUCAUAGACCUCUUCCACAGUAAGAGUAUCCCAACUAUAGAGAAUAGUUCCUCUAAACAUCACAUAUAAUGGUGACAACGAGCACAACAACAUCAAAGCCAAGUCCUUCUCAUCAUACUUAACCUCUAAUGUCUCCAAUUGGACACAAUUUCUUGGAACAUAAAUAAGUGAUCAUCCAAUGAUGCUUAUUCGGACAUCUGGUGAGAAUACAAAUGUUGUUUUAAGUGUAACUUGCUGAUUAAGCUCUUUGUCAUACAAAGUUGCUCCAACUUCAACCAUAACAUAGCGGCACUUUCUCUAUUCGAACAUUUGGAGGGAUUUGAUUUUAUAGAUGUAGCUGAAUUUUGGAUUGGGCUUUCUGAUCCCUACAUCGUUGUUCAUCCUGCAUCCAGGUUGAAUGCAUUUUAUCAAAGCCAAGCAAGAAUUUCUCCAAAUCUAUUUGUGCGAGAACUCAUCUCAUCUUUACUUGUCGUAAAGUAAAUUUCGUGUUCUAAUCCAAUAACAAAAUAUCAUAUUUCAUCAUUGCCAUGCGAACUAAUCAACCUUGCUCUGAUACCAUUUGUUAUGAAUUGAUUGCAAGAUAAUAACAAUUAUGAAAUAAGCAAGAAUAAAAUUAGAACACCAACAUUUAUGUAGAAACUCAAGAUGUGGAAAAAUCACAGGCAGAUGAGAAGAAAUCUACUAUAAUCAAUAGUAAUUAUGUUUACAACAAGAUCUCAAUACUCUCAACUAAGAUUUACAGCUCUCAAUAUGUGUAUAAAUGUUAUGGGAAAAAUAUGAGUCGUAACUUAUAUAUAUGAAAUCCUAGAAGUCAAGUUAUAGAUGAGAAUAGAAGUCCAAAAAUGCAUCAAAAUGAGAAAUGAACCUAGGCCGGAUAACCCUAUCGCUCCAGUGACAGGCGGGCGGUAGCCCUGCCACUCAAGCUUCAAGUGAGCAACAAGUCUCUGUAGAAAAUAUGUAGGUACCGUUUGAUAAGUAAGCUAGUAAAAAUGCAGUGACUUUUCUUCACAGUCCAUAAUUUUGAUCUCUUCAAAACCACUUCAACUAAGAUUCCAAUACCUACUAGAAUUUAACUCAUGUGUUGUCCGAGACAAAAACCGAUCGACAUCUUAAGGUCAAUGAGAAGGAAAAUAAAAAAGAACAUAGGAAGAAGAGAUGAAAUUGCAAGUGGAUUUACGGUUUGAAACAAGCAAUGUUUUAUAUUCUCAUUUUUAAUCUUGGGUCCAGGCCUAAAUUGAUUUUUGGCUAGGUAAACUUAUUUGGGCAGGGUAUAUUAAAAAUAGGUCAGAGGCUUUUAGGAUUUUUUUUUUUCAAUUAGACUGAAUUGGGAAAUCUAUUUAUUGUUUAAGUUAGUAAAUUUUCUAAUUUUUUCAAUCUAUAAAUUAUAGAAAAUAGGUCUGGUUCAAGAGUUCCAGAUCCAAUUAAAUUUUCUAUUGUUCCGAUUAAAUUAUCUACCUCUAAUUACUAUGGAAAUUGUUACAAAAGGCUAGAGGCUAUUGUUGCUACUCGAAUUUCAAUAAUAACUAAGUCCCUACAACUUACUCAUAGCCCAAUAAAGAUCAACCAAUACCACCAAGGGGAUCAUUGUUGUGCAAUUAAUUCUUUUCGGUAAAAAUCACAAUGUCUCUACAAGAUCUUAUGGGUUUGUUGCACAAAUUUUAUUAAAAUUAUUUUUCUCUGAAAACCAUUUUCAACCACAUAUUCGGUGAUAUUCACAAUUUCUUUUUUCACUUUUCGACCACACAUUUUCAUUUAGAAAAUUCAUGUCAAAUUUAGAAAUAAUUCUCAGUGACGGGAAAAUCCAACUGCAACCACAUAUAAUAUAGACAAUUCUACAAUUUUUAGAUAAAAUUGAAGAAACUAAAUACAAGCCUUUUAGCAAUUUUGAAUUAUGCUAGACAUUUUAGUAAACAUUUAGGAGAGGAAGUAGAAUCACUGUAUAGUAGAUUGUCUAGCAAAGGACAAAGAUAUUUUAAUCAAUCAAAUGUAGAGCUAGUUAAAAAGAUAACAGAGGAAGUUAGAAAUUUACUGCCAUUAGAAUUACUUUUUGAUAAUAAAUAUAAAAUAAUAGAAACAGAUAGAUGUGAAUUAGGAUUGGGAGGAAUUUUAUAUUCCAAACCAAAUAAAUAUAGCGAUAAAAAAGAAGAAAAGAUUUAUAGAUAUGCCAAUGGAAAAUAUAAAAUAAAAGGAAAACACUUCACUAGUUUAGAUAAUGAAAUAAUGACCACCAUCUAUAGUAUAGAAAGCUUUAAUUAUUCUUAAAUACUGAAUUUAAAAUUAGGACGGAUUGUGAAGUUAUAGUAACAUUUAUUAAAAAGACAAAUUUUGAUAAAAUAAGACAUAAAAGAUGAUUAAAAUUAUAUGAGAUAUUGAAUAGCUAUAAAAUCAAUAUUAAACGCAUAUACAGGAAAAAUUAUAUAUUGAUAGAUAAUUUAAGUAGACAAGUUAUUAAUUUACUAACCCAUUAUUUUCAUGGUGCAAAAGGACCAGAUGAUGAUGAACUUUGAGGAUGUCACUCUAAGAGAGACCCCACAAGGAUCUGAUAUCUAAUUCAAAGGAAAUAAUUUAGAAAGACUUCCAAAAAGGGAGCGUUGUCUACUAGAUAAUCUUUGGAUGACACAUAACUCUAAGCAAAAAUUAGAUUGCAAUAAUGCCCUAACUAAUUAUUUUAGAUAGCUUCAUAAUCAAGUAAAAAGAAAAAAAAUUUAGUUUCAUUGCAGUAAUUAAGGAUAAAAAUCUAGGCAUAAAUAAUUAUUGGCCAAAAGUAUUUCAAUAAGUAGAAAGAUUUCCAAAACCCUUUUUCAAAGGAUUUUACAAAUUAGAAGAAGUUUUAAAUUUCUGUAGAAAAAUGAUAGGAUUUAAUUUUUAUAAAUUUGUAAGAGUUAGACAGGGUAUGACCAUACAAAACGUUACUUCCCAACCAUCAUCUUCAUCUUUAUCAAUGCAACUUUUUGAUAUUUGUGAAACUAUGACCAAGGUGGUUAAAAUUUUGAAUCCUAGAAAGCAUUCAUUAGAAAAAAAAUGCUACAAAUCCUUCAAGAUGAAGUCUCUUCAUCUCAACGGGCCAUUUGUAAAUAUCAAAACAAAAUUUUUUACCGACAAAAUAGCUUAAAAAGACUAAGUUCUAAGAAUAUUUAUGAAAGACCCAUUUCCAAAGAUAUUGCUUCUAUAAGUAGAAAUUACUCUUAUAAAAUAGAAAAACUUAUUGAAUUAACUGACUCUACAACAGAAGGGACAAGAAAAGACUUUAUAUGAGUUAUAACAGAAAAUUGACAUUGUGCCAACAUUGUUCGAGAUUAUAUAAAGAAAUCAAUCGUACGUAAGAUAAUUGAUUUUUCUUAAUUCUGAGCUACUAUCACAACGAAAAUCGAUAUUUUCUUAAACAUGGCCCCAAAUAUGAUUCAUCUACUAAAAAUUCAACUUUUUUUAGACACAAUUAUGCUACAAUUUCCUUUGACUAUGCAAUCUUUGAAGAUGACGACUUUUUUUAUCGAGCCUUAUGGUUUGGCAUGACAGACACUAUAUAGUUUUAAAUAUAUCUUUCGUAUUUUUUCCACCUAGACUUAAACAGAUUCUUGAUCAGCUAAAAAAUCACCCUUUGAUGAUCCAAUUCAUUUCCAGACCACCUCUUGUAAAUAAUGGUAUAGUAAUUACAGUUUAUCAUUAUAUUUUAAUAUACGAAUGAGCUAAAAGAUUUAGACAUUAUUCGAAGACAAAUACUAAAGUAAAAAUUAGACAAAUUGAUUAUAAAAGACAAAUCUUAGAAAUCAUGACGAUGAUAGAAGUUCAAAAUAAUAAUUCAAGAGCUAAUUGUAGCUCCAGAGCAAAAUAAUGAAUAUAAAAAGCAUUCGGAUUCUCUUUCAAAAGAAGUGCAUUGAGAGCAUUGUACUCACCUCAUAUAUUACUUGCCCUAUCAUAACCUUGACCUCUAAACUAAAUAUACUUAAGUUAAAUCUAGAGAAUAAGUGAUUAAUAGAAUCCUUAAGUGAGAGAGAGAUGUGGUACUAUAGAUAGUUAAACUCAAAUAAAACGUUCCAUUAUUUGUCCUUUCUGAUUCACAUAACGUAGAACAAUUGACAUUUGCUCCUUCAUUGAUACAUUAUGAGAUUCAUCAACAAGAAUGAAAAAUAACCCAUUACCAAUAUCCUUCACAAUAAAAUUAAGUGUUUCAAAUGCAAUAGCAUUUACAAUAUCUUUUUGAAUUUUAGGUGAUAUUAACUGAAGAUUUUCGUGAGCAUUCCUCAAAGAGACAUCCUUAAUAUCAUUAUUAUAAUCACAUAACCACUGUAAUAGUUCAAGAAAAUUUCUUUGAUUUCUUGAAUCUCCAAAUUUGUUAUGUCCACGAAAUGAAAGCCCUUGUCAUAGAAACAAUCGGACACAGCCAUUUGACGCAUUCAAAAGAAUUUGAUACUCAUCUUUUGUUCAUUUUGACUUCUUAAAGAGAACACAAUCAAUAUUUUGUUCCUAAUUCACAAAGGCCUCAUACUUAAUCCGCGCUCGGUUAUGUGCACUACAAUUUUCCCAACAGCAGUUUGAAGCCUUCCUUUCUUUUUCUAGUUGGAGAAUCCUCCAUCAACAAAAGAAUCACACCCACCAUGUUCUUCACUAUUUGGGUUGAAAAGAUAACAAUAAAAGAAAAAAUAUGACAUCUUUUGCUAUAAUGUAUUCCAACCAAUCAGGACAGUUAUUAAACCAAGAAGUUUUUAAUCACCGUAACAACAAAUCUCCAAAUUCUUUCCAUGGACACAAGUGAUUCCAAGCUAACAUGGACCCCUUUGUACGUAUACUCUUCAAAUUUCAUCCUAAACACUAACAUUAUAAUUCCCAAUUUGAGUUCUUAAUCUAAGAUCCGAAGGCAAAUGUGCUAAAUAAAUUUUAUCUCGAACAUUUCUUUGACUCCUAGUCUCUGAUUCUUCUGAACAUCUUUUUUUUUUUUUUUUGAACACUCGUUUCGACAAUAAUUUGGUCUCCGCUUGAACAUACGGAUUUUUGUUUAAAAUAUUUCUCCAUGACUGUUAAAAAAAAAUCAAUACAUAGAUAAAUAAAUAUCAUAUUUCAUUUUUCAUCAAAACAUAACAUUAAAUUCAUAAUAAAGAGCAAUUAAUUUCAUAAACAAUUUUAAAUCACCAAGUUAGAGAAAGCCAAUACUUACUUGGAAUUGGAAUUGAGAUUUGUAAUGCCCUGAACUCUUUUUCAUUAUUAUUGUUAUUUUUAAAUAAAAAUGAAAAAGAGUUCGGGGCGUUACAGAAUGGUAUCAGAGCACGACUUUAGCCGAUUCUAUAGACUUGUCAUUUAUUUAGAAAAAAUAGCAUAUAUUUUUUUUAAUCUUGUUAUGUGCUUUAUGUGUAUAACUUUUUUUUUUCCUUAGAAUGAUAAUUUAUUUUAUUUUGAAGACAUAGUGGUCUGUGUGUUAAAAAAAAUGAUGCUGCCAUUUUUUUUUCGAACCAAUAGUUAGUAAAUUUUCGAAAAAGACGAGGAAAACUUUUGUUGAUUUUUUUCUGUGUCAACGAAGCCAAGGUUUCUGCAGUUGGAUUCUAAAUAAUUUUCCUUUCCUUGCUCAAUAUUUUGGCUAUUGGUUUGGUCAAUUGGUCUAGAGUUUUUAUGCUAUUCUGCCGUCGAUAUAAAAUCCGAUAAUAAGACCAACGAAGAUAAAAGAUUCUGCAGCAUUAUUGAGCUAUUUACCAAAUUUACAUGCACUAAUUAAUUAAUGGUUUGUGUUUAACCAAUGUGGCAGUGAUUUAUAUGUUAAAGUCAUCAUUCAUUCAAUUUCUAUCCUGUCAUUUGCGUUUAUCAUUAGUAAAGUAUGCCUAGAUCCAUGGAAGCAUGCCUCUGUUGCAAACUUAAAGUAGUUAAUAUGACAGCCAUUCACGUUUAAAUGAAGUAAACUGAAAAUAUGCCAGGACAUCGAAAGACUUUUAUAUUGAGUAAAUUCUUGCUAAAAAAAAUGAUGGUAUUAGCAUGAACACCGUUGCACUUUGUUACAAGCAUGGAUUACGGUUUCAUAGUUUUAAAGGAAAUGAUUAUUAAUAUUUUAUUAGUUACCUGCCAAUAAGUGUCUACUUGCUAUUUUAUUAUAUUUUAUACAUCAUGAGAUUUUUAUUAAACAAGUAUUGAAGUAAGAUCCAGGCUCGUGGCAUUAGCGCUCGUCAAUCUACUACCGUCCGAUGAAUCCAAGGUAUGAACGAAAUGUUAUGUUUAAGCUUAAUUUCAAGCAUGAUUUAUUAAUCAUUUAAGCUUGAUACGAUGAAAUGCUUAUAAUGUUAGAAAGAAAUGUAUUACGCAAGUUAUUAUUUUUGUACAUAAAGAUACGAUGGUUAGUCAUUUUAUUUAAAAUUACAAGAGCAGAAUGCAUAAGUUGAUUUAUAAAGAUAGAGCAUAAUUGAAUGUUUAUGUGAUAUACAUGGAUAGAACUUAUCAAGACACUAGAAAGAAGAGAAAUAGAAGUCACGUAUCGAGAGCUUUUGGAUUAAAUAAGAUAAUUUCGAGGACGAAAUUAAUUUAAGGGAGAAGGGAUGUAACACCCCUCAUUUUUUUACUAUGUGAACCUGAACUUAUUAUUUAGCAAAUGAAAAUGUGAAGAUUUGUCAUUACAUUAGAAGUCCAAAGUUGAAGUGGUAGACUUGACUCACGUAUUCGUAUAAAUAAUUUAUUUGCUUACGAGUUAUGAGCACUUUUAGAAAAUUAUUUGAAUAAAAUAUUUAAGUAUUUUUAAAGUUGAUGAAAAUAUACUGAUAUUAUACUCAUUUUGUAGCUCGUGUUAAACAAUAUAAUUUGAGCUUCAGAAAAAAUAAUUUCGAGAUAGUUAUGCCCAAGUUAUUCUAAUAGAAAGAAAAUUAUCAUUCUCAAAUAUUAUAUUAAUACAUUUAUAAUAUAAAAUAAUAACCAAAUGAAUAGUUUCAUUGUAUGGUUACGUAAUGUCAUCCACUCUAAUUGAUUUAGAAAUUUAUAAUACAUUCCAUAACCAUGACAUUAACUCUAAUUAAACGUGGAGGUGUCCUUUCAAAUUUAUAACCGUAACCAUCCCGUUCACUUUAAUUGAUUUUCAAUUAAAUCAUAGUUGUUUAAUUACAUUAAUCCUCAAUUAAUGAUCAGGUGGCUUUUCAAUUUGUAACCGUAAUCAUAAACGUCCACUUAUGGUGGUUUAACUCCAUUAUCCUUCCAUUAACUUGAAAUGCCUUUUGAUGUUAAGUAAGUUACGUGUGUGGAAUAUAUAAAUAGGUGUAUUUGAGAUGAAAAUUAUAUUCUACAACAAUAGUAUAUUGUACACUCCACACCACUAAUAUUUUUAGAAUUUAAUAGAGUAUAAUAUUUAUAUCUUUUCACAAAGUCAGUUUCAAGUAAAUUCGUGGAUAUCAAAUUGGGGUAAGAAUACAUGGUGCAAGUGGUAAAUUCUUAAUCCUUGAUAUAUAUGUAAAUUUUGGCAUGAGAUACUUUAAGGCCUUCGGGUCGAAUGCUAUGUUAAAUCCUUCGGGAUAGACCGUUAGGUCAAAGAGAAGAAGUUAAAUCCUUCGGGAUAGACCUUCAGGUCAAAGAAAAAAAAUUAAAUCCUAUGGGAUAUGGGGAUUCUUAAGAAAUUCCUAAGAAAUGUCGGUAUGUUAUGCUAUUUUUAUAUUUAUAUCAUGUGUAAAAGGAUGUGCACGUAUUCUUAUUGAGUGUUUUCAAAAUACUCACUCUUACAACAUUUUCAGAUAAGAACGGGUCAUGAGGACGCGUGGAAGAUUGACGGAGCGAUGCUAAUGUGGUCGUCAAGUAAAAUUUCUAGAAAAGACAAUCGUCAAUUUAUAUAAAGAAUAUCUUUGUGUUAAUAUUUAUGCACAAUAUUUAUUAUGUUGUUUAAUAAUUUGAAAUUGAAUAUUUUCGAUAUAUUUCCGCUUAAAUUAGAUAGAGAAAAGUUUUGGUAGCACCUUGAGCUCAUUUUUAUUUAAAAAUAACAAUAAUAAUGGAAAAGAGUUCGGGGCGUUACAAGAUUUGACUUUCGAGAAUGGUUCUAAUAUUUCCAGCUCUGUAGUUGUAGCUCUUGUAUCUUGUAUUUGUUUUGUUGAAUAAUUAUUUUUAGUCAUCCACUACAUUGAAACUAUAAUUUAAACAGUUGAUUGUUCCUAAUUUCAAAUAUUAGACUUCACAAUAUUUUAAAAUUUAAACAAUUGAUCGUUCCCAAAUUGUAAAAAAUCAGUUCCAUACUUCCAUUAUUUCAUACCAAAUCAGUGAAUAUUUUCAUCCAACAUUUUCAAUUCAUCAAUUUUAGACAUGCAAAUCCAAACCCUACAUAAAUUUUUCACUGUAGUCGAGUAGCAGUAAGCUACUAACCUAUAGGCUAUAACAGGGACUGGAGAACGGCUGGGUGGAAGGGGUUUUACUUUUAUUUGAUUUGUGUACUGUAAGUAAUAAGGAUGAUGUGUCGAUGGCGAAGAGAAAACUGGCAAAGACGAGAGCUAGAGAAGAGAGACGACUGAUGAGUCACGUUUGGCGGUACGGGAAAAUGGGAUUUGGCCAUUUGGGAAUAUUAGAACCCAUAUAAGUUGGAUUGGAUAAAUCAUUAAAUGGAUUACGGUUAUGGAUAUAUGGAAUACGGAUAUAGUGAAUGGAUUUGGGCUUGUCAGCUACUAUUGGAAAAUUGAGUCUGGCUGUCUGGUAGUUGUUAGGUUAUUAAAAAAAUCCCAAAUUUGUGGGGUCAUUUGACCCCACAUGACCCUAUGUGGGUCCAUCCCUACAAAUAAUGUCUAUUUAUCUAAAAAUAUCAUAUUUUCUAUUUCAUAAAUUGGGAAUGAUUCAUGCAAAUCAUGAUCAGCUUCAAUUUUGUUGUUGAAUAUUCGUCCUUCAUUGAUCCGAUGUUCAAUCUUCAAUCAAUUUACAAGAUUCUCAAAAUUGUAAGAGUUAAAAAAAAAAUAGAUAAAUCAUGUGUCCCGUAGGCUCACAGCUUUGAAUCUAAUUGAAAAGAUAAUUAAAUUAAAUGAUGGAGUCGUAAUCCACCUAUCUUUUUAUAGACAUGAAAUUACAAAAUACAUCAAGAACUAGUCACAAAUAAUUAGAUCACAGUUUAAAAUAAGUCAAUCAUUACAUAAUUAAAUAUUUGUAGAUAUCGCUCGGCUAGAACAUUCAAUCAAGAUUCAAAAAUAAUAAGCACGUGGACGACAAAAUUGCUUCGAUACCAGUUGUGAGAAUGCAGAAGCCAAAUUACUCAGAAAUUUAAAAAAAAUUAAAUUCAAUAAACAAGAUCGUCUAGAUGUUCACGUGUACGUUAUUCAAGAAUAAAUGAUUCGAAUCGUUUCCUAAAUUCGAUUGGUAAUUUUUGAAUUAAUUUUAAAUCACAAACUUCCAUACUUUUGGAUUACGGGCUUCCAGUUUUUAUUUGCAAGAACUCGAUGUUUCAAAUCUCCAAGUCUUUUAUGGUGUUCUCCAAAGUCAAUACUACACAAUUGGCGGGCACAUUAUUUUAAUAAAAUCAAGAGAUUAAUUCUUGGACGGGAUAAAUUGAACAAAAUAAGAACAUAAUUAUUUUCUCUUUCCAGAUUUGAAUACUUUGGAAUUAUGCAUUUUGAUUGCUGUAUUCUAUAGGAUAUCUAGGUUCCAUUAAUCUCUAUUUAUAGAGAAUAAAAUAUUUUCAAUCCUUUGUACAAUAAUAAUUCAACAUUUAAAUAUAAGUCCUAAUUAAUAUCUAAAUAGGAGUUUUAAUUAAAGUUCACAUCCAAUUAAUUUACAUUUAAUUACUUGUAUAGUCAUAGAACUUCAAUUGCAAUUAUAAUUAAGUUUUCAACUUUUACAGCAAUAGUGGAUUUGUUUCUGCCUUUUGUUGAAUCUUUUCCAUGGCUCUGCUUUUACUUGAGAGGGGGCGGGGUGUGCUCUUGGCAUAGAGAAUAUCACUUAUUCUAGUGUUCUAAUCCUUAAAAUCAGGUACAAAAUUGAUUGGUGGUAGAGUCGUGAAAACUUUUAUUUCUUCCAUAUUUUAGACCUUAGCUCGACAUUCACUAUUAAGAUGAGAUAUCAUUAUCUCUAUCUCACACUAAAGGGAAAUUAACAACAAAUAUUAAGUCCAAAAUUAUUAUAAUUAUAGUAAUUAAGACCCAAUACUUUACAGAGCUACCACCGGGAUCUGAUGGGACAUAUAUUAUCCAAGUCCAAUAAUUAGAUCCUGUCUAGUCGGCCGUAGACCACUCAUUCUAAUUAUUAUUCUUUCUUUUUUCACUAGAGGUAAAAGAUUGAACUCUUGGGAAAUAUAAGAUUAAAAAAAUCAAUAAAUCUUUAAUACUUUCCUUUAUCAAUAAAUAUAGAUUUAAUAAUUAGAUACGAACAUAAAUGACCAUUUUGCUGUUCUAAUUAUUCUCAACAACUAAGUAUCAUUUUCUUCAGUUGUUAUGUGCACAAUUCAUAGAUGUCGAAGUUUAGUUAUCACUAAGCACUGAACUAAGAUUUUAAUUUUUCAAUAGAAAAUAAUUAAGUAGUUACUCUAUCCAUUUUUCAAGGGCGAUGGUUCUCGAUAUCAAUUCAUAUUCUCUACUUCGCUCAUUUUGAACUCCCAACUUACCGAGAUAUUUGAUCAAUCAAAUUGAUCUCACCUAUUGAUAAGGCAAAGAAUCAUUAAAAUCACAAAAAGAUAUAGGUAACCUUAUCAAAGUAUCCAGUGAAAUACACAGCGAUCAAAAGAAAUUUAGUUCUCUGUACCGUUAUGCCAAAGAAUUAAACUCGACACAUGGUCCAUUAAAUAUACUUCAAGUGUACUAGUGUCACCUUUAACUAUAUCUAUGAUAAGAACAAAUUGCAAAUCCGAAUAGUGAAUUGGUCAAUAUCACAAUCUUUUAAUACAAGAUGUCAACCCUUAUACAUUGACUGUGAAUAAAUUAUUUAUGAUCAAAAUUUAAGUUGUGCUACACUGUAUUUCUCAACACAAGUAUCCAACUUAUAUUAUAUCAAGUGAUUAGAUGCACUUUAAUUCUCAUGCUCAAUAAUAAAUAAAUGCAAUAAAAAAAUAAAAUCACUUUAUUAUGAAUUAUUAUUUUAUCAUAAUAAAAUAUACUAUAUGGACACACAAUCCAACAGCUGCCUAUGUCCCACAACUUUUAACGACUUGCCAAUAUUCUUUGAACCUCAAGAAAUUCUCCAUGUGAGUGCUCCAAUGAUCAUAAUGACUAUCAAAGCGUGCAGUUGCAAGUUGAACAAAAUUUUCAGAGGCAAUUUGGAAACGACUGCUGCAAAGAAAGAAAAAAUUUAUUGCCACAGCACACUUUCUUUCUCACAUUUCCAUAACUAGGCUCUGUACCACUAUUAUAAAUUGAAAAUUAAAUACGAAAUGUGAAUGGAGAAAAAAAAAAACUUUCAUACUAUUGGCUUAUUCAAUUAACAAAAUGGCCCUUUAAAUAGACAAUACAUCAUUAAAAAUAAGCUGAAAAAUCGCAACUGACGCUCUAUGAUGUGAUAUAAAACUAGCAAAAAUGACUAUAACUAGGACAACAUAACACAAUAUAACAAACCACGUGAAAGACAAAUUUGACAAUCCAUAACAAAUACGAAUUAUAAUCCACUGAAGCCCCUUUGUUGGAAAAUAAAAAUGUCAUAUAAUUAAGACCAGGUACCAUAUGCAUUAUUGUUUUAUUGAUUAAUAAUAAUGUACUUUGAAACGGUUCCGUCCAUACCCACCACAAAUAAAUAAAGGACCUUAAUCAUUUGGUACCAUCAAUGUUCCAACUUUCAAAGCCUUAAUUUUUUGCGUUAUAUUUGAUCUUCGAACCUAAAAUUCGACAAGAUUAAAGAAGAAAGAGACUUAAGAUUGCUUGUCAAUUGUUUUAUUUAUGCAGGGCAACUCGUGUGAAUUAAUAAAUUAAAUUAUAAACUCAAACGAUCUUCUAAUUUUAUCUUUGUUUAUAAGAUUUACGAGAAAAUUAAGCUUGAGAACCCUCAAUUCAAAAGAAUGUCAAAAGCAAAAAUGUUGAGAGGCUCAAAUUUAUUCAAUAAUCCAAGAUUGAGUCGACCCUAGUGGACAUCAUUUAUAUAGUUCAAAAUUUAGUCUUCAUGAGGGCUAGGGACCUUGCUUGGGUGAAGCUCAGAUUUUGUUAGAAAAAUAUGGUUCUUUGUCGAAAUCCAACUCUGUUUAACUAGCACUUAGCUGUUGAUCUAAAACCGAAUAAGAAUUUGUUUUAAACUUAAAAUGUUCUCUAGAUUAGUAGAAGGCAUAUCCAACUGAAGUGUGCACACGUAAAAUAAGAAGAAUAGGUUUUUUAGAAUAGUUAUGCUUGUGAGCAUUGAAAGUAACACUCCAUCAAUGCUCUACAUGGUUUUCCAUUAAUUUUUGUAGACGGGUCUCGAGAUGGUCCCAAGUUUCUUUGAGGUUCACGUGUGGUCUUACUUGGGAUGUUUCGUUAUUCAUCUAUUGUUCUUUUUUGAGGAUGGGGACGGAGUUGGAAUGUUCUUUGGUAGUUUUCAAAAGUAAAUUAUGUAUAUUUUUAAAUUACUUAUAUUAUCAAAAAUAAUUUUUCAAGUUGUUCUAUGUGCUAAAAAAAAGUUAUUGUUUUAAGGGAAAUUUUCAACAUUGAUACAAGUGAAUCUAGAGACUCCAAAAAUAAAGUGAAAAAGCUAUUAUAAAUGUACUCCAUGGGAAACUAUAUGUUCAGAGUUCCUUCCAUUUAUAUUUCCUAUCCUGGAAUUGUGCACUAUGCGUAGUUGAAAGACAUGAAAUGUUGUGAUUUACAUCCAUUAAUUCUUGCACUUUUACGAUUAAUUAACACAUAAAUGUGCUAAGUACCCUUAUAUUGUGAUUUAGGUUGCAUUUGGAUGAUCAUGAAAUAAAAUAGAAGAAAAGAGAGAAAAAGGACUUAAAUGGAAGAAAUUGAAAGUUCAAGGACCAAUUUGCAAAUAAUCUCUAGAUGAGACGAGCAAUGGAAUGAAGAUUAAAGAUGGUGCGGGAUCAAUUGGAUGCAAUUAGAAGUUGAAGGGUUGAAAUUGCAAGAAGAAUGAUUUAAAAGAAUCAAAAAUGGAAUUCGAGAUUAAAAUACAACUUUUAGAAGAAAUUUUGCCUGGGCAACAGCCCAGUUAUAAAGUUCGAGCUACUGUCCAACACUAAAAAUCAAUUACUGAAGCCAAAAGCCAUGCCUGAACGACUGCCCGAGUUUUGCAUGAGCGACAGCCCAAGUCAAUUGUGACGAGAAAAAUUUGGUUUCCUUUUCUGAUUGAAAUUUUUAUGGAAACAAAUCUUGUACAUGAUAUACCCAAAAUCUCGUCCAAAACCUAGAGAAUGCCCCUAGCCCUAUUUUUUUUCUCUCUCUUUGUGCUCAAGAUCCAUGAUGUGCAACUAAUUUCUUUUGCUUGAUCGAAGGAGACGGAAGCCUUGGACCAAUUAUAACUGUGAGAUCCAUUUGAUUUUUAUUGAUUAAUUCAUAUAUUUAGUGUUAAAUCUUCUUUUGCACUUACUUCUAUGAUUGUUGUGUUUAAUUUCUAGAGUGCACGCAAGUUUAUUAGUUUCAAUAAUCUAUAGCUAAGUUAAAUAUCAAAUUCGUAAUUAUUUGAUUAAUUUAACUUAUGAAGCAACUAACAUUAGUAAUUUGCUGCUUUAGAAAAUUAUUAGAUCUUAGGGAGAAGUUUUAUGUAGGUUAAAUGCAAACUCUUGGCUUGGGUUAUCUAGUUCAUUGAUUUCUCUAAUUCGCAAAGCCAUUAUGAAAUUAAAUUCUCGCACUUGUCUAGGAUUGUUUGAUAAUGAGGAUUAAUUAGAUUGCUUGUUUCUAAUUAAUUAAAACUAAGGAAAAAUAGGAAAAUUGUUUCGAAUGAGAAAUUUAUUUUUCACAAUGAAGGCUACAAUUAUGAAUUGAUGAUUAUUGGUAGAUCAAUGACCGGUUAUUAAUUUCCAACGGUGUAUAUGACGUAGAUCAAGGUUUGUUUUAUUGCUUAUAUUUAAUUAGGUGAUUUGUAUUAUUUCAAGAAAAUCAAAAUCCCCUAUUUUAGUUAAUAUUGCAUCAAAAAGUAAAUUAACCACUCUUCGUGGGAUCGACCCUUACUUCCACUACUACAUUAAUUUUAAGAAGUAUAUGCUUUAAUUUGGAGUGCCUACGACAGCACGCAUCAUUAGUGUGCUCCCAAAUUUGACUUAAGGUCGCAUUUCAAGAAAUGUGACUUUGCAAAUGGAGGCCUUUUAUGAGAUUUUGACACUUGGCACAAUCCUGACCAUUUGAUGACGAUUUAGGAUGGUUUUAGGGUUUGUCUAUAUGUACAUUGGGGUUGACAUGUACCAACCCCUUAGAAGAGGGAGGCCACGAUUUUUUUAUUUGUCGUGGGGCCCCCUAUUGUGAGGGGGUCUGUGCACCAGGGUAUUAACAUCGGUAUACAAAUAGAAAAACCUGUAGUUUUAUUGCCUUUACUCUCUGUUGUUUCACUUGAAAUACUUCAUUCUACCUUUUCAGAUUUCUGCAAAGAGAGAGUUUACGCUCGUUUGGUAAGGGUUUCAUCUUGAAUCAUUUUCUCUCUUGAAAAUCUCAUUCGCAAUUGAGAUCAAUGUUUUACUUCCUUUGAUUCUUGUAUUUUCUGAGUGGUUCCUAUAUUGUGUUGUUCAAAGUAUUGUUUUGAGGCUUCUUUUAUGAUUCCUUGAGUAGAUUUUCAGUUUCAUCUUUGAGAAGAUAACUAUUGUGACUUUAUCUUGUAUUGGUUCAACGUUUAUAAGCUUUGUUUUCUUUCAAAGUUAAAUAGUGCAAUCGAGCAUUAUCCAUUUUAUAUGGAUAAUCAAUAGGGGAUUAGGUAUUAGAAGCAAUCAUCGAACCCUCGGAGCUUCAGCCGAAACAAUUCUUUGUGUUGAUUUUCAUUUCUUGCAAGCUUAUUUUCUACACUUAGUUUUAAGUUUGACAAAUAAGUUAUACCUUGUUGUUUUUGGGCAUUUGAGUAGUAUUAGAGCUUGGAUCUUGAAUUGCAAAACCAGCUCUUCAAGGAAACUAAAGAUCUUAAAGGGACCUCAAAUUUUUGUGCACCGUUUUGAAGGAAUCUGAGUUUUCUUAUAAAACUCACUUGAUAAGAUUUUUUAAAAUUAUGCAACCUGCAAUUUUAAAAAAUUAGGGUUUCUUGCUUUUUUCCUUAAUUUACAAUACCAUUACAAAAUAUCCCCUGGAUACUAUUAUUUGCCCAAAGUCUCUUAUGAGGUUUUGGAAAUCUGAGAUUAAUCUAGUACUGGUGUAUAACGGGAGGAAUAAAAAUUUGCGAUCUAUAUUUGUGAUUCUUGUGAUAUUUUUUGUUGCCUGUCCACUGUUAAGUACAUAUUCUUUGACUAAGUAAAAACUCUUGUAUGUAACUCGAAAUAUUAUACCAUUACGUGCACUAUUGUGAUCUUAAACUGAUCUUGUUUAAGUGUUGGUUCUUUACCGUGUGUCUUUCCCUAUCUCUAGUUAAACUUGCUUGUCAGUUUCUUAUUUGUGAUGGCCAUUGCUAAGUUCGAAAUGAGUCAGUAUGAUGGGAGGGGGAUUUUAAUAUGUGGAGUCAGAAAAAGAAAGGUAUCUUGAUGCAAAUGAGAUAUGCUAAGGCCUUAGAUAAUACUUGGCCUACUAGUAUGAUCCCUGCUAAAAAGAAAACAUUGCUUAGAGUACUAUGUUUUGUACCUUUCUAAAAUGUGAUUAGAACCAUUGGUGAAACUAAAACUGUUAUUGAACUUUGGACCAAUUGCAGGCUCAGUAUAUUACCAAAACUGUUCCAAAUAAGUGCUAUUUGUUGACAAAGUUCCUUUUUUUUUUUAAAUGGAUCCUCUAUUGACUUGGAUUAAAACUUGAAUAGAUUUAUAAAACUUACCAAGACGUAGCUUUUUGUGAUGAAAAACUUUCAAAAGAUCAAUUGGUUAUGGUCUUAUCAAACUCCAUUAGUGACAAUCACAGAGACCUCAAUAAUAUCCUUAAAUAUGGUACGGAUGAAAUCACUAUUGAUAUUAUAAUCAGUGCCCUUAGAAAUAGAAUUCUUGAAAUAAAAUCUAAAUUUAAAGAUCGUCAAAAUGGAGAAAAUUUAUUGGUUAAGGGUAGGAGCAUUGGUAAAUCUAAUUAUCACUCUAAAGGCAACAAUGAGUGUAAAAAGAAAUGGAGUGAUGAGAAUAAACUCUAAAUAUGUUUGACAUGUAUGACUGUAAACUUGUAACUUUCCCAUUAAUCAAUCAUUUUAAAAUUUCCUCCAAUUGCUGCCCUAAAACUGAGGAAGUGUAUGAUAGAAUGUCUAAAAUUCCUUAUGCAGAUGUUAUUGGGUCUAUCAUAUACUUGAUGAUAUACACUAGACCUGAUCUUGUUUAUAGCGUUAGUGUACCUGGCAAAUUUAUAAGUAACCCAAGGGAAGAACAUUGGGAUGCAUUAAAAUAGCUUUUGAAAUAUCUGAAAAGAACUUUGAUUUAGGAUUUAUGUUUAAAAUGAGGAGGUAACUUCAAAAGGUUGUACUAAUUUUGACUUUAUUGGAGAUAGGGAUAAUAGGAGAUUAACUUCAUCCUAUUUAUUGCGUGGAAGUUUCAAGAGAUCUUGAAUUCAAGCUCAGAAAAACCACUAAACGAAUACCACCCGACCUCGGCUCAACCAACACCCUUCUUUCACUUGGACUGGUUCAAGAUUUCUUACCCACAAAGGAUGAUGGUCGUGGUGACUACAAUAUAAAGCAAAGAAUGAAGCAACAGUGGUUGAGUUUCUCAAAACUCACGCCAAAAGUGUAUGUUGAUGUUCAUUUAAUGGUUUCUUGAGCCAAGAUUAAAGAUUUCUCAAAGUUUCUAAUAAUAAAUGGUAUCAGAGCUUAUGUUAUUGAGAAAUUUGUGAUUUUUUGGGUCAAAGAUCGACUGUAAAGGGCUAAAAAUGAAGCUGGAACAUGGUAGAAAGUAGGGAAAAAAAUCUAGAUACAUUGAAAAUCAUCUCUGUCGGAAUUUUUUUAUUUUUUGCAUUUCUCGGCCAGACAACUCAUCGUUUGGAGAAACCAACGCCAUAUGAAGACUGCGCAAGUGGAGGAGCACCUGGGAGACUGGCCUGUGAAGCUCUGGCAUGACGAUAGUUAGGCCACCUGCAAAGACAGAAGUCUCAUGUAGUGAAAGUCUGGCAGAGUUUGGUAACAACACUUGAAGACAAAAUAUUGCUGACAACGAGGUAGACCUUGCGAUGGUGCUUAUUUUCUGUUUGGUCAAAAUAGUUAAAUCUAGACGAUUUUGCCCUUGGACAUUGGGGUGUCGAUGCUUUUUUUGUUUGCUGUAGUUUCUGGAGGCUUUAAAGCGAAUGGUGGUGGCCCUAAAGUGAUGAAUUUUGUAUAUUUCUUUGUUUACAAACAAGCAAAUAUUGUCCACUCGGUAUCAUGUUCUUUCCCUUUUUUAUUACAAUUACGGCUAUCAUGGGGGUAGCCACCUACUUUUCACAUUAGAAGCCAAUGUGUGGGGUAACAUUAGGUUUGAGGCUACCGUGUGGGAAUAACCAUUGUCUGUUGCUAAACCUAAGAAUUAUUUUUUAAUUAUUUACCUUAAAUUCUUUGUGAAUUUAUUACUAAAUGUUUGUACACUGCUAGAAUUUCAUGUGACCUUAGAGAAGUUUGUUUGAUUAUUCGGUGUGAAUUGUGUCGUUACUUUGCUUGUGGUCAUAUUUGGUGUUGAUGGCAAAUGUAUGUCUAAGACAAUUGCAAAAAGUAAUGCAUUUUUGAACAUCAAUAUUUCGGACAUGUUGAAAGAGAUUGUCGUAGGAAGGAUAAUAGAAGGAAAAAUAAAGAGAGAGGUGAGGUAAAUGUUGCCACUGGGUUUGGCUAUGAUCCAAGUGAGGUUUAUUAAGAGUAAACUUGAAUAUUGUAUGUUCAUUUGUGUACAAUCCUUUCUCAUGUAUGGCCGCUUAAUUUUAUUAAGAUGUUAUAUGUUACAUUUUCAAUCUGUUUGACAUGUUUAAUUGCAUGAAUAAAGAGUAAUCUUAAUGCGUUUGUAUACAUAGCGUGUUGACGUCUAUGUCAUACUCUUUUUGCUCUAUGGUUGGUACAGGAAAGUGUGGUAGUGAAAAGAAAAAGGGGCCGCUACUUUCUCCUUUACAUUUGUGAGUCUAUGUCAUUUGUGAUAUUAUAUAGGGUAGCCAGGUGUAGGUUAUCCUCUUUCUCUUUAUGAGCCUUUUUAGUAAUGCAAUAAAGAACUAACUAUUUCUUAUAUUUUCUUUGUGAGUGCCACAUACACCCUUCUCUCUGUGAACUUCUUGAGAUUUAAUGAGGAAGAAAUCUUUUGGUACGUUGGUCAAUUUAAACUGAGCCCUAACCUUUGUGGUCACCAAAGGUGUCAAUUUUGUUGUAGUGGUGCUAACAGUAAGCGGGCUGUGUUUCAUUUGGUAAUGUGAAGUAUAGAUACCUGAGGCUGCAUUGGCGAUAUACACGGAUAUGUGGAGAGUGAAAUUUGGAUCACGAGUAAAAAUGUGAUAUAAUGUCCGGAAUCCUCUAUCUAUGAAAGACCUUGUACAAGUAAAGUGUGAAAGAGACACUUUUAUCACUUCUGUUAAGUAGAGACACAUUAUCCACUUAGGUUGAGACAAAUGAGGUAGUGACAGAAGAUUAUCUUGUGGAUUUAAAAUCUAUUGUGGUUUAACAAUUAGACAUGAAUUUAGUGAUCAAUCUAGUGAGCAUGGUGGACAGUGAGAGAAGAUAUAUGUUCUCGAGGUACAAGCAAUACGAAAUGAGAUAGGAUAAGUGUAGUGAGAUCUUUUCAUGGGGUUAUUUAUGCACUUGUUGCAUAUGUGUUAGUCGUUUGAUUGAUUAACUUGAUAUUAGUUUACUAUUUUGUUUAAACAUAUUUGAAAGGACUUGUAUGUUAUCCUAUUUUAUAUCUUCAUCACAUGUUUAAAUGCUUUUAAUUGAUUACUAUGAUUACUUGCUCCUAUUUGGGUAUUUUUUGAAAUCGGCCCUGAUUAGUGCAUUGAACAGGUAUGGUACGUCUUUCGGGUCGAAAACAUGAGUUAAGGUCUGUGAUUUCGACGAUGGUGUGAUUUAAUCGUUGUGUGGAAGCUUCGAAAAAUCUUUAAUACGGUCUCAGAAAAACCACCAAACGUAUCACCUGAGCUUUGCUCGACCCACAACUUUACACUUGGUUGUCUUCUUUCCAACACCCACAAAGGAUAGAACUUUGGUAAUUAAUGUGUACCCACAAAGGAAAAAGAGAAUAAAUGAAGGAAUGGUUAAACUCAAAUUUUACCUAAGUUGGUUACUGCACGUUUUCUCUUCACAAUUGCACAUUAACUCACGGCUGCAAAAAAUGAAGAGAUAAUGGAUGUAUACAGCAUUAGGUUAGAUUCCAAACUUGGGCCAAAUACUUUCAAUGGGCUAAGACAGAUAACAACUAGGAAAAAUUCAUAAAUAAGAUGUUAACUAUCACAUAUUUCAAAAUUAAGAACAAAAGUUUCAAAUUUAAAAAAUCAAAUAUUUAUUACAAUUUAUUUAUUAUUUAUUUAAUUAAUUAUAUAUUUAAUUAAUUAAAUAUAUAAAAGUCACCGAUGUAUGCAAUUUGGUCACAAAUUCACAAAUUUAGUUAUUUACAUAUUAUUUUUCGAUCACAGAUCAAAAUUUUAAUAUGUCAAAAAUUAUUUUAUGAUCACAAUUCAAAAAUUUUAUACGCCAUAAUUCGUUCAUCAAUCACAAAUCACGAAUAUUAUAAGUCACAACUUAUUGCACAACUUAUUGGAAAGUCACAAAUUAACAAUUUUUUAAGUCACACAUUAUUUCUUGGUCAUAGUUCAUCUCUUUCAUUAAUCACAUAUCAUUUAUUGAUCACAGAUUAAUUUAAUGGUCACGGUCAACCGAAUGAUUUGUGACUACCAUUAAUGCUUGUGACAACCAACUCACCACUGCCUCCAACAGCAUCACCAUAACCGUCGUCGUCGCAGCCUGAACCUCCAUCACCUACUACAACAAAUCUAACACAUUGCCAAAAAAAAAAAAAAAAAAAAAAAAAAAAAAAAAAUUAAUUUGUGACUACCAUUAAUGCUUGUGACAACCAACUCACCACUGCCUCCAACAGCAUCACCAUAACCGUCGUCGUCGCAGCCUGAACCUCCAUCACCUACUACAACAAAUCUAACACAUUGCCAAAAAAAAAAAAAAAACAAAACAAAACAAAACAAUUCAUUGCACCAAAUCCAUCGCUACCUUACCGCCACAACCACCGACAAACAACCAUUUUCAACUACAAAACCACCACCCAUCAACACAUCUAUGCCAGAUUCACUAACACCACCACCUCCAUCAACAAAACCACCAAUCCACCACCGAUCUAACACCACCAAACCCAAAUAAUUAGUCACAACCCACCUCUAGAACCACAACCUGGCUACUACAGCACCCGCAAAACGACCACACCAUCAUCGUACAUAUAGCACACAGCCAUUGCCAUCGUUAUAUCCAUCUCUUCUAUCUCAGUCAACACAACAACACUUCCACGCCCCAAACAAAAAAUCCACAAACUUACCGCUACCAUUGCACAUAAUACCACCUACGCCACUGUAGGCAAAAACACCACAAAACUAACGUAAUAAGAUAAAAGGAAUAGCCCGAACUCCAUCUUUGGUUGCCACACUACAGAAACAGUAAGUGGUGCUGUAAUCUUGACAUAGAAGUGAGGCAAAUGGCGUCCAAAUCUCAGGCAAAUGGCAUCCAGAGCAUGAGGGGUUGCUGCCCAUCGCUCACACAACAUCGAUAGCGUCGUGUGAGUGCAGCACCGCCAAUGUGAGGAUAAAGACAGAAAAGGAGAGAAACGAGAUAUAGAGAGAUAAAUGAUGUGAAAAUCAAUUAGGUUUUGGGAUGAAAAUUGUAUAUUUCAUAUUUAAAUAUGAAAUAUCUGAUUUGUAAAAUAUGAAACGUCCCACUUACUUUUAGAACAUAGAUCUUUAAAAGCAAAGUGGGGUAUGAUUUCCUCUAACCCUCUAACAACCAACCAAUUAGUUGGGUUAACACACAUAUCACUCUCCAAACCUAAACAACAAAUGGGAUAACUCACAAAUGGGUUGUCCUGAAUGAAUUGGUAGUUUUUGAGCCAAGCCAAGCACUAUGGUGUCGAUGAAUUAUCCAACAUAUAUUUUAAAUCAUAGCCAAAAAUUUAUUUGGUAUAAAAAAUCCAACACUAUUUUUAUACAGUUUGUGGUACUAUUAUAAUUUGGAAAUCACAACUUCAAAUGGUUGUGUCUCUAUCUUCAACAAAGGCAGAAUAUAUUGUUUCCAUCGAUGCCAUUAAAGAAGGUAUUUGGUUAAGUGAUUUGUUAGGUGAACUUGAUUUUGUUGAUGAAAAUACAAUACUAUUUUUAAAUGACCAAAUUGUCAUACAUUUGAGAAUAAAAUCCCAUGUUUUAUGAUAAAACUAAGCACAUGGAUAUUAAAUAUUGCUUCAUAAAAGACUUCAUUUCAAAAGGGAUACUUAAAUGGUAAAUUGUUACUCAAUUUAAUCCUUCAGAUAUAGGUACCAAAGUAAUACCUUUAAGUAAGUUUCAAAAUUGCUUGAAGUUAUAUGAAAUAUAAAUUUGAAAAAUCGAGAGAGUGCUUAUGUUGUUUCAUUCAAAGUGUUGGUUUGAGGGUUAUUUUGUGAUUUCUUGAGUAAAUCUACAGUUUCAUCUUUGACAAGAUUAGUAUUGUGACUUUAUCUUGUAUUAGUUGAAUUAUUGUAACCUUCAUUGCCGUUUUUGGGUAAAUAGUACAAUCGAGUAUUAUCCAUUUCAUAUGGACGUUCAACAAAGAUUAGGUGUUAGAAGUGGUUACUGACUUUGGGACUUCGACUGAAACAAUUCUUUAUGUUAAUUUUCAUUUCAUGCAACUUUAUUUUCUGUACUUAGUUUUGAGUUUGACAAAUCGCUUAUAGUUUGUGUCUUUGGGCAUUUCAUCCUCUAACAUGCAUUGACUGUAUACUUUGGAUUCGCUUAUCAUAUCCAAAAAAGGAAAGAAAUAUGCAUGUAUACAUUUGGUACGCUUCACUAUGAAGAAAGAAAGAAAUAACAAUCCCCCCUCAUGAUGUGGCCGAGUUGGUGUGAGCGCGGCGGCUUUUAGUCACAAGUUCGAUUCCCCCUAUCAACACUUUCUCGAUCAAAUUUGUCGCAUCGGGCUUGUCUAGUUCAAUUUACCUAGCUCGCUAUUACGUCAGCUCGAGGGCUUAACCAGUACGCACCCGAAAAGUAGCAGCUGUGAGUUCCCCGUCAUAAAAAUAAAAAAAAUAAUAAAUAAUAAUAAAGAAAUAACAAUCAAAAAGUGUAUAGACACUGAAGAGGAUGUUGUCAUCCAUCCCGUCUAUCUCGUUUCUAGAAUGGAUUGACGAACUAAAAUAUUGCUCUAUUGAAAUUCUAUUAUAAUUGUCAAUUAUCCCGUCCAACCCACCUAGGAUGAUCGAGCACAAAAAUGUAAAAUUUGAUAAACUUAACCUGGAACUUAUUGUCUGAACUUGACAGCUCUGAGAUGAAUCAUCAACAUAUAUAUUUGUUCAUACUUUCUACAUUGUACAAUGGAAUUUUAAAAUCAACAUAAAUAUGUUGGUUGAGUCAAAUAUACAAUAUAUCAAGCAUGCCUAUAGAAGUAGAAGUGAAAUUACUAAAAAUAUGAAUCUCCAAACUUAUUCAAGGGAUUUUAUUUUCUCACCCAUGGCAAUGGAUUUCUUGCAAUGAGCAAUCGCUGCUUGAAUUGCACUCUGCAACUCUUCCUUAGUACUGUCACAUGCUGCGGUAGGAGUAAGAGUUCCAUUUGCUACUAAUAGACCAUUGUUUGUUGGAGAUAUUCUCACUGAACUUGGUUCUGAAAACUCCCCCCUUCUUCCUCUCAACUUUGGCUUCCCCCUAAUGAGUAAAUUUCAGGAAAAUGAAUAGGAUUGCCUGUGUAAUUUAUUCCCUCUUCUAAAGAUCAGACGGGGUCGAGCCAUUCUCGCGUAUCUCUUCAAAAACCGACUUACAUUGAAUUUUAACUUCUUUUUCUGCCUUUCUUUACAUUCCUUUUCUCCUUUUCGCCAUUUCAAUAAGCUAAACAAAGAAAAAGGCUUGGAAUUUGCUCUUCCUUUAGCAUCAAGCUGGGAUCAAUAUCGUUGUCAGUACUGUUGAUUGUCUGAAUGGAUUCUAAUUCUUUUAUGGAUAGGGUAAAACUAUCCAAAGAGUUGUUCAAAGAACGAGGGGAUACCGGAAGGUGGGAGAGUAGAUGGAGAGGAAGCAAAUGGCCAUGGAAAAAUAUAUCAUCUGCUGGAGAUAAAUCUACGGCGAAUGAAGAAGUGUUCUUAUUAUUUUCUGAGGUUUUUGCAGGGGCUGAAGGAUGAAGAGAAAUGGUGAAGGAGAAUUCAUGAGAAGGAGAUGAAGAAGCUGAAGGUGGCAAGGUUGCUGCAAUUGGUUGCAGCUGAUUACUCUCUCUCUCUCUGCUGAUUUUCUUCAUGCUUCUCUCUCAUCUUAUGAUGAUGUUUGUCUAUGCUUCAAUGCUAAAAGAUAUGUCGGAUCUGAAGUUUUUCUUGACUUGCUUUGAUAUGAUAUUCUCUGGUUAGAAAUGUGAGGAAAUAUUUUUGAAGGGAUAAAGAUGUUAGGAAGUAAUAUAGUUCGUGUGUGAGUAUCAAGAGGAUAUGUAGGGCUAACGGGUAGGCGUUGGAUGUGGGUAUGGGGUUACGGAGUGGGACAGGGUUUCAUUUGUUUUUUGAAGGGAAGGGGACUGUUCUCGGCAGGUUUGUUAAAUGAAAUCCGUAUUUAAUAGUGCGUUUCAUAUGGACUCGAUGGGACAUAAUAAUAAUAAUAAUAAUAAUAAUAAUAAUAAUAAUAAUAAUAAUAAUAAUAAUAAUAUUGAAAGUGCUUAUGAACAGUCUAAAUUAUAAAUUAAUUAAAAUAUUGAUAAAUAAGUGGAUAAUUUUUAUAAAUCUUAUAAAAUUGUAGAAUAAGGAGAAAUUUGACCAACUAUAAUCAUUAUCCAAGCAUGAGUUCAAAAAUUUACAGAUAAUUAAAAUUUUAUAUUGUCGUAAAAUAUCCGAUAAUAAUGACUGAUUAGUUGAUAUUAUUAUGCCCAUGUUUGGUUUCACUAAAAAUUUAGAUUAAAAUUAAAGUUAAAGUCAACAAUUAAUUUUAACUACACAUUUUAUAAGACUCAUAACUUUUCAUCCAAAAAUCCCAUUAUCUUUUACCAAAAUUUUCAAAAAAAUCUGAUUUUAUCUAAACUAAACAAGGGCCAGAAGGAUAGAUAACUUUCCUACCUUAGAAGAAUGUUUUCUAUUCAAAUUGUCACUCAUUGAAACCUUAUAUAUAACAGUCAGUGUUAUGAUGAAAUUCACACGAGUUUUGAUACCCUUAUUUUCUUCUAUUGUUCUUGCUUUUCUUCUUAAUUUAAUAGCAUGUUAUCAGCACGAGUUCUAGUGAAUUUAACUAGGAAAAAAAAAUUCCCCUGCAAAAGACAAGUUAAGAAUCCGGUAUGAUAAAUUUGAUUAUGCAAUCUUAAUAUGAAAAUUAGUUACGAAAAAUUUAAGAUAUGCAUUUUGUCAUUACUUGUGAAAAAGAAUGAUCUAAUAUUCAAUUAAAUUUUUUUUUUUAUUUUGUGGCCUAAUAUUCAAUUAGAAUUUGUGGGGGUGGAUAUUGCAUUGUUGCUCCUGUAGACCACAAACUUAAAUAUCAAUAUCUAUAAAAUAUAUUAUAUGGCUCAAAAAUAUAUACACAUAUAUUUCAAAAGAAUAUGGUGUCGUUCAUGAAAAACAUAAAACUUAUUUCAUUGUGUUUAUGGAGAAGUACAAACUAAACGAUUAAGUAUAGUGGUAUAGUGUUGUAAUUCUUGAAGAAAACACUUUAUUAUUUUAUAAUAUUUAUAUGGUACAUUAUGUUAAUACUUCGGAGGAAGUAUAGUUUUCCUGCAAUAUUGUGAAAUAAUAUUUUGUUUUUAAUCUUGAUGAAACAGGAGUUUAUAUUGUAUUAUUGCUCCAGAAGAAAAAUAGAUUUCUUAUUUAUCAAUAUUUUUUAAAAACAUAGUGAUAUUCUUGAAUAAUAAAUUUUAUACAAACUAAUAUCCUACAUAAUUUGAAAUUUUAAAAUUUUCAUAAAAAGCUCUAGAAGGGCCAAAAGUUUAUCAUAUGGGUGAACAAAAUGUAAUACUACAUUAAUUUUCUCCCCAUUUCAAAUGAAUAAUGAUAUUAAAAAUUCACAUAAAUAUUAAUUAAAGAACCAAAAAAUUCUUUCAAUGAAUUCCUUGUGUUUUUAUUCUCAUGAUAUAAUGUUGUAAUGUGACCCAAAUUCUUGUGGUUAUUGGUGUUUUAGUUGAAGUGGUCUUGUAGAAAUCAAAAUUAUAGACAAUGAAGAAAAGUUGUUGUAUUUUCGCUAGCCUAACACUAGUUGGCAGCUCGGGCUGCACCAACAUAUUUUGAAUAGAAAUUUUUCACCCUUUUGGUGCUCAAACGAUGGGGCUGUCACCAUCUUUCGCCCCCCGUAGCUUGAGCGAUGGGGUCAUUAGUGCAGCCCCUCUUUCCAAGUUUUAAUGUCUUUUGGACUCUUGUUUAUCUUCAACUCAGUUUCUAGGGUUUUAUAUAAAUAAGCCACUACUUAUAUUGUUCAGAUAACACUCAUACAACAUCUUGAGAGCUUUAGAUCUUAAUUGAGAGCAUUGAAAUUUUGUUGUAAACAAAUUGCUAUUGCCAAUAGUGGAUUUCUCCUCCUCAACCCAUGGUUUUUUGCCAUGUUAAGUUUUCACGUAAAUCUUGCUGUUAUUUAUUUUGUUCUUGUUUAUUUCAUUACUGUCAUAAACUUUCGAUCAAAUUCGCAACAAGUGGUAUCAAAGUGAUUUUGGUAACUUGUUUGUUCAUAUCAAGUGAUAUCAGAGCCAGGUUGAUUAUCUAGCAUGGCAAUGAUGAAGUAUGAUAUUCCAUAAUUGGAUCGAAACACAAGAUUUACUUUAUGGAAAGUGAAGACGCGAGCAAUUCUCACACGGAUGGACUUGAAAGAAGCCUUGGUUUUGAUAAGAUGCCUUCAACCUGGAUAUAGAAAAAAAGCAACGUAGGGAUCGAAAAGCCCAAUCCCAAAUUUAUCUACAUCUAUCAAAUUAAAUUCUUUAAGAUAUUCUCAAGGACAAGAGUGCCUCGUAUUAUGGUUAAAGUAAGAGCAGCUUUGUAUGAAAAAGACAUUGACCAGCAAGCUUCACUUGAAACAGUACUUGUAUUUUCACAGGAUGUUCGAAGAUACAUCAUUGGAUGAUCACUUAACUAUGUUCAAAGAAAUCAUGGCCAAUUUGGAGACAUUGGAGGUUAAGUAUGAUGAGGAGGACUUGGCAUAGAUGUUGUUCUGUUCACUGUCCCCAUCAUAUGUGACUUUUAGAGAUACUAUCUUCUAUAAUCGAGAUAUUCUCACCGUGGAAGAGAUCUAUGAUGAUUUGCUAUCUAAGAAGAAAAUGAGGCAUCUUGUUCGAGGAUCUUGGAGUCAAGCUGAAGGCCUGGUCAUUCGUGGAAGAAGUCAGGAUCAAAAUCUUGGUAAAAAUAUGAAGGCCAGAUCGAAAUCGAGACGUACAGAAAAGUUAUGUCAUUACUCUACGAAGAAGGGACGUAUCAUGGUUGAUUGCUAUUCUUUUGAAAAAUGGGAAUAAGGUUGUCGAUCCCAUUGAAAGGGAAAAAUAACAUGUUAACACAACGAAAGCUGAUGUUGUGGAAGACACACAAAGUGAAUGAGAGCUUCUUGUAAUGUUUAACAUAGAUUCUAAACCUUGUGAGGAAUGGAUUCUUGACUCAACUUCUACUUUCCACAUGUGUCCUAAUAGGAUUGGUUUACAACAUAUGAAAGAGCUUCGAGAGCUGCAAUGAUAAUGGGAAACAAUGCGCAUUGUAAGAUUGUCGGAGUUGGUAAAGUCAGAAUCAAAAUGUUAGAUGAUGUUAUCAGAACACUUUUAGAUGUCAUGCAUGUUCCAAAAUCAAAGUGAAAUCUAAUAAGUUCGAGUACAUCUGACUCAAAAGGUCAUAAAUACACUGGUGAAUGUGGAGUUUUGAAGGUGAGUUGGGGUGCUCUUACUGUCAUGAAGGGAUAAAAAACUCUACAUAACUAUAUGUUUUGCAAAGUUACAGGAGAUACAACAGUCUCUACUUCUUCUUUGACUGAUAAAGAAGUUCCAAAACUUUGGCAUAUGUGACUUGUCAUAUGAGUGAAAAUGGUAUAGCAGAGUUUAGUAGGAGGAGAGGGAAUACUUGAAUAUAUACAUUCAGCUCUUUGUGGACCGGUCAGGGUACCUUCAAAAGGAAGUACUUAUUAUCUAUUAAAAGUGUUUGAUGAUUUAUCCAAGAAAGUUUGGGUAUUUUUCCUAAAACAGAAGAUUGAUGUAUUUGGAACCUUCAAGGAAUGGAAAACAAUGAUAGAAAAGUAGAUUAAGUGUCUACGCACAGAUAAUGGGUUGGAGUUUUGUUAAAAUGAUUUCAUUAGCUUCUACAGAGCUGAAGGCAUAUUGAGACACUUGAUAGUGCCCAGAACUCCUCAACAGAAUGGUAGGCAGAACAAAUGAAUAGAACUUUGAUGGAAAGUAUUCAUUGUAUGUUUUCAAACUCUGUGUUGCCUAAGAUUUUUUAGGCUGAAGCUACUACCACAAAUUGUUUUCCGAUUAAUUGCUCACCCACAAUUGUCACUGAGAAAAAGGCACUAAAAGAGGUAUGGUCUGAGAAACCUUCUUGUUAUACUGAUUUAAAGAUUUUUGGGUAUCUCACUUAUGCUCUAUAUAUAAUGGGAAGUUGAAGCCUAAUUCAAGGAGAUAUGUCUUUCUUGGGUAUAAAUCAGGUAUGAAGGGAUAUAAAUUAUGGUGACCUGAGACAAGAAAGGUGGUGGUUAGUAGAGAUAUAGCAUUUGAUGAACUGACUAUGGUUCAUAAUUCAUCUCGUAUGGAUUCUGAUAAAAAUGAAGAACAGAAUCAUUCAACUCAGAUGGAAUUGAAAAUUGGUCCAAUGAAUAAUUAAAGGUUUUAGAAAAGUCUAGUUCAAAAUUGAUAGACAGUAAUACUUUGCCUACACCACCAGCAACACUACAGUAUUCAAUUGUUAAGGGCAAACCUCACAGAUAGAUUAGACUUCCACAGAACAAUGGAGAAGUAGACUUGGUAGCAUAUGCUUUGAAUGUGGCCGAAGAAAUUGAUUCCACUGAGGAACCUGUUACAUAUAUAGAUAUCAUCAGCAGUAGUGAUUCAUGCAAAUGGUUUAUUGCUAUGCGAGAGGAGAUUGAGCCAUUGAAUAAAAAUUGUACUUGAGACUUGGUGAAACUACCUAAGGAUAAAAAUGUUGUUCGCUACAAGUGGGUAUUCAAAAGGAAAUAAAGGACAUUAUGGAUUGAAGAUACUAGGUAUAAGGUCUGAUUGGUAACGAAGGUUUAUAAUCAAAUUCUAGGUGUUGACUUCACAGAUGUGUUCUCUUUGAUUAUAAAGCAUAGUUGAUUGUAAAACAUGGUUCAAUUCAAGCUUUACUUGAGAUAGUGGAAAAAAGAGUGACUUAGAACUUGAGCAAAUGGAUGUCAAUACAUCAUUUUUGCAUGAAAAACUUGAAUAAAACAUUUACUUGCAACAAUCAAAGGUUUUAAUGUUUCUGGGAAGGAAGACUCUAUGUGCUUGUUGAAGAAGUCCUUAUAUGGACAAAGCAGUCAUCGAGGUAGUGGAACAAAAUGUUCGAUUCAUUCAUGACUGCUCAUACUUUCAGCAGAAACAAUUACGAUAGUUUUGUGUACUUCAAAAAGGAAGAUGGUGGAGCGAUAAAAUAUUUGCUAUUAUAUAUUGAUGAUAUGUUCAUUGUACCCAAGGAUAAAGUAGAGGCCACAAAUUUGAAAUCUCAACUUAGUAAGCAGUUUGAGAUGAAGGAUUUGGAUGUAGCAAAGAAAAUUCUUAGUAGGAAAUCUUGAGGGAUGGAAAGUCUUUCAAAUUGUAUUUGAGUCAUAAUGGGUACAUUAAGAAGGUGUUUCAAAGGUUCAAUAUGUUGAAUGCUAAGGUUGUCAACACUCCCUUGGCUAUCCACUUCAAAUUAUCAUCUGGAUUGUGUCCUCAAUUAGAUGAAGACAUUGAUUAUAUGUCUCUGGUCCCUUAUUCAAGUGCAGUUGGUUCGUUAAUGUAUACUAUAGUUUGUACAAGACCGGAUUUGGUACAUGCAGACAAUACAAUUAGUAGAUACAUGGCAAAUAUUGGCAAAGAACAUGGGAAAACAAUGAAAUGGAUAUUCAGAUACUUGAAGGACUCAAUUAAUGCUUGCUUGUAUUUUGGUAAAAAUAAAGCUAGAUUUAUUGGAUAUGUCGAUUCAGAUUAUGCAGGAGAUCUUGAUAAAAGGAGAUCACUUAUAAGAUAUGUAAACACCCUUGGAGGUUGUGCUAUUAGCUGGAAAGCUAUUUUGCAAAAUAAAAUAGCUUUUUCUACAAUAGAGACAUAUAAGAAGGAUAUGCGGUUAAGUUGUUUGAUUGUUGAAAUCAGUGAUGGCUUGCAGAUUUCUACAGUAUAUGUGAUAAUUAGAGUGCUAUUUUCUGAUUAAGGAUCAAAUAUUCCAUGAGAAAACUAAGCACAUUGGUGUGAAGUAUCAUUUUGUACAUGAAGUGAUUGCUCAUGGUAAUAUUGUAGUGGACAAGGUUAAUACAAAAGAUAAUAAUGCUGAUAUGAUGACAAAUCUACUUUAUAUUGCUAAGUUUAAGCAUUACUUGAAUUUAGUUAGUGUUUAUCAUUAAUUUAGUCCAUUGGGUCUUGUUUAGAAGAGAAUGAAUGUUGUUUGCUUUAAAGAUGUGUUUUUGGAAUUUCUUGUAUUGAAAUUUGGUUCAAGGUGGAGAUUUGUUAUAAUGUGACCCAUGUUCUAGUGGGUAUAGAAGUCUUAGUUAAAGUAGUCUUGAAGAGCUCAAAAUUAUGGACCAAAAAGAAAACUUAUCACAUUUUUGCUAGCCUAACGCUAGUUGGCCGCUUGAGCGACACCAACAUGGCAGGGCCCUCUCUCCCUAUCACUCAAGUGACAGGAUUAUUCGGCCCAGUCUGUUUUAAUGCAUUUUGGACUCCUAUUUAUUUUCAACUUGAUUUCUAGGGUUUUAUAUAUAUGAGUUACAACUUCUAUUGUUUACAUAACAUUCAUACAAUAUCUUGGGAGCUCUAGAUCUUAGUUGAGAGCAUUGAGAUCUUAUUGUAAACACAACUAGUAUUGAUUAUAAUGUAUUUUGCCUCCUCUGCUAGUAGUUUUUUCCCAUCUUGGUUUCCACGUAAAUAUUGGUGUUCUUUAUUUUGUUCUUAUUUAUUUUAUUAUUGUCAUAAUCUUUCGAUCAAAUUCGCAACAGGUGGUAUCAAAGCGAUUCUGGCAUCUUGUCUAUUCAUAUCAAUAUAUACACUAGUUGGCUUUCACUAGCUAAAAUCGAGAUUGAAUUCCUUGUAUUUCUAAAAAUUAAUUAGGGUGAUUUAUGAGAUUCUUUCUAUUCACGUUGACUACCUAAAUAUUAUUUGUAUCUAACAAAUACAUCUCCUAUAUAAUUGUAUGUUAUUAUUUUGGCUAUGUUUGAGUCCCUUUUGUGUAAAAAGUGAGUUUUCUAAUAGUGAUUUUUAUGAAUAAUGUGUAAUUAAAAAGUAGAAAAAAAAUUUAAGUUUACGUGCAAAUUAUUCAUUUGAAGAAUAAUGGUUAAAAUUAAGCUUGAAGAAAAAUGAAUUUUUAGAAAAUGCAGCUCAAACAUGGGUUAUAUAUUCAUAACCUGACAUUUGCAAGAUUAAUUGCUCAAAAUUUUAAUUAUGAGAAUGAUUUUCAAGUUAUAUAAUAAGAAAGCUAGUGAGCAUAAAUUUCAAACUUUUAAUAAAUAUUAGUUAGGAUAAAAAAAAAAUGGUUUAACACUAUUAUUUAUUAAAUAUCUCCAAUUAAUUUUUGAACCAUUACUAUUUAAAAAAAGGGUUUUCCAUUUUAUGUCUAAUGAUACUAUUUUUCGUGGACAACGCUUCUACACAUUAUGUCAACAUCAAAGUUCUCCCUAUAUAGUUAGUUAGCUUAUGGUCAAAGCUUAAUAUUUCACAUCUACGAUUUUAAAAUAUUCAAUAUAUAUACAAUUGUUCCAACAUAGAGCACUAAGAUAGACAUUAAACCGUGAUACUAAUUAAAUUAUAAAGAUUUGUCGACUUCAUUUUGAUUACACAAUUUUCUUAGUAUUGGGAGGAGGUACUAAGAAGUUGAAAAUAAUAAACAUAAACAUAAGGAGGAGGUAUUAAGAAAUUAAAAAUUACAAACAUAAAGCAUCAUUUUAUUAUUUAGAUCAUUAUACAAGAUAAUGUGAAUUAAGAAUUUGAAAAGAUAAUUCAUUUAAGUGCAGUUACUCAUAAAAGAAUUUGACAAUAUAUUAAACAUUAUAUUUACAUGCUCCAACUCAAGUUGACGUCAUGGAGUAAGAAUCCAUUUACAUUAUACUUGAUAAAUCAAUGGCACGCUGAUGCGUGAUAAUAUUUGAUUCCAAGAUAAAAAUCUAAAAACAAAAUAAAAUAAAAAAAAUAGAGCGAAUAGUAAAGAUUUUCCCAUUAAGAUAUAUAUACUCUUGGUGAGUGUAUAACCACAUCAAUUUGUAAAACCGAAUAGAGGUUCAUGUAGAUGAGGUAUUGAAAAUUGAGAUAUCUCAAUAAAUUUUAUUAUUAUGAAUGGAAGAAACGAAAUUGAAAAGAAAAAGUUGCUAAAAACACUUUUGUAGAUGAUGCGGCAUGUUAUAUUAUGAACAAUAUAGAGAAUGUCAAAAAAAAAUUCAUCGAAAAAUACGGAAGUAGAAAUGAAUGGCUAAAAUAACAUGACAUAAUUCAGGCAAAAUUGAACGUAAUAGAGAUAUCUAAAGUUUUUGGACAUGCAGUUCAAACACCUAAACGUGUAAAGUUAAUUUUACAUAUGCGAAUAUCAAGUGAGAAACUGAAGUCACAAAAUAUAAUGCAUGACUCUUAACAUAAUAAAUUUUGGAAAAAAAUCGUAUAGAUAAAUUUUCAUGUGGAGGAUGAAAUCACAAAUAUAUAUCUUGUUAACCUAAUAUGCAUAAUAUCUAAUAAAUGUGGUUAUAAUUAACCCAUCGACAAGAUUAUUAAUACUAUUUUUUUAAAUAUGUUAAUUAUUCAAUAUGCUUAUAAUUCAAGUGAUAUUGUCAUAGGGAAGUAUAUAUAAUUUGUACACUUCUUAGUCUUCCCCUUUUUCUUUUUUUUUUUCUUUUACCAAGAUUGUAUCUCGUUGUUCUUCUCAAAAAUGCUCUUUUUUCCUCAUUAGAAUACUUUAGAAAGGUUCUUCCUAGUGAAAUUUUCACGAUGUAUAUUAUGUGUAAUGAAUAAUAAUAACAUACGUGACAUUUACUCUCAAUAUAACUUUAUGAUUUUACUCUCGUAUACUAUAAAUUGUAUAUUAGACUUCCGAAGGAAGAAUAAUAAAAUUUAUUUUUCAAUGGACCAUCAUACGGAAUGAAGUAAAAAAAUAAAUAAAUAAAUAUUAAUAUCUUUUAUGAAGACGAGUUUGCUUAAUACUAUAGCAAGACAAUAUUGAACAUAAUUCAUCAAAAUUAUAAUAUAAAUUUUUGGAAGAUGGUACAUUGAAACAUUGGCACAUAAUGAAAGACUCAAUAUAAGAAUUUUCAUUAGUACUUGUCACGAUACCGUACACUUACAGUUUAAGUGAACAAUAAUUCUAGGCAAUUUUUUUUAUAUAGAGGAACAAUUCUCUCAUUUAGUAGUCAGAGAAUUAAAGUCAUUCAUGAACUAUUUCUCUCCCAUUGAAAAGAGCGAUUGGCAUUUGCAAGAACUUUCAACAAAAAUAAAAAAAGAUGAGUACCCCCCCCCCUUCUUGCUACCACCAUCAACACCAUUUUUCGCUUUGAAUGGACCAAAACCAAAAAUAUUAUGAAUAGAAUGAAAGGAGAUAAGCUAGAAAGAAAGUUUAGUUGAAACUCAGAAAAAGAUACGUAGCUUGAACAAUAUUGAAAUUCAAUUUAGAAAAUAUAAAUAAUGAAAAUACACAAAAUCAAAGAUCACUCCAAAAACAAAAUCUCCACCCGUGAAUUAUUAUCAUGAUAAAUGAAUUCUUAAGUCCACAUAAACAAAGAUACGAUUUGAUGUUUUGUAUAAUUAAUGUGUAUAUAAAAUGCAAAUAAAAAUGAUUCUUUUUUCUUUUUUUGGUCUAGAAAAGAACAUAUUGUCCCUACCAUGAAUGAUUUUCAUUAAACAGAAACUUCAACUGUUUUUCGGCGGACUCUCACUUCACCAUUCAGUGUAAAAAAUAAAUUAGGAAUUCUUUAGUCAAUAAAUUUGCCAAAAAAUAAAAAAAGGAUUAUGAUGAAGGCAUCUUGACUAGUCAGCUGUUGAUUUGAUAGCUUAUAUUGAUGAAAUAGCUAUGUCGAUCUCUGUUUUAUAUUUUAGCUUAUAAAUUAUUAAGUCAUAUGAAUAUUUUAUAUGCAGUAAUAGAGAUGAUUGCUUAAAUGUGAAUUUAAGGGGGCAAAAAAAAAAUCAUCGAGAAAAUUGUAUUCAAUAAUUUAACAAUGGGAAUAAUGGUUGUAUGAAAAGGCGGAAAAGAUAUUAAGGCCUUGUUUGAGCUCCAUUUUGGGAGAAAAAAUAAAUUUUUGAAUAGUGUAUCAAUGGAAAAUGCAUAAUUAAAAAAUAAGGAAAAGUUUUGAAUUUGAGUGUAAUAUUAUUUUAUUAAAAAUGUGUGAUUGAUAUAAUAUCAAAAUACUGUUUAAGAAUGUAUCCCAAAAAAAAAAAGACUCAAACAAGGGUUAAAGUUUGAUAAAGAUGGGUAGGGACACACGAGUGUACUAAGUGCUCCAUUAGUCCAUUUCAGAGUUUGGUCGCUUAUUUAAGGUCAAAUUCUAAAUCUUGGAUGCAUUCUUUGGGUGGACAGGCUUAUCUUCCCCCACUUAGCACUCAAAAUUAUUGUGUGUGUGUGUAUAUAUAUUCGUUGCACUCAAACCCCAUAAAACAUUUAUUUAAAAAUGACGCGAGUAAUUAGAUGAGCAAAUUACAUUAGAAAAUAAAAUAAAUAAGAAACAUCUAUGAAAAUGUGCGUAACUUUCGAAUCGAGUUUCAGAUUUAUGCAAGCAAGUAAAAUUCAAAACACUUUUUUUCAAUUUUGCACAAUUUUUUGGGACAAUGUUGGCCGAAAGUCAAACUUUCGGGCUCAAAUUUUGUCGUUUAGAUGUCCAUUUUAGGAAUUUUCUAAUUUUAGUCCAUUAAAGGGCAUUUUCAUCACUUUACGCCUUAUUUUAGUUUUAUUUAGAUUUGUGUGUUGAAUUAGAAUUUCUCUUUGAUUAGGAUUUGUUUUGACUAGUUAAAUAUUUGUUAAGAGUUUGAAAAUUCUAUAUUCAUUUUUUAUUAAUAAUAAUUUAGUCUUCAGUUGCCUCGUUAUUUGAUGGAUUCUAAUAUAUCUCAAGUUUGUUCAAGUGCAAGUCGAACAAUAGUCGUUCAUGUGUGUUAGAUGGCAGUUCAGUCUCCAAAUAAAUAUUUCUCAUUAACUAGGACAUGGGUGCUGUUCAGGGACACCCAGUGAAAUUUAUCCUAUGAAUUGUAAAGUUGAUGUUUUGUACCAUGUUGAUUGACUUGUCAUUCUUUAGAGAAAAGAACAAGAUAUUGAAGCCGCUAAUGGGAAAAGUAGAAAAGAGAAUGUUUUCCCACUAAGUAUGUUUUGUGGGAUGACUUUGAAAUCACUGUUUCAUGCCAAAGAUAUUGGUCCCACAUCCAAGUAUCAAUAUUUUUAAACCAAUCUUUCUGAAUGUACAUAAUAAUUUAUAUUCUGAUUUACCGAAUUUAUACUUGGCAUAAUCUUACAACAUUUUUCACAUCUUACACAUUUAAUUCAACCAUCACAAUCUUACCACAUUACUCAUCUAUCAAUAAAGAUGUCAAUGUUAAUGUACAAAUAGCUAAUUGUCUUUCAACCUUACCCCUCAACACAAGUAUUGAGCAGAGAAAAAGAUAAAAGGAUAAAAAGAUUUAGCUCUUAUUUGGUCCUUAUUUCUGAGCAUUUAUUUUUUAAAAUUAUUUUUUAAUUAUAUAUUUUUUAUUAAAUUCAUUGUUAUCAAUUAAAAUGGAGAGAAUAAAAGCGAGUCCAUGUCCCAACUAGGUGAACCAUACCAAAGCAAGCUAAACCAUCUGCGAGCCAAAUCACAUACAAACUCGAAAUAACAUUAGCAAGCCUAUAUCGAUUUCACCAACUUUUCCACAUUAGCAAAAGUCAUUAUCAUAGUGCACGUGAACAAGCAUGGCAAGCAUGAUUUCACAUCCAAUGAAUAAAGAACAAGAAAGAUAACAUAUAACAAUUUCAUUUAUAAAUUAACUAAUCAAAGGUUGCGACAUGGCAUUAACCAAAAGAUGUAUUUACACCCCGCCCGAGGCUUUGAUAAGAAUCUAUAAGUAAGCGCCAAUUGAAAAAGAAAAGGAUAUGCAAAUUUGAAUAGCUUCCUCCCAAUUAAUCAUUUCUCCUCUUUCUCUUUAUUGAACAUAAGAUUAAUGAGUUUAGCAAGGAAAAACCUUGAUUAGGUAAGAGGAAUUUAUUAAUCAUCAUUUAGAGGUCAACAUCCACAAUUUUUAUUAACUAUUCAAGAAUACAUUUCAUCAACUUUUGUCAAUAUAUACUAAAAAUCUAAUUUUUAUUCAAAUGGUCAAGUGCUUAAUCAAAUUCGUAAAUCGGAGACUAAAAAUUAAGCCCCUAUACGGUCUGGCCAAAAAUCAAAUUUUUAAUUACUUUUGAUAAAAGUUAAUGGCAUAUAGAGUUAAAAAUUAAUAAAAGAUGUGAAACCAAUGAAAUGUAUGAUUAAAAAUAAAUUUGAAACAAAAAAUGAGUUAUAUAAAUUUGGAACAGCUAUAUUCAGAAUUCUAUACAUGUGUGUACCAUAAUUGUUUUCAACAAGUUUUAUCUUUUCCCAAUAUAAGACAAAGUUACAUCAAAACGAAAUGUUAAUGUUCCAUCAUGUUAAAAAUAUUCAUAGUAAAAUAUAUAUAUCAAGACUCAAUCGCACUUUGCAAGUGGAAAUACUGAUUAUAUUACUGCUCCAUCAUGUUAAAUUCGUGAUAUAGGCAACUAAAAAAGUAAGCUUGCUGCUCUUCAAUACCACCAACUAAAAAAAAAAGAAUCCAUUUCCGAUUGUUAGCUUCUAAAUUUUUUGGGCAUCCAUCUCAAUGUCAUUCCUGAUGCUCAUCAUGGUCCUAGCCAUUCAGACAAAGUGUAAAACUGAAGAUAAGUGGGCAGAAAUCGAAGAAGUUUUUGGAAUUUACUGUUAAAUGUGGCAUUAAUUUGUAAUCUUAGGAAAUAAGGUUACAUGCACUUGAAGAAAAUGUAUCAGGAAAAUACAUGAUGCACUUGAAGAAAAUGUAUCAGGAAAAUACAUGAUGCAAAUUCAUGAAUUAUUAGGUGUCCAUUUAUAUUCCCAUGUCUCUAGAGUUAUCCAUGUGGUCCUAUAAAUAGAGGUCAUUCUUGUAGUCUCAUUGUAAGAAAAAAAAAAAGAAAACAUUAUUGAGUGUGCUGUAGCAACUCAAAAACUAUCAAUAAAAAUUCAAGUUUUUCUUCAACACUUCGUUUCCGCACUAACAAAUUUGGUAUCAGAGCCAUAACUUGUAAUUGCAUUUUUUCAUGGCUUUAAUACAAACAGCUUCGUUGUUUACAUAUUCUUCCAGUCAAGUCCCAAUCUUCGAAGGCGAGCAUUAUGAAUACUGGAGCAUCCAAAUGCAAACUUUCUUCAUCUCCUUAGAUCUUUGGGAUGUCAUUGACGAUGAGGAGUACGAAGAACCAUCCGAAGACAAUGAAGAUUACGAAAAAUUGCAAAAAGAAUUUAAAAGAAAAGAUGCAAUGGCUCUCCGCUAUAUUCAACAAGGAGUCGGGAAAUCAAUUUUCCCUCGUAUCUUUGGUGUUAAUAAAGCCAAAGAUGCUUGGGAAAUAUUGAUGCAAGAAUUUCAAGGAACGGAGAAAACGAUCACCUUGAAACUUCAAUCCUUAUGGAGAGACUUUGAUAAUCUCCAAAUGGAAGAACGAGAAUCGGUUUGUGUUUUUUCUUCACGAGUAGCCGAGACAGUAAAUCAAAUCAAAAGCUGUGGUGACACAAUUACAGAUAAAAGAGUCGUGGAGAAAAUGUUAAGAUGCCUUCCUCCAAAGUUUGACCAUGUUGCAGCCGCAAUUGAAGAAUCGAAAGACUUGUCCAAAAUGACCAUUUAUGAGUUAACCGGGUCACUUCUUGCCCAUGAGCAAAGGAUCAAUCAUUCGAGUAACCAAUCUACUACCGAACAAGCUUUCCAAUCAAAGCAAACAUCAAAAAGAAGAAAAUAUUAUUGAGUGUGCUGUAGCAACUCAAAAACUAUCAAUAAAAAUUCAAGUUUUUCUUCNNNNNNNNNNNNNNNNNNNNNNNNNNNNNNNNNNNNNNNNNNNNNNNNNNNNNNNNNNNNNNNNNNNNNNNNNNNNNNNNNNNNNNNNNNNNNNNNNNNNNNNNNNNNNNNNNNNNNNNNNNNNNNNNNNNNNNNNNNNNNNNNNNNNNNNNNNNNNNNNNNNNNNNNNNNNNNNNNNNNNNNNNNNNNNNNNNNNNNNNNNNNNNNNNNNNNNNNNNNNNNNNNNNNNNNNNNNNNNNNNNNNNNNNNNNNNNNNNNNNNNNNNNNNNNNNNNNNNNNNNNNNNNNNNNNNNNNNNNNNNNNNNNNNNNNNNNNNNNNNNNNNNNNNNNNNNNNNNNNNNNNNNNNNNNNNNNNNNNNNNNNNNNNNNNNNNNNNNNNNNNNNNNNNNNNNNNNNNNNNNNNNNNNNNNNNNNNNNNNNNNNNNNNNNNNNNNNNNNNNNNNNNNNNNNNNNNNNNNNNNNNNNNNNNNNNNNNNNNNNNNNNNNNNNNNNNNNNNNNNNNNNNNNNNNNNNNNNNNNNNNNNNNNNNNNNNNNNNNNNNNNNNNNNNNNNNNNNNNNNNNNNNNNNNNNNNNNNNNNNNNNNNNNNNNNNNNNNNNNNNNNNNNNNNNNNNNNNNNNNNNNNNNNNNNNNNNNNNNNNNNNNNNNNNNNNNNNNNNNNNNNNNNNNNNNNNNNNNNNNNNNNNNNNNNNNNNNNNNNNNNNNNNNNNNNNNNNNNNNNNNNNNNNNNNNNNNNNNNNNNNNNNNNNNNNNNNNNNNNNNNNNNNNNNNNNNNNNNNNNNNNNNNNNNNNNNNNNNNNNNNNNNNNNNNNNNNNNNNNNNNNNNNNNNNNNNNNNNNNNNNNNNNNNNNNNNNNNNNNNNNNNNNNNNNNNNNNNNNNNNNNNNNNNNNNNNNNNAUGGAGAACGAAAGCACUACUUGAGCUUGUGCACUCGGAUAUUUGUGGGUUAAUGCAAACUCCCACUUUUGGAAACAAGAGAUAUUUUAUUCUCUUUGUUGAUGACUUCACAAGAAUGAUAUGGGUUUUCUUCUUCAGUCAAAAAUCUGAGGCAUAUUCCACAUUUCUUCAAUUCAAAGCUCAAGCAGAAAGGCAAAGUGGUUUUUUGAUAAAAACUUUAAGGAUAGAUCGUGGAGGUGAAUAUCUCUAUAAUCCUUUCAUGGAAUAUUGCAGAAAAAAUGGCAUCAAAAGACAAUUAACUGUGAGUCGAACUCCGCAACAAAACGGCGUGGCCGAAAGGAAAAAUCGCACAAUUGUUGAAAUGGCAAGAAGCAUGCUAAAAGGCAAAGGACUUCCAAAUCUGUAUUGGGCAGAAGCUGUAAACACGGCAGUAUACAUUCUCAAUCGGUCUCCAACAAAGGCUGUACGGAAUAAAACUCCAUACGAAGCUUGGAACAAAAAGAAGCCAAUGGUUGAUCACUUCAAAAUAUUUGGCAGCAUUUCUUAUGCUCUUAUCCCUUCUCAAAAUCGGGAGAAAUUUGACGAGAAAGGACAAAAACUUGUCUUUGUUGGAUACAAUGAUGAAUCUAAAGGAUAUCGGUUAUUAGAUCCAACUACAAACAAAAUUACAAUUUCACGAGACGUUGUUUUUGAUGAAGCUGCAUCUUGGGAUUGGAAAGGAAAAGAAGUUGUGGACCAGACACCAUACCAUUUUGUUGAUCCAUUAACAUUUAAAGCAGGUCCGUCACAAGUUGGAAAUUUAGAGCAUAAUCCAAACCCUACUCCAAGAAGUGAGGAAGAAUCUGAUCCAGAAAGCCCUCCAAGAAAGACACGUUCACUACAAGACAUAUAUGAGUCAUGUGAACUUGGGUUGUUCUCUAGGGAACCACAAUCAUUUGAAGAAGCCUCAAAAGAAGUAUGUUGGACAAAAGCCAUGAAUGAAGAAAUGUCCACAAUCGAGAAAAACAAAAUUUGGAAGCUUGUUGCCUUGCCAGAAGGGAAGAAAAUCAUUGGACUCAAGUGGGUCUAUAAAAUAAAAUACAAUGAAGAUGGGUCGAUCCAAAAGCACAUUGUUGCAAAAGGGUAUUCUCAACAGCCCGAAAUUGAUUACACUGAAACAUAUGCUCCGGUUGCAAGAAUGGAGACAAUUUGUACUGUUUUGGCACUGGCAGCUCAAUUGGAGGUAUGUGUUUAUCAACUUGAUGUAAAAUCGGCAUUCUUAAAUGGUGAAAUUCAAGAAGAAGUUUAUGUCGAGCAACCCGAAGGAUUUGAAAUCAAAGGACAAGAAGGAAAAGUCUAUCGUUUAUACAAGGCACUUUAUGGUUUAAAGCAAGCACCGCGAGCAUGGAAUAGCAAAAUCAAUAGCUAUUUCAUCCAAAAUGGAUUCAAUCGAAGCACNNNNNNNNNNNNNNNNNNNNNNNNNNNNNNNNNNNNNNNNNNNNNNNNNNNNNNNNNNNNNNNNNNNNNNNNNNNNNNNNNNNNNNNNNNNNNNNNNNNNNNNNNNNNNNNNNNNNNNNNNNNNNNNNNNNNNNNNNNNNNNNNNNNNNNNNNNNNNNNNNNNNNNNNNNNNNNNNNNNNNNNNNNNNNNNNNNNNNNNNNNNNNNNNNNNNNNNNNNNNNNNNNNNNNNNNNNNNNNNNNNNNNNNNNNNNNNNNNNNNNNNNNNNNNNNNNNNNNNNNNNNNNNNNNNNNNNNNNNNNNNNNNNNNNNNNNNNNNNNNNNNNNNNNNNNNNNNNNNNNNNNNNNNNNNNNNNNNNNNNNNNNNNNNNNNNNNNNNNNNNNNNNNNNNNNNNNNNNNNNNNNNNNNNNNNNNNNNNNNNNNNNNNNNNNNNNNNCAGUUUUUCAUGCCAGAUCGAAGCAUAUUGAACUACGUCAUCACUUCAUUCGAGAUUUGGUAAGUCGAGAAGAAAUUUGCAUGGAAUUUAUCAACACAAAUGAUCAGCCAGCAGACAUUUUAACAAAGACAGUCACAUUUGACAAGUUCGAAAAGAUCAAGAAAAAACUCAAGAUUACAAAUUAAGAGGGGGUGUUAAAUGUGGCAUUAAUUUGUAAUCUUAGGAAAUAAUGUUACAUGCACUUGAAGAAAAUGUAUCAGGAAAAUACAUGAUGCACUUGAAGAAAAUGUAUCAGGAAAAUACAUGAUGCAAAUUCAUGAAUUAUUAGGUGUCCAUUUAUAUUCCCAUGUCUCUAGAGUUAUCCAUGUGGUCCUAUAAAUAGAGGUCAUUCUUGUAGUCUCAUUGUAAGAAAAAAAAAAGAAAACAUUAUUGAGUGUGCUAUAGCAACUCAAAAACUAUCAAUAAAAAUUCAAGUUUUUCUUCAACACUUCGUUUCCGCACUAACAUUUACAAGGUCCAUUAGGUCCUUCUCAUCUAAAAUAGAUGACCAGGCAUUUUCUGCAGUAAUUUUGAACCAUGAUGAUAGAGAGCUCCUGCAAACAAGCUAGGUGGUACUAAAAUCUAGUCAAAAGAAGAAAAGAAAACUAGACUAGCGGUCGAGACCGGCAGGACCAUGCCAGGCCUUACUGCUUCAUCCUGCCUGGUUCAUCCUCUACCUGCCUCUAUCUGCAAAGACAUUACCAAAAAAUCUCUCCCAAGCAGCGUAUUACAACCCAUGAAUUAACAUGUUUGGACAAGGUUAAUUCCAAGGCCAAAAACAGGAGCGCCACAUGGCGGACAGCAGCCCUUUCAAUAGGGUGGCGCCCAUGUUGUUGGCCCUGGAAUUCACCCUGGCUGUCUAGCAGGGUUGAAAACCCAUUGAGGAGGGCCUUAGCCAAGGAAGGAGAGAGUGGCCAAGUGGUCAAAAGUGACAGACUCUAAAUCUGCCCAAGUCUACAGAACAAUCACCCAGAUACAUGAAAAACUCAUGUGCCUACAUUAUAGAGAUGUCAAACGGGCAAGGUCGCUGCCCUUCAAAGCAUGCUAAAAACACAAGGCCCAGUACAGCCCAUCUUGACACCUCUAUACGUGCAAUGUAAAAAAAUUUCCUUGGUACAGAAUUUUGAAAAACAAGUUCAUUGGGACCCAUCAAAAAAUGCAAUAUAUACAAUGAGAAAUGCUAUAACACAAUUGACAGAUUAACUAUAUCUUAUGAAUAAACAACCUUCACUUGGAAAUUUGUGCUUUUAUCAUGGUUACGUAACUAUUGCGUGCAAAUAUCACGGGGAAUUUCUGCGAGAUGCUUUUAGUUCUACAUUUAGUGCAAGGCUCAAGUAAGAAAAAAGAAGGAUUAGGUCAGAUUCUUAUUUGACAUCAGCUAUCUACAAUCAUAAGUUACAGUUGGCCGAUAAGAUACAUGUACAUUUGGCGUCAGUUGAAAGGCAAUAAGAUUCCAGAUAAUGUCGCUACCCCAGAAAACAUGUACAAAUCAUAGUGUCUACUUUCUGGUUAAUCUAGAGCAGUCUUCAUGAGAAAGUGAAGUCCUUGUGUCAUUUAUAAUCUUGAAUGACAAAUGCAUUUAGCGCCCGCUUGGUCCCCAUUUUAUUCUCAUUUUUCCAACUUUUGUCAACAAUAGUGGGCCCCCAAUCAAAAAAUCAAACGGCUCCCUGACAAAAAUUUGAGGCAGCAGCUUUUCAGACAUUUUGUUGAAUUUAGAAUUUUUGUCUUUCCACCUCUGCCCUCCAUCUGAAAUUUUAUUCCUUCAUUGUAGCACUUGUUGUCAACUGGAAUUUUAUUUUUUAAUUGAGGGCAAAAUGGUAAGAGAAAUUCAACGGCAUGGUACCUUGUUCUUUCAUUUCUGACGAUUUCUUCAAUGCUGUCGCCAUCAUCUACCACAAAAACUGUAGAAAAAUGAGAUAAGAUAGAAAAAUUGACAAGAACGAGCAUCAAACAGGGGCUUAAUAGGAUUCAACGGUGAAUUCCUUCGUGUAGAGACAGGCGGUACCCUUCUCAAGGACGGGGAUUAUUUUAGAUCCCAAUCUUCCACAUUCUUCGGUACAGAAACGUCAAAGAGGAAUUGACCAAGAACCCCACAAGCACUUAUGCUUGGUGGGCUAGAUAGACUUAUGUAAGGCUCUUUACGUUCAUCCUGCAAAGAUCCAAAAUCUCUACCCUCGUGAUAUUCUAUGGAAUUUGGAACAUAUAAGAAGUCAUUUAAGUCAAGGACAAUCCUCUGGAAACUCUGACUUGAUCUCUCUACGGCUUUUUUUAGAUUGGUCCAGAGAUCUCAUCAUGUGUGCCCUCGAAGCCUAUCUUCUCACCAUCAAGUUGCCGUAAUCUUCUAGAAUAAAUUACAGAAGCUUUUCCAAGCAGCUCAGUCACCGCAGCCUUUUAUUCGAUUGGAUAAUGCCGAAAAUGACCUGCACUACAAACAUAACAUGCAAAAUACAAUAUCAACAAAUAUGAAUUUUUCUAAGAUGCAAUAACAAAAACGUUACACGCCAAUGGUAGUUAGGAAAUCCUCCAAAGAAAAUCUUGCAUUACAGAUUUCAAAUUACUAGUGAUUUACUUAAAAGAAUUAUAUUCCAGUAAGUCAGCUGAUUGUCGGGGACCUAAUUUCGUUGCACCCAAUAAUUAGAACCAUGCAACCUUAACGUUCAAUAAUUUUCGCCCCUCACGAGAAAACGUUAAGUCAGUCUUACAACGCUCACAAAUAAUUUAACCAAUGAGGUUAAAUUAUAACUAUUUUGAGUAGAGAAUUUGUAGGAAAUAUAAGGAAAACAAGGUUGGGAGAACUCUCUUUAUAUAUAGCCCCCAUUUGGUUCUAAUUUUUCACCCAAAAAAAUCAAUUUUUUAACCGUUACUUUCCUAAGUCAACCGUUAUUUUAAAUUUCUUUACUCACAAGUAAAACCCACUUUUUCUCGCUAACAGUCAAAAAAUUAAUUCUCAAAAUCACUACCAAACAAACCCAUAAAUGAAAGGAAAACUUUACAAUUCUCUGAAGUAUUCAAACAAUUCGUUGCAAAUGAUUUACAAAUGAGACUACAUCUCUAUUUAUAGGCAAAACUUUGCAAGUUGUCUUGAAAUCAAUGGCCAAAAUUAAUUUUGAUUCAAGAGUCCUCAUUUGUUGCAAGUUACAUUAACCUCCUUUAAUCAAGUGGUAAUUCUAUACACUUUCCAAUCCAAGAUGCAUGUUACUUUCCAAUCUUAUGUUAGUUGACAUCAAAUGGCAUAUCUCUACAAUUCACAUGCAAUUGAAUAAGUCAUUUUCACAGUAGCCAAAUUGAACUUUAUUUCCUCCUUGACAUUAUCUUGCAAGUGGCACAAGUGGAUAAGUGGCACAAGUUGGCCAAGUUGUCCACUUGUGUCCCAAAACCAUUCGGCCGUAGCCCAUUGUAUUUCUCCUUCCCAAAAUAGUAGUUUUCAACUUAGAGAAAAAGAAAACACCCCUCCAUCUCAUCACUCAAUCAGCCAAAAUGGAUUCAACAUCUUUCUCAAAAGAUUUUGAGACAAUGAGAGGUGCCCUUUGUAAUUUGUUUCUCCCAAGAUCUUCCAAGUCCAACCUAUAUGGCUUCAACAUGCUUACAUGAAAAACUGGAUAAAUCUUCAAAGUACCCAAAAGCUAGUCAGUGGAAACUCUUCCAACUUUAGCCAUCAUGGGAAAAGAACCUUCUAACCGAGCCUUUAUUAACUUUGCGAUAGGCUUUGAAUUAUUGAGGCAACACUUUUACAAGUUCUUGAUCUCCAAUGUUGAACUCCAAUAGUCUCCGUUCAGAUCGACCCACUUUUUCAUACGUUUUCAAGCUUUCUCCAAGCAAGAUCUAGCUAAGUCCGCAUGAUCUCUCCAUGACUUAGCCAUUUUUUGUUACUCCGGGACUUCGAUCUACAUCACCAACCAUAUGCAAGGUAUGAGGCGUUGUGGGCUGUCACCCCGUUGCAAGUUCAAAAAGACUAUGUCCUAUGGAUUCACUUUUCUGCAAGUUGUAGGAAAACUGAGCUAUGUCUAUCAACUUCACCCAAUCCCACUGCUUAGCAUUAACAAAGCGCUGAAGAUAACACUCCAACGGUGCAUUCGCCCAUUCCAUCUACCCAUCCGUUUGUGGGUAGAAAUUGCUAGAAAAGUGCAAACCCGAUCUAAGGAGCUUAAACACCUCCAUCCACAAUUUUCCCAUAAAACUGGGAUAUUGAUCACUUAUAAUAUUCUAAGGCAACCCCCAAUACUUCACAACAUUUUUGAAAUAUAACCUUGCCGUCUCCUCCGCGGUGCAAUCUUUAAGGGCCGAAAUGAAAGUUGUAUUCUUUGAAAAUCAAUCAACAACAACAAUUAUUAAUUCGAGCCCUUCGGACUUUGGCAAGGUACUAAUGAAAUCAAUGACAACCACGUAUCAUGGUUGAUCAAGAACAGGAAGAGGAUCAAGAAGCCAACCGAUAAUGCAAGUAGACUUAGUCUAGGGACGCAGAUAGCCUGUUUUGGUAGAACGCAGGCUGGGGUACGGAGGAAGUUUUCCCAACACAAAAAUGAGGUUUCUCUAAGUUAAAAAAUUGCUAUUUUGGGAAGGAGAAAUACAAUAGACUGCGGUCGGAUGUUUUGGAGACACAAAUGGGCAACUUGUACAAUUUGUGCCAAUUGUCCACUUGUAUCACUUGCAAGAUAAUGCCAAGAAGGAAGCAAAGUUAAAUUUGGUUGCUAUGAAAGUGACUUGUCCACUUACAUGUAAAUUGUAGAGAUAUGCCGCUUGAUGCCAACUAGCAUGAGGUUAGAAGGUGACAUGUAACUUGCAUUGGAAAGUGUAGAGAAUUACUACUUGAUCAAAGGAAGUUAAUGCAACUAGCAACCAAUGAAGACCUUUGGAUCAAAAUUAAUCUUCGCCAUUGAUUCCAAGACAACUUGUAAGGUUUUGUCUAUAAAUGGAAAUGUCUCAUUUGUAAAUCAUAUGGAGUGAAGUGAGAUGAAUACUGGAGAGAGAUUGUAAAGUUUUCCAUUCAUUUAUAUAUAAAGAGAGUUCUCACAAGCUUACUUGUUUUCCUUAUAUUUCCUACUUCAAAUCCUCUACUCAAAGUUGUUAUAAUUUAGCUUCACUGGUUAAAUUAUUUGUGAGCGUUGAAAAGCUAACUUAACGUUUUCUCAUGAGGGAAAAGAAUUAUUGAACAUUAAGGCUGCACGGUUCUAGUUGUUUGGCUGUCCGUGACAUGAUGCUUACCAACUGAGAAAUGAAUUUAGUUAACAAGGUGCAGCGAGCCAUCUGAUUGCAUAUAACAAAGAAGGAAGGUUCAAAAACACGACUAUAUUUUAUUUCCAUGUAUUCUCAGAUAUGAAGCUUUAAUUUAUAUCCUAAGUAGCCAGGUUGAGAAGUAGAUGCACUAGCAACUGCAAUAAUGAAAGCAGUAGAGUGCAGAACAUGACUGAGAAUUCAAGGCAAUAGAGUGUCUCUAGGGCAAAUUUGUAGCAUUACAAAACAUUAAUAAGUUAAAUGCAUCAUACUUCAUCUAAACUAAUUCAAGGCAAUAGAAUGUCUCUAGGGCAAAUUUGUAGCAUUACAAAACAUUAAUAAGUUUUAUACAUCAUACUUCAUCUAAACUCAUAUUUUAUAAAUUAAAACAAUAUCAUUUCUAAUAGUUUAUUAAUAUUAGAUAAAAAAAUAAAAUAAAAUAAAAAAAGAGAAGGGAUUAAAAUCUCUAUGUAAGCUAUUCAUUUAGCAGGAGAAAUGUCAAAUAUAACAGUCUGCAAUAUACACAGAUAUUAUUACUUGGACCAGCAGUUCCUGCUUCAUUUGUCAAACCUAUAACCUGGGACAGGUUAUGGCAAAUGAAAAUAUGAAAUAAGAAUCUGACUUCAUCAUUGUUGCUCUGGCAAAAAUUGCACAGAGGCAUACUUGUGUUUGUAAGGUGCUGAAAAUUUGUAAAUUGGAAACCUCGUGUUAAAUUGCACGCCCUGAGUACAUAUGCCCUAUGAAGUGAAUUUUGUGUCCUUAGGUCAGACCUUUCACUGAGCCACUGAAAUACUGCAUCCAGUGGCCAAUACUGCUCCAUUUAAGCUAACACAAUUUCGUUCGCUCUUAUGAGCACUUAUUUCAGUCAACUGUGCAUAAAUAUAGCCUAAACAUCUCUUCAAAUUUUAUCUGCAUUAAGCCCAUCCCAAGAAAAUCUGACUGUAUAAUACGUUUAUAAGCAUACCUACGUGAGAUGAGUUAUUCCAUUUCCAUCAGCCCUGAGGUCUCUAAGCCUUUGGGUCAAAAUGCAAAUUAUCUGACAUGGAGCGAGAUCAUCAUCUCUUCAAAACAUCUCUUCAAAUUUUAUUUGCAUUAAGCUAACCCAAGAAAAUCUGACUGUAUAAGACGUUUAUAAGUAUACCUACAUGAGAUGAGUUAUUCCAUUUCCAUCAGCCCCGAGGUCUUUAAGCCGUCGGGCAAAAAUGCAAAUUAUCUGACAUGGAGCGAGAUCAUUUCUGGGAAAAAAAAUUAGGUACGAUGCCCCCCAUGCUCUGCAUAAAGAUAAUAAUUAAUCACUGAACAAUCAGUAGAAAGCAACUUGCCAUGGCAUUCCGUGUUUGGCACUUUGGCUAAUCUAAAGAAAUAGUUACCUUCUCCAUUCAUGUUUGCAUACUUACCUUAAGUGGAAAAGAAGUCACUUCUAUUUAAUUAACUCUCACCUUAUUGUCAAAUGAGUAACUUUUUCCAUCUUUGACCAUUAAAAUUUUAUUUAUAUUAAAACUUUUGACUUUACUUAUCAGUAAACUUAUUAAGAUUAACAAAACAUGCUGUAAAUUUAAUGGAUGCUUACUGCAGAGGAGUAAAGAUUCUGCCAAUACUCUGCACGUUGCGCUUCAAAUCUGCCAAGGAAGAAGGCAUCCAGACUGGACGAAAUGCCAUUUGCAAUCCAUGAUGCUAGGAAUGGGGCAGAGGACAUAUCGAGAACAGAUGGAUGAAGAAUAAAGCAAGUGGCCAAGUCACUUGUUAAAAUCCACUGGAGUAGAAUAAAAAAUGUGGCCAGAAACACAGUCUUUAACCGGUCGUAGUCGUCCUUCAGAUGAAACACGCCAUUAGAUAAGCCAUCACUUGUAUCAAGGUUCUUCAUCGAACAAUAUAGUAGAUAACCAUUACUAUUUCUUCUAAAAUGAGAAUAUAUGAUGAGUCAAUGACUAUGGUAUCCGAUUUUUGUUUGUUAUGGAGAAUGGUUAGAGCUCUAUGAUAUUAAUUGUUCAUUUUAUUGUCUAAUCAUGUCCAAUAUUGUGUAUGAGUGCUAAACUUUGGCCAUUAAGCAUCACGGAUGUUUUGACCAACAUCGGUAAGGAGAAACAUAUGCAUAAGCCAUCAACGGAAUGAGAAGAGUAUGUAGAAAGCUACAGAAACAUAUGUUACUUUUAGAAGAAAUGGAAGUAUGUGUUCACAAUUAUAUAAAUAAACAAGAUGUCGAGAUGAAUCAUUAUGAGAUAAAGCAUACCAUAUUGACCUGCUCUGGACACUUUCCUUCAAUUAUCUGCAACCAAAAGUAAAACAGGUUGCGUGUCAACUAUAGCUUCACAUGAAACAUUCAACAUCUGUGGUCUCUAAAAUGAUGAGUGUGAAUAAAUAUAAAAAAUUUACAAAUAUUUUAAGUUCCAGUUGUUGACUACGAGAAUGGCAUUUACCUGGUGAACCUUGUACGUGCUAGCUUUUGGGCCACCAGAAAAAGGCGCAAAGACAACUGGACAUGGCCUGAUUUUUAGCUCAUUUAAAUCAAAUCGAAAUAAAUAUGAGGAAAAGUUAAAACAACAACAUAUAUAGCAAAUUUAAAAUAUUUAGCCCCCGUUUGAGCCACAUUAUUGUAAAAAUGAGAAUGAAAAAUAUAGCUAUUAUGAGCCCUACACAAGAGAUAAAAAGUCAAAUGUGGUGGCUUGAUGUGAUGGAUAACGGUCAUAUUUUUCAUUUUAAUGAGGAAAUAAUGGGGCUCAAACAGGGCCUUAAUAACUAAGUCUAUUGUCAUUGUCAAAUCCCCAUCCCCAGGAUUACUUCGAAUAGUUUCUUUAAUGUAACAAAGAUACGACUCCAAGAGCAAGUCCACCAUUAUAGAUUAAAUAGCAAAAUGAACCACUCAACAAUUCAUGCUUUAUGGUAUGGCUGGGCAUUUGAACUAGAACUGUCGGUUUCAUUCAGGUUCCACAAAAAAAAAAAAAAAAAUUAGGAACUAGAACCUAGUACCAAAAAAUCAAUCAAAUAUAGGAUGGUUCUUAGUUCUUGAAUCAAAACCAUAUGUACGUGACUUUACAAUCGAAUUUAUCUAUUUAUAUAAGUUUUUUCAUUUUACAAUUUAUUCAACUUGACCUAAUGACCUGAUAGGAUGCAGAGGAAACGACGUGAUGGGAAAAAAGUUAGACCAAUGUUGAUUAUCAUGUUUUCAAAGGAAUGAAUUUUUUUUUUUUCUUUUUUGUUCAUCAUUUGUAGAAUCUAUUAAUUCCUUAUUGUUGGUUUCUAAUUUUAGGUUUGUUCUUUGGCUACGUGAUUUCUUUAUGCUCUGUUAGAUAUCAGAUGCUAUUUGAUGACAUAUUUUGUUAGUUAUUGGAUGUUAUUUUGUUGCAUAAUUGCAGUGGACUAAGAAAUCGUCGAAAUAUGUAUUUUGAUGCAUAUUUUAUUUUUUCUAUUUCAUCUAGAUAUUAGAAAGAUAAUUUGUAUUGUCGGUUCACGAUUUUAAAAAAAGAUACAUAUAUUAUAGGUAGAACCUUAUCCAAACCCAAAUAGACGGUUUGGGAUCAAGUCUGGUUUCUGUAACUAAGUGUACCCAAAUGGUUCUAUUUACAAAAUAUCCGAAGUAUAAUGGAUAGUUUUGAGUAUUAAACUACCCGUGCCAACCCAGUAGAUGUCCAUAACUAUUUUAUAAUUUUGAGCGUUGGGCUAUUAAAGGUAUGUCUAUAAGACGAAAGCGAAAAUGAAGAUGCUAAGAUUUGUUUGUAAUUAUACUAAAAUGGAUCUCAUAAAAAAAUGAGAAUAUACAGUAGUAACUGGCGGUGACACCGAUUGAUGAUAAAUUGAAGGAAGCACGACUUAGGUUGCAGGGUCAUGCUUUGAGUCUAUUUAAAAAGGCUAUAUUCAUAAGAACUGACGUUAUCUCAGUGGAGCAAAUUAAAAGAGAAGGUGGUAAACCAAAAUUAACAUGGUCAGUUGUAGUUGUAAAAGGAUCGAAUUGCUUUAGAUCCCCAAUAGUUCUCACAAUGAAUAACCAACUCUACAUUUAUCAGGUAAAAGGCUUAGUUCGUUGUUGUGUUUGCUUGUUUGCUGGAAGACCAUUUGCUGUCAAAUUUAUAACAGCUCUACAUUUCCAAACUUGGAAAGCUUUUAUAACCUCAAAGAAGUUCAGCAGAUUGCUUUGAUGCAGAGCUACUCAAAUACAGAUGGUGAAUACAGAUAAAGAUACUCCUUUAAAAAACUUCUUAUACAAGAUGCAGUUGAAUUUUAUAUGACUGACCUGGACAAAAUUGUUUAUAAUUUCUAGUGCCAACGAUGCUGCUUUGUCGGGAAAGAAUCGGCAACCAUACGAAAAUGAGAAUUGUAAACCGAAUAUUUGUAAAAGAAAAAAGAAAGCUAAAGGAUAGAGUAUGCUUUAUGUAAAUUAUUUAUCAUUCUGCAUGCACCAAGUUCAAGUACCAGCGGUCUAGACAGCAUUUAUAACCGAGAUAUUCAACCAUCCCUACCUAAGAUAUAAAUAUAGAUAUUUCUGAAGAUCCACUAAUGACAAAUUUUCCACUACUAAGACGACUAUGAUUAAUUACAUAUUCUUCAUAACAUAACAACUUCAUGCACAAUCGCUUGAAAUCUCGUUAAAGCCGUCUCUUCUACGAAGAAGGUAUUUUGUGUUCGAAAAUGAGACCCAUAUAUAAGAACAUUGCCAGAGAUGGCCCAUUGAAUUGGUCGCACCUAAGAACUGGAUUAUCAAUGCCUUAAGCGCUUUACAGAUUUGAGUUCUUGAUGAAUUUUCUCUCUCUAACUGUUGGUCGUUCACGUCUUUAUGAUUGAUGAGGACAUGUCAUUUGGGCCUAAGGUUUCUUAAAUUCUAUAAACCAAGAGAAAAGUUUCAUUUUAAAGAAACUAUAUUCUUCACAUUCAAUUUCCCCCCUGUAAAAAGCACUCUGAAAGAUGCUAUAACUUCCCAAACAGCCGUUCAUAUCUAUCAAAAUAUUUUUCUUUCCUUUGGAUACCAAAAAAAUAUUAGAACGCCGUCCAAGAACGAUAGACAACACAUGGUGGCCAAGUUACAUUAACUUACGGACAAACAAAAAAUCACUUUACAGCUCAUGCAACUUUUUACUCAAUUCUGCUAAAGAAGUAGGGCAAUCUAUUCUCCCAUCGCUGUUACAAGAUACCAAGUUGGUUAGGACAACAUCAAUCAAGACAAAAGUUGCAUGACAAUACCAAAAGUCCAGAUUCCUAUUAUUCAGACCCUCACUUGUUAAGGAAAAGUUAUAACCUAUAGAUAAUAUUAUUACUUCAAACAGCAAUUGCUCCAGUUGCACUAUUCCUCUUUCCUCCAGAAUACAAUUCAUCAAAUAUCCCAAUUGUAAUACUAUAUAAUAUCAAGCAUGAAUUCAAGCCCCUGACAAGAGUAUCCUGCAUAUUAACGUAAUCUUUUAUUACUACCUCAACCCACACAAAAAGAACAUCACAUCUAUAUGUGUUUAUCCAUUCCAUGGCCCUCAGCCAGCAUUUUGCAUUUUUUUCAGUCAAGAGUUUCAUUCAAAGUAAUGGUUCCUCCAAAAAAAUUGGAUAAAAUUUUAUAAACUCCAUCAGCUCCAAUCACCUUAUACAUCACUCGGUUCAAACUCAUAAUUUAAAUUAAAGUCAACCAAUAUUCACUAAAUCCCAUGUAAAUCCAAUCCAGCAGAAACAUAUCCCAAAAUUAUAUUAGUGUUUUAAAAAUCACUCUACUAAUUUAAACCUCCCAACAAAAAUCGAAAAACAAAUUCAUAUUGUGCAGCAUAAUCAAGAAACUCGGAAAAAGAAGAUAACACAAUCAAGAAACCAUAGGUCCAAAAAAAUAAAAAUAAAAGUAAAAUAUCACAAACUCACAAAAUGUUGGAAGAUUCAGAUCAGAAUCAGAUUCUAAAUCGUGAAAUUACCAAAAAAAAAAAAAUGGAUGAUGGGAGGGGAGGAGAGAGGUUAAUCUUAGAUUAUAGACUGAGGAAUUGGGAGUGGCAAAUGAUGGAAUUCCAACCAAGAGGGGAAAAUAGAUCAACAUAAUUCUUCAAGUGCUUAUCCUGACUUGAUAUCCAUGAAAAUACUACAAUUAUGCCUUCCACUUUCCCUAUUUCUUCUCCACCAAUAAUACCUUCCUCCAAACCCCCCACAUCUUUUCAAUUUCCUCGAGGAGAAAAAAAACAAUUUCCUAGCACAAUUUUCUGACAAUAAAGAAACAAAUCCCUUUGAACAAAAAGGUAUUUAGCUUUUAAUUGUUUAUUUGUUCAUGUGGAAUAGAUUUUUUCAAGAACUCAUCCGAAAUUCUAAUUGGGGUGUGCCCAUUUCUGCUUCUUAUGGUCUUUCUUGAAAAUUAUAAAGAAUGGAUACUUGUUUUAUGAGAAUUUAUGUGAUGGUUUUAAAUAACAAAAAUGCUACCUAUAUAGCCUAUGCUGUACAUUUUGUUUGACAGGUAUCUCAUAAAAUGUAGAAGUCGUGAUUAUUUUAAUCGUGGGAACUCGUGAUUAUUUUGAUCGUGGCCCCACUUCCUCAUGUGAGAAGGCUAUCAACAAUGCUGUGAAAGAAGUUGUAAUUGUAGCACAAUUUUAUAUAUAAUAACUUGGCUGUGUCGACUUGCAGUUGUUUGAGUUGUAAGGAUUGUAACGAGCAAAGCUUUUUGUAGAACUCAUAUGACCCCUUUGUUAUUUUUGUAGUAUUUUCGAUUGGUGAUAUUCUUUCAAUUUGAGGCCUUGUUACAAGGGACACUUUUUCAAUUCCAUGCUAUUCAUGCCCUCUCAAUCUGAGAUAAUUUUAUAAUUUUUAUUAAGAUUGUUCUUUCAAUCCAGUGUGUGUGUGUGUAUCUUAAUUUAGACCUCUUGUCAACUAGGUGUUGGUAGGAGACGAGACUCUUGCCUCACCCGAGUACUGGUACGAUCCUCUAUAGCUUGAUCUUUCGAGAUUCACAGCAUUUGCAUUGGUCCCACAAUAGUGGUGUCACUCCCAAGGAGACCUUUUAGCCAUUUUUCUUGGCAUCUAAAUCGUCCCUCUAUUUAUUUGGUCGUGAAUUUGCUUCGAGUUCACUUGCCUUAUCAUUUCCUAAUAGUGGAUCUCCUCUUUGAUCAAAUCUACAAAUUCAUCGUACAUUUUGGGUGCUUGAUUGCGAACAUCUCUUCAGAAAGGGAUAGUCACGUCUAAAUCGAACAUCAAAGCCUGAAAAGUUGUAUCUUGUCGAAUGCUUUUUACAUCAAAAUGAAACGGUUGAGACAGCAUAGCAAAGGUUCAUCAAGAUCCUGCCUAACAUCAUGGAUCUUCCCAAUCGGGGUCAAACAUUUUCAUGGUGAACAUAUAGACGAAUUGGUCUUUAGGUAAGGGAACUAUCGAUGCUACCUAGUGAAAGCUUAUUAUACUAUUUUCUAGCUCCUAUUGAGAGUGUAACAUGGAAGUCUUGUAAUUUGUAUAUUGAGCUUGCCCUUAAGAAGUUUAUGUACAUGUUAUAUUCCCAGACAUGGUUUGAGGGAAAUUUUCUAGAUUUUCAGCAUGGCAAAUUUUGGGAAGGCUCUUUAACGCUUUGAUUAGCUUGGUAAAAGAGAUACAUGUCAUAGCUCAUCGCCUUUGGCCAAAACUGCUUGCUCCCCACCCCCUUUUUCGAGAGCACAUAGAGAAGGUUGGUCCUUUUAUUUGAUGAACUUAUUGGGUUAAUCUUGCCCAACUCUUUUACCACAUCCUCUAAGGACCUCGUCCUAGAUGACAUUGAUGCCUUCCAGCCUAAGAUACUACCAGGCUUUGAAGAUCUAUGCUCUCACUCAUGAUAAGAUGCUUGAUUUCCCAAAAGUGGUGCGUAGGUUGCUUGAUUGGAGGAAUUUGAUGUGUAUUCUCUAUGCAUAGAGCCCUCUACGUUGCUCUCACAUUCAUUCUCUUGGAGAGGCGGAAUACCUUUUCUUGAUGCAUCAAGAGUUGCCUUAUAGUAACAUUUUCUUUAGCAAAAUGUUAAAUGUUGGCCGCCAUGUUGCUAUAGCUCGAGUUAGCUUAGCCACGGUUCUUUAUGGAUUUGGGUUUCUUCUCAAAGUAUUUCUUGUUGAAACAACAUGACUUUCAUUCUAGCUCCCCUCGGGUUCUCAUCGCUGUUUGAUCCACUUUACUCUUCUUCUUUUUUUUUUACUUUUCUUGCUUCUCGCAUAUUCUCUUCUGGAGCUCAGCAUUCUUACAUCUUUGUUUAGAAUCUACUUCUUAGUAAAAGAUAAAAUUUUGUGGAUAUCAUUUGCAUGCAAAUAAUUAUCGAUGCCGAGUUCCUAAAUUCAUCAUCACUGAUAUUGGAAAACUCUUUUACAAUAGUCAUAUAAAUAAUCUUUGCGCCAAGUUUGGGCUCAAAAAAUACAACCCAUACAUGUACAAUGCGAAAACUACUUUGUUGAAAAAUAUUGUUUCCAAUUUAUUAGGAACUGGCAUGAAAAAAAUUGAGAAAGUCUUUGGGUUUGUCACACUACUUACUGGACUCAACAAAAGUUACUCCUUAUAUCCUUGUGUAUGGAGUGGAACAUUUCCUUAUAAUGUCAAAUUUCGUAAUUGUAUUAGCCAUCCAAGAAGUUUUGUUGAUGAACGAGAAUGUUCCUUUUUUGACUUGAGGAGUUUGCAUCUUUGAUUGAAAAGCGAUUAGAGGCAUAAAUGCUUCGAGAAUGUUAUCAAGCUCGGAGGGCAAAGGGCUUCAACAAAAAUGUGUAGCCAAAAUAAUUCUAAGUUGAAAAUAAUUAACUCCGAGAGAAAUUCAAACUUCAAGAAGAAAAAGAAGCUUGGAGAUUGAACACAAGAAAAUUUCUCCAGUGCAAGGUCAAAAGUUUCAAGAAUAAAGUCUUCUUCAAAUCAAAAUCAAAACAAACCCCCCAAGUCCCGAAAAUUCAAGUCAAGCCCAAAUCCUGAAGAUUCAAGCAAAUCAAGUUUCCAAUAGACAUCAAAGUCUAAGAUUCAAGCCAAAUGAUCCCGUAGUCUUCAAUACACUACUCACUAAUUAGAGGAUUGUGAAUUUUGUAGUCAUAAGAAAAUUAUACACUUAGUAAUUUUCCAAAAUCAAUUUGCAAUAUUUUUUAUAUCUUGUAUAUGAAAAUUGUUGUACAUGGCCUAUUUCGAUAAAUAAGAUUUGUGUGCGGACUUGGGCAAAACAAAUGUUACAUAUGUGCAGUUGAAUAAUAAUGAUUUGUCACUUAAUUUGUACUACAGAAGUUUGAUCUUCUACAACCAAUGGAAAAAAUAAAAACUUUUCACUGCUGAAACGUGAGAUCGAUUUCAUUGUUUUACAUGCAUAAUUGACGCAUGCAACAGUCAAUACAUGAAGUCAUCAUGCUCAUAUUGCAAUCCAUGAAUGGUACAAGUCUCUAUCGAUGUAAAGUAAAGACAUAAUAUGUUAUACAAAGGCAUUCGAAAGCUUGUAAUGUGAAACUUUUGUAUGUGUGUCAUCAUUUAUAAGGACACGGCCUACUCCAGAAAUUGACAAUUAAUUGCCAUGAAUAAUGUUAUUUGCAUUUGCUCACUACUGCAAUUAACAUACAUGUAACGGUUAGUGAUUUAUUGUACAAAGUAAUAAAAGACCACCACAUUGAUGUAUCAAAUCACUAACCACCAUAUAUACGCCACAUAGAACGAUUACGACAGUGAAUGACUGCAUAUAGCAUUACGCAAUUGCCAUAUAUCAUCUUAGUUGAAAGUUGGAACAACCCGAAAGCAAACUAUAUAAUUACGCAUUGAACUGUGUAAAACUAUAACUAUUAUAUUAAAUUAAAAUUCCAUCAAAUUAAGAGGUAAACAUUUAAUGAUAUUUCGACCUAAAAAAUUGAUAAGCUUCGGGAGAAAACAUGAUAUUAAUAAUAUUAAUUAAGAGGAAAUUACAAAAAAAAUGUCUAUUUUGAAAUAAUCGUUUAUAAAAAUGUCCAAAAUUUUUCAAUAUCUACUUUUGCAAUUAUUUGGAUGAGAGUAUCACUAAGUACCUUCCAUGAAAAACUACAUUAAAAUGAUGUUCUCGAUAUUUCAAAUGUUGUUCUCGAUAUUUGAAUCUGUUUAUAUUUCAAAAGUACACAUAUUAAAUCAAAAUAUUAAAUGUUCUCGAUAUUUCAAAUGUUGUUCUUAACAUAUUAAAUAUCUAGAAUGACAUUUCAUUCCAAAUAUGACAUUUCUCUCCAUUUUAAAUGUUGUUCUCAACAUUUCUGUGUCUAGUAUUAAUUGUGAUUUGACAUGUGCAAUAUGAAAUUAUUUAUUCUUCAUUAAGGGUAAAAUAGAGAAUUUGGUGUCAAAUUUAGCCAUUUUUGUAAAGAUUAUCAAAAAUGAACAUUUUUAAAUUGACAUAUGUGAAAUUGGACAUUUUUACAAAUGUCCCAUUUAUUAAUUGGUCAAACUUCAUGAUCAUCACGUAACGAAAACUAUCUAUUGUCUAACCAAGGAUGACAGAAAAUAAAAAUUGUCUCGUUUAAUAAACUUCUAGCUGGUGAAUGUAUCACUUGAUUAUAAUUAAUGUUAUAUUAAAUAAUAAAAAAAUUCUAGUAAGACCAAAUGUUCACGUAGGACAUGACUAUUCUCCAAUAGUUUUUUUUUUUUAAUUUAAAAGAAAAAAAAAUGUUAAACAUGCUACGUUGAGUACCAGAAAUGAUUAACAAUUAUUAUAGUGUGCUUAAGGGCCCAUAAUUAUUCUAACUUUUGUCACUUGCUGAUGCUUUUGACCUCUGCGAAUCAUUUUUUGAACAAUGAAAUCCAUAACAUAAAGGUGAUUAAGUGAGAUGGAGCCUUAAACGAAUCCCGGUGAGCAGUUGCAUUAAUUAAACACGUGUGUGUGCAGAUAGCUGUACAUUUGUCCUUAAUCUAUUUAUUGAAUAGCAAGUUUUUAUUUUUUAUUUAUUUUUUAUUUUUUAUUUUUAAUGAAGUUGCACAUCAACGACAAAAAUUGUCCAAAUCUUCAUUAAACCACACAUGAUCCUCACAUUUCUAAAUUUUAACUUCGUAUAAUUGAAUUGUGUUUUGCAAAUUGGACCAAUAUUUAAAUGGGACAUGUUUGUUAUUGGAGUUUUUCAUGAUAUUUGUACUUGAUUUUAAUUUGUUAAAUUAUACGGAAGUCAACGUAUAGUUGACUAUCUUGGUAACUAUGGCUUAUGCUCAUCCAUUACAUAUAACGUUUUGUGAUGAUAUUAGGCAUUUAACACAUUUGGCCCCAAAAAGAAACACAACUUUUUUUACAUUUAGAUGUUCAAUAUUUAAUAAAAUAAUUAUAUAUUUUGUAGGUAAAUGGACACCUUGAUAAUUUUGUAAUUAAUUUUAUUAUUAUCGUUUGAUGUUGAGACUUCAUAUUAAAUAAAGAGGAAAUUUCACAAAAUGUCCAUUUUUACUUAGUCAUUUGCAAAAAUGUCCAUAAUUGCAAAAAUGUCUAAUUUGGAAGAAUUUAGACCAAAAUACCCUUAGUAACAAUUUAUAAUUCCACACUAAGACAAAAAAGGGACAUUUUUGCAAUAUUGUUAUUGGUCAGUAAAAUUUUGACACAUAACCUGUCAUAUUUAUUUCAAAAAGUAUACAUAUCAAAUUACAAUAAAUGCUAUAUUUUUCAUUGAUUCAGAAAUGUAGAGAAACGCCAUGUUCAAAAUGAAAUGUCAUUCUAGACAAAUGAAACGGUGUUCAAAUGUCGAGAAUGACAUAUGAAAUGUCUAGAAAUAUUAUUUUAAUGUAACUUCUCAUAGAAGCUACUUCUCAAAAUUCGUGACAAAUUGAUAAAAAAAUCAAAUGUCGAGAACGACAUUUAAAAUGUCGAAAAUACAAUUUCAAAAUGUAGCUUUUCAUUAAGGGCAUAAUAGACAAGUUGGCACUAAAUUCGAAUGAGUGGACACUUUUCAACUCAUACCUUUAAAAUUUGACAUUUUUAAAAAUGCCCCUUAAAUACAUGUUUCUAAAAUUUAUUUUCCAGCAGCACAAUAAAUAGUCACAUUGCUCACAAUUAGAAUGGUCAAUAAAUGUAGUAGCGUAAUGCACUUUAAUUCUUCACAGAGAAAUUUUACUAAAUAUAAAUUAAUAUAUAGUUUCAUCAAGAAUAAUAUUCUUACCAUAUGCAUCGUGUCUUACUCACACUUAAAAAAUAAAAAAUUGGGAGGUGUAGUUUGGUGAGCCAAUCACGCUUAUGGAUUAAUACCACUUUAUAAGUUUUGAAAAGAAGUCAAACCAUUCUCUAUCUCAUAUAUGAAGUUGAGAUUCUCACUCACACUUAAAAAAUAAAAAAUAAAAAAUUGGGAGGUGUAGUUUGGUGUGCCGAUCACGCUUAUGAAUUAAUACCGCUUUAUAAGUCUUGAAAAGAAGUCAAACCAUUCUCUAUCUACUAUAUGAAGUUGAGAUUUGACAGAAAAUGGAAGAUAUGCAAGUAAAAUUUGUUAUUCGGCUCGAUCCUCAACCUCCAUUUAACUUGGUCUUUGUGCAAUCAUGUCGUCAUCUUAUUAUGUUCAUCAAUUAUGCUUACACAUUUUUGGUAGAGCUCCACAUCAUUAAUGGAAGUAAAGAUUUUAUUUUAUAAGUUUUGUGAGGCCUAUGAUCAAGUACCAACAUGGUGAAGUGAUAGAAUAUGAUCCUAAUAAUUGAAUUUGUAAUCUGACUAUGAAAACCCUCAUCCGCAUGAAUACUUUCUUUAAUGUAAAUUCGAUUUGUGUUUAAAAUGUUCAAUUUUCAAUAAUAUAUUAUAGUCUUUCGAACGCUACGCCAUGGCCAAGUGAGGGAAUGCAUUAAGCACAUGAUAGUGCCUGCUUCAGCGAGGAAAGAAUCCAUUUUAUUUUUAUUUUUUUGGCUUGUUUAACAUAACUUUUUGUUUUUACUUUUAUUUCUGCUUCCUUUAGAAGAGUGAGGUUUUUGUUUUUGUUUUUGUUUUUUGAAAUUACCUUAAUUUUCAGUGGUGAAACAAAUUUAUGAUUAUGAUCAUCUUCAAAUGCUUUAACAAUCUAAUAGCCACCUUCAAUGUCGUUUGAGAUUCGCAUGUUAGCCUUACAUCUACCUCUAACCGUUGAGCAACUUUUUCCUUUUGUAGAACCCUAUAUCUGACAAUUCUCUAUUUCACUUAAUCCUUCAAAAAUCUUCCUACUAUAAUAUUUUCUUUCAUGUGAGCACACAAAUUUAAUAAGUGUAAAUUCAUUUAUACGUGGGUGUUACUUAACUACUGUUUGAGUACGAAUCCAUAAACCAUUUUGUCGUCCAUAGUCUUCGUGUUAUGCCCUUGCUUCCUUUGCCGUCUUAAAUUUCAUCCCAAUGUAAGGCGCUUUGCCUUGUAUUGACGAUAACCCAAUCUCAUCAAAUUGAUACGCAUGUACAUAAUUACCACAAUUGGUUGCACCCAUCUACAAAACAAUUUUGAAAGAAUCAAUCAAUGAUAUUGAUUGCAUAGAAUUACCGAUAAUCAAAUUCAUUGUUGAAUAACUCGUACAUAUAUUUUCUUAAACAAAUUGUAGCAUACUUAAUUUUUAAAGUAUUCCCUGUUGAAGUAUAUAAUAACAUUUAUUAACCAUUUUAUUAACACUUCAAGCUAGUGAUAGCAACGGGGCGGGGUUAACAUUUAUUAAUCAUUUUACUAACACUUCAAGCUAGUGAUGGCAACGGGACGGAUUCGGGGCAGGGGGCUCCCACCCAGUCUUGCCCCGCCCCAACCCCACCCGCUCCGUUUAGGCGUGGUUGGGUUCGGGGUAGUUUUUUGCCCCAUUUACUACCCCAUUUAACUUUUUUUUUUUUUACACAUUUUCAAAAUUUAGAGUUAUAUUAUUAAAUUAUUAAAUACAAAUUCAAAAUUUAAAAAUUCAAAACAAAUAAUGCUCAAAUUAAAAUCAAUAUUCAAAGAAACACUUGAAAAAACAAUAUCCAAUAUAUUCACAGGGAGGGUUCGGGGCGGGGCAGUCUCAACCUAUCGGGGCGGGUUUUUUUGCCCCAUUCAGGACCGGGGCAUGGCGGGCGGGGUAAAUUGUCAUCUCUACUUCAAGCAAAUUAAAACUCAAUUAUAACCUUUAAAUCACAGAUGAAUCAAGCAUUAUGCUGAAAUUGAUGCAACACUACUCAAACUGCAUGAUACAUUAUGUGGAAAUCAAAAGAAAAUAAACACGGAUCCUUUUCCCACCAUUCAUGAUAAAUCAGAUUUGGAUAUUAGAGGAAAAUCAGAUUCAAGAACAUGAUAUAACACAGUUUUGUAGAAUGAUCAAAAUAACAAAAUCGAAACCUCACGUGAGAUUUUGGUUGAAAAACAGUUAACCGCUUACAGAAUCAUACCUAAAAAAAUUACUUCAGUUCUUAUUCUGCUUUCUCCUAAAUAAAUGAUUUGAUGACACAAUAGGAAUCCUCUAAAAAUUUAUACAUGGGCAAAGAAAUUCUUUACAUGCAGUGAUGAUUUGAAGAUUCAAUUUUGUGAGGGAGAUGAUGAAUUUCGGUGGUGAUGGAGAAUGCAUAAGAUGAUAGAAAAUCAUGAUGUUGUUGAGAGAUUUUAGGGAUUAAUAUAAGGUAAUUAGGGGUGUUUGGAAGUAAGAUUAUGAAUUCUUUCAUGUUUUAAUAUAUAAACUCCUAGCAUUGGAUUGAUUUUAAUUAAAGAUCACGAUUAUUUGUCAUAAAUACUUGUCAAAUUAAUGGGUAGACUUCCCUAUGCUCAUCAGAUAUGAGCCGCUGGUGAAUUUGUCGGAUAGACAGAUCUUUGUGAAAUUGAAUCAAUUGCUUAGGUGAUUGCCCUUUAGCCCUUUGUUUGACCAAAAAGACUCCCAUGAGUUGGAUGGGCUAAUGCUUAAAGAUAAAUUUCAAGAGAUUCCCUAUUUUAAUUUUUGAAAAUAGAGAGUGGGUAAAUAUACGAAGAAAUUAAUAAAUAUUUCUUGAGAAAAGUAAAAGAAGAAGACAAAAUAGAAAGUAUUAUUGCAGAGAAUAAAAUUUAGACUCUCUAUAUAAUGCAUAAAAAAAUUUUUACAAAUAAAAAGUUUGUUGAAGUUGAUCUAAUGAUGGUAUAAAUGAAAGAUUUGGAUAAAAUUUGUAAAAAAAAUAAAAAUAAAAUAAAUAAAUAUGUUGUAAAUGGAAAGUCCAUUAAAGUUUAUUGGUGAAUGACAUUUGUACCCCUGUAACCCUAGAAAUUAUUACCAUUGUAUCCCUAAUUCUUACCUAUAAAUAUAGGGCUUUGAUUUUCAAUAAUAUACACAAAAAGUUUAUUGAAUUUUCUCUAUUCUCUUUGAGUUUUCUCUAUUCUCUUUUCCUCUCAUUUUAUAACACGUUAUCAGCAUGAAACUCUUAGAAGAUAGUAAUUUUUUUUUUCAUAAUCAUCUAUCACGUAUAUCAAAAUUAAUUUGAUAAUACGUGAAUUUUACAUAUACAUAUGUUGAAUCUGCAAUACGUGAUCUCAUCUUUCUCGAUCAUUAUGUUUUCUUUGUACCUCUCUUUGAAUUAAUUAAUUUUUUUUCCUUUACAUCAAUCCACGUGCAUUUUUAUGGAGAUAUAUUUAUGUUAAGUCAAUUGAUAUGUAUUAAUUCAUGUUCCUAUACCCUCCUUGUAUUUAGAUUAGUCCUUUACAUUCUACACAUGCUUAUAAUUUUUUUUGGUUUAAUUGGUCAAUGUUCUUUGUAAGCAAGCUUCAAUUCCAGAUCUCUAUUUUGGCUUAUUCCAUAUAUAUAUAAUAUACAAUUAACAAAUAACUGUACCCAACUCAUCUUUUCUCUCAAAUCCAUUGGUUUCUGCAAAUUUCAUGCUUUAAUUGGUUAAUACUAAUUCAAUUCUUUUAAUUGCACAUAAUUAGAAUUUCAUGCCAUAAUAUGUGAAUAGGUGUCUACAUGUCACCAAUUUUUUUUUUGUGUUUCACUCGACUCACGUUAUUAAUUGAAAAUAAUAUUUUACAUGUGUUUGUAUAUUAAUUAAUGGUGAGCAAUUGGAUGUAUUAUCAUUUUUUUUAUGUUUAGUUAUGAAACAUUACAUUAAAUUUAUUUUUAAUUGUUGUUACUCCUGAAGUAGCACAACAUUAUAAUUAAUAUUCUAGAAGAAUAUUAAUCAUAAAUCUAUUCGUUGUUGCUCCAGAAGUAGCACAACAUUAUAAGAAUAUUAUUUACUCCUGAAGAGUAUAAAUUAUAACUCUCAAUAUUCCAGAAAAAUAUUGACAUAUUGCACUUGAAGAAAUAAUAGCAAAAUAUAAUGUACUUCAGAAGUAGCAUAUGUUUCGAAGAACAUAUUAUUUCAAAUUAGUGUUUAUCCCUAGAAGAAAACACGUAAUUUAAAGUCAUGUUGAUAUUGACUAUUUGAUUAACUUGUGAUGAUUAAUCAUAUUCUUCGAAACUAAUUAUAUUUUUUUAUUGUGUAGUUAAAUAAAUGGCAAACAUUACGAAACUUGAGUUUGCUGCACUUGACAUAUCUGGUAAAAAUUAUCUGUCAUGUAUACUGGAUGCUAAUAUCCAUCUCGUCUCAAAGGGUCUGGGAGAGACAAUAAAAGAAGGAAACAACGAAUCCUUGCAGGAUCGUGUAAAAGCACUCAUUUUCCUUCGUCACCAUCUUCACGAUAGAUUAAAAAUUGAGUAUCUCACUGAGAAAGAUCUACAAGUUCUUUGGAAAAAGUUAACUGAAAGAUUUGAUCAUCAAAGGACUAUAGUCCUCCCCAAAGCCCGUUAUGAGUGGAUGUACCUUUGUUUGCAAGUCUUUAAAACGGUUAGAGAGUACAAUUCUGAAUUGUUCAGAAUAUGUUCAAAGUUGACUUUGUGUGGAGAAAAAUCACUAAUGAAGAUAUGUUGAAAAAAACUUUCUCCACCUUUCAUGCCUCGAAUGUGCUCCUGUAGCAGCAAUAUCGUGAGCGUGGCUUCAAAAAGUACUCAAAACUUAUAUCUUGCCUAUUAGUUGCUGAACACAAUAAUGAAUUGUUGAUGAAAAAUCAUGGAUUACGUCCAACUAGUUCUGUACCAUUGCCUGAAGCAAAUGGUACUACAUUGUCUGAAGCAAAUACAAUAUCAAGACAAGGACGUGGAUACGAAUUUGGAGGUGGACACAAACACGGACGUGUACGUGGAAUAAAUCAUGGAAGAAAUAAUCAACAAAAUUAUCAACAACAAGGUAAUAAAUUCAAAAGGCACAAAGCAAACGAGAGUGACAAAUCUAAAAAAGAGCAUGAAGAAAGUUGCUUCAAAUGUGGAAUGAAAGGGCAUUGGGCACGUAUGUGUCGUACCUCAAAAUAUCUUGUGGAUCUCUACUAGAGAUCAAUCAAGGGAAAAGAAAAAUUAGAGACUAAUUUUGCUGAUUAUGAUGGUCCAAUUGAUGUGACUCAUUUGGAUGUCUCCGAUUUCUUUACUGAUCCAAAUGAAAAUAUUGACCAUUUGGUUGGGGUGGUGUGAUAGAAGAUAUAAAUUAAUUUACUAGUAUUUCUUUCGUUUUAGAAAUUCAGUCUGAAAUAUGUUUUUACUUUUUUGCACAAAAAAAAUAAAUAAAUAAAACUCUAUUAUGCAAUGUUUAUUUCAUGAUAUUAAGUAAUGUUUACUUCUUUAAAUCUAAAUUCAAGUUUUUUUUUAAAAAAUUUGUUUAUUUUGUUAUAUUUAUAUAUUCAUGAUGAAUAGUCAAGACAGCUGCUUAAUUGAUAGUACAACUACACAUACUAUUCUUCAAGAUAAAAAAUACUUUUUGGACUUAAUAUUAGCCGAAAAUAAUGUUAACACGAUAUCGGGUGCGUCGAAUAUCGAUGAAGGCUCCGGAAGAGCUUGUAUUAUUUUACCAAAUAAUACAAAAUUAUAUAUUGACGAUACACUUUAUUCUAACAAAUUCAGAAGAAAUUUGCUUAGUUUUAAAGAUUUCGCUGCAAUGAAUAUCACAUUGAGACAAUGCAAGAAAAUAAUGUUGAAUAUCUUUGCAUCACUUCUUUUGUAUUUGGCAAGAAGCAGAUAAAAGAAAAAUUUCAUGCACUUCCGUCUGGGAUGUAUUUUACAUUUAUAAAAAUGGUCGAAUCAAAUAAUGUUACGAAUCAGAAGUUCAUUGAUUCAAAAAGUUUUAUACUUUGGCAUGAUCGACUUGGACAUCCAGGAGCCAUAAUGAUGCGUCGAAUAAUAAACAACUCACAUGGACAUCUUUUAAAGAACCAAAAAAAUUCUUUUUUCUAAUGAUUAUCCAUGUGUAGCUUGUUUGCAAGGAAAGUUAGUCAUUAAACCUUCAACUACAAACGUCAAUAUUGAAUCUCCAACUUUCUUGAAAAGAAUACAUGGAGAUAUAUGUGGGCCAAUACACCCACCAUAUGGACCAUUUCGUUACUUUAUGGUAUUAAUUGAUUCUUCUACAAGAUGGUCACAUGUUUGCCUACUUUCAACUAGGAAUGUAGCAUUUGCUAGACUACUUGCUCAAAUCAUAAAAUUGCGUGCACAAUUCCCCGAUUACUCAAUCAAGACUAUUCGUCUUGACAAUGCUGGUGAAUUUAGAUCACAAGCAUUUGAUGAUUAUUGUAUGUCGAUUGGGAUUGAAAUUGAACAUUCAGUUGCACAUGUUCAUAUACAUAAUGGUUUAGCAAAAUCGUUUAUUAAACGUCUACAACUUAUUGCUAGACCAUUACUUAUGAAAACAAAACUCCCAGCUUCUGUUUGGGGUCAUGCCAUAUUACAUGCUGCAUCAUUGGUUCGUAUAAGACCAACUGCCUAUCAUCAAUAUUCACCUUUGCAACUUGCAUUUGGUCAUGAACCUGAUAUUUCUCACCUACGGAUUUUUGAUUGUACUGUCCAAGUUCCUAUUUCACCCCCCACAACGUACUAAAAUGGGUCCCCAACAAAGAUUUGGGAUUUAUGUGGGUUUUGAUUCACCAUCUAUUAUUAGAUAUCUUGAACCUUUAACGGGUGACUUAUUUACAGCACGUUUUGUAGAUUGUCAUUUUGAUGAAAUGACUUUCACAACUUUGGAAGGAGAAAAACUACAUUCUGAAAAACAAGAUAGAAUUUCUUGAAAUGAGACAACUCUAUCUCACUUUGAUCCCCGCAGCAAUCAAUAUGAACAAGAGGUUGAAAAAAUCAUUCAUUUACAAAGAGUUACAAUUCUACUACCUGAUAUAUUUGUUGACAUGAAAAAAGUGACAAAGUCAUUUAUUCCAGCAGAAAAUAUUUCAGCAAAAAUUAAUGUCCCUACAGGACAAUCUACUGUGGCAAAUGAAUCUCAAAUACGCCAGAAGCGUGGUCGACCAGUUGGUUCAAAAGACUCUGUACCUAGAAAAGAAGAGUACAGAAGAAAAACCAACCAAAAAUUUCAGAAAAAAUCACAUUAGAAAAGAUUGAUCAAUUAAAUAUUGAAUGUACGGUUCCUGAAGAACCAGAGGUGUCUGAAAAUAAUGAGAUUUCAAUAAAUUAUAUGAUAUCUCAUAAAUUAUGAGAACGGAAUAAUAUUGUUAUAGACAAUAUUUUCGCCUUUAACAUGGCUCUUGAUAUUAUACAAAAUGAGGAUCCUGAACUACAGUCUGUUAAUGACUGUUGAAAUAGAAAUGAUUGGCCAAAAUGGAAAGAAGCCAUACAGGCAGAAUUAAAUUCUUUGGAGAAACGAAAAGUGUUUGAACUAGUAGUUUGAACACUUGAAAAUGUAAUUUCUGUUGGAUACAAAUGGGUUUUCGUACGAAAGAGAAAUGAGAAUAAUGAAAUUACAAGAUACAAAGCCCGACUAGUGGCUCAAGGUUUCUCCCAAAGACCGGGAAUUGAUUAUGAGGAAACAUACUCUCCCAUAAUGGAUACCAUCACUUUUAGGUUCUUAAUUAGUUUGACCGUGUCAUAAGGGCUCGAUAUGCGCCUUAUGGAUGUUGUAACUGCCUACCUAUAUGGUUCACUUGAUAGUGACAUAUAUAUGAAAGUCUUUGAAGGAUUUAAGGUGCCAGGAAUAAAUUAUACAUAUCCGAGAACUAUGUUCUCAAUUAAAUUGCAAAAAUCAUUAUAUGGAUUGAAACAAUCCGGACGCAUGUGGCAUAAUUGCCUUUGCGAAUAUUUGUUGAAAGCGGGUUAUAAAAAUGACAAUAUCUGCUCAUGUGUUUUCAUAAAGAAAACAAAUAUUGGAUUUACAAUUUGGCAGUUUAUGUUGAUGAUUUAAAUUUAAUUGGAACUCCUGAAGAGCUCAACAAAAAUGCAGAUUAUUUGAGAAAUGAAUUUGAGAUGAAAGAUUUGGGGAAAACCAAAUCUUGUCUUGGAUUACAAAUUGAACAUUUUCCAGAGGGAUUAUUUGUUCAUCAAUCUACUUAUACAGAAAAAGUCUUGAAGCGCUUUUAUAUGGAUAAUGCACAUCCAUUGCCAUCACCUAUGGUUGUUCGAUCACUUGAUGUGAAAAAAGAUCCAUUUCGUCCACUUGAAGAUGGAGAAAAGAUUCUUGGUCUUGAAGUGCCAUACCUUAGUGCAAUUGGAGCAUUAACUUAUCUUGUAAAUUGCACUCGACCUGACAUAGCUUUUUCUGUAAAUCUCCUUGCAAGACAUAGCUCUACGCCAACUCAAAGGCAUUGGAAUGGUGUUAAACAUAAUUUUCGUUACCUAAAAGGUACUAUUGAUAUGAGACUAUUUUAUUCUCAAAAGUCAGGAUCUGCUUUAGUGGGAUAUGCAGAUGCAGGUUAUCUCUCCGAUCCACAUAAAGCUAAAUCACAAACAGGAUAUGUGUUUACACGUGGAGGAACAGCUAUAUCAUGGAGAUCUGUGAAGCAAUCCUUGACAGCAACAUUCUUACAUCAUUCUGAGAUUAUUGCAAUCCAUGAAGCAGGGCGAGAAUGUGUAUGGUUGAGGAAUAUGACCCAUCAUAUCCAAUCAUCAUGUGGAUUGACUUCAAUAAAAGAUAGUCCAACAAUUUUGUUUGAAGAUAAUGCAGCUUGUAUCGCACAACUCAAGGGAGGCUAUAUCAAAGGCGACAGGACGAAGCAUAUUUCUCCAAAAUUCUUUCAUACACAUGAACUUCAGAAGAAUGGUGACAUUGAUAUUCAACAAAUUUACUUAAGUGACAAUGUGAUUGAUCUAUUCACAAAAACGCUGUCAACAUCUACAUUCAAGAAAUUAGUUCAUGAGAUUGGAAUGCGUCGACUCAAAGAUUUUCAGUGAUCAAUAUUAGGAGGAGUAGCUGUACUCUUUUUCCUUCGCUUAGGUUUUGUCCCAUUGGGUUUUCCUAGCAAGGUUUUAAUGAGGCAGCAUUUAAUUUUAAUACUCCAAAAUAACUGUACUCUUUUUCCUUCAUUUAAUUUUUUUUCCCCAUUGGAUUUUUAUCAAACAAGGUUUUAACGAGGUAGAUAUUUUGUAAUAUGUCAUUCAACGAAGAGUGUUGUAAAUGGAAAGUCCGUUAAAGUUUAUUGGUGAAUGACAUUUGUACCCCUGUAGCCCUAGAAAUUAUUACCAUUGUAUCCCUGAUUCUUACCUAUAAAUAUAGGGCUUUGAUUUUCAAUAAUAUACACAAAAAGUUUAUUGAGUUUUUUCUAUUCUCUUUUCCUCUCAUUUUAUAACAAAAUAGUAAUAAUAAAUGAAAGAUUUGGAAUUACAACUGUAUUAUUCCUACGAUGGUUAUGUUGCCACCAUAAUUUCUAUUUGUCACACCACAAUUUAAUUGUAGUUAAACUCCCAAAUCCAUGCUCAUUGUAAUAAUUAUUUCCUUUAUUUUCGUUGAAUUUUUAUCUUCAACUUUCAUUAAUUAGUACAUCACGUCCUGACGAUAAUUUAUGUUAAAAUAUUUUGUGUACAUGCUCUACAUUAAGGGAAAAUAAAAUUUUUUUAAUUUUUAUAUAUGAUAAAAAAUAAGUUGUUGUAAGCUGUUUUUUUUUAACAUAAAUUGUUAUCAAAUACAAAAUAUAUUUGUAGUGGUCCAAAUUAUCCGUUGGGCUCUUGACCCAAUCCAUGUAUAUUGAAUGUUCCUAGCCCAAACUAAUGUAUGCCAAUCAUGCUCAUCCUUGACCCACUAAUGAUUUAUCAGUCUUACUUUGUGUCCGACCUAUCACACGGUGUCACGUAGAGUCUAAAGGAUAAACUUCUCAACAAGCAAAUCAGUUCAACUCACCAUCUUUUCUAUAAGAGUCGUGAGCUAAGGGUAAGACCAUGUCUUACGAGGUGUUCAAAUGGUUAUGGUAACUCUACCCAAAGUUGGUCGAGUUUUUCGAAACUCGGAAAAUAUCAUCCUAAUUAAUCAAUCCAUCUGGUGUCCACAUGCUCCACUAUUUGUGGAUCAAACAAUUUUGCUGGUUCUCUUAUAAAUAUGAGGGCCAACUAUUCAAGGGGAGAAAAAAAAAUUAUUGAGCCUACACAGCUUCCUCAAUAUUUAUCCAAUUUAGAUAUCUUAUUGCCAUUACUAUCACUUUUAUUUGUCACCUCUCACAAUCAUAUCAUCCAACCACUUCGCUACUAUCACUAUUUCAUCAUGCCAAUCAUAAAUAUCAUCAAUGCCUACUUUUAGAAUCAACUAUAGAUUCGAACAUCUACAAUUUGGCGCCCACCCCGUGGGCCCCAGUGAUUUUCAACACAAAAAAUAUUCCACUAACAGUAAACAUUUUGAUCGCAAUGACGGAAUCCCUAUUAUUGUCAAAGCUAGCAGCCAUGCUUGUUCAAUUUACUUCUCAAAUGGCUGAAACCAACCAAAAGUUCUAGCAGCUAGAAGUAUAAAAUGUACAACUUAAGCAGACAAUUAGAGAGCUCUCUACACUCUCAACGUUAGCUGGGACCAAGAGCCACAUUCAAUUUCACACUGUAGUGAGAACCAUAUAGUUACUUGACAUGCCAAAGCGUGACAUGCUAGGUAUAUGAAGAACUAAUGUCAAUACUAACAAUGUCAAUACAGGCCACGAGACAGACAUGGAGGACGAGGUACUGCUUGACGACCUACCCAUUGUAAAGGAGCUGGUACCACAGGUCAUUAAUACAAAUUACCAAAACACGGACUCUUCACGCAACGAAGGCACUAGCCCAAAUCCGAUAUCGAUCAACGUUUCGCCAUGACAGAGGCCAUGAUCAACCAUAUCCUGAGUGUACCUAUACCGAUCAAGAAAAAUAGGCAAAGCUUUGCGGACUCACCAUUUGUCUAUUCGAUAGCUCUAGUUAAAAUGUCAAUAAAUUUCAAUUUUUCCAAUAUGAAGAUGUAUGAUGGCACCACCGACCCAAAUGCCCAUAUUGCCCAAUGUAAACAAAGAAUGUUCACAGUAACCAGGCCCGGUUCUGGGGCCAGGCGAAUAAGGCCUACGCCUCAGGCCCAGAUUCCAAGGGGGCCUCAUUUUUAGCCCAGAAUUUUAUUUUAUUUUAUUAUUUUUUUCGGUUGAACCAAACUAGUAAUGAAGAAGAGUACCUCACAACUUCAAGCCCAAAUCCAAUACCCUUAGUCUUAAUCCAUUUAUCCAACUUAUACAUCCAUAAAUCAUAAUCUAUUAUCUGUCAUUUACCCAAAAUUCCCAAUUUCCCAAUCCCCAAUCAAAAACCCCUUUCUCCCAAACGCUCGUCUGAGUAGUCCGUCCCCUUCGUAGCGUCGCCGAUCGCCUCUGUCUCUCUUCUCGACUUCCUCAUUCCGACUUCCAGAUUUCCUCUUCCUUGAGUCAUCAGUUACGGUCCAUGGAGUCGGACACCAUCGUAGUUCACACCAAUUCCCUUCCGUUGCGGAGCACAGUUCGCUGUUCACCCCUGUUAGCAAGCAAGUGCUUGGCAGUUGACUAUUAGUUUAGUAUGUUAAGAUUAUUAAUUCCUUUUGAGUUAUAUGAUUACAUUUACACUAAGUAUUCAACUAUUCAUUCAUGACUUUUACCUUUUACUUAUUAUAAUUUUGAUUACAUGACUUUAACUAAUAAAUGCUCUUUUUCUAUGUUACUGUUAAAUACUUUAAUAUUAAUGGGUUAACUGUUAUCUAGUCUAGGAUGGAGUCGAGGACUUGAAAAUGCUACAACUAUGUUUAAUGAUUAUUGAUUAAUAUAUAAUUUGUUGUACAAGUUUGAGACGAAGAACUCUCAAAUCUCAAGUAAUGACUAAUGUGUGAAAUAGUUUAUAGUUAAUUUCAAUAACUUAGUUUGAUAGGUCUUUGUGAGAAUAUAUAGUUGAGAACUUGAGAUAUUAUUUUGUUAAUGAACUUAAGAAAAGAUAUCUUCAGUUUUUACAACCAGUAUACUAAUUUGAAUUAAUUUAUUUUGUUGAUGAAACUAUUUUAACGGUGAUUAGCUCUUAUUAAAUGUGUUAUUUCCCUAAGCUUGACUAAAUGUGCGCCUAUUUUUAAGUAUUGGUGUUUGAUGUUAAAUUUUUGUUUCAGGUUCGUAAGUUAUGACGAUGAAAUUCGCAAGGGUGUGAUUCCAUAGUUUUUGUCGCAAUUCUGCUUAUCAAGUAAGCAGUGGUUUUCCCUAACUUGUUAUUUAAGAGAUUAGAAAUGUUUGGAGCCUUGUCGGCUUAUAUAAUUGCAGCUUGGUUGGCUUAUAUGAUUGAUUAUUGUACGAUCAACUAUUUCAGAAGAAAGAUAGAAUGGAUUGACUAUGUUGUCAAUAGAGAAAGAAAUAGUUGAAUAGCUAAACUAUUCAAAUUUUAUUAAUGUUUUUGCCUUUUAGACGAAUAAUAUUUAACUAAUUACUUGAAAUAUUUUGGUUUUGUUAUUUGAUAAUAUAAAUUUUUUAUAUAAUAUAUCUGUUUGUUGUUUUAACUAAAUUUUAAGUUAGCAAUAAGUUGCAUAAUAUACCAUUGCAUUUACGUUGAUUUCGGGAGGGGGCCUAAUUUAUAUGCUUUGCCUUGAACCCUGACAAUCACAGGACCGACCUUGAUAGUAGCAAACCCACAUGAUCUCUAAGAAGCAUACAGGUGCAAAGGAUUCGGCUCUAGUCUUAUAGGGCUAGCUUUAUAGUGGUACACCAAUUUAACUAACAACUCAAUAUCAUCUUUUGUACAAUUAAAUGAUAUUUUUGUAGAGCAAUUCGCAAGUAGCAGAAAAUUAAUUAUUCGAACAUCCUCUAUAAAAUUGUACAAUGCACAGAAAUCUCUACUUUCAAAAAAAGAUUUAAACCUGACUCAGACCUCUACAAGGAAUUGACUAAGUACGCUUACUACACAAUGAAAGAUGUGUUGGUAGAGGCCUAGGCUCAAAUCAAGAGGGAAGAUGACGAGGCUAAUGCAUUUCGCAACCUACUCUUCAAGAUCAAAGAACCUAAAGGUAUCCAGAGGAUACAAAGACGACAAACUGACCCAUAUCCAAAAUUGAUUGUAGAAUCUUGUGAAGAACGGACAACUAGAAACUAUUGAGUGCCUUCACCAUUCUUACGAUAGACCAAGGAUACCCGAGUACAACCUUAGCAUUUUAUCAGUUGAAGUUGUAGCCAUAAUAAAAGGGAAGGAAAAUACCAUCAAAUUGAUAGGAAAAAUGAGAAGUCAUCUAGGCAACAGGCGUGAUACAUCCAAACCGUGUGCAUUUUAUGGUGAUCACGAACACAAAAUUCAUGAUUGUAUUGGUUUGUGAUUGGAAGUUGCUAAUCUACUCAAAUGUAGGCACUCACCAAUCUCCUAACAAAGAAAGGAAAAAAUACAUUGUUUCUCGGCAACCAAUGCUACAAUGAACCACACAAUCUAUGAAUUUCCAAGCACAUCCAAAGCUCGGUCGAGCAAUAACUUCAUCACCAAAGGAUCGAAGGUUAGCGGGAUCACUUAUUCUGUUGUACAAUGAUGCAUUCAAAUAAUUGGAUAGGUGGCGUGGAACGAAUCUCGAAAGCUUUCAAUAAGCUGAGAAGGCCAUCCCACUACGCUUAACUUUACAAGUAACGAGGCAUCAAACCUCCAAAACCUUCAUUGCGAUGCUUUGGUUAUUUCGUUAUGUAUUGCUAGCUAUCUUAUGAAAAGAAUUUCUAUCGACAAUGUGAGUUCUACUAAUAUAUUUUUCCUUGAGACAUUAAGAGAGAUGUAGGUCCCAGAGUCCAGCAUUAUAUGCAAUAUUACCACACUCAUAUGAUUCAAUUGAGAACACAAAACUACACUAUGAGAGAUGAUGCUCUUGGUCUAUGAUGAAGAAGUAAAUCUUCAUACCAAGUUCCUUGUCAUCGAGUGCCCAUUGGCCUACAACGUUAUCAUAGAAAGACAUUGGAUAUAUGCAAUGAAAGAUAACCUUCAAGCUAUCACAAGGUCAUGGGCUUUCCCAUUUCCUGGAGAGUUAAAAAAAUAUGAGGAGAAUCAAAGAGUCUCACGCAACUGCUAUAUGAAUGCUUUCAAACCCUGACCAGAAUGAGUGCACUAGAUCCAACAAAAAGUAAGCGAAUCGCUUGAGCCAGAUAUGGAGGACAUCAACAAAGUCCAAUUAUAUCUAGACAUUUCAAAGCAUACAGUGUAGAUUUGAGAUUAAUUCCCAUCAGACAUCUGAGAUGUAAUAAUUGAAUUUCUAGCUUGACAUCAAGAUCGCUUUGCAUGGUCGCACAUGAAUAUGACAUGUAUUGAUCCUUCAAUAGUAACCUAUAAAUUAAAGGUCAAUCCCACUACUAACUAGUUAGACAGAAGAGACACAAAUUCGCUCCAAAAACGAUAAAAAUUAUUAACGACAAAAUACAAAAGCUCAUUGACAUCGGCUCAGUACGUGAAGUCUAAUAUCCAAAUUGGUUGGCCAAAGUCGUCAUCAUUGAAAGGAAAAAUGGCAAAUGAUGGAUCUGCAUAGACUUCAUAGAUUUAAUAAUCGUGCCCAAAAAAUUCCUUCCCUCUAUCACAUAUCGACACUUUGGUGGUCUCCACAGCAAGGUAUAAGUUACUUAGCUGUAUGGAUGCAUUCUCAAUAUACAACCAAAUCUUAAUGCAUCCAAGUGAUCAAGAGAAAAUGGCUUUAAUAACGGGAGGAGAUGUUCUAUUACUAAGUCAUGAUAUUCGACCUAAAAAAUGCAGAAGCAACAUACCUGAUACGACCCAUCCCAAAUCACUAUAAUGAACCCGACACGUGUCGUGCGCCAAUGAAUGAUACCAGCUAAAUGCCAGACCUACCACCAAAUCAACUAUGAUUUGCUUUGACUGUCACAUAAUUAUAUAAAAAUUUGACAGAGUUUCCUCUAAGAUAUGGACUAAAAUAACCUGAAAGUUUAUCAACUUUCUCAAAUCAAUACAUAUAAUUUAAAACAAGGUACAUCAGCCCUUCCAAACACAACUAUUCAAAAUAAAGUACGAUUGAAUGGAAUUUACACUUCUUUACAAACCAGAGGACUCCAAAUACAUUACUUAUACAAAUUAUGUAGUGAGGCCAUGAUAUAAAUUGACAAAAGAUGCAUCUACCCCAAAAAAUUAUGAACUGUAUAAAUUGACAAAAAGAAACAUACAAAUAACAACUGAGGGGCUCAAUUUGGUAAUUCAACAGGCUCCGAUGUGGCUUAACACAGCUACCGUCUGAUAAGAAAAAGGGAGAUGAAAUAUAUGAGUUUGUAACUCAAUGAGUGGAUAAUUUUGUAAACAAAUAUACUUUUUCCAUUUAUGCUAACUUUCUAAAAACUGGUUUAUAAUAGAAAUAUCAUUACAUAGUACUUUAAGCUAAAUUCUGUAUUCUGAAAUUUGAUAAGUUGUAUAAUACUGAAAAAUCACACUAAAAAGGUACCCGGAAUAACUAUACUUAUGUAUCGAUUAGCAUCGAUAGACAUGGCAAAGAUAUCCAAUUCUGAAAUUCUGUAAUUCUAAAAUUUUGGUCAUACGAUGCACAGCUUUCUGGUCAUACACCAUGGAAACACAUUAACAAUAGUGCAAAGUAGGUAAAAUCACCAUAAUUAGUCAUACACUGUGGAAACACAUUCACACUAGUGCAAAGCGGGUAAAAUCACCUGGGUACUUUCUAGUGAUUUUUAGAAAAUAACUUUAAAUAUGCUGAACUAUUUAAUACUGAAAUAAUGUGCCAAUGAAAUGCUUUAACUGAACUGAAUUUAACUUCAAAACACAACUGUUAAUAAAUCAACUUUUUUCUGAAAAUCGUGUUUUCAAAUCAACUGUAUGAAUUAAUAAAUUUUCUAAUUUAAUAUAAAUUUUAUAAAUACUAAUUUCUUAAAAAUAAGUUUAUAUCCACUCACACAAUACGAGCUACACACUAGGCCACUUGGUAAGCUUUUCCAAUUUCUUUGUCACCACAUGAAAUACGUUACAAAAUAACUAAUUUAACUACUAUUAAAAUCAAGAAACCUUUUAUCUCUAAUGAUAAAAUAAUUAAACUAAAUUUUCCAAGACUUGCGAAAUUUUUUUAAAUUUCCUUUAUUCAAUUGGAGUUAAUUUUAAUUUCUAAUAAUACCUUCACACAUGGGUACUUUACCCAAAUUUACUUUCAUCCCAUUCAUAAAAAUAAUUAUACUUUCUGAUCUAAUGCAAACUAGUAACCAUAAUUCCACCUAUUUAAACUUUCAUCUUGUUUCUCAACUUCAUGCUUUCAUAUGAGUAUUCCAUCAAUAUAAUCAUUUCCAUGAAAUAUCCUUACUUAAGAAUCCAAUUAAAAAUUCUAGGGUUUGCCAAAUUUUUUUUGAUAUUUCUUACCUUAAUUCAAACGGAGACUAACCAAUCAAGAAGCUUGAGCUAGAGAUCAUAAUCCUUUCUCUAAAUCUGAAAUUUCGAACCAAAUUAAAACCCUAGAAAUUUAACAUAAAAUUUAUCUACCUCUUGAAGAAAAUAAAGAGAAAGGAAAAAUGAAAAUAAACCUUGAACUACAUCUUUCCCUUCUUCUUCCUCUUUUUCUUUUCCUUUUUCUCCUUCUUUUUCUUCACUUUUUUUCCUUUCUUCCUUCCUUCCGCCGAUUUUUCUCCUUCUCUGCCGGUUUCAAGAUUUUUCCUAUUUGUGUGGCUGAGUGAUAUAUAAAAAAAUGGGCUAGUUGUUGUACAAUUGCCACAUGCCCUCCAUAACAUCAACUUUUGCAAAUUAUGUCCUCAUUAAUAUACUUAGGAUCCGUUUGAUUGCAAAUGUGGAAUUUGGGUGAAAAGAAAACGAAUUUCAGGGAAUUGAAUUGAUGAGAAAUUGUUUUACUGGGAGUUGUAAAUUAUUGUGUUUGAUUGAUAUAAUUUUUUACGUGAAAAUUGUUUAAAUUAAAUUUUUUUUGAUGUCUGUUUGGUUUUGUUUUACAUGAAAAAUGUCAAUUAAAGGGAUAGAAUUUACUGGUAUUUGGAAUGAAAUUUGUUUUCAUUGCCAAAAUAAAAAAAAAUUCAAGAAAAUCAUCGAUUUUUGGGUGUUCGUUUGAUUUUGUUUUACAUGAAAAUUGUCAAUUAAAGGAAAAUAUUUUUUUACAAUAAUUUUUAGAAUUUAUUUUCAUUGCUAACACAAAAAAAGAAGGAAAAAAAAAUUGAAAACCUGGAAUUCACUUUCCUACCGUAUAGGUGGAAAAACCAAUUCCUUGAAAUGAAGGAAAAUAGGCGCGUGUGAGGCUUGCAUGGAAAGUGAAUUCCAAGGAAAUGUUUUGCCAUCAAACACUAGAAUUUGGAAAAGAUGGAAAUUAAUUUUCACUUUCUAGGGAAUUCAUGGGCAAUCAAACGGUACCUUAGAAUCAUUUACUUCCCAAAAAUAGAAAAAUAAAUCCCUAACUUUUCCACCUUAAACCUUCCGAUUAUUUCUCAGUAUAAAUUAAACUCCAAUAAUUAAUUUAUUUUAUUUUAGUCUCUAUUUGACUUUGACUUUGACGAGUCAAUCUUUGAAUUUUGACUAAACAAAAAUCGGUUGUAACAUCUUACUUCCUUAAAAGAAUUUCAUUCUCGAAAUUCCACUGGCAUCUGAUUAGGUAACGAAUAGAUGAGGAUACUGAAUACGCAUCUGAUCCUCAUGCUCCCAGGUUGCCUCUUCUACCGUCUGAUUCUGCUAAAGCACCUUUACAAGUAAAAUUGUCUUGUUCCGCUGAAUUUGCACCUUUCUGUAUAGAAUUCUCACUGGCUCCUCUGUAUAAGUCAAAUUCUCCUUCAAGUGAACUAGAUGAGACUCUAGAACAUGAGAAGGAUCUGUAAUGUACUUUGGAGCAUGGAGACAUAAAAAACAUCAUGGAUCCUAGAUAAUUCAGUUGGCAAAUCUAAUCGAUAUGCAACUAGACCAAUUCGCUCAGUAAUCUCAUAUGGUCCAAUGUAUCGUGGACUCAAUUUUCCUCGCUUGCCAAAUUUUAAAACUCCCUUCCAAAGCGACAAUUUUAGAAAUAUUUUAUCUCCAACUAUGAAUUUCAGAUCUUUUCUGUGCCUAUCUGCAUAACUUUGCUAUCUAUCUUAUGUUGGUUUUUCAACUUUUCUCUGAUCAAUUUCACAUUUACUGAAGUCAUUUGAACCAAUUCAGGGCCUACUAACUUCCUCUUACCAGCUUUAUCCCAGCAAACUGAUAUUCUGCACUUUCUACCAUAUAAAGUUUCAAGAAGAGCCAUUUCUAUACUGGAGUGGUAACUGUUAUUGUAAGCAAACUCCAUCAAUGACAAAUGUGAAUCCCAGCUACCCUGAACUCUAAAACACAAGCCCUCAACAUAUCCUCAAGAGUCUGUAUGGUCCUCUCUGACUGACUAUCUGUCUGAGUAUGAAAAGCUGUACUGGGCCAAAAUUUAGAUGUAAAAUGAGGGUCUCUGUCAGACAUAAUAUAUAAUGGAGUACCAUAUAAGCUCACUAUCUCGUCCACAUACAACUUUGCUAACUUAUUUAAAGUAUAAGUGGUUUUGAUUGGCAAAAACCUUGCAGACUUGGUCAAACGAUCCACAAUAAUAACCCAAAGAUCAUUAUGACCAUUCUGGGUACGAGAAAGACCAAAUAAAAAGUCCAUAGUAAUGUGCUCCCAUUUCUAUUCUAGAAUAGGCAAUGGCUAUAAUAGUCUUGUUGUUUUCUAACGAAUUGGUUUUACCUACUGACAGAUAAGACGUUUGGAUACAAAAAUAUGUUAUCUCUCUCUUCCACAAGUAAUGUUCUUUCAACGUAUCAUACUUUCAAUGUAUGAUACAUUUUAAUACAUUUUGAUAGAGUCUUCUUUAAAAGAUGGACUAAAAUCACCUGAAAGUUUAUCAACUUUCUCAAACCAAUACAUAUAAUUUAAAACAAGGUACAUCAGCUCUUCCAAAAACAACUAUUCAAAAUAAAGUACGUUGGAAUGGAAUUUACACUUCUUUACAAACCAGAGGACUCCAAAUACAUUACUUAUACAAAAUUAUGUAGUGAGCUCAUGAUAUAAACUGACAAAAGAUGCAUCUACCCCAAAAAUUAUGAACUAUAUAACUGACAAAAAGAAACAUACAAAUAAUGACUGAAUGACUCAAUUUGGUAAUUCAACAGGCUCCGAUGCGACUCAACACAACUAUUGUUUGAUAAAAAAAAGGAGAUGAAAUAUAUGAGCUUGUAACUCAGUGAGUGGAUAAUUUUGUAAACAAAUAUACCUUUUCCAUUUAUGCUCACUUUUCAAAAACUGGUUUAUAAUAAAAAUAUCAUUACGCAGUAUUUUAAGCUAAAAUCUUUAUUCUUUAAACUGAAUAAGCUAAAUUCUGUAUUCUGAAAUCUAAUAAGCUGUAUUAUACUGAAAAAUCACACCAAAAAGGUACCCGGAAUAACUAUACUCAUGUCUCGGUUAACACCGAUAAACAUGACAAAGCUAUCCAAUUCUGUAAUUCUGGUCAUACGCACGCAGAGCUAUCUGGUCAUAAACUAUGGAAACACAUUCACAAUAGUGUAGAGCGGGUAAAAUCACCUAGGUACUUUCUGGUGGUUUUUAGAAAAUAACUUUAAAUAAACUGAACUAUUUAAUAUUGAAAUAAUAUGCCAAUGAAAUGAUUUAAUUGAACUGAAUUUAACUUUAAAAAUAACUGUUAAUAAAUCAACUUUAUUCUGAAAAUCGUGCUAUCAAAUCAACUGUAUGAAUUAACAAAUUUUCUGAUUUAAUAUAGAUUUUAUAAAUACUAAAUUCUGAAAAGUAAAUUUAUAUCCACUCACUCAAUACGAGCUACAGACUAAGUCGGUCGGUAAGCUUUUCCAAUUUCUUCGUCACCACUUGAAAUACGUUACAAAAUAACUAAUUUAACCACUAUUAAAAUCAAGAAACCUUUUAUCUCUAAUGAUAAAAUAAUUAAACUAAAUUUUUCAAGACUUGCAAAAUUUUCCUAAAUUUCCUUUAAUCAAUUGAAGUUAAUUUUAAUUUCUAAUAAUACAUUCACACGUGGGUACUAUACCCAAAUUUACUUUCAUCCCAUUCAUAAAAAUAAUUAUACUUUCCAAUCUAAUGCAAACUAGUAAUCAUAAUUCCACCCAUUUAAACUUUCGUAUUGUUUCUCAACUUCAUGCUUUGAUAUGAGUACUUCAUCGAUAUAAUCAUUUCCAUGAAAUAUCCUUACUUAAGAAUCCAAUUAAAAAUUCUAGGGUUUGCCAAAAAAAAUUUGAUAUUUCUUACCUUAAUUCAAAUGGAGACUAACCAAUCAAAAAGCUUGAGCUAAAGAUCAUAAUCCUUUCGCUAAAUCUGAAAUUUCGAACCAAAUUAAAACCCUAGAAAUUUAAUAUAAAAUUUAUCUACCUCUUGAAGAAAAUAAAGAGAAGGGAAAAAUGAAAAUAAAUCUUGAACUACAUUUUUCCCUUCUUCUUCCUCUUUUUCUCCUUCUUUUUCUCCUUCUUUUUCUUCCCUUUUUUCCUUUCUUCUUUCUUUCUGCCCAUUUUUUUCUCCUUUUCUGCCAAUUUCCAGAUUUUUCCUAUUUGUGUGGUUGGGUUGUGCUUCAUAGCCCACGAGCUUGACAAAGGGGUUGACACCCCACACACACAUGGGGAGAUCGGUAUUAUUUUAUUCAAUGGGACCCACCUCGGCAUGUGAGAGGGUGGUCAGCCGUGGUGUCAACCCCGCGGGUCGUUUAGCAUUUUUCUUGUGUGGUUUGAGUGGUAUAUAAAAAAAAUGGGCUAAUUGUUGUAUAAUUGUCACAUGCCCGCCAUAACACCAACUUUUGCAAAUUAAGUCCUUCAACAUUAAUAUAUCUUAGAAUUAAAUCUUUUACUUCCCAAAAAUAUAAAAAUAAAUCCUUAACUUUAAAUUUUAUCCACCUUAAACGUUCCAAUUAUUUUUCAAUAUAAAUUAAACCCCAAUAAAUAAUUUAUUUUAUUUUAGUCUCCAUUUGACUUUGAUUUUGACGAGUCAAUCUUUGAAUUUUGACUAAACAAAAAUGGGUUGUGGCUCAUCAAUUCAAUGUUUACCAAAUUGCUCGAAAAAGUGAUGAGUGCCUACAUAAACGAUAUGCUCAUCAAAUCAUUUGUAGUGACUGACCACAUCAGGUACCCGGGUAGUCUUUCUAAGUCCUCAAAACGUAUAAUAUGAAACUCAAUAAUUAUAAAUGUUCAUUUGGUGACUCUUUUGAAAAAUUUGCAGGUUAAUAAGCAAGGGAUAGAAUUAAAUUCAGACCAAGUAUGAUCAAUCAUCAACAUCCUGUCUCCUAGACACAUCAAAGACAUUUAGAAGUUGACUAGACGAUUAGCUGCGAUCAACCAGUUUAUAUCAAAAUAUUAGAAGAAAAAUUGCAUUUUCUUUAACACAUUGCGAAAGAACGAAGAGUUCAUUUCGACUCCGAAUGUAAGAAAGCUCUACAAAAAUUAAAGAAUUAUUUGACAAGUCCACCGCUCCUAUCCAAGCCAAAAGACAGCGAGAUGCUCUACCUUUACUUAGCAAUAUCUUUGUCUGCAGAAAACGUCAUACUUGUCCAGGAGGAGGAUAGAAAGCAGCAUGUGGUGUGCUACAUUAGUAGAUUCUUGCUCAACUCUGAAUAUCGGUACAGAAGCUGAAAAAGCUUGCACUCGUCCUCGUAAUCAAGGGAAGGAAGCUAAGGCCCAUACUUCCAGCACACCUAUAACGGUGCUUUUGACCUUCCUAUAAAAGAUGAUCCUCCAUAAACCAGAAUUGUCGAGCCGACUAGUGAAAUGGCAGUAGAACUUAACGAAUAUGACUUGACUUACCAACUACGGUCCGCGGACCACUAUCAAAUCACAUGUGCUUGCUGACUUUAUUGUUGAUUUUUCAACCGACAAACAUGUCCUGUCCAAGAAAGAAAUUUUUGCAGUAACGGAGAGCUUAAUUUCGAAAGAAUUGACCUAGCGUUGGAUGGAUCAAGCAACUCUAAUGAAAGUGGACUGGGCAUAAUCUUAACCUCAUCCGAAGCCAACAUAAUCGAACGAGCAAUACAAUGCUGAUUCAAAGCAACGAAGCUGAAUAUGAAGCUCUAAUUGGGGAUCUAUCACUUGUAAAAGACACGGGUAUGAAGAAAAUCAAAUUGUCGAACGAUUGACAAAUAGUCACCCACCAAAUCUAAGGCAACUACUCAAAGAACAAAAAUGGCGACAUAUCUCAAAAUCGCAAAAGAGCUUCAGUCUUUCUUCCAGGAUUUUGACAUAAUCUAAAUCGUUAGAGAAGAUAAUAAUAAUCAUGCUAACGCACUUAGAAAUUGCAAUACUUUAUUAUACUAAUUGUAUCAUGUUUUAUAUUCUAACAAAAAAUUAUAUUUUAUUUUUCUUUUUGAAAUUUAUUAGAAAAUUAUGUUAAUCUUCAAAGUUCUAAUGUUAAAUUUAUAUAAUAAAUAAAAAAAAAUCAAUAAAACUAUUUGUACAUCCAAGAUUGACACCCCGGAUGACACUCCCCUUACAAGAGAGGGGGGUCCACACGUAAUAAAAUAAUUGUGAGCUCCCCUCUUGUGAAGGGAGUGUCAUCCGGGGUUAACACUUCGGAUGUACAAAUAGCAAAGUCCAAAAAAUAUAUAAUAAUCACUUACAAAACAUAUACAUGCACGUUGGAAAAAGGAAGGAUCGCUUAUAUAUUGAUAGGUGUGCAUGGCAUAUGGCUAAUUGUAAUUGGAACCUGAAUUUCAAGAAAGGAAAAAAAAAAUGAAUGGGGAUUCUAGUGCCACAAGUGAUAUAAUUUUAGAAAACUUCCCACAAUCGAAUUGUUAAUCAAAAAUGAAUAUUUCUACUCAAACAGGGGCCGUGACAGCCUUAAUAGGCGCCCCCUCCAAUAGGGGGACGCCCAUGUCACAGUAACAAGCCCCAUCAAAAAUAGCAUAGACAAUUGUAGAAGAGGUGAACUUGAGACAGAAGGUUAAUUGAAGGUUUAAUUCUGAUUUUCUUAUUUCUUUUUUAAUUUUAAAAGUUUCUUGAUUUGGCUACUUGUGCUUCUUUGGAAGUGAUAAUGACCUGCUAAAUUUCGUUUAUCUUCUUCUACGUUUCUGAUUAUUUUCUUCUACAUUUUGUGCCCAAGCCUUUAUUCUAUAACUAAUUUUCAAUGCUACAAAAGGGUGAGUAGCAUUUUAUGAACUCUUUGAACCUUUUUUAAGUACUUUUUUCCUCUUGAACAAUCUGGAUUAUGUUUUUGAAGUUUUAGAUGUAUACAAGUAUGGACGGAGACAAAAUAUUAUAAUAUAUUUUUAAAACUCUUACUUUCAAUAUUUAGUUGUCACCAUAUUUCUAAUUUUGUUGGUAACAAAUGAGGCAUCUUUGACAUUUUUAGUUCACUUCCCAUAAAUAAACGAUGAAGAUUGAUUCUAUUUUAUGAUUCAUAUUUUUUCUAGAUUAUUUUUGUUGACGCAUAAAAAUUCAGCCCAAAUCGAACAGCCCAAGGAGUGAAGCCUAAUUGGAUGAUCCCCAAAUCAAAUAGUCCAAAGAAUGAAGCCCAAUCGAACAAAUCAAGAUGAAGGCCCAAAUAAGGAGGCCCAAGAACGCGGUAACGCCAUCGCCCAAGUUUGCAAGUCGCCCAGAAUCUGAGCGAAUGGAGUGUCAUACAAUCGCCCAGAGCUGUUACUCUAUUCACGCCCAAACCUUCAAGUCGCCCAAGGUCUUAACAAACAUAAAGCGUAGUGGUUAUCAAGAAGUGCAGUUAUCAAAGCAGUUAUUAAAGCAGCCCUAUCACGUUCCACGAUUCAAGGAAUUCAAUCGAAAGCGGUUGAACGAUGAAGAGUAAUGGCAGCAGUUAAAAAAUACAGUUUUCAUGACAAGUUGGCCAUUACAAAGAAAGUGGGCAGUUAUAGGACGAUCAAGCAGUUUUUAGGACGGUUGAUCACAAAGAGAUCGUCCAUGAAGUAUAAAAGGGAGAAAGAACAUAGAAGCAAAGGACCGAAUCAAAAACUCUCGAACAGAGAACAUGUAAUUUUCAUUUCCUUAGCUUAGACUUAAACGCUUUUCUUCCAGUAACUCGUGUGCUUGCGCCCAUUGGAGGCACAUUGUUUUUAAUUUCCAAUUGUAAAAUCAUCGCCAAUAAAAGAACACCCCUUUUUGGGACUUUGUCUCAAGAGGUUUGUCCCUUACACAAUCGUCUGAUCAUUUUUAAUUGUUAGAGACUAACCCACGCGAAACAAUUUGGCACGCCCAGUGGGACAGUGGUGUUAGGUGUUGAAAGUACAAAAGGUGAAACAAUAUGCCUCAGAGAUCCGAUAAGGAAGUAGCAAGUCAGGGAGGAAUCCAGUCUGUGAUCGAGCGAUAUGAGGAGCAGCAUGCCUCUCCACGAACAGAUGGACAGAAUCAGAGCAGUAACGGUCGUUAUGAACCAAUGACAGAGUUGAGUCCUCGAACCAUGCGUACAUUACUUGGAGAACUUACGCAAGACGUCAUUAAACAGGUAAAUCUUCGAAUUAUUCAUAAUAUGGAAAGAUUUACGCAAAAUGGGAAUGUACACUAUGACAACAUGGCCAAACAAUUAAAGACGUUGAACGAAACAAUGAAUAAGUUAGUAGGCCAAAUCUGUCAACCGGCUAUACCUCUUACAAACCACUUUCAAACUAGGACAAUUGUGGGACAUAAUCCCUCGGUCCUAAAUCCGAAUCAAGGGGUAGAACCGCUUUCUGGUCCCUCUACUUCAAACCAAGGGGGUACUACAGUGCCAAAUCAGAACAAUGGUAGUGGUAUGCCUAACAUGGGGGGUAAUCCAAAUGUGAGAGAUAAUGUCCUAAACAAUGGACAGAAUAUUCCACGUGUUAAUGAGGGAAUAGAUGUUCGGGCUAAUGGUAAUGGCCCUAAUCAUGGUAAUUUUGUUGCCAAUCAAGGACCAAACAUUAGGCCUCAUGCAAAUCAACCGGUUAGCCAACCUGUAGGAAUACCAUAUGACCCCAACGUCAUGUUGAGGAACCAGAUUAUGGAAAUCGUACAGGAUCAGAUGGCUUUUGGGGUGCGUCCCGUCAUUAGGCCGACGUACAUAAAGCCAUAUCCUGAUUGGAUAGACCAAGCAUAUCCAUGGCCUAGAGGGUACAAAGUGCCAGAAUUCUCACUGUUUACCGGUUUAGGAGAGGUGUCUACUCUAGAACACAUAGGGCGAUUCACAUUGCAAAGUGGUGAUGUAACCGAUUACCAUAAAAUGAGACUUUUCCCUAGUUCGUUAACAGGAGUAGCUUUCUCCUGGUUCAUCAACUUGCCAGCGAACUCUGUUCAAAUAUGGCUACAAUUAGAACAGUUGUUUCACACUCAGUUUUAUAAAACUGAGUCUGAAGUUACUUUGGCUGAUUUGGCGAAUCUACGUCAAAUGCCAAACGAAUGGGCAGAAAGUUUUCUCCAAAGGUUCAAGACAGCAAGAAGCAAGUGUUUUGUACCUCUGGUCGAAAAAGAAUUUGUCAAAAUCGCUUAGGGCUGCUUGAGCUUUGAUUUAAAAAAGAAGUUCCAGGACAAGAAAUUUCCUGACCUUUUCCAGUUGAGUGCGAAUGUGAUUAGGUAUGAGCGAUUGAUAAGAGAGGAAGAACAAAUGAAAAAUUUCAGUAAAGGGACUUAUUACAAAGACCCAAAUUUUGACGUUCAUACCAUCGACGACGAGUCAUACGAUCAGGCCGAAAUGUGUUUGGCAGAAUUGGUCAAAGGAGAUACAUAUACUUGUCCUAUAAUAGCCAAGCCUAGACCAUCGGGCAAAGAUGAGCCCAUAAAAGAUGGAAACAUAAAGGCUAGAACGUUCUCGUUCGACGUAACCAAAGCUGACCUUAUAUUCGAUAAAUUAUAUAGGGAUAAGCAGAUAAAAUUGAGCGAUAAGCACAAAUUGCCAAACCCUGAACAAAUUAAGGGUAAAAAAUAUUGUAAGUGGCAUAAUGCAUGGUCACAUUUGACUAACCAUUGCUUGGUUUUCCGCCAUGUAUUGCAGGAUGCCAUUGAAUUAGGGCGAAUUACGUUCGAUGAUAAGAAAAAGAUGGCAGUGGACGAGAAUCCUUUCCCACAGCCACUUGGAGUAAACAUGGUAACAUCUGGAUUCAAAAACAAGUUGCCAAAAUUCAAGUUGGUCGUAAACGAUGGAGAAGAGGAUCCUAGACCACAUCCCAGCGUCUUUGAACGAAUCAAGAGGAAAGAACCAAAAAAGGACGAAGACGUCCUGUGUGCAAGGUGUAAAAGAGAAGUGAAUGGAAAUACGGAGAAACCAGGGAUAUGACAGCAUCCUCAUCACCCUACCUUCUUCCCAAACACUCAACUUGGUAGAGGGCGAGGUACAUCAUUCUUAGAGGACCGCCUUUUGAGAGGCAGUUCAGGCCAGUAGAUAAUGGAAGAACAUUCAGGCCGCAACCUCACCGGCCAAAUGUAUGGCAUUCAUUCUAGUACAAUGCAGGAAGAGCAAUACCCUUCGAUGAGAUGACUAGGACCCAACAAAGGCAUUUUCAACGAAACUACGGACGGAUGAUGAGGCAGCAACAGGGGAUGCCACAUCCUAAAGCGCCUAAACUACUUAAGGUAGCCAAUCAAAACUUCCUCAAAAAUAAUGAAGAGACCGGUACAGAUGAAUCAAUGAAGAAACUGCUAGAAACUUCUUCUGGGAGAUCAAGGUUUGAGCGAGACAGAAGGGAUGAAGAAGAUCUAGAUCAGCCCCUCACUAUCCAACUCGGUACGUUGCCUCCUGUCGUGGCCAAUAAUUACUUACUGGCCAAUGAAUUCAAGAACAAAGAAAAAGAAGAAGAGAGGGAGGACAACGAAGGAGAAGCCUGCGUGCUGGUAUGUGAAGAAGGCCAGACUUCUAGAGAGGCCUACAACGAUGAAGAGGACAACGGGAUGACAGACAUUGAAGAAGAAAUCGACCUAGAAGCAGAGAGAAGAAAAAGAAGAGUAUCGCGCAAUACUCUGUUAAAGCAACUACAUCGAGAGGGAGUUCACGAAGUAGACUUGUUGGGGGAACCAUCUGGGCGCCCUUUCGAUUUCUACGUACUGUACGGGACACCCAAAAGGAAGAAGAGAGUACCUCUCUCUGAAAAGUAUGGAUCACCUCCAAGAAUAAUGUCCCCUCCCACAGGUUAGGUAACUGAUGAGGAAGCAUUAGAAAGAAGUAGGAAGGAAGUUCAGGAGACAGAGGAUCAGCGCGAUGUACUGCACGUCGACUUAUCACAGGGGGAUAAUUCGACAGAAAACAAGCAGGAAGUAGAAAUAGAGGCUGCCAAAAAAGUUAUUUUUAAACGGCCAGCCAUGAAAUUGACUAAACACUUGAGGCCAUUAUACGUUAAAAAUCUAGUUAACGGCGUCCCAGUGGCAAAAGUGCUUGUCGACAAUGGAGCAGCUAUAAACACCAUUCCAUCUAGGAUGAUGAGGAAGUUCAUAAAGAUAGAGGGUGACAUGAUUCCUACAGAAGUCAUCCUCACUAGCUUCAAUGGAGGAGCGAUUUCAGCUAAGGGAGUUAUGCCAUUGGACAUAACUAUAGGGACGACUACUAGGACCACUGUCUUUUUUGUAAUAGAUGGUCCUACUAGUUACAAUGUGCUAUUAGGAAGAGAUUGGAUACACGGAAGUCGCUGUAUACCCUCAUCACUCCAUCAAUGCCUGAUCUUCUGGAAUGACAAAGGCGAAGCUGAGGUGGUACAGGCCGAUCAUAGGCCUUUUGUCGCAGAAGCAAACUCGGUGAAAAAGUUCAUGUACGAAGGAAACUAUGGACCUGUCAGGGUAGUACAAGACGGGGAAGAAACUCAGGUUGUCGCGCAAAGCGAAGAACCAUUCUCAGUGGACGCACUCACUGAGAUGUUUAAACAGAUGAGGCCAAAUAUAGUAGCCCUAGAAGAGCCAGUAAUUGGCAAAAGAAUAAUUAAGGAGUCUUGAAUGGACUUUAAGUUAUGAAAGCAAAUGGCCGACGUUCAGGACUUCAAAGCCAGACUGAUGGCUUUCAAUAAGGAAUGCAAUGACAAGGCGAAAGAAGAGACAGCCCUAAAAGCGCUGAAGGAUAAGUUGGCAGUAUUUGAGUUAGAGCAAAGCAUUGGCCGAGAAGUCAACAAGGUGGACUAUUUAGAAGAGAAAGUACUUACAAGGGAACUAAACGACGAAGUAAUGCGGAUCGCCAAACCUGGAUACGCUCAAGCACAAGACCCUCUGAUCAAAGUAAAUAUUGGCAAUGAAGGAGAAGAUCGUCCAACAUUCAUCAGCCAAAUGCUCGACCAAGAGGUUAGUAACAAGUUAAUAGCUUUGCUAAAAGAGUACAAAGAUUGUUUUGUUUGGGAAUAUGAACAAAUGCCUAGUUUAGAUAGAGACUUGGUGGAACAUAGGUUACCAACUAAGCCUAACUUUAAAUCUCAUAGGCGGCCUCCUAGACGUUUUGCUCCCAAUGUACUCCCUGAAAUCAAGAAAGAGAUAGAGCAAUUAUUGAAAGCAGGUUUUAUUAGAACAGCCAGAUAUGUCGAAUGGUUGUCAAAUGUCGUGCCAGUACUAAAAAAGAAUGGUAAACUAAGGGUGUGUAUAGACUUUAAAAAUUUAAACAUAGCUACACCCAAAGAUGAGUAUCCAAUACCCACGGUGGAUUUUUUAGUAGAUUCAACUGCCGGACAUGUCAUGUAUUCUUUCAUGGAUGGGUAUUCAGGGUACAAUCAAAUUUAUAUAGCUGAAGAAGACAUACACAAAAUUACUUUUAGAUGCCCAGGGUCUCUAGGAUGUUUUGAAUGGGUGGUUAUGCCUUUCGGUCUAAAAAAUGCAAGGGCAACUUAUCAAAGGGCAAUGAAUUUAAUCUUUCAUGAUAUGAUAGGCAAGUUUGUUGAAGUGUAUGUGGAUGACAUAGUAGUCAAGUCCAUUAAAGAAGAAGACCAUUUCGAACAGUUAAGAUAUUCGUUUGAGCGAAUGAAGCAAUAUAAGCUAAAGUUGAAUCCCUUGAAGUGUGCAUUCAGUGUUAAUGCAGGGAAUUUUCUUGGUUUCUUAGUACACAAGAGAGGGAUUGAACUUGAUAAAAAUAAAGCGAAGGCGAUUUUAGAGGCCAAACCACCUAGCAACAAAAAAGAAUUGCAAAGGUUUCUAGGCCAAGUAAUUUUUUUAAGACGCUUUAUUUCUAACUGUGCAGGGCGAACUAAAGUCUUUUCGCCGCUUUUAAAGCUGAAAAAUCAGGACGAAUUCGUCUGGAAAGAAGAACAUCAAAAGGCUUUUGAAAGCCUGAAGACAUAUCUAUCAAGUCCACCAGUGUUGGUGUCACCAAUUCAAGGACGGCUAAUGAAAGUGUAUGUAUCGGCUGAAAAAGAAUCAAUAGCUGGAAUGGUCGCACAGGAAGACCAAUUUGGUGAAGAAAGGGCAAUUUACUACUUAAAUAGACGGUUAACGAAAUGUGAAUGUAAUUACUCUGCUAUCGAAAAAUUAUGUCUUACAUUGUAUUUCACAUGUACAAAAUUAAGAGCUUAUUUACGGCCCGUAACCGUUUAUUUUAUUUCUAAAGUAAAUUUAGUCAAGUAUAUGUUCUCGCGCCCUAUUUUACACCAAAGGGUAGGCCUUUGGACACUAGCUUUAUCAGAAUUCGAAAUACAAUAUAUACCUCAAAAGGCAGUCAAAAAGCAGGCUUUGGCUAACUUUCUAGCCGAUCAUCCAUGCCUUGAUAUGCUUGAAGAGAUCGAACUAGAAAUCAAUUCAUUCGAGUUAAAACCUUGGGUGUUGUAUUUCGAUGGGUCAAAAACUUCUAAAGGUGCAGGAGUAGGAAUAGUAUUGAUUAAUCCUUUAGGGAUUUGCUACAAGUUCGCAUUCACUUUAGAUAGAAUGUGCACCAACAAUCAAGCCGAAUAUGAAGCCUUAAUUGUAGGCCUAGAACUAAUGAUAGAUAUGGGAGUAAGAAGUGUGAUCGUUAGGGGCGAUUCUCAAUUGGUGAUCCAUCAAUUGAUCAGUGAUUUUAAAUGACAAAGUGAUUCCAUUAUAAGUCAAUACGAGAUCGCCUAAGAAUUAUUAGAAGAAUUCGAUCAAGUAGAACUCCAAUGCGUUAAUAGGAUAUAUAACGACGUGGCAAAUGAGUUAGCCCAAAUGGCAUCAAGGUACUCAAAGGUUUUGAAUUGGAAGUCUACUUGUGAGUAUGGAAUCAUAUUGCCCGUGACUUAAAGAAGGGCGAGAAAGAUUGAACUCCACUGCAUACAAGAUGGAGAUGCAAUGGAUUGGAGAACAGAGAUUAAAAGGUUCCUUAAAGAACCAAUGGAGGGAUUAGUAGGAAAAUGAAGCUGUGUUUGCUGAACUAUAUACUAAUAGAUGAAGAGUUGUUUAAGAAACGCUCUUAUGGUGUAUUAUAAAAGUGUGUAAGUUUGCAAAAAGUCAAGACGAUCAUGGCUGAGGUGCACGAAGGGAUAUGUGGAGCUCAUCAAGCUGGCCAAAGGAUGAGAUGGUUAAUUAUUAGGAAUGGAUAUUUUUGGCCAAAGAUGGGAGAACUAUGCCUUCAGUAUGCAAAGAGUUGCUUAGCAUGCCAAAAGCAUGGUCCAAUACAAAGGGCGCCAGCACGAGAAAUGGCACCUAUUAUUAAACCUUAGCCGUUCAAGGGUUGGGAGAUAGACCUGAUAGGGAAGAUUUAUCCCCCAUCGUCCAAGCAACAUACUUUUGUUAUAGUUGCAAUCGACUAUUUCACCAAAUGGGUAGAAGCAAUACCUUUGAAAGAGAUCACCCAAAAAAAUGUUAUAGAGUUUAUCCGUGAUCACAUUAUUUAUAGGUUUGGAAUUCCACAAACGAUAAUGGUAGAUCACGGAACAUCUUUGAAUGGGGAUCAAGUGAACAAAUUUUUGAGCGAGUUUGGGGUUAAAUUAGUAAACUCCACACCAUACUACGUUCAAUCCAAUGGACAAGCGGAAUCUUCUAAUAAGAUUCUAAAAAAUAUCAUUAGAAAGAUGAUAGAUAAAAAUGUCAGAAAUUGGCACGAAUGUCUGAAUAAGGCUUUAUGGGCUUAUAGGACAUCACCUCGGUCAAGUACCAAGAUUACUCCUUUCCAACUUGCUUAUGGACAGGAGGCUGUUUUGCCUAUGGAAAUCAACGUGCAAUCGAUCAGAGUGUGCUUACAGCAUAAGUUGAAUGAUGAUGAGUAUGCCGAAUCACUAGUUCAAAAUUUAUUGGGGUUAGACGAAUUAAAGUUGGACGUCUUAGAUAGAUUACAAGAGCAAAAAAAAAGAAUGACUAAGUUUUAUAAUAAAAAAGUCAUAGCCAAGUCGUUCAGCCUGGGUGAACUAGUUUGGAAGACGAUACUCCCUUUGGAUAGCAAAGAUCCCAAGUACGGGAAGUGGUCGCCCAAUUGAGAAGGACCAUACAAAAUAAAUAGUAUAUUGCCCAAUGGAGCGUAUCACUUGGAGGAUUUAGACGACACCAAGCACGUAAGAUUCAUUAAUGGUAAAUAUUUGAAAAAAUAUGUUCCUUCUUUAUGGGAAUGUGAACAGAUAAAAUCAUAAUCAAAUAUGGUGAACGAUUAAAGGAUAAAGAGGUCAGAGCGAAAUACGUUCAAGUGAAGUCCUUUAUUAUCAAACGUUCAUUACAAGAAUACAAAAAUACAAAUAAUGGUUGUUCUAGGAAAUAUAAUUAAAAGUAAGCUAAUCUCCCGGUUGAUCGCUGAGUAAGCCUCACGCCGCCUUCCUAAAUGCAUCACUGCAAUGGUGGGAUCGCCGAGUAAGAGGGUGUACUGGCCUCACCGCCUUCCUAAAUGCAUCGCUGCAAUGGUGGGAUCGCCGAGUAAGAGGGUGUACUGGCCUCACCACCUUCCUAAAUGCAUCGCUGCAAUGGCGAGCAAAGAGGCUGAGAAGCACUCCCAGCAAGCAAGCUGAGAAGCACUCUCAGCAAGCAAAGUGGCGCACAAGCAGCCCAAAAAUUGCCUUCUAUCAUUGACUCCUUGUAAAGGACAAAGAGACGAUGGGAAGAACUUUGAAGGUAAAAACUUCGCUGCUGGCCAGAAAAUAUUUCCUAUACCUCCCACACCAAAGGUGACAUCAAGGUAAAUUGUAAAAUGGACUGACUAAACUGUCCAUUUUUGGUCAGAUUGAUUGUCAGAAUGCCAAGCAAUGGCAGUAAAUUAGUUUCGAAGAAGAAAAUAAAGAUGAAGAUAGAAGAUGGAAAAUGCGAAGCAUUUAUAGGAGGUGGAGACGAAGAGACAGAAUAUGAACAGCUACAUUUCUGCCUAAUAAACGGAAUUAAAUAGCCCAAAAUCUUGGGAAAAGUGGUGGAAAUAUCAAAAGAAAAUGGACAAGAUUUUUUAGCACAAAGCAGUCAAAUGCUUAAAGAAUUGACGACUAAAAAACAAACGUCAAAUAAAUGCACAAAAAGUUAAUGUUCAUUAAUGAUGAACAAAGCUACAAGAGGAAAAAUCAAAUUACAAAAGAAAAAAGACAUCGUAUGUCUUAAUUACAGUCCACCCCAUACUGAACGAAUUCGUUCCCUAAGUUUUUUCCAAUCCUCGUUCUGCCGAGAGGAAGUGAUGUUCAAUUCAGCCACGACAUCAUCAUCAACUUCCAACUUCUUGUACUGCUCGACCAAGGACUUAGUUCGCUCAAUUCCUUGGGAGGCGUUGCACUUUUCAGCAGCCAUUCUCGCCCUGUAGUCGUCCAUUUUGGCUUGAAGUUCCUUCAUCUGAGCAUGCAAAUUAACCAUCAAAGAGUCUUCAACCAUGACUUCGGAAGAGAUUUCUUUCAACUCGUCCUCAGCCUUGUUAAUCUCCAUACGCAAAGACUCUUUCUCAGCAACGGCUUGAAGAUAUUGAGUACGUUUGGCCUUUAGUUCAGCAUUCUUGGCCAGCAAAGAAAGGACCUCGGAGUGAAUAACCUUCAACGUCGCUUUAAAAUCGGCAGAAAGAUUGAGCGACGGAAGCAUCAAUGCUUGCUCCAACUUUGCACUCAAGUGCUCAAGUUUAUCCUUGUGUCUGGUGGCACUGGCCCUUCCAAUAUCCAUAUCCAUGAAGGAUACGUACUCAAGUAUCGACUCCUUGAGGACCUUCAAAUCUUCCUCUGAAGAAGCAGCAGGAUGAUCAGAUGGAGCAGGGCAAGACGUCUGGAGUUGCCCCUAGGAAGCGAACAAGUCUUGGAUAGAACGCACAAUUUUGUCAGCAUCCUGCAAAGAAAAUUGCCAAUAUUAAAGAUCCUCACUACAACGAACAAGAUAGAAAUAGAAGUAAAGCAAAGACUACCUCAUCAACAAUCGUAGAAGAUGGCAUGUCCUCAGCCAAGCUUGCCGCCAACGACUCCUCCAUUCGUGAGGACUUCCCCUUAUCUGAGCGAGAAGAUGUUGCCACAACGGGCGGACUCAUAGGAGUAUUUGCAAAACUCAAGAGCAACAAAUCAGAAACCAACAGCACAAGCAAAGGUAAGACAUCAAAAGACUAAAUUACCUUCUGCUUCAAUGUUUGGGGGGUUGACACCCUGGUAAGAAGGUGGUUCAUCCAUGGGUUGUGAUGAGAACUCUGGGACUGAAGAUGUCUCUUUAAGCGUAGCCUCCUCAUCAACCGGUUUAGAUGAAGUAGCCUCAGCAGAGGAUGAUGGAGUAGGAGCUGUCGAUGCCAAAGCCUUUGAAGGAGAGGCUGAGCUUUUCUGAGAAGUGCAAAAGAUCAUCAGCACACAGAAAAGUUUCAAGUGUGGAAAAGUAUACUUGUGAGUAAACCAAUUUAAUUACCUUCCUCCUGACGAUAAGAGGGGCAUCAUCAUCAUCAACAUCAUCCUCCAGAAUGGGAGAUACUGAGGCUGGCCGUUUACGGCUUGGGGUACUCUUGGCCGUAGUAGGCUUGGCAGGGAGAGAAGAAGAUGGAUGAACAGACUGUUUAGUGCGAUGAGAAGGAGAAGGACUACGAAUGGACAAGGGAGUGACUAAAAUAGGAGGAGGGGAAGAAAUGCUCGGUUGGUCUAAUGAAUGAAAGGCACGAUUGGCGUCAAUCGCAAAUAAUCUGCGCUUCACUGACGGCCAGAGCUGUUCAAAAAGAGGGUGAAUUGCGUGGCUAGAAUUGAAAGGGGCUAAUGAAAAAUGGCUAGUUAAAAGAAGAAUACGAGCAUCUAUAGCCUCUGCCUCUGCCUUAGUAAUGGUAUAAAAACGGUCAACUAAGUUCCUUGAAUAGCAAGGAGGAACAGGCCAAGUUUGGCCAAAACCAAGCUGACGAGCAAAAAAUUGGGGAGCAUAAAUCUCUACCCUCGCUUUGGCAUUGGUCCCAGUUAGAAUAUCAUGAAAUAGCUCCCUCCCGCUUAAAAACUGGAUCCAAAUGAGCAGGGAGGUGCUCGCGCUAUCUAUAGUGGAAGGGGGAUGUACAUAGUUUGGAGUCAAAAAAGGAGAAAAAGGAAAAAAGGAAGGGAUUGAAUCCAAAGAAUAAAAGAAUGAAAAAAUGUCCCUUCUAGACAUAUUUACAGGAGCUAAGGGCUCCAUGGCUAGCCCAUAACAGCUAGCAGAGGAGCGAGAGAUGGAUGGAGCACCAAGCAAUGGAAAAUAGGAUCUCAACCACAGUUGAGUGAACCAAAGAGGUCCAUUACCAGUGGGAGAUGCACCAUUCUUCAAUUGAGCUUGAAGAGAGGCCAUGCUUCUAUAAAGGGCAGCCAAAAACAAAGAACAUAAAUUCAAAGGCCUGCCACGCGCCAAUUCGUGCGCUAUAGGUAAAUAACUCAGGGAGGGCUUUAUGCUUGGCACGCACAAAACAUAUUUACAAAGCCAAACUAAAAGGAAGGCCACUCGCUCAGUAUGGGAAGGCUCAGCGCUCGAAUGAUUGUGAAGGGUUUGCAGGCUUGAAUAAGAAUCGGUGUAGUUUUUACCAAACUUUGGAGCGCCACCAGAAACCAAGAUACUAGGAAAAAUGGUAUCGCCCAAAGGUGGUAGAUUCACUAGGGCCCCAACAUCCCUUAAGGUAAUAGACAUGGGGCCAAGAGGGAAAAUAAAGGUAUUAUACUCAGGAGACCAAAAACUCAAAGCAAUCGAAAAGAGUGCUGAAUCAAAAGUAGGGGGACGAAUAGAGAUUUCUAACAAAUCAGAAAUCCUAGCGCUAUCAAAAAGUGCCUUAGUAGGACCAUGACCCACAUGGCGAGCAUGCCACCUACGAAAAGCUACAUCAGAUUUAGGCCAAGUGCGAAUACCUCUUUCGCGAAGUGGCCCCAGCGGCAGAGAGUUUAGAAAAGGAGGGCCAUGAGUGUAAGGAAACAGCUGACCCGCCGCCGCCUGUUCAACUGCCUCUGCAUUGUUGAAAAAAGGACCCAAGUAGAACUCAUUACGUUCGACAUCGACGGGCGCGAGAAAACUUGGAGUUAUGUAUGGGCGACUCAGAAGUUUUUGAAAGUCAUCAAAACUAAAGGAGUCGCCAGCUUGAGAUUGUGAAGCAGCCAUUUGAAAAGGAACGAAGUUUUUCAGGGUUACGUAGCAGGGAAGCAAGAGAUGAACAGUAAAUCGUGAGAGAGACGCAAAAAAUUUGAGGCGUGGUUUAAUAGUGCAGUGAAAUGGCGUGUUUGAGGUUUAUAAGGGUUUGCAAAACGACGCACCUUUUCAAGUUAUAGAAGAAAACAAUGAUUGAAAUUCUUGAGAAUUUCGAAUGUUGCUGGAAACACAAAGUGAAUAUGGCAAAAUUUAUUAAUUAUUAUUAAUUCUGCCAUAUUGGGGGGUAAUUGUUAACACAUAAAAAUUCAGCCCAAGGAGUGAAGCCCAAUUGGAGGAUCCCCAAAUUAGAUAGCCCAAAGAACGAAGCCCAAUCGAACAAAUCAAGAUGAAAGCCCAAAUAAGGAGGCCCAAGAACGCGGUAACGCCAUCGCCCAAGUUUGCAAGUCGCCCAAAAUCUGAGCGAAUGGAGUGCCAUACAGUCGCCCAGAGCUGUUACUCUAUUCUCGCCCAAACCUUCAAGUCGCCCAAGGUCUUAACAAACAUAAAGCGUUGUGGUUGUCAAGAAGUGCAGUUAUCAAAGCAGUUAUUAAAGCAGCCCUAUCACGUUCCACGAUUCAAGGAAUUCAAUCGAAAGCAGUUGAAUGAUGAAGAGUAAUGGCAGCAGUUAAAGAAGACAGUUUUCAUGACAAGUUGGCCAUUACACAGAAAGUGGGCAAUUAUAGGACGAUCAAGCAGUUUUUAGGGUGGUUGAUCACAAAGAGAUUGUCCAUGAAGUAUAAAAGGGAGAAAGAACAUAGAAGUAAAGGACCGAAUCAAAAACUCUCGAACAGAGAACAUGUAAUUUUCAUUUCCUUAGCUUAGACUUAAACAUUUUUCUUUCAGUAACUCGUGUGCUUGCGCCCCUUGGAGGCACAUUGUUUUUAAUUUCCAAUUGUAAAAUCAUCGCCAAUAAAAGAACACCCAUUUUUGGGACUUUGUCUCAAGAGGUUUGUCCCUUACACAAUCGCUGAUCCUUUUUAAUUGUUAGCGACUAACCCGCGCGAAAUAAUUUUUUGUAGAUAUGAUUCUAUUAAUUUUUAUUCAACUAUUACGAGUUUCUCAUAUCUUUUUAAAUAUGACAUCUAGUUACGACGUCAUUUUGAUCUAUCUUCUUUAUUCUAAAAUGCUCAAAACAAAUUCUCUACUAUAUUUCUGAAGUCUUUUGCAAGUCUCUUCAAUGUUCUACAAAAUAUAUAUGUCGAGCACAUAUAUUGUUAGCUAGUUUUAAACUUUGACUCAUUUGCAUCUCAUGCACAUGGACGUCCCUCGCUUAGUCCUAAUUUAUUCUUAACAAGCGUUGACUGCAUUUAUAGGUUUUUAGUUAUGUCAAAAUCAGAGUAUAACACACUUAUUCCAUAUUCAAAACUGUAAAUACUCUUGAAUAUCUCUAACCCUUAUAGUAUAUCUUGAAAGAAAAAGUUUGAGAAAUAUAAUGUUACAAUGUUGAUUGAUUGGAAGGCACAGUUCUUUAAAUUAAAAAAAAAAUAAAAAUAGGCUACAUAUACGAGACAACAAUUUAUAUUACCUUUUAAAUUAAUUUUUUCAAUUUAAAUGUAACCAAACAGUUAUUAUCAUAAACAAAUACACCAGUUCACAAAUUAUUUAAAUACUAAUGUCUAUGGAAAAUUACGAUAGUUUAUUUUCAUAAAUAUUCAACAAUUACAUAUCAAAUUUAAAUAAUUAAAUAUUUAACAAUUUACUUUUUUAUGAAAUUAACAUAAAGAUUGAAUGAGAGAAUAUGGAUAGAAUUGAUCAGAAAUUUUUAAAUUAAGGAUGAAAUUACAGACUUGUGCAAAAUUGAUGAAGAUUGGUCACCUAAUUUUAACUUGUUCACAUCCAUAUAUUUCCUCUUCCUAGUUCUUGUCGUGGAAUAGAGAGGACAAAAUCCCGUUCAACCCACUACUCGCCGCCUCACCCGAGUGGUGUGGGGAUUACCUGCCUAAUUCAGUAAACGUGUGGGGGGCGGAAUGGGGUUUGUUGCCUCAAAGAACGUAUGAAAAACAUGAUCGCCCCGCUACCCAUCACGUUUAACGUUAAUUUUAAAUAUAAAUUUUAUCAAACAAAAAGAAGAAAUUUAUCAUUAUUUUUAAAGAGAACAUGAGUUGUUCUUAACAAAUUUAAAAAAUAAUAAUUAUAUUCACUGACUAAAGAUAUAAAAAAGUAAAAACAAAAAAAAUAAAAUAAAUGGGACAAUAAACCCCCGCCUCGUCCCAAUCUCGCUCUGAACCCAACUCGUCUUGUUUUAAUUGGAUAUAGAAGCAGGGCAAUUAUAAUAAAAAUACCCAAUGCAAUUGGGGGACAGAAAUAGCUGACCCGCCCCCACAACCAUCGCUACUAUGGAGAGUGGUGUUCUCUUGCAUCAAAUCUGUGGUGUUACUAUCUCAUCUUCAAUAUUUUAUUUUUCUACAAAUCUCAGCUUUUCAAAAUCCACCCCCUCCCCCCGGGUCAAAACUCUAGUCUCUGAGUGGAAACUUUGUACAAAGUUUAGUUAACAUUUGGAUAAUUCACUCUUAUAUUUCAUUUUUUAUUACCUACGCUGGUCCUUCUUUUUUUUUUUUUUUCAAAUAAAUAGAUGUUAAAAUAUGUUGUUCGGAUUUACAUAAUUGUGGUCAAUUUACUCAUAAUGUUUAUGAUAAAGCAUAUUUUGGUUAAUUUGGAAUACAACUUGUGCAUGAUAUUAGAUGUCGAAUCAUAUUGAAAUGGAUAUUUAUAAGGAAAAAUUUGAUAAAUCCUAUCAUUAAUGUUAAAUUUUGAGAAAUGAGAAGCAUUUCACGAAAAUCAGGUCACUCUAAAAUAAUUAAAAAUAUAUUAUUUAAAAUAUUGUGAACCAAUGUGGUAGGUUCCCUCUAUUAGAAGAUUCUUAAAAAAAAAAAAAAAAACCGAUGACAUUAUCAAAAUAAAAUUCUGCAAAUUCUGGAAUGAUAUUUAGUUAAAAGAAACAUUAAAGGUAUGUUAUGACUUGGGACAUAUGACUCCUACUAUGUGAUCUUGGAUGACUAUUAACAAAAAGCAAUUAUAUGACUUAUUAUGUAUCUUAUUAUUACAGUCCAUACAUAUGGAAUGAGUUGACAUGAGAUGUAACAAACAAUUGUGACUUUGACUUUGACUACUUCUAUUUGAUAAAAUUACGACAACAUCGUGUGACGGUUGUUCAUGUAGAAAUGGUUGUCAAAUGCAACAACUAUGACAUUUGAUGGGAUAUUUAGCAACAUGUAUUUAUAGCUCAUAUGAGUCGUAACCAUUUAAAGUUGUGAUAUUGAAUUUAUUGACCUUCUAAUUAUGUUAGUGAAGAAAUAAUGACUAUUUUAUAGUACAAAUCAGGUGAUUGAUCCACUUGCACUCUAUAUAUUGCAAUAAAAAAGAGACCAUACCGUUAAAAUUAUCUUAAUUUUGGGAACAAUAUUAGAAACGUAAAAAAAUAAAUAAAUUAUACACGAAAAUUCUGAAAUUUUUGAAUUAAUUAAAUUAAUGAAUGUGAUUUAACAAUUUUUUUUUAUUAAUAACUUAAUUUGUCAAAAGUAAAAGCUUUUUUUAUUUUUUUUUAUGGGAAAAUUUCAUAACUAAGAAAUUAAUUAUGGCACAUUUCACAAAACAAGAAAACAAGUUUCAAAUUUCUAAAAUCAGAUUUUUAUUAAAAAUUAUUUAUAAUUUAAUUAGUUAAUUAAUUAUUUUAUUAACUAAAUAUAUUUAGGUCACGGAUCUAUACAAUUUGAUCACUAAUUAACAAUAUAAUUAGUUACUUAUUAUUUUUUGGUCACAAAUCAAAAAUUUUAUGUCACAAAUUUUUUUACAAUCACAAUUCAAAAAUUUUGUAAGUCACAAUUUGUUUAUUGGUCACAAAUCCAAAAAUAAUUAGUUACGGAUUAAUUUUUAGUCACGACUUAUCAUAUUAUUGGUCACAACUUAUUUUUCGGUCACAAACACAAAUUUUAUAGGUCACAUAUUAUUUUUCGAUCACGAAUCAAAAAUUUUAUAGGUCACAGAUUAAUUUUUCGGUCACAACUCAAUAAAUUAUAAGUCACAAAUACAAAUUUUAUAGGUCACAUAUUAUUUUUCGAUCACGAAUCAAAAAUUUUAUAGGUCACAGAUUAAUUUUUCAGUCACAACUCAAUAAAUUAUAAGUCACAAACACAAUUUUUAGGUCACGUAUUAUUUAUGAAAUAAAAAAAUGGAAAAAUUAAUUUGUAAGAGUUUAUUUAUAGCCUACUUCAAAAUUAAGAGAAGAAGGUUUGCAAUUUCAAGUUUCAGAUACUAUUAAAAUUUAUUAAUGAAAUAAUUGAUUAAAAAUUUAUAUAUUUGGUCACAACUUAUCAAGUUAAUUGGUCACAAAUUAUUUAUAAGUCACAAAUUCAAAAUUCUACAGGUCACAAAUUAUUGGUCGGUCACAGAUCAAAAAUUUCAUAGGUCACAAUUCAUUGAUCGGUCACAAAUCAAAAUUUUUAUUGGUCACAACUCAUUUGUCGGUCACAAAUCAAAAAUUUCAUAGGUCAUAAUUCAUUGAUUGGUCACAGAAUCAAAUUUUUUAUUGGCCACAUUUAAUUUGUUAGUCACUAAUCAAAAAUUUUAUAGGUCACAAUUCAUUGAUCGUUCACAAAAUCAAAUUUUUUACGGUCACAAAUCAAAAAUUUCAUAAGUCACAAUUUAUUGAUUGAUUACAAAAUCAAAAUUUUUAUUGGUCACAACUUAAUAAAUUAUAGUCACAAUUGCAUUUUUUAGGUUACAUGUUAUUAUUAGACACAAAUUACUGGUCACAAACACCCCCUACAUCCCAUCUACCCCGACCACCACCCCCCAUGACAACCGUCACAGUAACCACACCACCACCACACGCCAAACUCUGAAACCAACAACCUCCACUGUCGCCAAAAACCACCACAACCACCGCCACCAAACACACUAACAAUGUUCAAUUCACAACCUCACCAACACCACCCAAGCGUAAUUUUUCAGCUAGUUCCACCCACCAGAACCAUCACCACCUCAACACAUCGCAGAACACCAACGUGCCACAAUCACCACGACCACCAUCGUUGAUCAUCACCGCCAACGCCAAAAUAUGUAAGCAGCCACCACCACCACCACCACCCAAAUAUCACCUAAAAAUACCAUAGAUAACAACUCAAUCCAAAGCCAUUCCCACCUCCACCACUACAGUGAACAUCACCACCACCGUAGCUACUACCACCACCAUAUGAUCGUAGCCACCACCACAACCCACGACACAGCAAUAAACACCGUAGCCACUACCACCACCAUAUGAUCGUAGCCACCACCACAACCCACGACACAGCAAUAAACCACGGUCUCAUCUCAAAAGAUCUCCUUCUCUUCUUGUAGAUCUUACAGAUAUGCUUCAUGAAUCACGAGGUACAUCACGGCACCACCACCACCACUUCAUCAUCACGACAAACCAGCUAUAGAACUCUACAAAUUCACCACACCGCAACAACAAAUCCACCACGGCACCAUAGCCAUUACAACUGUCACAGUCGAUCCAUAGCUAUAACCAUCGGUGACGGCGACAGAUCGCUGUGAUGCAUGGUGGUGCAUUCCAGAUCGCUGCCGAAGUAGAUGAGCCAAUAGAUCUCUGCUAGUCGCUGAUGGGAACGCCGUGCCGCGCCUCAACUCCACCGAUUAGAAGGGUGGUCGCGCCUCCGAUGCCGAAAUUGUGCUUCCGGGAAAGGUUGAGAGAGAGAAGGAGACGGCGAUUUUCUUUUUAAUCAGGGAGGCGACGGGUGUUUUAGGGUAGAAUGGAGAAAUGUGAGAGAGAGAGAGUUAGGGUUUGUGAGUAAUGAUAUUUAUUUUAUAGAAAUAUUAAUUAAAAUAAAAUUUUUGAUUUUUGAAAUAUUAAACUUUCCCCCUGAUUUUAGAAUUUAAGAUUUUAAUGAUAUGAUUUUGUGUAAUUUCCACUUUUUUUAUUACUCGCUUGCUUGAGGCCCAUCUGAAAAAAAGCCCAAAUUAAAGGCAGAGAUAUCCAACUCUUACCCAGCCUGUUUACAGUUUAUGUAUAGAGCAAAGGGGACGAUCGGAUCUCUUCCUCGGUUUACGCUAAAAUUCGGGAACAAUUCAUCGCCCCUGGGCACCAAUUUAUCUCGUGGUGCUGUGCUUUCUACUCAACUUCUGCAUCACCAAACUUGGGAGGUAGUAUCGGAUUUUAUUAGUGUAAAAAUGGCUUUAUAUGAUGAAAUCGCAUUCUAUUUGAAUGUUGUGUGAAUGAUUUAAUUUUAUCUCAACUCCUUAUAAUUUGUUCCAAAACUGUUGAUUCUUGAUGAUAAUUUUCCUCUAGCAACAUUGAUUUUUUCGACCACACUUCUCUUGAAUUUUUGAUGCGGUUGUUCACUGUUUUCUCCUAGCUUUGAAAACUUGCUGCCCCUCAAGUGUAAUACGUGAAAUACCCAGGACCAAAAUCCAGUGGGGGCAGUUAAUAUACCCCAGGUCCGGCUCCGGCCCUGUACACAUUUGAGUUAAAAUUCAUCAAAUAUGAAAAUUUUGUGUUUGUGCUCUUUGUUAUGAUGUGUAGGGUCAUACUAAAAACGGUAUGCCUAAUCAUUUUUCAUGACCAUUUACUUGUUUGGGCUUAAUUUUUCGUUAUUGAUGUUUGGUUUUUGAUAUUGCAUUAUUUAAUAUUGCUGAUGGGGAAAUUUUGAUGAGUCUACAUAUUAUUGGAGUGGUAGAAGCUUCUGGUAGUACUAUGGCUUGGAAUGUUACUUCACAUCUUAUUGAUUCGCGAACCCUCACAAAUGAAGCUGAAAUUAAAAGGAAAAGGGGGUUCUGAUUUUUUAUCUGAUGAUCUGUUUCUACAAAAUAUUAUGUGGUUUGACUGUCAUUCUAAUUGGUGUAAAGUUAUCUAACAAUUAAAAGUAUAAAAUAUAAAAAUGUUUACUUUUCUUGUGUACAACAAUUUUAUUGUGAGCUUGCUUGAUACUGUCUGUUACCAUUGAUGGAUGCUAUUUAUUCCCAUGAAAUGAAAAUAUUAAAUAUUAAAAUGUUAGAAUGAUAAGAACAAAAAAAGAAAAAAACUGAGAUGUGUUGAUAUAGGAAAAUGAGAUGUUGUAUUUAACAAGUGACAAAACUUUGUAUUUAGUUAGCCCCUAUUGGUUAAAAAUGGUUGCAAACUUCAUACAAUAUAGGCCCACUAUAGGAUUUUAGAAUAAAAAGUUACUUUCUUACGGAAUUAAAUGAAAGCCGACUUUGGGGUGAUAUGUUGUUUCUUUGGCAUGUUUGUGGAUCUCUAUUUCAAAAUAAUGGUAUAGACUGAACUAAGCACUUUGUCAGAAUGCUCUCCGGAAGACGAAAGCUGCCAACUUAUUAUCAAUAACUUGAGUCACCUUAAUUUGGGUAAAAAGCUGACUUUCCCUUGCCAUUCUGGUUGUUCAAGUAAAAACAAGGAGAAAACUUGUGGCUACCUAAAAAAUACGAUAAUUGGGCUGCUUUUGGGAUUGGAUGUGCAAACAUGGUAAACUUUUUGGUUUAUUCUUCUAUUUUGUGGCUUAGUCUGAUGAUUAUGCUCAUAUGUUGGUCAACACGUUACAGAAGUACAUUUGUUAGUGCCCAAACGGAAGAAGUUGUUUUAUGAAUUAAGCUCCUAGAUAUUACUGUAAGAUGCACAUAAUAGAUAGAUCCUGGAAGAUGUACAGCUGGAAGGGCCUAUUUCCCUGAUAGGAUUAUGAGGACUGUAUAAUCUGAUUCAAAUGCCAUGAUGGAAUAACAGGAAACUUUGGUUUCUACUAAUUGCAGGAUUUGGGAAUUAUUUUAAUCAAUAGUUGGUGUAGUCUUUUGCCUCUUGUUUGGUCCUCGACUUUGCAAUCUAGGUUUUCUUACAGCAUCUUUGGCUAAGCUUACAAAAAAAAAUAAAGUUAAUUUUUAAGGGAGUGUUUGAUAGAGAUUUUUAUGUAAAAAUACAUUUUAGAAUAGUAAAUUGAUGUGAACUGUGUGGUUGAAAAAUAAGGAAAAGUUUUUGAUUUACGUGUAAUAUUAUUUUAAUAAAGAAUGUGUGGUUGAAAAGAAAAAAGAGAAAAACGUAUUUUGAAAAAAAUAACUACCAUACGGGGCCUAAGUAACUUUUUGUCUUUAGAUAACUUACUUUUAAUAAAAAGUUAUUUUUUCUCAAAGUAAUACCUUAGUGUCAAAAUAAAUAAUUCAUUACCUUCUUUGAUCAAUAAAUUUUUUCUUUUUGAAAGAACUUAUUUACCUGUUAGAAAACCUUUUAAGCAUAGCCAAACUUGUAGCCUGCUAUACAUUUGAUGCUCUUGUAAUGGAUCUUUUGAUACGUGCAGUGUUCAAUCAUGAUUGAGAGUGGAAAUUUAAUCCUCAAAUCUCAUUAUGAGAUCCUCGAUGUGAAGGAAGAUGCUAGCUCUGACGAAAUUCGUACAUGCUACCGAACUGCCAUUCUGAGUUAUCAUCCAGAUAAAAUGCAAACGACAUCCCAAACAUCAAAUCCUGCAAACGAGUUGGGCGGAAGGUUUUUAGAGGUGCAGAGGGCUUGGGAAAUCCUCGGAGAUUCAAAAUCUCGUGCACUUUAUGAUAACGAGCUGCAAUCUUCGAGGCAAGAUUCUGCAACUGCUGAAGAUAUCAGAUUAGAGGAUCUGUCAAUCGAAGAGGUUGGUGAUAUUUUUGAGCUUUCGUACGGCUGCAGAUGUGGCGAUUACUUCCUAAUCGAUUCUUUGGAGUUGUCAGAUAUGGGAUAUCCACUGUUGAAAAAUGGGAGUAAAAUUGUUUUGCAAGCGCCUAGAUCUCCACCUGCAUCUGUUGUUCUUCCUUGUGGGUCAUGCUCGCUUAAAGUACGGUUAUUGAUUAAUUCUGAUAGUAAGCUUCAAACUGAGUUGAGUAAUUGAUAAUAGUUUUUCCAUUAAUCUGCAAUUUUGGUCUGAGCAAGUGAUUUAAGAUUAUCUAUAAUUUUGUGGAAUGUAACAGAGAAUUGGAAAAAUGACAGGUCAUUUUGAUUAAAAUUUGUAAUGUGUACUGAUUCAAUUGUUCAUGCAAUUGUUGUGGCCUGUGGUGCCAUUAUUUGAAUAGCAAAGGAUUUGAACUCGCAAGAGAUCUAUUGCAUAGUUUUUAUUAAGGUUAGACAAAACUCUCGAAUCAAAUGAGGCCGAAUUGGACCCGAUUCGAACUAAAUCGAAUCGAGCAGUUCUUCUUAAAUUAAAUAUUUGAAUGGGUGUUUGAAUCGAGAACCGACGGGUUCGAUUCGAUUUUCGGAUCUAGAUCAUGAAUUGAAGAAUUGAAUAAGAACUAAAUCUCUAUAAUUUUUUUAAUUUAUUUAUUUUAAAUAAGUCAAAUUAUUUUAUUUUUUUUUAAAUAAAUUUGUUAAUUAAUUAAUUUAGCUCAAAUCCAAAAAUAUGAUUUUCAUAUUUCUAAUUUUCAAUCUGAGUCCAACUUAAUCAAACUGUUCUAAGUUUUAUCCAAAUAUGUUAUUCUAUCGUAGUGUUAUUUUUACCGUUUUGGAGAAAUUGAAUUAAAGUUGGACAGCAGCUCUCUUAAUUAUUGUAAGCUUGCUAUCGUCCUCUUCCUGUGAUUAUAACAAUCAAAUCUAUGAAAAACUCACCAAAGAGAAAUGCAAAAGACAUAUAAGAUUGGAUUACGUUAUUUCGUAAGAGUUAAGAUUAAACAUGUCAUUAAUUGAAUUAAUUUAGUUUUAUAAAUAUUAAAAAAAUUAAUUAUAGUAUAGAACCUGGGAGCCGAAUCCGAACGGUUCCAUAAUUAACUUGGGAUCCGACGGUACUAUUUAUUAAAUACCUGAAAAUUUCAGGUUCGAUUCGGUUCUAAUGAGAAUCCAACUAAAUCGAACCAUGUCCACCCUUAAUUGUCGGCAGACCAUUUUAUCAUCUUGUAAUAUUAAGGAAGAAAAAAGUAGGUGAAUUCUUGUUGGUUGUGCUGUUUAAACCCAACAAAGCUGUGUGUAGAAAUGCCACAGGCAACACACAAUUGGGUGAGGGGAAGAGUGGGGGAUUUUUUUGGUAUCCUUUAUCACGACUUGGGAUUCACAAAUUAUGGGUAUCUGGUGGAAUUUUGUGAGUCCUUUUUUUGUACGAAUGACUUUCUUAGUUUAAACCAUACUAAACAUGCUACAGUGACAAAAAUAUCAAUUGCAGACCCUUGACAUUCUGUUCUCUGAAUAUCAUAAACAAAUCAAUAAAGAGAUCCCUAAACUAUAUCGAGUUUUGUUAAAAAAAUAAAAAAUAAAAAAAAAAUAAGGAAAAGAAAAAAUCAACAUAAAUAUUAGUGUGCCACAUUGCUUGGAGUUGUAUGACGCAUGUAGGGUUGAUAAAACCCAACUCAACCCAAUUGAUAAGUGUAUUUUUAUAUGCUUAUGUGGUUAUUAAAUGAAAGCAGCUAUUGUUAAUUUGAAUGAAUUAGAGCUUAAUUAUGUUUUAAGUAAAACUCGUGACAAAUUGGGUGAAUUGGAAGAAAGAAGCGAAAAAUGGACUGAAAAAGAAGAAUACGAAGUUCGUGAUAAAAUUGCAAAUAUCCAAUAAUUGAUUCAGACAAAAAAAAAAUGUAUAAUUGAAGAUUAUUAAGAGUCAAUUGAAUGUAAUUAGAAGUCAAAAAACAGUGAAAUUCAAUAAAAAAAUUCUAACAAAUCAAUUUUCAACUGUACAAGUAAUGUUCCUGAAAUUUAGUCGGAGAUUGAAACCCAUUUUGACAUAGUAGUCGCUCUAAUAGAAAAAUUGCUACUUUUUUUUAUUAGUUGUAGCCCUUCGAAUUAACUUUUUAACACAUUUUGAAUCUUCUUAAUCAAAUAUUGAAAUAGAAAGUUAUGACAAAAAAUUAACGACCGAGUAAAGAUAUAAUCAUGUUUGUGCGAAGACAACUUUCCUUAUUUAAUUGACACUCUUUUGGAACCCAAACUUAAACGUAUUUUUUUGACCUAAUUUCACCUUAUAUAAUAGAAUACAUGGACAACCAUUGAAGGAUCUCUCCCACCUCUCAAAUCACUUCCAUGUCAUAAAAUCAUUCAAGAACGAGAAUCAAAUUCAUCAUAAGUUGGAGAGGAGAACAAAUCUAACAUGUAGAUAAAUCAAGAAACAUCAAGAACUUGAAAAAUCAAAGCUUGGGGUUGAACACUAAGAAUAAAAAUUAGACCGUGACAUCUCUUUCUUAUAUUUAUAAAUUUAGGUGAUGUUUUUCUAUUCUUCUUCUUGUUUGAUCAUUUGACAUAUGUUUAGCUAGAUUCUUUGUAUUUGAUGAGGAUGAACCAUAUUAUUUAUUUAUUUUAAUUCAAACUAAUAGUUUAGUAAUUCUUGUUUUCUUGAUUAAUUUUAUAUUCUCAUUGCAUUAUAUAAUUAUUUUGCCAUCAAUUAGAUAAUUAGUUGUUUGUUGCAGUGUCAGAAGACUCACAAUAAGUUUAGAAUGUAAUAAAAUUAACAUAUGUGUAAUAGAUGUUAUGAAUAAUAUUUAUUUCAUGUGCAAUCAUGUAAAUAAUAUAUAGUUUAUGUAUUCUAAUGAUUCGAAUUUAGGUUAAGGAUAGACUUGGGUUGUGGUUAGAAUAGAUUUAUUUUGUCUUAGAAAAGAAAGUUAAAUAUAUUAAUUUUAUUGAACGUUAAGAACAUAUGAAUGGAACUAGAUUACAAAUUAAGACUUAAAAUAGGUAACAAUAGAUGAAUUCGAAAUUCAAUAACAGCUUUCUUAGGUUAAUAUAGACUAAUCAACAUUAAAAACUCUUUCGUUUACACACUUCAGAUUACAUAUAAAUUAGUAAAUUUGAAUUAAAAUUUAUUACUUGUGGGACGUAAGCUCUCAAUUCACUCAAAUCGAUUACUUAUCCAUGAUCUCGUAUGCUUGCGGGAUUUAGUGAUCGAGUUUUUGGCGUCGUUGUCGGGAAUAAAGUAUUUAAUUUUAGUUUAUUAGUUUAUUUAGGAUUUGACUAUUAUUAUUAUUAUUAUUAUUAUUAUUAUUAUUAUUAUUAUUAUUAUUAUUAUUAUUAUUAUUAGUUUUUUUAAAUUUAGGCUUCUCACCAUAUCUCUCUUUUGUUUGGUUUUCUACCAAGUACUAUUCAAUAGCACAUGGAUGAUUCUUACAUUAACAAGAGAGCAAACCAUUUGCAAUAAUUAAUCUCAACGUGGAUGAUGAAGAUAUGCUUGUAGAAGACAUAUAUUGUUAAUUUUGUUACGGGUUGCAUUAUACUGGGCACGGCUUAUAAAGACGCACUGUUGAACCCCUAAGGUUCAAGCUUCUACAAUUUCAACAAUAUUUAAGUUAUCAAAAAUGAGCAAUUGAGAAAUUUAAUGAAAACUACAUACCGGCAAUCGAUUAUGUAUCAUUAGACAUGCUUGUGGGAGUUGGUUCCUUUCAUGUUGAAUGAAGAGAUAUUUGUAAAAUAUUAUAAUGAACUUGCUAAGUCAGAUGAAAACAAAUGCAUAUGGAGAUGGCAUAUCUUGGGACAAAUUUAAAUGAUGGGGAUAUAAUCCACUUGAAAAGAUUGAAAGGAAAUAAGUGACAUUGCCAAUGAAUUUAGAUAGUGAACCGACCAUUUAACUCGAAGAAAUAUCAAUUAUUGAAGAAGAGCAUAAAGACGAUGACAAACUAAUUAUAAAGGAACCAAGCAAAAAUGUGACAAUUAAUGAUGAUGAAAUUUACUCAUAUUCUUUUGACUUCAUCGAUUGUCCAACAAUUGAAUUUAUGAUUAAGUCAAAGAAGGAAGAAGUCUACAUAAUUAGCUUGGAAUAAGAUGGAAUAAACGAAUCAUAUCACAUAGAAUGAGGUAAUGUUAAGGUUUGAAAAAUUAACGAAAGUGGACCAAAGUCAAAAGAAACAAAUUAAGCAUGGCAUCAAAAGCUUUCUCCAGAAUUUCAUGGUGCAGAACAUGAAAGUCAAGCUAAUGACUAUAAAUAAGCACUUAUUGGAAUGCAAUUCAAUUUCUUCUCUUUUAUUUAUUUUUACUUUCUAAAAUAUAGGAUUAGUAAAUUUCAUUUUUUUAGUAGUUUUGUAUAUUUUAUUGCUUUUAGUAAUUUAGAGUAUCCUUAUUUUCAUAUUUUCCUUUAAGAAGCUUUAGAGCUUGUUUAACUAUGCUCCAUGGUAUAAUUGAAUUUUAUUUAUUUAUUUAUUUAUCUUGAAGAAACAACAUGACAUCUAAGUACAUUGGAUAAGGUAAAAUACAUAACAAGUGAUCCAACACUCUUAUGCCAGUCUAUCUACCACCUUCAGAUAUAUAUAUCAGGGGAAUACUUAGUUCUCUUAUUUAUCCUUAGUUUUUCUAUAUUACUUGUUAUAUUUUUAGACAUUAAGGGCAAUAUCUAUUAUAAAUUUGGGGAUUAAAAAAUAUCUAGUUUUUAUCUAUUUUUACUAUUUGGUACUUGCAAAAAAACUUCAAAAAUUAAAAAAAAAAAAUUAUCUUCAGUUUUAUUUUUGCUUUUAUAUACUUUUGUUGAUUAUAUAAAUUCGUCUACUAUGAUGCAUAUAUUUGGAACCAUCUGUAAGGUUAUAAAUAGUGAAAAAGUUGCAUGAUAGGUUGAUUUAUGCUUAUUAAUGUAAAAUUUGACAUUUUUGCACACAAGAUUAUUGUUUUGCAUCAUUAAGGAUUAAUUUGAUUCAAAUUUUGAAUAGUUUGAAAUAAAUUUAGUGGACCAUAGAUGCUAAAACUAGAUAAACACUAAAUUGUACAUCCUUAAACCUAUUUUCAUAUAAUUUGGGGGCGACUGAACUGUUGUAGGGAGAUAUUGAGAUAAAUAUAGAUUAUAUGCAUAUUCUGUUAAUUGUUUAAUGCAAAUAAGAAAAAAAUUAAGUGUAAAUUUUUGUGUCAAUUUUUGAGAAUGAGUGUUUAGUUAGGGGCAUUGUACUGGACAUUGCAUGGGAAAAUAAUUUCAAAGAAGAAAGAAACUCACAUUAUUAAACUUCUUUUUAUAGCCUUCAUGACUUAAGUUUAUAAAGCUUAAUUGAGAUAAGUUUGAACAUAAAAUGAAAAUGAAAAUAGAAAUAAAAAGAGAAAAAGCAAGUAACAAAAGGUGUACUACAUGCGUUGAUUAAACUCCAAAUACUUGUUUUAGAGAAUUAGACAUUUGACAAAGGAUUAUUGGCCUAGUUGAUUUUUGGAGGUUGAAGUAACCAAAAAUAAAGAGAACUCUCAUUUGUUGAUGUGUUAGCUGCAAUUAGUAAGAUCUAACCAAAGUAAAGGGGAUAAUGAUUAGUAUAAAAAAUCCAACUUUAGAUCACACUAUAGGAAAAGAGUUUUAAAAAAAAAUUAGUUUGAAUGUGAACCUUAUGCGAGAAUGAAGUAAAUAUUUGACCAAUUAGGGCCGGGACAUAAGUCACCUAAUGAGAACUUGUUUGAGCCCCAUUUUGAGGGGAAAGAAUGCAUUUUUAAAUAGUGAUUGAUGGAGAAUGUGUAGUUAAAAAUUAAGGAAAAGUUUUGGGUUGUGUAUAAUAUUAUUUUAUUGAAAAAUAUAUGGUUGAAAAUGGAUUUUAAAAUUUUUUUUUUUUAAAAGAAUGAGGCUCAAACAAGGGCUGGAUUUAUGAUGUUUAACAUGAAUUUUCACACACGGGCGUCGAUUUUGCAUUAGAUAAGUAGAAAUUAAUUUUAACAUUGUGAUUUUGAAGUAGCUCAUAACGUUAACACAUAAAUUUCAAUCCUAAGACCAAUGACAAAUUAUCUAAUCAUGUUUGUUUAAAAAAGUUUUGGUUAAGUUAAGCUAUAUUUUGUUAGAGGCUAAAUAAUUGUUCAAGUUUGGAGGUAUUUGAUAAGUUCAUUUCUAUAUACUUAUUUGGUUAUUAAAUGAGAGCCAUUAUUGUUAAUUUGAAUGAAUUAGCGCUUAUUUAUAUUUUAAUUUUAUUUGUUAGGUAAAAAUCGAGAUAAAUUGGGUGAAUUAGAAGAAAGAAAUGAAAAAUGGGUGAAAAAAAUGAAAUAUAAAGUUAGGGAUCAAAUUGUAAAUAUCUAAUAGUUGAUUUGAACCACAAAAUGAUAAUUGAAGAUUACAAGGAGCCAAUUGUAUGCAAUUAGAAGUCAAAAAGGAGUGAAUUACAAUCAAAGGAUUCUUACAAAUCAAUUUUCAUCCGUACAACUUAUAUUCCAGAUUUUUAGUCGGAGAUGGAGACCCAUUUUAAUUUAGUAAUCGUUCUAAUAGAAGAAUGGCUACUUAUUCAUUAAUUGUAACACUUUGAGUUAGCAUUCUAAUCAUUUUGAAUAAAUUCAAUCGAGUAUUAGGAGAGAAAUUUAUGACCAAAUUAUUGAUGAGUGUGCAAAGAGAUAAUCAUGCACGUGUGAAGGUAUCUUUUCUUAUUUGAUUGAAACAUUUUAGGAACCUAACUUGAACGCAUUUUUUAAGCUAAUUUUGCCUUAUCUCUAUCUAAUAUAAUCAUCCAUGGAAGAUCUCUAUCUCACCUCUCAAAUCACUUCCAUAGCAUAAAAUCAUUCAAGAACGAGGGAAAAAUUCAUCAUAAUUUGGUGGGGAGAACAAAUCUAGCACAUGGACCGAAUAAAAAAUAAAUCAAGAACUUGAAUAAUCAAAGCUUGAGGUUGAGAAACAAGAUCAAGAAUUAGACCGUGCAUCUCUUUCUUAUAUUUAUAAAUUUCGAGUGAUAUUCUUCUUGUUGUUUUAUCAUUAGAAACAUGUUUAACUAGAAAUUCUUUGUAUUGGAUGAAGAUAAAUUCUUUUUUUUAAUUAUUUUAAUUUAAACUAGUAGUUUAUUAAUUUUCCUUUUCUUGAUUAAUUUUACAUUCUCAUUGCAUUAUUUAAUUAUUUUGCCAUCAAUUAUAUAAUUAGUUGCUUAUUGUAUAGUUAGAAGACUCACAAUAAGUUUAAAACGCUACAAAUUAAUAUGUGCACAAUAGAUGUUAGGAUUAAUAUUUAUCACUUAUGCAAUCAAGUAGAUAACCUAAAAUUUAAUGCAUUCUAGUCAAUCGAAUUUAAGCUAGGAAUAGACUUAUAUGUGAUUAGAAUAAAUUUAAUUUGUCUUGAAAAAUGAAGUUAAAUAAUUAGCUUUAUUGAUUGUCAAAAAAGCAUGAAAUGAAUUAUAUUACAAAUCAAGAAUUGAAAUAGAUAAUAAUAGGCGGAUUCACAGUCUAUUAUAAUCAUCCAUAAUUUAAUAAAAACCAAAUUUUUAUGACUUAUUAGAUUUAGAAUAAUCAACACCAAAAACUCUUUUGUUUACAUAAUUCGAAUUCCAUAUAUAACUAGUGAACUUGAAUUGGUAUUAACUCACUCAAAUUUAUUACUUGUGAAUGAUCCCUUACACUUACUAGAUUUUAUCAAACACUGAUCAAUUAAAAAAUUAAUGCCUAAAAUAAAAAAAAAAUCCAAAUAGAUACAAUAGUGGAGAUAAGAGAAAGACUUAGAAUGUACAAACGUCCUUUAUUUACAUAGACUGAUUGACACUAUUUACAAAUGCAAAGUUAUUUGAUGGUGAACUAAAAUUAAAUAUGGAAUGAUGAAGUGAAUGAAUUCAAAAAUUGUUGUAAAAAAAGCUCCAUAAUUUCAAAUUUACACAUUAUUUUUUAAAAAGAAUUUCUUAUAUAGAUUAAAAACAAUAGAUGUUUUCAAGUGAUUUUAAACCGUAAAAAAUUGUCCAAAUUUAACAAAAAAUAAUAAUCAAAUCCAACUUGAAUUGAGCCCAAGCCCCAACCCUAAAAUUGAUUGGUUUGGGUUGGGUUGGAUUGAGUUUAAAACAACAAUUGGGUUGAGUUGGAUUGCGGGGGAGCACUUUAAAAAAUUACGUUUCUCACUUUUCUUUGUUUUCUUUGAACCUUAAAGAGUUACUUUGCAAACAUUUUUUUUCCUUCCUCCCAAUGGCAGAUCUAGGUAGUGGCGAGCUUGGGCGGCCGCCCUAGCUGGAUCCGCCAGAGUCUUUACUAGCCGCCGGGUGGAAGAUUGGAAGUUGCAGAGCCGCGACUGAACUGAAAAAGGGAGGAUCGGAGGAGGAAGAUGAAAUUUUGAAUUUGGGUCUUUUUUUUUAUUAUUUUAGUUUAGGCCUUUUUCUUUGGGCUGAUGAGUUGGGCCUCUUUGUUGGAAAAAAAAAAUUAGACCCAAUCCAUGGAUGAUGAUUGAUGGAAAUACACACAUAACUGCAACCACACCUCCAAAUCAGAGGUAAUAAUCGUAGCAAACCCUUCUGUAACUGCUCUCCUUCUCCCUGCUGUUGGCCGCAGAUGUUAUUACUUAUUUCGGUGGUCAAAACCUCAAUUGGUGGCAUUAGAAAUAGGACGCCUAUGUCCUGGUGAGAAACUUCUAAGUUCUAAUGGCUCAUUUUUUCGAUUUCCAUGUGUCUGCCUUGGAUUAAUGCAAAUUAUGCAAACCUGUAUACUUACUUUUUUGUUUAAUAUCUUUUUCAGGAAAUAAGAAUGGGAUACUCUUGCCUCACACAGAGUUCGCCUGAGUGCUGCUCACGCAUGUGACUUGUGAGCCCUCUCUUCUCUUUCACUUUUUUGUUUGUUUGUUUGUUUGUUUUGUUUUUGUUUUUUGUCCUUUUAAUUCAUUUUUUUAUUUAUCUUUUAUUUUUGAGCUAUGAAUCUAUGACUUGUGUUUUACUAGUUAUGAUUUAUGUUUUAUGAGUUAUGACUAUGAUUUGUGAUAAAUAAUUCAAGAUGAAAUCCCUACCUUCUAGUUCUAGUUCGUGUUAGGUUGUUGCUAGUUCAUUAGAUUUGGAAGAUUAUAAAUAAUUUGAACUUUGUUAAUAUAGCAAAUUAAUAAUACUUGUUAAUUAACUUUAAUUAUAAACUGAAUAUUGGCAUUUUGUUAAUAUAUUUUGCCUAUUUAAUUGAAAAAUAAAUUAAGGCAAUUUUGCAGAUUAUGGAACUAUUUUUUCAUUCGAAAUGAAAGUUUGUACAUAGUUUCAGUUCUAGUGGUGCAUCUAGUUCUAGUCCGUACGGUUUUUUGAAUACUAUUUAAUUAAAUAUUAAUAAACGAUUCACCUAUCAUGGAUGCUGACAGUUGACAGUUAACAUUCAACGUUUACGGUCCGUCCUAGCUGAACUAAGACCCUGGAUUCGCCCCUACUUCCUUCCACCUAUUUUUUCCUCCCUCCAUUUCAUAACUACGAAAGAAUAUCACUAACACUAUCAAUACAUAUAAAAAUUCUAGUCAAUGAAUUGUUGAUCAGUUAAUUGAUGUCGUUUCAAGUUUUUGUGUUCGUUCUAUAUAUGACAAAGUUGUCGAUAAUCCUUACAGUUCUCACAUGGCCCUGUUGAGAAGAAACGAAUUGCCACUUGCUAGGGAACUUUCUAAGGUAGCUAGGAUGCUGUGGCUGUUUCAAACUCGGAUCCAGCUUCCAUUCUUUUGGAACCUGCAUAGCCACAUUUACAAUGACACUCAGAUUCGACGUGAAAGGUUGGAAAUACGAUUAACGACGACCAAUUUUCUAAAAUCGAUUCAGGUCAGUCACCUUCUCGUGUCAAGGUUCAAAGGAUACAAUUGGAGUUUAACUAGAUAAUAUUCGUCACAUAGCAUGAGAUAUGUCAAGGCUCAAAUUGCUCCUUAACCCAAAGUUCUUAUUUUCAGUUAAAAAAAGCUGAAAAACUUCUAGGUUUCCUCCCAUCUCUUUAAUAUGGUUUUUAAGGUAUAACAAUACGUUACAGGUUAAUUCAUCGUUUUAUCUCUCGAACCAGUCAGGAUAGUCUGGUUAUCAAAACACUAAAGAAAACAAGAUGAGAAAAAUAGAAGAUCUUGAUAUUUUUUGCAAGUCACCUUUCAAACAUUAUUCACUUUUGUUCGUGAGAAACCUACAACCGUAUCGUUGACAAGUAAUAGAAUUAACAAGUUUAAAGUUACUGUCCCACAGGAAAUAAACUCAAUUGAAAUUUACCAAUUUUAUAUGGAAUUCGAAUUACAUAACACAAAAGAGAUUUUUAAAUUGAUAUUUGAUAAAUUAAUUUAUGAAAUAUUUAAAAGUUUGGUUUUUAUAAUUUAUGGAUGAUUGUAUUAAAUUUACGCUCUUCUAUUGUUAUCUAUUUCAAUUUUCAGUUAUGUAAUCUAGUCUUAUUAAUGCAUUUUUGACAGCCGAUAUAGUUAAUGUAUUUAACUUUUUUUUCAAGAUAAAUUAAUUCUAUUAUAGUCACGACUCGAAUCUAUUUCUAGUUUGAAUUUGAAGAAUGGAAUACAUUAAAUUUCAGAUUAUUUAUAUGAUUGCACACAUGAUAAACGUCAUUUUUAACAUCUAUUGUACAUAUGCUAAUUAUACUGCAAUCUAAACUUAUUGUGAAUCUCUCAAUACUACUACAAGUAACUGAUUAUCUAAUUGGUGGUCAAACAUUUAAAUAAUAUAAUAAGUGUACAAAAUUAAUCAAGAAAUGUAAGAAAUACUAAAUUACUAGUCAUGAAUUAAAAUAAAUAAACAAUAUGGUUCAUCUUUAUCCAAUACAAAAAUAGAUCUAACAUGGCAUGCUUUUAAAUAAAUUAUAAGAAGAAUAAUAGGAAAAUAUCACCCGGAUCAUGAAAAUAAUGCAAGAAAUCUUGAUCUUCAAUAUCAAGAUUGAGUUCUUCCAAAUCUUGAUGUAACUGGCUUCAAUUCCUUGCUAGGGUUUGCUCCCUUCUCUCAAAUAUAGCAAUUGACCACUUGUUCUUGAUAAAUUUUAAGAUAUUACUGUGUAUCUAGAAGCUAGAAAGAGUUCAUUUCCAUGUUUAGAUGUUGUUUUGUAUUUAUAGGAAUUGAAAAUUCGGGUUAAAAUCAUGUAUAAAUUCAAAUUAGGAAGAGUUUUAUGUCAAACAGAUUUUAUGUCAAGGAAUUUACAAGGUUUUUUCAAAUGAAUGAUUUAACUUGGGAGUAAUUAGUGGUUUUGCAAUGGAGUGUUUCAGCAAAGAACCUCGGAUGGAGAUGCGCUUCGGCCAGAGAGAUCAACCCUUUUCAUUGAUUUCUUCAUGUUGUCCUUGUUGACUUUUAGAUGUAUUGCCUCCACGCAACUUCGACUUGGCUUCCACUGGAAGCUUUGGAUACAAAGCGAAAUUUAAUAUUUAAUAUCUAUUCCAUAUGGAUUAAAAUCUCUAAAUCAAAGCAAACAAUUAAUUUUCAUCACAUAUUUCGUGGAUUCUACAAUGGAUAAAUAGCCAAAACCCCAUGUUUGAAACAUUUUUGUGCAAGCCCCACCGUCAUCAAGAAUUAUCAAAUUGAUCGUUAAAAACACUAAAAAAAUGUCAAAAUUAAAAAGGAAUAAAUGCAAUUUCAGUAUCUAAACUUUUAUUUUUUUUUACAAAUUAAAUCCAAAUUUUUUAUAUGUACCACCUACAAUCCAAAUAUUUAAAACUUUAUUUUCCACGCCACCCUCUUCAUCUUCUUCCCCAAAAUAUUCUUUUCUAGGUUUUCCUUCACCAAAAUCUAUGAUUUCAUUCCUAUUUACUAGUCGAUGCCACGUGCGUUGUACGAUUAUUGUAUUUAAUAUGUCUUUAUUAGCGUGAUGUAGAGAUUUUAGUUUUCUUGUCAUAAUCGUAACAUGCUUUUGAAGUUUGAAUUAAUUUUUUUUGGCAUGAAUUUUCUCUGACAAUUAGUAAAAAUUAGAUUUAAAAUUGUAGGGGAUAUAAGUAAAAGAUAAUUUAUAAUUUUAUGAGAGUCCUGCACGCGACCGUGCAGAGUCAGCACCAAUUCCAUGCGAGGAAGUCCCCGCACAGAUGCGGAUUUCCUGCACAAUUCGUGCGGAGUCCUCACACAGUUUGUGCGAGGACUCCACACCAAUUCCUUCGAGGAAGUCCCGCACAGUUUGUGCGGGCACUCCGCACCAAGAUUGCUACAAAAAGCCAUAUUUCACGAGUUCUAGGUGUUUGCAUUCUCAAAGUGAUUAAGAGAACUAAUAUCACCAAAAUUCAGCAAAAAUAAAAAUGAGAAUAUUUAUUUAUAUAAGCAAGGGAUGAAAAGUGGAAAUAACUUCCUAAAAAAUGAAAUGUACUGCAUUCAACAUUGAGAAAAAAACACGUAACAUGUAAUCAUAUUGUGCUGCUGGCUCAUUUUCAAUUAAUUACUACCAAAAAGUUUUGCAACGAGAAUUCUACAGUUAUAAAUAGAGAUUCAAAUGGCCUAUCCAAUCACCUUACUAUGCUCUGCUUAAACUUAUAGCUAAAAACUUAACAGAAACAAUUUGCAACUAUUAACUAAAAUAACAAAACCCCUUAUACUUAGAGCAAUUCAAUUAUUUUCACCAAACUUAUAUGCUUCACCUAAUCAUUCAUCGAUUUCUUGCUAAUUUCUUUAGUCCUACAUUUUCCUACUUCAGGUGCCAAACCAUGGCCUAAAAAAUUAAUCUAUACUUCUUUUUUUUUCCUCUCUAUAAUCUGUUGUUCUUAUGGCCAAAAAUUCAGUUUAAAAAGACUUAUACAAACUGAAAAUACACACAUUCUUAAUAUGCAUAAAGUAUGAAUAAACCCAUAUCAAGAGUCCCAACAAAAAAAAAAUUGAAAAUAAGUAAAAAGGCAGAUUUUUUCCCUAGUUGACUUUAAAAAAAAAAUUAAAAUUCAAGACUUCUUUUCUGCAGCACAUAUCAAAAGUCUAUUCACGGCAUCAUCGGAACAAUCAUCAACAAACAAAACCCAUACACCCAAAAUUAAUGAAAUGACGAAAACUCAAACAUCUAACACAUAAAUUUAGGGAUUAAGAUAAGAUAAGCCCAUACCUUCAAAAUUAUUAGUGUUAAAACCCAAAAAGUCCCCGCACAGUCUAUGCGGGGACUCCGCACCCAGAUUACUACAAGAAGCCAUACUUCACGAUUUCUGCCAAGAUUGCUAAUGCAUGAGAUACACAAGAGACCUAAAUGAAUUAACAAGCCAAUAAGCAUUUUAAUUUACAUUAAACCAAGAAUAUACCUCUCUAUUCACACAAAAACCCAAAAUUGUGAAUUGAAUGAACAAAAUUAUAAUUAUCAAAUAAAAUCGAGGAUAUACCUCUCUAUUCACUCGAAAUAAAAAAUUUUGCACGUAGAAUCUUGAAUAAACAAAAUCAUAAUUUGAGAAAAAUGGCAUGCCAGGAAUUUACCUCUCUAUUCAUGAGAAUUUUGCACGAAAUUAAUCACAGAAAAACGAGAGAAGAAUUGAAGAAGAAGUGAGAGAAGAAAAUGAUGAUGAUGAUGAUGAUGAAAGCUUGUGUCUGGGUUUGCGUGGGGAAAUGGCUUCACCGUCCUUUUGAGUAAGAAAAAAUGGGUAUGAUUGAUAUCUACAGUAAAAUCACUGUUUAGCUAAAGUAGAAGUCCCGAAUACUAUUGCAAUUAUAGUAUAUUUUAUUCAUCUUUCUAUAAUAAGUAGUUAGAUUUAAAAAAAAAAACUGCAAAUGUGGUGUUUUGCAAUUACAGUGAAUUUUAUUCAUCUUUCUAUAAUAAGUAGUUAGAUUUAAAAAAAAAAAAAAAAACUGCAAAUGUGGUGUUUCUACAUGAGUUAACUUAUGCGUGUUUUAUAUAAAUCUCCUUGUUCUGUUUGUUAGUGAAGAUCAUGAAUUGGCCAGCUCUAAAAACAAGAUUCAGUAACAUUUAUAGAAUAAUAUAUUAAAUUGGAUAGCUUAAGGAGGUCGCCAGAAUUUGGGGUGGCCAUAUUGCUCAACCCCAGACGGUGUUCAAGUAUCUGUCUAUUCAUUUUCUGUGUAUAAUCGUAUCCAAGAAUGAGUCAUGUAUUCUAGCGAGAAAUUAAUAUCAAGAUUCCAGUUCUUGACAUCUUGUUUAUCCAAAAUUUUUCCUUUAUCUUGGUGUAAUCUAUGGUCAUAGGUAGUGUUUUUGUGGAAUCAGAUCUUUGUUUCUCAUUUUUUAAGUUGGAUUUCAAAUCUUGAUAUUUGGACUUUUGAUUCUCGAAGUGUUCAAUAAUUUAACUGUAAUUUUCAAGAAAAUAGGGGGAUGGACUUACUAUAUGUUCUUGGAACCAGAAAGAGAGGUGAAUUCUAAUUACAUAAUUAAUUCAUUAUUUAAACAUCCCAUUCUGAGACUUGGGGAAAUGGACUUCUUGUAUUUUCGUGGAUCGAAGAAAAUGAAUUGGGGUGGGGGUUGGAAAAUAAAGUUCUAGAGAUUUGGGAUUGUAGGUGGCAUAUAUAAAAAUUUGGAUUUAAUUUGUAAAAAAUAAUAAUAAUAAAUAACAAAAUAAAAAAAAUUGGGUAUUGAAAUUACAAUUAUUCCUUUUUAACGACAAAUUGAUGGAUCUUGACGGUAGGGAAAUUUGGGAUGAGAUCAAUGCACUAACUGAUGCCCACCCUUGUACUUGUGAUGCUCGCAAAAAAGUCGAAGACACAGCCAAUACCGAACGACUCUUUCAAUUUCUUAUGGGCCUCAAUGACUCAUUCUCCAACAUUCGAAGCCAAAUUCUCACCAUGGACCCCCUGCCCACAAUCUCCAGAGCAUAUGCCACCAUACAUCAAAAAGAGACACAACGCCUCCUACAAAUUCCAUUGUUACCCAAUCCCGAAAAUUCGGCCAUGGCUGUCUCACACACCAAUUCUUCGGUCAAUCACGGUUUUUGUUCUCGCAACAGUAGAAAAUGCACAAAGUGUGGGAAAGAUGGACAUCAAGAAGCCUCCUGCUUUGAAAUCAUUGGCUAUCCUUCCCAUUGGAACACCAAUAAGCCGAAGCAGCCCCUGCGGUCCACACCUGUCAAAAAUCGGCCACAGGAUUCAGGCAGUAAUCGGCUACCCACAGCGAACAUGGUGUCUCGUACCUCAGCCCCUUCCACAUCGAGUGCAAUCCCUGGCUUAUCUGACGAGCACUACUGGCAAUUGAUGGAAAUGUUGGAUCCUAGCACCAUUACACACUCGGCCUUCUCUGGUAUCUCUCUAUCACCUCUCCAAAUCGCCCUAGGUCCUUGGAUUAUAGAUAGUGGGGCUUCAGCCCACAUUUCUUGUGUUUCUAACUUACCCAAAGCCUCACAUAUUUGGGCCCAUAGUCAAUCCCUUACAUUACCUACAGGCUUCAAGGCCCACGUCACACAUAUGGGCCACAUCCAUAUUUCUCCCCAUUUAUGUCUACAUAAUGUUCUUUUUGUUCCCGAUUUUAAAUACAAUUUAAUCUCAGUAAGUCAACUCACAAAAUUGUCUAAUUGUGUUACCAUAUUUUCCUCUUCUAUUUGUUUAUUUCAGGACCUAUGUAUGAGAAAGCUGAUUAGGAUGGGUGAAGAACAUGGAGGCCUCUACCAUUUUAAACCAUUUAAUCAUGUUGCAUUUCAACUCAUAGCGAAUCCUGCUGCUACACCGGAUGUAUAGCAUCUUCAUUUAGGUCAUCCUUCAAAUUCUUGUAUUCCAAAAAUUUUAUGUGAUUCAAAUAAAGUUAGAAAUUGUGAUAGUUGUGUUCGCGGUAAACAUACGCGCCUUCCCUUCAAAUUGGUCGAAAAUAAAAGUACUUUUACCUUUAACCGAAUUUAUUGUGAUAUUUGGGACGGAUAUUCCACACCCUCUACAAUUGGUGCACACUAUUUUCUCACAAUUGUUGACGAUUUUUCACGUGUUACUUGGGUAUACCUCAUGCGUUUUAAAUCUAAUACAUUUACUUACCUAACCACAUUCAUUAAAAUGAUCCACACGCAGUUUAAUUGCCCUAUCAAACAUAUUAGGUCCGACAAUGGUCAAGAAUUUCUUUCUCAUCGUAUGCAACAAUUCUUCCUUGACCAUGGGAUCAUUCAUGAGCGCACUUGUGUUGAACCACCCCAAAAAAAUGGUGUAGUAGAAUGAAAAUAUCGUCACCUACUAAAUGUAGCUCGAUGUCUUCGCUUUCAUACACAUUUACCUAUUUCUUUUUGGGGUGAGUGCAUACUUACUGCAUCCUAUCUGAUUAACCGCGUAUCAACUCCCACGCUUGGUCACAAAGCGCCUUAUGAACUCCUUUUCAACAAACCUCCUACCUAUGAUCACCUCCGUGUCUUUAGAUGUCUUUGCUAUGCACACACUUUAAGUGUCCAUCGGGACAAGUUCUCUCCUCGUAGCACACCAUGCAUAUUCCUAGGCUACUCUCAAAUUCCACAUACUUAUCGUGUUCAUAACUUGCAAACCAAGAAAAUUUUCUUCUCUUGUGAUGUCUACUUUGUAGAAUCUAUCUUUCCCUUCGCUCCUACGAUGCAACCUUCACACAUAUCAUCAGAUACCAAUCAGCCCCUCGAUGUCCCUUACAGUACCCCACUUCCAACCAACGUUUCACAUGACACCCCUAGCCCAUCUCCUUCAUCCACGCAGACAUGGAACCAACUAUACCAACACCACAAGUUGUUGAUGGACCUACCAACUCCCUAGAAAUCGUCACCAGCUCACCCCCACUCAACUCAUCCCCACCAACUAGACCUCGAUGCACGAUUACUCGUCUUACAUAUCUUCAAGACUACAUUUGUUCAGAUUUACCUCCAGAGGGACCACGUUCAUCAUCUCAUUGCCAGUCUUUCUCAGGUACAGUUCACUCUCUACCUAAUUUUCUUUCUUGUCGUUUCUUUAGUCCAAAACAUUUUGCUUUCCUCUCUUCUAUCUCCAAAAAUGUUCAAGACCCCGUUCUUUACUCUCAAGCUAUUCUUGAGCCGUAUUGGCAAUAGGCAAUGGCUUUUGAAAUUCAAGCCCUUGAAGUCAAUCACUCAUGGACCCUUGAACAUCUUCCCCCUGGUAAGAAGGUAAUUGGUUGCAAAUGGGUUUAUAAAACAAAAUUGCAUGCCGAUGGUUCCAUUGAACGCCAUAAAGCUUGUUUUGUUGCCAAGGGUUUCACUCAGGUUGAAGGUCUUGACUAUAAUGACACUUUUGCUCCUGUGGCUAAACUUGUUACUGUUCGAUGUCUCCUUACUAUAGCUACAGCUAAACACUGGAUUCUUCAAAAAUUGGAUGUUCACAAUGCUUUCCUCAAUGGUGAUCUUGAUGAGGAAGUGUAUAUGCGACCACCACCAGGAUAUUGUCGUAAAGGGGAGACUCGCGUUUGCCAUCUCCACAAAUCAUCAUAUGGUCUCAAACAAGCCUCACGUCAGUGGUAUUCAAAAUUAUCCCAUGUUCUCAUCCUUACAAGUUUUGAUCAAUCUGCUGCUGAUCAUAGUCUCUUCAUCAAAACCAAGGGUACAACCUUUACUGCCGCUCUUGUCUAUGUUCAUGAUAUCAUUGUUGCUGGUAAUGACAGCUCUGCCGUUAGUUCUAUCAAACGCCAUCUUGCAUAGACCUUCAAAAUUAAAGACCUUGGCGAUCUCAAAUAUUUCCUAGGGAUUGAAGUUGCUCGAUCUCCUAAAGGCAUAUUUAUCAAUCAAAUGAAAUAUACCUUGGACAUUCUUACUGAUUCAGGUGAACUUGGCUCUCGCUCGGCAUAUUUUCCCAUGGAACGACAUUGCAAACUUAAUGACUCAGAUGGUGAUCUUAUGGACGAUCCUAGCUCAUAUCGACACUUGAUUGGUCAUUUGAUCCUAUAAUGCUCGGACUCGGGUACGGGUAUCGGGUACGGGUACUUAUCUAAGUAUCAAAUCUUUUAUUUUUUAAAAUAUAGGAUACGGGGACAUGGUUAAAAAGAAUCCAAAUUUCGGACACGGGUACGUGGGUACGUCUUUCAAGCUUCAAUUUUUUUAUAUUAACCCAAGAUGUCAUUUUGAAUAGACUAAAAUCAAUAGUUCAUAAAAAGGAAAUGAGUAUUAAAUAAGAUGUUAAGACUAAUAAAAUACAAUUUUGGGGUUUAGUUUUCAAUUAUAGGAAACGGGAAAGAAAAUGAAAAGAAAAAAGAAGAAGUAAAAAAAAGGGCGAAAUGUCCGAUUUAAAUUUGGAGGAUUCUACACAUAUCCCAUACGCAUACCCUUGUCGUGUCGUGUCCGACACGGGUAUUUCAACCAUUUCGAAGAGUCCGAGCAUCAAAGGUUUGAUCUAUUUGACCAUCUCUCAUCUGGAUAUUACCUUUGCAGUCAACAUUUUGAGUCAGUUUAAGCACACUCCUCGCAAGCCUCAUCUACAUGCUGCUAUACGCUGGCUCCGCUAUCUGAAAACAACACCUGGUUAUGGAUUCUUCUUUCCAUCCAACUGCAACCUUCAGAUAUCUGCUUUUUGUUACUCUGAUUGGGCAAGUUGUCCACUCACACGACGUUCCACAACUGGUUUCAUCAUCAAAUUGGGCGAUAGCCCCAUCUCUUGGCGCACCGAGAAACAAACAAUUGUUUCUUGCUCUUCUGCUGAAGCUGAAUAUCGUGCGAUGGCCACUACAACUUGUGAACUUGUUUGGCUUCGCCUCCUUCUACAGGAACUUACUGUGUUGCAUCCACAACCUAUUCUGCUUCAUUGUGACAAUCAAGCAGCAAUCUACAUUGCACAUAAUCCGGUCUUCCAUGAACGCACCAAACACAUUGAAUUAGAUUGCCAUCUUGUUUGUGAAAAAAUCAAAUCUGGUCUUAUUACUCCCUCCUAUGUUUCAAGCUCUGAACAUGUAGUUGAUCUUUUUACUAAACCAUUGGGACGUGAAUUAUUUGUCUUCUUUUGGUCCAAGUUGGACAAUACGGGCCUCCAUGCUCCAACUUGAGGGGGAGUAUUAUAGCCAGCUCAUCAACAACAAUCAACGACAAUCAACACAAAGAAUUUUCUUUUAUAGUUAUUUCCAUAUCACAGUUUUUACCAUGUAUAGAUUGGAUUCUCACCUAUAAAUUUAUACAAAAUCAUUUUAACAUAUAUGGAGGAAAUAAUAUAAUCUUCAAUUCUUUCCUCAAUCAUACCUGUGUAUGUCGAGAUUUGUUAUUUAUAUAGAGUAAUUUUAUUUUGAUACUUGUUAUUAAUUUUUCUUAUUGAAAUUUUUUAAAUAUGAAUAUUUCUUUAUUAUUUAAUAAUAAAUUUGAAUUAAAAAUAUACGAUAUUUUUGAUAAAGAAAGAAAAAUUACCACUAGUGUGUUUGAGAAGUAUCGGUAUUCGACAUGUAUCGGAUGUUACUCACAAUAUUGCUAAUGAUAUAUUUCAACUAUGGUCUACGAGAAUAAGAUAUCGUAUGGAACACGUAAUAUCAGCUAAUGAAAGAUAGAAUAAUAGUUGUUUUUAGUACGGCAUGGUAUGCUACAUGAAUAUAUUGUCAACUCUAAAUAUUUUUUCAAUUACCCACAACGUUGCCGAUUAAAAUAAAUUUAUCAAUAGCAGUAAGAGUAGAACAAAUAAUUUAAAAUUGUAGAAAGUGAUAAAAGAGCAAAUGAACUUUCAAUCGAAGUCUAAAUAAACACAGUUUCUUUAAAACAAAUUGGCCUCCUCACUCUACGUGCUUGAGGCUUAGUUUGAGCAUCUGUUUCCUAGGAUACAACGAAAAAUAAGUAGAGUCUAAGCACUGCAUAUACUACUCCGGUGAACUGACUUAGUAUCCGAACAAUAUCACCAAAAUUGAAAAGAAAUUUUUUUUCGACCAAAUAGAGAGCUGUAAAACUAUGUAGCAUGCAGACAAAGUAUUGAUUCUUGUGUGGGAUAUGGAAAACGAGUUCCAUAUAGACUUAACCCCAUGAAUGGUGAGUUAAAUCUGUCUAUAAGUGUAUUAUCUCAUCCAUAACUCUUGGAGUUUCAAUAGUUUUAGAAGUUAAAAGGUCAGUUGGAGGAAAAAAUUGACAAAACGUAGGCCUUCCUAAGGGCUCAAUUUUGGUCCCUUCGGUCUGACAUAUGUGUGUACAGGUUGAGCCCACACACAAGUUCAAGGUUCGAAACCUAUUUCGGUCUAUGAUUUGUACCUCUUACGUGCGCACGUGAUGAGAGCCUCUAUGCUAUAUAUGAUCACACCCUUCAAAGUGUAAUCCUAUAUGAGGUGGUAUUUGCCUUCAUUAUUUUUCUAUGUGGAACAAACCUUAAUUGGUGUCCUUCAAACACAUAAACUCCUUUCAAUUGGCACACUUUGAGCUCCAAUUUUUCAUUCACCCAAGCAUCAUAUUUGACAAGUAAAUAUAUGAUUUCAAUAUUCUCACGACGAACACAAAUCAAUCUUGAUCUUCCAAAAUAAACAACCAGGUCCCACUCAAAAUUUAUGCCAAAGUAAGCCAUUCAACUCAUUUAUUCAAUGAUGUGCCAUCCUAGAUGAAGUGUCCGUGCAACAGAGGUAUUAGGUGUUCGUAAAGUGUUCUUUGAUGGUCAUCCAUUUCUUUUGAUGACUCAAGUUUUCGAGCUUCGCUCUACUAAUCUGAGGAGCAGCGGCCUUCCCCACUAAUCAUCCAUUGUUUAUACCUAUGGAAAUGGUGCCAGUAGCAUAUGGAAAUGUUUAUACCCCUGAUCAUUUAUGGAAAAUCGUACGAGGCCCAAGGCAUGGUAAUGAUUUCAGAGUGGAUUUAGAAGAUACUAUCUGUGCGUUGAAAAUUCUAAAUUGGUUUUAGAUAAUCGUCAAGUUGGCUAUGACACCAAGAAUAAAGUAGCGAAAGGAAGGAUACCUUGCAUAUGAAGUGAUUGGCUAAGGGUUUAUGAGUGGAGUUCUGCAUAUUACGUGUAGUAUAUGAUUUUAUUUCAACAUUUAUUCAUUGGGCUAUUUGUGGCACCAAGAAUAGUGGUGGCUAAAGGAAGGACACAUGCUUAUGAGUGGACCUCUACAUAUUAUGCAUAGUAUUUGAAUUUUUUUUCCUUUUUUUUUUGGCAGAAAGAACUGAAUAAAUAUUGAAGUUAAUGGGCUUUGUGUAACGCUCCGACCCCUGGUGGACCAGAACGCUACUUACUUUAAUUAGCUUAACCGGUGGUUUAGUAACAAGUGUAUACGUUUUAACGGAAUCUUACAUCUUCGGAUAAUAAUUUAAAUAACAAUACUUCAAAUACUUUAAACACAAACACUGAAUCAUUUUUCAAAACAACAAAAUAUAAUUUAUUUGAAGAAAACAUAACUUGUUCUCGCAUUCUGCGUUAUUCAAAACUUUAAAGAAAUAACAUUGGAAAACAUUUCAUAAAAAUAAAUCCAAAUCACUUAUUCACCGGAUUUCCAUGGGCUCGUUGCAUCAUUCUCCAUCUUCUCCUCCAUCCAUGCCCGAGGUAGAAUUCCUUCAAUUUGUAGAGAUGAGAUUAAACCCAUGAGUUGAAAAACUCAAUAGGUGUCAUAAGUGCAUUCGUGAUCAAGCUAUACAUUUCAAAACAUUAACUUUAUAACUCUUCAUACAUGCCGUACCCGGAGGCACCAUUUGAUAUGAAGGGGCAUGCCGUACCCCAGGGCACCAUUUGACAUACGAACAUUUCUUCAACAUAAAGGGGUAUGCCGUACCGGAGUACCAUUUGACAUACAACCAUUAACAUAUAGGGAUAUGCCAUACCAGAUUACUAUUUGACAUACAAACAUUAACAGGAAUCGAAACUUAUAACUUAACACGAUUAAACACAUUGCACCUCUACCUACUUUGAUUGAUGUUUUUGAAACUUUGAAAACUUGGAUUGAAAAUUUCGAUGAAACUUGGACGUUGAAAGAAAUGCACUCCUUGGAUGUUUGAAAACCGUUGAGAAUUGAUGCUUGAAGACACUUUUUAAACUUCUAAGAAAAAUAGUUUUCCUCCCUCUCUUUUUCUCUCUUGGAAACUCUUUCUUUAGUAUGUAAAAACUCUUGCUUUUGUGUGAGAAAAAAUGAGUGAAAUGAGGUCUCUAUUUAUAGGUAAAUAUUCCAUAACUUAAAGCAAAUGAAGGGUCAAAUUUCAUUUAAGAGAGAAAACAUAGUUUCCAUUUAAGUUUGAGGUUAAAUGCUUCAAUUUAGUGGGGGGUUUUUAUUGCCAAAAACGUGGGUGGCCCUUUGAGAAAAUAAUUGAUGAAAAUAAAUAUUUAAAUUCUAGAGAAAAACGAGAAUUUUCAUUUCAGGCAGCUUCGGUCGACCGGUUGUAGUCCGGUUGACACUGCAUAACUUUCAGUGUUUCUAUCAUAACUUUUUUUCCCGAUAUCCGAUUGAGGUAAUCCAAAGUGCGUUGGAAAGCUAACUCAAAAAGCUACAACUUUUAUUUAGAUAUCAUUUUCCAAAUUGAAUGUUUCCUAUGUUGAAAAUGGGUCUCAAAAGAGACUAAAAAUCUGAAGUAUACUUUAGUCAUUCAAUAUUCAUGUCUUAGUGCCACUAAGGUGUCUAGAAUUAUUUGGGGUUCUACAUCCCCCACACCUUAAUUAAAAUUUCAUCCUCAAAAUUUACCUUCUGAUUGGGCGAAUAGUAUUGGAUACUUAUCUUUGGCUUCUUCUUCUUUUUCCCAAGUGGCUCUUCUACGCCGUGAUAAUUCCACUGUAUCUUAACCAACUGAAUCUCUUUAUUCCUUAGUUUAUACACUUUUUGAUCCAAUAUCUUGAUCGGUAGUUCCUCGUACGACAAAUCUUUCUGUACCUCCAAGGUUUGAUAACUAACUACAUGAUUAGGAUCAUGUACAUACUUCUUUAUCAUCGAUAUACGGAACACAUUGUGCACUGCCGAUAAUUCAGGUGGCAAAGCUAGUCGGUAAGCCACAUUUCCGACUCUAUCCAAGGUCCGAUAUACCGGGGUCAUAGCUUGCCUUUCUUUCCAAAUCUAAGUACACCUUUCAUCGAUGCUACUUUCAGAAACGCUUUAUCCCCAACUUGGAAUUCUAAAUCCUUCAUCCUUGUAUCUGCAUAGCUCUUUUGUCGAUCAUGUGCUGCCUUUAUUCUUGCACAGAUCUUAUCGAUUACCUCGACUGUCCUUUCAACUAUUUCUUGUCCUAAAACUCUCUUCUCUUCGACUUUGACUUCAUCCCAAUGAAUAGGGGAUCUACAUCUUCUACCAUAGAGAGCUUCGUAUGGUACCAUUCCAAUAGUUGCUUGGAGGUAAGUAUGACUCCCAAUUACCUCCUAGAUCCAAAACACAUGUUUUCAGCAUGUCUUCCAAAGUUUGGAUGGUCCUUUCAGACUGACCAUCGGACUGAGGGUGAUAUGCUGUACUAAAGUUCAGCUUCGUUCCCAUAGUUCCUUGUAUACUUUUCUAAAAUUUGGACGUGAACCUUGGGUCUCUGUCAGAUAAAAUGGAUACAGGUACACCGUGUAAUCUCACAACCUCUUUAAUAUACAACUGUGCCAAUUGGUCCAAACUGAAUGUCGUUUUCACUGGAAGAAAAUGAGCUGACUUCGUUAGUCGAUCCACUACUACCCAUAUAGCAUUAUUUCCUCUUGCUGAAUUUGGGAAUCCAACCACAAAGUCCAUCGUGAUAUUUUCCCAUUUCCAUUCAGGUAUAUCUAGUGGAUUUAACAAUCCAGUUGGUUUUGGGUGUUCUACCUUAACCUAUUGACAUACUAUGUACUUCUGCACGUAUAGCCCUAUACUUCUUUUCAUAUUUCUCCACCAAAAUGUAUCUCGAAGAUCUCGAUACAUUUUUGUACCACUGGGAUGUGCGGUGUACGGGGUGGAAUGAGCUUCUUUCAAUAUCUUAUUUCUUAAGGCUUCAUCCUUAGGCACGCAAAUUCUUCCUCUAAAUAUCAAUGCCUGAUCCUCAGCUACUCCAAAGUCCUUUUUCUUAUCAGUACCAAUUUCAUUCUUAAUCUUCUGCAAAAAUGAGUCUUUAUUUUGUGCUUCUAUAAUUCGAUCUCUAAGAGUAGGUCGAAUUAUUAAAGCUGCUAGACGAGCAGUGACUUGUCCUGGUGUGAUAACCACUUCGAUCUGCAACUUUUCCAAGUCCUUAACUAACUCCACUUGAGAGGUGGGUAGUGACGUCAAUUGUCCCAUUGAUUUUCUACUUAGAGCGUCGGCCACAACAUUAGCCUUACCCGGAUGGUAGUGAAUAGUGCAGUCGUAAUCGUUCACCAAUUCCAACCAUCGUCUUUGUCGCAUAUUCAAUUCCUUCUAUGUGAAGAAAUACUUGAGACUUUUGUGAUCUGUGUAGAUAUCACACUUCCGUCCAUACAAGUAGUGUCGCCAUAUCUUCAAAGCGUGUACUACCGCUGCAAGUUCUAAAUCAUGCGUCGGGUAGUUCUGCUCAUGUUUCUUCAAUUGUCUUGAAGCAUAGGCUAUCACUUUUCCAUUCUGCAUUAGUACACAUCCCAAUCCUCGCUUGGAUGCGUCGCUGUAUAUAACAAACCCUUUCGUAUCUUGAGGUAUUGUUAAUAUAGGUGUUGAUAUCAACUUCUGCUUAAGUUCUUGGAAACUUUGUUCGCAUUUUUCUGUCUAUUGAAAUUUUACUCCCUUCCUUGUAAGCUGCGUCAUUGGUUCAGCUAUUUUGGAAAAUCCUUCUAUGAAUUUCCUAUAAAAUCCAGCCAAUCCUAGAAAACUCCGUACUUCGCCAACAUUUGUUGGUGCUUUCCAGUUGGUUACUGCUUCUACUUUUGCUGGAUCUACUUCAAUCCCUUGGGCAGUAACUACAUGUCCAAGAAAUCCAACUCGUUCAAGCCAAAACUCGCACUUCUUGAAUUUGGCAUACAACUUCUCCUUGCGUAAUACCUCUAAGACUAUUCUCAAGUGCUCUUCAUGUUGCUCCUUACUCUUGGAAUAUAUCAGAAUGUCAUCGAUGAAGACUAUAACAAACUUAUCCAAGUAUUGAUGAAACACUCAAUUCGUCAUGUCCAUGAACACUACAGGUGCAUUGGUUAGCCCAAACGGCAUCACCGUAAACUCGUAGUGUCCAUAUCGAGUUCUAAAAGUUGUCUUAGGUAUAUCCUUUGUCUCUACUUUCAGUUGAUGGUAUCCCGAUCGUAAAUCGAUCUUGGAAAAUACCUUAGCUCCUUUCAGUUGAUCUAACAGAUCCUCGAUCCUCGGGAGUGGGUACUUAUUCUUGAUGGUUAAUCGAUUUAUCUCCCUCUAAUCGAUGCACAUCCUCAUGCUUCCAUCUUUCUUCCUUACAAACAACACUGGCGCACCCCAUGGAGAUACGCUUGGUCCUAUGAAGCCCAUAUCUAGGAGUUCUUGCAACUGCUUCUUUAAUUCUUGUAGCUCCUUUGGGGCCAUUCGAUAUGGGGCCUUAGAUACUGGUACCACCCCGGGAAUUAGGUCUAUGGUGAAUUCCACUUGUCUAUCGGGUUGAAUGCCAGAUAGAUCUUCUAGAAACACAUCUACGAAUUUCCGUACUACUGGUACAUCUUCAACCCUUAUUGUCUCUUGUUUCCCUCUUGCGAUACUUACUAGAUAUCCUUGACAUGUGUUCUUUUCUCAACAUCUUCUCAAGUUGUAAAGCCGAUACUAGUCGAAUAAGGGGUUUCGUCUUCAUUCCAAGGAACGAAAAUGGUUCCUCUCCUGGUUUCUAAAAUGAUACUUCCAUUUCCUUAUAUCGGAUGGUGGCGUAAUUACAACCUAACCAAUCCAUGCCUAGUAUUACAUCAAAAUCCUUCAUUUCUAUCAUGUAUAGGUUCGUUUCCAUUAGUUUUCCCUCAACUUUGAUACUUACUGACUUGGCUAUCCUAUCAGUAUUCAAAGGGUUGUCCGAAGGAAUACUAACUUCUAAUGUACCUUCUUAUCUUCCGUAUCCACCAGAUGUGGAGCAUACUUUGAAAGUUGAUCAAACUUCCUCUCAUACUCAGUCAGGGACAUAGUCUUUUGCUUGAUUUGGAGGAAUUCACUUUCUUUGUGAUCCCUCAAAGACUGGGGAAAAUACUUGUCCAUUACUUCUCCUUUGAAUUGCUCCCAAGUCAAUUCUUCUUAUUGCUUAGGGGUCCUUGUCCUUGACAUUGAGACCCACCAGUGACUUGCAUUACCGGAGAACAUGAACUCAGCACGCUGAACUUUCUAAGCGUUUGUGCACCCUAUCAAUCGGAAUAUACGCUCCAACUUGUGAAGCCACUCCUCGGUUGCAAGUGGAUCAGCUGCUUUGUUGAAGGUAGGGGACUUGUGCCUUCGAAAUUGCUUGACCACUGAAGUAUGAUUUGGAACAUUAGGAGCUAGUGGUAGGGGUUGAGCUUGGUUCGGGUUUUGCCUGCCUAGGUCUUGAACCGCUCGGAGGAGGUCUCUUAUCAAGUUUUGGUUUGCGCGGGCCAUUUCUUUUAGACAAAGCAUAUGGUUCUUAUUAGUUUCAUUCUUCAAAUACUAAAGCAAAGAAGAUAGUAUUUUAUUUCUUGAUAUAAGGGAAGCUAUUACAAGGAUUUAAAUCUAAUCCCUAUAAGUUCUACGGAUCUUCUUUGGUGGAGCUUCAUCUUCGAGGAGUCUUCCGCAUCAGGUUUGGCUCUAUGUUCAUCUCAACUUGUGGCUCAGGCUCAGGAUCAUUCUCUAAAUCAUCCUCGAGUUCUUCUUCGAGAUCUUCUUCCUCGGCCAAAGCUUCCUCCUCAGGCUCCUCGUGGGUUACAUCAUCCCACAAAUCAAUCAGGGCAUGGCAAUACCUCUCAAACUCGAAUAGGUUUGGGUUGCUUGCUAACAUUUCAUCUCUAACCGUGACUCCCAUAUCUCCCCAUUGAGGUGGGAGGGAGUGUAUGAGGUUAUUUAUGGCCUCAAUAUGUGUGAUCUCCAUACCAGCAUUAACCGUCUUCAUGCAUCUCUCAUGGAUGUCAUACACAUGUUCGCUAAGCGAUCAGGUCAGAUCAGUUACAUAGUUUUCAUAGGAAUGGAUAGCAAUUCUACAGUUCAAUGCUUCUCUAUAUGCCCUAGCCGUUCUACGAGCCAUGUCUGUUGCAUUUUCACAUACAUCAUACUUUUUUUUGCUUAAAGAAAACAUGCAAAUAUUUAAACUUUCAUAUCAUGCAAUUUCCUUUAAACCCUUAACUUUUACCCAAGUUCAUUACAUAUCUUUAAAUAACACAUCUCUAAAUCAUAUCAAAACAUCAUAACAUAAACAUAAUCAUUAACUUUAAACAUAAACAUACCUAGGCCAUAGGAUGAGAUUGAUGGAUGGAUGCACGAUGCCAUGGAAUACCUUAACUUAAACUUUUCAUUUUCCUUUUGUUUUUUUAAAAAAAAAAUACUUGAUCUACAGAACAGGCUAAACCUUGCUUUGAUACCACGCUGUAACGUCCCGACCCCUAGUAGACCGGAACGCUACUUACUUUACUUAACUUAACCGGUGGUUUAGUAACAAGUGUAUACGUUUUAGUGGAAGCUUACAUCUUCGGAUAAUAAUUUAAAUAACAAUACUGCAAAUACUUUAAACAAAAACACUGAAUCAUUUUUCAAAAUAACAAAAUGUAAUUUAUUUGAAGAAAACAUAACUUGUUCUCGCAUUCUACGUUAUUCAAAACUUUAAAGAAAUAACAUUGGAAAACAUUUCAUAAAAAUAAAUCUAAAUCACUUAUUCACCGGAUUUCCAUGGGCUCGUUACAUCAUUCUCCAUCUUCUCCUCCAUUCAUGCCUAAGGUAGAAUUCCUUCAAUCUGUAGAGAUGGGAUUAAACCCGUGAGUUGAAAAACUCAAUAGGUGCCAUAGGUGCAUUCGUAAUCAAGCUAUACAUUUCAAAACAUUAACUUUAUAACUUUUCAUACAUGCCGUACUCGGAGGCACCAUUUAACAUGAAGGGGUAUGCCGUACCCGAGGGCACCAUUUGACAUACGAACAUUUCUUCAACAUAGAGGGGUAUGCCGUACCGGAGUACCAUUUGACAUACAAUCAUUAACAUAGAGGGAUAUGCCGUACCGGAGUACCAUUUAACAUACAAACAUUAACAUGAAUCGAAACUUAUGACUUAACACGAUUAAACACAUUGCACCUCUACCUACCUUGAUUGAUGCUUUUGAAACUUUGAAAACUUGGAUUGAAAACUUCGAUGAAACUUGGAUGUUGAAAGAAAUGCACUCCUUGGAUGUUUGAAAAUCGUUGAGAAUUGAUGCUUGAAGACACUUCUUAAACUUCUAGGAAAAAUAGUUUUCCUCUCUCUCUUUUUCUCUCUUGAAAACUCUUUCUUUUGUUUGUAAAAGCUCUUGCUUUUGGUGUGAGAAAAAAUGAGUGAAAUGAGGUCUCUAUUUAUAGGUAAAUAUUCCAUAACUUAAAGCAAAUGAAGGGUCAAAUUUCAUUUGAGAGAGAAAACAUGGGUGCCAUUUAAAUUUGAGGUUAAAUGCUUCAAUUUAGUGAGGUUUUUAUUGCAAAAAAUGUGGGUGGCCCUUUGAGAAAAUAAUUGAUGAAAAUAAAUAUUUAAAUUCUAGAGAAAAACGAGAAUUUUCAUUUCAGGCAGUUUCGGUCGACCGGUUGUAGUCCGGUUGACACUGCACAGCUUUCAGUGUUUCUAUUAUAACUUUUUCUCCCGAUAUCCGAUUGAGGUAAUUCAAAGUGAGUUGGAAAGCUAACUCAAAGAGCUACAACUUUUAUUCAGAUAUCAUUUUCCAAAUCAAAUGUUUCCUAUGUCGAAAAUAGGUCUCAAAUGAGACUAAAAAUCUAAAGUAUACUUUAGUCAACCAAUAUUUAUGUCUUAGUGCCACUAAGGUGUCUAGAAUUAUUUGGGAUUCUAUACUUUGUGACAUAGAGUGCAAUAAAACCAAAUAGUAGAAUUAUAGAAGAAGGGGGAGUGAAUAGAAAGAAGAGGGCAAAAGUGAAGAAUUGGGGGGAGGGGGUUGGUUAGAAGGAGAGAGAUAGAAAAGGAACAACAAUAGAUAGACGGAAGCAGAAUUUAGGAGAGAGGAAGAAGAGGGAGAAAAGGAAGAGGAAAACAAAUAAGAAGAAUAUUGAGAAAGAAAGGAUUUCUAUCAUUUCUCCCUAAUUGAAAGAACUCGACUCCAAUUCUAAGCAAAGAGGACUAUCUUUCUUUCUGACCAAAUAAUGAAAUUGAUUGCUUGAUGUCAAAUCCUAAAUUAGUUGGCUGAUUUUCUUCUUUUGAGUUGUGGUUGGGGAGAUUUUUGGGUGGUUGAAGAUGGCAAAGGAAGUGUGUGUAAAUUUUGAAUUUCAACAUGAAAUUUGUGUACAACGGAAAUGACUUGCUCUGCUAUCAAAUUGAUGUAUACUGCAAUAAAACCAAAUAGUAGAAUUAUAGAAGAAGGGAAAAUUGAUGUAUACUGCAAUAAAACCAAAUAGUAGGAUUAUAGAAGAAGGGAAAAGGGUAGAGAAUAAGAGAAAUGGGGGAAAAAGAGAAGAAGAGGGGGAAAGAGAAGGAGAUAUGUAGAAAGUGAAGAAGAGACAUUAGAAGCAGAUUUAAGAGAGAGGAAGAAGAGGGGGGAAAGGGAAAAGGAAAAUGAACAAGAAGAAUAUUGAGAAAGAAAGAAGAAAAGAGAGGAGAAAGAGAAGAAGAGGGAGAGAAAAAGAGAAUUUAGGGAGUGAAUAUCAAGUUUAUUUUAUGUCAAAUUUGUAUCUAUUACAAUGCACAAACCUCCUUCAUAUGGGGUUUUGAAAAACCUAUUCUAAAUAGGAAACAAUGAAUCAAAUACUAGAGAAUCUAGUAAAUAAAUAUAUAAUAAAAUCCUCGGAAAUCCAGUAAAUAAACCCUGAUAAUUUUUCCCAAAAUAAGAAUCUAAAUAUGGAAAAUAAUCAUAAUAAUCUAAUAGGAUUUACAUCAUUUUUUCGUGGUCCCGUGGGAAUGUGAGACAAUAUCAUUUAAGAUGUAUGAGUUUUAACUUGUCGCGACUCAUCAAAAUUUUCACUUGCGACCUGGAAAGAAAUCGAUUUGAAAAGUAAUUUUCCCCUUUUUUGAGUAAAGAUCAUGUCUUGGGCUUUAGUAGUGGCUCCACAGGUCUUUUAAUUCUUUUUAUGAUGAUUCACAUUCUUUUCACAUGGUUAAUCCUUUGAUGAUGCUAUUAUACUCUCAAGAUGCUAAUACAAAUUACUAUUGAUUUGAUGUGUAUUACCACCCUGUGUUUGCCUUCUUUUCAUUGUUAACUGUAACCUUGUGCUACAAUUUACUCUACCGUAAUACAGGCAAAACAUGGAAUUAACUGUCUUGAGCUUCCUCUCAUUCAGCACAAGAAGUUGCCUGAUUCUGAUAGACUUCCCUCUGUGUUGAGUGGUAAGUUUCUGACAUGAUUGAUGGUUAUAGGAGAUUGUUUUAGAUUAUCUGGAUGCAUUUGUUCACGUUACGUGCAUUUCAGAGACAGUUUUUUUUUUUUUUUUUUUAAUUUUUUUUAUUUUUAUUGUGAGGGUUUGUUUAGAACGUUUGCUUCAUCAGUUAAUCUGUGAUCCCUAUUGUGUUUUGUGUCAUUAUUGUUUUUAUCUUACAUCUUUAAAGACGAUUCAUAUGGGUGCACAUAAGAUGUUAAUGCACAGGUUGUCAAACUUGAUUCCUCAUUGACCGUAAAUAGUAAAUAUCUUGGCCACAUUUCAGUUAGAUUCGUGAAGAGAGACAGCUCCUCCUUUUGGGCUGUGAGGCACAAGGUACCAAGGUUAUCCAAUCACAGGUUGUAAAUUCACAUGGAUUAAAUUUCUCUAUGCACAUUGUUGUUAUUAUCUUUCUGACUUUGGUGUGAAUGCCAGAUCUUGUGUAUCUAGUCUCCCGCGGAAGUAAAUUGCUAAAUUGAAUGCUUGUUCUUAGUUGCUUUGAAAUGAAUGUUGUGAUCAGACAGAAAAUAAAACUCUCUCAAUCCCCCUUCCCCCUCUUACACAUGUUUCAUGACAGUUACUUCUAUUUAAAUUCACAAAUUCUACAAUGGAUGCACAUUAUGAUUUUUUCUUGCUUAUCUAUUGCUGCAGAUACUGCAUUUGAUUGGAUUGUCAUAACUUCACCUGAAGCCGCUCUAGUUUUUCUUGAUGCUUGGAAGUAAACUUCACAUGGAUGUUGGCACGUCAUUUAUUAUUCUAGAAUGGUCAUUAGUCAGUUAGAGGAAAACUCUAUAAAUAAGAUGGGAGAGGGGAAUUAGAGGGGAUUCAAUGAAUUGUUUAGAAAAAGUGGGGGAGAGAUCAAGGCCUCUCGAAUGCCUUUGAUUAUGUUUAAUUUCAUGACUUUCAUUCCAGUUAAUAUCAAUACAAUUCAUCUAUCUUUACAAUAUACUAUUCCAGUAACUCCAUGGACAUCUUGCAGUCACAUUACAAUUUCAGUGUUUUACCGGACAAAUUACUUCAUAACACUUCCCAGUUGGUCUAGCGGUUUUCUUCCAGUAGCAGUAGCAACAAACAAUAGCAGUAGCAGCAACUAAUCCUCUGCAUUAGCAUCCAGAAUCUGCAGUUUAUCAACCACAUUAGCUAGGAUCUUAUCAUAACCUUAAUUUUUCCCUUUACCUUUUGCUCUCCACGUGUGUCAACAUGAAGGAAGUUCCCUUUGGGUCAGGAUUGUUAUGAUGGAAAAUGCUGCUUAAACAAAUCAAAUGUCAAACUUAGAAGCUGUGGCAUCCUGAGGAUGUUCCUGAGAACAAUAUUUAGCUUGACUAUCUUAAUAUUUUAUAAUUCUUAUGUUGACUUGCUUGAAAAGGUUAAGAAUGUGACUUUUUGAAACAUAAACUGGAAAAAAUUCAUAUCUGAUUCUUUCAUGGGCAUAAACUGAUGACUAUCGGAUCUAUAGGCAGCAAUGAUUAGAAAAACCAAAAAUAAAAAAAGGAAGCCAAAGAUUAUUACAAGCUAUGAAUUUAUGAAAGUUGGUUUAUUGAAUUGGAAUAACUCCAAAAUACAUGGUGAAACACUAUGUAGAGCACCGGGAUAUCACAAUGAGUAUACUCAGAGUGGGUUGGUAAAGAAGUGUUUUAGCGCAGGUUUGAUGCAGUGGCGGACCCAUGACUGGGCCCUUCAUUUUUUACAUUUACAAAGUAGGCCCUUCUGUUGAGAAUCACACCAAAUCAAAUCAGUUUCCUGAUUUUUAGGGAAACUUGGCUGUAUAUUUCGUAAUUAUAGGGAUCCUAUUCAUUUUCAAAAAAUCAGUAUUGUAUAGCUGUAUAUUUCAGUUACAUAGUUGUAGCUUUAUUUUCUAUUUUAUUGACUGUAUUGUAUCUAAAAAAGGGUGACUAUGACUACUUUCCCAUUCAUUCGAUACAAUAUUCUUUUUCUACCCAAUCUAUAUGGUAUCAAAGCCGACAUAAUUGGCCUCUAUUUUUUUUUUUUUGGGUUCUUCCUACCCAUUACCACGUCAGAAAUCUCUAAAUCAACCCCUACCACUGGUGCCAAUAUCAACUCCUCUAAACCUCCAACUGAACCUCUCUCUCAUUCCGUCCAAAUCACCACGAUUCGACUCAAUGGGAACAAUUUUCUCAGGUGGAUCCAAUCCGUUCGAAUAUAUAUUAGAGUGAAGGGGGAAAUCAGUUACUUAAUUGAUGACAUUGUAGAGCCAGAAAAACUGAUGUUGGCCAUGCUGUUUAGGAUGCUGAAAACUCCAUGAUAAUGGCCUGGUUAGUGAAUUCUAUGGAGGAGGAAAUAAGUGCAAACCACAUGUAUUGUCCUAUUGCUAAAGCCCUGUGGGAUAAUGUCACCUUGAUGUAUUCAGUCCUUGGAAAUCAAUCCCAAACAUAUGAGUUACAACUCAAAUUGGGGGAAGUCCGUCAAGGUGAGAAUUUCGUCACUAAAUAUUUUAAUAUUCUCAAAGUUUCCUUGAUUUAUUCAAUGAUGACCAUGAGUGGAAGAACAUGGAUGGUUGCAAUUACUUUAAGAAAAAGGAGAUCUCACGAAUUUUCAAAUUUCUGGCUGGACUCAAUGUUAAUUUUGAUGAAGUAGGAGGCAGGAUUUGAGGUUGUAAACCUCUUCCUUCCCUCGGUGAAGUUUUUUUCUAAAGUUCGACGUGAAGAAAGCAGGAGAAAUGUCCUGCUUGGCAAGAAAAUCAUUGCUGGACUGGUGGAAAAUUCGACAUUAAUGGGGAUUGCUGUUGCUGCCAUCGUGCCCCUAGGGGUGAACCCACUAAGUACGAGGGCGGUCAGCCGCCCCCAUUGAUUUUUCAAAAACCUUCAAUUCGACCUUAUUAAAUUUAAAUUCUCAGAUUUUUUUUUUUUUGGUUUUUUCACAAUUUAUUUUAGCCAAUUUUCCAUCUCUUCCCCACUGAAAAAUAAUUUUAGAUCCACCCCUGUGUGUCCCUAAUACUUAGCGUCGUCAAGAUGACGAAUCGAAGGUUUGGUGUGAUUUUUGCAAUAAAUCACGACAUACUUACGAAACUUGCUAGAAACUGCAUGGAAAACUUGCUAAUUGGAAACCUGUAGAGUGGAAGAAUAAUAAAACUAAUUCGAAUCAUGCCCUAACCAAAGCACAUACUGUGAGACCACCUCUCUCAGUGAAGAACAAAUAGAACAACUCCUAAAGCUACUGAAAUCUGCUCCACCGACUCCCGGUACUCCUGUAGCAUCCUUGGUUCAAACAAGUAGAACUUUGUGUGCCUACUCUUCAUUAUCUACAUCUUGGAUCAUGAUUCAGGUGCCUCUCAUCACAUAACUAAUCUAUCCCAUUUGUUUAUAUCUUAUGAACUCUUUUCUGGAAAUAAAAAAGUACGUACUGCAGAUGGAAAUUUAUCUUCCAUUGCUGGCCAUGUUUCAUUCGUUUAUGAGAAAAAAAUAUUCUGAAAUCUGUUUUACAUGUCUCAAAACUCUCUUGUAACCUUUUGUCAGUAUGUCAUUUAUCUAAAGAUUCUAACUGUCGUGUUAUCUUUGGUGUCUCUUGUUGUGAAUUUAAGGAUUUAAAUGUGGGGAUGAUGAUUUGCAGUACUAGAAUGAUAGAUCUCUACUAUUUUAAUGACAACUGUGUUAGGAAUAAACAAGCUCAGGGUUUUAUUGGUGGUAUCCAAUUAAAUCUUGUUUAUGAUCAAAUAAUACUAUGGCAUAAUAGACUAGGACAUCCUAUUUUUUCCUAUUUAAAGUACUUAUUUCUAGAUUUAUUUAAAGGAGUGGAUUGUAACUCUUUGGUUUGUGAAACUUGUUUCCUGGCUAAAAGCCAUCGAAACUUUUAUAAAAUUAAACUUUUUUGUGCUUCAAAACAUUUUUAUCUAAUACAUAGUGAUGUUUGGGAUCCUUCUAAGAUUACCACUUCAACCUGAAAAAAAUGGUUUGUGACAUUCAUUGAUGUUCAUACACGCCUAUGCUGGCUUUAUUUAAUGAAUUCAAAAAAUGAAGUUGCAAAAUUUUUUAAAGAUUUUUUACUCUUUGGUCGAAAACCAAUUUCAAACUAAAAUAAGUGUUCUUCGAAGUGACAAUGGAAUAUAAUUUUUUAAUGAAUGUUUAGGAAAUUUUUGUACAAGAAAAAGGCAUUGUUCAUCAAUCUAUUUGUAGGGAUACUCAACAAAAUGGAAUUGCAGAACGUAAAAAUAGAUACUUAUUUGAAGUUGCUAGCGCUCUUAUGUUUCAUAAGAAUGUUUCUAAAUAUCUUUGGGGAAAUUCAAUCUUAACAAGUUGUUAUCUGAAUAAUAGAAUGCCCACUAGGGUUUUGAACUAUAAAACUCCUUUACGAACUCUUAAAAAAUCUUUUCCAAACACACGUCUCAUCAAUAAUCUCCCUUCAAAACUUUUUGGUUGUACGAUGUUCAUUCAUGUUCCAUCCCAUCUUCGAUCCAAAUUUGUCUACGAGCUGAAAAAUGUAUUUUUUAGGCUACUCUCCUAAUAAAAAAGGCUAUAAGUGUUUUAAUCCCGACACUAAAAAAUUUCAUAUUAGUAUGGAUGUUCAAUUUCUUGAAACAACUCCAUUUUAUACUAAAACCUUUCUUCAGGGGAAGAAUCUAAAUGAUGAUUAGUUUUGGCAACAAGAAGAACCAAAACUAGUUUCUUUUUUCCCUCAAAUAAAUUAGGAAAUGAAUACUUUACCUAGAGAAAAUAAGAAAAAUACUGAGCUAUAUAUGCCAAGUAAAAAUGUAUCACAAAAAGGGGAAAAACUUUACCACCUAUGCCCACUGAGCUACGUCUUUACACUAUAUGUAGGUUCAAUCCCAAUAUUUAGAAUCUUCCAAUCAAUUCUGAGCAUGGUCAAUCAUCAUCUCCUAGGUCUUCAAUUCCAGGUAAUCUUCCUAAAAAUCCUACUCCUUUACCUUUCUUUGAUCAUGACAUUCCUAUUACCAUUCAUAAAGGAAUUAGGAAUUGUACCAAACAUCCUAUUGCCAAAUAUCUGUCCUACCACAGACUUUCAGAAAAAUACAAAGCCUUCACAACAAAUGUUUCCCAUCUAUUUGUACCUAGAACUAUACAGAAAGCACUACAACACUCGGAGUGGAAGUGAGCAGUGUAUGAGGAGAUAAAAGCACUUCAAAAAAAUAGAACCUGGGAAAUUGUUGAUCUACCUAGGAAAAAGAAGAUAGUAGGGUGCAAGUGGAUUUUUACAAUCAAAUGUAAGUAUGAUGGGAGCAUUGAGAGAUACAAGGCAAGGCUGUUGCUAAAGGUUUUACACAAACUUAUCGAAUUGACUAUCAAGAAACCUUUGCACCUGUUGCAAAAAUCAAUUCCAUUCGAGUGUUACUUUCUCUUGCAGUACAUCUUAACUGGCCUUAGCAACAGUUAGAUGUAAAGAACACUUUCUUAAAUGGAGAGUUGGAGGAAGAAGUGUUUAUGGACUUACCACUAGGUUUCGAAGAAAACUUUGGAGAAAAGAAAGUUUGGCUAUUAAAAAAGUCAUUGUAUGGUCUUAAGCAAUAUCCUAGGGCCUGAUUUGACAGGUUCGGAAAAGUCAUCAAGCUUCAAAAGUAUUUGUAAAGCUAAGCCGAUCAUACAAUGUUCUAAAAACACUCAAGAGAAGGUAGAAUGGCAAUAUUAAUAGUUUACGUGGAUGACAUAAUUUUGAUUGGAGAUGAUAUUGUUGAGAUUGAUAGAUUGAAGAAAGCCCUAGCUCGUGAUUUCAAAAUCAAAGACUUUGGUCCUCUUAAAUACUUCCUUGGAAUGGAGUUUGCUAUAUCCAAGAAAGGUAUUUUUAUCUCUCAAAGAACGUACUUGAUCUACUAGAAGAAACAGGUUUACUCGGUUGCAAAGCAACAGAAACCCCUAUAGAACCAAAUCUGAAGCUUUAGCGUGCAAGUCUAGAAGAAAUGAUUGACAAAGAGAGAACCAACGCUUAGUUAGGAGACUAAUUUCUCUCUCCCAUAAACGUCCUCAUAUUGCAUUUGCAGUGAGCAUGCUAAGUUAAUUCAUGCACUCACCUAAUCAAGGACAUUUUGAUGUUGUGUACAGAAUUUUAAGGUACUUAAAGGGGACCAUGAAAAGGAAUUCUAUAUGAAAAUAGGGGACAUCUCCAAGUUGAAGUGUUUACAGACGCAGAUUGGACAGGAAUGUAAUAGACAGAUGAUCAACUUCGGGAUAUUGUACCUUUGUUGGGGGAAAUCUUGUAACUUGGCGUAGUAAAAAAUAAAAUGUGGUGGCUAGAAGUAGUAUUGAGGUGGGGGUGUAGGGCAGUGGCACAUGGUAUCUUUGAGGUUCUGUGGAUCAAACAUUUACUUGAAGAACUUAAAACUACCCGUUCCUUACCUAUAAAGGUAUUUUGUGAUAACAAAGAUGCUAUUGCAAUCGCACACAAUUCAGUGCUCCAUGAUUGAACUAAACAUGUUGAAGUUGACAAAAACUUUAUAAAGGAGAAAUUGGAGAAUGGUCUGAUUAUUAUACCCUACAUUCCCAGGUCUGAACAGGCAGCAGACAUUCUUACUAAAGGUCUACCAAAGAAGUAGUUUGAUACGUUGGUGAGCAAGCUAGCCAUGAACCACAUCUUCCAACCAGCUUGAGGGGGAGUGUUGAGAAUCACACCAGAUUAGGGCAAAUCAGUUUCCUGAUUUUUAGGGAAACUUGGCUGCAUAUUUCAUAUUUAUAGGGAUCCUAUUUAUUUCCUAAAAAUCAUUAUUGUAUAACUGUAUAUUUCAAUUCCAUAUUUGUAGCUUUAUUUUCUAUUUUAUUGACUGUAUUGUAUCAAUAAAAGGGUAAGUAUGACUACUUUUCCAUUAAUUCAAUACAAUAUUCUUUUUCUACCCAAUCUAUAUCUUCAUUUUUUUACAUUUACGAAGUAGUUCACAUAAUUUUAAGCCAUAAUUUUUACAUAAUUCUGUCUCGCCCCCACUAAAUUAUGUUCUUGGAUCCGUCCCUGCUUUGAUGGCCAUUAUUUGGGAAAAACAAUGUUUUGAAAAGUGUUUUUUAGGAGAAUGUGAGAUUAAAAAAUAAGAAAAUGUUUUGGAUUUACUUGCAGAAUAUUUUAUUGUGUUUAUGUUUGGUUGGAAAUGAGUUUGUAGAAAAAAGAGUUUUCAAAUAUUGGUUAUCGAACCCGGGCAUAAUGGUCCAUGAGAUUUGGAUGAACACAUUAAAGGUCAUAAGCAAAUGUUCUUGCUGCUGCUGCUUUUCCACUCCCCAUUCACCUGAAAAAUUCUUAAUAGAAUUUUAUUUAUUUCUCUUAUUUUUCCAUCCUAAUACUGCUUUUAGCUGUUAAAUAGACGUAUAAUGAUUAAAUCAAUACAGUAUGCUAAUCUUAAUCGCCAACUGUUCUAUAAUUCAAUUAUUAUGUUUCAAUAUGGAGUAAUUAAAAUUUAACAUCCACCGUUAAGAGAAGCCAAUUUUGCAAUUUAGUUAGACUGCCCAUUUUAACAAAUUAUCAAUCUUCGAAUUAAGCAAAGAUCUUAAAAUUUAUACAAUGCCUGUUGGAUCCUUUAGAUGAUGAAACAUGUAGGUUUUGCUUUGCAUUACUUUUGUACUCAUGCGAGCUGGUCUACUCAAGUAUGACUCAGCUUCACGAGAAUUCUUUUAUUAGAUCCUACUAUUUCAAACUUAUAAUUUUAUCUGUAAGGAAAUAUGAAACUGAUUUAACCUGCUAAUUGAAAUUGUCUGUUUCAGAAGAAGGCCUUGCCAAGCGUGGAUUCCAGGUUACUAGGCUCAAUACAUACACAACGGUAUGAUACUCUUGUAAUUUUGUAAAUGUUCUAAUAUCUCAACAAUUUCAUGUAAUUUAUAACUUUAAAUUUUAAUUUGCCUCCACAUAAUGCAACAGAAAAUUUAACAUUACAGUUACAGUCAUCAAUUGCAAGUGUUUAGAUGUCACUAAAUAUUGAUCAACAACAAAUACUCAUCUUGUUUCUGUUAAUUUGGUGGCCUCUGAUAAUUUCCUGUAGGAACCUGUUAGUCGUGUGGACCAAAAGUUCUUGAAUGGGCGGUUUCUGCUCCUGUUGUUUCUGUAGCAUCACCUUCUGCAGUUCGGUGUACUUUUCUGUUAUAGCAGUUCUGUUGAAAAUUAGUCUAUACUGUUGAGCCUGGACUAAUCUUCUGAAUAAAAAGUUUCUGAGUUGAAUUCAAACCUAAGCACAACUCACAUGGGUAUUUGUGUUCACAUAUUAAAUGGAUUGGGUGUACAGUGCUCUUUCUACAUGGUUUUAUGAAAGACAGGCUAUCAGAAAAUGUGAAAUAUGUUAACGGUCUAUUUGUGUUACAGGUGUUUUCGUGAAUAUUUUUAAGACUCAUUUUGAGUGUUUUUUUAUUGUGAAUCUUAGUUGAGGGGCUUAUGUUGUACCAAGUCCAACACUCUUCCCAAAAAUAUUUACCAUUUAAUCUUACCAAUUCACUUGCAGGAUCCUGUUCGUAUUACUGAAUAUGUUAAUUACAGUUUACUACUUGUGGACUUAUUGCCAUUGAAUGUGUUGGGAAAACACCUUCCAAAGAUAGCCCAAAGAUCAAACAAAGUUGACAAUGUGAAAAUUUCCAACCACUUCAAGAACAAGAAAAUGAGGAAGAAAUGAUUUUAAUGGAAUACAUGAAGAUCAAUGUAUUUGGAUUACUUGAACAAGCCUCAAGUUAAUCCCCAAAAAAGAAAAUAACUUUGAAUUUAUACCCAAGAUGAAUAACCUUCUAUCUUGUAAAAUUCUCUCCAAGUUUUCUCUCUUCUUUCUCUCUAAUUUUCGGGUGCAAGGGUUGUCUUAAUGAAAGGGGGGAAAAUGGCAAUAUAUAUAUCCUAUCGGGACGCCUAGGCGCCAGGUUCCUGGCUGUCUUCAUAUUCGGGGCACCUAGGCGCCAUGUGAGUGGCGCCUGGGCGCCCGGCAGAACCAGCAGAACCAACCCCCUUCCUCUCUUCCUUUCUCACAAUUCUCCAUCUCGUACAUCAUUUGAUAGACCUCAAAUUUUGGACGAACACAAGAAGAAGAAGCAAGCACCGACUCGGCUGCACCAUUCAAAUCAUGAUUGCCUACGUACCCAAAACUCGAGAUCAAGCCUCCGUAGUUCACCUCCACCUUCAUAAACACUCCACCUCAUUUCAACCCCGCCCCGAAGGGCCAUGCCCUCUCGGGCAUAUCAACACGGACUAAUGUGAAGCAAGUCCAAGCAAUGUUGAAACUUGCUACCCGUCACAACUUUGGUUAACAUGUCAGCUGGGUUCUCAUUUGUGUGUACCUUCGAGAGUGAAAUAUCACCUUCCUCUAUGACAUCACGCACAAAAUGAUACCUGACGUCGAUAUGCUUGGUUCGAGCAUGAUGAACCUGAUUCUUAGCCAAGUGAAUCGCACUCUGGCUAUCACACCACAAGUCCACACAAUCCUGCCCAAUCCCCAAAUCAUCUAGAAGACCCCAUAACCACAAUGCUUCCUUCACUCCCUCUACCAUGGCCAUAUACUCGGCCUCUGUAGUAGAAAGAGCAACUGUAGCCUGUAACAUCGAUCGCCAACUAACUGGGGCACCAUGUAUGCAGAACACAUAUCCAGUAGUAGAUCGUCGUCUAUCUAGAUCACCUGCAUAAUCCGAGUCCACAAACCCACUUAUAUGACAUGCAUCUCCACCAAAACAUAAACCCGUAUCCGCGAUACCUUUUAAGUACCUCAGGAUCCACUUCACAGCUUCCCAGUGUGCCUUCCCCGGAUUCGCCAUGAAUCUACUGACCACACUCACCGCCUGUGAAAUACCUGGGCGUGUACACACCAUGGCAUACAUCAAACUGCCAACAGCACUAGCAUAAGGUACACGAUUCAUGCGUACCUUUUCUUCCGCUGUAGUAGGAGACUGUUUACCAGAGAGCCUAAAAUGUGGAGCCAAUGGAGUCACCACCGACUUUGCACCUUGCAACCCGAACCUAGCAAUAACCCGCUCAAUGUAGCCUUUCUGACUCAAGAACAUUCGCCGGUUCGUCCUCUCUCUUCUAAUCUCCAUACCUAGUAUUUUCCCAGCAAUCCCCAUAUCCUUCAUCUCAAACUCUUUACCAAGUUGAGAUUUCAACUUAUCUAUCUCCACCUUACUUUUCGAAGCGAUAAGCAUGUCAUCCACAUAUAGAAGAAGAUAGAUAUAGUUACCUCCCCGAAGUUUUCGAAUAUAAACACAACAGUCAUACUCACUUCUGGAGAAACCAUGCUUUAGCAUGAAGGAGUCAAAUCGCUUGUACCACUGCCGAAGAGAUUGCUUCAAUCCAUAUAGUGAUUUUCUCAAGCGACAUACCUGACGUUCCUUAUCCUCAACCUUGUAGCCCUCAGGUUGAUGCAUAUAGAUCUCCUCAUCCAAGUCCCCGUGCAAGAAGGGGGUUUUGACAUCGAAUUGUUCCAACUCAAGAUCAUGAUGAGCAACAAUACUCAAUAGCACCCGAAUGGAAGUGUGCUUGACCACAGGAGAAAAGAUCUCAUUGUAGUCAACUCCCUCUCUUUGUGCAAACCCCUUAGCCACUAACCUCGCUUUGAAUCUUGUACCACCGAGUUUGGUAGGAUCCUCCUUCUUUUUAUAUAACCACUUGCAACCAAUAGCUUUCUUACCUAUGGGCAAUGGGACAACCUCCCAUGUUUGGUUCUUGUGGAGUGAUUCCAUCUCUUCUUCCAUUGCCGCCGACCAACUCUCGCUAUUGUUGUUUAAAAUAGCUUCCUUGAAAGUGGUAGGCUCAUCAUCCUCCACCGAGAGUGCAUACUCAACCAAAUUUGUCUGCCCAUAGUGCCUCAAAGGUUCAUCUGACUCCAACUUUAGAACUUGCUUGUAAGUACGGCAUGGCCUAGAGGAAGCCAAAUUAUCUGCAAGCUACUGUUGUUGCUGUGCCUGUACAUUCUCUUGCUGAACCGCCUCUUGUUCAAGUGCAUCAUCACUCUCAUCUUGAGUGUCUAUUUGAUGCUCCUCUUGAACAUGCCUAGAAUCAGGUUGAUCUCUAGGUUCUAUGUCAACAACUUGAGACAUUGUAGUCUCAACACCAUCACCACCGGGCACUGUAGCUUUCAACGACGCUACCAUGGAGUUCUCAUCAAAAGUAACAUCUUUGCUGAUUAUGAACUUAGAAUCCUCUACACACCAAAGGCGAUAGCCUUUAACACCUGCCGCAUACCCCAAGAAUAUAGCCUUCUUGGCCCUCGCAUCAAGCUUUCCCUCGUUGACAUGAUAGUAGGUUGUGCAUCCGAAUGUUCUGAGUUUCUCAUAAUCUGCAUGUUCUCCUGUCAAUACCCUAUAAGGUACAUCUCCAUCAAACCUUGAAUGUGGAGACCGGUUCACUAUGUAGCAAGCAUUUACAACCGACUCUGCCCACCAUUCUCUACCCAAACCAGCAUAGGAUCGCAUACACAUCGAUUUCUCUCGAAAUGUGCAAUUCAGUCUUUCCGUGACCCCAUUCUAUUGCGGUGUAUUUCUUACUGUCCAAUGUCUCACAAUGCCUUCCUUACCACAGAACUCCUUGAAAGCACCAUCUGUAUACUCAAUACUGUUAUCAGAUCUCAGUGUCUUCAAUUUCUUUCCAGUUCUAUUUUCAACCAUUACUUUCCACUUCUUGAAAGUGUCGAAUACCUCAUUCUUAUGCUUCAAAAAAUAAAUCCAAGCAUAGCUAGAAUAAUCAUCAACAAAUGUAACAAAAUACUUGGAACCGCCUUUGGAAGUGACAGAAGCCGAACCCCAUACAUCCGUGUGCACAUAGUCAAGAAUGCCUCUACUUCUAUGUUUGCUUGGCUGGAACUGAACUCGAUGUGAUUUACCGUACACGCAAUGCUCGCAAAAAUCCAUGCAAGACUUCUUCAAGUUCUUUAGCAAACCUUUCUUGACUAGCAAAUCUAGCCCCUUUUCAGACAUAUGCCCAAGCCUCCUAUGUCAUAGCCAAGUGCACUCACAUGGGUCUCCACCACUUCCACUUGUUCCAACUGCUACAUCUUCAGUAACUGUAGUACCCUGAAGAGCAUAGAGAUUACCUUCACGGAUACCCUUCAUCACAAUCAAAGAACCACGAACAACCUUCUUUACUCCAUUCCAUGUUACAAUCUUGCAACCACCGGAGUCUAAGGCACCAACAGAGAUAAGGUUCUUUCGCAAAUCAGGAACAUGUCUAACAUCCAUCAAUAUUCUAACCACUUCAUCAUGCAUCUUGAUUCUAAUUGAACCAAGCCCCACCGUUUUACAUGAAUGCUUAUUACCCAUCAACACGGUUCCACCAUCAGUGCUUCUAUAGGUAGUAAACUACUUCCUAUUUGGACACAUAUGGUAAGAGCAUCCAGAGUCAAGAAUUCACUUACCGGAGGUCUCUUCAUCACAAGAGAUGGUGUAGCACUCAUCGCUUUCCCCUCCUUUCGAGACAUAGCUUACCUUUUGCUUGACUUGCACCUUCCCACUGUUGUUGUUCUUAUUGUUCUUCUUCCAACCCUUUUUGUUUGGACAAUUCACCUUGAAAUGUCUAAGCUCGCCACAUUUGAAACAAGACCUUUCCGCAACAGGUCUAGAACUCGAUCUAGAUUUUUCUCCCUUGCCCUUUGGUCACACAUUGCUUCUACCCCUUACAAACAAUCCUUGAGCUUGCUCCUUGUUACCAAUGGUAGACAUGUCACUAGUUGCAAUCUUUCGAAGAUCAUCCGCUAGAAGUGACGUUCUAGUGUCCUCCAUCACAAGUUUAUCACCCACAAGCAUCAAUGUUUGUACUAGGUUCUCGUAAGACUUUGGCAAUAAAAGAAGUAGUAGAAGUGAUUGAUCCUCAUCAUCUACAUCCACAUCAAUGUCUUUCAAGUCCGAUAUGAUCUUAUCAAACUUGUUGAUGUACUCCCGGAUUGGUGUACCUUCAUCCAUCUUGCAAGUAUACAAUUUGGACUUCAAAUAGAUCCGAUUUGUUAAAGUCUUCGUCAUGAAGUUCGCCUCCAACUUUGUCCACACCUCCGCCGCCGUUACCUCACUAUCAACCAAGAAAGCAACAUCUCUUUCAAGGCAAAGAAUGAUAGACGCUCGUGCCUCAAGAUCUAGCUCUUCCCAAUCCUCGUCCGACAUAUCAACGUGCUUCUUCUCCUUUCCCGCCAAUGCCUUGUGCAACUUUUGAGAAAUCAACAAAUUUUUCAUUUGCAUUCUCCAAUAUGAAAAAUCAUUCUUCCCAUUGAAUUUCUCUAUCUCAUCCUUCCCAAUCUUCACCAUUCCUCUAGUAGACAUGAUUUAUCCACUUGUUUACCGAAAAUAAACCACAAAAGUUCACUUGGGAAUUUUCACAAACACCUUGUGCACAACAAAGUUCAAGCAACUCACCACAAAAUCGAAACUUAACCACCUUGAUUUAGGAUGUAGCUCUGAUACCAAAUUGUUGGGAAAACACCUUCCAAAGAUAGUCCAAAGAUCAAACAAAGUUGAUAAUGUGAAAAUUUCCAAACAACUUCAAGAACAAGAAAAUGAGGAAGAAAUGAUUUCAAUGGAAUAUAUGAAGAUCAAUGUAUUUGGAUUACUUGAACAAGCCUCAAGUUAAACCCCAAGAAAGAAAAUAACUUUAAAUUUAUACCCAAGAUGAAUAACCUUCUAUCUUGUAAAAUUCUCUCCAAGUUUUCUCUCUUCUUUCUCUCUAAUUUUCGGGUGCAAGGGUUGUCUUAAUGAAAGGGGGGGGGGGGGGGGGGGGGGAAAAANNNNNNNNNNNNNNNNNNNNUAAUGGCAAUACAUAUAUCCUAUCUGGGCGCCUAGGCGCCAGGUUCCUGGCUGUGUUCAUAUUCGGGGCGCCUAGGCGCCAUGUGAGUGGCGCCCAGGUGCCAUGUUUCUGCCGGGGAGGCAGAAACUGGGCGCCUGGGCGCCCGGCAGAACCAGCAGAACCAGCCCCCUUCCUCUCUUCCUUUCUCACAGAAUGCUUUUCUCGAAGCAUUUUCCUUUCUGCAGAUUUCUAUGAAUUUUGUUUACCUUCUCUUGUCUUUUUAUCCCUUAUUAUUUUAACGAAUGAUUGCAUAUCUUCCUUUACAGUGCUUGGAUAAAUCUAAUCCCAAAAUCACAACAGUGGAGCAAUUCUGUUGCAUGUAUUGGUGAGACAACUGCCUUAGCAGCUAAAAAUCUGGGUUUGAGGAAUGUGUAUUUCCCAACCAAUCCUGGCCUUGAAGGGUAAUCAAAUAUCCAUUUGGAACUUUUGGGAAAUCAUGCAUAUACUUGUUUCUGAUGCAAUUGUCUCUGUCUCUAUGCUCUAUGAGUGGUAAAAAGCACUAGCAGUUUUCCGUUCUCUUUACUUUCUGAGAUGUGCGUGAUAUAGUUGAAGAGUUCACUAUUUAGGUGAUAAUUUAGAAGAAAUACGAGGAUGUGACAUAAAUUUACGAUGCAGGGAGAUAUAUUUUAUUUGUAUAUGCCAUGUCUCAGUGCAUAAUUUUGUAUAGUAAUGGCAUGUUUAGAAAAGUGGAUUGCACAAUAGUAUUAAAGGAGAAAAAGAAGUUUAAAUAUUUUUAAUUGUAGUGUUCAUUGUUCAAUCCUGUUCAUUAGUGCAUAUCAAACAUGUUUUAAGUAUCACUGGGUUUAUCCUUCUGUUGCAGGUGGGUUAAUAGCAUUUUAGAAGCCUUGCAAGUCCAGGAACAAGUUCAGAAAGUCUAGGAGUCGUAUGUUGAUGCCCUUCUAAUUUCACCUGGUAAUUUCUAUAUACUGCUUACACUAAGUUGUUUCCCAGUGAAUAAAGAUGCUAUUGAAGAUUAAAUAUAAAUCAGUAAACGUCUCCUCUCUAACAACUUUAGCUUCUAAACGGCAUGGUUCAACACAGUAUCAAAGCACACGUGGAUCAUGAGUUCAAAUAUUGGGGGAUUAUUGGAGAACACUUCUUCCUAUUUCUUUCUCUUGAUAUCCGAUGAUCAUGGUGAUGCCCGUGAAUUCUUAUUUUUACGUAGCAAGUACUUAUUAAUUUGUCUCCUGGACUGGAUCUAUUAUGUCAGAUUUUCACGUACCCGUUGAUAUGCUAUUCCCAAGGACUAUAUCCUGGUAGUUUGUCGGUUAAAUUAAUAAGUGGGGNNNNNNNNNNNNNNNNNNNNNNNNNNNNNNNNNNNNNNNNNNNNNNNNNNNNNNNNNNNNNNNNNNNNNNNNNNNNNNNNNNNNNNNNNNNNNNNNNNNNNNNNNNNNNNNNNNNNNNNNNNNNNNNNNNNNNNNNNNNNNNNNNNNNNNNNNNNNNNNNNNNNNNNNNNNNNNNNNNNNNNNNNNNNNNNNNNNNNNNNNNNNNNNNNNNNNNNNNNNNNNNNNNNNNNNNNNNNNNNNNNNNNNNNNNNNNNNNNNNNNNNNNNNNNNNNNNNNNNNNNNNNNNNNNNNNNNNNNNNNCGAAGCACAUAGACGUUACUCAUUUUAGCGAAUAUACCUCAUCAGGAAAAUGAAACCUUUAGAUACGAGUAUAUAUCUAACAUUUGAAAUCGGCUUCUAGUAGAAGUGUGUUUCUAACAUUAUCUAUCAUCGUCUAUGAUUUUUAUCAGUGUAGGUGGCAGUGAAUGUCGUGAUUUACUGUUCAAUUAUUAAUGCAUCAAAUUACAUCAUAAUUUUAUUGAACAAUGAAUCAGAAGACCUUGUUGUCAAUUACAUCGCUGAUAAUCACCACUCCAUUGACACUCCAUAAAAAACAUGAAAAUGAUUCCAAAGCUGUGGUAUGACCAUGCAAAACCAAUGCUACAUGUUUAAAACUUUUAUCCAAUGAAUAUCCAUUCUUUUUUGUUCUUUAGGGAGAAAUUGAAAUAUUCGUCAGCAAGUCUGUCUCCAACUUUUUAAAUUGAGCAUUUGUUUGAUGCCAUUGAAAAGAGUUUUUUAAUUUUUUCCCCCUUUUGGGAAAAAUGAGUUUUGAAACAGUAAUCUUUUUAAUAGAAAUUUUGAGUUUAAAAAGUAAGAAAAUUUGUUGGAUUACGUGUAAACUAUUUUAUUGUGAGAAUAUUUGGUCGAAAAUGAGUUUUAGGAAAAAGGAGUUUUUGAAGAAUGGUGGACAAACGGGGAUUGAAUGAGUUAUGUCUUAUCCUUUGAUUGAGUUAAUAAUUAUACAGUUGCCUUUGAAAAUCGUUCAAAUCUCUAUUAAAGAUGUCCUGCUUCAAAUUUAUAUGCACUAACUUCAGUUGAAAAACAAAAUUAGUAUCAUAAAGUCGCACUGUGUAAAGGCCAUGACAGAAUGCUUCAUUAGACUGUUCAAGUAAUAAUAAGGCCCAAUGUAGCAAUGUUAUAGGUUUGAAAAAGUAGAAGAGAUUGGUAUUAACUAUAUUUCAAGUCUUGGGAGGCAUAUUACUUUUGAUCGUGGGUGGUCAUUGGCAUUUUCUUGGUUUCACGGUAAAGAUUGUCGAAGACGAUCUAGAAAAUCCAACAAAAUUGUUUACUAUAUGGAGCUUCGAUGGGAAGAUGGUGUACGAAAACAUCAUUGAAUCGACUGAGGGCUUCCGCUUUAGCCACUUUGUUGGGUGGGAGGAUGUGGCAGUGUUUUAGAGCUAAAUUGAAUGACCAGACUGUCGCUAUAAAGAAAUUACAUACACCAUGUAACGUCCCAAAAUUUCAUAUAAUAGAAUUAUUUGGGGAUAACGAUUUUGAUCUAGAUGCCUUUGGUGGACUCAUUCUGUAGUUCGUAUUUAAUGGCAUGUCAUGGACUCGAGAAAAGUUAAUUCAAAUAAGUUAGGUCCAAGUUAUUGAAGUUCCGAGAAAUUGUCUUUAAUUGGUAAUUAAUGAAGUUGGUUUAUGAUUUAAUUUCUAUGACAGCAUCACGUGUAGGACAAAUUUUAAUCCUAUUUUGAUAAUUGUUAAUUGUAAUCCUAUUUUGAUUUUGAUAAAUGUUAAAAAGGUUAAUUGUAAUUGUUACGAUCCAAAUUUUUCUAGUCAAAAAUAAAAUGUUGAAUUGUCAAAGUCAAAGUCAAAAGGGAUUAAAAUGAAAUAAAUUAUUUUAAUUGGGACUCAAUUUAUUAUGAAAAUUAUUUUGAAGGUCUAAGUUGGACAAUAUAAAAUUUUAGAGAUCUACUUAUAUAUUGCUAGAAGUUUAGAAUUUAAUGUUCUAUUAUAGAAAUGUUGGAGGACCUCCUUUGCAAUUUUGAGUUUGUAGCUACUUGAUAUAUUACAAUAAACCCAUUUCAAUUAUAAUUCAACACACACACACAAAUAAUAGGCAAAAACGGGAGAGCGCUGAGAGAGAAACCGAGAAGAAAGAGGAAGAAAAAGAGAAAGAAAGUGAGAAAAAGAAGAAAAGAAAGAAAGAAAGGAGAAGAAGAAGGGAAAGAGGUAGUUCAAGGUCUAUCUUCAUUUUUCCUUCUCUUUAUUUUCUUCAAGAGGUAGAUAAAUUUUAUGUUAAGUUGCUAGGGUUUAAUUUGUGGCUAAAAUUUCAUAUUUAUGCAAGAUGAGUACAAAUUGGAGUUCAAGUUUGUUGAUUAUUUAAUUUUCAAUUUCAUUAAGGUAAAAAUACCAAUUUUGGCAAAUCCUAGAUUUUUAUUUGGGAUUCUUAAUUAUGAAAUGUUAGUGGGAAUAAUUAUAUUGAUGGAAAACUCUCAUCAAACCAUGAAUUUGAGAAACAAGAUAAAAAUAAAAAUAGGUGGAAUCAUUGUUACUAGUUUUCUUUAGAUUGGAAGGUAUAAUUAUUUUUAUGGGUGGGAUGAAGGUAAAUUUGGAUGUAGUAUAUAUUUGUGAAGGUAUUAGAAAGUAGAAUUAGCGCUUAUUGAUUAACGGAAAAUUUGGAAAAAUCAUUCAAAGUAUCGAGAAGUCAAGUUUUAGUAUUCAACUAUUAAUAUUAAGAUAUACUUAGUAUGAGAUUUGUUAAAUUAGUUAUUUUACAUCGUAUUUCAGGUAGUGACGUGAAAGCUGGGCAAGACUGGUAAAUUUAACAAGAUUGCAAUACAUGGAUAUGUGAGUGGAGAACCUACUUUUCCAAUUAAAAAAAAAGGGGGGAAUUUCCUUUUUAAUUUUAUUUUAUAGAAGUAUAUUAAUUACCUGAAAUGUCUUAUUUUCAAGAAAUUAGUAAAUGAGCAAGAUUGUUUUGAAAUUUUCAAAAAAUAAUUGAUGUGAUUAUCUUACUCUAGUGCACUGAGGGGAUACGGCCGUGUACUAGAGUCAUGUAUUUAACUCUUAUACAUUGAGGGGUUGCAACCGUGUGUAAGGAUAACUCUUAUCCACUGAUGGGCUACGGCCGUGUGUAAGGGUACCUAUUAUACAUUGAGGGGCUACAAUCGUGUGUAAGGGUAACUCUUAUCUACUGAGGGGCUACGGCCGUGUGUAAGGAUACCUAUUAUAUACUGAGGGACUACAGUCGUGUAUAAGGAUGAUCAUGUUGUUUCCAUCUUAUACACUGAGGGGCUACGGUCGUGUACAGAGUGUUGAUCAGACGGUUUAUAUGCGUCUGACUUUGUAGCUUUUAGAUCAUCAGUAGAUGUUUACAUGGGGUAUAUUUUGAUGUGAAUUUUAUGUAUAUAGUGGUUUAUUAGCCUUCAACUUAUAUUUCCCCGUUUGCUAUUCAGCUUAUGGAAUUCAGAUUAUAGAAUUCAAUUCGUUCAAUUUUCAGAGUAAAGCUUCCAAUUUAUAGUAUUGAGCAACAAUAUUUCACAGAUUUUCAUAGAUUUCAGAUUAUUUAUAUUCACUAUAUUUUACAAUUAUUGAACUAGAAUGAAGAAUAAAGAAUUUUAUCAUCCAAUUAUGUCAGUUUUAAAAGUGUUACUAAAUUUUUGAAUUUCUCAAAGUUUUAGUAAAGCAAGAAUUAUACAUAUAUGAAAAAGUAUACUUAUUUUCAAUUUAUUCACUCACUGAGUUACAAACUCCAAUUUUUUUACCAUUCUCUUAGCAGAUAGCAUCUAUGUUGAGUAGCUUUGGAGCCUGUCGAUCCACCGAGAGUGCCAGACACACACAUUGUCAUUAGAUGUAUGAUUCAUUUCGUCAAUUUAUAUAGUUCAAAUUUCCUUUAGGAUACAUGUAUGUUUUGACAGAAUCGUUAAUUGGUAAUUUAUAGAUCCAUACCAUGGGCUCACUGCAUAUUUAAUAUUCUCAUUGCUUCUGGGGUCUUUUGUUUAUAAAGCAUGGUAAAUGUUUUGAAUUGUUUGUAUUUUAAAGGACUAGCGUGUUAUAUUUUAAAUUAUCUGUACAGUUUUGAUAAAUUUGAUAUUUGUUUAGGUGAUUUAGUCCAUAUUUUAAAGGAAAUUCUGUCAAAAUUUUUACACAUAUAUGUCAUAGUCAAAGUAGGUCAAAUCUGCUUUGGUGGUGCGUCCAACACUUAGUUGGUAUCUACCAUCGGCUCACAACACAUGUCAGGUCUAUUAGGGUGAUUCGGGACGGGUUGUGUCAGUAAUCCCAACUUAAUCCUUUUUACAGCAAAUGUACGAGAAAAUCAUCAGUGGAGUACAAUCCAAAUUCAACUUUUUGAAACUAUGUUUAAUUAAAAUAUUUAAAACACUUAUCAAGUUGGUAGCCACUUGUGUGCAGUGCAUUAGGAGUUAAUCUUUUUAUUUUUGGAUUAGAAGGAAAACUAAUUUUAAUCAUAAUUUUAUUAGAUUUUCAUUGAUUACUGGUUUAGUUCAAUUAAACAAGUAGAAUCCUACUUUCAAAAAGAAAUCUCAAAUCUCACCGAUUUAUACCCCCACAUUGAAGCAAAUCUGCAUUCGUAAGUUAUUACUUUCAAAGCAUACAUGCACCCAUUUGGUCACAGAAGCAGAGAGUUUAAGAAAGUUUUGAAAUGUACAAUCAUAUUUUUCUUUUCGAAAUUUUGUUUGAUACGAGGGAAGAUACAUAAAGCAUAAGUGGUUCGUCGAUACAUGCAUGAAUUGUUGGUUGACCUUUGGGUUCGACUUAAUAAAACAUGAACUUUUUUGGGUUCUUUAAAACGAAAUAUGAAAUAUCUCAAGAAUUCGAAAUGAGUACGUGAUGAGUGUCUCAUUUUAUCACCGAUAUACUCCAAAUAAAUUGUGGUAUGAGAUGUUUAUUUUAUUGUUAUAUAAUUGUAUAUGAAAACUGCAUGUAUCUUAUUAGGUACUAUCAAAUACUCAUUCUUAAAAUAAUUUACAAGUUAGUUGAGAUCGAUUGAAACUGUGGCAGAAUAGUGAUGUGGACUACCAAGAAGAUUUGAAGAACUAAAAACAUUAAAUUUUCGAUCUUUCAAUUGAUUAUUUAGUUUUAAAUUGUUCAAAAAUAAGUUUGUUCAAUAGUUAGGUAGUUAUAUCUAUUUUUUUAAGGAAAUACAAGUUACAUGCUUUAAAUUGAUAUUUAUUAUUGAAAAUAAAGAGAUUAAUUUUAUUAUUAUCGUUUUCCACAAUAUCGUGAAGGAAAUUGAAUUUUAGUAUCAUUCUAAGGUUUAUGAAUAUUGGGGUGUUAUAAUUUGAUAAUAAAGCACAUGUUUAUCUUUCUGUAUUCUUUUUAACAAAAUAGUUAUUUGUUUCAAAUAAAUGAAUUUUAAUAGGAAUUUACCAAUUAAAAAAUUUGUAUUUUAAGAGUUCCCACUUAUUAUUUGAGUUUUCUUGAUUUACGUAUUUGUAAAAUUGAAUGGUUUAGUCAAAACGACCUAAAUUGUUUAAAGAGAGUUUGAGAUUUAAGUGGUUCACUUAUAAUCUUCCUCCUCACCUGAAAGCCUUUUAGUUGCACGCUAUUCAAAUCAUAAAAAUGAAAAAUAACAUUUCAAACCAUUCCAUAUUUAAGAAAAUUUUAUUUUUAACAAAUUCUAUUUCAAGAGAAUUCCUUUUUAGGAAAUUUUUAUAUUGAAAAAAAAUAAAAAAAUAAAAGUAUUGUCAUAGGAUUUUGCCACUUUGACAGAAAAAUUGUAACAGAUGCGAUGAUAUAAUCCCAGUUGGAAAUAGAUGAUUUGAUGGGGAUGUUUAUUGUGUUUGAAAUUGUCCAAUAAUGGGAUGUCAUGUGAUAUUAUAUCAAAAAUUAUGUCAACUAUUAUGUUCCUGUAGCAUGAUUGAUUUUCAUAAGAAUUAUGAGUUUAAGGAGAAUAUUUUUGUAAAGUUUUUGUAAUGUCCCCAAAUUUUCAUAGAUUAGAAUUUAAUUUAUGUGUGCUAUAUUUUAAUAUUUUGGAAGUUUAGUGACUAAAGUGUAUAUAACGUAAAAUUUAAUCUUUUUGGGCUUAAAAUGUAAAUAUUGGCGGGUUAAUGAUUAAUAUAUGAAUAUUGGGCUUGUUGGAUAGAUCGUAAUUAAAGACACAGUUUAGGCUCGAGAAAAACUUUAUUUGGAUUAGUCGAGCCCAAGUUAUCGAAGCCAGAAGAUAUAACAUUAAAAUAUUAUUUUUAUUACUUUUGUUUUUGGAAGAAUUUACGUGGAGAGAGAGAUGAAAGUUGUUGAGAUAUUUUAUUGUUUUAUUAUUAAUAAUAAUAUUUUAUUAAGUGUUUUGAAUUGGGAGGUCUCACGUGAAGUACUAGGAUUCUAAGUAGGGGUAGGUAAGUGAUAAUCGAUUUGUUUAUUAAAUGAAAUAAAGUAGAGAGAGAGAGAGAGAAUUAUGGGGAGCCCCAACCACGUGAGUGAUUGUUGAGAAACCAAAUGGAUGUGUAGGGUAAUGUUUGGCUGUUGGGUGAUUGGUUAGUUGACAGUACAUGAUCUUAUAUUGAUAAGGUUUGGGUCUCCGAUUUUUUUCAAAAACAGUUUUUUUUUACUUUAUCUAAAUAUCCACUCUCCCACAUGUUUUCCUAUGAAUACUUCUACAUAUGUAUAUGGAAUGAACUGCACGAGAAUAAGGACACAAAAAAUAUAUUGGUACGUGCACACAUUGUCAAUAGAGGCAGAAAAAUAUAGAAGAAAAGAACGUGAUUUUAUUAUUUCUCUUCCGGAAAUUAAAUCAAGGUAGGAUUACGAGGUGCAAGUGGGUUGUCCCAUUUAAAUUAUUUCUUCAUAUUUGAUAAAUAUUAUACUUAUGAAAGUUAUGAUAUGUAUAAUGUAAUUAUGAUAUGUAUGUUAUGGUCAUCCGGUACCAAAGAUAUGAUACGAUAUGAACUCUUACCGAUUCUAAAGAUAUGAUAUGACGGUAUGAUAUUUUGACGCGUGAUUUAAUAUUUUAAUUGGGAUUGCACAAUUUCUCGUACCCUACUGAGUAUUCCCAUAUACUCACCAUUUUCCUACUCCUCACAGGUUAGACCGGGUCAUGUUGGAGCGUGGUGGUUCGAAGGUGUGGUUGUGUCUUGUUUCACCAAAUAAAGAUCUAAGUUAGCACGUAAUGUUUAUUUAUUUUCAGUUUAUUUCAAUAAACAUUUAUUUAUUUACGAAUAAAUUCUCGUUUAUGUUAGUUGCAGAUGAAUAUACGUAUUUUAUGAUUUUUAAAUAGAAGUUUGAACUAAAUGUUAUUUUCCUUCCUAUCGAUUUGCAAAUCUGUUCUUUCAUAUACGUUGGGAAGAAAGAAUUUAAUAGUUUGCAUGCCUAUAUUUGUACUUUACUUUGAUUUUCCCCAAAUUGAUGGAAAUUUAGGGUCAACACAAUGAUUCCCUGCCACCCCACACCUUCAUUUGUGUCCCAUCACAUCCAUAGCAUUAAUUAUGAUAUGAAUUUGAUAGUUUUUGCUUGUACGUGUUAGUCAUGAAUCAAUGUCUUGUUCGUAGUUUUUUUUUUGACAUAAAUGAAUUCUGUUUUGGAUUUUUUUUGUUUAAUUGCAGUAAAUAAACAUUCCGUGAGUUAUUUAAUUCCAUCCGUUGCCUUUGACUUAAUUAAGUAACUAAUUGAAAUUAUGCACUAAUUAGGGGGAAAUAUUGUGUUAUGAACCACUGUAUUAAUUAUGCCAGGAGUUAGCAAAUUCAUGUUUGUCUGCCACACCCGUGUCAAAUUCGUUUUAAUUCAUAAGUCUUAGAUAUAAAUUUAUUGGAUCUCCCGAAAUACAUAGGAAUAAGAUGUUAUUUUAAUUUGACUUGAGUGUUCAACACGUGAAGAUGAUUGAUAAUUGGAGAUUCAAUGAAAGCAAUAUUUUUUUAGAAUUCAUUAUAUAUAUAUAUAUAUAUAUAUAUAUAUCCAUGUGUUUUAUUUAUUUUAUAGAUGGAACUAGAAAGAUUUUCAUGUUGGAUGUUUAUUAUUUUAAUUAUUUAUGGAAUGAAAGGUUUGGUAACGAUUUCUAAAUCUAUAUAAGAUUUGGGUCGUUACAGUUUGGUAUCAGAGCAUAGGUUUAAAUUCCUGUAGACUCACAUGUAUUCUCAUAAUUCGGUUUUAAAAAAAAAAAAAAAUUAUUGUGAACAGUGACCGGACCGUUCACGUGAACAGUACUCGGUACUGUUCACUGUUCACGUGAAUAGUAUUGUACUGUUCACGUGAACAGUGUAGGAUAAAAAAAUAAAAAUAAAUAAAAAUUGUGUGAUGUUAUAUAUAUAUUGAAUUUUCUUUUUUGUUACAUGUUAUAAAAGGCUUAUUUGCUUAUUUAUUUUCCUAGAUAAUAUUUGUUUAAGGUUAAUAUUUAUUUAUUUAUUUAUGAAUUUAACGAUAAUAUUAAAUUAAAAGUUAUGAAAUAUGUGAAUGAUCUUUGGCACUCAACGACCACCAAUCGACCACCCUCCAACGACUCUAAGGUAUGUAAAAAGGGUAAGAAGAUAAAUGUACUUAAAGCUUUUUGCGAGAUUUAAAUGCUUUAAAUUUCCUAUCUUUAAAUGUUAAGACAUCCACGUUUAUUUUUCCCACUAAAUUAUGAUAUAUAUUGUCAUAGAUAAUUAUAACUUAUUAGACUUAGUACUAAGUGUGAUUGGUGACUUCAUAUUAAAUUUUAGGAAAUGGCACCACCUACUCAUACGAAUUUGAUGCGCGAUUUACUACGAGCGGUACAAGAGUUGAGCAGGCAAAAUCAAGCACCUCCACCACAAAAUGCACCGCCACAGCAGAAUGCACCGCAUUUUGCCCCUGGAGCUAUCUCAGUGGUUGAGCAGUUUCGUAGGUACAAGCCUUCCACUUUUGACGGUAAUUCUGAAUCACUGGUUGUCGAAGAGUGGAUAAGAGGCCUGGAGCGCAUAUUUCGACACAUUGCUUGUACGGAUGCACAGAAAGUAUUAUGUGCAGAAUUUAUGUUGAUUGGAGCAGCUGGUCACUGGUAGGAAUCUGUUUCACGUACAAGGACGGAAGAGCAGCACCGUAAUCUGACUUGGGAGCAGUUUAAAGAUGAAGUGAUGGCAAAAUAUUUCCCACAGGCUUUGAGAGAUUUCAAGGAAUUAGAAUUUUUGCAGCUCAGACAAGGGAGUAUGUCACUUACUGAUUAUGAAAGACAGUUUGAGCAGCUCUCAAGAUAUGCCCCGCACUUGGUGGAUACAGAAGUUAAGAAGAUUAGGAGGUUUGAGAAUGGACUGCGCCCUGAGAUCGGCAUGAUCAUUAUGUCCCAUCGUUUCACCUCAUAUCGUGAAAUGUUAGAGAGGGCUCAUGCUAUUUCCUAUCAGAGGACUACCUUUGAACAGUAUGCCCAGCAAAGCAAGGGGUCAUCGGGAAAAAGAAAGUGGAAUGAUCCAAACAAGGACAGACGUAAUUGGUAGAGUAAAAGGCCAAACACAGGAGUUCGUAUUGGGGGAGCGAGUGAGAAUAUUACACCGUGUCCUAAGUGUAAUAAACUCCACAGGGGUGAAUGCUUACUCGGGAAGAACAUGUGUUUCCGAUGUGGUAAGCCAGGGCACAUUGCUCUCAACUGUACAGAGCCACCAAAAAGGAAGGAUGAUGAUCAGGACAAGAACAAGAAAGGAAAGGCCCGAGUUUUCACACUAAAUCAGCAUGAGGCGGAGCAGGAUCCGAAUGUGAUAGCGGGUACUAAAUUAUUAAUAUUUUAACGCACUUGCUUAUGUUCUUUUCACAUAGGACUACACAUUGUUCCAUCUCCGUCCCUUAAAUGUUAUUCUAACACUAUAAAUUAUAAAAACAUGUAUUCUGUUAUUAUCUGAUGUGCCUGCUUAUGUACUUUUUGAUUCUGGGGCUACCAAUUCUUUUAUCUCUGCAUCCUUCGUCGUUAAGUCCAACUUUGCAUGUGUAAGAACGAAUAAUGAACUAGAGGUUAGCAUCCCUUCAGGAAGAACUCUUUGUACAAAUUAGAUGACUAAGGACAUAAAAUUAGAGAUUGACGGAAAAAUAUUAGAGGCAGACUUGUACCUUUUGGAGAUGAAAGAUUUCGAUGUUAUUUUAGGCAUGGAUUGGUUGGGAAUUAAUCAUGCAACCAUUCGAUGUUACGAGAAAGAAGUAUUGUUUCAUAGACCAGGAGAGGAAGAGUUUCGUUUCUUGGGAGCAAAGUUCAAGUCUUUACCGCUCCUAAUAUCAGCUAUGCAAGCAGAAAAGAUGUGAAGGAAGGAGUCAUGCCAGGGAUUCUUAGUUAACAUCAAUAGUUCUCAACAUACAGAAAUGACCGUUAAUGAUAUUAACAUCGUCCGAGACUUUGCAGAUGUAUUCCCAGAAGAUUUGCCAGGCAUUCCACCAGAUAGACAAAUGGAAUUUACAAUUGAUUUAGUUCCUGGAACGGCACCAAUAUCUAAGGCCCCAUACCGAAUGGCACCGAAAGAACUACAAGAAUUGAAGUUGCAAUUAGAGGAGUUACUGGAGAAAGGCUUCAUACGACCAAGUGUAUCUCCUUGGGGAGCACCUGUACUUUUUGUCAAGAAGAAGGAUGGGAGUAUGAAGAUGUAUAUUGACUAUCGGGAAUUGUACCAUCUGACCAUAAAAAAUAAGUACCCACUGCCAAGAAUAGAAGAUUUGUUUGACCAGUUAAUGGGUGCUGCAGUAUUUUCAAAGAUCGACUUGAGGUCAGGGUAUCACCAGCUAAAAAUCAGGGCAAGCGAUAUACCGAAAACUGCUUUCAGGACUCGUUAUGGGCAUUAUGAAUUCACUGUCAUGCCUUUUGGUUUGACCAAUGCUCCAGCUGUAUUUAUAGAUCUCAUGAAUAGAGUAUUCCAUCAGCAUUUAGAUCAGUUCGUCAUAGUGUUUAUUGACGACAUACUUGUGUACUCAAAAGACAAGAAGCAACAUAAGGAACAACUUCGAAUUGUACUUGAAACUUUGAGGAAUGAGAAAUUAUAUGCCAAAUUCAAAAAGUGUGAAUUUUGGCUUGACCGUGUAGUUUUUUAGGUCACGUUGUUACCACCCAAGGAAUCGAAGUAGACCCCGCUAAAGUGAAAGCAGUAACAAAUUGGCUAAGGCCGAGCGAUGUGGGUGAAGUCCGCAGUUUCUUGGGAUUGGCUGGUUAUUAUAGAAGAUUCAUUGAAGGCUUCUCAAAGAUAGCAGGGCCAAUGACUCAAUUGACAAGAAAGGGUAUAAAGUUUCGGUGGACAGAAAAAUGUGAAAAAUGCUUUGAAGAACUCAAGUAGAGACUAGUGUCAGCUCCUGUAUUGACGAUACCUGAAGGUUCAGAGGGAUUUGUGAUUUACAGCGAUGCCUCCAAGCAGGGCUUGGGUUGUGUACUGAUGUGGCAUGGAAAAGUGGUUGCUUAUGCCUCGAGACAGUUGAAACAGUAUGAACAAAACUAUCCAAUGCAUGACUUGGAGCUUGCAGCAGUUGUUCACGCCUUAAAGAUAUGGCGUCAUUAUCUUUAUGGUGGGAAGUGUGAAAUUUAUACGGACCACAAGAGUCUCAAAUACUUUUUCACACAGAAGGAACUAAACAUGAGACAGAGGAGAUGGUUGGAGUUAGUGAAGGAUUAUGACUGCACAAUUCAUUACCAUCCGGGUAAGACUAAUGUAGUUGCAGAUGCCCUAAGCAGAAAGACAGGAACACAGUUAGCAGUUUUACCCACAGUACAGGAACACUUGAUAAGGGAGUUUGAUAAAUUGAGAUUGGAAGUUAUCACGCCGCCAACUCAGAUUUCAGGGAGAAUAAGAGCAUUCAUGAUUCAACCUACACUUCGAGAUCGAAUUAAGGAGGCACAGGAUAAAGAUCCAUUUUUAUAGAAGAUAAAGGCCAAGAUUGGUACAGAUAAACAUAUAGGGUUUGCAGUAUCUGCAGAUAAUGCGCUAACUUUCAAAGGAAGACUGUGUGUACCUAAGGAUGAAAGUAUAAGAAAUGAGAUAUUAGAAGAGGCUCAUUCAACCCCUUAUUCUGCUCAUCCAGGUGGUACGAAAAUGUACCGAGAUCUCCGGGAUGUAUUUUGGUGGAGAAAUAUGAAGAGAGGAAUUGGUCUGUUCGUGGAGAGAUGUAUUAUCUGUCAACAGGUUAGGGCAGAACAUCAAAGGCCAUCAGGAUUACUGAAAUCGUUGGAUAUUCCAGAAUGGAAAUGGGAACACAUAACGAUGGACUUUGUGGUAGGCCUCCCGAGAUCAGCAAAAGGUCACAAUGCUAUCUGGGUAGUGGUGGAUCGUCUGACGAAGUCAGCCCAUUUUCUUCCAAUUAAAGUAAACUUUAAUUUGGAACAGCUGGUACACUUAUACAUCAGGGAGAUAGUCAGGUUGCAUGGAGUCCCAGUCACCAUUGUUUCAGAUAGAGACCCGAGGUUCACAUCUAAAUUUUGGAAAAGUUUGCAGACAGCCAUGGGAACAAAACUGAAGUUUACCACAACUUAUCAUCCUCAGACGGAUGGACAAUCAGAAAGAACCAUCCAAACUUUGGAAGAUAUGCUAAGGGCAUGUGUUUUGGAUCUUGGAGGUAGUUGGGAGACACACCUGCCGUUAGUGGAGUUUGCUUACAACAAUAGUUUUCAGGCCACUAUAGGAAUGGCCCCGUAUGAAGCUCUUUAUGGUAGAAAGUGCAGAUCCCCUAUCCAUUGGGAUGAAGUCGGGGAAAACAGAAUUUUGGGUCCAGAAAUCAUUGAACGAACAGUUGAGGCAGUGGAUAAUAUUAGAGCAAGAAUAAAGGCCGCACAAGAUCGACAGAAAAGUUAUGCUGACAGUAGAAGAAAGGAUUUAAAAUUUCAAAGAGGUGACAAAGUCUUUCUAAAGGUAGCACCAAUGAAAGGUGUAUUGAGAUUUGGAAAGAAAGGAAAGUUGAGGCCGCGGUUCGUCGGACCUUUCGAAAUUCUUGAAAGGAUUGGUAGUUUGGCUUACAGACUUGCCUUGCCACCUGAACUAACAGCAGUGCAUAAUGUGUUCCAUGUUUCGAUGCUCAGAAAAUAUGUUCAUGAUCCCAAUCAUGUAGUAAGCUAUCAGACGUUGGAUGUACCAAAAGAUCUAUCAUAUGAAGAAAUUCCGACGGUAAUUUUGGAAAGAAAGGUACAUCAACUUAGGAAGAAAGGAGUUCCACUGGUCAAGGUGCAAUAGCGAAAUCAUGGACGAGAGGAAUCAACUUGGGAGAAAGAAGAAGAGCUUAGAACCAAGUAUCCAGAACUUUUCAAUUAACCAAGGUAAAUUUUCGAGGACUUAAAUAUUUAAGGAGGGGAGAUUGUAAUGUCCCCAAAUUUUCAUAGAUUAGAAUUUAAUUUAUGUGUGCUAUAUUUUAAUAUUUUGGAAGUUUAGUGACUAAAGUGUAUAUAAAGUAAAAUUUAAUCUUUUUGGGCUUAAAAUGUAAAUAUUGGCAGGUUAAUGAUUAAUAUAUGGAUAUUGGGCUCGUUGGAUAGAUCGUAAUUAAAGACGCAGUUUAGGCUCGAGAAAAAAUUUAUUUGGAUUAGUCGAGCGCAAGUUAUCGAAUCCGGAAGAUAUAACAUUAAAAUAUUAUUUUUAUUACUUUUGUUUUUGGAAGAAUUUACGUGGAGAGAGAGAUGAAAGUUGUUGAGAUAUUUUAUUGUUUUAUUAAUAAUAAUAAUAUUUUAUUAAGUGUUUUGAAUUGGGAGGUCUCACGUGAAGUACUAGGAUUCUAAGUAGGUGGUAGGUAAGUGAUAAUUGAUUUGUUUAUUAAAUGAAAUAAAGUAGAGAGAGAGAGAGAGAAUUAUGGGGAGCCCCAACCACGUGAGUGGUUGUUUGGAAACCAAAUGGACGUGUAGGGUAAUGUUUGGCUGUUGGGUGAUUGGUUAGUUGACAGUACAUGAUCCUAUAUUGAUAAGGUUUGGGUCUCCUAUUUUGUUUCAAAAACAGUUUUUUUUUUUUACUUUAUCUAAAUAUCCACUCUCCCACACGUUUUCCUAUGAAUACUACUGCAUAUGUAUAUGGAAUGAACUGCACGAGAAUAAGGACACAAAAAAUAUAUUGGUACGCGCACACAGUGUCAAUAGAGGCAGAAAAAUAUAGAAGAAAAGAACGUGAUUUUAUUAUUUGACUUCCGGAAAUUAAAUCAAGGUAGGAUUACGAGGUGCAAGUGGGUUGUCCCAUUUAAAUUAUUUUCUUCAUGUUUGAUAAAUAUUAUACUUAUGAAAGUUAUGAUAUGUAUAAUGUAAUUAUGAUAUAUAUGUUAUGGCCAUCCGGUACCAAAGAUAUAAUAUGAUAUGAGCUCUUAUCGGUUUUAAAGAUAUGAUAUGACGGUAUGAUAUUUUGACGCGUGAUUUAAUAUUUUAAUUGGGAUUGCACAAUUUCUCGUACCCUACUGAGUAUUCUCAUAUACUCACCAUUUUCCUAUUCCUCACAGGUUAGAUUGGGUCGUGUUGGAGCGUGGUGGUUCGAAGGUGUGGUUGUGUCUUGUUUCGCCAAAUAAAAAUCUAAGUUAGCACGUAAUGUUUAUUUAUUUUCAAUUUAUUUCAAUAAACAUUUAUUUAUUUACGAAUAAAUUCUCGUUCUUGUUAGUUGCAGAUGAAUAUACGUAUUUUAUGAUUUUCAAAUAGAAGUUUGAACUAAAUGUUAUUUUCCUUCCUAUCGAUUUGCAAAUCUGUACUUUCGUAUACGUUGGGAAGAAAGAAUUUAAUAGUUUGCAUGCCUAUGUUUGUACUUUACUUUGAUUUUCCCCAAAUUGAUGGAAAUUUAAGGUCAACACAAUGAUUCCCUGCCACCCCCACCCCCUCAUUUGUGUCCCAUCACAUCCAUAGCAUUAAUUAUGAUAUGAAUUUGAUAGUUUUUGCUUGUACGUGUUAGUCAUGAAUCAAUGUCUUGUUCGUAGCAUUUUUUUUGACAUAAAUGAAUUUUGUUUUGGAUUUUUUUUCUUUAAUUGCAGUAAAUAAACAUUCUGUGGGUUAUUUAAUUCCAUCCGUUGCCUUUGACUUAAUUAAGUAACUAAUUGAAAUUAUGCACUAAUUAGGGGGAAAUAUUGUGUUAUGAACCACUGUAUUAAUUAUGCCAGGAGUUAGAAAAUUCAUGUUUGUCUGCCACACCCGUGUCAAAUUCGUUUUAAUUCAUAAGUCUUAGAUAUAAAUUUAUUGGAUCUCCCGAAAUACAUAGGAAUAAGAUGUUAUUUUAAUUUGACUUGAGUGUUCAACACGUGAAGAUGAUCGAUAAUUGGAGAUUCAAUGAAAGCAAUAUUUUUUUAGAAUUCAUUAUACAUGAUUAAAUACAUAUAUAUCUAAUAAUUUGUUUUUAAGUUCUUCCAUGCGUUUUAUUUAUUUUAUAGGUGGAACUAGAAAGAUUUUCAUGUUGGAUGUUUAUUAUUUUAAUUAUUUAUGGAAUGAAAGGUUUGGUAACGAUUUCUAAAUCUAUAUAAGAUUUGGGUCGUUACAGUUUUAACCAGGUAAUAACAUGAAAAAUCCUUGGGGACGUUCACUGUUUGACCACUCUCCAAUUGAUUCUAGGUAUGAAUUGAAUGUUAUUCUUUUAUCAUAAUUACGAGUCAUCUUGCUUCAUGUUAUGAAAUGUAUAAGCAUGUUUACCUCUCGUAGUUUAUUAGUUGAACUAUUUUACAUUUUAUAUGAAUAUUGUUUAUGUUGGGAAUCUACUUAUACAUGCACAGUGGAAAAUUAAAAUUAUUUUGAUUCCCACCGAGAAUCCCUUUGUGUUUAGAUAGAAAUCGUGAUAAGAUUGUACCUUUUCAAAUCUGAAAAUUUCUUUACUAUUAUUUUCGUUCCAACAAUCUUGAUUCGCCACCUACAGCUGUCCAAUUGUCCAGCCUCCAACGGUGAUCCACACAAAGAAUAAGAUUGCAGCUAAUAGGGUUUUCUCUCUUGUGCCAGCAAGAAUAAUGAAAAUCAUAUAGACCUCAAACCCUAACCAUGUAUUUAUAUACACCCAAAUGGGCUCGGCCCGAUCCGGUCCAAUAUUUAAUUAAUCCAUUUAAUUAAACCCGAUCUGUGAAUUAAUUAAUCCAAUUUAUUAAUUUAUACAAUGAUGUUAAAUUAACUAAUUGACAAUUUUCAAUCUUCCAAUUCUUUUUUGUGUGUGACCCAUUAGGUUCCCGACCACGAUGUCUAACGACGUGAAAUAUUAUUUUGAUCUAAUCAAAAUUGAUAAAUUAAAACACUCUUUUAAUUUAUCGUCAAUUCACACUCGCCGUCCCUGAUUGACAUCUAGCAAUGUGUCAGGGCAAUACAUGUGACGAAAAAUGUCACGUGGUAUGACAAAAUCAAAUUCGUUCGUUUACCGUGAAACUAUAAUCCCUUCGUCAAUAUGAUCCGAUCAAUUACGAGAUAUGGAAGUGUGUCAAUCUCGAUCAUCGAUCAUAUCUUUCACUCCACUAUUAAGUCAAUAUAAGUCGAAAACUCAUUUUCGACUUAUGAAUACACCUUGGCCAAGGAUUUCAUCAUCGACUUAAUUGAAUGAAACACAGAUCAUAAUCUCCUACAAUCUAAGAGUGACAAAUCCUUUAUUGAUUAAUCACAACCUUCAUACGAUUCUUGACGUACCCGAACGAUAUCGUAUUAGCGGCCUUUUUCAGAGCAACAUCCAACACUGUCAAAGUAUGACUAUCCUCAUGUAAGGUACCAUGACGACAUCAAGUCAAAGGACCAAUUCCAUUACCGAACGUUAGAGAUUAACCACUGACACUUAGAUAGUUAUCCAUGUGGAAUCUCUUGGCGGGUCUCCAAAGUUUUGUUCUAUAACAAAACAUCCACGUGUUCAUUUAAGUGUCACCACACUUUAGCUUGCGAGAUCAGCUACUUACUUUACAAGUAAGAAAUGUCACACGUAAUGAUCUAUCCAUAAUAACGAUAUCCGUAUCUCGUUAUUACUUACGACCACGGAUGAUUUAAGAUUCAAUCAGAUGUAAUUUAUAUCUCACAAUCACAACUCCUUGAUUAACAAAUUACGAAUAUUUGAAUCUACGGACUCUAUUAUUUAUUUAAUUGCCUAUUAAUUAAAUAAUAGAUCUGUCAUUAAAUUGCAUUAAUUAUAUAUCAAAAGUAUUUAUGUCCAAAGUUGAUUGGACUUAGGGCAUAAUACUUACAGUUUAUUCGAGCAUAGAAUGAAAUAAAUUGUCAUUGAAAAAUUAAGCAUAAUUAAAUUUAUACAUUUCACACAUGGUUAAGACUAGACAAAUAUAGUUGAACGAAUAGAAUGGCUAGAAAGAAUAUGAUUUACACAAGUACCUUAGGACCUAUGAUUGUAGCUAUUUGAGAGUAUGAGUACUUUGUGUCAAAUAUGGCCAUGACAAGUUAAAUGCAAAAUUUAAUACAAGGAAUUGAGAAUGGACCAAGAAAAAUCGGAAGGAAUAUUUAAUUAUUUUCAUUCAACCGAUGUAGUAGAGGUUUGCAAUUCAUUGAGUUUCAUUCAAUCAAUGUAGAAGAGAGAUUGUUGUGUUUAAUAUUUCUAAGACAAAAUUUUGUUUUGUAUAAAGAAAAUUUCGAAACAACAAAAUCAAGUUACAAUCAUCAGUGAUCUGUUAAGAGUUGUAUAGGAUCUUGAUAGACAAUAAGCACAGACUGACCUUCAAAUUGCAUCGAUCAAUGCUAACAACACAACUCAAUUGUUGAACAGUUCCACCGUUAUGAGCCCUCAGUUUCCGAUGGCAAAGUAGACUCACUGGCAACUGAAGAAUGGAUAAUCUUCAACAUCUCUCAUCCAAUGAUGCUCUGAAAGUAUCAUGUAAAGUGUUCACGUUGGUUGAUGUAGUGGGCUAUUGGUUGGAAUUUGGCUCAAGCACUAGAACUAAGGCAUGCAACAAGUUUUGACUAGGAUACAAUUCAAAGAAGUGAUAGAAAAAUACUUUCUACAAGCCCUAAAAGAUCAAAAGGAGGUAGAGUUUCUAAAACUUAACAAGGAAAAGUGAAGCUUGAGGAAUAUGAGAGAAAGUUCGAAUAGCUCUCUAGGCACGCACUGCACCUGGUAGAUACCAAGGCAAAAAGCGAGGAUGUUCGAACUAGGAUUGCAUCCAAAGAUUGGUAGAAUAAUGACCUCCCACCAAUUAACCACAUACAAUUAGGUUUUGCAAACUGCUCAAGCAAUCUCAAAUAAAUUAGAGAUUGACCAAACUUUUCAACAAGAGUUUUGAAGAAAGUGAAAAUGAAAUGGGUCCAACAAAGAGAAAAGGGAUGGACAAAACAAGAAAUUCAACAUAGUAUGGAGUUCAUAACAAGUUGUUACACUCUGUCCUAGUGCAAUAAGAUGCAUAGGAGUGAGUGUAUAUGGGAGUAAUAUGUGUUACCGAUGCGACGAAGCAGGCCAUGUUGCUAAAAACUGUAAAGAAGCCCCCUCGAAGAGAAAUGAUGAGCAAGGCAAGAAAGCGAAAGCUAGAGUUUUUGCCUUAACUCAAGACAAGGCAAUGGAGGAUUUGAACAUGAUGGCAGACAUUUUUUUUAUACGUGGAAUUCCUGCUUAUGUUCUUUUAGGCUAUGGAGCCACUCUUCCAUUCACUUUUGCUGCCUUUAUUAAUAAGUCACUUAUUACAUGUGAAGAAUUCGAUAGUGUUCUAAAAGUUACUAUCUCAUUGGACAAACCUUUGAAUACCAAUAAGAAAACUAAAGCGAUUAAAGGACUGGGUGUUCAAAGUCGUUUAUCUUAUGAGAAGGCUCUAACAGCUAUUUUUGCAAGGAAGAUACACAAAUCGAGAAAUAAAGAAAUUGUAUUAGUUAAGGUCCAAUGGUAGAAUUCUGGAAUAAAAUAGUCUACUUAGGAGAGAGAAGAUAUCAAGGUCAAGUACAUGGAAACCUUCAACUAGUUAAUGUAAUUUCUAGGACGAAUUCAUUUGAAGAAUGAGAGAUUGUAAUGCUCCAAAAUUUUAUAAAAUGAAAUUAUUUGGUGCUAAUGAUUUUGAUCUAGAUUCCCUUUUUAUAAUUUUGGGAAAUUGAACGAUUAAAGUGAAAUAGUAUUAAAUUCAAUUUUAUUUGGGGCAAAUAAUUAAAUAUUGAUGGCGAAGAUAAGUAUAUCAAUACUUGGCUUGUCUUGUAGUUCGUAUUAAAAAACGCGUCGUGGACUCGAGAAGAGUUAAUUCGGAUAAGUUAAGCCCUAGUUAUUGAAGUUUAAAGAAAUUAUCAUCAGCUAAUAAUUAAUUAAGUUGGUUUAUGAUUUAAUUUUUAUCGCAGUCUCGGUUCAAUUGUAGAAUAAAUUGUAUUACUAAUUUGAUAAAUGUUAUUUAAUUAAGUUUAGUUAAUGACUUAUCAAGUUGGAAGCCACGUGUGAGUAGAUUAUUAGAGUAUUUUUUUUUUCCUUUUUUAGAUUGGGAGGAAAACUAAUUCUAAUCCUAAUUUUAUUAGAUUUUCAUUGAUUACUGGUUUAGUUCAAUUAAAAAACUGGAAUCCUACUUUCAAAAAAAAAUCUCAAAUUUUACCUAUUUAUACCCCCCAACAUUGAACCCAAUUUGCAUUACUUAGAUAUUAUUUUCAAAGCAUACAUGCACCCAUUUAUUUACAGAAGCAGAGAGUUUGAGAAAAAGUUUUGGAAUGUGCAAUCAUAUAUUUUUUUUUUCAAAAAUUCGUUUGAUCUAUCCAGGUAAGAUACAUAACAUGUAAGUGGUUUGAUUCCUUAUAACUUUAUUUGUGUAUAUAUAUAUAUAUAUAUAUAUAUAUAUAUAUUAUUAGUGGACCUUCGAAUUCGACCUAAAAAUGCCUUUUUAGUUCUUUAUAACGAAAUGUGAAAUCUUUCCAGAAUUCAAAAUUACUAUGUGAUGAGUGUCACGUUUGAUCACCGAGUUACGUUAAAUGAAAUUUGGUAUGAAGUGUCUAUUUUAUUGUUAUAUAAUUGUUUAUAAAAACUGCAUCUUAUUGGGUAUUGUCAAAUACUCAUGUAACAACCCGGUCUUUAUGCCAAAUCCGUUAACUUAUGUACUGUACAAUUUGUGAGAGCUUGAAUUUAUCUUACCUCUUACGAAUUUCUGUCGAGUCCCCAAAAUUCAAACAUAUGACAAUCACCUUAUGAGAGAUUUUAAUUUGAAUUAUAGUACCAAUUGAGCAAGUUGUUUAAUAAGUACCUGGAUUCAACUUAAAUUUCUCAUAAGGUGGAGGUAUUGGGUUCAAAAUUUGACGAUAGAAAGUCAAGAGGGAUAAGAUGGAUUUAGCUCUCCCAAAGCGAACAGUAUGUAAGUUAAUGAUUUAGAUACAGUGAGAGAUUGAAAAUAAGUUUGGAGGUAUGCAUUCAACAAGAAAAUGAGACAGUUGUCCAUUAAGGGUAAAAAAUAAUCAACCUAAAUGAUUAUAGUGAUUGAAUUGACUAUGAACACACACAUCGAUCGAGUAUUAAAUAAGUAUAAAUUUAUUUUGGUGGCAUUGCUUAUGAGACUUAUUUGAAUUGUCAAACAAUUUCAGUACUUAGGACGAAUACAACAUGCUAUCUAAUACUUUGACGUUUAUGUUUCAUUGCUUAUAUGCUCGCGAUGGAUAAGAGUUUAAGUUUGGGAUAUUUCAUAGGCAUAUUUUAUAAACGUCUUUAGUCUUUUAAACUCAAUUAUGGAUAAUUGAAAGGAUGUCUAUCUAAUUUAGUAAAUAUAUUAAUUUUAGGUAAAAUUUGACAUGAAUACAAUUAAUGCAAGAAAGGCAAUUUUUAACUUAAAUGGAGUUGAUUUGGAGCAAUUAAAGUAAUCGAAUUGCACGUGAUCAAUUAUAAGUAUUAAGAGGCAAUCCUAAGAAACUCAUAAGUUUUGUGAGUAAAGUUUGACAUUUGAAAAGUUUGGGAACUCUAUUGUAAACUUUCAAUACUUUUAACGGAUCAAUUAUGAAAGAGAAAUGAUGAUGAUGAUGAUGAUCAAAGUAUAAAGAUUUAAAGAUGAAGGAUCCAUGAUGAAUAAAGAAUGACUCGAGCAUUACCAAGAGGAAGAUUCAGGGAACAAUUUGAAAGAAAGGCAAACAUUGAUCUUGCAAACGCAAGAUUGAUGGAUGCGAUCGCAAGGCUGCUUAAAUUAAUUCAAACAAGUAAAAAUGAAAUAAUGUACGAUCAAAAUGGUUAAUACCAUCAAUCACAUGGAAUUAACAGACUAGGAUUUUUUUUUUUUUUUUCGAAUUUCAUUUAACCUCAUUUUGGAAAGCAAUUAGGAUAGAAUUUACACCUAAUUCCUGGGGCAAUAUAGACAACCUUUCAUCUGUUGUAAAAAGAAGAGGCUUUUGGGAUACAACAAACAUAUAUCUUACAAAGAAGAAGCCUUACAGAUAGAACAUAGAUAUUUCUCGCAUACUUUGAGUGAACUUUUUAUACAAAACACAUAUUUCAUACAUCUUCACUUGGGUUUGAAGAAGAAGAAGAAGAAGAAGAAGAAGAAGAAGAAGAAGAAGAAGAAGAAGAAGAAGAAGAAGAAUAUAUUCAAGGAGAUUGAUCAAGAACCAUUGAAAGGAUUCAAAAUUGUUUUCCAUCUUUCUUCUACCUUUAAUUUCGGGAAAUGAUGUAAUGAUUCAAUUCAUAUUUUUGUAUUACUAUGAUGCUCAGUUAAAUGUAUAGAUGAUAUGAUAAUGAUAAACCCUAUAUUUUGAUACAUUUAUAUUGAAAUCGAAAAUCCAUGAUUUGAAUUGAUGUCAUUUCAUUGAUUCCUUCUAAAUUGCGUUGGAUUUCACUUGACUGUCUAUGGUUCCAUUGUUUGUGCUCGAGGUAAAAGUUUUGUAUAAAUAUAUCACCAUGCUAUUAAGUAUUUUGAUUUAAGAUCUUUUAUUUCUAAGAGGUGGAAUAGAAUAACCCGGUGACCGAGAGAUAACUAUCGAGUAUUUGGACUAUCCGGACACAAACUUCGGGAAAUGGUUCAUGCGUGUUAAGUUUCAAAUAUUGACAUUUAAAUGUUUGUAUGGUUUUGAACGCUUCUUAUUGUCUUCAUGCUUUUUCAAUUACAAGGCCAUGAAUUGAAUUAAUAUAAUUUCUAUUGUCAUUUGAAAGAAGGAAAAUACAGCACAUGGUAACAAUCAUUGUAAAGUCCUAUAGACUUUUCCUAUGCUUUGUAUGAUCUCAUUGAUGUUCUUGUAAUUGAUUGUAUGAUCUCAUUGAAUAUUUUUUUGAUUGAAUGUAUCUUCAUAUAUUCGCGUCCAAGAUAUGAAUAUUUCAUGUCAUGUAUGAGAUAGAUUUAAUUUUUAUCAGGAGAGGUUAUUGAAUAAAAUAUGAGCACUGAUAUACGAGUCCAAAUAAAUGUUAACCAAUUAUGAGAUUGAUAUUAAGAUGGAAGGAUAUACGAGGAUUUGAUGUCCCGGUGACUUAUUGUUUAAUUGAGCCCCCGGUGGCACAGUAUGCCUUCGAUAUUAAGAUGGAAGGAUAUACGAGGAUUCGAUGUCCCGGUGGCUUAUUGUUAAUUGAGUUUAUACGCGCUUCCCAUUUAGUUAAUUAGAUCAAUUAGUUAAUUUUAGGUAUGAUCGGUAAAUAUAAUCAAUCUCAUCUUAAUUGUGAUAUUCGAUUAAAGUUCUCAUUAAUUGGAAUUUAAUUAAAUACUUAGUACUCGUGGAAUUAAUAUGUGAACCAAGAUCGACUUUAAUGUUUGUUUAUGACAUUGUUCAUAGUGGUAUUUUAGCACAGCAAACACAAUUAUUAGUUUAAUCUUUUGGAGAUAAAACAUCUUAAAAUAUAAGGCUAAUUUAGGGAGCCUUUAAAACAUUUCCUCUCCCUCUCUCUCACACACACGCAUAGGUGACUAUAUGCAAAUCUACAUGGGCUGUACUUGCUGUACAUGCAGUUCGAGCUAGACUGUACAAGCAGCUCAACCCAAUCUAUAAAUACAUUUUUUGCUCACUCUAACAAAAAUUGAUAGGCACCAAGAUUAUUAGACUAAGAAAAAUGAUUAGGAUGGUUGAUAGUACGAUGAUUAAGUCAACUAUUAGUAAAAGCUAUAUGGAGAAUUGUGUGUGGGAGAAAUAAAUAGGGAGAGAUUUGGCUAGAAUUCAAAGAAUGUGUAACUUUUUCUUUACACGUCCAUGAAUAUUUAUAGGGACAGAGUUAUAAUGGAAUUAGGUUAAAAUAUUGCAACCCCUAAUUCUACAUGGUGUGUUGUGAUUGAGCAUAGAGUUUUGAAUGAAGUAUGGUAUGUUUCCUUUGUCGGGUUUACUUCCUUGUAAGGCUAAGUUUCCUUAUAGAGAUUGAUUUUCCAUGAUCUUUUCUAAUUCCUCGGCAUCCUCUCCUUAUUUUAACAGAUUGACAAGGCUAUAAAUUUUAGAAUCGAUAAAAUUGUCUCAUUCCAAGAUUUAUCCCAAUAUUGAUUUUAUCUCCAUGUUUCAUGGAUCCUUUGACAUCAACAAGGUAUGGGUCUCAUCCAAAGGCAAUAGGUCACUAGGCCCAUUAGAGCCACAUCCUCCCAUCUCGACACGAGGGGUUCAAUUCGAAGACUAUCACCACUAUCCAUUACUAUGAAUAUUGUAAGAGCUGAUGGGAUAUUUCAUACGAGGCUUGUGACUUGAUUCUUUUGUGCAGGCGAAGACCAUAGGAAAACAUGUAGCAUGUUGGCUCUUGCUCAUGUGGUGUUCGUAAGUCCUCUUGACUUCCAAGUGUACCCAGGAUGUAACAGUGGUCUCUCAAGUUCAAUUUUGUUAUUUAUACUAGGCUUGUGGCUUAUUAGUUUGCUUGUGUUACGAAAAUUUGAAAGUGAAAGGCUUGUGAUGCAGUUGGGCCUCGUUGCUCUUUGGCUAAGAUUGAAUUUAUGCCCAAAAGAAUUUCACUGGCCUUUGCUUACCAUGAUGGUGGUGUGGCGAAGAUGUCUUGACAAAUGCCUCUUGGCCAAGCUAUAACAUCGAAGUAUAACAACUUCGUUUUGAAUACCGUUGUAGAUUUUCCUAUUCCGAUAUAUAAUGUUCAUUUUGAUAUUUAAACCUCUUGUUAUAGUAAAUUCAUUAUUGUCGUUAUAGUGAAAGAUUUACGCAAUUGUCAAACUCUAUUUCUCGCACAUUUUAUUUAUUUCUAAAUUUACUAUGACAUAUUGAGAUUAAUGACUUUUUUACAAAGAUCGGUAGUCUAAUCUUAAUGACACAAAAGAUAGAAAAGAAAUUUCCUUUUUCUUAAAAUCCACCAAUCCAAUAUAACUAGAUCAACCCUUCAAGUUCGCAUUAUUUGAAAAUAGUGCCACAAAGUUACUUUUUUCAAUUGUACUCGAGGAAAAUAAAAAAUAAUAAAAUAAUGAUAUUUAUUUAUUCAUUUGACUCUUUAAUUGCAUAUGCAAAAUUAAUUAAAGUUAAUCUUGUUUCCCAAGCUUUUGGUAAUUCAUUCUUUCUUCACAAUUGUCAUUGUCUUAGAAUAAUCUUUCCCUACGAACCGUCAAACCAAGCACGUAUUCCCUGAUCUCACGGAUUUCUUCGGGUAACACUUUACAGCCUCAUAUUUAGACUUUUCGUCGGCUAUAUAUUAUUAAUAACUACAGAUUACAUUUACAAUUUUUAAUUAUAAUUAUUAUACGUUUUUUUUCUUCAGAAGGCUGCUAAAAAAUACAUAAUAGUGGGUACAAGUAAUAUAUUGAGGUUUCAAAUGAUUUUAGGCCACCGUCAACGCAGAAUGAACUAAUUCUUAACCAGCAAUUCGAAAUUAAACUGAAUGGAAAUUUUACUUUCGAAAAAUCUUGGUGAAAAUCAAAGAGAAUUAUGUUCAUUUUUCUCUCGUCUCUUGCUCUUUUAAAAUAUUUUGUCAAGAUCGAAUGAUUAUUAUAAAUUGAAAUAUUGUAAGGUCAAUGUAUAAGAAUCUCAAUAAUAUAAACGAUCUUUUUUUUCCCUUAUCUAAUAUAAUACGAUUAUAUAUCCGUGAAAAAUUAUCCAACAAAUUUUUUAUGCGAAAAAAAUAUAAUUUUAUUAAUUGACUUGUUGAAAUGAAUUACGCAUGCAUAUAUCUAUCUUGUGCUUGAAGGAAAAGUCGCGCAUUUGCGUGUAAACUACUUAUUUUGUUAUUAAAAGUACAAUCUAACAUAAACUACGUCAGCAGAAACUUUGAGAAAAAAAAUCAGAAAUAUUUACAACAAAGGCUCCAAAUCUAUAGGAUAGCAACAUGUUGAUCCCCAACCUAGAAAUGAGCAAUAUAAUCCUCAAACUUUCAAAAUAAGUGCAAACCUAGUCCUAACAUAUAGAAAAAAUAAUAAUAAUAUUCAUCUAGAAUCCAGAUAAUCAUCUGUCAUUUUUAGAUAAUUCUAUGCAUGGGACAAUGCAGUAGUAGUUUCACUAUAAAUGAAUAUUUCUAGUCUCUUCAAGAAUACUCUUACUCAUAUGGAAAUAAUGUAUCUUAUUUAGGAUUAACAAUGCGAUAAGUCGAGCUCGUUGACCAAGGGACUACACUUCGCUUGGCCCAUGGGCCUUGCCUAUGAUGAGCCGUGCCAACCUACAAGCUUUUUGAUUUUCUUGGUUCAUUAAUCUAAUUUAUUUAACUUAAAUGUGAGUUAAAAAAAAAAGGAAACUCUAACAUAAUUAAAUAACAAUGCAAGGAAAAUAUGACACAAUCGCAAAGUUCAUGUACCCAAUGCUUUACUUGCAAACGUCGACUCGACUCAUUUACUUGUUGUAGAACAAGACUAGCAGAACAGUUGAGCAGUCGAUUUUCUUUUGGUUAUGGACUUUCCGGUUGUAGGGUGAAGGUAUGACAAGGGAAUUCCAUGCUUUUAAGAAGCUUUGUUCUAAGCCUCGGGAUGAAAUUCGAAUCUCACUCAAAUAGGGCAGGUGAAGGAAAAAGAUCUCUUAUACGACCACGCUCUAAGCUAAGUUUAUCAUUGGAUCACUCUUGAUAUACGAAUUUACUAGAGAUAUCAUCCAAUUCGAUUGAAGUAAGGAAAAUACAAAUAGAAAUAGAAAUCAAAAGAAUUAGAAUUAGUUUUGUGAAAAGUGAAUCCAAACAAUUGUGAACCACUCAUUGCCAACCUAAUCCUGUUUUUAAUUGUUCACGAUAAGACAAAAGGGGGCAGUUAUCAUGCCUCGAUAUGCACCUAUUCAAAAAGGUUGAGGACUAUAGUCCCACUACCGCUAUUUAUACGGAUCCAUUUAUGCAAUUUUCUUGAAAAAAUCAGAAAAUUUGUGAAGUGUCAUCAGUAGCGGCAGGUUUGCCAACAAUAAAUCCUGUCUACCAUUUCUUCUCUCCUCUCUAUAAAUAUAACACCCUACAUAUCUGCUUUCCUUUGUCCAUUAGAAUAUACAGAAACUAAACUCAAUGGAAAUGGAAGUGAUUAUCUCUGUAAACAAAAUGGAUUUUGACUUUAACAGUCCACAUGUCAGUGCACCUUCGACGCCCAAGCGUUUUGGGGAAUUCUAUUGCAGCGCUCCGACAAGUCCGACGCAUUUGGCGCAGUUUUAUCGUGAUUUUGAUGAUUUCUCGAACAGAGCCAGCGGAGUCACAUCGAGGGUGCCGUUUGGUUCCCCUAAGAAUGAAGGUGAUUUUGCUUUUGAUAUUGGUGAGGAGUCAUCGGAAAAGGAGUCUCUUUCGGCGGAGGAACUGUUUGACGGCGGCGUAAUUAAGCACCUAAAGACCCCAUCGCGGCUGCAAGCUUCCACCGGAGCAAGAAUUAAGGGUGAUUACUCACCAAGGCAUAAGAAAGAGGACGACCCUUUUGCAAUCUCUUCUCAAAGCGCCACGGCGGAGCACAGUCACAGAAGAGGAAGAGAGAGAGCUCCUGCAGCAGGUUUAUCUUCAUCAAGCCGAAGAGCAACGCGUUCACUUUCUCCUGCGAGAGAUUCUGAUCAAAAUUCACGGGAUCAAGAAGAGAAAAAACAGCACAAUACAAAGAUUUUGUGCUCAUCUUCAUCCUCAAAAUGUCACAGAAAAUGGAGAUUGAAGGACUUUUUCUUGUUCCGAAGUGCAUCUGAAGGACGAGCAGCAGAUAAAGAUCCUUUAAGGAAAUACACAGCAGGGUUCAGAAAAUCAUAUGAAGAUGCUAAGAAUCCGAAUUUCCGGAGAAUGGAUAGCCAGGAUUCUGGAUCAAAUUCAAGUAGAAGAGGAAAAGUUUCAGCUCAUGAAUUGCAUUACACAACAAAUCGUGCAGUUUCUGAAGAUUUGAAGAAGAAAACCUUCUUGCCAUACAAGCAAGGCAUUCUGGGGCGCCUUUCAUUUAAUCCUGCCGCCCAUGCACUGGCUAAUGGUUUCGGGUUUUCUCGUAAAUGAAUAUUCGUCCGGUACAGUUGAGGACGGCAUUGUGAGAAGGAAUAAUUCUCUGCUAAUUAUAAUCUUUUUUUAUUUUUUUUUAAUGUUUUGGAUAGGUAUUUUUUUUCAGAUUUUGGUCAUGAGAUGUAUAAAAAUAAAAUUUACACAUUGAAGCAUCAUAUCUUAUUGUGGAAUUAUUUAUCAAUGUACUAAAUUUUAUUGAUCCUAAAAAAUUUAGGGUCUACUAGAUAAAAUCUUGUUUCAUUACUUCUUUUAGCUAAUUGCUAUGUAGCUGUUCAAAAACAACUAUUCAACGGAAUAUAUUCUACGUUAUGGAUGAUUUCUAUUCUUUGUUUGAUGAAAGACGGAAAAAGACAUCGAUCAUAGAAGGUGACAAUUCAAAAGUUUGAGACAAGCAAUUCGAGACGACUCUUCUUUCUGAACAACGUCUGAGUUAUGGGGAUAUUUAUUGAUAUUUUAAUAUUUAAAACCUUUAAGAAACGUAUUACGAAUUCCGGAAAAUAAACCCAUGGACAAAAAUGAAGAGAGAGAGAGAGAGAGACUAGCGUGCAUUGUGGACUAUCAAUUUCUUUAAUCUAGAAGACAAUUUUUAGGGCGGUCCAUUUGUCGCAUUUUACUCUUUGGUGAAAUCAGAAAUGAAAUGGAAUAUAAACAACAAUUCAUGCAUGAUAUAAAGUUCGACAUUUUUCUAUGUGGCAGUAAGAUAUACCUUGAUUUUAAACAUAUCCAUCCCAUUGCUAGCCAAAUUUUCUCCAUUGACAGGAUAUCAUGUAGGAAAAUUUGUUACCUUUUUAAUCACAAGAUCUUUCGUGUUGAAUAAUCAAGAAUAUAUAAACUACUAUAAAACCUGAAUUAGAAAUGAUUAAUACAAUAGUUGAAUCUUGCGGUUUAUUCUUCCAAAUCAACACACAGACCUUAAUUCUUUAUAAUGAUGGGAGGCAGAACAGAAUGAGCAAUUCACAUGUGAUUUGAAAACCAUAACUGUAUUUAUAUAUAUUGUCGCCAUUUGACCUAAUUCGACCUAUCAUAGAAUUAGGAACCUGACUCAGUUUUUACCCAUAAAAUAUCCACCCUUUAAUUGGAUGUAUUAAAAUUCAAAAUACUGGAAACUUAUUAGAUCACUUUAACUAGGCUUAACCAAAUUUUAUAGCCUUUAAUUUGAUGCACAAUAAUUUACAUAUAUAAACCCACACGGUCAUUUAAAAUUCCUUACAUAUCAAACUUGUUUUCAACCAAAAAUAUACAUCUAAUUUUAUUUUAUAAAUACGAAAAGAACUAGAGAAUUGAAAUGAAACAUAAGCUAUUGUUUGACAAACAUUAUUUAAAAACUUCUUUUUUUUUUUGUACAUAUUCAUUUUUAAUUACACAUUUACAUUAUAAAAUAUUAUGCAUGUAAACUCAAUAUUUUUUCAUACUUUCUAACUGCACAUUCUCCUAAAAAUUAUUUUUUUCCAAAUGAUGAUUGUCAAAUAGAAGACUAAUUAAAUUGUUCCUUGUACAUGACCAAAAUGGAAUUAUAACUUGCUUUUUGUAUAAAUAAACCAUCAACUUUAUUUUUGAAUUGGAAAUGUUAAAUACCUAUGUUGAUGUAAUUUCCACUUCUUUACUCUUCUUUUUUUCUUUCUUUCUUUUCCCCUUUUUCAAAAAAAUAAUUUGGUUGCCCAAUUCUUUGUGCAGAACUGUUUCUCCUACUUAUAAAUUUGAUACACUUAUUUAUUAAAUAAUCGUGACAUUUAAUUUAAGUAAAUUCAACGCUCAAUAUUUUAUGGAUCUCAAACAGUUAUAACAAACUCUCCCAUGAUUUUAGUGAAAUACAUAUUAAGUGUUGGAUUGAUUUAUAUUAAAGGUCAUGAUUAUUUGUUAAAUAAGUGUGUCAAAUUUAUGACUAUUAGGAAUUUGGAAUGUUCUCGUUCUUUGUGCUCUCUUUGUCCGUGUAAUUUGCAACCCAUGUAUCAUAAAUAAUUCUCAUAUACGAAUCAUAAUUGAUUGCCUAUUUGCGUUAUAUGUCCCCUAAUUACUAGCAUUCGUUUUCUUUCUUAAUUUAUAUAAAGAUUCAUUUCCCUAAUAAAUCAAUAAAAAAAAUGAAAUCUUUUACAUUAUUGCAUCAUUUCAUCGCUAAACAGUAGUUCCUUUUCCUUUUCCUAAUAGGACUUUUCUAUUUCACAUAUUUGGGUCGAAUCCAACAAUUUCCAGUUGAUCCAAAACCUCCCAAUCACAGCAUACAUUGACAUUGAUUAUACCACCAAUUUACCACUGUUCUUCAAAUAAUUGUAGUAGACGAGAAAAUUCAUCAAACUGUUAUAAAUUAGAGAAAAAAGAGAAAAAAAAGUAGAAGUUAAUUGACUUGUGUAUUUUAUUAAGAACCAAAAUCACAUAUAUCUAGAGAGAAUAAUUAGGAACACAAUGGUAAUAAAAACUAGGGCUACAAGGGUCUAAUUUUCAUCCACUAAUAAUCAUAUUAUUUAUAACACCCCCUUUCAUUGUUACAUUACAAAAUAUUUGCAUCGUCAAAACAUUGUCAAAAAAAUCUAGUGGGACAAAAUUUGAUCGAAGGAAAAAGAGUACAAUUACUCCCAUUGAUUUCAAUUCUUGUAUCAAUUCAUUAUUGUCUUAUAAAUCAGUAUUUUUAAAAUUGCAAAUUUUGGUUAAAUAUAUCUCAUGUUGUCUUGUAGGUAUUCAAACAAUAUCGUCUACGUACAAGAUAUUUAUAAAAAUUUUGUGACCAUAGUAACAUGAUGAUUGAAAAAUAGAUUUUGUUGAUCUUUUUGCGAGUUUCAUACAUAUAAAAGCAUUAUUUUGAGGGUAAAUGUCUUUAUACGUAAUUGGAUAUUCAUUAAAUAAAAAAUAUGCCUCAUUAAAACCUUAUUCGAAAAAAUCUGUAGAAAAAUCCUAAUUAAGGAAAAGAGUACAUUAUUCUUUUGAAUAGGGAUAAAAGUUGUCUCAUUAAAAAUCUUAUGAGGAAAAUCCAAUGGGACAAAACUUUAUUAAAGGGAAAAAGAGUAUAGCGUGUAUUUACUCCUCCCUCAUAAUAAUAUCUCUUAAAUUAUGUAUCAGGCACAUUAAAUCUGUCAGUGAUAAUAUUAAUAGUCAUGCCAUAUGAAUUGAUUGUAACCGUAUUUCAAGUUUCACGCAUUGUUAUGAUAACAAGAUACAAACAAUGAUUUCAUCCACCACGAAAUUCAGUAUGUUAAGAGUCGUUCAUUCAUAUUGCGACAUUAUUUUUCUAAUUUCUUUUUCACACAAGUGUACACAUUUUGAUUUUUGGGCUGCAAGUCCAGAAACUCCAAAUUUCCUAAUAAAUUCGAAUUUAAUAAGAUUGUGUCCUUUUAUUUGGCCAAUUAUAUUUUCGAUCGAUAUGCGUCAACGAAUUUAUUUCGAUAUCCUCGAAUUCAUAAAUAAGUUGAAAUAUCUCUCGAUUGAGUUUUAACUAUUGGUAAGGCGUAGAGAUAUCAACGAGCCGAGCCAGCUUGUGAAUCGAAACUCCUGACUCGGACUCGGCUUGGCUUUUUUAAGACGGACUUUUUUCGGCCCUAGCCGAGCAAAAGCUUGGUCAAAAAAUUAAGGCUCGACAUGCGCUUUCAGCUCAGGCCUUAUCGAGCGAGCUUGAUUUUUCUUUUUUCUUUUUUUUCCUCUCUCCCUCUUAGCUGCCUAUUUGGCAGCUAUUUGCUACCUCAAUUGACAAUAAAUUGAGUUUCUUUCUCUUUUUUUAAUAACGGACCGAAUCGACUAGAGCCGACUCUCUGAAAUAGGGCUCGGUUUGGGCCUUAGCUCGAUGCCUCCGAGCCAUGGGUGACCCAAGGCUCGAUGCCUUCGAGCUACGGGAGACCCUAGCCGAUGAGCUUGAUUGUCAUUCUUAAUAAGACGGUCAUAUUUCUUUUAACUAAACUAGAACUUGAUUUAGUGGCUCUAUCCAAUAGGUGUGCAACAAUUUUUUCUCUUCGAUUCUUUUUUUCGUAGUGACAUAAAUUAUUGAAAUAUCUCAAUUUUCAACAUAUCAAGAACCUGAAGGUCUUCUGGAGUUUUAUGAUUUGUUAUGUCUAAAUAUUCGUCAAGAGAAUGGAGCCAUCUUUGUUAAUUUCUCCAUUUUUGUUUGAAAAUUUUUAUAUUAGAAUCAAAUAUCAUAACAUUUCAAGCAUGCCAUAAAUUCAAAUAUAAUAUUACCAAGACAUUAAUUCGAGUUAGAGCAUUCAAAGUUCGUAUAUGAGAUAUUGUUGAUCUCUUUGGUCAGUAAAUGCAUUUAAAUAUCUUUCGAACUUUUGAUUCCAAUUAUUUUUGUGAGAAUUUAAAUAAUGAUGCAUUUGUACAUUAUUUUAGUUUCUUAAUUCUUCUUCCUCAUACUGAGAAAAUUGUCUAUUCAAAUUGAUAAUUGCAAACCAUAUUAUAAAAUAUCAUCAGUCUGAAAUAAAAAGUUCGAACAACUCAUUUAUUCUCUAAAUUAUUUACUUUCCAUGUCAAUGCAUUGUGGUGGAUCAAUUUUACAUAUACUACAUUAUCAAAAUUAUUUGAUGAAAAAAUUAGGCUCGGACCAUAUGCCUAGUUAUAGUAGGGAUAACUAUGAUGAUAUGACACGUAAUAGCCUUUCCUAAAUAGAAAUGGAAAGUACUUCGUUUUCAAUUAAAUUAAUUGGAGGUGUAUAACAAUCAAUAAUGUUGAAUCAUUUAUCAACAUUUCAUCUAGUACAUAUUAAAAUGUUGAGAUUUACAAUUACUAGAUUAAGAGGUUACACCGUCUUAACUGUAUAAUCUGAAAAUUCUACUCAUAAUUUAAAAUUUGAGAAGUAAUUUCGCAAACUAUAAGUUAUAAACAUCAUGCAACCAUCGAGCAUACAUGUUAAAUCUAUUAGAUACAAAUAAUAUUUAGAUGGUCUACGUCGAGGAUAAUGAAGCCCCAUUUAUCACCCUGAUUAAUUUUCAGAAAUAUAAUGAAUUCGAUCCCUAUUUUUAACUAGCGAUGAUCAAUUUUCGAUAAAAAAAACAAAUAACGUAUAGGAAUUUAUUGGAUUGAAGAUUCAGGUUCUUUGUUGAAUGUCCAUUUAAAUUUUUUAUUUCAUAUCAUUAUUGAUCCAAUAUGAUCCAACUGGUCAUGCCGAACAAUAAUACAUUCAUUAAUUAAAAUUUUGAGUUAAUAUAUUAUUCGUUCUAAUUAUACUACACAUUUUAGAAACUUAUCACAUUUCACUUUAAUUUAGAGGGGAAUAAAUUAUUAUCAAUAGUAAAAUUUAUUCUCUCACAUAACGCAAUACUAACCCUUCUAUAGUAUCAAAACAUAUUCUUCUAAAAUAUUGCUAUAUACUUGGUUAUGAUUACUCGCAAGUAAUAAAACAAUAUUUUUCAGGAAUAUUGAUAUAUUAAAUUAAUCAUAAUAUUUUUCUAAAAAUAUUAAUAUGCAUAUAUUUGUGCUUCUUCACAAACACAAUAUGGUAUUCUUCAAAAGAAUAUUAAUAUAUAUUAUUUUUGCUUCUUCUGAAGCAAUAUAUCAAUAUUUUUCUGAAAUAUUGAAAUUUUAAUGACAUGGUCUUCAGGAGCAAAUAAUUCUAUCUAGAACAUUCACAUAAGGUAUGUGUUAUGAUUUUCCUAGAAUAUCAACACCAUAUUUCUUUAGUAUAAAUGUAAUUUCUAGUUGUGCUUCUUCAAGAGCACAAGAUAAAUCAAAAUAUUUAAUUAAUCUAAUAAUUCACAAGUAUAAUAUAUAGCAGUAUAGAAAGACUUUUAAAUAAUUUUCAUCCUUGAAUUUGAAAACUUUAGAAAGCGUUAAAUAGUUGAAAAUUUUAUAUUCUUCAAAGAUAUAAAUUUGAAUUUUUUUAUAAAACUUAAAAUUUGCUACUGUCCCACAAAUAAGCCGUUAGAUUUUGAUAAGAAUAGAUUGAUUUAAAAUACAAUGAGCUAUAAACAUCUUGUCCAAAUUUCAUUACGAUCAAACCACGAAUGUUGAGUUAUCAACGUUUUUAUCACAGUUGCUCAGACUGUCCAAAUUCUACAAAUUUUUGCACUGUUGAUUCCAAUAUAAUAAUACAAUCAUUCAAUAUUAUAUAGAAUCACUAUAGGGUCAAUGAACUUUGAGUUUGUGACAUUAUUUGACUCAAUCAUUUUCACUAAUGUACGUAUAGUAGAUGCGAGAAUAGAAUGUCAAAAGUUUUUCUUUUGUUUACUUCGGGUCAAAUAUAAAAAAAGUUAUGUAUAGAUAUUCUAUAUUUUUUCUUGCACAUUCUCCAUGUGAUAUUCAUUGCAUUGACUAUCUUUAAAACUAAUCAAUUUUUUAUUUUAAUUUUUUUUUAAAUUUGCUUGCAUAAAGUGUAUUAUUAAUAUAUAAUUUUGUAUUAUUAGAUAAAAUAAAACAGGUUCUUCGGACCCUUCAAUGAUAUUUGAUGCAUCUAAUAUUGUAUCAAUAUUAUUUUUUGUUAAUGUUAAUUAUAAGUACUUUUUAUUUUAAAGAAUUUUUUGCAUAGUUACACUAUCUUCUAAACAGAUAUCUUAAUAAUCCAUCUUAAUCUUUUUAACAUUCCAAGAUUUAUACUUUUUCAAAAAGAAAUAAUAGAAUAUUCUCUGAGAAUAUUCAAAAACUAAAUAUUAUGCUUUUUCGGAGCAAUAAACUAAUAUCUUCUUGAAUAUUAAUAAAAUAAAAUAAAAUAAAAUACUUUUUUUUUAAUUACAACACAAUAUUGAGUAAUUUAAUUUAUGUUUCCUAGGGAGCACAAUGAAAUAUAUAUUCUUCUAGAACCGUGCCACUUCGAUAACACAUUAUAUUUUAUUACUAUUUCUUCAAAAGUAAUAUAUCAAUAUUCUUGUGGAAUAUUGAAAACUAUAAUUUAAUGCUCUUCAGGAGCAAUAACAUAUUAUUGUUUAGAACAAUAAAUUAUGUAAGAAUUUACUCUUUAAGAUUACAAAAAUAAUUUAUGUUAGAUCUAUUUUAUUAUUCUCUUUGAGAGCAAGUAAAAUUUAAUUAGAAUACUAACGAUUGUGAACCAAUGCUACAAGUCUUUGUAUAAGCUUUUGAGAUCAAGGUUGACAAAGCUGAAGAGCAGUAGCAUUCCACUGACCUGCAUCACCAAAUAAUGCCUUUACAGGCAUGGAAACGUGUCUACUUUAGGAGCAACAAUAUGAUACGGUUUAAAUUUAUUGAAAAAAUAAAAAAAAUUAAUCAAUUUAUAGUAGAAUAAUUUUUUUUUGAACAAAAGUAUAAAAUUCACAAAUUAAAUAUAUUAGACAAUUGCAUAAAAAUAUGCUAUUAUAUUAAUCUAAUCAUGCAAAUUAUAUUAAUGUAAUCAUGCUACUAAAUUGGGAGAACAUUCAAACGGCACGGAGAUGGAUGUGUGCCUUCAUUAAUUACAUAUUAUAAUAAUCAAAUUGUUUGUUAUAAUAAGAGUUUUGCUAUAUGGACAGGGCCACAUAGGCGCAGACAACUGACCAAUAAGAGGAUGCCACAUCGCCGCCAUUUGGAUAAGGCCUACGUGGCCUUGUCCAAGAAGAAUUAUUCAUUAUAAUAAUUCUCUCAUUUUUCUCCUCUAGACAAUUUCUAGUCAGAUUUUUGUUCAAGAUUUGUCAGUGCAAAUUCAAUGAUUGCCAUUGCAAAUUGAUUACAAGGCACCCUCUUUCGCUAGCACUGAAUGGAAUCAAUUGGAAAUAUAUUCCUCUGAAGUCUAUAGAGGAAUUCAAGAAUCACUCGAGCUAAAAUUAGAGACCAAAAGCAAGUUGAGCUUUAAAUUAAAAAAAUUUGUGCUGAUAACAUGUUAUAAAAAUAGAGAAAAGAAUAGGACAAUGAAGAAGUCAAUAGAAUUGUAUAUUAUUAUUAAAAACCAAAGUCUUAUAUUUAUAUUGAAGAAUUAGGGAUAAAAUCAUAAUAAAAAUUAGGAUUGUAUGGAUUUAAUUUUCAUUUACUCAUAAUCAUAUUAUUUACAAUACAAACUUGUUUUCGUAAUUUGCUUCUUCAAUCUAUAAUCUUCAAUUUUCAUUUUUAGUGUCACAUAACUCAUAUUGGCGACUUCGCAAUCUUUUGCAAUAGCAGAAGGCUUUCCUUGAAGCGACUCUAAUGUGACAACUCCAAACUUUCUAUGAGUAGCGUAUACAAAUUACCAACCUUUUUACCUCAUUAAUGCGAUAUAAUUAAUCUUCACAUCAAUUCUCCCAAUGCAUGCUGAAUAUUUAUAUGUCAACGUGUCCAGUGCUCCCAACAGUGUCAAACUUUUUCUCAAUCUUGAGACCUAUUAAUAACCGCUCUGCUACAUCAAAAAUCUUCACACUUAAAAUACUUGAACCUUUAACUUCAAGUUUAUGAUUAUUAGUCAUGACGACAUCAUGAGCAUCUAAUAGCUUAUAAUCCUCAAAGCAGUCCUUGUGUGGGCAUAUAUGAUUACACAUCCAAAAUCCAAGAGUUACUUGAAGAGUCGUAAUUUGUGACACAAUAAUCACUAUCAAUAUCAUCAUCAACCAUGAUCGUAGAAUCAGAGGCCUCUUUAGACUCUAGACUCUUCUUUACUUUAAGAUGAUAUGUCAACUUCUCACAUUUUGCCUUAAUGUGUCCUUUCUUGUGGCGGUAUUAACACUUGGCAUUUCUCCUAUAAUGACAUUGAGAAUGAUCCCUCCGGACAUUAUUUCUUCCUCGCGAUUUACCACACCUCAUUUCAGACUUUGUCUAGAGUACUUGAUUUAAAACCUUCUUCACUAUCGAAGUAGAUUUACCAACUAGUAACGUGGUGACCAAUGUCUCAUCUGACUUAGGUAAGGAAGACAGCAAAAUUAUUAUCUUAUCUUUUUCCUCAAUUUUUGACAUCAAUAUUAAACAACUCAGUUCACACUUAUUCAAAUGAUUCCUAAGAUCAGUGUCCUCAUCUAUCUUCAAAUCAUAUAAUUAUUUUCUCAGAUAUAAACAUAAAUUAAAACAUAUCAGGAUCUUUUAGCAUUUUGAAUAACUUAAAAUGCAAAUUUCUUAUUCAAAACACUAUAAUUUACCUAAGCAAUCAUGCUACGUGGUCAAAGUUAAUGACUAAAAAGUAUUUCCAAAUUACACUUGACAAUUUUUCAUUGAAUAAAGGGUAAAAAAACAUCAUAAAAAUACUCAAUUAUUAGCUGCCACAUCAGUCUAUUUUUUUAUUCCCUAUUUGUUCAGCAUUAUUCUUACCUAAGUACAAGCCAAUCUAAUGGUGUUGACUGUCUCCAGUUUCAAUUCUUCCAACUCCGCUUCUUCAUGCCUUGUGACAUCUUACCUUACAAAUCUUUGUAAAGUCCCUAUUGCAAGAGAAUAACUUCAACUGUACUUCACAAAAUAUUUAAAUUAUUUUUCUCGCCAAAUCGUUUACCCUCAAACUUUGCACAUGCCAUCAUCUUCGAGGCAGUAUCCCGAGUUUGAAUUUUGAGCUCCGAAACCAGUAGACUUCGCAGGAUGAAAUUGGCAGAAAAUGAACAAGAACCAAUGAGAGGUUGAUUAGGGACGAGAAAAACGAAUUGCAGAGAACGAGUCACAUGAACCACCAAAAUCAAACCAAUAAAAUGAAAUAGAGAUAUCAAAUUAAACACAAAUAAAUAUGUAAUCGUUAAAUUCAAUUUUACCACGUCAAUCUGCAGAAAUUUUCGGUGCUCGCAGGCGACAGAGAUAGGUGGAAGAAAGGGAUUCUAUGGGGGCUCAAGAGAGAGACUGUAGAAGUGAUUGCUUUUCUCUCUGUGCUAUUUUAUUAGAGAGAUAUUUAUGAAAAGGAGUUAACCAGUUAGUGAAUAGUGAAUAGUGAAUAGUGAAUAGUGAAUAGUGAAUAUCCGGUUAGUGUAUGAAAUGGGACACCAUAGAAAUGAACAGUGAAGGCUGGUUCCCUCUUUUAUAUAAGUGCAAUGAUUUUAGCAAGUUUUAAAACUUCAAGUCAUAAUAUUUUGGGUUCUAUGGAUAUAUUCACAUUAUACUUUUAGAAAUUGUGUUUCAUUAGGCCAAAAUUAUGUACUGAAUAGUACAUAAGAGAAAUAAAGAAAAAAAAUUACUAGAUUUUUGUGUCACACAGAAAUUUCUCAAUGUCACCCUCUAGGGUAUGCAUUUUGAGAGAGAUGUAAAAUUCAAUCGAACAAAUAUUAAUUUCAAAAAACUGUGAGGCCAUAUGGCUAACACUUGUAGAGAUUGUUAGUUUAAUGUCCCUUUUUUCAGUAGUAUUUUGAAAAACGACAUUCUGAAUUGACAUGCUACAAUUUGAAAUGAUUAUCUAAGGUUCCAUGAACAUAUAGAACGUCACAAAUUAUAUACUCAAUAGUUUAGGUAUAGUAAGAUGCAAUUCAAGAUGUGAUCAAAAUAUGUCGUUUACAAUCUCAGUACAUGAAGUUGGACACUUUAUGUUUAUAAAAUUACAUUGUUCUUAUUAAGAUUUGUCUAUAUUUGGCAAUAAGAACAAUAAUGUGUUUUGUGAUGCACAUUAAACGGGAACCGCAUAGAUAACUCAUUUGUGAUCGUUCGAAAUGAGACUCUAUCAAACAAUUCAACUAAAUCCUGAGUGAGUAAUAUACUUUUGAUUGCUAGUUCAAAUUUUUUGAAGUAACAAUGAGUGAAAUCUUAAUUAGAAGAUUGAUCUUGGUGCUUUGGGAAUCAGGUCGAAACAAUUAGAGAUCAUAUACUUGUGAUAGUGAAAUCCAUUAAUCAUUAAGAUGAGACGAUCAUCACUCUAAGGUAUUUUAGAUAGACAAUUGAACCUGUGCUCAGUAGCUUGAUGAUGAGAUCGUUGGACUCUAUAUUGUUAUUUGAUCACAACUAAUUCAUCUUAUGAAAAUGGAACUUAGAGGGUAAUAAUGUUCAAGGACAAAACGGUUAUUUUAUCAUUUUCAACUUAUUAAUGGUCCAAUGGGGGUUGACUUGUGGAACAAUAAUCGGAGCAUAUUUUCAUCGAAUCAUAAUUUACUUCUAUAACUAUCACUCGACUCGACAAUGGAAUCUCGAUUUUUGGUACAAUGAGCCGAGAUUAAUAGAUGUAUCUCAAUUGGUUAAGAGUUGACCCAAUUAGAAACUUCUAUUGUAGCUUAAGUCUUGUUGGUCUGAUUAGGUCCCUUUCUUGACUACAAUAAAUGUGUGACUUAAUUGGUCUACUACAAUUAAGUCCAAGAAAAUUUGUGCAAUUAUAAAAUCCUAAUUGAGUAUUAUAAAUAUGUCCUUUAUGGACACAUUUUCACUUAGUUUUUAGGGUAAGCCAUAUUUUUAUUUCCCAAAGAGGGAGGCACCUAAAGAACACAAGGGAUAAGAUAUAAGGGAAAAAGCACUUGGCUAGGCCACUAAAAUCUCCUUCAAGGUUAUCAUUUUCCUUUUAUGUGGAAGAAUUUAAGACAUCCAAUGAUCUCAAGGUGAUCGUAGAUCUUUUAUUUAUUUACAUUUAAUCUUCAAAGGGAAAUUAAUUUCCUAUUUUGAUGAUUAAAUUCAAUAACCAACAAAUGGAAUCAAAGCCAAGGUUACUAAGAGCCUUGAGUAGGAUUAAGUGCUUCGAAUCCUAGUAUAAAAUGCAUUUUUAGUAUGGGCGGUGUUAGGUUAUUUAAUUUGACAUGUUUACUACUUUAUAUGCUUAAAGUAGAUGUUUAUACAUAAUCACUUUUGGCCCUGGGAUUUUUUUUUACUUCCCAUUCUAAUUCAUUCCAUUUGUCUUUCUUUUCUCUAGAAAAAUUGUAAGCCAUGCGUCAUUAGGGUUUUGUACAUAUUUUUCAUACUUCUACACUUGUGUAUUAAAAGAAGAUGAAGUUUUUUGGGCUUCAUGCAUUUUUCGUUUCUGAUUCUUGUUAGAGAAAUGGAAGGAGAUAGAAAUAGGACAAACAAAAUGCAAAAACCAUUGUAGAAUUACAAGUGGCGGCAAUAACAACUAUCGCGACCGGAGUGGCUACAGUCGCUGCGUCCAAAUGCAACAGUUGCUCCAAGUUGUGAUAGCUGCUUCUGUUGCCUGUCAUGACAACCAUAGCUACUGCAAAUGUAGCAGCGGCGCUUGCUAUUACUGUUUGCAGUCGCCAUUGCCACUCGACGGCUGCAGCUAUGGUGGCCUCUUUUGGUGUUGCUACUGUCGAUGUCAUUGUAGGAGAUGGAUGGUGGAUGUGAUACAUGGCGAAUUUUCCAGGAUUUGUGAAAUUAGGUUAUUUUUGAGUUUUUGUGCUUUUCUUUAUGACUUGGGCAAAUAUUUUUGGCUAAGGGCUUUUGAUUUAAGGAUUGCGAAAAAAUUAAAUGGACUCAAUUUUUGAAUAUUGAAUGGGUUAGAUUACAAGGAAAUUGAAGAAUUGGGGCGAAAAUUGCUUUAUGGAUGAUGAAUGAAUGUAUGAUUAUCACAUGUCAUGUAGAUUAAAUUGAACACCACCCAAUGCACUAAACAUAUGCAUUGGUAUUGGAUUUUUUUUAUCACUCUAAAUUAAUUAGAUGUGGUUAAAAAAUUAUAUUUAACAAUUUAGUGCCAUUAUAAUUGUUUAUAUUUGGCACAUUAAUUAUAAAAUCAAAAUCCAAUGGUUCAAAAUAAUAAGUGGGGGAAGGUUUAUAGCGUGUAUAAACUUGCGGCCUCCUCCUUCAUCCAAUUUAUUAUUAAAAUACGUAUGUCUGGUGUCAAAUUACAUCGGUCUCCCUAAAGGAAGACUACGUUAUUCUAAAUUAACUGAAAUUGAAUCUUAUAAUAGAAAGUUUUAAAAAUUGGAUAAUCGGCUGAUUAUCCUAUAGAUAACAUCUCAUAUAUUUUGGAUAAUUUAAAAAUUAUUUGCAGAGGUUAUUACACUUAUAUAUGACUUUAUUUUUGGAGGACUUCCAGUAGAAGGUUCCAACAAAAUAUUUAUAAGUCAAAUGAUAAUAAAUCCUCAUUUUUAUUGUGGCACGAGAUGCCUAACUCCAUCAAAUGAGUGGGAGUGUUCCAACUUUGUGAUGAGGACAAAUCAAAAAUCUAAUUAGUGAAUAAAUCAACGCUACAAUCUUCCCGUAUAAAGUGGCAACUCUAAUUUAUUGGUUGUGAACAAAAUAUUUGUAAUCAAAAUAUAAGUUAUGUCACACUACACUUCUCAGUACAAGUACCCAACUUAUAUUGUCACAGGUAAUUAUAAUUACUUUAAUUCAUAUGCUCACAUACUCAAUAAUAAAUAAAUACAUUAAAUGGAUAAAAUCACAAUUUGUUUAUUAUAAAUUAUUAUUUAUUAUAACAAAAUAUACUAUAUGGACACACAACCCCACAGUCUCCACUUCCUACGUACUUUGUUUAUAUUUUUUAUUAUUUUAACCCCAAACCUUAGAUCUCUCUCUUUUAUUUGCACACGCAAACACAUAUUGAAAGCACAGGUCAGCAGCUACAGAAACUACCUAAGAGCCACUAACUUAGGUUGUACACGCCGCAAGAAGAUAAGUAGAAGAAGCCGAAACAAAGAGAACCAAUGCUAAAAGGAACUCAUAAAUAAGGAAUGGGUGGAGAAGACACGACUUCCAAAUAAAAGAGACGAGAUUGGGAGUAUCCCUAUGCUGCAGGCCAGUGGCGGCAUCACGAAAUUGAUACCCAUCAAUGUCGACAGCUCGGGGUUGCUCCAUCGAGGUGCUAAGAGAUUUGGGGAUUUAGAAAUUCCAAAAUGUCUAUCCAGUGUUUAUUGGGUUGAUUACAAGAGGAAUGGAUCUGGUUAUUAUCAAAAAAUGAUUUUUAAUAUGAGAUCAUAAGAAAUUAAAAAAGCGAUUCAAUAAGAGAGGGCAAACGACUAAUGAAUUCAAUGUAGUGAAGUAGUUCUUUUAUUCAAUGUCUCAAGAUGGGUUUCAAUGCCCAAUAACGUUAAAUUAAUUUUUCUUCCAAUUAACUAAGGUUAUUGAGGCUGAGUUUGAGGCGGGGACUUUAUUUCUCAUCCCCUACUCGUGAUAAGGACUUUUUUUCCAACUGUGCUAUGUGUACAAUCGGGAUUGACAAACCCAUUUGACAAUUGGACACUUAGGAGGGGGGCUCACACUGAAUAGAAAAAUCGUGAGCCCCCCUCCUAUGAGUGCAUUGUCAACAUGGAUUGUACAAGAAGAAUAAUUUCUUUUUUCCUAACCCCCACCCCAAUUCAUUGAUUAAUCUAGAAUCCCCCGCUAGUUUGGGCAGGCCAUAUGGGGGACUAGAACAAUUGAGGAUAAUUGCUCCCCCGAAUAUCAUUUUUGAAUGUGUAAUGGUUCGUGCGACUCACAAAGACACUAUACAAAUGUUAUAUAUAUACGUAAUAUAUAUUAUAUUGCACACCCAUGAUAUAUAUUUUGUACGCUCACACGAUCUGUGAUUUGAAAUCGAUCUAGCAAAUUUAUUCAUAAUUUGAUUAAUCUCUCGAAAUAAGUUGGUCGUAUUUUACGUUUAUUGUGGUUAAUGUUUAUGCAUAUAAUAUUUCUACGGAUGUGUUUUAUUUUUUGGUCCAUAUUACGUAUGAUUUAUUUAGAAUUGACAGGAGUUUAAUAGCGUUACGUACGAGAAUUUAACAUCAUCUAAGUUCGGUUUAAUUUUCAAGUCUCUCUCUAUAAUUAUGAUUUUUUUUUGGGUAUAAAAAUACAUAUAUAAAUUCAUUAUUCAAGCACAUUUAUUGAUAUUUAUUCUCAUCCCUUUAUAUCUUUUCUUCUAGAUGAUUGAUGAUUCGAGGCGGUUGGCACGAAUAUGGCUUAUGGUGGCAAAAGUUCCGAUAAUAGAUUAUUUUGUUAUCUUUAAAAUAUUUCUUUUUUCAAGUUAAAUUAUCAAAAUCACUGGAUCAUUUGAAUUAUUAUAUAUGUUUAAUAAUUUAUAUAAUAGUGUUGAAUAUUCCUUAAAUUAUUUUAAUUUAGGAGUUAGUGGCACUCGAGUCGUUAAGGAUUCAGGUUGUCAUAGUUGUCCAAUUAGUAUCAGGAUUAAUUUAAGUCUCUCUUAUGGUAAAGAUCAUGAGUUCGAAUUCUUGGGACGCAAUAGAAAUCUAUUAGAGAUAGGAUGAAUUUAGGUUCUUCCAGAACGAACAAUACAUAAAUUAACGACUUUGGCAUAAAGAUCAGAUCGUCACAUAAUAUUGGGAUCCGAAACCACAUUAAUUGAAAGAUUAUCGAGAACAACCCUAAAUUUUCUCAUAUUGAACAAAAAUCCAUGUGUCCAUGUAUAAACAAAACAAUUGCAAAAGAACAAUUAAGAAAAUAUAAAGAAUAUUGCAAAAUCAUCUAAGGGUCACUACCUCCAAGUACCUUGGCCACCAGUGACUGGGUUUGGAGUAUAUUUUCCUUUUAUGCUUUCUGAUAAGUGUGUUUUUGCACACUUAUUGGGCACUUAAUUUGAUAUAAUUAUUGACGAAAAGAAUAGAAUUCUACUCAUAGUUAAGUAAUAUUCACUUUUGUAGGUAAAAAUCACCUAAAGAAAAGAGAACAAGGCAAAAGGAAGAAAAAUGAGGAAAAAGGACUAAAAUUGUACAAAAUUGUGAAGUUGGAGGCCAAGGAAAACAAGUCAAAAAGUGGAGGAUUUGAGAUGCAAUUUAUGGAGGGCAAAAUCGAAUUGGAAGUCAAAAUUCGAGGACCAAAUUGUACAAAAUUAAAGUUGAGGGACUAGCAUGCAAAUAUUUGAAACUUGGCUUCAAAAAGAAAACCAUUUUCAUGGUUUUGGACAGAGAACCAGGCACCGAGGCGCCCAUUUUAAAAGAAAAAAUGAGUUGGGGACCUUUUUGUUCACUUUUGAAACUUCAGGGACCAAGGCUGCAAUUUUCCUAGGUUUUAAUAUAAAACCAGCAGCUGAGUUUUCAUUUGCAGUUCUUCAGUUCGAUCUUCUGCUGGGUUCUGUUUUCUGCUGGGUUCUUUCUUUUUUUUCAUUUUGCUUUCAUUUUCUUUUCUUUUUCUUGGUUAUUUUGGAGAUAUAACAUAGAGUAACAGGGAGAUAACAUCAAGGAUUUGGCAAAGCAUUUGGGGAAAAUCAUAGUCAAUCUACAAAAAAGGGUUUUAUCUAUAUCUUUGUAUUUUCUUCAUCAUUUAGCCUUAUUUGUAAUACAUUUGAUGAAUAUUCUCCUUGAUUAUCAUUUAUUUAACAUGGGCUAAGUAUUUUGUUGGGAUUUAUGGUAGUAGCUUGACAUAGGUUUAAUUGAUUUUCAAUAUUUGCUAUUUGAUAUUAAAUUGCCCAUUUCCAUGUGUUUCUAUUAUUAUAUUUAUUGCAUUUUCAUUUAUGUGGCCAAUGAAUGAAUAUGUUUCGUGAAGUGUACAUAGUUCGAGAGAAGAUUGUGUAUUUUAGACCAAAUGGUAGAAACUCUAGGUUUGUAUAGAGGAUAGAUAUAUAUCUUUAGCCCUAUGUGACCCAAUGAGCUAUUUUCAUAACAAUUUAAUGCUGUUAUUUAGUUGUAAUCGACAUAGAGAUAUAAUAGGUUAAACCAAUCAAUUAUGGUUAAUUUCACUCGAGAGAGGUAAUUAGCUAAAAUUGAAGAAUCGGAUCUAACAUCGUAAAUGAGUAAUUCGUUAAUUGGCAUAUGGAGAAAUUAAUUAGGCGACGGCUAAGCGAAACCAUGAAUCUCAAUCACGUUUUCCUCCAAAAUUCCCAAGAUUUCCAUAUUUUCCUAUUUUGUAUUUUUUUUUCUUUAGUUUCUAAAAUCAACUCUUUGUUGUGUAUUUGUUUAUUUUCAUUGUUAGAAUUAAAUUGAUUAAAGUUGUGUAAUUUAAAUUAAACAUUCCUCGAGGGAUCGACAACUCGGACUUCAAAUGUCCACUUUAUUACUUGAACGCGACCCGUGCACUUGCAGUAUGAUUUUAGCGAACAAGUUUUUGGCGCCGUUGCUGGUGAAUGUUUUAUUUCAAUUAUCAUCUUUUGUUGAUUCUAAUUUUUACAAGUUUCGUUCUUUUUUUCUUUUGCAUAGCUUUUAUAUAUUUAUUGUGUAAUUAACUUUUAACCUUAGGUCUUUGGUGGUGCAUGCUUCGUUCGAGAAGUUUUGAUCUUUUCGAGCUUGAUCCGGAUAUUGAAAAACCUUUCCAAAGAAGGCGACGGGAACAAAGGGAAUUGAGAAGGCAACAAUUGAUUGAGAUGACACACCAAGGGAGUAAUUUGGAACAUAAUGCUCAACCGGAAAAUGUUCCUCGAGGCGGCAUUCCACCGGGUUUUGGUAACCAAGCGGGUAGAGUUCAAGAGCCUAUUGUAAAUGAGGAAGAUAUACUGUUUGGGAACUUCAUGAACCCACCCGUAGUAGAGAAUGAAUCAAGUAUUGUUUACCCUCCAUAUUGACAUCCAAACUUUCAACUUCGUCCGGAUGUUAUUAGUUUGUUCUCCAAUACCAUUCCAUUCUAUGGAAGGAUUGAUGAGAACCCUCACUCACAUGUUGCACGAUUCAUAGAGAAUGUUGAAAAUUUUAAAUAUGAAGGCGUAAAUGUGGAGACGAUCCGGAUGAGGUUAUUUGUUCACACAUUGAAGGAUAAGGCAAGGGAAUGGCUUGAGACUCUACCGCCCAGAAGUAUAAAUAGUUGGUUGGAAUUUAUUCAAAAAUUCACAGCCAAAUUCUUUCCACCCGCCUGAGUAGCCAAACUCAAGCAUGACAUAACCACUUUCCAACAAUCCGAAUUUGAGAGCUUUCACGAGGCUUGAGAAAGGUUCAAGGAUAUGCUUCGAAAAUGUCCAAAUCAUGGAAUCACAAUGGGGCAACAAGUGAAUCAUUUUUAUGCCGGGUUGACUCCUUCUUGCCGUUCAAAUGUGGAUUCAUCAUCUAAUGGCUCAAUCAAGAAGAAGAAUAUUCGGGAAGCAUAUGAUCUAUUUAAGGUCAUGAGUGAACAAAGUGCUAUGUGGCCGGAUAGAGGUUCACAAAGAGGGGUUGGUGGAGUUCGAGAUGGUGAAGCUUUCUCAAUGGUUCUAGCAAAGAUCGACUCACUAGCAAAGAAGGUAGAAGGACUUUCUUCAUCUACCUCGAGCUCUCAUUCCGCUCAUAUGGUACAAUCUCCACCUAUUUGUGAUAUUUGUGAACCAAAUCACCGAAGCCCGAGUUGUCCAUUGAUAGGUAGUGGUUCAGCAUCUACCGAGCAAGUGGUAUAUACUCAAAACUUUCAACGCCAAGGAUACAAUCCUUAUUCGCAAACUUAUAACCCCAGUUGGUGAAAUCAUCCGAACUUUUCUUAUGGAAAUAAUCAAAAUGUGCUCAACUCGAAGCCACAAGAGAAAAAAAAGGUUGGGAAGAGGCUAUUGCUAAGUUGGCAAACCAUCAAUUAUAAUAUUAAGAAAGCAAUGAUGCCUCUUUGAAAAACUUGGAAUGUCAAGUGGGUCAAAUUGCCAAGCUUAUCUUCGAAAGGCAAUAGCGGGCAUUGCCUAGCAACACCGAAACAAAUCCAAGGGAGAAUGUACAAGCUAUUACCACUAGAAGUGGGGUGCAAUUGCCCGAAAUCACGGUGACACGCCCUAAGGGUCAAACCGACAAGACACCCAUUGAAGAAGAAAGGAUUAUGCAAGAACCUAGUCCAAAGGACGAGACACUAAUUGAAGAAGAAUCGGAGCCAUCAACAUCAAAGGCUCCAAUACCGGUCAAAGCCUAUGUGCCUCAUAUUCCCUUCCCACAAAGGCUUCACAAACAGAAAUUGGAUGCUCAAUUUGGAAACUUUUUGGAGAUAUUCAAGAAGCUACACAUAAACAUUCCAUUUGCCGAUGCAUUAGCUCAAAUGCCGAAUUAUGCCAAAUUUAUGAAGGACAUUCUUUCAAACAAAAGGAAACUAGAAGAACAUGAGACAGUAAUGCUAACGGAAGAGUGUAGUGCUAUCCUUCAGAAGAAGCUACCACCGAAAAUCAAAGAUCCAGGGAGUUUUACUAUUCCAUGCACUAUUGGAGAUUUAAAUUUUAGUAAAGCUUUAUGUGAGCUUGGUGCCAGUAUUAGUUUGAUGCCUUUGUCUAUUUUCAAGAAGCUGGGAUUGGGAGAAGCUAAGGCCACCACUGUAUCAUUACAAUUGGCUGAUUGAUCAAUUAAAUAUCCUCGGGGUGUCAUUGAGGAUGUAUUGGUCAAGGUGGACAAAUUCAUAUUUCCAGCUGAUUUCAUAAUUCUUGACAUGGAAGAGGAUCAUGACAUCCCUAUCAUUUUAAGACGACCAUUUCUUGCCACCGGUCGAGCUUUGAUUGAUGUGCAAAAGGGGCAGCUCGUUCUAAGAGUCCAAGAUGAAAAAGUUACAUUCAAUAUCUUGAAGGCCAUCAAGUAUCCAUCGGAAUCUGAUUCAUGCCUUCGAGUGGAUGUUGUUGAUCAUGUGGUUGCCGAGUCUUUUUACAGGCUUUCUAAGGAUCCUCUAGAAGCAUGUCUUGUUUAUCCUUUGGCUAUCAAAGAGGAAGACCCUAAAGUUGAGCAUAUGGUACACUAUUUGGAGGCUACACCUUCUCGGUCUUAUAAGAGAGCACCAAAUUAUGAGGACUUGGAAAAGAGCUCUUCACCACCACUGCCAUUUCUUCAGCAGACACCUAUACUUGAUUUGAAGCCUCUUCCAUCUCAUUUGAGGUAUGCUUAUUUGGGAGAGUCAUCUAUGCUUCCGGUUAUCAUUGCUAAUUUCUUAAAUGAAUUGGAUGAAGAGAAGUAACUCGGGUGUUAAGGGAGUACAAGGGAGCCAUUGGUUGGACUAUUACAGACAUUAAGGGAAUUAGUCCUUCACUAUGCAUGCAAAAAAUCCUUAUGGAGGAUGAUUUCAAAUCAUCAGUGGAGCAUCAAAGGCAAUUGAACCCCAACAUGAAAGAAGUGGUAAAGUAGCUUGAUGCGGGCAUUAUUUAUCCGAUUUCAGAUAGUACAUGGGUGAGCCCCGUUCAAGAGGUGCCAAAGAAAGGAGGUGUCACGGUUGUGGAAAAUGAGGAUAAUGUACUUAUACCUACUAGACCCGUGAUCGGUUGGAGGGUAUACAUAGAUUACCGCAAGCUUAACAAGACUACAGGGAAUGAUCACUUUCCUCUUCCUUUUAUUGAUCAAAUGCUUGAGCGGUUAGCGGGGUAUUCUCAUUAUUGUUUUUUGGAUGGGUAUUCAGGCUAUAAUCAAAUUCCUAUAGCCCCAGAGGAUUAAGAGAAAACCACCUUCACAUGCUCAUAUGAUAUAUUUGCAUAUAGAAAGAUGCCCUUUGACCUUUGCAACGCACCCGCCACUUUCUAAAGGUGUAUGAUGGCUAUAUUCUCCGACAUGGUGGAGAAAUUUACUGAGGUUUUUAUGGAUGACUUCUCGGUAUGUGGGGCCUCAUUUGAUGGAUGUUUGAGCAAUUUAGAGAUAGUGUUGAAAAGAUGUGAGGAGACAAAUUUAGUACUUAAUUGAGAAAAAUAUCAUUUCAUGGUCCAGGAAGGCAUAGUUUUCGGCCAUCGGAUUUCACGUAAAGGGAUAGAGGUUUACAAGGCAAAAAUCCAAGUCAUUGAGAAAUUACCUCUACAUACCUUGGUGAAAGGGAUAAGGAGUUUUUUGGGGCAUGCCGAAUUUUAUAGGAGGUUUAUCAUGGACUUUUUGAAGAUCACAAAUCCACUUUGCUCCUUACUUGAGAAGAACACUCCAUUUGAUUUCUCUCAAGAGUGCCUCCAUGCUUUUAACACUCUUAAAGAGAAACUCAUCACGGCUCCUAUCAUUGUAGCUCCGGAUUGGAAUUUACCAUUUGAGCUUAUGUGCGAUGCAAGCGAUUAUGCCGUUGGAGCAGUUUUAGGGCAAAGGAGAAAUAAAAUCUUGCAUGUUAUUUACUAUGCUAGCCGGACUUUGACUGAUGCUCAACUGAACUAUGCCGUUACUGAAAAAGAGAUGCUCGCAGUGGUAUUUGCAUUUGAUAAAUUUCGAUCUUACCUCAUUGGAUCGAAAGUGAUUGUUUACAGGGACCACUCAGCCCUCAAGUAUUUGCUAGCAAAGAAAGAUGCCAAACCUCGGUUAAUUAGAUGGGUCCUUCUUCUACAAGAGUUUGACUUGGAAAUUCACGAUAAAAAAGGGACCGAAAAUGUUGUUGCCGAUCAUCUGUCUCGACUUGAGAAAACCAAAGAGGUAGUGGAUAGGGAGAUAAAUGAGGUAUUUCCCGAUGAACAACUCUUGCAAAUUAUGCAUCUUCUACAAGCCACCCAUAUACCAUGGUAUGCGGACCAUGUGAACUUUCUUGCUAGUGGCAUCAUUCCCUCGGAUCUCUCUUACCAACAAAGGAAGAAGUUCUUUGCCGAUAUCAAGCAUUAUUUUUGGAACGAUCCAUUGUUGUUCAAACAGAGCCCGGAUCAAAUUAUACGGAGAUGUGUGCGGAAGAUGAAAUGGAGCAAAUCCUUGAACAAUGUCAUUCCUCACCCUAUGUUGGUCACUUUGAGGCCCUGAAAAUCGCAUCAAAGGUACUUCAAUUCGAUUUUUAUUGGCCUACAUUAUUCAAAGAUGCUCAUAUUCUUGUCUCCAAGUGCGACAAAUGCCAACGCAGUGGUAAUAUUUCCAACCGAAAUGAAAUGCCUUUGAAUUUUAUAUUAGAGGUGGAAAUUUUUUAUGUAUGGGGUAUUGAUUUUAUGGGACCUUUUCCUCCUUCAUUCUCAAAUCAAUACAUAUUGGUAGCGGUUGAUUAUGUGUCAAAGUGGGUAGAAGCGGUGACUUUGCCCACUAAUAACGCUCGGGUAGUAGUAAACUUUUUAAAGAAAAAUAUUUUCUCUCGCUAUGGCACCCCCCGAGCUAUCAUUAUGGAGGUAAAAAUUUUUGUAAUCGCCUCUUCGACUCAGUAUUGACCAAAUAUGGAGUAAAGUAUCGUGUAGCCACUCCCUAUCAUCCCCAAACUAGUGGCCAAGUUGAAAUUUCGAAUCGGGAGUUGAAGAGGAUUCUUGAAUUGACGGUGAGUGCCUCUAGAAAAGAUUGGUCCAAGAAAUUGGAUGAUGCAUUAUGGGCUUAUUGUACCGCGUUCAAAAUGCCCAUUGGUAUGUCUCCCUAUCGUCUUUUGUUUGGAAAAGCUUGCCACCUCCCAGUAGAACUUGAGCAUCAAGCUUAUUGGACAGUGAAAGCUUUGAAUUUUGAUGUGAAAUUGGCCGAUGAGAAAAGAUUGCUCCAAUUGAAUGAACUGGAUGAAGUCCGCCUUGACUCUUAUGAGAAUGCUCAAAUUUACAAAGAAGAGACAAAGAAAUGGCAUGAUAAACACAUUGUGAAAUGCGAGUUCUUUGUUGGGCAACAAGUUCUUCUCUACAAUUCUCGACUCCGAUUGUUUCCCGGAAAGCUCCGCUCAAGAUGGUCUGGUCCUUUUACCAUUGCUAAGAUUUUUCGACAUGGAGCAAUUGAACUUCAUCAUGAGGAAAAGGGAAAUUUCAAGGUUAACGGGCAACGAUUGAAACCAUACUUUGAAGGUGAUUUUUCUAAGGAGAAGUCCUCCAUUCCUCUUGCCAAUUUGGAGUGAACAAGGCCUAUAGUCGAGCUAGGGACUAUAACCAAGCGCUUUUUGGGAUGCAACCCAACUUUCUUAUCCUUAUACUUUUGUUAUUACAUUUUGAAUUAAUACAAUUCUUUUGUAGGUCAAAAUUUUUGUAGUCCUAGCCACCCAUAGAUCUCAACAAAUUUGGGGGUGCCUGGUCCCCAAAGUCAUAAACAAAAAAUUCAUCUACAACAUCCUUCAAAAAAAUCUAAUCGGCGAAGUUUCGUUAUCCCUCUCCUCUUUAUCUUGUUUUUUACACAUUGAGGACAAUGUGUGGUUUAAGUUUGGAGGUGAUUGUGCUUGAAUUGGUGAUAUUAUGUUGAUGUGCUAGAUAGCCUUGCCGGCUUUGCAUGGUUUUGAUGUUUGAAAUUGUUAUUGAUUCAUGAGUUAUGCAUAUAUGACCAAAUAUGCUAUUUGUGCGUAAUUUUUUCCCAAAAAAAAUAAAAAUUGCUUAUCUAUUGUGAGAUUUUGAAUUACUUUGGGCACAAUAGUCAUGAUUAAUUGUUAUCUAGAUGUGGAAAAUUUUUGAUUGAAGGAUAUAUUUUUGAAUUGCUUGAACUAGGUUGUGACUUGUAAGUUGUUUGGAAAUUUUUAUCAAUCUGUAUUCUCUUUUCUUUCACUUUAUCAUAUUAUGAGAUAAGUUUGGAGGUGGUCGAGCCGGUGAAGAAGAUUAUCUAGAAGUGUGUGAUUUCGUGCAUGUUGAAAAUAUUUGUGUAGAGUGUCUGUUACCGAGUAUAAGCUAGGUAAUGACCAUAUGCUAGGGAUCUAAGCCCCAUUUUUGUUGUGUUAAAAAAAAAUGGAGUUAUUGUACUUGUUGAAUCUUGGGCCUCACUUUGUAGCCUUUUUGACUUGAGUUAUUAAGUGCGUAGGGGUAUUUUGUAACCCGGUACCCUUUGGCCUAAACAACCGGAGAGUUAUCGACCUAAAGCUCGCUACAAGGGUCAAAAAAAAAGUUUAAGGGAGUGAGGUAAAACAUGGGAUUCGGCUAAAAAGGAAAAAAAAAAAAAAAAAAAGAGAAAAAAAUGUUAUUGAUAUUUGGGCUUAGAUAACUAGUGAGUUUGAAUUGCUUAGUAUAAACUUGAAUGUGAAAGCACUCAUUAGUAGAGAAUCAUCACAUAACUAGAGAUUGAUAUUACUAGUUAGACCCAAUCGAACUAGAGCGGGAAAAGAAAUGAGUGACUUGAGAGCAGCCUUAUAUUUACACCUCGGGGAAAGAAAUGAAUAUCUAUUUGAGGAGUGUAAAUUCCACGAGUGGGAAAGGAAAUAUUUGACUACAAAGGGUUGGGUUGGAGAGAAUCUGAAGAUUUUUCCGUCUUGACAAAUUUUUCCUAAUUUAGAUGAUAAUUGAAAGUGAUUUUACACAUAUACACCGAUCGAACAUUGGAUAAACUCAAAUUAUUUUUGUUAGCAUUAUUUGGAGCAUAUUUGUGAAUUGAUUAUACAAUUUUACACUCAUUGAUAUUUUUGGCAAGCUAUUUAGUGUGUUGACCAUGAUCACUUUUGCUUGAUUGUGUGGUAGAUAAUCUUGCUCGGGACGAGCAAGAGUUUAAGUUUGAGGGUGUGAUAAGUGUGUUUUUGCACACUUAUUGGGCACUUAAUUUGAUAUAAUUAUUGGUAAAAAGAAUGAAAUUCUACUCAUAGUUAAAUAAUAUUUGCUUUUGUAGGUAAAAAUCACCCAAAGAAAAGAGAACAAGGCAAAAGGAGGAAAAAUGACUAAAAUUGUACAAAAUUGUGAAGUUGGAGGCUAAGGCAAAGAAGUCAAAAAGUGGAGGAUUUGGGAUGCAAUUUAUGGAGGGCAAAAUCGAAAUGGAAGUCAAAAUCCGAGGACCAAAUUGUACAAAAUCAAAGUAGAGGAACUAGCAUGCAAUGUUUGAAACUUGGCUGCAAAAAGAAAACCAUUUUCAUGCUUUUGGACAGAGAACCAGGCGCCGCGGCACCCAUUUUAAAAGAAAAAAUGAGUUGGGGGACCUUUUUGUUAACUUUAGAAACUUCAGGGACCAAGGCUGCAAUUUUCCUAGUUUCUAAUAUAAAACCAGCAGCUGAGUUUUUAUUUGCAGCUCUUCAGUUUGGUCUUCUGCUGGGUUUUUUUUUUUUUUUUUUUUUUUUUUUUUUUUUUUUUUUUUUUUUUUUUUUUUUUUUUUUUUUUUUUUUUUUUUUUUUGGUAUUAAAAAAAAAAAAAAAAAAAAAGGGAUUGAAGUUGGAUGAAUUCUUGAAUUCAGGGACCAAUGUAUUGAGUUUGAAAGUAGAAGAGCCUAACAUGCAAUAUUAAAGGACUUGUGACUAAAUUACACAAACCUGUAAAAAGUCGACCCUUGCGAUCACAAGGGUAUAUUUAGUUGCGGUCGCAAAGACUUUUGCAGAAUUGCUUGUGAGAUAUAGUAGGUUAAAUCAAUCAAUUAGGGUUUAUUUCACUCGAGAGAGAUAAUUAGUUAAAAUUGAAAAAUCGGGUCUAACAUCGUAAAUGAGUAAUUCGUUAAUUGACAUAUGAAGAAAUUAAUUAGGCGACGGUUAAGCGAAACCAUGAAUCCCAACCACGUUUUCCUCCAAAAUUCCCAAGAUUUCCAUAUUUUCCUAGUUUGCGUUUUUUUCUUAGUUUCUAAAAUCAACUCUUUAUUGUGUGUUUGUUUAUUUUCAUUGUUAGAAUUAAAUUGAUUAAAAUUGUCUAAUAUAAAGUAAACAUUUCUCGAGGAUCGACAACCCGAACUUCAAAGGUCCACUUUAUUACUUGAACGCGACCCGUGCAUUUGCGGUAUUAUUUUAGCAAACACUUUCCUUUUAUUUUCUUGAUUUUAUGUUUCUCUUUUUUAGCGGACUUAAUAGCCAUUUUGCACGGAUUUGUUAGUGAGGAGUAUUUCCAAAAUAAAAAUGAAGGGUCGAAGACUGUGAUGCAAAUAAAUGAAGUUUGAGGAUAUAAAUGCAUAAGGAGUUGAAGAUUGAGAAUGUGGCUUAAAUUUUCCAAUAUUAAAAAGAAAAUGUUUUGCCCAAGUCAUUUUCUUGACUACUGUCAAGGAAAAAAAAAUAAAUAAAUCUUUUUGCGUUGAAAUUUGACUCCACAUUGUAGGAACUGUAUGGUCCACCCAUGUGAAAUCCAUUGAGUGCCAAAUCAGAGUUCCCGACAAAUUGUCGUAUGCCCAACAUGAUACAUGAUCUACAAUGUGUUACAAAUUGCCCCUGUAGACAUGUAUGUUUAAUCAAUAAAAAAAAAAGUCUGAAAUUUCCUCAAAUUCAAUAAUGAAUUCUUAAAUCAAAUCUGAAUAAUGAAUUUUCAAUCUUUUGAAUUACAAAAUUCGAAUUUUGAUCUCUAGAACUUGAUGAUUUUAACUUGCCAUUUCUAUAUAGUAUUACGUGUCAAACAUGCAAUGAUUUCAUACUUAUUCGUCCUUAUACUACAUCCUCAACUCUCUCCAUCAAAUUCUUCAUCUAUUCUUGCAAAAUAUAUUGUAGCUUAAAGUUAAACCGGUUUCAAGCAUAAUUUAUCGCUCGGGAAUUAUUCACUCAUAAAUAGAAUAUCUGCAAAUCUUGUAUUUUUGUGAAUUUAGUUAUUUUGUUAAUUGAGAAUAAGAUGAAUGAUAAUCUUCUUGGGAGAUCAUUCUUAUGUGAAAUUCAUACAAAUGUCUUGAGUGCUAUUUUCACCUUCACUCAUUUAUUAAAUAUUACAAGUUCUAGCUUUCAUAGGAAAAUAUAUUUUACUUGGUGUGCUGAAGAUAUUCUUCAACCUUCAGUAAAGUGGGGUUCUAGGUUCUCGACCCAAUUAAAUUUGGAAAUUACAUAAAUUGUUAACGUGAACGUCAAAACUGGACAUGACUUAAAAUUGAAUGUAAAGUGGUUUGAUGCUUUGCUCUCCAACUUUAAAUUACAUAAAAGUCAAGCAAUUCUAAUUUUCACAAUGACGAGUUUUUGCCACAUGGCGAUCCAAAUUCACAUAUUUAAAUACGUUGGGUACCCACGAUAGGGAUGACAACGGGAGAGAUGAGACGGGAUGGGAAGCCGCUAGGGAUUCGUCACGCCCUGUCCAAACCUUGAUCCCAGCUUAAGGUGGGGCGGUUGCAGGGGAUAGGGCAAUAUGGAUGGGAUGCCUCCUCUAUGCACAUAUUGUCCGUUUAAUUUUAUUUAAAUCAUAAGCCUUAGAUAUCUCUUUUUAAUUUUCACGCACUAACACAUACUAAAUGCCCACGUCAAUGGCUGCAAAAAUAGGGUCGGCCCUAAUAUUUUGGGGGCCUUAUGUCAAUUUCAAAUUGGGGCCCUAUAUUUUGAAUUUUCUUAUAUAGAGUUUUAGCCCCUGUUUGAUGAAGAUUAAGCCAUUGUUUGAGACUCAUUUUUUUCAUAAAAAUAUAUUUUUCAACAAUGAUUUGACACCACCAUGUCAACAUAUAUUUUUCAAUAAAAUAAUAUUACAUGCAAAUUCAAAAAUUUUCCUUAUUUUUUAAUCACACAUUCUCCAUCGUAUCACUUUCUCAAAAUGCAAUUUUUUUGGAGAAAAAUGAGGCUCAAAGGCUCAAACAACCCCUAAAAUAGAAUUUUCAUUUUUUUUUUCAAAAUGCAUUAUUAUUUUCUUAUGUUUGCAUAUGAUACUUCUAUACUACAGAAUUUCAUAAAUAUAAUUUUCAUUUUUUUUUCAACCAACAAAUUAACUUUACAUAAUUUGGGCCUCACUUAGGUGAUCGCCUAUUUCGUCUAUACUUAGGGCCACCACUGUGCAAAAACAACACAAGCCACCAAAUUUUGUGGUAAACACUGCAAGAAGAGGAGAACCCUAAACAAAGAGAGGUAAUGCUAAGAGGAACUCAUAAAUACGGAAUGGGGUGGAGAAGACAUGGCUGCUAGUUAAAGGAGAUGUGAUUGUGAGUCUCCAUCCUGUGCAACGAAGUCAUGACAUUGAUACCCAUCAACGUCGAUAGCUAGGGGCUGCUACAACGUGGUGCUAAGAAAUUGGGGGGGGGGGGUUUGGAAAUUUUGAAAUGUCUACGCUUUGUGUAAUGCACGUGCUUAUUUUUUGUGAUUAUCAUGUUUAUCUAAAUUAGUUGCGUUUAUGUUACAUUUACUAUUAAAUUAUUAUAAUUAUCAUAGUCGUGAUUAAUUAUGUUGAUAUAGUGGAAUGUGCCUUGGAUCAAAGUCGUGAUUAAUUAUGUUGAUACAGUGGAAUGUGCCUUGGACACUCUAUGCGAUCGACAUGCCUAUAGCUCCAAACUUAAAAUACAUAUGACUCUAUUUAAAUAUGCAAUUUAAUAUAAUUUGACGCCGUAUCACAUUCCUAUUAAUUUAAUUGUAUUGUCUAUAAUUAAUUUUAUUUAGUUAGAUUAAAUUAUAUAACGUAUUUAUCCUAUUAUGUACAAUCUCUUUUUUAGAUUGAACCUAGACAUUGAGUUGGAAGAUUUCUUUUUAUAAGUAAAUAAAUAAAUAAAAAUAAUAAUGAUAUAUAGUUAAUAAUUGAAUUAAUUUUCUAAUAGGAUCAAUUUAAGGUUAAGGAAGUUAAUAUAGAUAAAUAAGGAGGCGUAAUUUGUUAGAUUAGUACAAAUUAAACUAAAUAAACGCCAGUAGGUUUAGGAGUCUACAUAGUUGCCUUAUUUCACAUCUUUUUAAAAUUAAGUAGAAACUCUUUUUCCUGCCAAAAGUUUAAUUUCAAUUUCUUAUUUUGGGACUAGUAUGCUCUUGCAAUAAGGUAUGGUUCAUAAUUUAUUCAUGAUAUAAUCUAUCGGUUAACCUAUGUGUUUAAUUCUCUCUCUCUCUCUCUCUCUCUCUCUCUACACUACCAUAAAAGAGAGAAUGAGGGUUUACUGUUUAUUUUUGUCACACUCGUUUUCACACUUAACCGGUUUGGGAACUGGUUUGACAACAAGAAAAAUUCUAUUAAAAAAUACUAUAGGAAUUUUGUCAGGAAAAAUUCUAUUCAAAAUACUGUAGGAAUUUUGUCACACACCAUUGUCUACUGUAAUAUUUCUCCCUUGCUUUGAAUCUGACACACCAUGCUCUUUCUCCUAAUUCUCAAGCUAUAAACUACAAACUAUAUCUUAUAUAUUUAAAUUUUUUAAAUUAUAUUAAUAAACAAAAUUAUUGUAAAUAAACUAUAAAAAAAAUAUAUUCACUCUGUGCAUGGAGAAAAAAAUUUACGUCAUACUACAUAAUUUUUUUUGAGCAAAAUGAUGUAUUGAGAAAAUUGUUGGGAAAAAAUAAUAAAUAGUAAUAAAAUAAUUGAUUUUUUUAAAAGAAAAAUGACUUAUACGCAUUUUUUAACACAUACGUUUAAUGUCCGUUUAACUAUUUUCGAUAUUCAUUUAGAUCAUUCGAUGUGUCUAUGAUAUAGUUCUUGAAAUGAGUUUCGAGAGAAUGUAAAAUAUUUAUCGAUUCGACUAUCGUGCAAUCGUCAAUGAAUUUUUAAAGUUAACUCAUUAUCGAAAAUUUCGAAAUAUAGUUUGAAAAUGCCUAUUUUGACGUCCCGUAACAUUUGCUACGAUUAGCCGUUUCACGCAUCGUUAACGACAUGCAAUACUAUGCCGCAAGUACUUCAAAAUGAUAUUAAGAAUGUAAUAUUUCAAUUUCGUUUGAUAUCCCGUAAUGAGCCUGAGAUGAAUACAAAAACAUAAAUUAAAAAAAAAAAUUAGCAAACCUCCGUGCACGGAGGUUAAACCUCCAUACACGAAGGUUUAUGCGUGCGGGGAGUCCCCGCACAAAUAUGCAAUUUUUUUUUUUACUUUUAUUUGUAGUACAUUUUUUUAUUAAUAUUUAAUUUAAAAAAAUUAAAUAUAUCUAAAUAUUUACUUAAAAAUGUUGAAAUUAAUAUUUUUUACGUAUAAGUAACUUUUACAAUUAUAAUUUUUUUUAUUACUUUUAAAUAACUUGAAGUGAUUUGUUUAUUUAUAAAUAACUUUUUACAUUCUCGAUAGUUUAAUCUUUUUAUUAAUAUUUAAUUUUAAAAACUAAAUAUAUCUAAAUAUUUGUACUUAAAAAAUUCACAUUUUUUUAUAUAAGUAGCUUUUGCAAUUAUAAGAGAAUGAGGGAUUAAUAUUUUUUUAUCUUUUAGAUAGUGUAAUCUCUUUUUUUACUUUUAAAUAACUUAACCGAUUUGGGAACUGGUUUGGUAACAGGAAAAAUUCUAUUCAAAAAUACUGUAGAAAUUUGUCACAUGCCAUUUGAGUGCAAUGUCACAUCCACUGCAAUAUUUCUCUCUUACUUUGAAUCUGACACACCAUGCUCUUUCUCUUAAUUCUCACGUUAUUAACUAUUAAUCAUAUCCUAUAUAUUUAAUUUUUUAAAAUUAUAUUAAUAGAAAAACUUAUUGUAAAUAAAAUGUAAAAAAAAAAAUAUAUAUAUAUAUAUAUUCACUCCGUGCAUGAAGAAAUUUUUUUACGUCAUACCACAUAAGUUUUCUUAAGCAAAAUGAUGUAUUGAGAAAAUUAUUGCGAAAAAAUAAUAAAUAGUAAUAAAAUAAUUGAUUUUUUUUGAAGAAAAACGAUUUAUACGCAUUUUUUAACACAUAUGUUUAAUGUGCGUUUAACUAUUUUUGAUAUUAAUUUACAUCAUUUGAUGUGUUUAUGAUAUAUUUCUCGAAAUGAGUUUCGAGAGAAUGUAAAACAUUUAUUGAUUUGACUAUCGUAUAGUGGUAGAUGAAUUUUUAAAGUUAGCUUAUUAUCGAAAAUUUCGAAAUACAGUUUGAAAAUGUCUAUUUUGACGUCCCGUGACAUUUGCUACGAUUAGCCGUUUCACGCACCGCUAAUGACGUGCAAUACUAUAUCGCAAGUACUUUAAUAUGAUAUUAAGAAUAUAAUAUUUUAAUUUCGUUUGAUAUCCCCUAAUGAGUCUAAAAAUGAACAUAAAAACAUAAGCUAAAAAAAAAUGAAGCAACAUGUAUUAAACCUCCUCAUGUCCUCGGUGCACGCACCAAUCCGAUUUUUGGUUACCCAUUUUCUCCACCACUUAACCCUAAUUGUUCUCUCUCUCUCUCUCUCUCGAUCGGCACCAUUGUAGCAAGAAAUUCUGGAAAACCUGAAGCAACUGAGACAUAUACUUGUAAGUCUAAUCAUCACUGCUUCGACUUCUUUCUCUUCUCUUCUGUAUAUUGCUUCUAAUUUGUCGAGUUGUAUUGUUCAAUAUAUUCUUAGUUUUCAAUUUUUUUUUUUUUUUUUUGUUUUUUGAAGAGUUCAAGCCCAAAUACGUAAAGUCAUGUUUCAAGGGGGGGUUAGGUUUGGGUUGUUGUGUAUAUGUUUUUCAAUUUAUAUAGCUGUGGUAUUGAAUAUGAGAUUUCUUGUCCAAUUUGCUUUUUUUUUUGUUCCCCGUUUUCCUUCUUCUGAGAGGUCGAACCCAAAAUACCUAAAGUCUAUUAUUUUCAUGUUGUUAUUAUUUUUUUCUAUUAUUAUUUUCAUGUUAUUAUUAUUAUUUUUUUUUGUUCAAUUUCUUCGUGUUGUGUAUAAGUUUUUUUUUAUUUCUGCAGCCGUCAUGUUGAAUAUGAGAUUUUUUGUUCAAUCUGUGUUUUUUUCCUCAUUUUUUGUAAGAAACUGAACUGAAAAGACAUAUAAUUUGUUCUUCCCAUGUUUGGCUCUUUGAUUAUAUUUAACUUUAAGAAGGAGAACAAAAUGUUUCAAGUCGGAUAAUUCAUUAAAUACCCAAAUGCAAAUUCCGAAAAAGGUUAUCAUUGCUUUUCACUUGCUGCAAUUGAUACACAUGAGUGCUUAAUUUGAUGUUUGUGAUUGACAGAUUUUGAUGAAUACUGUACUACCANNNNNNNNNNNNNNNNNNNNNNNNNNNNNNNNNNNNNNNNNNNNNNNNNNNNNNNNNNNNNNNNNNNNNNNNNNNNNNNNNNNNNNNNNNNNNNNNNNNNNNNNNNNNNNNNNNNNNNNNNNNNNNNNNNNNNNNNNNNNNNNNNNNNNNNNNNNNNNNNNNNNNNNNNNNNNNNNNNNNNNNNNNNNNNNNNNNNNNNNNNNNNNNNNNNNNNNNNNNNNNNNNNNNNNNNNNNNNNNNNNNNNNNNNNNNNNNNNNNNNNNNNNNNNNNNNNNNNNNNNNNNNNNNNNNNNNNNNNNNNNNNNNNNNNNNNNNNNNNNNNNNNNNNNNNNNNNNNNNNNNNNNNNNNNNNNNNNNNNNNNNNNNNNNNNNNNNNNNNNNNNNNNNNNNNNNNNNNNNNNNNNNNNNNNNNNNNNNNNNNNNNNNNNNNNNNNNNNNNNNNNNNNNNNNNNNNNNNNNNNNNNNNNNNNNNNNNNNNNNNNNNNNNNNNNNNNNNNNNNNNNNNNNNNNNNNNNNNNNNNNNNNNNNNNNNNNNNNNNNNNNNNNNNNNNNNNNNNNNNNNNNNNNNNNNNNNNNNNNNNNNNNNNNNNNNNNNNNNNNNNNNNNNNNNNNNNNNNNNNNNNNNNNNNNNNNNNNNNNNNNNNNNNNNNNNNNNNNNNNNNNNNNNNNNNNNNNNNNNNNNNNNNNNNNNNNNNNNNNNNNNNNNNNNNNNNNNNNNNNNNNNNNNNNNNNNNNNNNNNNNNNNNNNNNNNNNNNNNNNNNNNNNNNNNNNNNNNNNNNNNNNNNNNNNNNNNNNNNNNNNNNNNNNNNNNNNNNNNNNNNNNNNNNNNNNNNNNNNNNNNNNNNNNNNNNNNNNNNNNNNNNNNNNNNNNNNNNNNNNNNNNNNNNNNNNNNNNNNNNNNNNNNNNNNNNNNNNNNNNNNNNNNNNNNNNNNNNNNNNNNNNNNNNNNNNNNNNNNNNNNNNNNNNNNNNNNNNNNNNNNNNNNNNNNNNNNNNNNNNNNNNNNNNNNNNNNNNNNNNNNNNNNNNNNNNNNNNNNNNNNNNNNNNNNNNNNNNNNNNNNNNNNNNNNNNNNNNNNNNNNNNNNNNNNNNNNNNNNNNNNNNNNNNNNNNNNNNNNNNNNNNNNNNNNNNNNNNNNNNNNNNNNNNNNNNNNNNNNNNNNNNNNNNNNNNNNNNNNNNNNNNNNNNNNNNNNNNNNNNNNNNNNNNNNNNNNNNNNNNNNNNNNNNNNNNNNNNNNNNNNNNNNNNNNNNNNNNNNNNNNNNNNNNNNNNNNNNNNNNNNNNNNNNNNNNNNNNNNNNNNNNNNNNNNNNNNNNNNNNNNNNNNNNNNNNNNNNNNNNNNNNNNNNNNNNNNNNNNNNNNNNNNNNNNNNNNNNNNNNNNNNNNNNNNNNNNNNNNNNNNNNNNNNNNNNNNNNNNNNNNNNNNNNNNNNNNNNNNNNNNNNNNNNNNNNNNNNNNNNNNNNNNNNNNNNNNNNNNNNNNNNNNNNNNNNNNNNNNNNNNNNNNNNNNNNNNNNNNNNNNNNNNNNNNNNNNNNNNNNNNNNNNNNNNNNNNNNNNNNNNNNNNNNNNNNNNNNNNNNNNNNNNNNNNNNNNNNNNNNNNNNNNNNNNNNNNNNNNNNNNNNNNNNNNNNNNNNNNNNNNNNNNNNNNNNNNNNNNNNNNNNNNNNNNNNNNNNNNNNNNNNNNNNNNNNNNNNNNNNNNNNNNNNNNNNNNNNNNNNNNNNNNNNNNNNNNNNNNNNNNNNNNNNNNNNNNNNNNNNNNNNNNNNNNNNNNNNNNNNNNNNNNNNNNNNNNNNNNNNNNNNNNNNNNNNNNNNNNNNNNNNNNNNNNNNNNNNNNNNNNNNNNNNNNNNNNNNNNNNNNNNNNNNNNNNNNNNNNNNNNNNNNNNNNNNNNNNNNNNNNNNNNNNNNNNNNNNNNNNNNNNNNNNNNNNNNNNNNNNNNNNNNNNNNNNNNNNNNNNNNNNNNNNNNNNNNNNNNNNNNNNNNNNNNNNNNNNNNNNNNNNNNNNNNNNNNNNNNNNNNNNNNNNNNNNNNNNNNNNNNNNNNNNNNNNNNNNNNNNNNNNNNNNNNNNNNNNNNNNNNNNNNNNNNNNNNNNNNNNNNNNNNNNNNNNNNNNNNNNNNNNNNNNNNNNNNNNNNNNNNNNNNNNNNNNNNNNNNNNNNNNNNNNNNNNNNNNNNNNNNNNNNNNNNNNNNNNNNNNNNNNNNNNNNNNNNNNNNNNNNNNNNNNNNNNNNNNNNNNNNNNNNNNNNNNNNNNNNNNNNNNNNNNNNNNNNNNNNNNNNNNNNNNNNNNNNNNNNNNNNNNNNNNNNNNNNNNNNNNNNNNNNNNNNNNNNNNNNNNNNNNNNNNNNNNNNNNNNNNNNNNNNNNNNNNNNNNNNNNNNNNNNNNNNNNNNNNNNNNNNNNNNNNNNNNNNNNNNNNNNNNNNNNNNNNNNNNNNNNNNNNNNNNNNNNNNNNNNNNNNNNNNNNNNNNNNNNNNNNNNNNNNNNNNNNNNNNNNNNNNNNNNNNNNNNNNNNNNNNNNNNNNNNNNNNNNNNNNNNNNNNNNNNNNNNNNNNNNGAUUGAGCUGGUGUGACUGCAAUGGUAUAAUUAUUGCAUGUUUAAUUAUUGUACAUGCAUGUAUUAGCCAAUAAUUUUUGCUUCCCCAGAAAAUUCAACUGAUGGGGAUAAAUUGGAAAAACUUUCUCGUUGUCAUUUGCAUCAUCUGCAAUCAAGCGUUAGCAAGCGCAAUCGUGCUUGGUGUACAAUCAUUUUUACAAUAUUGUUGAUAACAUGCCAUGGGUCAUGUUGUCAUUGGAUAAUUUAAAAAACAAUUUAUAUUUCCUACUAACACUUUUAUGACAUAUACAACAUCGUCAACAAUGUUGUCAAAAAUCAUUGUACAAAUGGCAUUAUCCUAGCAAGAAACACAAGGCAUACGGUGAUGCAAAUAAUGGGCAUAAGCCAUUAGCAUACGGAGAAAAGCCAAGGAAGGCAGCAAACGUUCCUUUUGAUAUUUCCUUACUUGAUAAGUUGCUGUCAGCUUUCUUCCCUUCAUUUUUCUUCCUAAAAAAUAAUUUGUUAUUUGUACUCCUCAUACAUGUGGAAUUCAUGGAUCUUAGGAUAAUCCCAACGCCUAAAAUAUUCGUUGAUGACUUUUGCAUUCCCUAGGCUAAAUUUCACUGGUUUUGUUGAAGAUAUCUAUAUAUAUGUAGAUGAAUAAUACUAUUUUUUCGAGUGUAGAUGAUUUCCUUACGAUAGUAGAAUUUGUUGCUCAAUUCUACACUAAUGGUCAUUAGUUGCUUUCUUUGCCAUUUAUGCUUGUUUUCUUAUUAUAUUUCAUUUCGGGUUUAAUUUUAAUUUAGUGAUAUUAUGGUACAUGGUGUUUGUUAUACUGUGGCUAAGUUCUCAUUUUUAGGUACAUUUGGAUUCAUUAACAUUCUUUUACAUGGCUGUUCUUUAAAACUUAGCCAAAGAUGAUGUUGCAUGGUUGAAGUGGCAAGGUUUUCAUAUUUAGGUAGAAUCAUUUUUGUAUCUAAUACUAAGAGUUGUAACCAAAAUGGUUAAAGUAGGACAAAAGCUUUUACUUAGUGUUUCAUUAUGAUACAUGGAUUGAAAUUUAGAUCUAUCCUAUAACCUCUAUAACUGCAGAUAAUGUAUGUAUUAGAUAGUUUUCUCUUAUAAUUAAAUAUAUAUUAAAUUCUUUUGUCAAAGCAAUUAGUUACAAGGUGUAAGAAAUAUUAAUUUUGUAACAUAGAAUGGAGUUAAUUCGUGAAGUUUAUCAGUUAUUAAGUACUAUUAUUUUACAACAUGUUCAUUUUAAGAGAAUUGAUGUUACUUGAGAAAUUGAAGGAAUGCAUUUGUUGCGCCAAAAGGGGAUAAAGACUGAAUAGACAUAGGUAUUCUUUGACCUAACGAAAGAACUGAAAAAUACCAUGCAUGGUGUUUGAUUAAUAAAGUGCUUUCUCUGUGUUGUGGUAUAUCUUAUUGUCUGAUGCAGGCAAUAAGAUCACUAGGGAAAUGAGAGCUUUCCAAAAUACCAUAGAAUCUUGAAGGAAAUUCAAGUUUGAUUACUUCAGGUAUGUUAGUUUCUAUUUUUUGUUGUCAAUCUUCAAAUUGUUUGUUUUCUCUUUUCAGAAAAUUUAACAAACCGUUCCCAAAAUACCAGAAAAUUUCGACAAAAAUUGGACUCCGAGGACCUCGAGUAUCUUCCUUUAUUAUUUUUCUGUGUAUUUUUUGUUGAAUUAUCUUCAUAUCUACUCUGAAGUUUUCGUUCUUUUCCGUCUAUGUUUGAAGUUCUUUGCAAGGAAAGAAAAGAUUCACGUACAAAUUGAAGAGUAUCAAAAUAAGGUAUGUCGAUUUCAUAUUUGCCUUUAAUAAGGUAUGUCGAUUUCAUAUUUGCCUUUUUUUUUCUUUUUUUCAAAUAAAUCAUUCUCACUAUUUGUUAUCUGUUUGUAUUUUAUUUGAUUUCUCUAUUUCAUUUUAUUGCUUUUUGUUGGUUGUUUAACCUAUUCGGCGUUCGUCGCAACUUGUACAAAUAAACCAUGACAAGAAUAUUGUACUUGUAAAUAGGUAAUAUUAUUUCAUUUUUUAGAUAGUAAUUAUGAAUAGGGAGAGGAGAAAGCGAUUAAACUAUUCACAUUCUCCUCUGUGAUUCCUAACAACAAAGGACUGAUGACUCUAUCGAGAAACAAAAGUAGCAACUUCAGAAGGAAAGAAUUGAAUCAAAUUGCCAUUAAUUUUUUUUGGUAAUAAAUGAAUUAAAUUUCGGUUAUUUUGUUAAUUAAUUUAGUGUUGAUUGAUUUUUUUUUUUUACCGUAUUUUAUCUUUAAAUACAUAUGCAAUCAUUUGUGCCAAAAGACAAAAGUGAAAAUUGAUGGGGUUUUAUUUUUUUUUUUUUUAUUUUUUAAAUGGGUUUGCAUUGUGUUAGAAAUGGGAAGGAUUUUGACACCAAACCGUCUGAUUAUGGAGAAAAGAUAAUAAGUUAAGAAAGAACGGGAAGUUAUUUAAAAAAUUUCAAGUUUUUUCAUAUUAUGUAGGAGAUGGGAUUUCUAUUUUUCUGGCAGAAUUUUCAUCAAUUGUCCAAAUUCAUUUGUCAAUGAGGUAAUUGCUAUUCCAUUAUGCCACAUACAAAGGAUAGAUUUUUGAAUCAAUUUUCGUCUAAGGAUUUGGUUCUAUGGUGUCUCAAAUCCAUGCAUUCGCUGCAUAGUUCUAGCCAGUAGUUCUUAGCCAAAGAGAAUAAACAUUCUAUAACUAUUUAUGAUAAAUAUGAAAUUCACUCAUUUGCUUAUGAGCUGCAUUAUUUAGAAAUAGAUUUUUUUUCCCUCUCUCAUUUUCCCUUCAAAACUCCAUUUUCUCCCCUCUUUUCCUUUUUUUGGAUGGAAAUUUUUUUAAUGGAAUUAUCCUUUUCAGACUUAGAAUCUGAUAUAAUCAUUUUCUUAUAUCUUCGAAAGACAAUCAGGUAUGACUUUUAGAUUUCCUUUUGUAAAAAUCUUAUGUUGCAAUGCUAUUGGAAUUUCAAUGAAAGAGAAUUUUUCUAAUACCCUUUUUUUCUUUUUUUAUGGAGAUUGUAUAUUCACCCAAUGGCUAUUAUUUCGAUUAUUUGUUUAAAUUUUUUUGUGUUAAGGUUGCAAUUUUUUUUGCCUUUUGGAAAUCACUUAAUGGGGUUGUCAGUCUCUUUUCUUGAUUUAAAUAUCUCUCAGGACUUAAUUUGAAGGCAUGCAUUAUGUGAGAACAUGUGAAGGAAGUGAUAAUAUUUUAAUGUAGGGUUUUGAAGAAGUUCAAAGACAAGAUAUCUGAGUUCCAGGUAAAUUAGAUACACAAUAUAAUGGAAAGGUUUGAAUUUCUUCCAAUUCUUCUUUCCAUUUCUCAUUAUCUCUUAAUAAUAAUUUUCUAUAGGCUUUAAGACAAAACAUCCAUCGAGAGUAUCGUGAAAGUUGUCAAGAGGCGUGUAUUCACAGGUUUAACCCUUAUUAUAUGAAAUGAACUUGUGUAACUCUGUGUAAUAGGUUCCUUUCUCUUUAUUCAAUUAACAAUUUCCUUUUUCAUGAACCUCAGUGACAGAAAGUCAAGCUAAUGAAGAGGUAAAACUUGCAACCACGUUUUUAUUCUAAUAAUUAGAAUGUCAUGGACAGGUUUCUCAUUGCUCAAAUGUUUUGCCGCAGACAAUUGAUAAUUGACCAGGACUGGGGAUAGUGAACAAAUCCUUAUGACAUUGUUGUUAUGUGUUAAUUGUCUCAAUGGCAUAUUUCUAUUUACAUAUCUAUAUUAAGGAAGUUAGGACUAUUGGAAUGCUACAUGUUGCAACUUAUAAGCUCAAAUUAAUAAGCAAGUAUGAAAAUAAAGCUUAAUAUCUCAUGGCUGAAAAUAAUCGUUUAUUAGAUUCACGUAUUAUAAUUUUCUGGAUGUAUUCAUCUGUUGUUUUGGUUCCAUUAAGCAUGUGACUUCGGGAUUGCCUCCUCUAAAAUUUGUUCACAUCAAAGAGCAUUCCAUGUUUUAUUGUUAUUUAUUUUUGAAACUUUAACUAAUUCAACUAUGUAAUUAUGGCCCCAUUUGAUCUAUGUACAAGGUUCUGAGAAAUUAUAUAAUUGCAACUGUUGGAUUGUCAAAAGCUUCCACAUGUUGAGCUCGUUUUAAUUUUUCAGUAGAAUUUGAAUUGUAUAAAUGUUGUCUUUAGCAUUCCUCUCAAAACGUUUGUUUUUUUAUGUUUCAUGUAUUGCUUUUUCUUAAGAGUUAUUUAGUUUUACUAGCUUCUUUUUUAAUACAUUGGUCCUAAAAUGGUUUUCUACAAUUUCCUUUGUAACAGGCAAGCUUAGUUACUAGCACCACAAGUUACCAUGUUCCACCACAAAAGUAAUUGUCAAAGUGAUUAGGCGAGUGAUGACCUGAGCAUGAACACGUGGAUAGUUAGGAACAUCUCCCAUUGUCAUUCAAAAACCAUAUUACUAGGAUUCAAGGUAAGUAUACCUCACAUUGUCUUCAUGUGCAUAUUUAAUUAUUAAAUGUAUAAAUGUGUUACUUAAAUUUGUUAUUAUGUGAUCUUGAUAUUUAAUUAUUUCGUUUUAUGUCAUUAAUGCUUCUUUAUGACAUAUUCAUACACAUCAAUGCAUCCAUAAGCAUACAAGAAGUUCCAAGAAAAAAUGAAAGUUUCCAAAUGUUAAUGAAGCAAGGAAUGUUUUUAAAGAUAUAUAUCUCGAAUAUUUUCUUACGAGGUGUAUAUCUAUGUCAUGAAGGGUGUGAGUGGGGAACCGGCACACCCGACUAAUGUUCAAUGAUAAUGUUAAUGUUAUUCGUUUUGUGGACCUAUUGGUAGGACUCGAUCGUGUUCCAAAUAAUAAAUGUACACUGCAUUUUGAUUGGCUAGGUGAUACAUCAAGUGAGCUCACGACGUCAAUAUUAAAUUUUUUUUUUUUUUUAAAAAUGAAUGAAAGAGGAUACAUAUUGAGGAAUGAUUUUAUCUUAAAAUAAUUCAUGUGCAUAUCAUAAGCAUAUAUCAUAUGCAUGAGAUUUGCUUCCUAAGCGUUCGCUCAUUUCACGUUAUUCCUCCCAAUUUUUAGAUAAUGAAGGCAACAAUUCAAGACGAUUACUUGUGGUGCAAUGGAUUGAGUACUAAUAUAUUCAAAAAUUGACUCCUUUUAGAAUAUAAAGUUAACAUUUAAUUUUAUUGUUUUUUAAAUUUAAGUGUAAAAGUUUUCUACAAGUUACGCUCAUAAACGAAGUUAAUAAUGUUCAUUAUAUCAAAGAAAAAUUUCGUUGCUUCCGCAUUUAUAAUUUUAAUAGAAAACCUUUAGCACCAUAUCUUAAGACAUCGAGGAUGUCUAGGAUCCAGGCCCCCCCCCCCCCCCCCCCCCCUUCCCCCCANNNNNNNNNNNNNNNNNNNNNNNNNNNNNNNNNNNNNNNNNNNNNNNNNNNNNNNNNNNNNNNNNNNNNNNNNNNNNNNNNNNNNNNNNNNNNNNNNNNNNNNNNNNNNNNNNNNNNNNNNNNNNNNNNNNNNNNNNNNNNNNNNNNNNNNNNNNNNNNNNNNNNNNNNNNNNNNNNNNNNNNNNNNNNNNNNNNNNNNNNNNNNNNNNNNNNNNNNNNNNNNNNNNNNNNNNNNNNNNNNNNNNNNNNNNNNNNNNNNNNNNNNNNNNNNNNNNNNNNNNNNNNNNNNNNNNNNNNNNNNNNNNNNNNNNNNNNNNNNNNNNNNNNNNUUUUUUUUUUUUUUCAAUUAGGGGCAAAAAACGACGCCGUUUGCUUGAUAUAUAUUUUAUUUUAUUGUACACUACCUCCAAAUUUACUGCAACAUGCAAUUUUCAUUCUUCGCCUACUUCGAUAUAGAUAUAUAUAGUAGAGAUAUAAGAAAAAUACCACUUUUAUAUUAAAAAAAAAAUAAAAAAAGAUAGAGAUAAUAUAGGACUGAAUUUUUUUUACAACAUAUUACUUGUAAGUAAAAAAAUUGAAGAGAAACGAAUUAAAGAGAAUUUUAAAUUGAAAAAAAAAUUAUAACGUAAAAACUACACAGCAAAAAAAAAAAGUAAGUAAUCUCUUCGUGCAUGGAGCAAAAGCUCCCGUGCAUGGAGACAUUAGUCAUUUUUUAUUUUCCAUUUUGUUUAUGUCAAACAAAUGUUCUUCUACACAUCAUGUCAUUAGCAUUAAAAAAUAAUAAUAAUUUUAGUAAAUAUAAAUUACCACGAGCAAAAAAAAAAAACUCCUCUCCACACAAUGCGGAGAGAUGGCAAACCAUGUGCGUAGAGUUGACAAACUCUCUGUACAGUGAGAAGUUAAAAAAAAAUUUAUAAAUUUUUUUUUAUUACAAUUAACAUAAAAAAAUCAUUUUUAUCUUCAACAAAAAAACACAUUUAAAAAUUAGCAAUUUCAUAAUCACUUUUUUUUUAUUCCCGAAAAUACAAUUAUAAAAAAGAAAAUAAUAUUGAAUUAUAAAAACCAAUAUCUGCGAAAUACGGUAUCUAAAGACAAUAUGUGCAAAUACGGUAUGAUGUAAAUACAGUAUGAUGCAAAUAUGAUAUACUGUAUAUAUAGUAUGAUACAAAUACGAUAUGUUGUAAAUACGAUAUGAUGCAAAUAUGGUACGCUGUAAAUACGGUGUGCUGCAUAUACGGUAUAAUGCAAAUACAGUAUGAUGCAAAUACGGUAUGCUGUAAAUACGGUGUGCUGCAUAUACGGUAUGAUGCAAAUAUAAUAUGCUGCAUAUACGGUACGUUGUAAAUAUGGUAUGCGUAAAUACGGUAUAUUACAUGUAUGAUAUAUAUAAUGCAUAUGCGGUAUGAAUAAAUCCGGUUUCAUCCACUACAAUAAAUUUCAAUACCAUAUAUGCUGUCUUUCGUAUUUGCAGUUUACCAUAUAUGCAGCCUACCGUAUUUGCAGGCAACUUACCGUAUAUGCUACCUACUUUAUGUGCAGCUUAUCGUAUAUACCAUUUUUGCACUUACAAAUACCGAGAGUGCAGAACACCAUACAUUCACUUAUCAAACGAAUGUCAGAAAAAAAUUUCAGAUUUUUACUUUUCAACAUAAGCAUAAAAUAAAUAUUAAAAUAUAUGAAAGACAAAAUAUAAAACGCAUAUAAAUAUGCAAGUUGAUUUAUAAUUAUGCAGUGGCACAUAUUAUACAUUUAAAAUUUCUUAUGUCGGUGCAAAAUAACUUUGAAGUCAUUCUAGAGCAAAUUAAACCACUGCAAUGUCUAUUCUAGAAAUACAAUUGUGCAAAUUAAUAUGAAUUAAAUCUACAUUACAUUGGACUUGGAUUUAUUUAUAACAAAUAUUGGUGAUUAGUCUAAAGACAAUAUGUGCAAAUACGGUAUGCUAUAUACUAUAUGUUAUAGUUAAGAUAUAACAUACUAUACGUAUAUGUUAUAAUACAAUGUUUAGCAUAAUAUAAUGAGAAAUUAUUGUUGUACAAUUUUUUUUUGUUAUAUUACAGCAAAAUGCAUAUUACAACAUAUAACUUACCGUAUGUGCUCUAAUACAAUCUGUGCGGCGACUUUCUAUUUUUUUUAAAAUUUAAUCAUGUAACCUAAUAUUUGUUUAGUUUGUUAUUUUAUUAAUUAAAAAUAUGUAUUAAAUCUAAUAACAAAAUAUAAUUACAAGAAUAAGUUUAAUUUCAAUAUAAUAAAAAAAAUUUCGAGGAAAUAAUCAUUGCUAACAACAAAAGAAUCUAAAAAAAUGAAGAAGACAAAAACGAAAAAAGUAAAAUUUGUGAAAAGAAGAAAAUGAAAACAUGAUACCAAAAAAUUUGGCAUUAUUGUUUGAAUGAGAAAUGUUUUAUUGAUACACAAAAGACUUUUGCAGUCACCAGGUUAAAAGUAUAGAUUUAUUGUGUUGUGAAUUUUUUUUAAAUAAUCGUAGUAAAUCUUCUUGUUACGAUAAUAAAAUUACAAUAAUUUUUUUUUUACAAAUAGCAUAAAAAAAUCAUUUUUAUCUUCAACAAAAAACACAUGUAAAAAUUUUCAAUUUCAUAAUCACCUUUUUUUUUAAAUUCCCCAAAAUAAAAUUAUAAAAAAGAAAACAAUAUUGAAUUACAAAAACCAAUAUCUGCCAAAUACGGUAUCUAAAGACAAUAUGUGCAAAUAUGGUAUGCUGUAAAUAUGGUAUGAUGCAAAUACAGUAUGCUGUAAAUACGAUCUGAUUCAAAUACGGUAUGCUGUAAAUACGAUAUGCUGCAUAUAUGGUAAGCUGCAAAUACGGUAUGCGUAAAUACGGUAUGUGGCAUAUAUGAUAUGUAAAGUGCAUAUACGGUAUGAAUGAAUCCGGUUUCAUCCACUACAAUAAAUUUCAAUACCGUAUAUGCUGUCUACCGUAUUUGCAGCCUACAAUAUAUAUAGUCUACCGUAUUUGUAGGCAACUUACCGUAUAUGCUACCUACCGUAUUGCAGCUUACCGUAUAUACUGAUUUUUGCGCUUACAAAUACUGAGAAUGCAAAACAUCAUACAUUCACUUAUCAAACCGAAUGUCAGAAAAAAAAUUUCAUAUUUUUAUUUUUUCAACAUAAGCAUAAAAUAAAUAUUAAAAUAUAUGAUGCUCAAUCUUCAAUUUUUCAAUAUUGAAUUACACAAAUUUUAGAAAUAUAAUGUUCACAUUCAAUUCAAUCAUAUCAACACUAUCAAAGAAUACAGGCAAAAUAGUUUGUAUAACCUCGUAUAUUUCUUAUUUAAGUAUGAAAUAUACAAGCAUAUUUUUUUAGAUAACACAAUACUGUUGUAAUUGUAAAAAUAAUUUGCAAUCAUUUUCUUAUAUCAUGAAAAUAUUUCUAGAUAUUACUUCAAAAACUUUCCAAAAAACUAAAAUUCAUAAGCUAAUAAAAAUAUGAUAAAUACAAAAUUCGUGCAACGCACAUGACAGCGACUAGUAUGAAGAAAAAGGGCAAAUGACUAACCUAUUCAAUGUAGUGAAGUGGCUCUUGUAUUCAAUGUUCACAUGCCCAAGAUGGGUUCAAUUCCCAACAUUGUGAAAUUAAUUUUUCCUCCAAUUUUCGGGGCGAUUUUGAGGUGGAAACCUUGUUCCCUUGUAGUGUCUCUACACGAGAUAAGAACUCUUUUCCUAGCCGGGCCAGCCUACCCUAAUUCCUCGAUUAAUCAAGAAUUUUCUGUUAUUUAGGAUAGUCCUUGUUGGCAUCAAGACAAUCGAAAAUAAUUGUCAUCCUAACCUAAAAUAUCAUUUUUGAAUGUUGAGACCCGAAACCAUAUUAAUUCAAAUGUUAUCUAGCACAAAUCUAAUUUUUCUCAUAUUGAAUAGAAAUUCACGUGCCCACCUUUAAACAAAACAAUUGUAGAAGAAAAAUCAAGAAAAUAUAAAGAAUAUCGCAAAAUUCACUUAAAGGCCACUGCCUCCCACUACUGGGCAAAUCUCCUGAAUCGAACCGAAUCGAACCUGACGGUUCUUCUCAAAUUAAAUACCCAAACGGGUAUCUGAAUUAAGAACUGACGGGUACGAUUCGGUUCUCGAUUCUAGACGAAGAACCGAAUAUUCCUAAUUUUUAUUUUUUUAUAUUGAAUAAAUCAAAUUAUUUUAAUUUUUUCCAAACAAAUUAACAAAUUAGGUGAUUAAUUGAUACUUUAUCUCCUAAGCCCUAGCCUAGCUAGCUUGACCUAACCCAACCAAUUUCUAAAUCCAAUUUUUUGGCCCAAUUAUUUGUUUCAUUUCUAUUUUUUUAAUUUUUAGCCCAAGUGUCAUUUUUAGUUUUUAUUCUUCCAUUUUUUUAGCCCAACAUCCAAGUGAUCCAACCCACUAGUGACUAACCCUAAAUAAAUUACACACAUUAUCACCUACACAUAACACAUUUGACAUUCCAAAACUCAAAUAGAUGUAUAGAACCUCCGACUUCGAGUCCGAAGCUAUGACCUCCGGGCUCCGAUGACGACCUUUGACCGUUGAUUAUUUGAAUAAGGUAGUGUGUAAGCUUUCCUAUAUGUGAUUGGUAAAUUAAUCUUGUUGGACAACUUGUUAUAUACAUGUCAAAUUGGAUUACGUUAAUUUAUAAAAUUACGAUUGAAUGUGUUAUUAGUUGUAUUUAUAUAGUGUUGUUAUAAAUGUUAAAAAAUUUAAUUAUAUAGUACAGAACAGAACCGAACCGAACGGAACUGAACCCGAACGGUUCCAUAAUUAUAUUUGGACCCGACAGUUCUAUUUACUAAAUAUCCAAAAUUUUUGGUUCGGUUCUCUAGUGUGUAAGCUUUCCUAUAUGUGAUUGGUAAAUUAAUCUUGUUGGACAACUUGUUAUAUACAUGUCAAAUUGGAUUACGUUAAUUUAUAAAAUUACGAUUGAAUGUGUUAUUAGUUGUAUUUAUAUAGUGUUGUUAUAAAUGUUAAAAAAUUUAAUUAUAUAGUACAGAACAGAACCGAACCGAACGGAACUGAACCCGAACGGUUCCAUAAUUAUAUUUGGACCCGACAGUUCUAUUUACUAAAUAUCCAAAAUUUUUGGUUUGAUUCGGUUCACUUUAAAAUCGAACCGAACCGACUUACGCCCAGGCCUAAUCAUAACAAUAAUUAUAUACAUCUCUACCUUAUUUCAAUACCAUUCCUUUCACACCAUGUGGGACCCAUCUUUAAACUAAUGGUCAAAAAUUGAUUUUCAAAAUAAGCUCCUAACAGGUUCAUAGAGGUAUAAUCAUUAGGCCCUUAUUAAGCCGAGUUACGAACAAUUUUUUUUUUCAAAAUUAGUUUUAAAAUAAAUAAAGUUUAUCUUUUGUAUAUAGGUGGUCGUGGACCAUGAGCCUCUACCUAAGUCCAAGUGGUGUGGUCUCGAGCCUUGGCGGCUAGGUGCACAUUUAUUUUUCUAGUUUUGAAUCAUCCGUAUAGUAAUUAAUUCACAUGCAGAUGCUUAGUUAUAUGCAGACAAGAUGAUCCUCCAUUAAUUUACACAAAUGGAACGAUUCCAACCAUUCGAAACUUGUGCUAUUUGAUGAUGAUAUUAAAUGGUGCUAAAAAAUAUGUCAUUUCAUAUGUGAAUCUAUUCAUAGAUCUUAUCUACACAACUAACACAUCAUAAUCAAUGACUGUCAUUACAAUAUUGCGUGACAAAUUAUCGAACUUUCACAUAACAUUAUUUAGGAAAUCUUUCUUUUGACUUUAUGUUUCAUUGUAAUAAUCUAAAGAUCUCAUGAAUCCAUUUCGAAAAUAGAACAUGACUUCAAUUCAAUUUGGCAAUUUAUACUAAUCUAUCUUUUAAUUUGAGGAAUUUCCUUUAUAUUUUCUUGCUUAACAUAAAUAUACUUUGCAUUUUUAAUUUCCAGCCUAUUUCAUUAUUUUAAUUUUGUGAUUGUCAUCAACAAUGAAACGAAUACUAGUUUUAUUGAAACAAUCUUUCAUGCCUAAUUAAUUUAAUCCUUGAGCAAUAAAAAUCAUAUUUCUUUUGGAAUUUAUGGUUGGAAUGUGAAAUAAGAAUCACCCGAAAAAUAAAAAUAAAAUCAAUUUAAGAAAUCAAGAUCGUUACUGGAUGUUUACAUGUAAAUUUAAUCAAUAAAUAAAAAAUAUCUAAAAUUUACCCAAAUUCGAUAAUUAAUUCUUAAAUCAGAUAUGAAUAGCGAAAUUUCAGUCUUUUGAAUUGUGAAAUUUCAAUUUUGAUUCCAAUAAUUUGAUUUAAGUUUCAAGCCUUCUAUUCAUCAAAAUCAAGAUUACACUAGUGUGUGGACAUCUUCUUUUAAUUACACCAAAAAUUAAAUUAUAGACCUUAGAAAAAUCACUUCAAUCCAUAUAAACUUUUGGUAAAAGUUUAAAAUAUCUACUCAAUAAAUCUUAAUGUCUCUUAUGAUUUUUAUAGUGCUAUGUUGAUUUCCAAAGGGAGUACUAUUUCAUGUUUGACAAUACAUCGUUUUCACAACUAACACCAACAAUUUUAUUUAAUUUCUAAAUUAAAAAAGGAGAUGCUAUUUACAUCCACCAUUAUUAUAUUUAUCUACUUUAAAAAAGAAAAUUAUAUUAUAUUUUUAACCUUAUGUAAAUUUACUUAAAUAUCAUUAUAAAAUUAAAUAAAAAUAUAUUAGUCUAAAUUUAUCCACUAAUAUUUAUUUUCAUUAAAUUCUUCUGGACUUUUUAUAUUCUUUUAAAUUUAUGUUUAAAUAAAAUUCUAAUAUUUAUAAAAUAUCCUCUUCGACUAUAGUCAAAACAACAAUGAAAGACACAUCAUAAGGGCAAAUGCAUAUAGACAUAACAAUAUAUGAAAAAAGAAUUUGAAAAAGUAGGAUUGCCUUUCAUUGUAAGCAUAAUGAAUUUAGUAUGUGAACAAUUCUUAAUUUUUGUUUGGAGUUUUGAUAAUAUGCAUUUUAAACUCAAGUUGUAUCAGUAAGAAAUUUUAUUACAAAUUAUUUUAGUUUUCUGUUGAGAUUAUCUUUUUUUCUCUAAAUUUUUUGAAUUAAAAAUAUUGAUAGUUAUAUUUUCUGUUGGGAUUAGUAAAACAAGAAUUUGAGUUUCCUGCAGGGAUUAUCUCUUUCUUUUUUCCCCUUUCUUUCUUUCUUUCUUGAUUUUCUUUCUAUGGAUUUAUAAGGACAAUUUUGAAAUAUAGUGCUUGUUUGGUAGGGAAUUUUGAUAAUAUAUAUAUGUCCCGUUUGGGAGUGAUUUUUCACCCCAAAAAUAUGAUUUUUUGAUUGUUAUUUUAUUAUUCCAAUCAUAAUUUUUGACUUCUUCUUUCACAGGUGGCUCCCACAUUUUUCCUAACGAUUAAAAAAUCAAUUUUCAAAAUCACUAUCGAAUAUGCCUAUAGAGUGUAAUAAAUAUAUAUCUAAUAAUGAGAGUAAACAGCGACUCUAUAAAAACUAUGACUCUUUGAAUGAACAUAUAUUAUUGAAUGACAAAUAAAGUACUAUAAGUUACAAGAUUAUUCCAAAAAAUGUGAGACUCUAGUUGCACAAUUUGAAUAAAAUUCCAGCAACAGUGACAUUAACUUUGAAAGGGACUCAAUUUUUUUUAUUUUUUUUUCAUUACUAUCUGUGAGGUGACACACUUUUUUAUCCUUAAUUUCAACGACACUUAAAAUAAUUCAUGACAUAUAUUUUUAUAUAUCAUACAAUGUCAACCUUAAUGUAUGCAUAGUUGAUAAAAUAUACAAAUAGCAUUUUCCUUUGAAUAAAUGCGUAAAUAAAUAUUUUCCAAAUAAUUAUUCCAAAAAGGAUUAGUCAAAAUAAAUUGAGAUUGUGGUUGCACGAUUUUGGAUGUUUGGACUUCCUGAAUAAUUGUAAAAAUGUUAAGUUAAUUCGAAGAGCUUUGCUGGGCCACACAAUCCAUUGUUAUUGAUCAGUUUCACUGUUGCCUUCAUCGUGUUCUUUGACCCCACCAUGUUGAUUAAUUGAACCAAUGAAAUUUCUCCGUGUUCAUUGACCCCACCAUUUUGUAUAAUUGAACCCAACCACUGUUGGGUUCAAUUAUUGAUCAGUUUGCUGGGCCAGAUGGAUGCUUGGGUUCAAUUAUUGAUCAGAGACAAUCCAUUGUUAUUGAUCAGUUUCACUGUUGCGAUCAUCGUGUUCUUUGACCCCACCAUGUUGAUUAAUUGAAACCAAUGAAAUUUCUCCGUGUUCAUUGACCCCACCAUUUUGUAUAAUUGAACCCAACAACCAGCAGACGACUUUCAUUUAUACAUUAUACAAGUCAAUCUCACUUGCAUUCAUCCCUCUUAACUCUUGCUUCCUAUCUUACAAAAAAGAUAAUAAUGGCUGUAAUCGAAGUUUUUCUAGGUGCAGUUCUCACUGUUUUGCUUGAGAAGCUGGCCUCUGGUGAGCUACUGAAAUUUCUGCGUCAUGUAGGAAUCGACGCCCAGCUGGUAGAAUGGAAGACAACUUUGAAGAGGAUCCAGGCAGUGCUUACUGAUGCUGAAAACAAGCAAACAACGGACAAAGAUGUGAAAGAGUGGCUAAUUGAUCUGGAAGAUUUGGCUCUUGAUCUUGAAGACUUAGUGGAUGAGUUGAAUACUGAAGCCUUGCAGCGCAAAUUAAAGGAAAAUAAAGGCAGCACCAGUAAGGUAAAAAAGCUCGUCCCCACUUGUUGUACUAAUCUUUCUUUCACUGAUUUCAUGUCUGAUCGCGGGAUUGCUUCCAAGCUAAAAGAGGUCAGUGGCCGGUUGAAAGAUCUGGAAGAACAGAAAAAAUUUCUCGAUUUGGUGGAAAAUGUAAGGGGAAGGUCUUAUGGAAGAUUGCCAACAACUUCGCUCGUGGUAGAAUCGAAAGUUCAUGGAAGAGAGAAGGACAAGGAGGAAAUACUGAAUAUCUUAUUUGGUGUUGAAUCAAAUGAUAGUCAAAUAUCCGUGAUUCCAAUUGUGGGCAUGGGAGGUAUCGGCAAAACAACUCUGGCCCAACUUGUGUAUAAUGAUGAAAGAUUGAAGGACAAGUUUGAUCUUAAGGGAUGGGCUUACGUUUCGGAGGAAUUUGAUGCUGUAAAAGUAACAAAAAACAUUCUUGAGUCAGUUUCUUCUGGUGGAAAGUGUGAUUAUGAAAAUUUUGACACGCUUCAGAACAAACUAAAGGAGAGCCUUUCAAACAAGAAAUUUCUAGUAGUUCUAGAUGAUAUUUGGCAUGAAAAUUACGAAGAUUGGGAGAUCCUAAGCCGUCCUUUUCUUGCUGGAAAACCUGGAAGCACAAUCAUCAUUACCACUCGACAAGAAAGGGUGGCCAAAAUCAUGUCUGAAAUUCCAGCAUACAAUCUGGAUCUGUUAUCAGAGGGCGAUGCUUUAUCAUUGCUAGCUCAACAUGCAUUUGGAGCUAAAACUUUUGACGGUCAUCCAGCUUUAAUAGAGAUUGGUAAGUCUAUGGUAAGAAGAUGUAAGAUGUUGCCCCUGGCAGUAAAGGCCCUUGGGGGGCUUCUUCGAGUUGGUCGUGAAGAUUGGGAAAAGGUGUUGAAAAGUGAAAUCUGGAUGAAUGAAGAAAAUAUUGGAAUUCUUCCUGCUCUAAAACUGAGUUAUCACCAUCUUCCUCCGGAAUUGAAAAGAUGCUUUGGUUACUGUGCUCUCUUUCCCAAGGACUACGAAUUUGACAAGUUCCAACUAGUGUACUUUUGGAUGGCUGAAGGUCUUCUGCAGGAAACAAAGAAAGAUAAGUUAAUUGAAGAUGUUGGUAGUCAAUAUUUUGAUGAACUAUUGGCUAGAUCAUUCUUCCAACAAUCAAGUGCCAAUGCUUCACGCUUUGUGAUGCACGACCUCUUUAACGAUCUAGCUAUGUCUGUUGCUGGUGAUAAAUGUUUGAGGAUGGAUGAUGAACUGCAGGAGAUUUCUGUAAAGGUCCGUCACUUGUCAUUCAAGCGCAGGAUGUUUGAAACUUAUCCUAGAUUUAACUUUCUUGACAAAGUUCAAAAGUUGAGAACCUUUUUGCCACUACCUGUUGAGGCGUCAUUUAAUUACUUAUCCCAAAGAAAUUUGCUUCACCUAUUCGCAAAUUCAUACUGCUUAAGAGUGCUAUCCUUGAAUGGUUAUGCCAUAUAUGAGUUGCCAGAUUCUAUUGGUGAUUUAAGACAUUUAAGAUACCUGGGCCUAGCUGGAACAAGACUGAGGUGGUUGCCUGAAUCUGUGUGCACUCUUAUCAAUUUACAAGUGUUGAUUCUAAGUGGUUGUAGUAGACUUACCAAAUUACCCACAAGCAUGGAAAAUCUUGUUAAACUUCGGUAUCUGGACAUUACUCAUACUUGCAAUUUACAUGAGAUGCCUCAGGGAAUUGCUCAACUAACAAGUUUGCGAACGUUAACUAAGGUGACUGCAAGUAAAAAUAAUGGAAUGAGUUUAAAGGAGUUGGGCAAUCUAUCAUUUCUACAAGGUAAUAUUUCUAUUGAGGAAUUGCAAAAUGUUGUGAAUGUUAAAGAAGCAACGGAAGCAAGGCUAAUGGAUAAGCCAAGCCUCAACGGAAUAAGGUUGGAAUGGAGCGCAGGCUUUGAUGAUCCUCGGAAUAAAAUUUUAGAAUUGAAUGUGCUUAAUGCAUUAAAGCCCCAUAAGAACUUAUCAACACUUGAAAUCAAGUAUUACGGGGGUGAGAAUUUCUCUAAUUGGAUUGAAGAUUCAGCAUUCCUUAAGUUAGCAAGGAUAAGCUUUGAAUAUUGUAAAAAUUGCACGAUUUUGCCACCAUUAGGGCAACUACCUUUGCUAAGAGACUUAAGCAUUCGAGGCAUUGAUCAAGUAAAAGUGAUUGGAGCUGAAUUUUAUGGAAAUAGAGGCCAUGGAGAAUUACCUUUUCCAUCACUCAUUAAUCUGACUUUUAGUGACAUGUCUAACUGGGAGGAAUGGGUUGGAAUAGGAGGUGUUAUCCAACUUCCUAAGCUAUGCUCAUUGAUUAUAACUGAUUGUUCAAAAUUGGUCAGUCUUCCAAAUCUUUUACUGCCAUCCCUACGUCACAUAAAUGCUGCUGGGUGUAAUGAGGUGGUGCUAAAUAGUAUGCAGAAUUUGAAAUCUUUAACCAGCAUAAUAUUGUGUAGAAUUUUCGGAUUAACUUCAAUUAUCAAAGCAUUUGUACACUUUCCUUUUACACUUGAAAGUGUCACAGUUAAUGAAUGUCACAACCUUGUGACUCUAUGGCCAGGUGAUAGUACUGCACGAAACCUAGUUGACCUACAACGCGUGGAUAUUGACAGUUGUCCUCGGCUAUUGUCCCUUCAAGAGAUUGACGUUCUUCCCGAUCUUAGGAGACUUUAUAUAAGAAAUUGUGGAGCUCUGGAGUUGUUGCCUCAUAAAAUAUCUUGUCUUGAGAGAUUGUCUAUCAACAAAUGUCCAUCGUUAAGGACGAUGAUGAAGCUACAGAAUUGCAACAUCUCGCUCGAUUAUCUAAAAAUUUCUCGUGUGAAUUUGAAUUUGGCAAAUUUACUAGGCUCUGGCUCCAAUUACCAAAGUCUCACUCAUCUACAAAUACGGUCUUGUGAUGGUCUAGAAUUGUUUCCCAAUGGAGGCUUGCCCACACCAAAUUUAAAACUACUAAAGAUAAUUGAGUGUCAACAUCUCAAGUCGUUACCUGAUCGGAUGGAUCUACUUUCAUCCCUUUCGUUCCUGGGGGUGUCUUCUUGUGCUUCAUUGAAGGAACUCUUUCCCCAGGAGGAUAUUCCCCCAAAUCUGUGUCACCUUGAUAUCAGAAAUUGCGGAAAACUAAAACCCCCGGGGGAGUGGGGCCUACACAAACUCACCUCUCUUCAAACCUUUGAAUUUGGUGGAUGUCUAGAGCUGGUUUGCUUCACUAACAAUGCUGACGAAGAACACUGUGUGCUUCCUCCAUCUCUAACAGCUUUGUCGUUGGAUGACCUGCCGAAUCUCGAAACACUAUCAAGGGGCUUCCAAAGCCUCACCUUUCUUCAACAUUUAUGCAUCUCUAGAUGCCCAAAGCUUGAGGCGUUGCCUAUGGGAGACUAUCUUGAAAAGCUUUUGAGCCUUGACAUUCAAGGCUGCCCACUUCUUAAGAAACGGUGUUUGAAGAACAAAGGAGACUACUGGCCCAUCAUUGCUGACAUUCCGGUCGUCGAAAUUGAUUCCCGAUCCAUCUAUGAUCCAUGUCCAUGAAUUCAAUUACACGAGGUAACAGAUUUAAUUUGAUACCUAUGAAUCUCAACAUCAUUUCAUGCAAAACACUUCUCGACAUUUCUGUCAAUUUUGUUUUCAAACAGAAUGUGAAUUUUCUGCAGCAAAUAGUGGAUCUCCCUUUCUGCAAUAGCUAUUCAAGUGUUCAUGCCACUCUGUAUCUUAUAUUUGUGCUUCUGCUCUGCAGCAUAAAUCAAUAUCAGAGCCGAUGUACCAACAAUCAAGUAACUGAUCGGCUAUGGCGCUAAAAUUAGCCUCUUUUUGUACUAACAGUAAGAUUCUAUCAAAUAGAUAAAAUCGGAGUGAUAAUUGUUAGUCGAAUGUGGUUAAAUUAUUAAUAUUUUGAUUCGAUCUGCUUUAGCAAACUGGAAAUGCAUUGAUUUGACUUACUGUAUGUUUAUGCAUUUUUGGGUUUUUAUGUGGCAUGCGUUUUUAAACUUCUCUUGUAGAUUGGAGGUUCCUACGCCAUUUGAAUGGAACUAAUAAAAAUGACAUCGUUUUGGUGUAGGCAUUUUCUGAUUACUUGUAAGAACACAAGAUGGAAUGAAUGUGUCUCUUCAUUAGACCUUCAAGUAAGUUUUUUGUUCGAUUCUUUUGCGUUUUAAGUGUUUGUAUAAAUGCCUCAGUGAAAUUAUAUGGCUGGAUCUGUGACUGAAGCUAUGUUCUUGCCUUUAUUAUUAUUAUUAUUAUUAAUUUCAUGAUUUUAGUAAUAUUUUCUGAAUAAUUCUUUGAAUGAACUUUUCCUUUUGGGGGUUUCCUUCCAUAAAUGUCAAGAAAUCUGUUUAGUCUCUGAAAAUUGUCUUGACUGGCCAAAAAUCCUUUCUCGUGUGAUUUUGGUGUGGUUUAAGGUAUGAGGUACCAUGUUUUACAAUUGCUAUUUUAAAAAUUUUCUUGAUUUUAUUAGAUUAACCUCUGCCGAUUGUGUAUUACAUUCAUCCGUAUGAAUUGGAUGUUUUAAUCCAAUCUGAAGAUUUGAAUCAUUGCUUCACAAUUUCAUGCAAUUAAAUUAAGAAACCGAUUAAUUUUUUAUGUGAAUGCUUUUUAAUCGAAAACUUUAUUUCAAUUUGGAAAGUUCAAUCAUUUUAAGUUUGCAGUUAUACCUCUUGCUGGUAUGCAUUUUUUUAAUGUUAUUAAUUCAUUCUAAUUCUUAUGGAUUCUAUUUCUUUGUAUGGGACUUUUUCACUGGUUAUAAAUUUUGGCUUCUUUGAAUUUUCACUUUCGUAUUUAUUUAUUUAUUUAUUUAUUUUUGGUAAAUAUUUUAAAAAAUGAUUGAUAAUAUUGAAUUAUCCUAGACAUUCUAUAACAUAAUAAAUUGAUGUACUAAUUUGUUAAAUUCAAUUAUUCAGUAUUCUGUUUCUUAAUUUAGUUGAUCAAGUAGGUUAUUUUUUUUUUUUAUCCUAAUCUGGAAUAUAUGUGCUCAGAAUGUCGCUGUGAGCAUAUUGCCUGUCAAGAAGAAUCAUUUGAGUUGAGGACGAUAAGAUGUUACAUUUUUUAGCUAUGCUGUUUUUCAGCUUACUCCAACUUGAACUCGGUACAAUUUUAAUUUUUUGAAUUAAUUCAGUUUCCUUCAACUGAUGAAUUAUUGCAGUAUCAGUGUGAGUUUGUGUGGUUAUUUCAUAUUUGCCUGUGAUUUUGUAUUAAUCAUUUGAGUUGAAAUCCUGACUCGGAUUUAUAAUCAUUGUGGACCCAAAUUGCUGAUUUUAAGAUGUGUUUUUAUAGUAAACUAAUUGCUGAUGUCAAAAUUCUUUUCAUUAGUUUUGGGUUGAUUAGUUAAUAAGUUCUUCUGUCUUUUACUGUUUGGGGAUUCAGCAUGUGUUUCAUUAAUUGGUUCUAUUCUUUUUUUAUAUGGUAUGUACUGACUUCAAUUUGGCAAUUUCUUGGGGAUAUCUUUUUUGUCAAAUUGUAUUUUCACAGAGUUCAACUGUAAAAAUGUGAAAUAUGUCCAAUUAUUUGAAUUUUUGUUGAUAUUUUGAAAUUGAUAUUAUGUAUUGAUGAGCCAUCAAGUUAAAUUUAAAACGAAUUCCAUGUUGCAAAUGCUAUUUGGAAGUUGAAUUUGCUCUGCUGGGUUGCAAAGUAUACUUGAAUUUAUUUUAUCAAAAGAUGAAUAUUUAUCAUCUCUUAGUUUCCCCUUCAUUGUCAUAUAUCUUUACGAAAUUCUUGUAGAAGUAUUUAGAUGAUAAUUGGAUUGUGUUGAUAAUGUAGCUGGAAGAUCAUACGAGGAAUUUCAGGAAAAUAGGUUUUGUUGCUUGAGUCCAUUUUAUUUAAGGUGUCCGGAAAAAAAAGGUUGUGUGAGUGUGGAAAGUAUAUCAUCCUUGCGCGUUUGGAUCUGUUAUUCAUAUUGAUAGAUGGCAUUCCGUGUGUGGAAGCAUAUUUCACUUAAAACAUAUAUUCACCUUGUGUUGUUAGGUAACUAUUGUAGCUUUUCACAUCUGCUUUCGUAAUGGUUUAUUGUUGUACAUUUUAUAGGCUAAUGUUGCUAGAAGAAAAUCGAAUUUCUUUCUGCUCAAACGAUGGAAUGAUGAUUGAUGGCAUCACCUGGUUGCUGAAAUGAUAGGAUUGUCGUAAGUUUUAACUUGCUAUGUAUAGCUUCAUUUCUUGCUUUUAGUUUUGGUCGACUUCAACUCUAUUAAGUAUUUUGAGCCAAAUAUUUUUUAUUAACAGCAUCAACAUAAUUAAAUUUAUUUUACUCUUGAAACAACAAAUAUGUUUCCUCUUCCUUUUUGAUGGAAGUUACAUCACAAUAGAUCUGUCUUUUAUAUGAAGAUUUUCUUCUUCUCAAUUGCUAUUGCACACUGUACUUGAUAUUAGUUGUGGGUCUGGUAGCUUUAAUGCUCGUCUUCUAUCGCUUAAGCUGAUGUGUGACAGCAUAUGAGCCAACAGGUAGACAUGUUCAAUUGGCACUUGAUAGAGGUCUCCCUUCAAUCAAAACUUAAUCUAAAGACAGCUCCCUCUUCAUCCUUUGUCAUAUGAAGUGGUUCACUGCACUCAAUGUAGCAUUGUCUGUGAUAACAAAGGUAUGAUCUUCAUUAAGGUUUGGGGUUUUGUUUUUUUCCAUUAAAUCACCAUUUCUUCAUCAGAUUAAGUGCAGUGGUUUUUAUUGAUUUUUCACCGAUGAAAAUUCUUGAAAUUAAUUUGACAUUUAGCCUAAUGUAGUGCGAACUUUUCUGUGGUUUUUGCUAUUUUUUGCGUGCAUUUCUAUUUCUUUUUUGUUUAUCACAUUUUGUUUGAUACUAUAGUUAUCUGUAAUAAAUUUUGCAAUGGUAAUAUUAGGCUUGCUGUAAGGAAGGCCAAGAAGGAAAAGAAAGCGAAUGAUCCAAACAAGCCAAAGAGACCUCCAAGUGCUUUCUUUGUUUUCAUGUAUGCCCAUUUGCAUUUUUGGUCUCUAGCAUUUCUGUCUAUUGUUCUUAUAUAUUAUCUUUUUUAUGCUGCUUGGCAGACUACAACAAUAAUUUGGUAAUCCAUCUAUGAGAAGCACGGUGUUAUACACAGUUUAGUUUGAAUUGUGAUACUGAAACGAUUUGUGCCAAACUGUUUUUAUAGGCUAGAGGGGCUGUUGAAUUCGACAAGGCAAAGUCUGAGGUUAAUGGUGAUGAGGACGAUGAGAACAGUGGAGACGUUAGUUGAAAUUAAGCUCUACAACUUUUUUGUACUUGAAACUUAGCUACUAUGCUGACUUUUUAUUUUGUUUUAAUUAAUUUAGGAGGAAGAUGAUGAGUAAGCACUAUCAUGAAGAAUUAUUGUGUAAAAUUUGGCUUCAGGUGAAUUUUACUGAAAUUAAUUGAAAGUAAUUAUCAAUAAUACUCCUUUUUUAAUUUUUAUUUUUUAAAGUUGCUAAUGUGUUUGUUCUUCCUUUCAGUGAGGGAACAAGCGUCUCUUUGCCAUUAACUUGGGGCAAAAAAAGAGAGGAAACGUAUGCCUUGUUUUUCAUUAUUGCCUAUUGGUACACAAGACGUAUUUAGAGGAAAGGGGUGGAGGAAGAGGGGGUUGAGUGCUUGUAGACCAUGAGCAAAAAAUGGCAGACUACAAUAAGAAUUUGGUAAUUUCAUCUAUGAAAUUCUCUAUUACAAUGCACUACGUGCAUCUCACAUGCGAAGAACUAGUUCGAUAAAUAUUCAAUAUUUUGCAGCAAGCUUCAUAUCUUGUUAAAUUUUGAAGGUCCUUCCUUUUGUGAAAUCAUUUAAGUUAAAAAUGUUAAGAGAGAAAAACAUUAAUUUAUUAAUAUCUUCAAAACUCUUCUUAUGGUGCAGGUAGAUUUAAUUUUUCUAUAAACAUUAAAUUUCUGACUUUGAUGGGGAUGAUGUUAUUAUUUUACAGAUUUUCAUCUGGUCGUCCAUUACCAAUACAAUUUCGAGACUCGAUUUGAUUAGAGACUAAUAGCUCAGUCAUCUACCAGGUCAAGAAAGUUAUUAAUUGGGUUAGUUGCUUUAAGCUUGUGGGCUGACCACCUAUAUGCCUGCUUUGCAUAUAUUUCGUUGCCAGCUCCAAUCCACAUCAUUUGAUGACGUGUUGUUUACACCAAAUUUGACUUGUACACAAUAUCUGUUACUACGAGAGUUAGAGAGAGAGGCCAAUUCAAACCAUCAUUUGGUGACACAUUUUUUAAGAGCAAUCGUGGAACCUAUAUUUGUUAAGUGAAGUCAAUGUUAUGCUGAAGCAAACAAAAGAUUAUGACGAUUGAGGAUGGUCAAGUUCACAUUUCACUUCUUAUCUUUCCAUUCUCUCUCUUUUAGAGUAAAGAUCAUUUGUAGUAUUUCGUGGCUACCAAAUAUUCAAAUACUCCAGGGAACAUUGUAGAUGUAAAAUUCUGCAUUAUAUAAUAGGAGGAAUUUUUUUUUUUUUUUUCCUAAAUGGAUUAUCAGGUAAGUUGUCAUUAUUUGCAAUAGUAAUAGGCUUUUUAUUAUGAUGUGCAGUUGCACAUGUCCAUGUGUGUCCACGUAUACUUGUGUGUGUAAAUGUGGAAUAAUGAUAUUUACAAUCUAUUCUUACCUAUUAGCAAUUAGCAUUCUAUGUAGAUGUAUUGUUACUGCCACAUUUUCCUAUAAUUUUAGAGUAGGGAUAUUUGUAAGCAUCGUACUGAAAACAACAAUCUAUAUGACAAUGAGAUAUCUGUCUUAUUCUCCUAUGAAAUUGAGUUCGUUUUAAUUUAUUGAAGAAUGUGAUAGUGACCCCAUUAUUACAUCAAAUGUUGGUAAUAAGUACUGUUAUAAACUUAGCAUACAUUUAAUUUAUUGAAGAAUGUUACAAUAAUCAACUGUCGCAUGGACGGUUGAUGGAUAAGUACUGCUUACAAAGAGUAUUACUCCUUAAAAAUGGAAAUUUACUCGGGAUAUGAAGCCAAGUGGACAAAUAUCAGACCUUGCUAAAGAAAUUUCACUCUUAACAAAUACGAUUAUCCAUGAUAGACCAUAUGAAAAAUCAAAAUUGAGGAACAUUCUAACAAUAUCCCUCGACACCCAUCUCACCCUUUUAACUAUUUACCCACCAACCCCCACACUUUAUAUAUAAAUGUUUUUUCUUGUUUUUGUCUCAAUUUUAAGGGUCAAAAUGUCAAACAAAGUUAAAAUAUUAGAAUUUUAAUAUCAUUUUGAAGUGCUCAUAGCUUAGUUUCUCGCAUCAUUAACGGCGCGUGAAAUGACCGACCACAACAAAAGUUACAAUGCGUCAAAAUAGGUCAUUCAAAAUUAGUAUUUCAAGAAUUUCGAUAAUAUGCUAACUUUAAAAAUUUGUUGGCGAUCGUAUGCUAACUGAAUUCAGAAAUCGCUUGUCAUCUUGAUCCAAACCGAUAUAGGUUGUACAUUGAAAAUAAUUAAAUUAUUUGAAAAUUUUUGACGUCAUGUGUCAUGUAAAAUUAUCCUAAUAAAAUGAUUAUAAAAUGAUGUAAAUUAUAUUAAUAUAUUUGUUGAGCAAAAAUAAUAAAUGUUAAUGAAAUAAUUGAAAAAUUUUAAAGGAAAAAAUGAGUUAUGCAUCUCUUUUUGAGACGAUCAUUUAAUUAUUUUCGAUAUUCAAAUUUUGGACCAUUCGGUAUGUCUACGAUAUAAUUCUUAAAACUAAAACAAAUUUUAAAAUUAACAUGUUAUCGAAAUUCUCUAAAUACUAGUUUGGAAUGAUCUAUUUUAAGACAUCAUAACUUUCGCUACGAUUGAAAGUUUUACGCGCCGUUAACGAUGCAAAGAAUUAGACUGUGAGCACUUCAAAAUGAUAUUAAAAAUGUGAUAUUUCGAUUUCAUUUGACAUUCCAUAAUGACCUCAAAAAUUGAGACGAAAACAAGGGGGGAAAAAAACCUUUAUAUAUGAAGAAUGGGUGAUAAGAAUGGUGAGGCGUAGGUGUGGGGUGGGGUAAAAGGGGCGGGGGUCGGUAAAAAGUUAAAAAAUUGGGCAAGUGCAGGAGGAAACAAAAGUUGCCACAUUAGUAGUGGGUAGAAUGUUCUCCUGCACACCAUUGCCAGCAGAACAAUUCUACGAAAAAUAAUACGCGAAGAAUUAAUUUCAUAAUUUGUGAUCGAUAAAAAGUUAUAACCUAUAAAAUUUGUGAUUUUAAGUGUAACGUUUUGUAACUGUGACUGAUACGCAACCGUGAUCAUAAACUAUAUGAUAUUGCGAUCUUAAUAUAUUAAUUAUAUAUUUAAUUAAUGUACCAUAUUUAAUAUUUAUGACCCGGGUUUUGGAAAAUAAAAAAAUAAAAAUUUCAAGUUCGUCAAAAUUGAAAUUGUAACUUAAAAUCUAUGUAACUAUGCAUUCUUCCCAUUAUAAAUAGCAGUGGUGGAUAUAAUUUAUCCAUGGAAAAAUGCAAAAUCUCCAUUAGACUAGAGGAACUGGCUGUCUCGGCAGAGUUAUAUAUCGAAUUUUACUUGUCAUGCUGAGGUCGAGGGCUAAGAUCUCUAGCUUACGUGUAUAUAGGCAGGGGCAGAUCCAAGCACGGGCUCCACCAUGCUAUAGCCCGUGUACGGCCCUUAAAAUGUCUACUGUAUUUUUAUUAUUAUUAUUUUUUUUUAUUGAAAGAUAAAUCCAUGUAUAUUUGUAUUGUAACCCGUGUUCAAACUCAAGACUGAAUCCGCCACUGACAUAGGCGUUUAUUUCUAACCAAGUUACGAACACCAUCACUACUAGUAGUCGAAGUGGGCAGAUAUACAACAGUUACCAUCUAAAAAUGGACCAAAAAUAGUUCAGUGUGUUAUAGCAGAUCGAUGACCACACACUUUGAGCCAUCUAGGUAUCAACUAAUCAUUUACUAUCCUAGAUUAAGAAUAAGUCAUUAUAAGUGAAGUGUGACCUCCCAUUUCCCUUGAGGAGACCCAAACUAACCAUAAUCGUAUAGAAUAGAUGUAGUUCAUAAUCACAAAUCAACAUAGAAUCAAGCAGAAAUAAUACAACCAACAGACGGUAUACUCUGUUACAUUAAAUGUUGCUUUAUUGAAUUCCUCAACAGAACGUGAAAGUGUUCACACCUCUGUUUGAGUCUCAUUCUUUCAAAAAUUCAUUUUUUCAAAACUCAUUUUCAACCACACAUCCUUCAAUAAAGUAAUAUUACACGUAAAUUCAAAACUUUUCUUUACUUGUUAACCACAUAUUCUCAAUCAAUCUACUAUUCAAAAUGCAUUCUUUUCAAAAAAAUGGGGCUCAAGCUAAGUGAAGACUUCACAACAAUGUAAAUGGUAUUCUAGCAAUCAAUAUUCCAGUUUCAAGUUGAAAUGAAAUUAAGAAAAGAAACAUGUUGAUCAGUCUUAGAAAACGGUCAUAUAAAGAUAUUAGAAAGCACAUAACAAUCAAGUGUAUGGAUGGAACCACCUUUACAACAACAAGAGAAACUGGAUGACAGGCAACAAAUACAGUAUCAUAAAGCACAACUAAUCGAAGCUAUAGGAAUUAGAAAAAUACAGACCUCGAUCGAUUGUAUGAGACUCUUAUUAUGUAUACGUAAUAGUCUAGUUCAGUACAUUUGAUCAGCCAAGAAGAGGAUUAAGAACGUGCCCAAUGAAUAGCACUACCCCCGUCAUAUCUUCUCUGAUGAUGAACAAAAAUGGAUGAUCGGCAACAAAAUCGAACUCAUCCUCGACUAAUAAACCCCUCAGUUUAACAAGACCAGCAGAAGCAGCAGCAGCUUCCGUGCCUUCCUCAUUUACCUCGAUAAAUGACUUGUGGAAAAUGCUAGAAACAUAAAGGUUCUGACCAACUUGUGAGUCCACCAUAUCUGUGAGACCACCACCAGAAAAAGGCAACACGACUCCCAGUCCCUUGAGAACUUCCGAGGCUUCAAACCCAAAUGACAAUUUGAAUUUUGGGAUACGGAAUUCACCAACUUCGACCUUUU